rnacentral:lncRNA from 1 species
UCCUUCCCAACAUCCUUCGUCAUCACCAUCUUCUUCUUCGGUGGGUUUCACUUUGUUUAGCUUCGGUGCGUCUACGACUCCUUGAGAGAAAAUCUUCAUUGUUGGGCACUGUCUCACAACUACGUGUUCCAAGGACGGGAACUCAAGAGCGUAAUUACCCAAACAAAAGCUUGUUAGGCUUGGCAAACAAUCAAGUCCCAAGUACUCCAAUUUCCUGAAAACAAUGCAAUCUUCCGCUUCUUCUCCAACCUGCGAUUGUAUGAUUUCUUCUAUCAUUUUGCAAUCAGCUAUCUUCAUUCUUUCGAGAUUCACUAGAGUUUUAGAUGUUGAGAGCGUCAACACAUUUAUCAACCCGUGACACUUCGAUACUUCUAGUUCCCACAGAUUUUCCAAAUGCCACGAAGGUGGUACUAAUUUUUGCAACUUACUACAUUCCGAUAUUUCUAGACUUCCCAAGUUUGCAAACGCUUUGCUGGAUUCGUCAUUUUCCUUCCAGAGAUGCUGCACUUUGUGUAAUCCAGAUACUUUAACUCUAUCAAUUGAGGGAAUGCAACCUAAAAAUCAACAAAAUUAAGUUGUAAAUGAAAAUAUGUAUCCAAUCUCUGCAGUCUUCCCCUGCAUAUUUUAUGGACAAGAUUAAUCACAGCAUUUUAUAUUUUUUUUUCCAAAUUAGUAUGCUUUGCAGUAGGAUCCCAAAUAUAAGUAUCAAAUCGAUUACCCUUUGAAACACAUAAAUGAAAUCUGAUGCUAAAUCUAAUAUGAAUUAGCUAGGAAAACAGAGAUGUUACACACAUAAUUAAUAUAGUUCAUCACCUCGUGUUACCAGGCAUCCAAUUAAUUUCAGACACUUUUAUAAUUCAUACUAUAAAGUUAGUUAAUAAUUGCGGUUAUAUUGUUAAAUCAGAUAUAAAUUAAGACGACAUGUAAAAAGAUGAGUCAUUAAAUUUGAUUUGAUUCUAAUGAAAUUACAACUGUGCGAAAGAAAGUGAAGGGAAAAAUAAUAAUAAUGAUUACCUUUUCAUUGAAGAGAUGUUGUAUUUGAUCAGCUACCAAGAGGUUCUUUUCUGAUUUUAAUUUUUGAGCUUCCUUAUUAUCUGCUGUCAUGUGCAGUACAGAUGUAGAAUUGGAUAUGAAUGUUUCCAUAUCAGGGCAAUUCUCAAUAGUUAGAUAUCUCAACUUAGGCAGUUCAAUUAUAUUCCUAGUGAAGUUGAAAAAUCUUUUGAGUUUUGGAAGGUCAGUGAGCCCUAGCUUGAAAAGCUUAGGAAACAGGGGGCCUAUAUGUUCUUUGUCAGCAUUAAUUAGCUCUUCCAAAUGAAGCACCUCUUCAAGUGAAUCACAAUUCCUCACUUCCAGGUAUACCAAAUUGUUCAAGCACCGUAGCAGAUUAGCAGGAAUAGCACUCGACAUAUUCGUGCAGUCAUCCACCACCAGGUCGAAUAAAUUGUUGAAGAAGCUGACAGGCAGUGCUUGGCCAUGCCAUAUUUCUUUCAAACGUGGAAAAUGCGAGAGUUGCAAAUGUAUUAUGUCACGAAAUCCAAUCUGCACAAACCAAAACAAUUGCACUGGAUAUAUACAAUUUUUUCUUUUUGAAAGGCAUAGAUAUAUAUAUACAUUAAACUUAUAUGUUCAAAUGUGCAAGUGCAAGGGAGAUGCAUAAGUAAUUUCGACGAAUCGAUUUAACACAUACCAUUUCUUCGUAACACUUUUGUAUAGUGGAAUUAAGGUUGCCUUCCCAACGGCGCAAUUCACCCUCUUCCUGUUAAGAAUAGAAUUAGUUAGUUAAUGAGUAUGCUGACAUGGCAGCUGAGUCAGCUAAAGGUUGUUAUAGAGGUUGUUAGUAGUAACCUGUGCGUGUGUGCAAUGUGUGUAGAAUCUUCUAUGCACAUAUAAAAAGGCUUGUAAUUUCCAGAUUCAUUAGAUCAAUAAUAACAGAAUUCUCAGCUUACAGAAGUUUUCUUUCUUCCUAUUUUCUUAGUAACCUAACAACAUCACAGUUUCAUAUAAAACUUAAUACUUCCUUUUACUCACUUGCACUUUGCAUAGCUUUGGUGUGGAUAAGAUUCCCUGAGAAAAAGUCUUCAUGUUCAGACAAUGUGUCAUAGAAACUUGUUCCAAUGAUGGGAAUUCAAGAGUGUAAUUCUCCGAACAAAAGCUGGUAAGCCUUGGUAAAUAAUCAAGUUCCAAAAGUUUUAAUUCGCUGAAAGCAAUACGAUUCUCCUUCGCUUCUUCUCCAACAUGUCCUAUGAUUUCUUCUAUUUUUUCACAGAGUGAUACAUUAAGAUUCACUAGACUAUUGGGAAUUCCAACCUGAAAAUAAAGAGUAGCAUUCAACUAGAUUCAAAGUAUGUCAAAAUCAUACAAUUGUUUUAUGAAAAAUAACAAACCAUGAAUGUCUACUAGAUAUUUUUUGUUAAAGAAAAAAAGGAAAAAAUUAAAACAAAAAUAAAUAAAUAGAAGUCCAGAAAAACAAAGAUAAUGAAAAUGCAUUUACACUAUUUAGUAUUAGGAACGGAGAAAGAAUUUCAGCUAAUUUUUAAAUAUUAUAAAUUCAUUUUUCAUCUUGAUGCUAGUUUUUAAAAAAUUUUAAUUUUCAAACAUGCCUAUUUUUAAAAUAACUAAACUAAAACGCUGUAUUUCCCAUUUUUUUUUCCCGAUAUUCAUGCUUUUAAAAAUGGAAAACAUUUCUGGAAAACACUUCCCAACGCCAUCAACAUGGGACUGUUAUAGAGUGAAUAUUUGAGGAAUUUUUUUAAUCAACGGUCGAUUCAAAAUGACCAUCAUGAAUUUGUGCUUAAUCAAUGGCGUAAUCAAUUCAUAACUAAACUAGAGAUAUUAACUACAUUUGAACACUUUUUUUUUUUAAAUAGAAAUCUAAAGACCCAAGGAAAAGAGAAAUAUAUAUGAAUUUGUGAACUUAAAAGCUGAGUAAUUAAGUAUCUUUUAAUUUCUGAAAAUCUUAUUUAUUAGGAUUUAAGAAAAAAAAACAAUUAAAUUGAAUUAUAUUAUGCUGUUAAAUCGUGUUUAAAACAAUUAUAUUGUUGACUUUAAUGCAGGUGAACCUAUAAAUUAGAUUGAAAAUGCAGAGUUCAGAAUGGUGAUUUGAAGUUCAAUACUUUUGUUCCCUCCAGAAGUUUGAAGUACAAUACUUGCAAUAAAUAAUUUGUGAAUGAAAAUUAUUUGUAAACACAAAAAUGAUUAAAAUAAUUGUUGAAUGUUAUUUGAAAUAAAAAUUCAAAAUGAAUAUAGCAAUCUUACCAAUGGAGGAAAAAUAUUCAGUAGAUUAUCACACUCAGAUAUCUCCAAUUUUUUCAAUUUGCUAAAAGACUUCGAAGCAAGCUGGUGGUGCCAUAUUUUUCUCAACUUAUCCGCCUCACUAAUAUGUAAUACCUCCAGACUUGGGAGUCGUACCUGAAGUUAAAAAUUCAAUGCAAUUAGAGAUGUAUAUUAAUUAAAUUUGAAGACUCAACGAAAAGAGAAAUUAACUAUUGAGAAUAAAAUUAAUUUAAAAAAAAAAAACCUUUUCAUCAAAGAGGGGUUGAGGUUGCAUUUCAGUGUGAAUGACGUCUUCUGGUGAGGCAAAGCUACAUAGUUUUGGAAGACCAUCGAGCCGCAGGUAGUGUAGUUUGGGAAAAACCUUUAAUUCAUCUCUUCCUCCUAACCCCCCCGUGGUGUCGACUACCCCUUCCAUUGACUCACAAUCCCAUAUCUCAAGAUGUUGGAGUUGCCCAAGACUAUUAACCAUAGAACAUGAAAACAGAUACUUCACACAAUGACACCUUUCCACAGUCACUUUUGUUAAAUUUUGACAACAAUACAUUCCCUGAAAUUGAUCGAGCCAUAAUUUUUCGAUGUUUCGUAAAUCGAAAAGUUUCAGUUUCUCCAAACGUGGAAAAGAAACCUGCAAAGCAAAACCGUACAUUUUUGUUCCUUCAACUACAACUUCUAAUAUAAUAUUCUUUCGAUGAUUGAAGAUCAAUCGUAAUAAUAUAUUAAUUAAUUAAUUAUUAAACAGAAAAUUAUUACCUGUUGAACAGGAUCAUCCUCUGCAUUGAUUUCUGUGAAUCCCUGAGUAGUUGUUGGUUUCUCCAUGUCGGGCCCUAUAAAUGAACAAAAACAAUAUGUAAUAAACAUCCGUGUUUUUUUUCACCAAAAAAAGAAAAAGAAAAAGAAAAAAAGAAUGAGUCAAUGUCAAUAAUCCUACCAAUAAUUAAUUUCAAUACUUACCAAUAAUCAUUUUCAAAUCAUCGCAGUUUUCCACUUCUACUUUUUGAAGCCGCAAUAGGUUUUUGGCCAUAGAGAAUGAGAAGAGAUACUUCAAUUUUGGACAGCAAUCUACGUUUAUAAUCCUUAAGUUGCUGAAAGAUUGAUCUUCUCUGAGUUGGCUGUAGCAUAUCGUCUCCAAAUUAGUUAAAAACAUAAGAGACAAUGACUCCAGCAAGGGAAAGACUUUGCAACGAACCCGUCUAACUGAACCGACAAUAUGUAAAAUCUCAGAACAACUUUUUACAUGAAGAUGCUUCAAUCGUGGAAAACCUUCCCCAUCGUCUAAUUCAUGAACAACACUUUGAACACCCUCCAAUGUUUCUAGCCAGAGACCUUCAGUUCUCUGCAGCAACAUUUUUGUCCCAUCAUUCUCCUGAAGAAUGCUAACUUUUUCUAGCCCCUUGAGCAUCAUCAAUCUUGGUGCUUCAGAUUUGACGAGCAAUGGGUCAAACUCAUCUUCGGACUCAUCUCCUAUGCGUAUCCUAUAUCUUUGCAAUUCCACAGAGACAAAAUUCGGCGGCAGAAUUUCGGCAUCCGCAACUUCUAUCUCCAAAGUAGCUAGCUUUGUCAACCUCUCCAACUCGACAAGACUGGCAUUACUUCCUCCUUCAACCUUCUCCCACCCUGAAAAGCUGUUACCCAUAUACAAUUCUUCUAAUUGAGAUAAUUUUGAUAUGACAUUCGGUGCUAUCACCUCAAGCAACCAACAAUUGCUCAAAUCUAGCAACUGUAACCGCGUCAAUUGUCCAAUUUCAAGUGGUAACUGCUUGAUAGUGGAACGUGCAAGGAUGAGAAUCUCUAAUUUCUUUAGCUGUCCAACUAUUGCUAUAUCUUUUAGUCGGCAAUAGUCUAAACACAAUGUUUGGAGGUUAAUGAGGCAACCAAGUGAUGAAGGUAAUGAAGAGAAGUGAAUUCGAGUAAAAUUCAAAACUUUGAGUCCUUCCGUCCCUUUAAAGAAGUGAUCUGAAACUUGCAUAGAGCCAUCACCCUCCGUAUGCAAUAGCUCAAGACAGGGACAUUGCAACCUUUCAGGAAGCACUUGAAUACCUCCAUAAGUUAAAGAAAUAGCAAUUGGAUCUUUUCGUAUUGUCUCUUCCAUCUUUUUCUCCAAGUCGGCAACAUUUGGAAUAUUAAACAUGCGCUUCUCAAAUAACUGCAAUGCUUCUUUUCGUGGCAAAGCAUCGAUCGGAAAAUUUUUCUGACAACUCAUAUCAAUGCGCAAUAAAUCUUGCUUUCUAGACGUCAAUAUUAUUGUGCAUCUUCUCUGAUCAUCCUUUCUAUCUUUCUCAGCAACAUCCCCAGAAGGAAUUCCAACAACAUCCAACUCAAGUUCUGUCCAAAUAUUAUCCAAUAUAAUGAGGACCCGCUUCUCUUUCUUCAAUCUUUCACGUAAUCGAUCAGCUCUUUCGAAUUUAUUCUCAUCCGAGCCAAAUUUCAUGCCUAAGUCAAAAGCAAGUUUCUUUUGAAUUUCCUGAUGAUCUGGGGUCUGUGUUACCUCAGCCAUAACGACCUUAUCGAACAACUUAUCUUCCAUAACUUGCUUUGCAACUUGCUUGACUAGCGUGGUUUUACCCACGCCGCCCAUGCCGUAGACCCCAAUAAUGUUGAGCUUAUCAUCCUUCAACGCCUCCACAACAUCUUGAAAUACUUUCAUUCUUGAAUCAAAGGCCUCGUAAUCUUUCACUUGCAUAUGUUCUGCCCGCUUUGGAGCAGGACGGUAGGAAACAUUAGAGAAGUUUCCUUUUCCCAGGAGACUAGCGGCAGCUUCUGCGGCCUUUGCUGCUUGUUUACUAAGCUUGUAACGAGAAAUCAAGUUUGGGCACAAUCCUUUGAAGCAGGACUUCUUAGCUCUAUCUUCAUCAUCACUGAUGGAUUUUGCAACCCCUUCACUGAAUUCAUCAACUUGAUUUAGCCAGUCUGUGACACCCUCAUAAAUCUCAUCCCCUUGUAGUCUAGCAUGAUUAACAGGUUGUUGCACCGUUUCUCUUCUAUAUCCCAGCUGCUUCACUUGAUCUUUUAGGCCAUCUAUGUAGCUCUGGUACUUGAACACAUAAGAUAUCUGCCGUACAAUCGGUUUGAACAGUGACUUUGCACCUUCUGCUACGAUGCUGGAAAAAGCAGCCAGACCCACUUCUGCCAUCGCCUGCUGCUUAACAAAUCUAAUAAUAUGUCAAAGAAAGGAAUACAAAUAAACUAAAAUGAACUAGAGGGAAAGACAAAAAAUGGAAAAGACAGCAAACAGUAUCGCAACAUUGAUCUUGAAUCAACUGAAACAUGAACAAAGCAUUUUUUCUUCUUUCUUAAGGAUCAGAGUUUUUGCUAUUAACAGAAACGUACUUCAAGUGUCUAAAAAAAAUUAACUAUAAAUGAACAAUAACUACAAAACUCAAGCAAAACAAGCCAUAAAAUUUUUAUCUUGGAAAGUGGAUGGAAAUUAAGAAAGAAAUGGUAUAGAGAUCAAGCAUCAGAGAUUAUGCUAUUAAAAGAAAUUAAUUGAAGGUUUUAGAACAAGUGCACCUGUUUAAUUAUGUGGGAUCAGAAAGUUGAUGAGCUUAUGUAAUCGCCUUGAAUAUUUAAGAACAAUUUCAAUGAGCAAAAAAUUUCUGUUACCUGCAGAGGAAUGUGAUUAUAGAGAGCUUAUGAGAGUAAUGACAAUGAUUUGGAAAAGAAGAAGACUUAAUCAUGCAGCCCUUAAUAUUUAUUGAAUGACUUGUGAUCAUUUCUUUUAUGAAUAAAAUGCCAACAGCAAAAAGAGAAGAAAGGGCGAAAUUUACUAAGUCUUAUUUUAUUUUUAAUUUCUUUUAUUUUCAUUCGGCGAAGAGGGAAUCUCUCCCUCUUUUUGUUUUUUUACGGGGAAUCUCCUUACCUAAUGUGACAUAAUGAAAGCAAUCUGUAAAUAGUAAUAUAAUGUAAUAAUUAAAAAUACCCACAUAUUUAUAAUAUUAAUGAUGGGAUCCAUAUGUUUAUACUGAUUAAAUUGGUGGACCAGAAUUUAUUUGACCGUACUUGUUUUCUAUUUAAUUAAGAUUGAAACGAUAGAGAAAAAUUUGUCGUAUUGAUUUGUUUCGAUUGUGGAGUUCCAACACUGAAAGUGAAGAUUUCAUCAACUUUCUCACAUGGACACGUACCGUCAUGCAUAUUGCAUUAUUUUCCUAGAAAAGCAAGAUUAAUUCUUUUAAUAAGCAAACGCGUAGGUGGGAAUCCAUUCAUGAAACAAGUGGAACGACAAUAUCAAACCAAUGAUAAUUCAAAAUCUGAAUCCGCCUGAUGGACGGCAACUAAUCUGAACCAUUCUCCUUUAGUAACAGGGGAAUGAAAUUAUAUCGAUGAUAGAUAAUUUCAAAACAGGGGAAUGAAAACAGAGGAACCUGUUUUUCCUUCCUUUUCUUCUUUCCCCCAACUCUUCUUCUAUUUAUAUUUUCCUUGGAAUUUUCGGCAAACGAAAAAAAAUUGGGAAUGAUUUCAGGAAAACAGGUGGAUAAUAACUAAAAUAUUUAUUUUUAUAUUUUUGAUAAACACACUCACUAUUAAUAGAAUUCAUUAGAUAUCAUAACUUAAAUAACUUCUUGUGAUUAAUUGAGGGUACAUUUGGGAUUUCUUUUAUUUCCCAAUAAUUAGCUUCUAUGUUGAUUCUCAGAAAAUUAAUUUUACGAAUAAUUUAGUAGGGUGUUUGGUAAAUGAUGAUUAUUUGACAACCAGUUUUCAAAUAAUCUACUAUACAAAUUUGAUAAGUAAAAAUUAGAAGUGUAAUAUUCAAGUGCAAAUGUGCAAUGAUAAAAAUGUAAUUGUUUGUUUAUUUGUAGUUUAUUUAGAAUAUUAUUACUAACAUCAUUUUUUUAUUUACUGGAUUUUUAAAGAGUAUAUUCUAUUUUCUUUAUUACAUAUCUAUAUCAAUUUUUUAUUAACUAUUUUAAUUUGUAAUAAAACUAACUUUAAUUUUUUUUAACUAAAAAAUUUGUUAUGCAGUUUGUUAUAUUAAAAAAAAAAUUCGGACGGUGUCUAAACAUGGUCACCAGUGAUUGUUAUAUUAAAAAAAAAUCUAUUCAAUUUUUUCUCUGAUUUUGUGUCGAUAUCUUUCUUACGUAUGUUGAUAUCAUAUUAAAGUGAAUUCAAGACCCUAUAUUAUUUUGCAUAACAUCAAAAUUUAGCCGAAUGGUAAUUAAGAAUUUCCUUUUUUGUUUGUCCCACAAUUAUAUAGUCUCAUUUUUUACAAUAAGCUCACAAUAUGCACGGAAAUGAAGAUCUAUUAAAAACUUCCCUAUAAUAUUAAACACUAAACAAUAUCACCAUGUUAUGCAUAUGGUGCCUCGUCAACAAUUUGAUGUUUAUUUUGUUUCUCGGGUGAAUAUGACUACUUGCGUUGCGAGUCCAUGCUUUUGUCGUUUGGAUGGAGGACGUGCCAUCUUUUUAUUUUAGAUGGUUUGUAAGACUUCUGAUUUAAUGAUUGAAUGCAGUCAAUUAACAAAAGCUUACAUAUUAUGUAGGUGCUGAUAUGUCUGUUCUUGAUAAAGUAGAUUUAUUUACAUCCAAGCCAACGGAGCCAAAGACAUUUCGUUAAUAAAAUACACGAUAAUUAUUUUUGUUAAACUGAUUUCUGGUUAAUAAGACCUAUAACAGCAUUCAAGGAAGCCACCGAACUCAAAGGAAAGGCAUGGUUAAAUAUACUGCGAAGCAUGUGAGUUCGUUUUUUAAUCUCUUGAUCACUCAUAAGCUUUUCUAUACCACUCACUGUAUCAUCCUUUUGAAUCGAUUUUGAUUGAUCAUCAGAGAUCAUGUACCCCACCUUAAGAUGAUUGAUCACAAAUUUGGCAUUGUAAUGUUGGUCACCUCUAAUUGGCCAUGCUAAAAUUGGGACUCGACAACCAAUUGCUUUUACUGUUGAAUUCCAUCCACAAUGAGAUAAAAAUCCACCCGUGAUUGAUGACUCAAUAUCAAUAAUUGUGGCGCCCAUCCAUCUAUUAUCAAAUCCUUUUUACCGACUUUAUUAUCCAAACCACUACGAAAAUAACUGCCUUCAGCUGGUUUGUCCAAAUGACGUAGAGGAUCCAAUCUACCUGCACCACCUUGAAUUACCCAAAUAAACGAUCGAUUUGAUGCUUCUAAAGGAUUAGCUAGUACUAAGUACUCAUCUAAGGUCAGAUCCACUUCAGUACCAAAUGACACAUAUAACACAGAUCCGCGUGAUUUCAAAUUCAACCUUUGAACGAUCUCAUCUUCCGUCAUAUUAGAACUCCGCCGGUUGGUUCUCAUCUCAUGAUCAUCAAGCACUGAACCGGCCGAUUUGUAAAAUUGUUCAGGUAAUAGUGGGCCCACUCCCCACAUCGGCUUUCCCAAUUCAUUGGCUAAAUAAUUAAUAAAUGGUCCCUCAAGACCAUCACACGUGUUGAACAUCAACGCCAUUGAUCCCUCCACUUCCUUCAUCCAGUGUGGUUGAUCACCGGCUUCUGGUGGACCUAUUUUCUCGGAACCGGGUGCACCUCUCAGAGGUGGUGGACCACCAGGAGGGGGCCCAUGAGGCCUGUGUUUUAGGUCCGAUUCAAAUAAAGCCAUAUCCUCGGGUAACCGAGGAAGUAAACGGGCCUCUCCCGGUUUGACAUCUUGGAUGCGAGCCUGCCACAUGGCACACUCCGCAGCUGCCGAGCAAGCACCAGAAGUGAAGAACCCAACAAUGGGAACUUCAAAAAUCUUGAAAACAUCAGCCGUCCAGCCCAUCAUAACGUCGAUGACUGCACAAACGGGUCGGCUUUUGGGUUCCCGGGUUGAAAGGAGGUUUCGAACUUCGAAGGCCUUGAAGCAUUUGGCUGUGCAUGGCAACAUGAGGGUGAGGAGGCGAAGGAGGGUAUUUCAGUAACUUCAAAGAGAGGGUAUUGGUGAAACGAGGAAGGGAUGAUGCUGGGGGCGGAAAUGUGAGAGGGAAUGAUGAGGGUAGAUUUGUAAUUACGAGUAGCGAUUUGCUUGCAUAAUUCAAUGCAUGGAAACAGAUGUCCCUGACCGAAGAAUGGGACAAUCCAAACCUCGGCCUCAGCAGCAGUAGCAACAGAGCUUGACAUCUUUUUGAAUUAUUUGAUACUUAAUUGUUACUGUUUGCUUUUACAUCUUUCAUAAAACACUCUUUGUUAUAUAUAAAGAGAUGACUUAAUGGAGAAGUAAGUGUUUUAGUUUUACAGUUUUACUAGUAGGUGAGCUCUGAGUUUGAUAAUUUGAUUGUUAGUUUUAGUUGGUUAGUUAUGAGAAAGCAUCUUUUAGAAAAUUCAUUCCAGUUUCAACUAAAAUUAAUAAUAUUGUUCAAAUUAAUUACUCGAUAAAUAAAUAAUUAGAGAUAAAUCUAUCCCUAAUCUCACAUUUAUAAAAUAAGGAUUGAAAUAAGUUCUUGUGGAUUCGAACUCAAGCCCUCAAGCCGAGUGGCUGGAUCUUGACUACUUUGACUUAAUUAUUAUUAUUAUUAUUAUUAUUAUUAUUAUUAUUAUUAUUAUUAUUAUUAUUAUUAUUAUUAUAUAUAUAUAUAUAUUUCAUUCUUUCAUUGAACAUCUUUUGUUAUAUAAUAAAGAAGAUAAGUUGACGGAGAAGAGUUUUACUUUUACUAGUAGAUGAGCUUUGAGUUGAGAACGUUAGUUUUAGUUGAUUAAAUAUCUACCAUCCAAAUCAACAUUCCUUAAACUAUUAUUCAAGUGAGAUGUCUGAGUAACAUACGCUUGAGUUAGUUGGUGCCUAACAAUUCGUGUGAUACAUGAAACCAACCAAUAUGAAAACCAAAUCAAGUUGGUAGGAUUACAUUAAUUUAAAUUAACUUUCAAGUUCCAACAUUAUAAGAUAAAUAAAUAGCAUAAACUAAUUUUUUUUUUCAAGUAAAUAUGUUUAUCGUUUAAAAAUUAUUUUUUCUUGCGGUAAAUGCAACACUAAAUAAGGAGUGAAGAGGGUAUUUUGUAGGGUAUACCCCCACCUUUUAUUUCAUUUCAUUAUUAAAAAAUAAAGGCUUGAUUCAACAUUCAAGUAAAAUUAACAAUUCCAUGAUAAAAUUGCUUGAGAAUAAGAAUUAAAAUAAAAAAAGAAAACAGCAACUCAAAAACGACAUACAAAUACCGCAUAGAGGUUUUUCGUCACGAGAUAUUUUUGGGUUGAGACAACAGUUGUAUAACAGAGCAUACAGACUGAAUGACGGUGAGAAUAAGAAGGAAAACGGCGCCACACACCGAAAUGCCAGCCCAUGGAGUAUUGAAGUAAUUUUGUUUCAAGUUUGCCCUCCAUUUGUAGCACGUUCUUUUGCAGUGAUCAUUCAAUCCUUUGCAUAGCCCAGAAAAAUAGAAGCUAUUAGACAGCAGAGUAGUACCUCUAGAAAGGAACACAUAAUCAUUUAUGUAACACAUAAUCAUUUAUGUAAUUCUCUGAGUAAUGCCGUUGUUCAAAGGCAAUGAGAUUACGAAAUAAGGAUUCUGUUUCUAGCUGUAGCUUCAGUUUCGGAAUAUGCGAUGUCCUGUUUUUGAAUUCUAUGGCGAACAAAUCAUUGCUCUUGCUCAAACUGAAGUGGACUCCAGCUUGGUGGAGAUUAGUCACACUUGGUGCGGUUUUACCUUUGUGGUAUUGCUGACCUUCUUGUUUUUCCUGAUUCCUCGAUGAUGGGAGAUGGCAAAUCCUUAGAAAAUCAAGGAAAUGCUCUACCCUAGCCUUAGUGUAAGGAGGGAAUUUUUGCUGAUUACCUUGUACUACCUCUAAACCCUUGAAAUACUCGUAUGUGACUGUGAUGAUGGUUGGAUUUUCAUGUUGGUCGGGGAUUUCAAUUGCCGCUAGAGCAAAAAGAUCCUCAAGAAUGAAGAAAGGAAGCUGAUUCUCAAGCAACCACAUAUCAUACCGUAUAUCCUCUAUUAAAUAGGGUUUAUGAAAUAUAUGAUCAUCUUUUUUUUGAAGUUGACGGAAAUGAUACCUCAAUAAGAGUUCAAUGAUGAAGGCAGCAUCCAGCAGAAUCAUUUCAACAAAUUUAUCACUACUUAGUUCGACUUUUUCUGCAUAAGAACCUCGUAAUUCUGCUUCUCUGAACUUUAUAAUUUGAACAAACUCGUCAAAGCUUAUUUGGGUCCGUUGAAGAAAGUAAUGCAGGUACCGCUGUUUAUGUUCUUCCAUGAACUGUAAGUUUGCUUUGCCAUGCUGAAGAGGGCCAAUUGAGACUACCUGAGGUGUAUGUACCUUUUCAUUUAUCUGACGUAAUCGCUCUGGAACUCUGUAGAUGCAGCAGUUUGAGGGCAAUGGUGAUAAUUUUUUCAACUUAACUUGCAAGCAUUCUUCCAUGUUAUAAACUGAAAACAUGGCGCGAAAUUUAAUCAAUUCAACACUUAAUAAGGCAUAGUAAUUAAAAAAGAAUUAAAAAAAAAAACCAAAUACAAGAGCAUUCUUACACGUACAGAAGCACCUCAAUCCCUACUAUUUGCAGAGCUGUAGCCAGGAGUCAAUGAUAGACCAGACUGAACUAAAAGGAACAACUUUCUUAGGAAUAUGUUAUCGGUAUUUUCUCUGGCCUCAGGCCAUCAACAAAGCAGUUUCAGUGCUUCUUAUAUAAUUCCAUGGAUUAUUCCUUGCCUUUACAGAUGAUAUAAGUCACAAUUCAUAUAUUAAUUUCUCCAGAUUCCGUACAAGUGGACCAUAACUAUGGAAAAAUUCAAAGAAUGCAACAGCCAUUUGAUUGGUCCAUGUCAGAAGUUAAUCUGGGGAAAGAAGCUUGAUCUAGCAGUAAAAUUCUCUCCUUCAAUCAGUCAGUUUGGGGCAGCAACAAGAUCAAAGCCACCACGCAAACAUUUACUAAAGUUUAUAUAAUAUUCACUAGUUUAUAUAAUAUUCUUGAAACUCAUCUUAAGUAAAGCAACAAAAGCCUUCACUGUUUCUUAACAACUUUAUUGCUCUAACACGUAGCAUAACACUUUUAAAUUUGCAUAAAGCACAAUAGUACUUUAGUUUGUAACAACAGCACAGAUAAUAAAUCGCAUUUUAUAGCUUUAACAAAAGCAUACAAAAUUCUUAAACCUUGUUUCAAGCAAUUCAUUAAUGCCACAAGGAUGUCUUUUUGCUUCCUACAGUUUUUAUUGAAAUUCAUAUAUUCUUCUUUAUCAAAUUAAGUAAUUUUCCUUUUUCAAAAAAUCAAGAAGGUUUCGACUGCAUGGAAAUACAGCACACAAUUACUACUAUUCCCGGAGUAAGAAAUUCAUAAAUGCAAUAUAAACAUACAUUUUCAUAAGACAUCAGAAUCAAAGAAUCAUCAAUGCAUCAAAUCUGUACACCCAAAAAAGUUGAAAGCAUCAAGAGAAAAUUAUACCGCAUGGACCCUUUACAACCCUUAUAACGAGUUCAGACAGCCUAAUCCAAUUUAAUAGAUUUGAGGACAGCUACAAUGUGCAAUACAAAAUUUCCCAAUACUAUUUAGAACAAAGUCUAGAAAAUAAAACCUAUAUAUUGUACAAAAUCACGAAAACCAGAAAUGACGAAAAACCUGCGAAUGUAAUUUUUGGGUUUCUUCAACAUAUCUUCCAUCCAAAUCAAACAAGAAUCGAUAAAUCAACAACAUUCAUCUUUAAACGACAUAUUACCACAAUAAAAUUGUCAACCAAGCCUCAUAUAAACCUUUUUUGUGUUUUUUGGUAAAUAUAUUUGUUAUUCUCUAAGAAUACUAGGGAAAAAAGAAACCCACUUUCUUAAUCAAGAAUCAAAUAGUAUAUAUGAAUCUAAGCUGAAGUAAGUCUUGGGUUUGAUGAAAAAGCUUGCAUUGUGAUUUAGAUUGGAAAGGAAGUUGAUUUUUGCUGGUUGAGAGAGAGAGAUUUGAGACUUAAGGAGUGUUGCUAAUCUUCGAUCGUGUAAACAAGGGUAACUGGGUCAUAGUUCAAAAUAAGGGUCCAAAAUUUACUAAAGCUAUUAAGGAGCCCAAAACUCAUAAUGGCUUCCCCAAAAUAAAUAAAAUUUUCUAGCAUUAAGUUUUUGUUUCUUCUUGAGAUUUCCUUGUCGUACUUACCCAUAUUUCGAUAUUGCCUCCAAGUAAACUUAUAUAUAUUGAUUAACAAUAUAAACAAGCACUAUGAAGUUUUAGGCCUGAAAAAACAUUGAGGUUGAAAUGAAAACCAUCUAUUUAAGUAACAAAAUCUUCUGAUAAUUUGAUGCUUAAUAAAUAGAGCAGAGAUGACAUAUUAAUCACGCUAUGAUGUGGAAGUUAUGAUUAUAUUCAUCUUAAGAAUAAGAUCUUUCAAACACUGGCAGAUUAGUAUCAAAAUACUCAGCAUAAGACCUACAAACUAGAAAUCAUGAACCAAUUAUUGAACUCAGUACAUAAGUUGAUCUUUUAUAAGCUAUAAAACAAAUCUGCUAUAACAUAAGAAAGUGGGAUUUAUCACCAGACAAAUAUUUUGGUGAAACUCAAGAUGACGGAAGGAUAUCCAAAACAACCUCCUUAAGGGAAGGCAUCACUUCCUGCUGAUGCAAACAUAUAUAUUUAUUACUCACUUUCUUGAGGACCUUCCAGGAACCUGGGUAGCAUCUAACAGAAAGUGGAAAAGAAUAAAAUGUAAAAUAUAAGUUAAACAGCAGGAAAACAGUGAGUGAUACUAGGCAAGCAUUAAUAGGUUGCCGCAGGAAAAGUGUCAGUAACUAGCUAGCAAACCUGAAAAGGGUUCCUCCAUUGCGACCCUUAAAAUUGUGAAUGUAAUAUAUGGUCUCCAUCACAGGAAAAAGUGUAUUGGAUAGUGCAGCCAGCUUAGUGUUGCGGACCGCCCAAAUUCGUAGCCCAAUUUAUUCACCAAGAGCCCAACACAAGGCCAAGAGUGCUACCUUGGCCCGAUUCCGGAAAAUUCUAGGCAACUCUAGCACAUUGAGCUUGUAAAUACUCUAGAAUUCUCCAUAGAAUUCCAGCACAUGUAAAUAGCUAGGAAAUGGUAGAAUUCUCUAGAAUCUCUAGAGCUUGGCAAGCCUCCCCUAUAAAUAUGGGAUGGCAUUAGGCAUUUGUAUCCAACAAACACUACAACAAGCAUUGUAAGCAACUCAAGCAAUGUAAUUCUCUCUUUGUGCAAUACAAUUUCUCUUAUUCGGCUCUAUUGCUCUCUUCUCUAGUUCGAGAAGCUCUAAGCUUACUUAGCAACAUUCGGCAAAGUUGUCUAAGUGCCGCACGAGUUAGCUGCGCAAAAUACUCAUCCCGUGACAAGUGGUAUCAGAGCUAAAGUUUGCACGCACGCAAAUUAGCUCACGAGCAAUGGCCAACCUUUCAAACGUAGCACAAUAGGGUGUUGUUGGUGUGGAUGUUCCACUGGAACCAAGCCGCGACCAAGAGGGAGAACGCUCCCAAGGCAAGACUCGUGGCAAGUCCAAGGCCCCAUCCGUGGAUGCGUUGGAGCCUCGUGUGACUACUCUCGAAAUCACAUUGUCCGCCGCUCAAGAAAGUCUCGAGGGAUUGGAGGAACGAGUGGACGGUCUCGAGGGGGAAUACGCCGAGUUCACGGUGGCAACAAAAGCUCUCAUCCAAGAGCAAGCGAACACUCUCCGAGGUGAGUUUCGUUCUUUCCAUGAUGAGUUGCUCAAACUUCGUAGCUUUGUUCAGGAUGAACUACGAGCUGUCCGUGCAGAAGUGGAUGAAGUCCGCUCGGAUUGGGCAUGGCACAAGUGCACAGUCUCUGCUAGUCCAGCUUCCGCAAACUCGAGUGAUGCGCGCCGCAUUGACGUGCCAAAGCCCGACACCUACGAUGGCACACACAAUGCCACCAUCGUGGAUAAUUUCCUCUUUGGGCUCGAUCAAUACUUCGAUGCCAUGGGUGUCCGAGACGAGGCAUCGAAAGUGGGCACUGCACCCACCUAUCUUAGAGGCGCUGCACAACUAUGGUGGCGUCGCAAGUAUGGCGAGAUGGGCAAGGGCAUUUGCACCAUCGACACUUGGGCCAACUUCAAGCAAGAACGCCGAAAGCAGUUCGCCCCAAGCAAUGCGGAGAAGGAAGCACGAGCGUGCUUACGUCGCCUCAAGCAAACGGGUAGCAUAUGGGACUACAUCAACGAGUUCACUACCCUUAUGUUGGAGAUAAGCGACAUGUCCGACAAAGAUUCGCUCUUCUACUUCCAAGAUGGCCUCAAGGAUUGGGCCAAGACUGAGCUUGAUAGGCGUGGUGUUCAAACACUUGACGAUGCCAUGGCCGUUGCGGAGUCGCUCACCGAAUACUCUAUCCAAUCCAAGGACAAAAAGGCCAACCAAGGCAAAGGUGGGGGAGAGAGUCGCAAGGACAAGGGCAACAACCGCAAAGAUUGGGGGUAGAAAAAACUGCCUAGCAACAAGAGCGAGCAAGGAAAAUCGGAGGGUAAGAAGGAGGCGCCAAAGCCGCGAAGCCCAUGCUUCAUAUGCAAUGGUCCUGAUUGGGUACGCGACUAUCCGGAGAAGAGGUCGCUAAACGCUCUUGCUGCCCAACUCAAGAGCAACCCUACAAUGUCCACAGAGGAACCCCAACUCAGCAUGGGUUCUCUCCAACGCCUCGGCGCACUUAAUCACUAACAGCCUGCACUCGUCAAGAAAGGGCUCAUGUAUGUAAGCGCAAAGGUAAACGGUCAGUUCGUUCGCGCGCUGCUAGACACGGGAGCGACGCACAACUUUGUGUCCGUAGACGAGGCCAAGCGCUUAGGCCUCAAGGCCACCAAGGAAGGAGGCACGAUGAAAGCGGUGAACUCACCCGCCAAGCCAAUUGCGGGGAUCGCACAAGGCGUGCACAUUAUGCUUGGAACAUGGAGCGGAAAGCUUGAUUUCUCCAUCGUUCCCAUGGAUGACUUCAAGAUGGUCCUCGGCAUGGAAUUCUUCAACCAAGUCCAUGCCUUCUCGCUGCCCGCUCCGAACUUCCUAAGCAUCCUCGACGGGAGUAAGGCAUGCAUGGUUCCCACGGAACGAGGCAAGUCCGAGGAGAAGACACUCUCUACCAUGCAAUUUAAAAGGGCUUUCAAGAAGGACCCAAGUUUCUUGGUCUCCAUUCGGGAACUAAACGAGGUAGGAAAUAGCGGAAUCUCGCCAAACCAAGUCCCUCCGCGAAUUCAAGCCGUCCUUAAUGAGUACAAGGACGUGAUGCCUCCAGAACUUCCGAAGAAACUCCUACCUCGACGAGAGGUUGACCAUGCAAUUGAGCUGGAACAAGGCACGAAGCCACCAGCCUUGGCGCCCUACCGCAUGGCGCCACCCGAAUUAGAGGAGUUGCGGAGACAACUCAAAGACUUACUGGACGCAUGCUACAUUCGCCCCUCAAAGGCCCCAUUCGGUGCACCUGUGCUCUUCCAAAAGAAAAAUGAUGGAUUGCUGCGGAUGUGCAUCGAUUAUAGAGCGCUCAACAAGAUCACCAUCAAGAACAAGUAUCCGAUUCCCUUGAUCGCGGACUUGUUCGACCAGCUUGGCAAAGCGCGGUACUUCACCAAACUCGACUUGCGCUCCGGGUACUACCAAGUGCGCAUCGCCAAGGGAGACGAACCAAAGACAGCGUGCACAACAAGGUACGGGUCUUUCGAAUUCCUUGUGAUGCCUUUUGGCCUUACUAAUGCACCCGCCACAUUUUGUACGCUCAUGAACAAGGUGCUCCAACCAUUUCUCGACCGCUUCGUGGUCGUGUACUUGGAUGACAUAGUGGUGUAUAGCACCACGCUCGAGGAUCAUGCCCAACACUUGCGACAAGCCCUCCAAGUACUUCGAGACAAUGAGCUAUUCCUCAAAUUGGAGAAGUGCUCGUUUGCCCAACGAGAAGUGGAGUUCCUUGGCCACAAGAUUGCGGGCGGGAAGCUCAUGAUGGAAAAUGCCAAAGUGAAGGCCAUUCUCAAAUGGGAACCUCCCUCGAAAGUGCCCGAGCUUCGCUCAUUCCUUGGGCUGGUGAACUACUACUGCCACUUCAUCAAAGGCUAUUCGGCCAAGGCAGCACCCUUGACGGAUAUCAGAACGUGGCAUUAGUUCGAAGAGUGCCAACGCGCAUUCGAGGAGUUGAAGAAGGCAAUUUCAGAAGAACCUGUCCUCGCUCUACCGGACCACACAAAGCCCUUCGAAGUCCAAACAGAUGCCUCAGAUUUUGCCAUAGGUGGAGUCCUUAUGCAAGAAGGCCACCCCAUAGCGUUCGAGAGUCGAAAGCUAAAUGAUACGGAGCGUCGCUACACGGUGUAAGAGAAGGAGAUGACAGCCAUCAUACAUUGCUUGCGUGUGUGGCGACAUUACUUGCUAGGCUCACACUUCACGAUUAUGACGGACAACGUGGUGACAAGCUACUUUCAAACUCUAAAGAAGUUGAGUCCGAAGCAAGCACGGUGGCAAGACUUCCUUGCGGAAUUCGACUAUUGGCUCGAGUACAAACCGGGGAAAGCCAAUGUCGUUGCGGACGCUCUAAGCCGCAAGGUGGAAUUGGCAACACUUAGCAUGAGCCAACCGAAGUUCGACCUUAUCUCACGCAUCAAGGAAGGCCUCCAACAAGAUCCGCUAGCAAAGGAUUUGCUGGAGAAGGUGCUCGAGGGAAAGACAAGGCGUUUUUGGCAAGAGGAAGGCAUCCUCCUCACCAAGGGAGAUAGGCUGUUCGUGCCAAGGUGAGGAAACUUGUGGAAGGAAGUUAUCAAGGAGUGCCACGACUUCAAGUGGGCUAGUCACCUAGGAAUCGAGCGCACCACCGCACUAGUUCAAGCCUCGUAUUUUUUGCCACACAUGAGGGACGACAUCGAGGCAUAUGUGCGAACUUGUCUUGUGUGCCAACAAGACAAGGUGGAUCAUCAACUUCCAGCGGGAUUAUUAGAGCCGCUAUCGCUAGCAACAAGACCAUGGGAAAGUGUCUCCAUGGACUUCAUCACAUCGCUGCCUAAGUCCGAAGGAUGCGGAAGUAUCAUGGUCGUUGUCGACCGAUACAACAAGUAUGCCACAUUUAUUGCCGUACCAAUCGAUUGCAAAGCGGAUGAGGCAUCUCGCCUAUUCGUCAAGCACAUUAUGAAGCUUUGGGGAGUUCCAAAGAACAUUGUGAGCGACCGAGACCCUUGGUUCACUGGGCGUUUCUGGACGGAGCUCUUCAAGAUGUUAGGGACCGAUCUCAAGUUCUCGACAAGCUUUCACUCACAAACGGAUGGGCAGACCGAGCGCAUUAAUGGCCUCCUCGAGAUGUACUUGAGGCAUUAUGUGAGCGCUCAUCAGCGAGAUUGGGCGAAGCUAAUCGACAUCGCCCAAUUUUCUUAUAACUUACAGCGAAGCAAGGCUACGGGCAAGAGUCCGUUCGAGAUCAUCAUGGGAUUUCAGCCCAUGACCCCCAACGCCAUAGCCUCGACUUACGGAAGGAAAAGCCCCGCGGCACACAAGCUCACCCGCGAAUGGCAUGAGGAAGCGAACACCACGCAAGCCUAUCUCGACAAAGCCGUGAGGAAAAUGAAGAAAUGGGCGGAUACAAGGAGACGACAUGUUGAGUAUAAGGAAGGUGAUCAAGUUAUGAUCAAGCUCCUACCCCAACAAUUCAAGAUGUUGCGGAAAGUCCACAAGGGGUUAGUGAGGCGCUACGAGGGACCCUUCCGAGUUGUUCGACGUGUGGGCAACGUCUCGUAUCAACUCCAACUUCCGCCAAGACUCAAGAUCCAUCCGGUCUUCCAUGUGAGUCUUCUCAAGCCAUAUCACGAAGACAUGGGAGACCCAAGUCGCGGAGAAUCGAGGCGCGCACCAACUGCCGUUGUCACCGCGUUCGACAAAGAUGUGGACUACAUCAUUGCGAACCGCGUGGUUUCGAGGAGGGGCGUGCCAGCACAUAGCGAGUACUUGGUGAAGUGGAAAAACCUCCCCGAGAGCGAAGCCACUUGGGAACGUGAAGACAAUUUGUGGCAAUUCGUUGAGCACAUCCAGAGGUUCAAGCACGAGAGCGCGAUGAGGACGCCGCGAGGUUAGGUGGGGGAGGAUGUUGCGGACAGCCCAAAUUCGUAGCCCAAUUUGCUCGCCAAGAGCCCAACACAAGGCCAAGAGUGCUAGCUUGGCCCGAUUCCGGAAAAUUCUAGGCAACUCUAGCACAUUGAGCUUUUAAAUACUCUAGAAUUCUCCAUAGAAUUCCAGCACAUGUAAAUAUCUAGGAAAUGGUAGAAUUCUCUAGAAUCUCUAGAGCUUGGCAAGCCUCCCCUAUAAAUAUGGGAUGGCAUUAGGCAUUUGUAUCCAACAAACACUACAACAAGCAUUGUAAGCAACUCAAGCAUUGUAAUUCUCUCUUUGUGCAAUACAAUUUCUCUUAUUCGGCUCCAUUGCUCUCUUCUCUAGUUCGAGAAGCUCUAGGCUUACUUAGCAACAUUCGGCAAAGUUGUCUAAGUGUCGCACGGGUUAGCUGCGCAAAAUACUCAUCUCGUGACAUUAGGGUAGAAGAAUGACGGAUAAUCUUUAGCUCAUUUAAGGAAAUCCUCUCUGAUCCUUUCAUUGCACAUUCCAAAACAACUCUACUACAACCAAGUUACCAAUUCUUUUUGUUAAGUCAUUGUUAUUUGUUAAAAAAAAAAAAAGUCUUCCUUGCAACAUUUUAUUGAAAGAUAUAACAUGAUCAUCCCUAUUAAUUCCCUUUUAGAUUUCUGUGAGUGAAUUUCAAAUUAUUGUAUUCAAAAAUAGAAGCAAAAGACCCACUUUACUUUCAAUUUCUGCAACAAGAUACCAAUUGAAGGACCAAAAAGUUGUAAACAAGCAAUUCAAUGGGUGGGCAUCUAGAAACUGCUAAAUAGCAUCAAAAUCAUACUAAAUUUACAGAAAGUACAAUAAUAAUGAAAGAAUGGUGAAGGAUACACCCAGACCUUAUCCGGUCAAGUUCUCUAUUGAAUAUAAUCAGUUUCUGGGCAGUAUUGAAGACAGCUUCUUUGUAAAGCUCUUCAACGACAAGCAUUUCUACAAGACGAAAGAAAAGCAAAAUUAAUUACCUUAAGGAAUGAAUAUCAAUAAGAAGACAAGGUGUAAGACUACCAUUGACAUUAAAAUAUGGAUAGGCGACUAGAAACAAUUCAUCUUCUGGCUUCACACGGUCUGCCAUUUUAACCUUCUCAGUGAAUCCAAAAUCCUCAAAGAAUGAAGGUUUUGUUAGAUAGUCCAACUUAAAUAAUGAUCCUUCAAAGACCGAUUUUCUUGCAUAUUUGACUUCAUUUGCCUCUGGGAAAAACUAAAAACCAAAUGACAGACCAAGAUCACGAAACGAAUCAUGAACAUAGAUAUCAGAUAAUCAGAAAUGGGCAUUAAACAGACUACUAACAAGUAGGAAAUGCAUACAGAAAACAUUAUUCAUACACCUUAUGCACAUGAAAUAUAUAUGCAGAGGGAUCCUCUUGUGAAUUUAGUUUAUAUCCUAAUAUGAGACAAUGAACAAUUGGAUGGCAUCUAAGGGCUAACAUUUGUUUGAUUAUUAUAUGAAAAAAAAAAACAAAACAGAGUUGAUUGAUGGCCUUUGAUGGAUUGCCUACACUCUUAAAGUGCAGAGAGCCUGAUUAAUUGCUUUACCUGCCCCCCCCCCCCACACACACUUGGUUUUAUUAUCUCUCUUUUCAAAUAUAUAAUCAUUGGCUGUCUUUCAUCCUGAUCCGGCUCUCCUUCCAGGCCCCAGCUGUGUUUUCUUCAAUUCAGUGAAACAUUCACAUUCAGGUAAGAAUAAACUUGUCCUUCCUCAAAAAUCAGCUUCUCACCAUGAAGCUUUCUUUUUUAAACCAAUUACUAGUCUAGCAUAACGCAUCUAAUUGAAGACAACUCAGAAUUGAAAAAGCCAUACUUUAAUGUCUGUUGUUGGGACCUCAAGACCAGGAACAAAAAGCUUCUUUCUAACAGUUGGAUUAACAAGUAGAAAUAGCUUUUUUUCUGAAGGACCCAACAUUGCAUUGAAAAAUUCAACAAAAGGAAUGGCAUCAUAUUUAGUCCUGCUAGAAUUUUGUGCACUUAACACAAUGGUUAAUAAUUGGCCCAGCGGACACUUUGUCGAACUAUUGGCAACCUUGACUGUGGAAAUGCAUAUUUCAAAUGUUGGCAGGCUCUAGCUUCUUGAUGUACUGUUGAUAGAAAUGCCUAUUUCAAAAGUUGGCAGGCUCAAACUGCCGAGACUUUGGUUUCUUGCAUUUCAAACCCACAAAUAAAACUUUGGCAGAACCCCAGAAAGAGCUACACCUCCCAAAUUUGAUGACAAAUGAAGAGACCAUGCCUAGUGCUUAGUUCGGCAAAUGAGUAAGUUUGAAAGAAAUUAAGGGAAACCUUUCCCACAGAGAGUCAUAUUGAAGGUUACAAUUUGAAGACUUUGUCCCCUGUCGCCCACAACCUUCUUUGAUCUCUUUGCUUAGUCAUAAAUAAUCAAACAUAUGUUAGUCGUUGGAUGCAAUCCACUCACUGACAUCUCAUGUCCACAAUCAAUCAACCAUAUUUUAAUAGAAAUGAAAACAUUUUAAUUAAAAAAGAAUGAGAUAGGAACAAAAUGAAACUUGGCAGACAUGGGUCUAUGAGAUUUUAAAGAUGCUUGGUGAAAGUCGUAUUCAAGAGUUCAACAGUCAGUUCUAUCACCUAUGGCAAAGUAACCACCAUAACUAAAGCAAUUACAAAACAUCAAGAAGCUUGAACUUGGCAAGAGGUCUCAUUAACAGUAUACCUCAGAAAUUAAGACAGACUUAAAGUACAAGCUUUUGGAUUUAUUUAAACACUGAAAAUAAUAUGGGUAGAAGCUCCUAUGGUCACAGCAAACAAUUACAAAGCACAAAACCCAAAAAAUAGAUAUGCAAAAAGCUGCAAAAGAACAUUAUUAGCAAUUGACAUCUGCUUUGCUCAGACAAAGGUUCUCAUAACAAAGGACUUAGUGAUUAUCUUUCAUAUGUUUAUGUUAAGGGGAAAAAGGAAGUUUGUUUUAGUCAAUCUCAUGUCUAAUGGCAUUCAUAAGGAGCCCAAAAAUAAAAGAAAAAAUAAAGAGUUAGUAGGUGUUUCUCGCAGUAUAAAGAAAAUUUAUCAUCCAUGAAAAACUUAGUAUGGAAAAAGCUAACUCAUUUAUCUGCCAAUGGAGAAAAACUUGUUGUCCACCCACUAAGGACCCACCAUUGGGAGAUGGAUCCCAUGGAUGGGAACCACAAAUAUUUUAUUCUAAAUGAAAUGGGUAUUGUACCAUAUCAUUUAAUUUGUAGAUUCCACUGAUGGAACUCAUCAAACUUUUCAAAUGGUAGGUCCUUCAUGGGUAGGCGCAUCACUUCAGCAUCCUUCUCCACCGAUGACUAAAUCUGGACUCAUUUAAAAAGAAUACAAAGCAAAACUAAUUGACACAAAUUGCAUAGAGGUCUAGGAGCCAAAUCAAUGUUGUUAACUCAUCCAAUUAAUACAUUCUCUUAGAGGUCAUACCUUGGUAACUCAUUUCAAAAGAAAUUAAAAGAAAAACGACUGCACAAAUUGUACUGAGCUCAAGAAGACCUGUUCAAGGUGUUCACUUGUCCAACUAAUAAAAGUCAUCAAGGAUUGUAUCGGGGACUUGGGACCAAUCCUGCCUUAACUAGAGAAAGGGAAUUUAGGAUGAAGAAGAUAACCUCUUCUCCUAGAGCCCUUUUGGACAAAAAUGAAUUCCUACUAAUUCUGAGAAUAAAACCAUAGACAUCUAACUUCUGAUAUCUAGUCAAUCUGGUAAAAUCUUGUCAGUUGCACUUGGGGCAGAAAUUAGUUCCACCUUGGUUUACAGGACAGAAAUUCGUCAUAUGCAUGUAUUUAUUUAUGUUUUAUACACAAACGCAUACAUGUACACACAAACACUACCUUCACUUUGAAGAAAAGAUUAAAAUAACACUGCUCACAUACACAAUACUUACUAUUCUAGUUCGUGUAACUUUCUCUGGAGUCACAAACAGGUCACAGAAUUCACGUAUUAACCGCAUACUUCCAGUCAUUUCUAUUCCUCCUUCACCAUCACCUGUCCCACAAUUACAAAAAGUGAGAGGUAAUAACCAACAUAUUUGGGUUGCUCUUCGGUAAGGGGUGGGAGGUAAGGGUUAGUUGUGGAGGGCACCUGGUACAGAAUCAAGGCCAGCUGUUGGGAAUUCGAUCUCUUGUAACAUAUACUUGUUCAUCAUAAACUAUAUACUUAUUCUGCAGUCGAUGUGUGCAUAUAGCUCUUCAAUUAUCCAGUAAUAACUCACCAUCAACUUCCUACCAUCCUUCAUGGCUAAUUCAGCAGCCAUUUUUGCCUGUUUAAAGGUCAAAAGCCCAAACUAAGCAGAUGCUCCUACUCCGAUACUUAUUAUCUAACUACUACAGAACAGAUGAUACACAUCAAGUUGUAUCAAGAGAGACACCAAGUUGUGUUUUCCAAGAGGUUCCAAAGAGGAUCUGUUUCUUUGUGUAAUUUUUAGACUGCUUUGACAACUCAUCUUAAAGGUGCCACUCAUCCAAUAUGAUGUGGUGACAGUAGUUUAGAGUUUUAAACUAAAUGCAGAGCUAAUAGUAUUUUGGAAAUAUAAUCAUCCUAAGAUACUAUAACACAAGGAUUCUUACACAAAAACAACAACUUCGAUGUAGAGAGAAGAUGAUUUCACAAAAGCAGAUGUUUUGAUUUAAGUCUCCAAAACCCCCACCAAGAAAAUGUUCAACGGAUAUAGAAAUAUGAUCCACAUAUCUGUAACUUAAACUGUAAAAGUUGUUGAUGUUGUUCUAAAAUUGCCACAAUCUAUCUACCCCAUGAAUGUUUUUGGAUAAAACAAGAAGCAGGACCCAAUGCCUGUUUUCUAAUAGCUUCAAAAAGGCCAAAUUGGUUUUGAAAUGUCUCCAGCUUUUCAUUUAACAAGUUUAAGGAUCCCUUCGGCAUUGCAAUUGGGGAGCUCAGAUAUAUAAAAGUGCCUGGUAAACUCUUACAGCCGCAGCUUUUGAGCAAAAAUAAUUUUAUCUCAUAAUUGUUUGACUAAAAACAUAUAUCACCUUUUAUCAGUUUUGUAAAAAAUAUUAUUUAUAAGUCAUAUUUACCAAACACAGUCAACUUUUACAUCACAACUAUAGCUUUUUUUUUUUUUUCACCACACAUAUAUAGUUAAAAACUACAAGAACUCGAUAUCAAACAGAUCCUAAAGCGUAAUCUAAUAAAAAGGUAAAUAAACAAAUGCAGAAGCCAGCGUACUUGAUCAAGAAGCUCUGAAUAGUCACUGGGAAAGGGAAUAUCGACGUUAAUGGGGUUAUUGCCAUCGCUUGAAACCGAAUUGGUGAGACAAUUGCGUUUUCUUCUGUACGGCGAAAAUGUGACGAUUGAGUAACAACUUAUAUCGAACUUUAGGUUAAAAUAAUUACUAUGGAAUAUUGGAAUACGAGAUUAUUAGCAUUUGAGUGCUUGAGUGGGAAUCAAGAAAACUUAAAAUAGUUCAGUUAACCCAAAAAGAAAAAGGGGGGAAAAAACCCAUGGAAAGUGCGAUGAAUGUAAAUCCACUUUAAAACUUUAAUCAUAAAUGGUUAACUAAUUUUAAGUAAUUUGGAUUAACUUGACAAAUUGAAAAACCAUGCACUAGAGGAAAAUGUUCAUAUUUGGAGGUCCGAAUUUAUCUACCAUUCAACCCUAUUUUCAGCUCCUGCAUGGAGGAUAAGUUAGUUUGGUGAAUCUACCACUAGCUAAUUAGCUAAUUUUUUUUUUUGAAGAUAGCUAAUUAGCUAAUUAAGAGAGCAUUAACGUUGAUAAUUUGUCCUAUCUAAAAUGAAAAGUAAGAAAUUUACACUAGUAAAUUUUACACAAUCACAGUUGGAAUUUCAAAGAAACAAAAACGGAUCAAUAGUGCAAUUGUAAUUCAAAUUUGCACUUUAGGCCACACGUUCGGCCCAGUUCUUGUAUUAACACUUCAAUACUUGACAUGUGGCCAUUUUUUUAUUCGUCCACGUUCUUUGCAUUCUCAUGGUAGUACUCGAACAAGACAAAAUUUCACGAAUAUUCAGUUGAAUUGUUGUUGAAACAUGUAUAAGAAAUCAAAUCUCGUUAGUUUUGAAUAUUACCAGCAACUCAAAUUAUUUUAACCUAAAGUUCAAUAUAAGUUGUUGUUGGGGGUUAACGGCAUUUUGAACCACAAAGUAAAGAGAGAGAGAGAAGAAACGCUCCCCUUUCAAAUACCGUGCUCUUUUGUACCUGGGAAUUUAAUAAUUCAUGCGAAUAAAAAAAUUAUAAAUUUAGUAAAUUAUUUAUUAAAAAAUAUUGAGAGGUUGUGCAUUAUUUUAUUAGUAAUGACAUAGUAAUCAUCAAAUUAGUUGAAUUAAAAUAGUUGUUGACUCACGUAAUUUAUUUUUAUUAUUUUUAAAAAAAAUGGUCUGCGUUAAUAAGGUUAAGGGUGACAACUGGGAUCAAUAUACAGUUUAUUCGGGUGCUUAAAACCUAAUAAAUAUCCACUAACUCAUAUAUAGUUAAAAUAUAAUUAUUUUUAAAUAAAAAAUUUAAUAUAAACUAAACAAAUUGAUCGGAUUUUGUUUCUCAAGGUACAUCAUUAGAACGUUACUUUUAAUUGAACAAAAGCACACAUAACUAGCACAUUCGCCACAAAAGCCUCGGCUUAGUGGUCGGCUUAUUAAUUAUCCUAAUAAAAUCAUGGUCAUAAAUUUGAGUCCCCGUAGGUUAGGUAGCUUUUUUAGACUACACUAUAAAUACAUGUAUUUUACUUCUCGCGGGUAUUGCUUCUAGUAGUUAUCCAUCCGAGUAUAGAGCUUUGUAGCUUUCUUCAUGACCUUCCCCAAUUUCAAUGCUUGUUAAACAAUCUCCACAGAAAAUGUGAUAGAAAUGUCCCGCUGCCACUUGUUGUGCAUAGUCCAAAUCUGCAAUUUAAGGUCAUCAUUUCAUUUAAUUUUCCGUUAUAUAUAUUCAUCUUUCUUAGAGGCCAAGAAGUCUUCGACAGAAAUGUGAUCUUUUUCUAGUAGCCUCCCGGUGAUGAGCUUCUCCCAAGUUUCAAUUAAUUCGCUUUGAGUGAGGAUAUUUUCUGGUGGCCUCAAAUACAAUGUUUUGUUCAGCACUCGAGGAGCAUCUAUUCUCUUAAUAGUAUAUAUGGCAACAUCAUCGAUAUGCACCAUAGAAAAAAAGAUAAUCAUUUUGUUUAAUAUGAACAUAAAUUCUUACAGUCUAACUCAUAUUAUAGUGAACGAUGUUGUUGUGUGGUGCGUGCAUGCACUAUCUAUAGUUUUAAUAUUAUUAAUAAAGAGUUAAAAGUCUUGAUUUAAUUUUAAAUUGUCAUUCCUCUAACUUCACCGUCUUCAUAGAUCCAGACUUUAUCUUUUGAAGGGCGAGGGUAGCUAUAUUUGAGAGAGGUGUCCGGGGAACCAACCAGCAAAAAACAGCUAGCAGAAACAUAAAUGACAGGGAUUUGAGCAGCCUUGAUUGCCCUUCUCACACAUGUGCUCUGCGUUCUCCCUCUCGCUCUCACUCACUCACGCCCAAAUCUCACCUCACUCACGCCCAAAUCUCACCUCACUCACGCAUCUCUCCUUCUGACCGGUGGUUUUCUCUCUCUCGCCGUGGGUCUCUAGGCUGGCAGGGAUUUCUCGACUUGACUACUAAAACAUAAUCCAAAAACUACUAAGAGAUGUAUAUAUUACUCUGAUAUACACAAUAUGAAGAAACUGCAGUUAUAUUUCAAAUAUUAUAUGAAGGAAGAGGCUGUAUGGAUUAUCCAAAGGUGCUGAAAUUAAGAGACCCACACCAACCGACAGACCCCCGGUGAUAGAGAGAAAGUCGACCGUGAGAUGCAUUCAAGACGGGGGAAGAGUGAGAGAGAAAACUGCCCGGUCAGAAAGAGAGAUGCAUGAUUGAGGUGAGAGAUUUGGGCGUGAAUGAGUGAGGAGUGAGGGAGAGGGUGCCGCGUGUGUGGGAUGCGUACAGUGACAAUUUAUACUUACAUCAAAACGCCGAGUUCGGUGCCAUGUGUAGGGCUAACUGUGGUUUGAAUCUCACUUUGGUAACGGAAAUGACUUUGCAAUUGACAGUUUUUGUCAAAAGUUCGCACUGCAUGAAACUAGUGUUAAUAUAAUUUAAAAAAUUAAUUUCAGUAUUAAUUUUUAAAAUGUUAAUUAUUAUAUUUAUUUUAAUAAUAUAUUUAUAUUUAUAAUAAAAAUUUUAGUUAAAUAUUUGUGUUAAAUAGAAUUUAUAAUUAAUAUAAUAUAUCUUAGGUAUUAAUUAUUAUAAUUAUUCUAUAUGCUAUUGAAAAUCAUUUAAAUUUUUAGAUGUUUAUUUUCAUACUAAGUUUCUAUUUAUUUUAAAAUUUAGUUUAAUAUAAUAUAAGCAAGUAAAGUAUUAAAAUAUUUUUUAGUAUUUUUAAAAUAUUAAAAUUAUUUUAAAAUAUAAGUCAAUUUUUUAAGUUAAUAGAACUAAUAUUUACAGUUUAUUUGAUGGCCUCAACAAGCUAAAGCAGCAUCAAAAUUAUGUGGCUCCUUAUUUUAUUUUUUCCCUUUCAAAAAGGGAAAAGGAUAAGUUUGGGAGAAUGUUUAUAUUUUUAAUAAAUUCUUUUUUAUUAUAAUACUUUUUGUCUUUAUUAAUUUAAAAAUAUUGACUCUUAUAUUUUAAAAAAUAUAAAUAUAAUAUUAUAAUAAAAUAUAACAAUAUAUAUCAAAUAUUUAAAAAAAAUUUAUAAUUUUAUAUUAUAUUAAAAUAAAUUUUUAAUAAAUAAAAAUAAUCUAUUAAAAUAAAGUACAAAAAUUUAAAUUAUUUUCAUUAUCAUCUAAAAUAAAUUUACUAUUAUUAAUGCAUGAAAUAUAUUAUAGUAAUUGUAAAUUUCAUUUAACUCAAAGAUUUAUUUAGAAUGUUUAUAAUAAGUCCAAAUAUAUUAUUAAAAUAAUUAUAAUAAUUUACAUUUUAAAAAUUAAUACUGAUAUUAAUUUUUAAAUUAUAUUACUCUACCAGAAAAAUUAAACUAUUAAAUUAUAUCAAUAUUUAUUAAAAAAAUUGAAAUUAAUUCUUGUUAUAUUUUUAAUUGGAAUUUUUUCAUGUGAUAUAACCACAAUUGCUACAUUUUUUCCCCUGAAUAAAGAUGGAGUUAUAAAUUAUUUGUAUAAGUGUCUGUGUGGAAACUAAUGUGACAUGAAAGUAAUAGUUGAAUAACAAUAAUGGGGCUUUAGGCAAUUUUUUCAUGAGAUUUUCUUGCGAUUUCAACACUUAAACAGACUUGUCCUUCAUCCCAAUUUAUUUACCCCAUUUGGGCCCGUUAUGACAUAGACAUAUUCUUGUGGAAUGAAAAACUUCAUGAGAAGAAAUUGUUUUAUUAUAAUAGAAAAAAGUGGUCCAUAAGUCUAUUCAUUACUUUUUUUAUUCAAUAUAAAUGGCUAACUUUAAAAAUGGUAAAAAUCACAUAACGCGCAAGCGAAAUCUAAGAUUUAUAUUUUUUAAUACUCUCCAAGUCUCUCUUUCUCUUUUUCUUUUUUUAAAUAAAUGUCAAUAUAAAAUUAGAAAAAUUUUAGAUAUAAAAUUUGGCGAUGACCAAACAAAAAUUGUAGAGGAAACCUUGAUAUCAUUGAAAUACUGAUCAUAGACACUACAGUAUAAAUAACUUAUUGUGAUCCACUCAACUUGUAACACUUUAAUCCAUAUUCUAAAAUUUUCAUGUUUGUUAGGAUUUUUAUUAUUGAUACUACUGUAUCAAUAAAAUUAUAAUUUAUUCAUAUGGAAUGAAAACAUCAAGAAAGGACCUCUGAUUUUUAUUAUAACAGAAAAAAAUGGUCCAUAAGUCUAUUAAUUAUUUUAUUUAUUCAAUACAAAUGUCCAACUUUAAAAAUGGUAAAAAUCACACAAUGCACAAGUAAAAUAUUACAAUUACAUUUUUUAACUCUCUUUGAGUCUCUCUCUCUCUCUUUAAAAAAUAAACCUCACUAUAAAAUUAGAAAAAUUUUAGACAUAAAAUUUGACAAUCACCAAACAGAAAACAUAGGGAAAUGAAAAUGGAGGAGCCCUAUUUUCAUUAGAAUAUUGAUCAUAGAUACUAUAAUGUAAAUGAUUUGUUGUGGUUCAUUCAACUUGUCACACUCUAAGCCAUUUUCUAAAAUUUGUAAGGUUUAUAGUAUUUUUAUUAUUGCCAUCAUUGUAUCAAUAAUAUUAUAAAUUAUAUAUUCUAUUGUAAUGAAAAUUUGUGUAAUCUUAGGUAUUUAUUAUAUUAAAUUGUGUGGAUUAAUUAAGAAUAUUUUUGGAGACAAAAGAAGUGUGUGUACGUAGGAUUAAUGAUAAAAAAUUUCUAAAUAAAGAUGAUUGCUUCAUUGACAAGCACAUAUUUAUAUUCCUCUAUUAAUAUUUGGGUUGUAAACUCUAUAAUAAAGUUGGUUGGUGUGAGUGGUUCGGCACUCUCACUCCUUAAGAAAGAUCAGGGGUUCAAGCCUCGCUCUCGUAUGGAGUCACCACUUUGGCCAGCACUUUACCUCUUACGGGCCGACCCGAUGCGAGCAUGAAUUAGUAUGAGUUGUGGUACGGGCUUAAAGGUGCCUCCCAUAGUUUGGGCCCACUUAGGAUCACCUCGUGGUUCAAACAAAAAAAAAGUGAAUAUAUUGUGGUAAGCGAUGUGGGCAAUAUCGGUUGCGAAAUAUUGAGAGAUCAUUAAUGCAUAUAAUUAUUGAAGAUGCAUAUAGAGGGAAGAGUGUAGAUCUGGCUGUAACAAUUAUGAAGCUUUCCCCAAGUAUACUCAUGCUUCCUUAAUUGUUCCGAAGUAUUUUUCAUAGUGUGCAGAUUUACUUUAUGGUGUCUUAAUUCGUCUUAAAUGAUUACUUUAGUUGUUUUGGGAUUUAAUGUCAUUUAUUGUGUUAAUUUUAAACAAUAGAAAAAAUAAGUAAUGGUAACGAAAGACUAAUUUGUGAUAUUGAAGCAUACGGGCUUAACUCAAUCCAAAAAUUAGUAAGUUAGCUCAAGAGUUAAGAGUUGUCCAAAUCUUAUAUGCUGAAUCCAAGUUUAAUACACAAUUGAUGCGGGAUGUUAUUCCUAACACCUUCCAUCAUGCGUAGGAUUGGCAAAAAAAUUCGGGUCAGUCCCACCUAAACCUGCAGGCUUUAUGCAUGGCUCGCAUGAUGAAGUUACGGAUAUUAACCUAAAAAUUUGAAACUUACUAUGAAUGGCCUUGCUUAAAGACUUUUGCAACUUUAAUUUAUAACAAGUAUGUAUAUAUACACACACAUAAGCUUAGAUUGCAUUUGGAUGGCUUUUUUAAUCAAUUCAAACAAUUUGAAAUUUAUCGGAUUAAUCUGAAUCUUAUCUGUAUCCGAUUUUGUCCGCCCCUACUAUUUAUAAGCCCAGGUGACUCUCUUUUACUAAUUAAUAAGAGAAUUUUUGACCUUAUAUCCUUGCUGUGGUGUUAGACUGUUGGUCAUUUUGAUUGUUUCCUACCUUCCAUUUACGCCAGCUAUAACAUUGUAUUAUCACCAUUUUAGCCAUUUAAAUGAAAUUUUAUUUUUGUCAAAAAUAAAAUGACACCCUUAAAAUUAAAAAAGAAAUAGUUAUGUAGACCUCAAAUUUUUAAUAAAGAAUGCCAAUACCCCUUUUAACUACAAGAUUCUUAGUAGAUGAUAACUAAAAAAAUUAACUUCAAAAAUUUUCACUAAAUGUAAAUCUGAUUGAAAUAGUUUAAAUUUUUCUAGUAGACUAAUAUAUAUAACUUAAAUAAUUAAUUUCAUUAUUAAUUUUUAAAAUGUUAACUAAUAUAUUUUUAAUUUAUUAUAAAAAUUUUAAAUAAAUUCUUGGAUUAGAUAGAUUUUACAAUUAAUGUAAUACUGUUGAUUUAUUAAUAAUAUUAAAAUUAUUUUAUAUGAUAUUCAAAAUAAUUUAAACUUUGAUAUAUUUAUUUUAAUAGUAUGUCUAUUUAUUAUAAUUUGGUUUAAUAUAAUACGGGAUUGCAAAAUAUUAAAAUAUUUUUCAAUAUCAAAUUAUUUUAAUAUGUAUAUAUCAUUACAUUUAUUUCAAUAUCGCAUUUAUAUUUAUUAUAAGAUAUAAAAUUAAAGAGUAUUGCAAUAAAGUAAAAAAAGAAAAAAAAAAGUCUUAUUAUCCCUUAUUCACGAUAUGAGGUUCUAUAAAAUUAUUUCCCCAAACGGGUGUCCUUUUCUUAUUUUCAAAAGAAAAACUAAAGUAAGAAUAAGUCCAUGGGUUUCAAAAGACUUAUAGUCCUAUCCCGGAACCUACAUUAUCUGCCACUAUGACUAAUGACAAAUUUUUGGUGGGAUAUAGGAAAAUUGUCAAAAGUUCAUGCUGCGUGAGAGUCUUUGGUGGGAUGUGGAAGGAUUGUCAAAAGAUCACACCACGUGACAUAACCACAAUUGCUACAGUUUUUUUUUUUUAAAAUAUUGAUGGGAGUUAUAAAUUAUUUAUAUAAAUUUGCGUAGACUGAUGUAACAUAAAAGAAGUAGCUGAAUAACAAUAUUUGGUGCUUUAGGUAAUUUUCAGAUGGGCCUUUCUUUUAUUUAGCGACUUUAGUGCUUAAACAAACUUGUGCUCGAUCUUAAUUUAAGCCUAUGAUGACAUAAACAUAUUCUUUUGUGACGAAAACAUCAAGAGAAGACAUCUCAUGUUUUAUUAUAACAGAAAAGAAGUGGUCCAAACGUCUAUUCAUUAUUUUAUUUAUUCAAUAUAAAUGGCCAACUUUAAAAAUCACACAACGCUCAAGUGAAAAUUUAGAAUUACAUUUUUUAAUACUCUCGGAGUCUUUCUCUCGUGCCCCCUUUUUUUCUAAAAAAAUAAACCUUAGUGUAAAAUUAGAAGAAUUUUAGAUAUAAAAUUUAACAAUCGCUAAACAGAAAAGCAGCGGAUUGAAAAUAGAGGAGCUCUGUUAUCAUUGGAAUAUUGAUUAUAGAUAAUAGGGUAUUUUUUAAUUGAGUCCUCAUUAUUUCUAGAAAAAAAUUCAGAGACCAGAAAUUUACUAAAUGAAUUAAUUAAAUCCUUUCAAGUACAAAUUAAUAUCAUUCAAGUCCAUAACUUAACUCUUCAGUUAGAAAUAUUAACAACGUUGAGGACAUUUUAGUAAAAGAACAAUUGAACCCUUCCUCAUUCUUUUAUUUUUGACAGGUGGCAAUAGUUUGCUUACAGGUGGCAAUAGUUUAAAGCAAAGUCAAUUCACCUAACCAAGUUAAAGUUCUUUCAAGCGGAAAAAAAAAAAACCUCUAGAAGAAACUGCCGUAUUCUUCGUGUGAGAGGAGGGAUUGAGAGAACGUGGGAUGGCGUCAAAAAUGUUAUAUAAAUAUACUGUAAUUUUGACCAAAGCUUUGUUAGCAUUGGUUGAGUUCAAGUAUUGGAGAGAAGCCGAGCUUAAAGGUUAGUAACUCUAAUUUUUAAGUGAUUUUUGCAAGUAUUUUCUGAUAAAAUUGUUUCCAUAUUUAGUGAUCUUUGUGAAAAAUUAUGUUUUUCAAGUCUAUUUUUCUAAAUGACAAACUAUGUUUAAUUAUUGGUGGAUUUUUUUAUUGAAUGUUGUAUUUUGUUAAUAUACUUUUUUUAAUUUGCUCUUUAUAUAAUAAUUAGACCAAAUACACCAUAUUUAUAUAUGUAUUUAUUGAACUUAUUUUGCCUAUUUUAUAGGCUUUCUUGAGUUGUUGUAUAUGUACAAUAUUUCAUUUCAACCAAUUGGUAUCGUUAUAUUAAUAAGAUUGAAUUCAUUGUAUUUGCUUUUUUGUUCAUGUAAAAUUGAAUUCUAUGUGUUAUUAUGAGUGGUAAUUUUUAUAUAUAUUAGACUAAAUUCUCUAUAGUUGUUGGGUUAUUUUUUCUUUUCAGUUUUUAUUUUUAUAUGUAUUAGAUUGAAUUUUCUUUUAUACUUUUUUUAAUCGAAUUACAUGUAUAUUUCAUUUAGGUUGAGUUUUUUAUUCUUUGCUAAAUAAAAUUGUAUUAGUUUAGCCAUUUUUUGAUGCAAUACUUUUUUGUUUUAAAAUUGAUGCAGGUAGUCAUGUUACCUUUUUUUUUGUUGGUUAAAAUUAAUGGGGCGGUGUAUGAGAUAGGAUAUAGGGACCCAGAGGAAUAUAAGAUUAUUAGGUUGUUUCAUGAAAUUCUAGAAGUCAUGGUUAAGUAUGGACACAAUGAAAUGGAUUUGAUUGAAAUUUUUGUUGUGUUGCCAUGGACUACAAGUAGGCAGAGGAAGCUAAUUUCAAAUGAUAGUGAAUUGUAUUCGGUUUUUGAGGAGUUUUUUUACUAAUAGUUGUCAUGUUAUUGAGUUUGAGGUGCACACUGGGUUAGGUGGUCAAUCAUGUCAUGAAAGUGUUGUAAUAGGAUCUGAAAAUCCUGUCAAUAUAGGUGUUAGUAUGGGUAGUGAUAAGUUUGAAAAACUUAGUGAGGAUGGCUUUAUCGGAGGGCACUUAUCUGAUGAAGAGAAUGGUCUCUUACAUAUGUAUGAAUCCAUUGUUGAUAAUGAGUGGAAACCAAAUCUAAAUGGUUCAGUUAGUCUAAAAGUAGGAAAUACCUUUGAAUCUGUUGCAUUAUUAAAAGAGGUUAUGGUGAAAUAUGCAAUCCAAGAGGGUUUUGAGUUAAAUAGGAUUAAAAAUGAUGGUGUUAGGUAUACUUGUUGUUGUGUUAAUCCAAAAUGCACUUGGAAACUUCAUGCUUCAUCGAUGGUUGAUGGGAUAACUUUUAAAAUUAGGUAUAUUAAAGGGAAACAUGAUUGCCAGAUUAAAUCAAUUAACAAAGAUGCAACAGCACCUUGGAUAGCUAAAGUUUGUGCUGGACUUAUUCAAACUAACCCAGGAGUUGGUGUAAAUGUCAUAAGAAGUGAGUUAAAAGAUAAACAUGGGAUUGAAUGUGACAAACAAAAACUAUACAGGGCAAAAAAAAUUGCAUUAGAAAACCUAGGUGCUGACCACAUUGCUUGCUAUGGAAAGCUUUUGAAAUAUGCUCACAUUCUAAUGAAAAUGAAUAGAGGUGCUUGUGUUAAGGUAAAGGUUAAAAGGCCAUUGUCAAAUAGCCCAGUUUUUCAAAGGUUUUUUUUGUCAUUUCCUGCACUUAAAGUGGGGUACCUAACUGGGUGUAGACCUUUCAUAGGAUUGGAUGGGUGUCACUUGAAGGGGCCAUACAGGGGAGUAUUGUUAUCUGCUGUUGCAUUAGAUGAUGAUAGUGGAAUUUUUCCAUUGGCUUUUUGCAUAUGUGAGGUAGAGAACUAUGAUAGUUGGAGUUAUUUUUUAUCUUUGCUGUAUGAAUUCAUUGGGGCUGAUGAUCAUAGGUCUGUAACUAUUAUUAGUGAUAGACAAAAAGGUCUUUUAUGGGGAUUGGAAAAAUAUUGGCCUAAUGCUAGUACUAGAUAUUGUGCUAGGCAUAUCUUUGCCAAUUUGAAGUGUAAGUUUCCUGGUUUGAAUGUCAUGGGGUUAUUUUGGAAAGCUUGUAGGGCUGCAAAUCAGUAUGACUUUGAGAGGGCAAUGAGUCAAAUUAGGGCUAAAGACCAAAAUUGUUAUGAAUGGUUGAGAAAAAUACCACCUGCACAGUGGUCUAGAAGCGGGUUUGAUCAUCAUGUGAAAUCUGACCAUGUUACAAACAACAUGACUGAAUCUUUUAAUAAGUGGGUGGAUGAGGUUAGGGAUAAGCCUGUCCUAACCAUUCUUGAGCAUAUUCGUAGACAACUAAUGGUGAGAAUGUUGAAAAAAUAUCAGCUAGGUGAAACUUGGCAAGACCAUUUGACCCCAUAUGCUAGAGAAAGACUAAAUCAAUCCUCAAAUGAGGCAAGGAGAAUUAAGGUCUUUGGAGGUAGAGGGGAGCUGUUUGAAUGUUGUCAAGCUGGCUAUAGAAACAUCCUGGUACAUAUUACAGAUGGUACAUGUGAAUGUGGGAUGUGGCAAGUUAGUGGAGUGCCUUGCAAACAUGCAGUAGCUGCUAUUCUUCAUAAAGGAGGGCAACCUGAAAAUUAUGUGCAUCAUUAUCUGACCAAGGAAUCUUUUAUGAUGACAUACAUGGGGACUAUAAAUCCUAUUCCUGAUGAGUGUGCUUGGCCUGAAGUGGAAGCUGAACCUUCCCCUGAUGUUGUGGUGCCUGUGAAGGUUGGACCACCUGACAUAAAGGCUCCAGUUGGUAGACCGAAAAAGAAAAGAACAAAAGAACCUGGUGAGACCAAACUAACUAGUAAAAGGUUUACUAUCAAAUGUAGUGCUUGCAGAUGUCUUGGGCACAACAAAAGGGGUUGCCCUAAUUUUCCAAAAACCACAAGAACUAUAGAGGUAUAACAUAAGAGUCAUUUUUGUUUUUUAAAUUUCAUUUGGUGAAGCUAACAAAUAUUGAUCUUGAUGUUGUGCAGGGAAGCAAUAGGACUUCAUCAAGUGCACAGGUUUAAUUUAAUUAUACAAUUUUAAUUCAAAAGGAUUUUUUUUUCUUUUGCACUAGAUAUUGCUUAAAACUUGGUGAUAUUGGUUGUGUGCAACGAAGAAAUAAGGCUUAAUCAAGUGGACAUGUUUAAUCUAGUUCUGAAAAUUUAAUUCUAAAGGAUUUUUUUCGUUCUUUUUCAUUAAAUUGCUUAAAACUUGGUGAUUUUUUUUGUGCGCAGGCAAGCGAUAUCACUUCAUCAACUGCACAGGUCUGAUUUUGUAAUUGAAUCUCCUUAUAUAUGUUUUGUUAUGUUAUCAAAUGGAUUAAUAACUUGGUACUAUAUAUGUUUGAUUUGAUCAUGGAAUUAUAUUGAAUAGAUUGAUUCUUUUUUUUUUAUUAAAUGAAAUUGAUGUCUUUUUUUUUUUCUUUUUGGACAGCAUGGAACUAACCCACAAUCUCAAGAAGUAGAUGUCAAUGAUCAAUCAAUUGGCAAUAGUUCUGAACAAGCUAGUUAGGCUUCAAUCAAUGUCACUCAACCAGUGGGGCUGUAUACACAACUAUUGUGGACUGUACUUCAACCUCAAAAUGAAGAAAUUAUCACUGUUAACAAGGAGUAGGAUAAUACAAUUUCACCUUGGGUUGACAUUUAAUUCUCCAUUAUAGAAUUUAGAAGACAAUUAACUAUUUUUUGUGUUUAAAUUUCAGUUUACCUUAGUAUUGUUAAGGUAUUUGUUAGUUUGAAUUUAAUUGACUUUCAUACUUUUAAUUUCAUUUUUAGACCGAAUGUUAUUGUGAUUUUUUUAAUAUUAUAUUCAAUACAUAUGUUAUUUAGUUUAACAAUUAUUAUAUUUUUAUAGAUGUGAUGAAAUUAUAUGGAUAGCAAAUUACAUUUUCAUGUAUAAUUCACUCAAAUUGAUAAAUAGGCUGUUAGAUUGAAAAAAAAAAGUCCAAGGUUAAAAUUGUACUUUAAAUCACUAAUAUGAUUAUAGGGGUAUACCUGUCUUUUAUGUUUAACUUAACAUUUUCACUAAUUUUUUUAACGGAAGAAUUGGGUUAAGGGCUUGAAUGACAUAAAUUUACAGUUGAAAGGAUUUAAUUGAUUCAUUUAGUAAACUUCUGGUCUCUGAAUUUUUUUCUAGAAAUAAUGAGGACUCAAUUAAAAAUUACCCUAGAUAAUAUAAUAACUUGUUGUGGUUCAUUGUAGCACUCUGAGCCAUAUUUUAAAAUUUACUGGUUUGUUAAUGCUUUUAUUAUUGACAUUAUUGUGUCAAUAUUAUUAUAAUUAAUUUAUUCAUUUUAUUGUAAUGAUAAUUUGUCUAGUCUUAGGUACUUAUUAUAUUAAAUUAUGUAAAUUAAUUGAGAAUACUUUUAGAGACAAAAGAAACACGUGUAUGUAGGAUUAAUAAGCGAAGAGUUGUAAAUGAUGGUGAUUGCUUCAUUCAGAGGCAUAUUAAAUAAUUAUGGAGAGUUGCUCUAUUUCGGAAGCAUAUAUUUAUACUUCCCUACCAGGAUUUGGGGUAAGCGAAGUGCUUUAUGUAUUGCAGUAAGGAAAUGUGGGCAAUAUCAGAGCCGAAAUAUUAAAAGAUCAUAACGCAUAUAAACAAUUAGUAUAUUCAAGACACAUAUAGAGGAAAGAGUGCAGAUCCGGCCGUAACUAUUAUGAGGAUUUCCUCAAGUAUUCUCAUGCUUCCUCAACUGUUCUGAACUAUAUAUUCUUCAUUGUGGGCUGUUUUGCUUAAAUACCAACACAAUGAUUCAAUACUUCAAAGGUCAAGGAAAUGUCAAAAUAUGAAAUGAAAAUACUUAAAUAGCCUUCUACCUAACAAAACUUAGUACUUCUAACUGCCUUCGCAGAGAAUCUAUAAAAUAAAAAAAAAAUCAUCCAGGAAAAGUUUCGUAACAGAAAAACCGUCUUUCAAAAAAUAAAAAUAGAAAAACCGACUCAUUUAUCUGCCAAUGAACCAGUCGGGACUCAUUUAAAAAAGAUUAAAAAGCAAAAGUAAAUGACACAAAUUGCAUAGAUAUCUCGGAGCCGCAUCAAAGGACAAAGGUGUUAAUUUGUCCAAGUAAUAAAUUCUCCUAGGUCAAAAGCAAUUAACGAUGAAAACUUUCUUCAUUAAGGGUCUGGCCUACGUAAAAAAAAAACAGAAAAACCACCCCAAGGUCAAAGCACAACCAUAAGUUUUGAGUUGCAGUUUUUAAAUUUUUUUUAUAAUAAAUCAACGUGUAUAAAAAAUAGAUAAUGAUUUUGAAUAAUCUUUUUGAUAAAUAUAGACAUAAAAUUUUAAAAUCACCAAACAGAAAAACAGGGAAUUAAAAGAGAGCCCUUGUUUCUCCUCUAUUUUGUUUGUUUGUCCUCUAUUUUAGCAGGGCAGCUAAAAGGGUUUGGAAGUUGACUGAAUUUUAUGAGGAUGUAAAGCAAUUAGCUCGGCAAGACAUGUUGAGUGUGCUGCAGGAUUUAACUGUGAAGAGAAAAAAGAAUGAGCUGGAGCUUGUUGUUGCGGUGUGCUGGGCCAUCUGGUACUCUAGGAAUCGUUUGGUGUUUGAAGGAAAGGAUGAAGAUCCAAAAAAUUCAGUGGCCAGAGCAAUUGCUAUGGUGGAAUCAUACAGGCGAAUAAAAGUUCCAAAUGAACAAAAUUCUCCAGGCCAUAGCAGAAUCAGUCAACUAGAAUGGGCAAAUCCUCCAAAGGGGUGUUAUAAAGUCAACGUUGAUGCUCCAAUCAAUGUUUCAAACCAAAAGGCAGGGUUGGGGGUAGUCAUUAGAAACUCUGUGGGUAAGGUUGUUGCUGCAGCAGUCCAAGGAACUCCAUAUAGGGGAGAUGUGGCGUGUAUGGAGGCUGAAGCUGUUCUGUUUGGUCUUCAGAGUGCCCAACAAGCAGCUGUUUCCCCAAUAAUUAUUGAGUCAGAUUCAAAGGAAGUGGUGGACCUAUCCUUAAAGAAAAAGAUCAGCAAGACUGAAAUUGAGUGGAAAAUUGCAGAAAUCCAAGCAAAUCUGGAAAAUCAGAAUGUGUCCUCGCUGUCAUAUGUCCCUAGAAACUGUAACUCUAUUGCUCAUUCUAUUGCAAAGAUAGCUCUAGGUUUUGAAAGUCAAGUCUUUUGGCUGGAAAACUUUCCAGAACAUAUCAGGUGUACUCUUGCUAAGUUCAUCAAUUGAAAAGCUUUACUUUUCUCAUCAAAAAAAAAAAAAUAGGGAAAUGAAAAGAUCGUAGGUGGAAAUUUUUUUUCUGCGUUGUAUCUUCUCAAUGCUGCAUGCAUUCAAAUUGUCAUAUUGCGAAAAUCCCUUUUCAAUGUUUCAAUUGCAAUGUCAUUGCCAUUAUUCAUAGUGGCAGACAAUGGACAUCACGGGACAUGGCUAGAAGUCUAUGUUACGGCUUCUGUAAGUAACAGCAGCCAAUGGGGAACUUCCACGGGUGCUAGAGGAGAGAGAAAGAGGUCCCAAUGCAAGGUGAUGGAAAUAGGGAUGGCAAUUGUACCCGCAAACCCGCAAACCCGCCCAAACCCACCCGCCAAAACCCGCCCGUUGCGGGUAAUUUUACCCGUUGCGGGCGGGUUUAGUAUUAUAAAUUAAAACCCGCACAUGGAUGCGGGUGGGUUUGGUAUUAACCUUAUAUCCGGUGGAUACCCGCAUGGAUAUCCACCAAACCCGCAAUAUUUUUUUUCAAAUAUUUUUAAUUUAAUUUAAAUAUAAAAAUGUAUAAAGAAAAUAAUGUCAUUAAUCAAAUUACCAAAUAGACAAAUGCUCAAAGUUGUGUAUGUGUGUAUGUGACCCAUCUCUUAUUCUAAAGUCAUAAGCUAAAGAAAACUAAAGGCAUUACCCUUCGAAUUAGUAUUUGAAAAUAUUAAUCUUAAUUAUUAUUAUAGGCAUUGUGUUGGAUGGGUGCUUAUGGUGGUGAAUGAAAUGAAUAUAUUCUCUUGGAUCUUGUUUUAAAUGAUAAUAUGAAAUGUAAUUAUUAUUUUUAGAUACUAGUUUGUGUUUUUUAAAUAGAUUUGUGUAAUUUAUACUUAAAUUUGAGAAUUUGUAUUGAAUUGAUGUGGAAAUUUUAAUUUUUCAUUGACAUUGUUUAAAUAUAAAAUUGAGUAUGCUAUAUGGAAUUUGAGGUUAUUAUUAUAAAUUUAUAUAUUAAAUAUUUGUGAUUUUAAAUACGGAAACCCGCAAAAAAUCCGCCGGAUACCAUUGCGGGUUUGGUAAUUGUUAAAACCCGCUGCGGGUGGGUUUUUUUAAAAAAAUUAAAACCCGCUGCGGAUUGCGGGUGGAUUUGGUGAUUUAAAUUUUGUGCGGGUUUGGGUUUGAUAAUGGCAAACCCGCUGCGGGCGGUGCCCAUUGCCAUCCCUAGAUGGAAAUGGGAAAGUUCAAAGCUGUUACUUUCAGCUUCUGCACCGUAGCCAUGUCCCACGGGACAAGGCUAGAAGUUAUCAUGACCAUAGACUUUUCUAAUUUAUUUUUUCCUUUCAAAAAGGGACAAGGAUAAGUUUGGGAGAAUGAUUAUAUUUUUAAUAAAAGAAUUCUUUUUUAUUAUAAUACUUUUUGUCUUUAUUAAUUUAAAAAUAUUAACUCUUAUAUUUUAAUAAAUAUAAUUAUAAUAUUAUAAUAACAUAUAACAAUAUAUACAAAUAUUUAAAAAAAAUUAAGAUUUUAUUAAAAUAAUUUUAUAAUAAAUACAAAUAUAUUAUUAAUAUAAUUAUAAUAAUUUUCAUUUUAAAAAGUAAUACUGAUAUUAAUUUUUUAAAUUAUAUUACUCUACUCAAAAAAUUAAACUAUUAAAUUAUAUUGAUAUUUCUUAAAAAAGUUGCAAUUAAUUCUUAUUAUAUUUUUAAUUGGAUUUUUUUCCCGAGAUAUAACAACAAUUGCUACAGUUUUUUCCCAAAUAAAGAUGGAGUUAUAAAUUAUUUGUAUAAGUGUCUGUGUGGAAACUAAUGUGACAUGAAAGUAAUGGUUGAAUAACAAUAAUGGGGCUUUAGGCAAUUUUUUUAUGAGGUCCUCUUGCAAUUUCAACACUUAAACAGACUUGUCCUUGAUCCCAAUUUAUUUACCCAUUUAGGCCCACGAUGAGAUAAAUAUAUUCCUGUGAGAUGAAAAACAUCAGGAGAAGAAAAUGUUUUAUUAUAAUAAAAAAAACAAGUGGUCCAUAAGUCUAUUUAUUACUUUUUUUAUUCAAUACAAAUGGCCAACUUAAAAAAUGAUAAAAAUCACAUAACGCACAAGCGAAAAUUUAGAUUUACAUUUUUUAGUUCUCUCCGUGUCUCUCUUUCUCUUUUUUUUUUAAAAAAAUAAAUAAAUGUCAGUGUAAAAUUAGAAAAAUUUUAGAUAUAAACUUUGGCGAUGACCAAACAAAAAUUGAAAUACUGAUCAUAGACACUACAAUAUAAAUAACUUGUUGUGAUCCACUCAACUUGUAACACUUUAAUCCAUACUCUAAAAUUUGUAUGUUUGUUAGGAAUUUUAUUAUUGACAUUAUUGUACCAAUAAAAUUAUACUUUAUUCAUAUGGAAAGAAAACAUCAAGAAAGGACCUCUGAUUUUUAUUAUAACAGAAAAAAGUGGUCCAUAAGCCUAUUUAUUAUUUUAUUUAUUCAAUACAAAUUGCCAACUUAAAAAAUGGUAAAAAUCACAAAAUGCACAAGUAAAAUUUUAGAAUUACAUUUUUUUAAUUCUCUUUGAGUCUCUGUUUCUCUCUUUAAAAAAUAAACCUCACUGUAAAAUUAGAAUAAUUUUAGACAUAAAAUUUGGCAAUCACCAAACAAAAAAUGUAGGGAAAUGAAAAUGGAGGAGCCCUAUUAUCAUUAGAAUAUUGAUCAUAGAUACUAUAAUGUAAAUGAUUUUUUGUGGUUCAUUCAACCUGUCACACUCUAAGCCAUUUUCUAAAAUUUGUAAGGUUUAUAGGAUUUUUAUUAUUGGCAUCAUUGUAUCAAUAAUAUUAUAAAUUAUAUAUUCUAUUGUAAUGAAAAUUUGUGUAAUCUUAGGUAUUUAUUGUAUUAAAUUGUGUGGAUUAAUUAAGAAUAUUUUUGGAGACAAAAGAAGUGUGUGUACGUAGGAUUAAUGAUAAAAAAUUUCUAAAUAAAGGUGAUUGCUUCAUUGACAAGUACAUAUUUAUAUUCUCUAUUAGUAUUUGGGUUGUAAACUUUGUUUAUAAAGUGAAUAUAUUGUGGUAAGCGAUGUGGGCAAUAUCGGAUGCAAAAUAUUGAGAGAUCAUUAACGCAUAUAUUUAUUGAAGACGCAUAUAGAGGAAAGAGUGUAGAUCCGGCUGUAACAAUUAUGAAGCUUUCCCCAAGUAUUCUCACGCUUCCUUAACUGUUCCAAAGUAUUUUUCAUAGUGUGCAGAUUUACUUUAUGGUGUCUUAAUCCGUCUAAAAUGAUUACUUUAGUUCUUUUGGGAUGAAAGGUCAUUUAUUGUGUUAGUAUUAAACAAUAGAAAAAAUAAGUAAUGGUAACGAAAGACUAAUUUGUGAUAUUGAAGUAUACAUGCUUAACUCAAUCCAAACUUAGUAAGUUAGCUCAAGAGUUAAGAGUUGUCCAAAUCUUAUAUACUGAACCCAAGUUCAAUACUCAAUUGAUGUAGGAUGUUAUUCAUAACACCGCCCGUCAUGCGUAGGAUUGGCAAAAAAACUCGAGUCAAUCCCACCUAGACCUGCAAGCUUUAUUUAUGGCCAGCAUAAUGAAGUUACAGAUAUUAACCUAAAAAUUUGAAACUUACUAUGAGUGGCCUUGGUUAAAGACUUUUGCAACUUUAAUUUAUAACAAGUAUGUACACACACACACACACACACACACACACAUGUUUAGAUUGCAUUUGGAUGACUUUUUUUUAUCAAUGCAAACAAUAUCAAAUUUAUCGGAUUAAUUUGAAUCUGAUCUAUAUCCGAUUUUGCCUACCCCUACUAUUUAUAAGCCCAAGUGACUCUCUUUUACUAAUUAAUAAGGGAAUUUUUUGACCUCAUGUCCUUGCUGUGGCAUUAGACUGUUGGUCAUUUUGAUUGUUUCCUACCUUCCAUUUACGCCAGCUGUAACAUUGUAUUAUUCACCAUUUUAGCCAUUUAAAUGAAAUUUUAUUUUUGUCAAAAAUAAAAUGACACCCUUAAAAUUAAAAAAAAAAUAGUUAUGUAGACCUCAAAUUUUUAAUAAAGAAUGUCAAUACCUCUUUUAACUACAAGAUUCGUAGUAGAUGAUAAAAAGAAAAUUAACCUCAAAUUUUUUCAUUAAAUGUAAAUCUGAUUGAAGUAGUUUAAAUUUUUCUAGUAGACUAAUAUAUAUAACUUAAAUAAUUAAUUUCAUUAUUAAUUUUUAAAAUGUUAACUAAUAUAUUUUUAAUUUAUUAUAAAAUUUUUAAAUAUUAUCCUUGGAUUAAAUAGAUUUUACAAUUAAUGUAAUACUUCUUAUUUUUUAAUAAUAUUAAAAUUAUUUUAUAUGAUAUUCAAAAUAAUUUAAACUUAUAUAUAUUAAUAUUAUGUCUAUUUAUUAUAAUAUGGUUUAAUAUUAUACGGGAUUGUAAAAUAUUAAAAUAUUCUUCAAUAUCAAAUUAUUUUAAUAUGUACAUAUCAUUACUUUUAUUUUAGUAUCGCAUUUAUAUUUAUUAUAAAUAUAAAAUUAAUAAAAUUAAAGAGUAUUGCAGUAAAGUAAAAAAAAAAAGUCUUAUUAUCCCUUAUUCAUGAUAUGAGAUUCUACAAAAUUAUUUCCCGAAACGGGUGUCCUUUUCUCAUUUUCAAAAGAAAAAAUAAAGUAAGAAUAAGUCCAUGGGUUUCAAAAACUUCUAGUCCUAUCCCGGGACUACAUUGCUGCCACUAUAACUAAUGGAAAUGACAUUUCAAUUGACAUUGCCUUUCGCAACAUGAAAAAUUUUUGGUGGGAUAUGGAAGAAUUGUCAAAAGUUCACGCCGUGUGAGAGUUUUUGGUAGGAUGUAGGAGGAUUGUCAAAAGAUCACACCAUGUGAUAAAACCACAAUUGCUAUGGUUUUUAUUUUUUAAAUAAUGAUGGGAGUUAUAAAUUAUUUAUAUAAAUUUGCGUAGAAACUAAUGUAACAUAAAAGAAAUAGCUGAAUAACAAUAUUUGGUGCUUUAAGUAAUUUUUAUAUGAGCCUUUCUUUUAUUUAGCGGCUUUAGUGUUUAAACAAACUUGUUCUCGAUCUUAAUUUACUGACCCCAUUUAAGCCCAUAAUUAAACAUAUUCUUUUGUGACGAAAACAUCAAGAGAAGACAUCUCAUGUUUUAUUAUAACAGAAAAAGAAGUAGUCCAAACAUCUAUUCGUUAUUUUAUUUAUUCAAUAUAAAUGGCCAACUUUAAAAAAAUGAUAAAAAUCACACAACGCUCAAGUAAAAAUUUAGAAUUACAUUUUGUAAUACUCUCUGAGUCUCUCUCUCCUGCCCCCCCCCCCCCUUCCUUUUAAAAAAAAUAAACCUUAGUGUAAAAUUAGAAGAAUUUUAGAUAUAAAAUUUGGCAAUAGCUAAACAGAAAAGCGGCGGAUUGAAAAUAAAAAAGCUCUAUUACCAUUGGAAUAUUGAUUAUAGAUAAUAUAAUAACUUGUUGUGGUUCAUUGUAGCACUGUGAGCCAUAUUCUAAAAUUUAUAGGUUUGUUAAGGCAUUUAUUAUUGACAUUAUUGUGUCAAUACUAUUAUAAUUUAUUCAUUUUAUUGUAAUGAUAAUUUGUCUAGUCUUAGGUACUUAUUAUAUUAAAUUAUGUAAAUUAAUUGAGGAUACUUUUAGAGACAAAAGAAACACGUGUAUGUAGGAUUAAUAAUCGAAGAAUUGUAAAUGAAGGUGAUUGCUUCAUUGAGAGGCAUAUUAAAUAAUUAUGGAGAGUUGCACUAUUUCGGAAGCACAUAUUUAUACUUCCCUAUCAGGAUUUGGGAUAAACGAAGUGCUUUAUCUAUUGCAGUAAGCAAUGUGGGCAAUAUCAGAGGCGAAAUAUUAAAAGAUCAUCCAUGAAAAGCUUCGUAACAGAAAAACCGUCUUUCAAAAAAAAAUAAAAUAAAAUAAAAAUAAAAACAGAAAAACCGACUCAUUUAUCUGCCAAUGAACCAAUCAGGACUCAUUUAAAAAAGAAUACAAAGCAAAAGUAAAUGACACAAAUUGCAUAGAUAUCUAGUAGCCGCAUCAAAGGACAAAGGUGUUAAUUUGUCCAAGAAUAAAUUCUCCUAGGUCAAAAGCAAUUAACGAUGAAAACUUUCUUCAUUAAGGUUCUGGCCUACGUAAAAAAACAGAAAAAAUCACCCCAAGGUCAAAGCACAACGAUAAGUUUAGAAUUGGAAUUUUUAAUUUUUUUUAAUAAAUCAACGUGUAUCAAAAAUAGAUAAUAAUUUUGGAUAACUUUUUUUGAUAAAUAUAGACAUAAAAUUUUAAAAUCGCCAAACAGAAAAACAGGGGAAUUAAAACAAAGUCCCUGUUUAUCCUCUAUUUUGCUUGUUAUUAAAAAGGGAAAUGAAAAGAUUGCAAGCCGAAAUUUUGUUUCUGCGUUGUCUCUUCUCAAUGCUGCAUGCAUUCAAAUUAAACCUUACAUAUGCUAGCAAACUAGCUACUCUGCAUGUAAGUUCUCGAUAAGUCCAAAUAAUAGAAUAAUUGUAAAAUGUUCAAAUUCAGUAAUUAAUUAUACAUAUUUAUUUAUUCAAAAAUUAUUAUUAUUACUAAUUAUUGUCAAUAAUAUAUUAAUAUACUAAUUAAUUGUAAAAAAAUUUAUCAUUCAUAACAAUAAUGAUGAUGAUGAUAAUAAUAAAAAUUCAAAAUAUAUUAAUUAAUUAUAAUAAUAUAUUAAUUAUUUAAUAAUAAUAUAUUUAAAAUAUAUAAAUUGAUUAGAAUAGUUAUAUUAAUAAAUUAUAAACAUAUAUUAAUUAAUCAUAAUAAUUUUUUAAUUGAUGACAAAAUAGAUAUUUUAUAGUUUGUGAGAGGGGGCAAAAUGAUCAAUCUUGGGAAUGGGGGAUUGAUUCCCACCACCUUCCUUAGGAAUCAAUCUUCCAUUCCUCAUUCCUAAUUUGGGUGGUCCCCAUAGUUCUUAUUCGGAUCCCAGCCUCUAUUUUGUGAAGUAAACAUCAUUAAUGAUUUCGAUUUCGGAUUCCGAUUCUCCAAUCCAAGAAGUAAAGGCACCAUUAUUGUUAAUUGGUUCAAACACACAAAGAGAAUGUACCAUGUAGCUAGGCGUCAAGGUUGUGUGGCACAAGGUUGUGUGGCACAAGUAGGGAUGGCAAUUCAACCCGCACCCGGCCCGGACCCGGAUGAAACCCGGAUUUUCCAGUCCGGGUUUAACCCGUACCGGAUUAAAUAAAAUCCGGAUCCGGAUGUCAUUUUAAAAACCCGCAUGUACCCGGGUCCGGUUCCGGGUUUAAGUAAACCCGUACAUCCGGAACCCGGACCCGGAUAUAUAUUAAUUUUAAAAAAUUAUUUUUAAUAUAAAUAGAAAGCAAAAAAAACCCAAAUGGUGCCCUAGAAGCUCAUUACACUUUCCCAGCCGCACAAACAUUUCCUCUCUUAUUCCCUCUUCAGCUCAUCUUCAUCUUCAUCAAAUCAUCGUCGCAUCACUUGCCCAUCUUCGCGGCUGUUCAACUUCAACAUCAUCAUCAUCAUCAUCAUCAGCCGUCGUUUCCUUUCUUUUUCUGCGGCGACCGGUAACUAGCUGUGAUACGGGUUGAACGCCGCCUUUGCCAAUCGCAACCGCGGCUGUGUUCAUCAUCAUCAACCGCCGUCACUUUCAAGAACGAUACUCGAAAAUAUUUUGAUGGGAAUCUUGUUUUUGGUCAUUUUAGUAACAGUGUGUGCAAGUGCGAGUGAGAGAGAGAGAGAACGUGGCUUACUCGAUGCCACUUAUCAUGCUUUCAUCUUUUUUCAUCCAGUGCGGGGUCUGUCUUUGUUGGCUUUUUGGAAAACUUGUUGCUUUUAAUGGUGUAUUACUUCUUUUGAAUAUCCAAUCAAUGUAAACUUAUUUACAUUACCCCUCCAGUUUUCCCAUCACCAUUAAAAGUGCUUUGGUUGCUCCUUGACUGUGCUUUGGUUGCUCCUUGACUCCUGACUUCCUGCUCGCAACAAAAGCUAGUUCUUUAGCUCUCUUUACUAAUUGAACGAGUCACCACAUUGGGUUGCUGAUUCUGGGCAGCCAAACAAAAUUGUUGUUUUUGUUAAUUAGUUUCCAGAUGAAAUAAUUUUUCUUUGAUUUGCUGAAAUCCUGGAUAUGUAUUUCUAUUUGAUUUUUUUAGUCGAAUUUAGUUUUUUUUUUUAAAUUGGAUUCAUCAAUCCGGGUUGGAAACCCGCAGUCCGGAAACCCGGAUUUUUCCGGGUUGAACCCGUACCGGACCCGGAGUGGAAAAAUGCGGGUUUAUUUCCGGGUCCGGUACAGAAAAUAUUCGUCCGGGUCCGGAUCCAGAAUGACUAAACCCGGACCCGGACCCGGAUUUUGCCAUCCCUAGGCACAAGUAACCUUUUUCUUUUCUUUUUAUUUUUUUUUGUUUUCCUUAACGGAUCAGAAGAAAUCGGUGCCUUUGAGAUACUACAAUGUAAAUAAGUACUUGUGGUUCAUUAAAUCUGUAACACUCGGUACCCUAAGGUUUCUUUUGAAAAAGGGCUUUUCUCACUGAUCACCAAUAUCCAAGUAAGUUUGUUUCAUUUCAGAAGGUGCAAAGUUUCAAACUUUUUGUAUUGGGAUGUAACAAACUUUGGCCUUAUAUGCCUGCUGUGACGUUAGACUGUUCAUUUUGAUUGUUUCAUACCUUUCACUUGCGCGCACUGUAGCACUGUAUUAUUCAUCAUUUUAGCUGUUUAAAUGAAAUUUUAUUUUUGUCAAAAAUAAAAUGACACCAUAAAAAUUUAGAAAAAUAAUCAUGUAGAUCCCAAAUUUUUAAUAAAGAAUACCAAUAUUCCCCUUGACUACAAUACCCUUAGUAGGUGGUAAUCAAACAAAUUGACUUAAACUUUUUUACGAAAUGUAAAUAUGAUUUAAAUAAUUUAAAUUUUCCAGUAGACUAAUAUAUAAUUUAAAUAAUUAAUUUCAAUAUUAAUUUUUAAAAUGUAAAUUAAUUUAUUUGUAUUUAUAAAAUAUUUGUAAUUAUUUUAAAAUUUUAACUAAAUCCUUAGGUUAAAUAGAUUUUACAAUUAAUAUAAUAUUUCUCAUGUAUUAAUAAUAUUAAAACUAUUUUAUAUGAUAUUGAAAAUAACCUAAAUUUUUAUAUAUUUAUUUGAAUAUUAUGUCUCUAUUUAUUAUAAUUUGGUUUAAUAGAAUACGAGAUUGUAAAUUAUUAAAAUUUUUAGAUAUUGAAAUUAUUUUAAUAUGUACAUAUUAUUAUAUUUAUUUUAAUAUCCUACUUAUAUUUAUUAUAAAAUAUUAAAAUUAAUUUUUUUAGUUAAUAAAUUUAAAAAAUAUUAUAAUUAAAAAAAAGAGUCUUAUUGCCUGUUAUUCACGAUAUGAGGUUCUACAAAAUUAUUUUCAAAAGGAAAAAUAAGUCCAGGGGUUUCAAUAAAUUCUAGUCCUAUCUGCCACUAUAACUAAUGGAAACGACAUUGCAAUUGACAUUGCUUUUCGCAAUAUGACAAUUUUUUGGAGGGAUAUGGGAGAAUCGUCAAAUGUUCACACUAUGCGGGAGUUUUGAAUGGGAUCGGGGAGAAUUGUCAAGAGUUCACACCACGAGAAACCAAUGAUAGCCAUAAUUACGCUGUCAGUUCUUUGUUUAUUUAUUUUGUUUAUUUCAUACAUUGUUGUCUUGUUGGCAUUGUUUUGUAAAUAUAUAAAAGUAAAGUAAACUAUUAGGGUGCUGCUAAGUUAAACUGUUGUAACUUACAAUCCCUUAAAAAAUAAUGUAAAAAAUUUAACACGUGGUGGGAUCGACAUAUGUUUGAAGAGGCUUUAAGUUACAGUAGUUGUGACUUAGAAAAAUCCAAAUAUUAGACAAUAACACACAUUAACAAUGCAUAUAAUUUGGGUUUGAUUUUUUUAAAAAUUAUUUGAGUAUUAACUAUCCUUAAGAUAUUAAUGUGAAUAUAAUUUAAUAUUAAAUAAUCAAAAUCUGUAUAAUUAUAAUAUAUAUUUCAUACAUUGCAUGUUUAAUCAAAAUCGGAUUGCUUUUUACCUUCCAUUUACGCCCACUGUAGCAUUGUACUAUUCACCAUUUUAGCUGUUUAAAUGAAAUUUUUAUUUUUUUUCAAAAAUAAAAUGACACCCUUAAAAUUUUAGAAAAUAGUCAUGUAAACCCCAAAAUUUUAAUAAAAAACACCAAUACCCUUUUUUACUAUAGUACUCUUAUGGUAGCCACAAAAAAAAAUGACUUCAAAAUUUUUUACUAAAUGUAAAUAUGAUUUAAAUAGUUUAAAUUUUCUAGUAGACUAGUAUGUAUAAUUUAAAUAAUUAAUUUUUAAAAUGUAAUUUAAUAUAUUUAUUUUAAUAAUAUAUUUAUUAUAAAAUUUUAAACAAAUCCUUGGGUUAAAUAGUUUUUAUAAUUAAUAUAAUAUUUCUCACGUUUUAAUAAUAUUAAAGUUAUUUUCUAUGAUAUUGAAAAUAAUUUAAAAUUUUAUAUAUUUAUUUUAAUAUUAUGUCUCUAUUUAUUAUAAUUUGGUUUAAUAGAAUACGAGAUUGUAAACUAUUAAAAUAUUUUUAGGUAUUGAAAUUAUUUUAAUAUGUAUAUAUUAUUAUAUUUAUUUUAAUAUCCUACUUAUAUUUAUUAUAAAAUAUUAAAAUUAAUUUUUUUAGUUAAUAAUUUAAAAAAAUAUUAUGGUUAAAAAAAAGAGUCUCAUUGUCCGUUAUUCACGAUAUGAGAUUCUACAAAAUUAUUUUCAAAAGGAAAAAUAAGUUCAGGGGUUUCAACAAAUUCUAGUCCUAUAUGCCAUUAUGACUAAUGGAAACGAUAUUGAAUUGACAUUGUUUUUUGCAAUAUGACAAAUUUUUGGAGGGAUAUGGGAGAAUCGUCAAGCGUUCACACCAUGCAAGAGCUUUAUGUCACGGGAUGAGUGUUUUGCGCAGCUAACCCGUGCGGCACUUAGACAACUUUGCCGAAUGUUGCUAAGUAAGCCUAGAGCUUCUCGAACAAGAGAAGAGAGCAAUUGAGCCAAAGAAGAAACUUGUAUUGCACAAAGAGAGAUUACAAUGCUUGUUGCUUACAAAGCUUGUUAGAUACAAAUGCCUAAUGCCAUUCCAUAUUUAUAGGGGAGGCUUGCCAAGCUCUAGAGAUUCUAGAGAAUUCUACCAACUAUCUAGAAUUUACAUGUGCUGGAAAGUCAUAGAGAAUUCUAGAGUAUUUACAAGCUCACAUGUGCUAGAGUUUCCUAGAACUUUCCGGAAUAAGGUCAAGCUAGCACUCUUGACCUUGUGUUGGCUCUCUACCCCGAAAUUGUGGGCAAUUGGGCUAGUGAAUUGGGAGGUCCGUAACAUCCUCCCCCACCUAAGCUCGCGGCGUCCUCGUCGUGCUCUCAUGCUUGAAGCGUUGGAUGUGCUCAGCGAAUUGCCACAAAUCAUCUUCACAUUCCCAAGUGGCUUCACUCUCGGGGAGGUUUUUCCACUUCACUAAGUACUCGCUAUGUGCUGGCACGCCUCUCCUCGAAACCGUGCGGUCCGCAAUGAUGUAGUCCACAUCUUUGUCGAACGCGUUGACAACGGCAGUUGGUGCACGCCUUGAUUCUCCAAGACUUGGUUCUCCCACGUCUUCGUGAUAUGGCUUGAGAAGGCUCACAUGGAAGACCAGAUGGAUCUUGAGUCUUGGUGGAAGUUGGAGUUGAUACGAGACGUUGCCCACAUGUCGAACAACUCGGAAGGGUCCCUCGUAGCGCCUCACUAACCCCUUGUGAACUUUCCGCAAAGUCUUGAAUUGUUGGGGUAGGAGCUUGAUCAUGACUUGAUCACCUUCCUUGUACUCAACAUGCCGUCUCCUUGUAUCCUCCCAUUUCUUCAUUUUCCUCGCGGCUUUGUCGAGAUAGGCUCGCGUGAUAUCCGCUUCCUCAUGCCAUUCGUGGGCGAGCUUGUGUGCCGCGGGAUUUUCCCUCCGUAAGUCGAGGCUAUGGCAUUGGGGGUCAUGGGCUGGAAUCCCAUGAUGAUCUCGAAUGGACUCUUGCCCGUAGCCUCACUUCGCUGCAAGUUAUAAGAAAAUUAGGCGAUGUCAAGUAGUUUCGCCCAAUCCCUCUGAUGAGCGCUCACAUAAUGCCUCAAGUACAUCUCGAGGAGGCCAUUGAUGCGCUCGGUCUGCCCAUCCGUUUGUGGGUGGAAGCUUGUCGAGAACUCGAGAUUGGUCCCCAACAUCUUGAAGAGCUCCGUCCAAAAAUACCCAGUGAACCGAGGGUCUCGGUCGCUCACAAUGCUUUUUGGAACUCCCCAAAGCUUCACAAUGUGCUUGACGAAUAGGCGGGCUGCCUCGUCCGCUUUACAGUCGACGGGUGCGGCAAUGAAUGUGACAUACUUGUUGUAUCGGUCGACAACAACGAUGAUGCUUCCGCAACCUUCAGACUUGGGGCAGCGAUGUGAUGAAGUCCAUGGAGACACUUUCUCAUGGCCUUGUUGCUAGCAGUAGCAGCUCCAACAAUCCCGCUGGAAGUUAAUGAUCCACCUUGUCUUGUUGGCACACAAGACAAGUUCGCACAUAUGCCUCGAUGCUGUCCCUCAUGUGCGGCCAAAAAUAUGAGGCUUGAACUAGUGCGGUGGUGCGCUCAAUUCCUGGGUGACCAGCCCACUUGGAGUCGUGGCACUCCUUGAUAACUUCCUUCCGCAAGUUUCCCCACCUUGGCACGAACAGCCGAUCUCCCUUGGUGAGGAGGAUGCCUUCCUCUUGCCAAAAUCACCUUGUCUUUCCCUCGAGCACCUUCUCUAGCAAAUCCUUGGCUAGCGGAUCUUGUUGGAAGCCUUCCUUGAUGCGUGAGACAAGGUCGGACUUCGGUUGGCUCAUGCUAAGUGUCGCCAAUUCGGCCUUGCGGCUUAGAGCGUCCGCAACGACAUUGGUCUUGCCUGGUUUGUACUCAAGCCGAUAGUCAAAUUCCGCUAGGAAAUCUUGCCACCGCGCUUGCUUCGGACUCAACUUCUUCUGAGUUUGGAAGUAGCUUGUCGCUACGUUGUCCGUCAUAAUCGUGAAGUGAGAGCCUAGCAAGUAAUGUCGCCACACGCGCAAGCAAUGUAUGAUGGCUGUCAUCUCCUUUUCUUGCACUGUGUAGCGGCGUUCCGUAUCAUUAAGCUUUCAACUCUCGAACGCUAUAGGGUGGCCUUCUUGCAUGAGGACUUCUCCUAUGGCAAAAUCCAAGGCAUCCGUUUGGACUUCAAAGGGCUUUGUGUGGUCCGGGAGAGUAAGGACAGGUUCCUCCGAAAUUGCCUUCUUCAAAUCCUCGAAUGCGCGUUGGCACUCUUUAGACCAAUGCCACGUUCUGUUUUUCUUGAGCAUAUCCGUCAAGGGUGCUGCCUUGGCCGAAUAGCCCUUGAUGAAGCGGCGGUAGUAGUUCACCAAACCAAGGAAUAAGCGAAGCUCGGGCACUUUCGAGGGAAGUUCCCAUUCAAGGAUGGCCUUCACUUUAGCAUUCUCCAUCAUAAUCUUCCCGUCCGCAAUCUUGUGGCCAAAGAACUCCACCUCUUGUUGGGCAAACGAGCACUUCUCUAGUUUGAGGAAGAGCUCAUUGUCUCGAAGUACUUGGAGGACUUGUCGCAAGUGUUGGGCAUGAUCCUAGAGCGUGGUGCUAUACACCACUAUGUCAUCCAAGUACACGACCACGAAGCGGUUGAGGAAUGGUUGGAGCACCUUGUUCAUGAGCGUACAAAAUGUGGCGGGUGCAUUAGUAAGGCCAAAAGGCAUUACAAGGAAUUUGAAAAACCCGUACCUUGUUGUGCACGCUGUCUUUGGUUCGUCUCCCUUGGCGAUGCGUUCUUGGUAGUACCCUGAGCGCAAGUCGAGUUUGGUGAAGUACCGCACUUUGCCAAGCUGGUCGAACUAGUCUGCGAUCAAGGAAAUCGGAUACUUGUUCUUGAUAGUGAUCUUGUUGAGUGCUCUAUAGUCGAUGCACAUCCGCAGCGAUCCAUCCUUUUUCUUUUGGAAGAGGACCGGUGCACCGAAUGGGGCCUUUGAGGGGCGAAUAUAGCCUGCGUUCAGCAAGUCUUUGAGUUGUCUCCACAACUCUUAUAAUUUUGGUGGCGCCAUGCGGUAGGGCGCCAGGGCUGGUGGCUUCGCGCCUUGUUCCAGCUCGAUGGCAUGAUCUACCUCUUGUCGAGGUGGGAGCUUCUUCGGAAGUUCUGGAGGCAUCACGUCCUUGUACUCAUUGAGGACGACUUGAAUUCGCGGAGGGACUUGGCUUGGCGAAGUUCCGCUAUGUCCUUCCUCAUUUAGUUCUCGAAUAGAGACCAAGAAGCUUGGGUCCUUCUUGAAAGCCCUUUUGAAUUGCAUGGCGGAGAGUGUCUUCUCCUCGGACUUGCCUCGCUCCGUGGGUACCAUGCAUGCUUUGCUCCCGUCGAGAAUGCUUAGGGAGUUUGUAGCGGGCAGCGGGAAGGCAUGGACUUGGUCAAAGAAUUUCAUGCUGAGGACCAUCUUGAAGUCGUCCAUGGGCACAAUGGAGAAGUCAAGCUUUCCGCUCCACGUACCGAGUGUGAUGUGCACGCCUUGUACGAUUCCCGCAAUUGGCUUGGCGGGUGAGUUUACUACCUUCAUUGUGCCUCCUUCCUUCGUGGCCUUGAGGCCUAAGCGCUUGGCCUCAUCUACGGACACGAAGUUGUGCGUUGCUCCCGUGUCUAGCAGCGUGCGAACGGACUGGCCGUUUACCUUUGCGCUAACAUACAUGAGCCAUUUCUUGACGAGUGCGGGCUGUUGGCGAUUGAGUGCGCCGAGGCGUUGGAGAGAACCCAUGCUGAGUUGGGGUUCCUCCGUGGACAUUGUAGGGUUGCUCUUGAGUUGGGCAGCAAGAGCGUUAAGCGACCUCUUCUCCGGACAGUCGCGCACCCAAUGGGGACCAUUGCAUAUGAAGCAUGGGUUUCGCAGUUUUGGCGCCUCCUUCUUGCCCUCCGAUUUUCCUUGCCCGCUCUUGUUAUUAGGCGGCUUUUUAUGCCCCCAAUCUUUACGGUUGUUGCCCUUGUCCUUGUGACUCUCUCCCCUACCUUUGCCUUGACUAGACUUCUUGUCUUUGGAUUGGGUAGAGUAUUCGGUGAGCGAUUCCGCAACGGCGAUGGCGUCGUCAAGUGUUUGAACACCACACCUAUCAAGCUCGGUCUUGGCCCAAUCCUUGAGGCCAUCUUGGAAGUAGAAGAGUGAAUCUUUGUCAGACAUGUCGCUUAUCUCCAACAUAAGGGUAGUGAACUCAUUGAUGUAGUCCCGAAUGCUACCCGAUUGCUUGAGGCGACGUAAGCGCGCUCGCGCUUCCUUCUCCGCAUUGCUUGGGGCGAACUGUUUUCAGAGUUCUUGCUUGAAGUCGGCCCAAGUGUCGAUGGUGCAAAUGCCCUUGCCCAUCUCGCCAUGCUUGCGACACCACCAUAGUUGUGCAGCACUUCGAAGAUAAGUGGGUGCAGUGCCCACUUUCGAUGCCUCAUCUCGUACACCCAUGGCAUCGAAGUAUUGAUCCAGCCCGAAUAAGAAGUUGUCCACGAUUGUGGCAUUGCGUGUUGUUGUGCAAAUUUUAAUGUACUCGCAAGCGCACGAAUCUAUUAUAGUAUAGAUCAAUGGUGACGAGUGUCGAUCCCACGAGAAGGUGGAUUUUAAUUGUGUAUAGAAUUAAUUUUGCAAAUGGUUGAUUGGAUUUGUGGUGGAAAUGAUUUGGAAUAUGCUAAAACUUAAAUUAAAAUGGCGAGAAUAAAUUCUGAAAUUGGAAUUGAAAUGACGAGAAUAAAUUGAAGAGAAUUCUAUUGAAAUGACGUACUUGGGUAUCUGGAUCCGUAUCAACAUGCAUCAUGGGCUAAAUAAUCCGUAUUAAUGCCAAUUAAAUCAUGAGGGGGGAAUCCACACCUCAUGAACCACGCUCUAAUCAAUAUGGUGCUAAGGGCUUAUCGUGCCAAAUAAUAAUAACCUUGUACUAGAGAGCCGGUGUAACCAAGGCGGUAUCUAGACAAGAUCAGUAUUAUUUGUCGACGAUAAGUCAAAUCAUCCACAAAAACUAGAGGGGAAAAGAAAAUAAAUUUACCAAAUAAAGCCCAUGACACAUGUUGAGACUUCACCUUCAACCCAAGCUUGAAAGAAAAUUAGCCACUCAUAAUUGAACUAAGGGCAAAAUGGGAAUUUAUUAAAAUACAAAGAAAAUACAAGAUGGAGAAGGAAUUACAGAAAAUGGAUCCCAAAAAUGGAUUCAGAGAUAUCAAAUUAGGGGGGGGAGGCCCCCUUUUUAUAGAUACAUGGAGUAAAUCAUGGCCAUCGGAUUAAAAACAGUUUGGACGCUCAGGAUUGCGCCACGUCAUCAGUCAACAGUCCACGGUUUGACCACGCGGAUGAACAGUAACACGGUUUGACCUGGAUGAACAGUAACGCGGUUUGGUUGACAAUAAUCCUGUGUGAUGCAUGCACCGUACGCGAGAUUUUUCGUCCACUGAUAUGCUGCCACGUCACCAUCAACAGUACAUAAGAUUUUAGUCCAACAGGAUCGUGACACCUCAUCAGUCAAUGCCACAUCAUCGGUCAAUGCCACAUCAUCGGUCAAUGCCACGUCAUCGAUCAAUGCCACGUCAUCGAUCCGUCUAUGUGAACAGUGUCGUGAACAGUAACGUAGACAGUACCGUAUACGUGAAUAGUACCGUACAUGUGAAUAGUGCCAUUUUUCCUUUUAUGCUCCUCCUAAGGUUUUCGACCGUCCUGAGUUCAAAAGUGAUGUCCGUUUUGCCAUCUGAUCUCUCCUUUAUUGUGAAAUGACUAUAAUGCCCCUAAAAUACAUAAAAUACUUAAUUAAAAUAACACACACGUAAUUACAUCACAAGAAGGUUAAAUACAUAAAAGUAAGGGUUGUUAGUAAGACUUGAAAUGUAAAAUGACGGUUUUCUCCUUUAUAAAUAUGCAUUUUCUAACACUCAACACACCCCCCAACCAGCUUAUUGCUAGUCCCUAGCAAAUAAAGCGAAAACAAAAUUCAAAUUCAAAUUUUUUUUUUUUUUUUUAGAAACACUCGUGUUUAUUCAAUCAGAUUAAUGAUAGCAAUCAAAUAAAAGUAUAAGCAUUAUCUCCAGUCUAAAGCAAUAUCACACCCACAUCAACCAUCCACAUGAAUCGGCCCAGUAGAUUUUGUUAUAGGUACUUUCAAGAAUGACAUGUCAAACCCCAAAAUCUCACUGGAAGUAAUGACACUCUCACAAAUAAAUUAAACCCAAUAAAAAUAGUCACUCCAAUGAAUGGUAAUUGAGAGAGAAAAUAAUAAAGAAGUGAUAUCACAUGCUCUCACCAAGAUGAAAUAAAUAUGCCCUUAGCUUAGAAAUAAUACGAUCUCAAGUCAAAUAAAAUGUUAGUCAACCCACUUUAUAUAUCUUUUUUUUUUUUUAUUAUGCAUCACUACAUCUUUUUAGCCCAUAUAACUAGCUUCUACUUCAAACUAUAGUUCCCUAAAAUCAAGAAGGACUUUUAUUAGGACGUAACGUAGGCUAGGGAUAUGGCUAAUAAAGAAAGGAAAUAAGGAAAACAAAGUGUAUGUUUGAGAAAAAUGCAGAAAUAAUUUUUUUUUUUUUUUGAAGUUGCAAGGUAGAUUUCACCUAUUAUUGUUAUUUUAUUCUUUUGAAACAACAACUUUUGUUUUUAUUUUAAUUUUUUUUUUUACUUUUAUUUGGCAUAACUUCACUGAACAACAUAAUUAUUUACAUUUUCUCAAACAUAAAUAGGUGAUGGAACUUAAAAGACAUUGGGUAAUACUCCAAAUCGGAGUGGGUCAAGAUGAUAAGUUGACAAAGAAAAUGUUUUUUUUUUUUUUUUUUUAAAGGCUCAAAAGGGGUAACUAUGGAUAUUUAAUAACAGGGAUGGCUAGAAAGGCUCAAACGGAUCAAAGAUGGUCUUUCCAUCGUUUUUUAGGGCUCUAAAUAAUUAUCCAUAUCUACUAGUUAAAUGGGCAUCCCAAUAUAGCAACACACAUUUUUUUCUUUUUUCUUUUUUUUUUUACCAUUUUUUUUUAAAGGGUUAACUCAAAAGAAAUCUAGAGAUCGUGUAUAAAAUAAUAAACUGCUAAGUUGUAUAGAGAAUGGGCAAAAGGGUUACUCUCCAAGAAAAUGAUAGGCUCAACUACUCACUUGGCACUUAUUUAUGACAUGUUCAUUCCUUCAAGCAACUCAUAUUUGUCUCCGACAUCAACAUGUAAAGUAGCAAACAUAGCGUAACAUCACUUAAGACCAAAGAUAAUACAAAUACUAAAAUUUGAAAUUAAUCAUGUCAUCCAAUGUUAAAACAAAUAACACAAUUUUUUUUUUUUAAACAACAUUCUACCCCCCAACCUAUUCUAAACAUGAAAGGAAAAUAUGCAUGCAGAAAUGUGAAAAUGAUGUAGAAAAAUUAAUUAGAAAAAGAAAUUUUUUUUUUUUAAACUAAGAAGAUGCGUUUCUAGAGGCACUACACUCCAUAUUCAGCCAUCUUCGACUCAAAAAUUUGAAACUACAUAUUUAUAAAGGAGAAAGAGGAAGAAAACAGGUUUUUUUUUUUUUUUUUUUUUUUUUAAACGAUGAAGAUGCGUUUCUAGAGGCACUACACUCCAUAUUCAGCCAUCUUCAACAUAAAAUGUUAGCAACAGUUAGUUUCUACAACAAAAAAUCAGUAAAAACUUAACCAAGAUUCCACAAUUGUCGACUAUUCCCUCCCCCCAACCAGAACGAAACAUUGUCCUCAAUGUUUUAAAGGAAAGAAGUAGAGUUUAGAAGACAUCACCUGGGUGGUGCAACACAGAAGAAAAUAUUUACAGGCGGAGAGUUAAAUCUAAUUUGUACUUCUUACUGCGGCUACUGUUACCAUCAUUAUUUGGUCGCUCCAACACAAAGGUCCAGGGGUCUGGCUCCGGUUUAUAAGCUUGUAACAUAUCAAGUAGCUCAUUAGCAGUGUGAGCACAAAUAAAGAGUUUUUUCACAUUAGAAGGAAUGAAAUAGUUUUUUAUUGCAUGGUUAAGAAAUGCGAUAAAGCCAUCAUAAAAGUUAUUGACAUUUAACAAACCGAUGGGUUUCUGGUGGAUGUGCAGAUGGGCCCAAGAUGCUAGUGUCAUAAGUGCCUCUAGUGUUGCAAGAUCUCCUGGAAGGAAAAUAAAAGCAUCAGCAUGAUUAAGCAUUUCAGUUAUUCUUUCUUGCAUACCUGAGACGACUAACUCUUCUCCAGUUGAUGAGUCAGACGAACUGCCCAAUGGUUUUAGGAUUCUUGGGAUGAUGCCUAACACUUGACUUCCUCUGAUAAAAGCUGCUUCUGAGACCAUUUUUGAUAACCCUCGGUUACCUCCUCCAUACACCAAAUGUAAUUUUCUCGCUGCUAUGCUUCGACCAAGAUCUAUGGCUGCCUCCACGAACUCUUUAUGUUUGCCAUAGGUAAAUCCAGAAAGCACACAAAUGUUCUUGAAUUGUCUAUUAGGAGUAGCUGCCAUUGUGAUACUUCUCAAAAAUAAUUUGUGAGUGCUUGACAAAAGAUAAAUCACAUUUAAGAAUCUUGGUGACAGUGGAUCACAGCUGUGAAUAAGGUAACAUGUCAGUGUCAAAUAACGCGUAAAGCACGUGGCUCGCGAGUCAAAAAGGAAACAGUAAAAAGGAAAAAGCAAACAGUAACAAAAUUAUUAAAGACAAUAAUGCAAACAAUAAAACAACAGUGAAAUGAAAUAAAAUAACAGUAAAGUAAAAGGAUAUUUACACGUAGUUGCGACUGUGGCUCACAUCUUCCUCUGGUUUUACGUCCAGAAACGGCUUGAACGCCCUCUAUGGGUCGAGGAUAGGCUUCCUAUCCAGUUUUCUUAUAAACUGGCAAACAGGGUCGUUUAUAGUCAGAUUCCCAAGACUAUAUUGUGUAUGCUCUUUCUGGAAUAAUGGCCAUAACUGGAGAAUCGCUCCUUGCACAUAUCCACUGGGAUGCGUUUCAAGAGACAAAAGGAUAUCAUCCAAUGACUCCUUAUUCAAGCCAUCCCUAAUGAAUUGAAUCUUAUCUUCUCUGUUAUCAGACACCAUUCCUAAAGAACAUGGGUUUCUAUCGCAACUCAUUCUGGCACACUUGUGACAAGCAACAGAAAUUCUUCGAGCUCGUCGUUUUCUUGCGUAAUUUCCUUUACCACAACCAGGCAUGUAUGCAAUAAAUUUAGGAGGUAACUCACCUGCCAAUCGUACUUUAGCCUCGAUUAACCAACGGAUGUCUGCAGGUAUGUUAUUCCUCAUGAGCAAUCGCAUGCGUUCAGACCGGGCUUUAUAGAUUGUAAGGAGGGCAUUCUGAGGAAGUGAAGGGAAUCGCUUGUGAAGCUUUGCUAGAAUCUCGUUUCUAUCCAUACCUUCGCCUCAGAAUAUCAGUUAUUAUGGGAAACUGAAGUAACCGACUUGAUUGUCACGGAGUACCGUUAUCCGCCACUUCACCGGGGUAACAAACUAAAGCACACAAAUAGAAAAACAAAUCAAAACACACAAAGAAAAUUAAAAUCGUCCUCUUAUUGAAUUUACCUCAAGCUCCAACUGGAUGUCGUAAACACUUCUCUCAAUGUCUCUGAGUUGGCGUUCUAAACCCUCAACAUAGGCUACUAACUCUGGUGGUUGUAGAGCCCAAAUGCGUUGUGUUUUACAAAAUNNNNNNNNNNNNNNNNNNNNNNNNNNNNNNNNNNNNNNNNNNNNNNNNNNNNNNNNNNNNNNNNNNNNNNNNNNNNNNNNNNNNNNNNNNNNNNNNNNNNNNNNNNNNNNNNNNNNNNNNNNNNNNNNNNNNNNNNNNNNNNNNNNNNNNNNNNNNNNNNNNNNNNNNNNNNNNNNNNNNNNNNNNNNNNNNNNNNNNNNNNNNNNNNNNNNNNNNNNNNNNNNNNNNNNNNNNNNNNNNNNNNNNNNNNNNNNNNNNNNNNNNNNNNNNNNNNNNNNNNNNNNNNNNNNNNNNNNNNNNNNNNNNNNNNNNNNNNNNNNNNNNNNNNNNNNNNNNNNNNNNNNNNNNNNNNNNNNNNNNNNNNNNNNNNNNNNNNNNNNNNNNNNNNNNNNNNNNNNNNNNNNNNNNNNNNNNNNNNNNNNNNNNNNNNNNNNNNNNNNNNNNNNNNNNNNNNNNNNNNNNNNNNNNNNNNNNNNNNNNNNNNNNNNNNNNNNNNNNNNNNNNNNNNNNNNNNNNNNNNNNNNNNNNNNNNNNNNNNNNNNNNNNNNNNNNNNNNNNNNNNNNNNNNNNNNNNNNNNNNNNNNNNNNNNNNNNNNNNNNNNNNNNNNNNNNNNNNNNNNNNNNNNNNNNNNNNNNNNNNNNNNNNNNNNNNNNNNNNNNNNNNNNNNNNNNNNNNNNNNNNNNNNNNNNNNNNNNNNNNNNNNNNNNNNNNNNNNNNNNNNNNNNNNNNNNNNNNNNNNNNNNNNNNNNNNNNNNNNNNNNNNNNNNNNNNNNNNNNNNNNNNNNNNNNNNNNNNNNNNNNNNNNNNNNNNNNNNNNNNNNNNNNNNNNNNNNNNNNNNNNNNNNNNNNNNNNNNNNNNNNNNNNNNNNNNNNNNNNNNNNNNNNNNNNNNNNNNNNNNNNNNNNNNNNNNNNNNNNNNNNNNNNNNNNNNNNNNNNNNNNNNNNNNNNNNNNNNNNNNNNNNNNNNNNNNNNNNNNNNNNNNNNNNNNNNNNNNNNNNNNNNNNNNNNNNNNNNNNNNNNNNNNNNNNNNNNNNNNNNNNNNNNNNNNNNNNNNNNNNNNNNNNNNNNNNNNNNNNNNNNNNNNNNNNNNNNNNNNNNNNNNNNNNNNNNNNNNNNNNNNNNNNNNNNNNNNNNNNNNNNNNNNNNNNNNNNNNNNNNNNNNNNNNNNNNNNNNNNNNNNNNNNNNNNNNNNNNNNNNNNNNNNNNNNNNNNNNNNNNNNNNNNNNNNNNNNNNNNNNNNNNNNNNNNNNNNNNNNNNNNNNNNNNNNNNNNNNNNNNNNNNNNNNNNNNNNNNNNNNNNNNNNNNNNNNNNNNNNNNNNNNNNNNNNNNNNNNNNNNNNNNNNNNNNNNNNNNNNNNNNNNNNNNNNNNNNNNNNNNNNNNNNNNNNNNNNNNNNNNNNNNNNNNNNNNNNNNNNNNNNNNNNNNNNNNNNNNNNNNNNNNNNNNNNNNNNNNNNNNNNNNNNNNNNNNNNNNNNNNNNNNNNNNNNNNNNNNNNNNNNNNNNNNNNNNNNNNNNNNNNNNNNNNNNNNNNNNNNNNNNNNNNNNNNNNNNNNNNNNNNNNNNNNNNNNNNNNNNNNNNNNNNNNNNNNNNNNNNNNNNNNNNNNNNNNNNNNNNNNNNNNNNNNNNNNNNNNNNNNNNNNNNNNNNNNNNNNNNNNNNNNNNNNNNNNNNNNNNNNNNNNNNNNNNNNNNNNNNNNNNNNNNNNNNNNNNNNNNNNNNNNNNNNNNNNNNNNNNNNNNNNNNNNNNNNNNNNNNNNNNNNNNNNNNNNNNNNNNNNNNNNNNNNNNNNNNNNNNNNNNNNNNNNNNNNNNNNNNNNNNNNNNNNNNNNNNNNNNNNNNNNNNNNNNNNNNNNNNNNNNNNNNNNNNNNNNNNNNNNNNNNNNNNNNNNNNNNNNNNNNNNNNNNNNNNNNNNNNNNNNNNNNNNNNNNNNNNNNNNNNNNNNNNNNNNNNNNNNNNNNNNNNNNNNNNNNNNNNNNNNNNNNNNNNNNNNNNNNNNNNNNNNNNNNNNNNNNNNNNNNNNNNNNNNNNNNNNNNNNNNNNNNNNNNNNNNNNNNNNNNNNNNNNNNNNNNNNNNNNNNNNNNNNNNNNNNNNNNNNNNNNNNNNNNNNNNNNNNNNNNNNNNNNNNNNNNNNNNNNNNNNNNNNNNNNNNNNNNNNNNNNNNNNNNNNNNNNNNNNNNNNNNNNNNNNNNNNNNNNNNNNNNNNNNNNNNNNNNNNNNNNNNNNNNNNNNNNNNNNNNNNNNNNNNNNNNNNNNNNNNNNNNNNNNNNNNNNNNNNNNNNNNNNNNNNNNNNNNNNNNNNNNNNNNNNNNNNNNNNNNNNNNNNNNNNNNNNNNNNNNNNNNNNNNNNNNNNNNNNNNNNNNNNNNNNNNNNNNNNNNNNNNNNNNNNNNNNNNNNNNNNNNNNNNNNNNNNNNNNNNNNNNNNNNNNNNNNNNNNNNNNNNNNNNNNNNNNNNNNNNNNNNNNNNNNNNNNNNNNNNNNNNNNNNNNNNNNNNNNNNNNNNNNNNNNNNNNNNNNNNNNNNNNNNNNNNNNNNNNNNNNNNNNNNNNNNNNNNNNNNNNNNNNNNNNNNNNNNNNNNNNNNNNNNNNNNNNNNNNNNNNNNNNNNNNNNNNNNNNNNNNNNNNNNNNNNNNNNNNNNNNNNNNNNNNNNNNNNNNNNNNNNNNNNNNNNNNNNNNNNNNNNNNNNNNNNNNNNNNNNNNNNNNNNNNNNNNNNNNNNNNNNNNNNNNNNNNNNNNNNNNNNNNNNNNNNNNNNNNNNNNNNNNNNNNNNNNNNNNNNNNNNNNNNNNNNNNNNNNNNNNNNNNNNNNNNNNNNNNNNNNNNNNNNNNNNNNNNNNNNNNNNNNNNNNNNNNNNNNNNNNNNNNNNNNNNNNNNNNNNNNNNNNNNNNNNNNNNNNNNNNNNNNNNNNNNNNNNNNNNNNNNNNNNNNNNNNNNNNNNNNNNNNNNNNNNNNNNNNNNNNNNNNNNNNNNNNNNNNNNNNNNNNNNNNNNNNNNNNNNNNNNNNNNNNNNNNNNNNNNNNNNNNNNNNNNNNNNNNNNNNNNNNNNNNNNNNNNNNNNNNNNNNNNNNNNNNNNNNNNNNNNNNNNNNNNNNNNNNNNNNNNNNNNNNNNNNNNNNNNNNNNNNNNNNNNNNNNNNNNNNNNNNNNNNNNNNNNNNNNNNNNNNNNNNNNNNNNNNNNNNNNNNNNNNNNNNNNNNNNNNNNNNNNNNNNNNNNNNNNNNNNNNNNNNNNNNNNNNNNNNNNNNNNNNNNNNNNNNNNNNNNNNNNNNNNNNNNNNNNNNNNNNNNNNNNNNNNNNNNNNNNNNNNNNNNNNNNNNNNNNNNNNNNNNNNNNNNNNNNNNNNNNNNNNNNNNNNNNNNNNNNNNNNNNNNNNNNNNNNNNNNNNNNNNNNNNNNNNNNNNNNNNNNNNNNNNNNNNNNNNNNNNNNNNNNNNNNNNNNNNNNNNNNNNNNNNNNNNNNNNNNNNNNNNNNNNNNNNNNNNNNNNNNNNNNNNNNNNNNNNNNNNNNNNNNNNNNNNNNNNNNNNNNNNNNNNNNNNNNNNNNNNNNNNNNNNNNNNNNNNNNNNNNNNNNNNNNNNNNNNNNNNNNNNNNNNNNNNNNNNNNNNNNNNNNNNNNNNNNNNNNNNNNNNNNNNNNNNNNNNNNNNNNNNNNNNNNNNNNNNNNNNNNNNNNNNNNNNNNNNNNNNNNNNNNNNNNNNNNNNNNNNNNNNNNNNNNNNNNNNNNNNNNNNNNNNNNNNNNNNNNNNNNNNNNNNNNNNNNNNNNNNNNNNNNNNNNNNNNNNNNNNNNNNNNNNNNNNNNNNNNNNNNNNNNNNNNNNNNNNNNNNNNNNNNNNNNNNNNNNNNNNNNNNNNNNNNNNNNNNNNNNNNNNNNNNNNNNNNNNNNNNNNNNNNNNNNNNNNNNNNNNNNNNNNNNNNNNNNNNNNNNNNNNNNNNNNNNNNNNNNNNNNNNNNNNNNNNNNNNNNNNNNNNNNNNNNNNNNNNNNNNNNNNNNNNNNNNNNNNNNNNNNNNNNNNNNNNNNNNNNNNNNNNNNNNNNNNNNNNNNNNNNNNNNNNNNNNNNNNNNNNNNNNNNNNNNNNNNNNNNNNNNNNNNNNNNNNNNNNNNNNNNNNNNNNNNNNNNNNNNNNNNNNNNNNNNNNNNNNNNNNNNNNNNNNNNNNNNNNNNNNNNNNNNNNNNNNNNNNNNNNNNNNNNNNNNNNNNNNNNNNNNNNNNNNNNNNNNNNNNNNNNNNNNNNNNNNNNNNNNNNNNNNNNNNNNNNNNNNNNNNNNNNNNNNNNNNNNNNNNNNNNNNNNNNNNNNNNNNNNNNNNNNNNNNNNNNNNNNNNNNNNNNNNNNNNNNNNNNNNNNNNNNNNNNNNNNNNNNNNNNNNNNNNNNNNNNNNNNNNNNNNNNNNNNNNNNNNNNNNNNNNNNNNNNNNNNNNNNNNNNNNNNNNNNNNNNNNNNNNNNNNNNNNNNNNNNNNNNNNNNNNNNNNNNNNNNNNNNNNNNNNNNNNNNNNNNNNNNNNNNNNNNNNNNNNNNNNNNNNNNNNNNNNNNNNNNNNNNNNNNNNNNNNNNNNNNNNNNNNNNNNNNNNNNNNNNNNNNNNNNNNNNNNNNNNNNNNNNNNNNNNNNNNNNNNNNNNNNNNNNNNNNNNNNNNNNNNNNNNNNNNNNNNNNNNNNNNNNNNNNNNNNNNNNNNNNNNNNNNNNNNNNNNNNNNNNNNNNNNNNNNNNNNNNNNNNNNNNNNNNNNNNNNNNNNNNNNNNNNNNNNNNNNNNNNNNNNNNNNNNNNNNNNNNNNNNNNNNNNNNNNNNNNNNNNNNNNNNNNNNNNNNNNNNNNNNNNNNNNNNNNNNNNNNNNNNNNNNNNNNNNNNNNNNNNNNNNNNNNNNNNNNNNNNNNNNNNNNNNNNNNNNNNNNNNNNNNNNNNNNNNNNNNNNNNNNNNNNNNNNNNNNNNNNNNNNNNNNNNNNNNNNNNNNNNNNNNNNNNNNNNNNNNNNNNNNNNNNNNNNNNNNNNNNNNNNNNNNNNNNNNNNNNNNNNNNNNNNNNNNNNNNNNNNNNNNNNNNNNNNNNNNNNNNNNNNNNNNNNNNNNNNNNNNNNNNNNNNNNNNNNNNNNNNNNNNNNNNNNNNNNNNNNNNNNNNNNNNNNNNNNNNNNNNNNNNNNNNNNNNNNNNNNNNNNNNNNNNNNNNNNNNNNNNNNNNNNNNNNNNNNNNNNNNNNNNNNNNNNNNNNNNNNNNNNNNNNNNNNNNNNNNNNNNNNNNNNNNNNNNNNNNNNNNNNNNNNNNNNNNNNNNNNNNNNNNNNNNNNNNNNNNNNNNNNNNNNNNNNNNNNNNNNNNNNNNNNNNNAUGAACUAUCAGAAAUUGGGUAAAUGAUACCUGCGUCUAAUAGCUUAAGGACUUCUGUUCUAACAACUUCUUUCAUAUUAGGAUUUAACCGACGUUGCAUUUCCCUAGUAGAUUUAGCAUUUUCAUCAAGGUGAAUGUAAUGCAUGCAGUCUACUGGAUUUAUACCUUUGAUGUCUGCUAUGGUCCAUCCUAAUGCCCCUUUGUGCUCUUUUAAAACAUCCAACAACUUACCUUUUUGUUCGUCAUUUAGGGAUGAUGAGAUGAUUACCGGCAGAGUACUUUCUUCUCCCAAAAAUGCAUAUUCCAGAGUGUUGGGUAAUGGUUUGAGCUCGAGUUUCGGUGGUGAUUCUGAUGAUGGAAUGAGUUUCUUCUCUGAUGGUGCUAGUUGUUCAACUCUUGACUUCCAUUUAUUAGUGUCCAUGGAUGGUGCUGAGUCAAGUAGGGCGUUGACCUCUUCGACCGAUCUGUCAAUAUCAAAAUCCAAACCAAAGUGAGUUAAACAUGUUUGUAAAGGAUCAUCACUAAGGUUUGAAAGAAAAGUAUUAUCAACUAUUGUUUCUAUUAAAUCCACAUCAACAAUUCCAUCAUCUGCACUGUGAGGUUGUUUGGCAAUGUUGAAGAUGUUUAGCUCCAUAGUCAUGUUGCCGAAGGACAAUUGCAUAUUUCCGGUCCUACAUUGAAUAUGAGCAUCUGCAGUUGCCAAGAAAGGUCGGCCUAGAAUAAUGGGGAUGUGCUUCCUUGAGUCCUGUAUUGGUUGAGUGUCAAUUACAAUGAAAUCAACAGGAAAAUAAAACUUGUCUACCUGGAUAAGCACGUCCUCCACAAAACCACGAGGUAUUUUUGUGGACCGAUCUGCAAGUUGUAACACCACUGGAGUUGGGUGUAAUUCUCCCAGUCCAAGUUUCACGAAUACAGAGUAAGGCAACAAAUUUACACUAGCUCCUAAAUCCAACAAAGCAUUCUCAAUUGUGUGGUUCCCUAUACUACAUGAGAUAGUGGGGGAGCCUGGGUCUUUGCAUUUUAAAGGAAUUUUAUGUUGGAGUAUAGAACUAACGUUUUCUGUUAAAAAUGCCUUCUUUUGAACAUGCAUAUUUCUCUUUUUAGUACAAAGGUCUUUAAGAAACUUGGCAUAAGAUGGAACUUGCUUUAUAGCAUCAAGUAAAGGGAUGUUAACACUUACCUGUUUGAAGAUUUCGAGAAUCUCACCUGUGGAUUUUCCUUUCUUGCCUUUCGCUAACCUCUGAGGAAAUGGAGCUUUCGGAACGUAUUCUCGUGGGUUGGUUUCUUCUUUCUCCUCCGGUGGUGAGUCUUCAACAUUCACAGGUACAAUUUGAUUUUCUUUUGUCACCGGCAUCUCCACUUUGUUGUCGACUUCCUUUCCUUUUCGCAAGGUCAUGACUGCUUUGACCUCUCCAUGCUGUUGUGGUGAACUGGUACUUGCUUCAUGUACUCCUUUAGGAUUAGGCACUGGUUGACUUGGAAAUUUUCCUUUCUCAACAGUCAUUGCCAAGGUCUGAACUGAAGAAGCAAGUUGUCCCACCAUCUUCUCGAGGCUUGAAACUGAUUGAGCUUGUGAGUUGAAGCCUGCUCUCAACUCAUUUCGUAGUCCAUCAAUGGUGCGGUUCUGUUGCUCAAUCGUAGAGUGAGUAGCAUUCUUGAAAUUCUGGAAUGAAUCCUCCCAUGGUCUGGGUUGAGAGUAGUUUUGGUUCUGAUUGAAUGGUCUAAAUGGGGGCUGAGAGGCUUGAGGAUUUUGAGGAAUUUGUUGCAUUGGUGGAGCUGCUGGUCCAUUCUGUUGGAAUCCUUGAGACCAUGAAAAAUUGGGGUGGUCUCUCCAUCCAGGAUUAUAUGUGUUGGAGUAUGGGUUGUAAUUCGAUGGUUUUCUCAUUACACCUAUGGCAUUGGCUUGAUCUGAGUAUGAGUCAUGGUCAUGUGAUUCUGUUGAUUUAGCAGUCGAUAACGAUGCUAUUUGUCGAGCAAGACCUUCAACCAUCUCCUUGACUUCUUUGAUUUCCGAAGUUGACUCGCCAAUUUGAACCUCAUUUACUCCCUUAAUUCUUCUAGUAUUCCUGAGUGAUCGACUCCGUUGUUGGGAAUUAUCCGCUUGUCGCUGGAAGAAUUCCCAAAUCUCUGAUGCACUUUUUGACAUUAGCUCUCCUCCACUUGUUGCCAUUAGCCAUUCUUGCACAUUUGGUAGUAAUCCCUCCAAAAAGUAUUGACAUUGGUGCCAUUUUUCGUACCCAUGAUGUGGACACUUCAAGAGUAGCCCAUUGAAUCGCUCCCAUGUUUCGAAAAACUGCUCGUCCUCUCUCUGUGUAAACUCUGAAAUUUCCCUGCGAAUAGCAUUGGUUUUAUGCACUGGGAAAUAUUUAUUCAAAAAUUUUGUAACCAUUUGUUCCCAUGAUGCAAUGCUAUUAGCAGGCAAUGUAUUAAGCCAUGAACGAGCUCUAUCCUUUAAAGAAAAUGGGAAUAAUCUGAGUUUAACAUCAUCGUCUGAAAAAUUCUCAUAUUUGAAUGUUUGACAAAUGGCAUGAAAAUCAUUCAAAUGAUUAUAUGGGUCCUCAUUUUCUAAGCCAUAGAAUGUGGGGAGACAAUUUAGCACACUAGGUUUUAAUUCAAAACUCCUAGCAGCUACAUUUGGGUAUCUUAUGCAUGACGUGCUCAAAUUAGCUAAGGGACUAAAAUAGUCCUUAAAUGGCCUCUCCUGUGGUGCUUGUAAAUCUAUUUUAUUUUUAACGUGUUUGUGUGUGCGAAGUGUUUUUUCUAAUUCAAGGUCUAUAGGUUCAAGAUUUGGUAAUAAUGACCUACGACCAUGCAUGCAAAAUAAAUAAAAUAAAAAUAAAGAUGGGAACAAAAACAAAUAAAAAUAAAGAAGAGGGAGAAAUUACGAUACUAACCUUAUUGCGCUAUUACAACCUUUCUAUAAAAAUACACAAAAACAAAUACGUGAAAUAAAUUAACUAAAAAUUAAAUUAAUAAAAUAAACAAAAAUUACAAAGAAAAAAAAUUAAAAAUUAAAUUACAGAAUUUUAAAGAAGAGAAAAAGAAAAGAAAUAAUAACCUUUAAAUGUAGAUUUACUUUUUUUUUUAAUAAAAAAUACAAGAAAACAAAUAAAAGAAAUUAUUCACAAAAAUUAAUUCUAUGAAUUAAAAUUACUUACCUCCCCAGCAACGGCGCCAAAAACUUGUUGUGCAAAUUUUAAUGUACUCGCAAGCGCACGAAUCUAUUAUAGUAUAGAUCAAUGGUGACGAGUGUCGAUCCCACGAGGAGGUGGAUUUUAAUUGUGUAUAGAAUUAAUUUUGCAAAUGGUUGAUUGGAUCUGUGGUGGAAAUGAUUUGGAAUAUGCUAAAACUUAAAUUAAAAUGGCGAGAAUAAAUUCUGAAAUUGGAAUUGAAAUGACGAGAAUAAAUUGAAGAGAAUUCUAUUGAAAUGACGUACUUGGGUAUCUGGAUCCGUAUCAACAUGCAUCAUGGGCUAAAUAAUCCGUAUUAAUGCCAAUUAAAUCAUGAGGGGGGAAUCCACACCUCAUGAACCACGCUCUAAUCAAUAUGGUGCUAAGGGCUUAUCGUGCCAAAUAAUAAUAACCUUGUACUAGAGAGCCGGUGUAACCAAGGCGGUAUCUAGACAAGAUCAGUAUUAUUUGUCGACGAUAAGUCAAAUCAUCCACAAAAACUAGAGGGGAAAAGAAAAUAAAUUUACCAAAUAAAGCUCAUGACACAUGUUGAGACUUCACCUUCAACCCAAGCUUGAAAGAAAAUUAGCCACUCAUAAUUGAACUAAGGGCAAAAUGGGAAUUUAUUAAAAUACAAAGAAAAUACAAGAUGGAGAAGGAAUUACAGAAAAUGGAUCCCAAAAAUGGAUUCAAAGAUAUCAAAUUAGGGGGGGAGGCCCCCUUUUUAUAGAUACAUGGAGUAAAUCAUGGCCAUCGGAUUAAAAACAGUUUGGACGCUCAGGAUUGCGCCACGUCAUCAGUCAACAGUCCACGGUUUGACCACGCGGAUGAACAGUAACACGGUUUGACCCGGAUGAACAGUAACACGGUUUGGUUGACAAUAAUCCUGUGUGAUGCAUGCACCGUACGCGAGAUUUUUCGUCCACUGAUAUGCUGCCACGUCACCAUCAACAGUACAUAAGAUUUUAGUCCAACAGGAUCGUGACACCUCAUCAGUCAAUGCCACAUCAUCGGUCAAUGCCACAUCAUCGGUCAAUGCCACGUCAUCGAUCAAUGCCACGUCAUCGAUCCGUCUAUGUGAACAGUGUCGUGAACAGUAACGUAGACAGUACCGUAUACGUGAAUAGUACCGUACAUGUGAAUAGUGCCAUUUUUCCUUUUAUGCUCCUCCUAAGGUUUUCGACCGUCCUGAGUUCAAAAGUGAUGUCCGUUUUGCCAUCUGAUCUCUCCUUUAUUGUGAAAUGACUAUAAUGCCCCUAAAAUACAUAAAAUACUUAAUUAAAAUAACACACACGUAAUUACAUCACAAGAAGGUUAAAUACAUAAAAGUAAGGGUUGUUAGUAAGACUUGAAAUGUAAAAUGACGGUUUUCUCCUUUAUAAAUAUGCAUUUUCUAACACUCAACNNNNNNNNNNNNNNNNNNNNNNNNNNNNNNNNNNNNNNNNNNNNNNNNNNNNNNNNNNNNNNNNNNNNNNNNNNNNNNNNNNNNNNNNNNNNNNNNNNNNCACUGGAGUUUGCGGAAGCUGGACUUGCGGAGAGUGUGCGAUUGUUCCAUGCCCAAUCCGAGCGGACUUCAUCCACUUCCGCACGGACAACGUGUAGUUCGUCCUGAACAAAACUACGAAGUUUUAGCAACUCAUCAUGGAAAGAUCAAAACUCACCUCAGAGAGUGUUCGCUUACUCAUGGAUGAGAGCUUUUGUGGCCACCGUGAACUCGGCGUAUUCUCCCUUGAGACCGUCCACUCUUCCUUCCAAUCCCUCGAGGCUUUCUUGAGCGGCGGACAAUGCGAUUUCGAGAGUGCCUACACGAGGCUCCAACGCAUCCACGGAUGGGGCCUUGGACUUGCCGCGAAUCUUGCCUUGGGCGCGUUCUCCCUCUCGGCCGCGGCUUGGUUCCGGUGGAACAUCCACACCAACAACACCCUCUUAUGCUACGUUCGAAGGGUUGGCCAUUGCUUCGUGAGCUAACUUGUGUGCGUGCAAACCUUAGCUCUGAUACCACUUGUCACGGGAUGAGUGUUUUGCGCAGCUAACCCGUGCGGCACUUAGACAACUUUGCCGAUUGUUGCUAAGUAAGCCUAGAGCUUCUCGAACAAGAGAAGAGAGCAAUUGAGCCAAAGAAGAAACUUGUAUUGCACAAAGAGAGAUUACAAUGCUUGUUGCUUACAAAGCUUGUUAGAUACAAAUGCCUAAUGCCAUCCCAUAUUUAUAAGGGAGACUUGCCAAGCUCUAGAGAUUCUAGAGAAUUCUACCCACUAUCUAGAAUUUACAUGUGCUGGAAAGUCAUAGAGAAUUCUAGAGUAUUUACAAGCUCACAUGUGCUAGAGUUUCCUAGAACUUUCCGGAAUUGGGUCAAGCUAGCACUCUUGGCCUUGUGUUGGCUCUCUAGCCCGAAAUUGUGGGCAAUUGGGCUAGUGAAUUGGGCGGUCCGCAACAUUUAGGUGGGAUAUGGGAGAAUUGUCAAGAGUUCACACCAAGAGAAAUUAAUGAUAGGCCUAAUUUCGUUGUCAAUUCUUUAUUUAUUUAUUUUAUUUUUUUAUACAUUAUUGUCUUGUUGGCAUUGUUUUGUAAAGAUAUAAAAGUACAAGUAAAAUAUUAGGGGAAGUAAAGUAAAAUAUUGGAGGUGUUGCUAAGUUACAGCUGCCGUAACUUACAGUUCCUUAAAAAAUAAUGUAAAAAAUUUAACACGUGGUGGGACCCACAUUAUGUUUGAAGAGGCCGUAAGUUAUAGCAGUUGUAAAUUAGUAAAAUCCAAAUAUUAGACAAUAAUACACAUUAACAAUGCAUAUAAUUUGAGUUUGAUUUUUAAAAAAAUUAUGUGAGUAUUACCUAUCCUUAAGACAUUAAUGAGAAUAUAUUUUAAUUUUAAAUAAUCAAAAUCUGUUUAAUCAUAAUAUGUAAUUCAUACAUUGCAUGUUAGAUUUGUUUGGAUUUUAAGUUGUUGCUAAUAAAUAUUUAUGUUGUGAAAGUCGAAUUCAAUAGCUACAAAAGCAGAGAUAAUGGUAUUUUAUGUAGUUUUUAAGAAUACAAGGAUAAGACCAUAACGCAUGAGAUAGUGUUAUUUUAUAUUAAAAGACCAUAACACAUGUAUUUGAGCCAUUUAUAUUGAGGACACAUAUAGAGCGAAAAGUGCAGAUCCGGCCGUAACUAUUGUGAAGCUUUCCUCAAGUAUUCUCAUGCACGCAGACCUUAGCUGGUCAAGUUUUCUGAUUUAAUAUAAUCAAUUUCCGCGCAGUACUAACGACAGCUUCUUUGUAAAGCUCUUCAACCACAAGCAUUUCUACAAGGCAAAAGACUAGGACGUGUCGGAAUGAAUAUCAAUAAGGGAAUGUCUUAUGAAUUUAGUUUAUAUCCUAAUAUAAGACAAUCAAUAAAUAUUAGAUGCAAUCUAAGGGCUAACAUUUGAUUGAUCAUUAUACGAAAAAAAGGUACAAAAAUACAAAACAGAGCUGAUUGAUGGCCUCUCACAGUCAGUUAUAUGACAAAGUAGCCACCACAACAAACUUGAACUUGGCUGGAGGUCUCAUUAGCAGUAUACCUCCGAACUUAAGACAAAGACUUUAAAAUGCAAACUUAUGGAGCAAUUUAAGCACUGAAACUAAUAACAGUACGGUAUUAGCAAUUGACCUCUGCUUUUGCUUAGACAAAGGUUCUCAUCACAAUGGAUUCAUUAGUUGCCCUUGCCUCACACGUUUGGAUGCUAAGGGGAAAAAGGAAGUUUGAAUUAGUCAAUCUCAUUUCUAAUGGCAUUCACAGAGAACCUAUAAAGCAAAAAAAUAAAUAAAAAUUUUCAUGUUGCAAGUGAGCUCGUUUUCAAUCGAUUUUUAUUGAUCAUAAGAGAUCAUGUGGCCCACCUUAUUUUUAUUUUGGAUCCAUAACCCAAAGCUGGCCCAAGUUCUGAUUCCAGAAUCAUUUGUCUACAAAGUGACCUCAUUCCGGCAAUUGGUUUAUGCUAAUAGCACGUGCAAUUUUCAUUUUCUUCUUUUUAUUAAUUAAUUUCAUCAUUAUUAUUUGCUUAUUAGUUUAAAUUAAUUAAUUAUAUUGUAUUAAUGAAAUUAGUCUUUCAUUUUCUUUUCUCUUUCAAUGCACAAAGCCAAACAACCAUUCUUUCUUCAAAUACCGAAGAGCUCCUGACUACGGCUGUCAAUGCUUCUAUAUUUAUGUGCUGUGCUGCAGCACUCUUAGCGAAAGCUUGAAUGAAUGAUUAAAGACAAAAGCUUAUAUAAAAGCAGAUGCCGGAGGCACUCAAAAAGCAUUUGAGAGAGAAGCUAAACAGCAAAUCAUCAAACGCACUUCAAUGACUUUGAUUUUGAUUUUUGUUUCAAAAGAAGUAGAAAAGUCCAUGGGUCACGAUAACUGCUUGUCCUCUGCCGUGACCUCAUUGUCCGCUGCUAGUGUCAAAUAGAUUAAUCUUUCUAGUAGAUUAAUAUAAUUUAUAAUUUUAAUUUCAGUAUUAAUUUUUAAAAUGUUAGUUGUUAUAUUUAUUUUAAUGAUAUAUCUAUUUUUAGUAUAAAAAUUUAAAUAAAUAUUUAGAUUAAAUAGAAUUUAUAAUUGAUAUAAUAUAUCUCAUGUAUUAAUGAUAUUUAAAUUAUUUUAAAUAAUAUUAAUCCUAACUUAAAAUUUUAUAUAUUUAUUUUAAUGUUAUGUUUCUAUAUAUUAUAAAAUUUAGUUUAAUAUAAUAUAAGAUUGUAAAGUAUUCAAAUAUUUUUUAAAUAUUAAAAUUAUUAUAAAAUGUAUAUACUGUUACAUUUUUAACAUUGAAGUCAAUCUUUUUUAAGUUAAUAGAGUGAAAAGAUAUAAUAAUAAAAGGCUAUGUAAUCUUUCACUUGCACAUAUUCUGUACUCUCUGGAGCACGACGGUAGGAAACAUGAUUACAGAUGUUAAAUUCGCCUUUUUUCACAAGUUUAUCAGCUUCGUUUGCGGCCUCUGCUGCUUGUUUACCAAGCUUGUAACGAGAAAUCAAAUUUGGGCACAACCCUUUGAAGCAGAAUAUCUUAGCUCUAUCUUUAUCAUCAAUGAUGGAUUUUGCAACCCCUUCACUGAAUUCAGCAACUCUAUUUAGCCAGUCUCUGACACCCUUAUAAAUCUCAUCUCCUUGUAGAGUAGCCUCUCUAACCAGUGUUUGCACCCUUUCUCUUAUAUAUUCCAGCUCCUUCACUCAAUCUUUUAGCCCAUUUAUGUAGCUCUGGUACUCGAACACAUAAGAUAUGUGCCGCAUAAUCAGUUCGAAUAAUGCUUUUGAACAUUGUGAUACAAUGCUGGAAAAAGCAGGGAGACACCCUUCUGCAGCCAUUGCUUGUUGCUUAACAAUAUAUAUAUAUAUAUAUAUAUACAAGUGUCAAAGAAAGGAAUACAAAUAAAUUAAUAUGAACUAGAGAGAAAGAUAGAGAAUGAAAAGACCGCCAACAAUAUCGCUAUAUUGAUCUUGAACCAACUAAUAAUUAAAUAGAGAAUUUCUUUUUCUUUCUUAAGGAUCAGAGGUUUUGCUAUUAGCAAAAAGGUACUUCAAGGGUCUGAAUAAAAAACCAACCAUAAAUUAUCAAAAGCUAGUAAGAACACAGACGUAAACAAUGAACAAUUACUUAAGCCAAACAGACCAUGAUACAAAGCAAAUCUAAUAAAAUGACAAAGAAAGAAAGAAAGAAAAUACAACAAACAGUAUUGAAGUGUUGAUCAUGAGCCAACUGAUAUUUAAACAGAUUUUUUUUUUAAUUUUUAGUCUUUUCUAAAAGGAUUAGAGUUCUUGCUAUUAAUAGAAAGGUUUCAAAGAUCUGACACUAUUAGAAAAGUAUUAAAUAAUGACAAAAAUUUUAUGACAUAUAUGGUUGUAUCUCGAAUGUGUCAUAAAAUUAUGAUAGAUUCAUAAUAUGUAUUCAUAUGCCCAGAAUAUAUGAUAUAUUCAUGACUUAUAACUUAACCGUAGUAAAUAAAUGAUACAUAUAAGUCAUGAUUAAGUUUUGUGACCUUAUAAGAUUGUAAAACAGUGUCGUUUAAAUUAACGACACCGUUCUGUAUAACUUAAAACACAUCAACACUUCAGCCAAAUUUUGGCGGGUAAAAACCCAUUUAGUCCCUAUAUUUUAAGAUUAGUAUACAUUUAGUCCCUAUAUUUUUAAAAAUGCCUCGAAACGUUCCUGCCGUUAAAGUAUUGAUACCCCUACUGUUACUUUUUAUUUCUUUUGGCUUACUUUUACAAUAUUAUAAAAGUGUAAUAUUGUAAAAGUAAGCCAAAAGAAAUAAAAAGUAACAGUAGGGGUAUCAAUACUUUAACGACAGGGACGUUUCGAGGUAUUUUUAAAAAUAUAGGGACUAAACAGACACUAAUAUUAAAAUAGAGGGACUAAAUGAAUUUUUACCCAAUUUUGACUAAGCGUUGAAUAAAUCCCUCUCUCUCCACUGGCGACUACAACCUAAAAUGAAUCAACUCUGAGCCUCUCUCUAUAACACUAUAUAGAACCCUAAACCUAAGAGCAUCUCCAAAAGGCUUUAUAAAUUUUACUCUUUAAAUAUUUAUUUGCUUACCUAUGUGGCUAAUAGAAGAGUGAAAAAAUAUAUUAUCUCUAAAAGACUUUUCAAAUAUAAAUGAGUUAAUAUUAUUUUAAUUAAAUAAUUAUUUUUUAAAAUGAAAAGUCAAUAAUAAUUAAAUCAUCUCUCUCUUUUUCCAACAAAAAUAAUAAAAUAUAAAUUAAAAAGAAAGAAAUCAACUCUCUAAAUUUAAAGAGAUAGAAUAAUUUUUUAUUUAAAAAAUUUUAAUUAAAAUAUUUUAUAAAACUUUAAAUGUUGACUUAACUUUUCAGACAGCUAAUAAAAUAAGAAAUAAAAUCUUAUUUGAAAAGUGUUUUCCUUAUAUUUUAAGUCUCACAUUCGCAACCGACGAAGCUGAAAAAGUUCCCCACAUAUCAAAACCACAGCGAACUGCCUCCGACCCUACGGACCCAAAAAAAUUUAUUGUAUUCCUGCUCUUUCACAUCAAUAAUUUUUUGUAUUAUUCCAUAACCCAAAAGCUUUCCUCUGUUUCAACUAAGCGAAAAUUUACAUAUUAAAGCCUAGCUCAAAUUCCUUUUUUCAAUCGAAAUAAAACGUAGCCCCAAAACCCUAAUUCACCACACCAAUUUAUCUCUGCCCGGUAUUCAUUUAAACCCUACCUCGCGGUUCAAUGUCAUUCAAUACGAUUGCAGAUGCCGUUUCAACUUGUCAUUUAGUUAUUGCCAUCCAGUUCUCUAUGGUAAGCCUUAACCCUAACAACUAAUCGACUGUGGUAGCACGUUGCUUGUUAGGAGUGGGGAUACAUUAUUUAACUAUAUGAAUUGGGUGAUGUUAGUGAUUCAUUCCCCUAUUUGUCAUGAAUUAAGAUUUGUGUAUAAUGCUAGUCAGAUUGCUAAAAAUUUCAUAUUUUGUAUUGUUCCAGUUGAAUUUCUUGCUUGUGGAAGAUAAAACAAAAGUUCAAUUUCAUGUUGAUUUAAUUCUUCUUUUUCUUCUUUUUUUUUUUCUUCUUUAUAGUCACGCUCUGGCUUUGGUGCUAUGCUUAGUGCAGUUUAUGGUUUCAAGAUUAAGUCACGUUUAUUUGAUGGCAUCGAUUCCAUCGUUGAGGAUUGGAUUGUUGAUCAAAUGCACAUAGUAAGCUCUUCUUAUUUUAUCUCAGUUUUAAUUUUCUUUUAUUAUCUGCCUCUACCUGAAAAUGGACGUGUUUUACUAGUAAGCAUAGACUUUGUUUAUUUAAUUGAUAUUUUAAUUUUAUGUAUAAGAAUAGAGGUUUAUUUUGGAAAAAAAAGCAAUAAAAAAACAGACUCUGUUGAAGCUAAUUAGUACUGAAUGUUUUUGGUGGUGCGACCAGAGGUGGAAACAGGGUAUGAAAAUGUGUUACUAGUGAGGUUGCUGCUUAAGAUGAGAAUGCAUUCUUUUCAAAAAUCCUUGGUAGGUGUGAUCUAAUUAUAUUUGAUGGAAUAUUAAAUGGCUAAAAAUCUGUCAUACGUUCAAACUUUGUUUGUGUUUGGAAGAAUGGUGUUGACUGUAUAUUCGUUUGGAAGAAUGGUGUUGAUUGUAUAUUCAUUUGCUUAGCCUUUUGACAGAUGGAUUUGAAACUGACGACAAAUGUGAUUCAAUUUACAAGGUUUUCGAGGGGCUCACAGUGGAAGGGAUAUUGAAGAACUGGUCUAAGAUAAAGCCUAUGAUUGUGAAAGAUUGGAGUGAGAAUAUAAAUGCUCGUUUAAAUCUCUUUGGCAAGGUCAGAGAUGAAUGGAUAGAUAAGGAUUUAUUUGACUACUUGGACUGGUGCUAAUAGGUAUUUUAGGCAAGCUUUUUGAGAUAACACUGAGCAAGUUAUACUACUAGUUUGCACAUGAUGAUCAAAACUCUCAAAAAGUAAAAUAAAAUAAAUUAUUAACUUUUACUUAUCUUUUGCAUAGCAAUCAAUGUGGUGCUUGUUCUGUGACAACUUUGAUAAUCUACUUAAUUAUUGGUUAGCAUUUGGACCAAAAAAGUUCUUAUGAUUUACAUGUUUUGUAGAAAUGCAUGAACCUUAAAUGUGCUGAUCAGGGAGUUUAAUUAUUGCACCUUGAAAUUCAUUUAUUGUUAACUAAUUGGCUUUCCUUUGCAUAAAGCCGCUUAUAAGGCUUGAGUGGACGUCUUUAUGGGCAUAUUAUUUGUAUUUCUAUAUGCAUGCCUUUAUCACUUAAUGUGCUGCUUUUAUUUCUUUAUGCAUGCCUUUAUCAUUUAAUGGCCAGCUCCCUCUCCUCUUUUGUAAUUUGAAUAGUAGUAUGGGCCUCCAUUUUACAAAUCUUUAACAUUUUUUGCUGUAAAUUAAUUUUUCUUUCAAAUAUUUUGGAGGUCAUUGGAAUUCCUGUAGGUCUAUUUACCAGAUUUUAGUAUGUUUAAGGUUUUAAUUUUGCUUAAACUUUAAUUUUUCUGAAAGAUUGUAGUAUUGAUCCUUAAAGAAAGAUCAUGCUACUUCAAAUUAUUUUGAAGUGUUGCCAGUUAUAGCCUUACAUAACAAAUUCCAUUUGUCUGGAAAUUUAUUGAUAGCUGUUACAGCAGCAUAUUUUAUGACUCUACUUCUUAGUUAUGUAAGUUCAUUAUGUUUAGGUCAGAGGCAGUCAGCUGUGGGGAAUCGAUAUAUACACAGAUGACUUUGAUCUUGUUGCUGGUAUGUGGUUCUAUGAAUAAUUGUGUUUGCCUCACUGUUUUUGUUUUAUGAGAUCUAUAAUUGAUCUUGGGAUAUUACUUUCUAGUCCUCAUGCAAGCAAGUUACUACCUUCCCACUGCAUCUCCUCCUUUAUCUGCUAUUCAAGAGUUGCGUGCCAUAAUCUGGUGUUACCUCUGCAAGAUUGUGAAUGAAUAUAAUGCCUCUAAAUUUAUUUUAUACAUAAUGCUGAUGCUGAAUAAUAUAUUGUAGCUCCUGUCAUAUUCUACUUUGACUUUUUAUAUUCUGUUUCAUAUAAAAAUCUUAUUCAACUUUAGUUGUUCAUGAGCAAAUGUCACAUGUAUAAGCCCAAAUGAUGUUUAAAGGUAGCGCGGCUACCUUUAGUUUGAGCUUACAAUGGAUGAAAAAGAAAUUGAAACUGAUAUUUUGCUGUUUUUCUGAUUUUUCAAAGUAUUUUAGAUCCUGAGUUUUGUUUGGACUUGAUGGUUAUAGAUUGUGUCUAGAUUUGUUAAGUUGUUUCCAACACCUCGUGCCAAAUGAAAGCACAAUCUUUCUGAUUCAGAUGUCUUGUUAAUUAUGCUUCAUUUUUUCGUUAAAGAUUGGAUGGUUGCAUGGAUUGAUGGAGUUGGAGUUCAACCAAUAAUUCUAAUUUUUUGGACUUAAAAUGCCUUUUUCUUCUGUAUAAAAACUUUAGUAAGUGCUAUUGAGUUGACGGAGGUUGAAUACUUACAGGUUGUUUCACACUUUUUAAUAGUUUUACAUAUAUGAAUUUCUGUUUUUUGAAUUGCAGAAAGGAGGUGGAACUAUUGAUUUGGAGCCUUAUCUUACUCACUCAUCGACAAUGGAGCCUAUCCUCGCUCCCAUGGCAGUGGAACGGACAACAACUACUAGGGCUGCAACAUCAGUUGGUUUGGGUCUGUUUUGAGUUUAUUUUCAUUUAUUUGGCUAUGUUUUGAUAGCGAAUUUUGAUAUGUCAAUAUAAUGUGUAAUUGUUUUGGGUUGAGCUGGUAAUUAUGCUGGAUUAGAUUGGUUUGGUUUUGGUGCUUCUCUGAUGGAACUCUGCUUUUUUUAGAAAUUUUGAAUGUAAUAUGAGACUACAUUUAGUUUAAUUUAACACUGCAUCUAGUCUAAUUACUAGAAGUGUGGCAUUUGGUUUGGUUUAUCCGAUAUUCUCCAGAAUUUCACUUGCAUCUGGUUUUGUUGCAUAUGUUUGCUUGCAUUUGAUGGCAGUAGCAGACUGUUUGGUUUUGUGACAUUUGAUGGCAGUUUGGUCUGUUCUUGGUGUUGAUUUAAGAUUGUUCCUGUUGUGCUGAUGUUAAUUGCAGGUGCUUGAAUCAGCUAGGGUUGCUGGUUUAUUCAGAUGGUUGACUCAGGCGUUGUUACUGGUUAAUUCAGGUGGCUGACUCAAGUUGUUCAUUUAAUGUUAGGAAGCAAACUAAGAAUUAAUGAAGUAUUCAUUUAACUAUAAUUAUUGUAGUUAUUUUAUUUCAUAACUGAAUUAUAAUCUAUGAUACUUGUGAACAAAUUAGAGAAUUUUUAUAUAUGAAUUAUAUAUGUGUGUGUAUGUACAUUUUGCUAUUUAUAUAAUAAUUUAAAGAAUAUAUUUCAAUUCCCACAAAAAAAAAUGGCUCCAAUUUCAAUAAUUCCCGCCAAAUAAUUAAAUUUUUUUAAUUUACUGCCAAAAUAUAUCUUAAAGAAAUGUUAGUUAUUCUUGCUAGAUUUAACAAAAAUAAUUUGUAGGAUUAACAUUUAAUUAAAAUAAUUAAAUAAUUUUAUUAUUCCAAUUAAAUAUGUCAUGUUUAUACGUCAUACAAUAGUCAUGAAUGGGAAGUAUUAGUUACAUAUUUUUCCUUGGGAUUUCAGGCAAAUGAAAAAAAGAUUGAGAAUGGUUUCAAGAGGACAGGUGGAUGAUAAGUAUUCAUUUUUGUAUAUUUGGUUAGGGGAUUUUUAUGGUAUUGAUCUUUUUUUUUUUUUAAAUUUUCAAUUAGUUGCAGCCUUAGAGGAAGAGCAGGCUGAUCAAAUUGAUUUGUCUUGUUUUUCGGGCAAUCUACGACACGAUGAUCGUGAUAAUGCUCGUGACUGCUGGAAACUUUGUGAUGGAAAUAACUUUAGAGUUCGUAGCAAGCAUUUUUGUUAUGACAAAACAAAGGUUCCCCCAUAUUUUGUUUGUUUGUUAUGGUAUUUAUAUAUCCUGCAUAGGCUAGGUAGACAGGUUAUGAUGUAGUUUGGUUGGCUCUUCUUGUGCUUUGUGCAAUUUGUAACUGCAGAUACCUGCGGGAAAACAUUUAAUGGACCUUGUUGCUGUUGAUUGGUUCAAAGACACAAAGAGAAUUGACCAUGUAGCUAGGCGUCAAGGCUGUGCUGCACAAGUAACUAUUCUUUUCUUUUUAUUUUUCCUUUUCCAUUGAUGCAUUAGGAGAAAAUAUUGCCUGUGAGAUACUUCAAUGUAAAUAACUUCUCAUGGUUCAUUGAAUCUAUAACACACUGACCCUCUUCUAAAAAACGUAGGUUGCUUCUGAAAAAGGGCUUUUCUCACUGAUCUUUAAUCUUCAAGUAAGUUUGUUUCAUUUCAGAAGGUAUUAAGUUUCAAACUUAUUGUAUUGGGAGGUUGUAUAGUUGUAACCUAAGCAUCUGCAGGUUCCUGGUUCGACACAUUAAAGUAUGGUAUUUUAUUUUGUCACAAGGCAAUUGGUUAUGGGAUCACUUUUGCAACGGUUUGUUGAUGGCGAUGAUGAGUUUCGCAAUAGUAGGUUGAAACUUAUUCCAUCUGUUCCUAAGGUAUCCAUCUUGGCCUUCAUGUAUUAGGACUAUAUUAACGUAUACUUACCCUUUUCUGCAUGGUACACUUCAAUUUGUCCAAAGAAGGCAUGCAUUUAGGUGUAAAUGUAUUGAUGGGUAGUACCUUCAAACUUCAUGUCCUUUUUACCCUCUUGAAUUUGUUUUGCACUUGUUCUUGAUUUUAAGCACUGAAUCAUGCAGGGGUCAUGGAUCGUGCGCCAGAGUGUUGGAAGCACCCCUUGUUCAUUAGGGAAAGCGGUUAAUUGUAACUAUAUUCGCGGUUCCAAGUACUUAGAAGUAAAUGCUCUUGGAAUUUCUAUAGUACAUGAGAUGUUCAUCUUUCAAAUAGCGUCCGAUACCAUUAACAUGGUUUAACAUUGUUCAUCUUUUUGUAGAUUGAUGUUGACAUUGGUUCUUCUACUGUUGCUAAUGGAGUUUUGGGCCUUGUAAUUGGUGUAAUUACGACAUUGGUGGUUGACAUGGCUUUCCUUGUACAGGUAUGUAUGAUUGUUUUUUUCCCCCACUUCUAAAUGGACACAAGGGAAAAGACAUGAUUUUGAGAUAUUGCACUGCAAUUUGCAUUUUUGCAUACUUGAAUGUUCUCAGAAUAGUAUAAUGCUUCGUGUGUGUCUUCUUUAUCUUGCUCUUCUGUAUGCAGGCAAAUACUACAGAUGAAUUACCGGAGCGGCUGAUUGGUGCUGUACAUGUUUCUCAUAUAGAACUCAAGUCUGCUGUUGUCCCAAAGUUGGAACCAGAGAUAUCAUGACUCUGGUUUCAUUUCACCUCAACUGUGUUUUUUUUUUUUUUAAAUUAAAAAAACAUUUGUUUUAGGUAUACAUACAUGUAUUUUGAUCCCAUUUUCAUGGGAAUUUUGCAUUAAAAAAUGAAGAAUAGUGAAUAGGAAAUUUCUUGAUUCUUUAGUUACUAUUUUUGGUAUGAGUGUAAAUAGUAGUAAAGUUGGUUUCUACUCGCAAACAAGUGAACUGCUCGAUUCCUGAGUGGUAUCAACCAGUUUCCAACUUUUUAAUAUACACUAAUUGUUAUUGUUUAAUAGCUACUACUAUUAAAACUCAACAGCUGACAAAAAUACUUAAAAAAAAUGAUUUUACUUCUUUCCACGAGAUCUAUAACAUGGUCUUGACUUCACGAAAUUCUUUUAAUUUAAAACGUGCUGGUGUGAGAAGGUCAGUUUGACGGAUUAAUUCUUUUUUAACAGUGGUCGAGAUAAUUUUACUAUACUCAAAAAUAUUCUUAUUCUGAUAGUGCCAUAAAUGUUAUGCUGUUUUCUUCGGCUAAUGGUCUUCUAUCAAGAGAGGGUAGAAAUCAAAUGCUUAAAAGACCAAUUGAAGGAAUAAUACAGAAAUUUAGGCAGAAUCUAAUCGAAUAUUGCAUGAAACAGGAAACAUCAAUUCAAGUCCUUUCUUAAACGGAGAAUGCAUCAAACAAAAUCCAAAGUGUCUUGCAAGUCUGUAGCAUGAGCAAAAAAUUAUUCAAGUACAGAAGAAUGAGCAAGCUAAAUCAUGUAUAAGAGAUUGGUCUGGUUCGGGAUAGCUUCUUCACUGUACCUAAAGGGUUGGCUCAAUCUCUUCUUUAGAAUUCUGCAGAUUUUGUAAUUACUCGUGUAAGCAAGCAUACAUUGCCACCAUAAGAAUAAUAAAGCUAGAGUAAUGAUAUGACCACCACCUCUCGUGCACAAACAAUAUUGUAUAAACUAAUGAGACAUAAUAUGAUUGGUUAAACAAAAACAUUACAUGGCCCUCAUAAUAAUAAUAAUAAUAAUAAUAAUAAUAAUAAUAAUAAUUAUUAUUAUUAUUAUUAUUAUUAUAUAUUUUCAGUCAACCAAUCAUAUUAUAUCACAUUAGUUUCUAUAAAAUAAUUAGCUAAAUAGCACCAAAACUUAAUUGAUACUCACCAUUUCAUUGAACAAUUUUUUUAUGGUGUCAUUGAGGUUGCCUUCCCAACAUCCUUCAUCAUCAUCAUCUUCUUCUUCGGUGACGUUCACUUUGUUUAGCAUUGGUGUGUCUAAGAGUCCUUGAGAGAAGAUCUUCAUUUUUGGACACUGUCUCACAACUACUUGUUUCAAGGACGGGAAUUCAAGAGCGUAAUUACCUAAACAAAAGCUUGUUAGGCUUGGCAAACAAUCAAGUCCCAAGUACUCCAAUUCCUUGAAAACAUUGCAAUCUUUCGCUUCUUCUCCAACCUGCAAUUGUAUGAUUUGUUCUAUCAUUUUGCAAUCAGCUAUCAUCAUUCUUCCGAGAUUCACUAGAUUUUUAGAUGCUGAGAGCGUCAACACAUUUAUCAACUCGUGACACUUCGAUACUUUCAAAGCCUCAAGAUUUUCCAAAUGCCACGAAGGUGGUACUAAUUUUUGCAACUUACUACAUUCCGAUAUUUCCAGCCUUUCCAAGUUUGCAAACGCUUUGUUGGAUUCGUCAUUUUCCUUCCAGAGAUGCUGCACUUUGUGUAAUCCAGACAGUCUUAAAUUCCCCAAUUGAGGGAAAGCAACCUGAAAAUCAACAAAAUUAAGUUGUAAAUGAAAAUAUGUAUCCAAUCUCUGCAGUCUUCCCCUGCAUAUUUUAUGGACAAGAUUAAUCACGGCAUUUUAUAUUUUAUUUCCAAAUUAGUAUGCUUUGCACUAGGAUCCCAAAUAUAAGUAUCAAAUCGAUUACCCUUUGAAACACAUAAAUGAAAACUGAUACUAAAUCCAAUAUGAAUUGAUAAUCAAUACUAUAAAGUUACCAGUUCAUCACCUCAUGUUACCAGUCAUCAAAAUAAUUUAGGACUUUUUUAAUUUAUACUAUAAAGUUAGUUAAUAACUGCGGUUAUAUUGUUAAAUCAUAUAUAAAUUAAGACGACGUGCAAAAAGAUGUCAUUAAAUUUGAUUUGAUUAUAAUGAAAUUACAUAUGUGCGAACGAAAGUGAAGGGAAAAUAAUAAUAAUGAUUACCUUUUCAUCGAAGAGAUGUUGUAUUUGAUUAGCUACCAAGAGGUUCUCUUCUGAUUUUAAUUUUUGAGGUUCCUUAUUAUCUGCUGUCAUGUGCAGUACAAAUGUAGAAUUGGAUGUGAAUGUUUCCAUAUCAGGGCAAUUCUCAAUAAUUAGAUAUUCCAACUUAGGCAGUUCAAUUAUAUUCCCAGUGAAGUUGCAGAAUCUUUUGAGUUUUGGAAGAUCAAUGAGCUUUAGGCUUAAAAGCCUAGGAAACAGGGGGCCUAUAUGUUCUUCCUUAGCACUUAGCUCUUCCAAAUGAAGCACCUCUUCUAGUGAAUCACAAUUCCUCACUGCCAGCCAUUCCAAAUUGUUCAAGCACCGUAGCAGAUUGGCAGGAAUAGCACUCGACAUAUUCGUGCUGUCAUCCACCACCAGCUCCGCUAAAUUGUUGAAGAAUCUGACAGGCAGUGCUUGGCCAUGCCAUAUUUCUUGCAAGCGUGGAAAAUGCGAGAGUUGCAAACGGUUUAUAUCAAGGAAUCCAAUCUGCACAAACCAAAACAAUUGCACCAGAAAUAUACAAUUUUUUUUUUUGAAAGGCAUUAUAUAUAUACACAUUAAACUUACAUUUUUUGUGUUUUAACUUCUAAAAAUAUAUAUACAAGGGAGGUGUAUAUGCUUAAAUGUGCAAGUGAAGGGAGAUGCAUGAUGAACAAUUUGGGUGAAUUGAUUAACACAUACCUUUUCGUCAUAACACUUUUGUAUAGUGGAAUUAAGGUUAUUGCCUUCCCAAUGGUGUAGUUCACCCUCUUCCUUUUCAGUCACUUGCACUUUGCAUGGCUUUGGAAUGGAUAAUAUUCCCUGAGAAAAAGUCUUCAUGUUCGGACAACGUAUCAUAGAAACUCGUUCCAAUGAUGGGAAUUCAAGAGUGUAAUUCUCCAAACAAAAGCCGGUAAGUGUUGGUAAAUAAUCAAGUAUCAAAACUUUUAAUUUGCUAAAAGCAAUACGAUUCUCCUUCACUUCUUCUCCAACAUGUCUUAUGAUUUCUUCUAUCUUAUCACACCACGAUACAUUAAGAUUCACCAGACUACUAGGAAUUCCAACCUGAAAAUAAGCAGAGAGUGUGUGUGUGUGUACGUUAAAAAAGUAAAAAUGUAAGAAUAUCAUUCAACAAGGUUCAAAGUAUGUUUAAAUCAUACAAUUAUACAUUUUAUAAACAUAACAAACCAUGAAAUGUCUACUAGAUAAUUUUUUGUUAAACAAAAAAGGCAACAAGAUAAAUAAAUAAAUAAAAGCCAAAUAAACAAAAGAUAAUAAAAAUGAAUUUACACUAUUUAGUAUUAGGAACAUAGAAAGAAUUUAAUGCAAUUUCUAAAUAUUUUAGACUUAUUUUGCAUCUUGACGCCAGUUUUUAAACAAAAUUUGCAAAUUUCAACUAUUCCUUUUGGGAAAAAAAAAAUCAACCAAAAUGCCGCUUUUUCCCUUUUUCCUUGGUCCCUUUUUUUUUAUGUAUAUUUAAUUUUGGAAACAAAAUUAAAGUGGAUCUUUAUUAAGUACUUCUAGACUCGAGGAAAUUUCUUUACAAUCAAGGAUCAGUUGUAAAUAAUCAUGAAUUUGUGGUUAAUUAAUGGCAUAAUCAGUUCGUAACUAAACAAGAGAUAUUAAUUAAAUUUGAAGACUUUUCUUUUCUUUUUUUCUUUUUCCAAUCGAAAUGUGAAGAAUUAAGGACAAGAGAAAUAUAUAGAUGAAUUUGUGAACCUAUAAGAUGAGUGACUAUCCUUUAAUUUUUGAAAAUUGUACUUAUUAAGAUAUGAGCAUAAACAAUUAAAUUGAAUUAUAUUAUGCUGUUGAAUCGUGAUUAAAAAAAUUACAUUGUUGAUUCUAAUGCUGGCGAACCUAAGAACUGGACUUAAAAUGUAGAUUUGAGAGUGGUGGUUCGAAGUACAAUACUUGAAAUAAAUAAUCAGUGGCUGAAUAUCAUUUGUAAACCCAAAAAUGGUUAAAAUAUUGUUGGAUGUAAUUUGAAAAAAAAAAAAAAAGAUUCGAAAUGAAUACAGCAACCUUACCAAUGGAGGAAAAAUAUUCAUUAGGUUAUCACACCCAAUUAUCUCCAAAUUCUUCAAUUUGCUGAAAGACUCCGAAGCAAGUUGGUGGUGCCAUAUUCUUCUCAAAUUAUCGAUCGACCUAAUAUGUAAUACCUCCAACCUAGGAAGUCGUACCUGGCAGUUAAAGAUUAAAUAACUAAUUAAUCAAUUAAUGGCAUAAUCAAUUGAUAACUAAAUUAGAGGCGGAUAUUAACUAAAUUUGAAGACUUAAGGAAGAGACAAAUAAAAUAUUGUGACUAAAAUAAAUUUAAAAAAAAAAAAAACCUUUUCGUCAAAGAGAGGAGGUUGCAUUUCAAAAUGAAUGGUGUCUUCUGGUGAGCUCGUGGAGAUGAAUCUUAACAUAUUACUGCAACUCUGAAUCUCGAGCUUUAGCAAAGAAGGGAAUUCAACAACUAAAUCUGAAUGAAUAUGUCCCGUAUUGGCAAAGCUUGUUAGCUCUGGAAGCCAAUAGAGCCGCAGGAAGUGUAGUUUAGGAAAAACCUUUAAUUCAAUCAACUUUCCUUCAUCUCUUCCUAACCACCCCGUCGUGUCGACUACCCCUUCCAUUGACUUACAAUCCCAUAUUUGAAGACGUUGGAGUUGCAAAAGACUAUUAACCAUAGAAUACGAAAACAGAUACUUCAUACGAUCACAACCGAACACGUGCAGCUUUGUUAAAUUUUGACAACAGUACAUUCCUUGAUUAUGAUCGGCCCAUAAUUUUUUUAUGUUUCUUAAUCUCGUGAGAUUCAAUUUUUCUAAGCUCGGAAGAAUAACCUGCAAAGAAAACCCGUACAUUUUUGUUCCUUCAAGUACAACCGUCUAGUAUAAUAUUCUUUUCAUGAUCGAAGAUUAAUCGUGAUAAUAAAUUAAUCAAUUAAUUAUUGAACGGAAAAUUAUCACCUUUGGAGCAGGAUCAUCAUCAGCAAUGAUUUCGUUGAAUCCCAAAGAAGUUGUUGGUUUCUCCCUGUCGGGUCCUAUAAACAAACAAAAACAAUACACAUAAUUAAUCUUUGUCGGUUUUUUUUUUUCAAAAUAAUUGAGGCGAAGUCCAUAAAUCCACCAACACUUAAUUUCAACACUUACCAAAAAUCAUUUCCAGAUCAUCGCAAAGACUUAUUAAUACUUUUUGAAGCCGCAGUAGGUUUUUUGCCAUGGAGAAUGAGAAAAGAUGCUUCAAUUUGUGACAGGAUUGUACUCCUAUAAUCCUUAAGUUGCUGAAAGAUUGAUCUUCUGUGAGUUGGCUGUCACAUAUUGUCUCCAAAUUGUUCAAAUAGCUAAGAAACAAUGACUCCAGCAAGGGAAAGACUGUACAAUGAACCCGUCCAACUGAACCGACAAUAUGCAAAAUCUCAGAACAACUUUCUACACGAAGAUGCUUCAAUCGUGGAAAACCUUCCCCAUCAUCUAAUUCAUGAACAACAUUCUGAACACCCUUAAGUUCGUAUAGAUUGAUAUCUUCAGUUUCCUUCAGUAACAUUUUCAUCCCAUAAUUCUCCAAAAGACUGCUAACAUUUUCUAGCCCAUGGAGCUUCAUCAAUCUUGAUGUUUCAGAAUUAACGGGCCAGAUGUCCCACACUUCUCCUAUGCAUAUCCUGUAUCUUGACAAUUCCACAAAGACCAAAUCCUGCAGCAGAAUUUGGGCAUCCCGAACUUGUAUCUCCAAAGUAGUUAGCUUUGACAACCCCUUCAACUCAGCAAGACUGGCGUUACUUCCUCCUUCAACCUUAUCCCACUGCGAAAAGCUGUCACCCAUAUAUAGUUCUUCCAAUCGAGAAAAUUUUGAUAUGACAUUUGGUGCUAUCACCAUAAGGCUGCUACAAUUGCUCAAAUCUAGCAACAAUAACCUCGUCAAUUGUCCAAUUUCAAGGGGUAACUGCUUAAUGUCGGAAUCUCGAAGGCUGAGAAUCUCUAAUUUCUUUAGCUGUCCAACUAUUGCUAUAUCUUCUAGUCCGCAACUAUCUAAACACAAUGUUUGAAGGUUAAUGAGGCGACCAAGUGAUGAAGGUAAUGAAGAGAAAGGAAUUCUAGUAAGACUUAAAACUUUGAGUUCUUCUGUCCCUUCAAAAAAGAGGUCAGAAAUUUGCAUAGAGACGGGCGCCAUGCCCCUUGCUAUUAACAAAAAUAACUUGAGUUGGGGACAUUCCAACCUUUCGGGAAGCUCUUGAAUAUCUUCGUAAGGUAAAGAANNNNNNNNNNNNNNNNNNNNNNNNNNNNNNNNNNNNNNNNNNNNNNNNNNNNNNNNNNNNNNNNNNNNNNNNNNNNNNNNNNNNNNNNNNNNNNNNNNNNGCAUUGAUACAGCAACAUCAUGAAUGAUGUCAUGCAUUUUAACUUCAUCUUCAGUAUCGCCAUCUAACAAUAAGCAUGAAGCUUUGAGAUUGUCGAUCAAUGCAUCCACUCUAUUCCUUGCAUCUUCCAAUGUGUGAACAUUUUUAAACAAACCCAAACCCAUACCAUAUCUCAACAGGGAAACAACUUCUACAGGAUUACCUUCACCAAACAGAGUACAAAGAAGGAACAAAGAUUUUGCUUCAUCACUUUCCAAGAAAUCGUAACUCAAUUUUAUGGAAGAAUACACAUAUGCAUCCAUACCACGAAUUUCUCUUAGAUUGGAACUUCUUAGCUGAUUCAAUGCAUCCUUCCAAAUGUUAAGACUCUUAUUUUUCAGAGCACUUGCAACUGUUCUCAGUGCAACAGGCAAUCCCCCGCAUUUUUCAACGAUCUCAUCUGCAGUGGGUUGAAAAUCAUAUGUUUUUUUUGAAUCACCCACAAUCUUCUCAAAUAACUGCAAUGCUUCAUCUUUGGAUAAAGCAUCGAUCCAGAAAUUUUUCUGAGAAUUCAUAUCAUUGCACAAUAAAUCUCGACUUCGAGACGUCAAUAUUAUUGUGCGUCUACUCCGAUCGUCCUCUCUAUCAUAAGGAAUUCCAACUUUAUCGAACUCAAGUUUUGUCCAAAUAUUAUCCAGUAUAAUGAGGAGCAGCUUCUCUUGCUUCAACCUUUGACACAGUCGAGAAGCUCUUUGAAAUUCAUUCUCAUUCAAGUCAAAUUCCAUGCCUAAAUCAAAAGCAAGUUUGUCUUGAAUUUUAUGAUGAUCUGGUGUCUGUGUUACCUCAGCCAUAACGACCUUAUCGAACAACUUAUCUUCCAUCACUUGCUUUCUAACUUGCUUGACUAGCGUGGUUUUACCCACGCCGCCCAUCCCGUAGACCCCAAUUAUUUUGAAACUAUCAUCCUUCAACGCAUCCAAAACAUCUUGAAAUACUUUCGUUCUUGAAUCGAACUCCUCGUAAUCUUUCACUGGCAUAUAUUCUGUACUCUUUGGAGCAGGACGGUAGGAAACACUAGAGAAGUUGCCUUUUCCCACGAGACUAGCGGCAGCUUCUGCGGCCUUUGCUGCUUGUUUACUAAGCUGGUAACGAGAAAUCAAGUUGGGGAACAACCCUUUGAAGCAGGACUUCUUAGCUCUAUCUUCAUCAUCAAUGAUGGAUUUUGCAACCCCUUCACUGAUGAAUUCAUCAACUUUAUUUAGCCAGUCUAUGACACCCUCAUAAAUCUCAUCCCCUUGUAGUCUAGCAUGAUUAACAGGUUGUUGCACCGUUUCUCUUCUAUAUCCCAGCUGCUUCACUUGAUCUUUCAGGCCAUCUAUGUAGUUCUGGUGCUUGAACACAUAAGAUAUCUGCCGUAUAAUCGGUUUGAACAGUGACUUUGAACCUUCUGAUACAAUGCUGGAAAAAGCAGCCAGACCCACUUCUGCCAUUGCCUGCUGCUUAACAAAUCUAAUAAUAUGUCAAAGAAAGGGGAAAGGAAUAGAAAUAAAUUAAAAUAAACUAGAGAGUGACAAAAAAGGAAAAGACAGCAAACAGAAUCGCAAAAUUGAUCUUGAAUCAACUGAAACAUGAACAGAGCAUUUUUUCUUCUUUCUUAAGGAUCAGAGUUUUUGCUAUUAACAGAAACGUGCUUCAAGUGUCCCAAAAAAAAAAUGAUAAAUGAACAAGCCAUAGAAAUUUUAUCUUGGAAAGUGGAUGGAAAUUAAGAAAGAAAUGGUAUAGAGAUCAAGCAUCAGAGAUUAUAUUAUUAAAAGAAAUUAAUUGAAGGUUGUGGAAAACCUGUUUAAUUAUGGAAAGUUGAUGAGCUUCUGUAAUCGCCUUGAGUAUUUAAGUGCAAUUUUGAUGAGCAAAAAGUUACUGUUACCUGCAGAGGAAUGUAAUUAUAGAGAGCUUAUGAGAGUAAUGACAAUGAUUUGCAAAAGAAGAAGACUCAAUCAUGGAGCCCUUAAUAUUUCUUUUAUGAAUAAACUGCCAGCAGGAAAAAUAAAAAAAAGUGGUAAAUUUACCAAGUCUUAUUUUAUUUUUAAUUUCUUUUAUUUUCAUUCGCCGAAGAGGGAAUCUCUUUUUUUUUCGUAAGGGAAAUAUCCUUUCCUAAUAUGUCAUGAUUAAAGCAAUCUAUAAAUAAUACAAUAAUCAUAUAAUGUAAUAAUUAAAAAGACCCACAUAUUUAUAAUAUUAAUGAUGGGAUCCAUACGUUCCUACUGAUUAAAUUGGUGGACCAGAAUUUAUUUGACCUUACUUGUUUUAUAUUUAAUUAAAAAUUGAAACGACAGAGAAAAAUUGUCGUAAUGAUGGUUUCGAUUGUGGAGUUCAGCUGUGGAUAGCACUUGCAAUACUGAAAAAGAAGCUUUCGUCAACUUUCUCACAUGGACGCGCACCAUCACGCAUAAUUGCAUAUUGCAUUAUUUCUCUAGAAAAGCAAAAGCAAGAUUUAUUCUUUUAAUAAGCAAACGCGUAGGUGGGAAUCCAUUCAUUAAACAAGUGGAACAGCAAUAUAUUAAACCAAUGAUAAGCAUUCUUAAGUGGGAAACCAAUUAUGACGGAUAGUUCAAAAUCUGAAUCCGCCUGAUGGACGGGUUUGACCGCAGAGCUCAAGAUAAUCUGAACCAUUCUCCUUUCGUAACUUAUAGAUAAUUUGAAAACAGGGGAAUGAAAACAGAGGAGCCCUGUUUUUCCUUCCUUUUUUUUUUUUUUUUUUCUUACCCAACUCUUCUUCUUUUGUAUAUUUUCCUUGGAAUUUUAGGUAAACCAAAAAACUUUGAGAAUGAUUUCAAGAGAAUAGGUGGGUAAUAACUAAAAUAUUUAUCUAUAUAUUUAUAUAAAGUUGGGACUACAAGAGAUGAUGUGGCAUCACCAUUUCUAAUUUUUGUAUAUUCUCUAUUAUCUAACAAAUAGAGAAAUUUUCUUUCAGAUUUUAUUUUUCAUCUUUUCAUAAUUAAUUUGACUGUUAUUAUACAAUCAAUAUGUAACAGUUCAUCAAAAGACCCACUAUCUUCUUUAAUUGAAACCUUCUUGAUCAGGACUACAAGAAGUAAUGUGGCACUACCAUUUCUCAUCUUUGUAUAUUCUCUAUUAUCUAACAAAUAGAGAAAAUUUCUUUUAGAUUUGGCUUUUUAUCUUCUCACAAUUAAUUUGACUGUUAUCAUACAAUUAAUAUGUAACAGUUCAUAAAAAAACUCACUAUCUUCUCUAAUUGAAGCCUUCUUGAUCAUAAAUUAAGCAAUAAUUUAUAAAUAUUUUUAAUCACUCUUCUCCUCUGACUCACCUAAAUUUAUAAAUAACAACAAAAAAUAUGAUAUCUCAUGUAAAUAUAAAAGAAUAGAAAAUAGCAAUAGCUCUAAAACAUUUUUUUUUUCAUUUUGGCCCUCACUUGCCUGAUCAUGGCAAAUAUUACAAAUGCAACCAGUAGGAAUGAUUGCCUCAACAACAAUAUGAAACCAGGCUACAAUCUUGCAACAAGACUUGAAGUUAGUGGAGGCCAAAUGGAGUGUUGGAACGUGUUAAUGGAGCUGAAAUCAUGCUCAAAUGAGAUUGUUAUAUUCUUCAUUAAUAGUCAGGCUGAUAUUGGCCCUGACUGUUGUCGCACUGGCCUGCAAUGCUCACCUCUCUCGGAUUCACGGCUGAAGAAGGGAACAUACUGAGAGACUACUGUGAUGCAUCUUCUGCUCCUUCUCCAGGUGGCCUCGCGGUGAUAUAUCAGCUUCAGGUUUCCAAGGUUUUUUGGCUUAGACAGGGUGCAUCUAUGGUACUUCAUAAUUAAAAAAAGUCUUUUUGGUUUUAUCUUUUCUUUAUUUUUUUAUUUUUUUUUUGGAAGUCUUGCCUCUUAAUCGAAUAGAAUAAAUUGUUAAAAUUAGAAUAAGAAAAAAAGGAUAAUAUUAUUUUUUUUCAAAGCCGCGCAAAGGGCGGUUCUAUUUCCUAGUUUUUAUAUAUUUGAUAAGCACGCUCACUAUUAAUAAAACCCAUUAAAUGCUAUAACUUAAAUAACUUCUUGUAGUUGAUUGAGAGUAUGUUUGGAAUUUCUUUUACUUCCCAAUAAUUAAUUUUUACCUUGAUUAUCAGAAAAUUAAUUUUAUGAAUAAUUUAGCCGGGUGUUUGGUAAAUGAUGAUUAUUUGACAAUCAGUUUUUAAAUAAUCUAUUAUAUAAAUAUAGUAAGUGAAAAUUAGAAGUAUAAUGUUCAUGUAGAAAUGACAAAAAUGUACUCAUUUACUUAUUUGUAAUUUAUUUAGAAUAUUAUUAUUUAAAUAAUUUUUCUUAUUCAUUGGAUUUUUUAAGAGCAUAUUCUAUUUUCUUGAUUACACAUUUAAAUAACUUUUUAUUAACUAUUUUAAUCUGCAAUAAAAAUUAACUAUAUUAUAUUUAACUAAAAAAUUUGUUAUGUAGUCCGUAAUAUACACAAAUACUUGAAUUUAUUAAUAAACUUAACUGCAAAAAAGAAAAUGCAUUACAUAUAUCUAAUUUCUUAUUUUCAACGAUUGAAAGAUGUUAUUUAGGAAACUUGUACGAGAUAAUUUAAUUUUGGACUAUUGACAUUAUAUUUACUUAGAAGUGGAAAUAGUGGGUGGAUAAAUUUAAUUUUUCAUUAAUUGCUCAAGAAGCAAGAGGAUUAGUGAUGGAUGGAGAGUUAGUGUAGAAUUGUGAGGCCAUUUGAUUACUGCAAGCAUUAUAAAUUUCUUGUUGCUGAGAUUAAUCUAAUUGAAUUAAUGACUCCAUGAUAGACUUAACAAAGGAUUCUUGUGGCAAGAUUUCUAUUUAUGAGGCCAUUUGAUUACUGUAAGCAUUAUAAAUUUCUUGUGGCAAGAUUUCUAUUUAUGACUCCAUGAUAGACUUAAGUUUUAGUGAGACAAUUGCUGCCUGUUGCAGACAUGAUACCUCUAGUACUUCAGAAGAUAGCAUAUCACGAAACACAUCCAGACUAUACUGAGGUUACAUCGAAAAUUCCUUGGCCCAUCGUGCGAGUGUGUGACAUCCCGCAACAAAAAUUAGGGUAUGUACUAUAUAUAUAAUGUGUUUUGAACAUAAUAAUAAGAAUGCUGAUUUUUAACAAUUAAUUUAUUUUACUUUUUUUAGUGGUGAUUGUGGAGAAUUUUUGUUGCGGUACUUGGAGGUCCUAACCCAUGGACUUGAUGUCAAUUCAUAUUGCAAACAAGAUCAUGUUAUACAAUUUCGAAAAGCCUUGGUUGUCAAAUUAUUUGGGCAUAGGUCAUGGAAAAAAACUUUGUAGUGUACUACCCUUAAAAACUUUGUUGGUGUGUCAUUUUUGGACCAUGAGAUGUGAUAGUUAUAAUGAGGAUGUUGUUGAUAUUUGAUGUCAUUAAAGAUAACUUGACAUCAUUAAUAUGUUUUAUUUCUUUGUUAACUAUAUUAAUGAUAGUGAAGAUAGUUUGUACAAUCUAUGUAAUGUAACAGGAUUGCCAUAUAUGCUCAGGGAAUACUCUGUAAGAAAAUACACGACUGCUGUUAGCUAUUUGCACGGAUACAUGACUGCAGUCGAGUAUUUACAAAUAUACAUGACUAGCUCUCUGUAAGAAAAUACUCGACUGCAAUUGGGUAUUUACACAGAUACACGACUGCAGUCAAGUAUUUAUAAUUGUACAUAACCAGCUCUCUAUAAGAAAAUACUCGACUGCAUUCGGGUAUUUACACAGAUACACGACUGCAAUCGAGUAUUUAUAAUUAUAUUUGACCAGCUCUCUGUAAGAAAAUACUCGACUGUAGUCGGGUAUUUGCACAGAUACACGACUACAGCCGAGUAUUUACAAUUAAAUAUGACUAGCUCUCUAUAAGAAAAUACACGACUGCAGUCGGGUAUUUGCACAGAUACACGACUGCAGUCGAGUAUUUGUAAAUAAACAUGACCAGUUCUGUAACAGCCAAAAUACACGAUUGUACUCGGGUAUGUGGACACGGAAUAAAAAAUCAACUAAAACAUUCAUUAUAUUGAUGACACAAUCAAUAUAAACUUUAACAUAUUAAAUUUCAAAUAAAUGAAACUAACUGUAGUCUGGUUGCCUAUCAAACAACAUAAAUCCAAUACUUAUUCGAAUCGUAAAUAAGUCAUAAUACAAUAAAAGUUGUUUAACAAUCAUCAUAAUUUUUUUGCAUUUUCAACCCAAACACUCGGUCCAUAUUUUAUAAGCCUCUAGUAAUUUGGUUGCCUAUUAAAUAACCCGAGAUACUAUUUCUAUCAAUUGUGCAUACGUUGUAGAAUAGGGCACUAUGAUCCCUCUUGCCUUUGUACCAUUAAAUCUAUAAUGGCCGUUUUGCUCAAUCCAUUCACCACAAAACAUAAUUGGCACACGUACUGAAGUCAUUUCCUGUAAUAAUACAACGGUUGAUUAUACAACAAAUACAAAAAUAAAAAUCAAGCAAUGUAUAUAACGAAGUGUGGAUCUGUCUGCCUAUUUACAUGACUCACGUCGUGUAAUUGGUAGUUUACACGACAAUAGUUAUGUAACUUGCUAAAAUACACAACUAUAGUUCUAUAAACAGUCAGAUGAUAUAUUUAGUAAAAAAAGCUGUAAUCUUUGUACUAAUCGAAUGGUAGGUGUCAUAACAGCUACUAUAUCUUCCAAACUUGCACGAUUGUUGUCGUGUAAAUUCAUACAUACAUGACAAAAGUCGUGUAAGUUGCAAAAAUAUAUGACUCAAUAAAUAAUCAGAGGACAUAUUUCUUCUUAAAAAAAUAUUGGGAUCUGAUAACAAUUGGAACAUUUUACAUAUAUACACAAUUAUAGUAUGUAAGUUCAUACGUACACGAUAGUAGUCGUGUAACUUAUUAACACACACGACUAUAGUCCAGUAAUAGUAAAAGGAUAUAUAUAGUGAAAAAAAAAAUAUUUUUUGCACCAAUAGAAUGAUAAAGUGUCAUGAUAAUUGGAAUCUUUUGCACAUUUGCACGACUACAGUUAUGUAAAUCCAUACAUACAAGACUGAUGUCGUGUAUGUCGGGUGCAGAAAAAAAUUUUGGCAACAACUUCAGGUUUUAACGAAUGUAGUUAUAAAAUCCAUCAAAUAACAGUCAUAUGAUGCAAAUGUAAUGAAAUAUGAGUUGCUUUAGUGUUUAUCACAAACCAAACAAAACCCUAAAAAUAAUAUAAUGUCAAUUAAAUGAAUAAAUAACACAAAAUAAAAAAAAAUUUCAAAUACCUUAUUCAUGGGAUGAAUAAUGCACCCAGCUGCAAAUUAAAAUCUCAAUGCAUUAGCUGUUUGUGAGUGAUUUUGAGUAUGGAGUGAGUUUUCGUUGUGUGGAGUUAAAAAAAGUGAGAAGUAAAGAGUGUUAGAGACGAGUUGUGUGUGUUUUAUAUAUUUUUUUAAGGAUAUUUUAAACAAUGUAUCACAUAAAAAGGUAUAUCUAGAUAAUUUUCAAGCAUGUGAUAUAUUUAACUAAAUACCCUACUUUUAAGGUAUCUUUAAUUAAAAACCCUCUUAUAGUUGAUUGAGGGUAUGUUUGGAAUUUCUUUUACUUCCCAAUUAUUAAUUUUUACCUUGAUUAUCAGAAAAUUAAUUUUAUGAAUAAUUUAGCCGGGUGUUUGGUAAAUGAUGAUUAUUUGACAAUCAGUUUUUAAAUAAUCUACUAUAUAAAUCUGGUAAGUGAAAAUUAAAAGUAUAAUGUUCAUGUGCAAAUGACAAAAAUGUACUCAUUUACUUAUUUGUAAUUUAUUUAGAAUAUUAUUAUUAAAUAAUUUUUCUUAUUCAUUGGAUUUUUGAAGAGCAUAUUCUAUUUUCUUGAUUACAUAUUUAAAUAAUUUUUUAUUAACUAUUUUAAUUUGCAAUAAAAAUUAACUAUAAUAUAUUUAACUAAAAAAUUUGUUAUGUAGUCCGUAAUAUACACAAAUACUUGAAUUGAUUAAUAAGCUUAACUGCAAAAAAGAAAAUGCAAAAAUUUAAUCUCUAUAUAAACUUUUAUGUACACAAAACUAUUGUAAUAAAGUAAUUCAUAGAAAUAUAAUAUUAUAUACAUGUGUAAAGAAAUAUAUAACUAUAAUAUUAUCCACUUGUAGCACUAUUAUUUUUCAAUCUCUCCAUCUCUUGAUCUUCAAGAACGUUAGUACCAUGAUCUGCUUCUUGAGUUCGACCUCCAUUUCCACAGCAUCAACAAGGCAAUCAAUUUGCCGUGAAAGCCUUACAGCUCCUCCCACUUUCCUCCUUUUUGUAGCCACUCUUUUUCCCUUUCUUUAUUUAGUAGCUUCUAUGGAAAUGUUGUGAAAAUUUUAAUAUACUCGCAAGCGCACGAAUCUAGAAAUAGAAUAGUAGUAACGAGGUCGAUCCCACAGGGAUUGUUAUAAAUUAAAAAGUCUAAUUUAAAUCUAAAAUUAAUAUUAAUUCUAACCUAGUUGAGCAAAUUGAGUUUUUAAGAAAAUUAAACCAAUAAAACUAAGGAAGCAAUUAAAAUAAAGGAGAAUUCAAUAAGAUAAGAAUUACCAAGGUUUUAGAAUCCACCACUAUUCAACUAGUAAUUAUCUAAUUAUUAAUUAAUCCCCAAUUUUGGAGUGACAACUCGAAAUCAAUCUAUGUCAUCUCAUGGAUAUAACAAUUAAGCCCAAGUAAUUAAAUCUAAUGUAAGUUCUUUUUCUGCUUAAUAAUAUGACAUCUAAGAAUCUCAUGUAAACAUAUUGAAUAACAAAGAGUCAAAGUUUUCCUAAGCACUCUAUGUAAACAAUUUAAUGAAAGACAUAGAAUCAAAGAUAAUCAUGUAUAAACUUUAUAAAUUCAAGCAUAGAUUUAAUUGAAUAUUAAUCCUAACAAUCAAUAAUGCAUGACAGAAUUGAUGAAAAGAUUUUAUUAAUAUCUAAUUAAUCAUGUGAAAUAAAAACCAUAAUCAUCAAAGAACAUAUAUAGGGAAUUAAUUAAAUAAAAAGAUAAUUAUUUCAUUGAAUAGGGUUUCAUCCUUAACCUCAGUAUAAGAAAAUUAGUUAGACAUACUUGAAUUGAGAGCAACAAAAUAAAUAAAUUCAGCCAUGGGGAAGCCGAAUUGCUGCAGAUUUUCUUCUCUGUCUUGAAUCCUUGCGUCUCCAGUUCUCCCUUCUGACGGCUCUCUUGCCUUUAUAUAAUGUUACUAACUUGCUUAAUCCUUAUUGGAUUCUAAUUGCAUUAAUUCUUCUCCACCGACUUAUAAAGCCCACUCACCAAGGCCUUUUAAAAUUAUUUCCUUACUAAACUUUGAAAGCAAAGCACACGUUUGACCACAAAAGCAAAAGGCCAAUUAAUGAUUUCUUCUUUUAAUGCCCAGCACAUGCAUUCCAAAUUGCCAAAUCUUUGCUUUCCAAAUGCAUGCCCACCGUUCAUCCUUUGAAGAGAUUGACUUCCAAUUUUGGUCUUCUUGACUUCCAUUAAUUCUUGGUUGCAUUUUUGUCUUCCAAUUUAAUCUUUAUUCCUUCUCAAUUUGAAGUGUUUUCAUGCCCUUUUUAUCAACAAUCUCCAAUUAAUUCCCUAUUCAAUAAAACAAUUCAAUUAAUUAAAAAUAACAAAUAAAUAUAACUAGCAAUUAUAUUAUUAAGGGUAAAAUAUGUAUAUAAAUUAUGCUCAUCAGGAAACAAACUCAUCGAACUACCAGUACAUUUUUCAAUUAGAUAGGACUGAUAGUAGAUAUUCAGUACUCUCAGAUGGUGUGCAAACAUGAUCAUCAGUGAUUGUUGUCUUAAAAAGCAUUCUAUUUAAUUGUUCCUCUGACUCUGGCAUGCAAAAUUUCUUGAUUCACGAAUUUCCUACGUAUGUUGAUAUCAUAUUAAAAUGAAUUCAAUAUCACAUNNNNNNNNNNNNNNNNNNNNNNNNNNNNNNNNNNNNNNNNNNNNNNNNNNNNNNNNNNNNNNNNNNNNNNNNNNNNNNNNNNNNNNNNNNNNNNNNNNNNGCAUGUUGUGAGCUUAUUACCAAAAAUGAGACUAUAUAUUUAAGCCGAAUGGUAAAAAACUUCGGAUGGAGGAUGUGCCAUCUUUUUAUUUUAGAUGCUUUCGGAUGGAGGAUGUGCCAUUUUUUUAUUUUACAUGCUUUGUAAGACUUUUAAUGAUCGAGUGCAGUCAAUUAACAAAAGCUUACAUAUUAUUUGUUGAAAAUUGAUUUUAAAAAAAGAAGUCAAAAUGAUGGGUGGUUGAGCCUGUUGGGGAAAAAUCAGGUUUUUAAAUUUUUAUAAAACCUUUUGAAGAUCGCUCUCAUAUAAUAUAUAAGAAUUCGUAUUCUAGAAAUCGUACCUUGUAAAUCUGAGUUUGCUUUUUCCGCUGAAGUGAUUUAGGCUCCUAGAUCACGAUCCGCCACCACCACUCCUGUUAGAUCACGAUCCGUCACCACCACGCUUGUUAGAUCACGAACUGUCUCCAAUGAUCUUCCAGGUUAUGACUCAGGUUCGAUCUGCACUUGACGUGUGGGCGCCUUUAUCACUACCAAAGCAACUAGCACGAGAAAAUUUUUCUCUCAAAAAUGGAGAGAAAAAUCUUAUUCUCUGAUUUGUAUAAAGUGGCUUCUCCACUUUUUCUUUAGAGAAAAAUAAGCCUUUUAUAUCACUCUUUAGUGAAAACCCUAGGCUCCAAAUAAAAUAAAAUCAAAACCCACGUUAUUUACUUUUUCAAUAGGGGACCCACCUUGUAAAAUAACAUAAGGCCCGUUAUACAAAAGCUAAUUAAAUGGAGCCUCCCACUAAAUGAUAUAUUUAGGCUUUUGACCCAAAUUGCUAGUUAUCUUACUUAUUAGUCCAGUAGUGGUGCAAUCAAUUAAAUGAGCUAACCCGGGGAUCAUUUGGGAACAUACAAUAGUGGCUACAAUAAUUAGGCAUGUAAUUAAACUAGCCCAAUUAUUUAAUUCCAAAUCUACUCCACUAAAAGAUUGGAACUGACUUCCAUAAUUGUAUGCUCGAAUAAUAAUUCGUCCCAAGCCACAUUGAUUUCUUUACUGCACAAUCCUUUGUACCACAUCGUUAAUUAAAUUGAUAUCUCAACUGUCCAAUCAAUUUAAUAACAUCUUAUUCCUUGAUCCUUACUGGUUUUCUCUAAUGAUCAUUUUCAACAUACUAAAUAUGUUGACACACUCUGGCCAGAGAAUUCUAUGAUCAAGUACCGAAAACCUAUCAAGAGAUGUGUUGUACAAAUUCUAUAUUGUUAAUCCAUAACUCCAAUACUCAUAAUUGCUCCCACCAAGAUACCGGGUAAUCUUGACCACAAGGAUGUGUCGUGCCCAUUGGUAACUCAAAUGGAAUAACAAUCACAAUCAUGAAAUCAUAAUUAACUCAAGAUUAAGAUUACAGUAAAAUCAAUGCCUAUGAGAUUUAAUAAGUCUGACAGUUAUUACAAAGUUAAUUAAAUCUCAUAUGUGAUCCUGUUCAAUGUAGUCGUACUACAUCAAUAAAUUCAUACAUGAUUAAGACAAAUCAUUCAAUGAAUUUAUUACAGUCUAUACCUAAAUAAAGUGCCCAACUUUAUUUAUCAACUGCGAACUAAAUUUAUUUAAUCAUAAGAUAACUUGUAUUUAUGUCUUCUGUGAAUCCACAUGGUGAUCACAUAAAUACAUAUAAUAUGAUUAAAUGGACUUUAAUACAAAUAUUAAUGCAAUUAAGAUAUUUGAAUAAAAUACCUCAUUAAUUUUAUUAAUCAGAAAAAAUGUUUAUUACAAUUAAAUAAACACAUAUGCUUUUAAAGAGCAUAUUUUCCCAACAGAGCCAUCAUCUUUGAAUUCAAAGAUGGUGGGUGGCCAAGUUAGCCACCAUCAUUGAACAAGAAAAAAUGGGUGGGUGCCGCCCAUGCAAUGAAGAAAAGGGAGAAAAUGAAGCCAAAGUUUGGCUAUAAAUAGAGGGGUUCUCCCUCUCAUUUUUGUAUCCCAGAGAAGAAAUCCCAAAAUUUGAGAAGCAAGAAUAUGUAAGAGAAGCAUUGAGAGCUUCCAACAUGGGAGAGAAAUAUUCUUAAGCAUGUAUUUAUAUUGAAAGAGCAUUUGGCUCCUCAAUAUGGGUAUUACGGGUUUGAUUUGUUAAGGAAUAUUUCUCGCAAUUAUGUAUUUGGGGCUUGGGUGAGAGAAAAUUAUUUAUGAGAGUGUGGUUGUAAUAAUUUUCCACAUAGUGAAAUUUUUUUUUUCUGGUUGUCUCUUGACAACGGCUAUGGUUUUUCUCCGGAUUUGGAGUUUUCCACGUAAAUCUUGUGUUGUGUGAUUGUUGUAUUCUCCAUUUAAAUUUUUUGUUAAUUUGUUGCUUGACAAAUUGCUUGGAGUGAUCUUGGAAGGAAACUCAAUUUCCUAACAGUGGUAUCAGAGCCAUUGAUUGAAGUUUUGAUGUCGAGGUACUGUUCACGUAGACAUUACUAUUUCACGUAUACGAUAUUGUUCAUGUAUACGGUAUUGUUCAUGUGAAGCAGUGGGAGCCAAUCUAAAUUGUCCGUGGUGAAGAGUAUAGGGUCAUUAUAAAGCAAAUAUGUCAGUAGCUGGUAUUUUUCAAACUUGGUGGAGUUUGAUGUUGUUCAAAAAUUAAUGGGAGAAUGAUUUUUUGUUGGCUUGUGGAGAAUUCAAGUCAAAGGUGUAUCCAAUCUGGUAUGCACAAAGAUUUGAAGGUGUGGACAAUUUUGGCACCUCAAGAAAAUUGUCAAGAAGGUGGAGCGGGCUCGACAAAUUACUCCAGAAUCAGUAAAAGAAAUACUGAUAUUUCUCGCAGAUGGUGAAUUUGUUUUUGAUAAGAGAUUGGAUUAGUUCUUUUGGCAUGUAGAUCUCCAAGUUACCAUAAAAGAGAACAUGUUAUUAUCAGUGGGGUCCACAAGUUUGCACGAGGGCAUUGGCUUGGUAUAAAUGCAAGGUGUGUGGUGGAAAAGUUAUGUCAUGGCUGAAGAAUUCUCAGUGAAACCAAGCAUGAGAAUUGCACUAUAAAUUUCAGCAGGAUAUUUUGAUAUGUGCCGAGAAAAAUCUUAGAAUAGUUGAUUCUAAGUGGUAUACUCAUUAUGGUGUAGUGUGAUAAUUCUUUAUAUUGAGAAUUAUAACUAUUGGUGAAGACAAUGUUUUGUAGUAGUGACUAUGAAAUUCUUUUUUUUAAUCAUGGUAGAGAUUGUUGAAAAUUGAUUUUAAAAAAAGAAGUCAAAAGGAUGGGUGGUUGAGCCAUCAUCUUUGAAUUCAAAGAUGGUGGGUGGCCAAGUUAGCCACCAUCAUUGAACAAGAAAAAAUGGGUGGGUGCCGCCCAUGCAAAGAAGAAAAGGGAGAAAAUGAAGCCAAAGUUUGGCUAUAAAUAGAGGGGUUCUCCCUCUCAUUUUUGUAUCCCAUAGAAGAAAUCCCAAAAUUUGAGAAGCAAGAAUAUGUAAGAGAAGCAUUGAGAGCUUCCAACAUGGGAGAGAAAUAUUCUUAAGCAUGUAUUUAUAUUGAAGGAGCAUUUGGCUCCUCAAUAUGGGUAUUACGGGUUUGCUUUGUUAAGGAAUAUUUCUCGCAAUUAUGUAUUUGGGGCUUGGGUGAGAGAAAAUUAUUUAUGAGAGUGUGGUUGUAAUAAUUUUCCAAAUAGUGAAUAUUUUUUCUUUGGUUGUCUCUUGACAACGACUGUGGUUUUUCUCCGGAUUUAGAGUUUUCCAUGUAAAUCUUGUGUUGUGUGAUUGUUGUAUUCUCCAUUUAAAUUUUUUGUUAAUUUGUUGCUUGACAAAUUGCUUGAAGUGAUCUUGGGGUGAAACUUAAUUUCCUAACAUUAUUUAGGUGCUGAGAUGUCUGUUCUUGAUAAAGUAGAUUUAUUUACACCCAAGCCAACGUAACAAAAGCCUAAUAUACACAAUAAUUAUUUUUGUUAGACUGAUUUCUAGCUAAUGAGAUCUUUGAAAGCAUUCAAAGAAGCCACAGAACUCAUAGGAAAGCCCUGAUAAAAUAUACGGCGAAGCAUGUGAGCUCGUUUUUUAAUCUCUUGAUCACUCAUAAGCUUUUCUAUACCAAUGACUAUAUCAUUCUUUUGAAUCGAUUUUGAUUGAUCAUUAGAAAUCAUGUACCCCACCUUUAGAUGAUUGAUCACCAAUUUGGCAUUGUAAUGUUGAUCAUCUCUAAUUGGCCAUGCUAAAAUUGGAACCCCACACCAAUGGCUUCUACCAUUGAAUUCCAUCCACAAUGAGAUAAAAAUUCACCCAUUGAUUGAUGAUUCAAUAUCAAUAAUUGUGGCGCCCAUCCAUCUAUUAUCAAUCCCUUUUUACUGGCUUUACUACCCAAACCACUAUGAAAAUAAUUGCCUUCUGCUGGUCUGUCUAAACCAGUUAAAUGACACGGAGGAUCCAAUCUACCAGCACCAGUUUGAAUUACCCAAAUAAAUGGUUCAUUUGAUACUUCUAAAGCAUUGGCUAGUACUAAAUACUCAUCUAACUUGGACCCACUUCGAUACCAAAUGACACAUAUAACACAGAUCCUCAUGAUUUCAAAUCCAACCAUUGAAUGAUCUCAUCUUCGUUCAUGUUAGAACUCCACCGAUUGGUUCUCAUCUCACGAUCACGAAGCACUGAACCCGCCCCAUUUGUAAAAUUGUUCAAGUAAUAAUGGGCCUACUCCCCACAUUGGCUUUCCCAUUCGAUUGACUAAAUAAUGGGAGAUUGCCAAUUUUCCCCUACUAUAAUCAAUAUAUAUCAUUUAUUCAUUUACUAUUUUUAUAAUGGUCAAAAAUCCCCUUGACAGUAUAAGUUUAUAAUAUUACUUUUAUUUUUAAUUGCUCUUUUAUUUAUAUUUAUUAUAAAUAAAAUAAAUCACAUGAAUAAAAAAUAAAUAAAUAAUUAAGUAUUAAAAACAAGAAAUAUAUGUUUUAAUAUGAGCAAAAAAUUUAAUAAUAAAUUUUUCUUGUAAUUAUUUAUUUUGUGAAUAUUUUCUUAUAAUAAACAUUUAUAAUAUUUUAAAAUUAAAUGUAAAAAGAAUAGGCAAAAUAUUUUAUUAUUUAUCUUAUAAUAAAUUUUUAUUUGUCAUUCAAGUUUUCUUAUAAUAGUUUUUUAUCAUUUUAUAAUAAUUUUCUUAUAUAUUUAUUAUAAGAAAAUUUUCAAAAAAUAAAUAAGUACAAGAAAAAAUUACAUUAUUGAUUUUUUUGCUCAUAUCAAAACAUAUAUUUGUUAUUUUUAAUGCUUAAUUUUUUAUUUAAUUUAUAUUCAUGUGAUUUAUUUAAUUUAUAAUAAAUAUAAAUAAAAGAGUAGUUGAAAAUAAGGAUAAUAUUAUAAACUUAUGUUAUCAGGAAGAGUUUUUGGUCAUUAUAAAAACAGGAAGGAGGUAAAUGGUAUAUAUUGAUUACAAUAGGGGGAAAAUUGGUAAUCUCCCCUAAAUGAUUAAUAAAUGGUCCCUCAAGAUCAUCACAGGUGUUGAACAUCAAAGCCAUCCAUUCCUCCACUUCCUUCAUCCAGUGUGGUUGAUCACGGGGUUCGAUGGACUCAUUUUCUCUGAACCGGGCGCACCUCGCAAAGGUAGUGGACCACGAGGAAGGGGCCCGUGAGGCCCGUAUUUAAGCUACGAUUCGAAUAAAGCCAUAUCCUUGGGUAACCCAGGAAGUAAAUGGGCCUCUCCCGGUUUGACAUCUUGGAUGCGAGCCUGCUACAUGGCACACUCCACGCUGCUGAGCAAGCACCAGAAGUGAAGAACCCAACAAUGGGACCUUCAAAAUUCUUGAAAACAUCAGCCGUCCAGCCCAUCAUAACGUCGAUGACUGCACAAAUGGGUCGGGUUUCGGGUUCCCGGGUUGAAAGGGGUUUUGAAGGCCUUGAAGCAUUUGACUGUGCAUGACAACAUGGUGGUGGUGGUGGCAGUGGUGGAGAUGAGGAGAGUAUUUCAGUAAUUUCGAAUAGAGGGUAUUGGUGAAGAGGGGAAGGGAUGAUGCCGGUGCCGGAAAUGUGAGAGGGAACGAAUAUUUUAACAGGGACGGAGCCAGCGUGGGACGAGGUGGGGCACAGGCCCCAGCUGGCUUUUAAUUUUUUUUUAUAAUUAUACUAAAAUAUGUAUUUUAUUUGUUAUUUAUGAAAAAUGUCUCAGCUGAAUUGUAAAAUUUAAAAUUGACUCCAGUAAUUUUAAAAUAUUUCAUACUGUCCCUAAUUUAUAUUUUUAAUUAUAAAUUAUUUAAUUAGUUAUUAACAUUUCAUGAAACUUUAUUAAAGACACGAGAACAAAUAUUAAAAUAAAAAAUAAUCAUAACAAAAUGUUAGUAUAAUGGUUAAUGGACUAGUUUUUAAUCUUUUUAUUUUUUAUUCAAGUAAAAUUAAUUAUUUAGUCUUUCAACACUGACCAUAAGUUGUAAGUCUUCCUAAUUCUAAUUUAUAAUUUUCUAAUUAAUCUUUUAUCUAGUUUUAAAAUUUAUAAUUUUAUCAUGCAUUUCAUAUUUGUUCUGUGUGUUGCAAUAUUUGAAUAUUUUUGUUAUUAUUAAAAGAUUUUAAGAGCAAAUUAAGUAAUAACCUAGUCUUGUAUAUUGAAAAAUAUAUUUUUGCUUAUAUUGAUAAUUCAUUAUUUUCAACUCAUAAAAUCCCAUUGAGGAGAUUUCGCGGAGAACCAUUGUAAUAAGUAAAUUUAUUAUCAAUGAAUAUUAUAGUUGUAAUGCUAUUUAUUGAUAUCUAAAUUUUUAAAAAUGUAUUAUACUUUAAAUAUGCUUUCAAUUAGAUGCAUACAGACGCACUCUAUAAGAAGUACAAUUGUACAUGUAGCAAGCUCCCAUUUAGAGUUUAUAGGGCCCACAAUACAGUUUCUCAAAUGACGACUUAUCACACGAGCAAUCGUACAUUCGAGUCAUCUUUAAUUUUAAAUGUGCCCCAGCUCUAUCAAAAUCCUGGCUACGUCCCUGGGAACGAUGAGGGUAGAUUUGUAAUUACGUGAAGCGAUUUACUUGCAUAAUUCAAUGCAUGGAAAUAGAUGUCCCUGACCGAAGAAUGAGACAAUCCAAAUCUCAGCCUCAGCAGCAUUAACGACAGAGCUUGACAUAUUUUAUUAAUCAUUUGAUACUUAAUUAUUACUGACUGCUUUUGCCACCUUUCGUAAAACAUUCUUGGUUAUAUAUAAAAGAGAUGAUUUGAUGGCGAAGUGUGUGUUUUACUUUUACAGUUUUACUAGUCGGUGAGCUAUGAUUUUGAUAAUUUGAUUGUUAGUUUCAGUUGGUUAGUUAUGAGAAAGCAUCUUUCAAAAAAUUCAUUACAGUUUCAACUAAAAUUAACAAUACUAUUCAAAUUAAUUACUCGAUAAAUAAAUAGUCACAGAUAAAUCUAUCCCUAAUCACACAUUUAUAAAAUAAGGAUUGAAAUGAGUUUCUGUGGCUUCGAACCCACGCCCUCAAGCCCAGCGGCUGGAUCUUGACUACUUUGACAUAAUUAUUAUUAGUUUUUGUCCAUCUUUCACCAGGCAUCUUUUGUUAUAUAAUGAAGAAGAUAAGUUGACGGAGAAGAGUUCUACUUUUACUAGUAGAUGAGCAUUGAAGGUUAGUUUUAGUUAGUUAAAUAUCUACCAUCCAAACCAAAGUUCCUUAGACUAUUAUUCAAGUGAGAUGUUUGAGUAACAUAUGCUUGAGUUAGUCGGUGCCUAACAAUUCAUGUGAUACAUGAAACCAACCAAAUGAAGUUGGUAGGAUUAGAUUAAUUUAAAUGAAAAUAAAAAUUAGUUUAUGCUAUUUAUUUAUCUUAUAAUGUUGAAACUUGAAAGUUAACUCUUCAACCUGUCAAUUGGUUCAUGACAUGAUCAAAUAUUCAAGUAAAUAAAUUUAUCGGUUAAAAUUAAUUUUUCAUGUGGUAAAAGCAAUACUAAAUAUGGAGUGGAGAGAAUCAUUUGUAGGUUAUACCCCCACCUUUUAUUUCAUUUCAUUUAAAAAAAAAAACAACAACAACAACAAAGGCUUGGUCAACAUCCAAGUAAAAUUAACAAUUCCAUGAUAAAAUUGCCUGAGAAUAAAAAUUAAAAAAAAAAAAAAACAGCAACUCGAAAACGAGAUACAAAUACCGCACAGAAGUUUUUCGUCACGAGAUAUUUUUGGGUUGAGACAACGCUUGUAUAACAGAGCAUACAGCUUGGAUGACGGUGAGAAUAAGAAGGAAAACGGCACCGCAGACCGAAAUUCCAGCCCAUGGAGUAUUGAAGUAAUUUUGUUUCAAGUUUGCCCUCCAUUUGUAGCACGUUCUUUUGCAGUGAUCAUUCAAUCCUUUGCAUAGCCCAGAAAAAUAGAAGCUAUCAGACAGCAGAGUAGUACCUCUAGAAAGGUUAUUUAUAAGCGUUGACGCUGCCUCUUUAUCCGGCAACCAGUUCUCAAUGAUUCCGUUCUGAACAAGCAACUCGACGUCCUUCGCUGUGUUCACGAGAUUAUGAAUAAGGAACACGUAAUCAUUUAUGUAAUUCUCUGAGUAAUGCCGUUGUUCAAAGGCAAUGAGAUUACGAAAUAAGGAUUCCGUUUCCAGCUGUAGCUUCAGUUUCGGAAUAUGCAAUGUCCUGUUUUUGAAUUCUAUGGCGAACAAAUCAUUGCUCUUGCUCAAACUGAAGUGGACUCCAGCUUGGUGGAGAUCAGUCACACUUGGUGCGGUUUUACCUUUGUGGUAUUGCUGACCUUCUUGUUUUUCCUGAUUCCUUGAUGAUGGUAGAUGACAAAUCCUUAGAAAAUCAAGGAAAUGCUCUACCCUAGCCUCAGUGUAAGGAGGGAAUUUUUGCCGAUUACCUUGUACUGCCUCUAAACCCUUGAAAUACUCGUAUGUGACUGUGAUGAUGGUUGGAUUUUCAUGUUGGUCGGGGAUUUCAAUUGCCGCUAGAGCAAAAAGAUCCUCAAGAGUGAAGAAAGGAAGCUGAUUCUCAAGCAACCACAUAUCAUACCAUAUAUCCUCUAUUAAAUAGGGUUUUAUGAAAUAUAUGAUCAUCCUUUUUUUGAAGUUGACGGAAAUGAUACCUCAAUAAGAGUUCAAUGAUGAAGGCAGCAUCCAGCAGAAUCAUUUCAACAAAUUUAUCACUACUUAGUUCGACUUUUCUGCAUAAGAACCUCGUAAUUCUGCUUCUCUGAACUUUAUAAUUUGAACAAACUCGUCAAAGCUUAUUUUGGUCCGUUGAAGAAAGUAAUGCAGGUACCGCUGUUUAUGUUCUUCCAUUAACUGUAAGUUUGCUUUGCCAUGGUGAAGAGGGCCAAUUGAGACUACCUGAGGUGUGUAUACCUUUUCAUUUAUCUGACGUAAUCGCUCUGGAACUCUGUAGAUGCAGCAGUUUGAGGGCAAUGGUGAUAAUUUUUUCAACUUAACUUGCAAGCAUUCUUCCAUGUUAUAAACUGAAAACAUGGCGCGAAAUUUAAUCAAUUCAACGCUUAAUAAGGCAUAGUAAUUAAAAAAGAAUUAAAAAAAAAAAAUACAAGAGCAUUCUUACAAGUACAGAAGCACCUCAAUCCCUACUAUUUGCAGAGCUGUAGCCAGGAUUCAAUGAUAGACCGGACUGAACUAAAAGGAACAACUUUCUUAGGAAUAUGUUAUCGGCAUUUUCUCUGGCCUCAGGCCAUCAACAAAGCAGUUUCAGUGCUUCUUAUAUAAUUCCAUGGAUUAUUCCUUGCCUUUACAGAUGAUAUAAGUCACAAUUCAUAUAUUAAUUUCUCCAGAUUCCGUACAAGUGGACCAUAACUAUGGAAAAAUUCAAAGAAUGCAACAGCCAUUUGAUUGGUCCAUGUCAGAAGUUAAUCUGGGGAAAGAAGCUUGAUCUAGCUGUAAAAUUCUCUCCUUCAAUCAGUCAGUUUGGGGCAGCAACAAGAUCAAAGCCACCACGCAAACAUUUACUAAAGUUUAUAUAAUAUUCUUGAACCUCAUCUUAAGUAAAGCAACAAAAGCCUUCACUGUUUCUUAACAACUUUAUUGCUCUAACACAUAGCAUAACAUUUUUAAAUUUGCAUAAAGCACAAUAGUACUUCAGUUUGUAACAACAGCACGGAUAAUAAAUAGCAUUUUAUAGCUUUAACAAAAGCAUACAAAAUUCUUAAACCUUGUUUCAAGCAAUCCAUUAAUGCCACAAGGAUAUCUUUUUGCUUCCUACAGUUUUUAUUGAAAUUCAUAUAUUCUUCUUUAUCAAAUUAAGUAAUUUUCCUUUUUCAAAAAAUCAAGAAGGUUUCGACUGCAUGGAAAUACAGCACACAAUUACUACUAUUCCCGGAGUAAGAAAUUCAUAAAUGCAAUAUAAACAUACAUUUUCAUAAGACAUCAGAAUCAAAGAAUCAUCAAUGCAUCAAAUCUGUACACCCAAAAAAGUUGAAAGCAUCAAGAGAAAAUUAUACCGCAUGGACCCUUUACAACCCUUAUAACGAGUUCAGACAGCCUAAUCCAAUUUGAUAGAUUUGAGGACAGCUACAAUGUGCAAUACAAAAUUUCCCAAUACUAUUUAGAACAAAGUCUAGAAAACAAAACUUAUAUAUUGUACAAAAUCAUGAAAACCAGAAAUGACGAAAAACCUGCAAAUGUAAUUUUUGGGUUUCUUCAACAUAUCUUCCAUCCAAAUCAAACAAGAAUCGAUAAAUCAACAACAUUCAUCUUUAAACGACAUAUUACCACAAUAAAAUUGUCAACCAAGCCUCAUAUAAACCUUUUUUGUGUUUUUUGGUAAAUAUGUUUGUUUUUCUCUAAGAAUACUAGGGAAAAAAGAAACCCACUUUCUUAAUCAAGAAUCAAAUAAUAUAUAUGAAUCUAAGCUGAAGUAAGUCUUGGGUUUGAUGAAAUAGCUUGCAUUGCGAUUUAGAUUGGAAAGGAAGUUGAUUUUUACUGGUUGAGAGAGAGAGAUUUGAGACUUAAGAGAGUGUUGCUAAUCUUCAAUCGUGUAAACAAGGGUAACUGGGUCAUAGUUCAAAAUAAGGGUCCAAAAUUUACUAAAGCUAUUAAGGAGCCCAAAACUCAUAAUGGCUUCCCCAAAAUAAAUAAAAUUUUCUAGCAUUAAGUUUUUGUUUCUUCUUGAGAUUUCCUUGUCGUACUUACCCAUAUUUCGAUAUUGCCUCCAAGUAAACUUAUAUAUAUUGAUUAACAAUAUAAACAAGCACUAUGAAGUUUUAGGCCUGAAAGAACAUUAGGAUUGAAAUGAAAACCAUCUAUUUAAGUAACAAAUUCUUCUGAUAAUCUGAUGCUUAAUUUAGAGAAGAGAUGACAUAUCAAUCACGUUAUGAUGUGGAAGUUAUGAUUAUAUUCAUCUUAGAAUAAGAUCUUUCAGGCACUGGCAGAUUAGUAUAAAAAAUACUCAGCAUAAGACCUACAAACUAGAAAUCACGCACCAAUUAUUGAACUCAGCACAUAAGUUGAUCUUUUAUAAGCUAUAAAACAAAUCUGCUAUAACAUAAGAAAGUGGGAUUUAUCACCAGACAAGUAUUUUGGUGAAACUCAAGCUGACGGAAGGAUAUCCAAAGCAACCUCCUUAAGGGAAGGCAUCACUUCCUGCUGAUGCAAACAUAUAUAUUUAUUACUCACUUUCUUGAGGACCUUCUAGGAACCUGGGUAGCACCUAACAGAAAGUGGAAAAGAAUAAAAUGUAAAAUAUAAGUUAAACAGCAGGAAAACAGUGAGUGAUACUAGGCAAGCAUUAAUAUGUUGCCGCAAGAAAAGUGUCAGUAACUAGCUAGCAAACCUGAAAAGGGUUCCUCCAUUACGACCCUUAAAAUUGUGAAUGUAAUAUAUGGUCUCCAUCACAGGAAAAAGUGUUUUGGAUAGUGCAGCCAGCUUAGGGUAGAAGAAUGACGGAUAAUCUUAGCUCAUUUAAGGAAAUCCUCUCUGAUCCUUUCAUUGCACAUUCCAAAACAACUCUACUACAACCAAGUUACCAAUUCUUUUUGUUAAGUCAUUGUUAUUUGUUAAAAAAAAAAAAAAGUCUUCCUUGUAACAUUUUAUUGAAAGAUAUAACAUGAUCAUCCCUAUUAAUUCCCUUUUAGAUUUCUGUGAGUGAAUUUCAAAUUAUUGUAUUAAAAAAUAGAAGCAAAAGACCCACUUUACUUUCAAUUUCUGCAACAAGAUACCAAUUGAAGGACCAAAAAGUUGUAAACAAGCAAUUCAAUGAGUGGACAUCUAGAAACUGCUAUAUAGCAUCAAAAUCAUACUAAAUUUACAGAAAGCACGAUAAGAAUGAAAGAAUGGUGAAGGAUACACCCAGACCUUAUCCGGUCAAGUUCUCCAUUGAAUAUAAUCAGUUUCCGGGCAGUAUUGAAGACAGCUUCUUUGUAAAGCUCUUCAACGACAAGCAUUUCUACAAGACAAAAGAAAAGCAAAAUUAAUUACCUUAAGGAAUGAAUAUCAAUGAGAAGACAAGGUGUAAGACUACCAUUGACAUUAAAAUAUGGAUAGGCGACUAGAAACAAUUCAUCUUCCGGCUUCACACGGUCUGCCAUUUUAACCUUCUCAGUGAAUCCAAAAUCCUCAAAGAAUGAAGGUUUUGUUAGAUAGUCCAACUUAAAUGAUGAUCCUUCAAAGACCGAUUUUCUUGCAAAUUUGACUUCAUUUGCCUCUGGGAAAAACUAAAAACCAAAUGACAGACCAAGAUCACGAAACGAAUCAUGAACGUAGAUAUCAGAUAAUCAGAAAUGGGCAUUAAACAGACUACUAACAAGUAGGAAAUGCAUACAGAAAACAUUAUUCAUACACCUUAUGCACAUGAAAUAUAUAUGCAGAGGGAUCCUCUUGUGAAUUUAGUUUAUAUCCUAAUAUGAGACGAUGAACAAUUGGAUGCCAUCUAAGGGCUAACAUUUGUUUGAUUAUUAUAUGAAAAAAAAAAAAAACAGAGUUGAUUGAUGGCCUUUGAUGGAUUGCCUACACUCCUAAAGUGCAGAGAGCCUGAUUGAUUGCUUUACCUGCCCCCCACACACACUUGAUUUUAUUAUCUCUCUUUUCAAAUAUAUAAUCAUUGCCUGUCUUUCAUCCUGAUCCAGCUCUCCUUCCAGGCACCAGCUGUGUUUUCUUCAAUUCAGUGAAACAUUCACUUUCAGGUAAGAAUAAACUUGUCCUUCCUCAAAAACCAACUUCUCACCAUGAAGCUUUCUUUUUUAAAACAAUUACUAGUCUAGCAUAAUUGAAGACAACUCAGAAUUGAAAAAGCCAUACUUUAAUGUCUGCUGUUGGGACCUCAAGACCAGGAACAAAAAGCUUCUUUCUAACCGUUGGAUUAACAAGUAGAAAUAGCUUUUUUCUGAAGGACCCAACAUUGCAUUGAAAAAUUCAACAAAAUGACUGGCGUCAUAUUUAGUCCUGCUAGAAUUUUGUGCACUUAACACAAUGGCUAAUAAUUGGCCCAGCGGACACUUUGUCGAACUACUGGCAACCUUGACUGUGGAAAUGCAUAUUUCAAAUGUUGGCAGGCUCUAGCUUCUUGAUGUACUGUUGAUAGAAAUGCCUAUUUCAAAAGUUGGCAGGCUCAAACUGCCGAGACUUUGGUUUCUUACAUUUCAAACCCACAAAUAAAACUUUGGCAGAACCCCAGAAAGAGCUACACCUCCCAAAUUUGAUGACAUAUGAGGAGACCAUGCCUAGUGCUUGGUUCGGCAAAUGAGUAAGUUUGAAAGAAAUUGAGGGAAACCUUUCCCACAGAGAGUCAUAUUGAAGGUUACAAUUUGAAGACUUUGUCCCCUGUCGCCCGUAACCUUCUUUGAUCUCUUUUCUUAGUCAUAAAUAAUCAAACAUGUGUUAGUCGUUGGAUGCAAUCCACUCACUGACAUCUCAUGUCCACAAUCAAUCAACCAUAUUUUAAUAGAAAUGAAAACAUUUUAAUUAAAAAAAAUGAGAUAGGAACAAAAUCAAACUUGGCAGACAUGGUCUAUGAGAUUUUAAAGAUGCUUGGUGAAAGUUGUAUUCAAGAGUUCAACAGUCAGUUCUAUCACCUAUGGCAAAGUAACCACCGCAACUAAAGCAAUUACAAAACAUCAAGAAGCUUGAACUUGGCAAGAGGUCUCAUUAACAGUAUACCUCAGAAAUUAAGACAGACUUAAAGUGCAAGCUUUUGGAUUUAUUUAAACACUGAAAAUAAUAUGGGUAGAAGCUCCUAUGGUCACAGCAAACAAUUACAAAGCACAAAACCCAAAAAACAGAUAUGCAAAAAGCUGCAAAAGAACAUUAUUAGCAAUUGACAUCUGCUUUUGCUCAGACAAAGGUUCUCAUAACAAAGGACUUAGUGAUUAUCUGUCAUAUGUUUAUGUUAAGGGGAAAAAGGAAGUUUGUUUUAGUCAAUCUCACGUCUAAUGGCAUUUAUAAGGAGCCCAAAAAUAAAAGAAAAAAUAAAGAGUUAGUAGGUGUUUCUUGCAGCACAAAGAAAAUUUAUCAUUCAUGAAAAACUUAGUAUGGAAAAAGCUAACUCAUUUAUCUGCCAAUGGAGAAAAACUUGUUGUCCACCCACUAAGGACCCACCAUUGGCAGGUCUGAUGGAUCCCAUGGAUGGGAACCGCAAAUAUUUUAUUCUAAAUGACAUGUGUAUUGUACCCAUAUCAUUUAAUUUGUAGAUUCCACUGAUGGAACUCAUCAAACUUGCCAAAUGGCAGGUCCUCCGUGGGUAGGCGCAUCACUUCAGCAUCCUUCUCCACCGAUGACCAAAUUUGGACUCAUUUAAAAAGAAUACAAAGCAAAACUAACUGACAUAAAUUGCAUAGAGAUCUAGGAGCCAAAUCAAUGUUGUUAACUCAUCCAAUUAAUACAUUCUCUUAGAGGCAGGGACGGAGCCAGCGUGGGACGAGGUGGGGCACAGGCCCCAGCUGGCUUUUAAUUUUUUUUUAUAAUUAUACUAAAAUAUGUAUUUUAUUUGUUAUUUAUGAAAAAUGUCUCAGCUGAAUUGUAAAAUUUAAAAUUGACUCCAGUAAUUUUAAAAUAUUUCAUACUGUCCCUAAUUUAUAUUUUUAAUUAUAAAUUAUUUAAUUAGUUAUUAACAUUUCAUGAAACUUUAUUAAAGACACAAGAACAAAUAUUAAAAUAAAAAAUAAUCAUAACAAAAUGUUAGUAUAAUGGUUAAUGGACUAGUUUUUAAUCUUUUUAUUUUUUAUUCAAGUAAAAUUAAUUAUUUAGUCUUUCAACACUGACCAUAAGUUGUAAGUCUUCCUAAUUCUAAUUUAUAAUUUUCUAAUUAAUCUUUUAUCUAGUUUUAAAAUUUAUAAUUUUAUCAUGCAUUUCAUAUUUGUUCUGUGUGUUGCAAUAUAUGAAUAUUUUUGUUAUUAUUAAAAGAUUUUAAGAGCAAAUUAAGUAAUAACCUAGUCUUGUAUAUUGAAAAAUAUAUUUUUGCUUAUAUUGAUAAUUCAUUAUUUUCAACUCAUAAAAUCCCAUUGAGGAGAUUUCGCGGAGAACCAUUGUAAUAAGUAAAUUUAUUAUCAAUGAAUAUUAUAGUUGUAAUGCUAUUUAUUGAUAUCUAAAUUUUUAAAAAUGUAUUAUACUUUAAGUAUGCUUUCAAUUAGAUGCAUACAGACGCACUCUAUAAGAAGUACAAUUGUACAUGUAGCAAGCUCCCAUUUAGAGUUUAUAGGGCCCACAAUACAGUUUCUCAAAUGACGACUUAUCACACGAGCAAUCGUACAUUCGAGUCAUCUUUAAUUUUAAAUGUGCCCCGGCUCUAUCAAAAUCCUGGCUACGUCCCUGCUUAGAGGUCAUACCUUGGUAACUCAUUUGAAAAGAAAUUAAAAGAAAAACGACUGCACAAAUUGUACUGAGCUCAAGAAAACCUGUUCAAGGUGUUCACUUGUCCAACUAAUAAAAGUCAUCAAGGAUUGUAUCGGGGACUUGGGACCAAUCCUGCCUUAACGAGAGAAAGGGAAUUUAGGAGGAAGAAGAUAACCUCUUUUCCUAGAACCCUUGAGAAAAUUAUUGAAGAAAUAUGUAUCUCCUUUUCUUAUUUUUACAAUAGGGUUACACAAUACAUAUAUAUAUAUUCUAAACUACAUAAUGUGCUAGAGUAGGAAAGUAAACAACUAACUGCAGACCAAGAAACUAGGAAACAAACUCUAUCUAAAAAACUGAAAUUCUAUCCCUAUCUUUUUUCUUUUCUAUCCCUAUCUUUUUUCCUUAAAAACAGGAUAGAAAACAAGUGACUUUUCCACACUCCCCCUCAAGCUAGUUCGAAGAUAUCAAUCAUUCCCAGCUUGCUAGUUAGUGACUCAAAGCUUGAUUUAUGAAGUCCUUUAGUAAGAAUAUCAGCUAGCUGCUUUGUUGUUGGAACAAAGGUCAUGCAUAUCAAACCACUUUCUAUUUUCUCCUUGAUAAAAUGACGAUCCACUUUGUUGAGUGUUAGAAAAUGCAUAUUUAUAAAGGAGAAAACCAUCAUUUUACAUUUCAAGUCGUACUAACAACUCUUACUUUUAUGUAUUUAACCUUCUUGUGAUAUAAUUACGUGUGUUUUAUUUUAAUUAAGUAUUUUAUGUAUUUUAGGGGCAUUAUAGUCAUUUCACAAUAAAGGAGAGAUUAGACGGCAAAACGGACAUCACUUUUGAACUCAGGACGGUCGAAAACCUUAGGAGGAGCAUAAAAGGAAAAAUGGCACUAUUCAUAUGUACGGUACUAUUCGCGUGUACGGUAUUAACUACGUUACUGUUCACAACACUGUUCACAACACUGUUCACAUAGACGGAUCGAUGACGUGGCAUUGACCGAUGAUGUGGCAUUGACUGAUGAGGUGUCACGAUCCUGUUGGGCUAAAAUUCUUAUGUACUGUUGAUGGUGACGUGGCAGCAUAUCAGUGGAUGAAAAAUCUCGCGUACGGUACAUGCAUCACACAUGAUUAUUCUCAACCAAACCGUGUUACUGUUUAUCCGAGUCAAACCGUGUUACUGUUCAUCCACGUGGUCAAACCGUGGACUGUUGACUUAUGACGUGGCGCAAUCCUGAGCGUCCAAACUGUUUUUAAUCUGAUGGCCAUGAUUUACUCCAUGUAUCUAUAAAAAGGGGGCCUUCCCCCCCUAAUUUGAUAGCUCUGAAUCCAUUUUUGGGAUCCAUUUUCUGUAAUUCCUUCUCCAUCUUGUAUUUUCUUUGUAUUUUAAUAAAUUCCCAUUUUGCCCCUAGUUCAAUUAUGAGUGGCUAAUUUUCUUUCAAGCUUGGGUUGAAGGUGAAGUCUCAACAUGUGUCAUGGGCUUAAUUUGGUAAAUUUAUUUUCUCUUCCCCUCUAGUUUUUGUGGAUGUUUUGACUUCUCGUCGACAAAUAAUAAUAAUCUUGUCUAGAUACCGCCUUGGUUACACCGGCUCUCUAGUAUAAGGUUAUUAUUAUUUGGCACGAUAAGCCCUUAGCACCAUAUUGAUUAUAGCGUGGUUCAUGAGGUGUGGAUUCCCCCCUCAUGAUUUAAUUGGCAUUAAUAAAGAUUAUUUAGCCCAUGAUGCAUGUUGAUACGGAUCCAGAUACCCAAGUACGUCAUUUUAAUAGAAUUCUCUUCAAUUUAUUCUCGCCAUUUCAAUUCCAAUUUUAGAAUUUAUUCUCGCCAUUUUAAUUUAAGUUUUAGCAUAUCCCAAAUCAUUUCCACCACAAAUCCAAUCACCCAUUUACAAAAUUAAUUCUACACAAUUAAAAUCCACCUCCUCGUGGGAUCGACACUCGUCACCAUUAGUCUAUACUACAAUAGAUUCGUGCGCUUGCGAGUACAUUAAAAUUUGCACAACAAGUUUUUGGCGCCGUUGCCGGGGAGGUAAGUAAUUUUAAUUCAUAGAAUUAAUUUUUGUGAAUAAUUUCUUUUAUUUAUUUUCUUGUAUUUUUUUUUAUUAUUAAAAAAAAAAGUAAAUCUACAUUUAAAGGUUAGUAUUUCUUUUCUUUUUCUCUUCUUUAAAAUUCUGUAAUUUAAUUUUCAAUUUAUUUUUCUUUGUAAUUUUUUUUUGUUUAUUUUAUUAAUUUAUUUUUAGUUAAUUUAUUUCACGUAUUUAUUUUUGUGUAUUUUUAUAGUAAGGUUGUAAUAGCGCAAUAAGGUUAGUAUUGUAAUUUCUCUCUCUUCUUUAUUUUUAUUUGUUUUGUUCCAUCUUUAUUUUUAUUUUAUUUAUUUUGUAUGCAUGGUCGUAGGUCUUUAUUACCUAAUCUUGAACCUAUAGACCUUGAACUUGAGAAAACACUUCGCACACACAAGAACGUUAAAAAUAAAUUUGAAAUGGAUUUACAAGCACCACAGGAGAGGCCAUUUAAGGACUAUUUUAGUCCCUUAGCUAAUUUGAGCACAUCAUGCAUAAGAUACCCAAAUGUAGCUGCUAGGAGUUUUGAAUUAAAACCUAGUGUGCUAAAUUGUCUCCCCACAUUCUAUGGCCUAGAAAAUGAGGACCCAUAUAAUCAUCUGAAUGAUUUUCAUGCCAUUUGUCAAACUUUUAAAUAUGAAAAUUUUUCAGACGAUGAUGUUAAACUUAGAUUAUUCCCAUUUUCUUUAAAGGAUAGAGCUCGUUCAUGGUUAAAUACUUUGCCUGCUAAUAGCAUUGCAUCAUGGGAACAAAUGGUUACAAAAUUUCUAAAUAAAUAUUUCCCAGUGCAUAAAACCAAUUCUAUUCGCAGGGAAAUUUCAGAGUUUACACAAAGAGAGGACGAGCAGUUUUUCGAAACUUUGGGAGUGAUUCAAUGGGCUACUCUUGAAGUGUCCACAUCAUGGGUAUGAGAAAUGGCACCAAUGCCAAUACUUUUUGGAGGGAUUAUUGCCAAAUGUGCAAGAAUGGCUAAUGGCAACAAGUGGAGGAGAGCUAAUGUCAAAAAGCGCAACAGAGAUUUGGGAAUUCUUCCAGCGACAAGCGGAUAAUUCCCAACAACGGAGUCGAUCACUCAGGAAUACUAGAAGAAUUAAGGGAGUAAAUGAGGUUCAAAUUGGCGAGUCAACUUCGGGAAUCAAAGAAGUCAAGGAGAUAGUUGAAGGUCUUGCUCGACAAAUAGCAUCGUUGUCGACUGCUAAAUCAACAGAACCACAUGACCAUGACUCAUACUCCGAUCAAGCCAAUGCCAUAGGUGUAAUGAGAAAACCAUCGAAUUACAACCCAUACUCCAACACAUAUAACCCUGGAUAGAGAGACCACCCCAAUUUUUCAUGGUCUCAAGGAUUCCAACAGAAUGGACCAGCAGCUCCAGCUCCACAAAUUCCUCAAGUUCCUCAAGCCUCUCAGCCCCCAUUUAGACCAUUUAAUCAGAACCAGAACUACUCUCAACCCAGACCAUGGGAGGAUUCAUUCCAGAAUCUCAAGAAUCUUACUCACUCCACGAUUGAGCAGCAGAACCGCACCGUUGAUGGACUACGAAAUGAGUUGAGAGCAGGCUUCAACUCACAAGAUCAAUCAGUUUCAAACCUCGAGAAAAUGGUGGGACAACUUGCUUCUUCAGUUCAGACCUUGGCAAUGACUGUUGAGAAAGGAAAAUUUCCAAGUCAACCAGUGCCUAAUCCUAAAGGAGUGCAUGAAGCAAGUACCAGUUCACCACAGCAGCAUGGGGAGGUCAAAGCAGUCAUGACCUUGCGAAAAGGAAAGGAAGUCGACAACAAAGUGGAGAUGCCGGUGACAAAAGAAAAUCAAAUUGUACCUGUGAAUGUUGAGGACUCACCACCGGAGGAAAAAGAAGAAACCAACCCACGAGAAUAUGUUCCUAAAGCUCCAUUUCCUCAGAGGUUAGCGAAAGGAAAGAAGGGAAAUUCCACAGGUGAGAUUCUCGAAAUCUUCAAACAGGUAAGUGUUAACAUCCCUUUACUUGAUGCUAUAAAGCAAGUUCCAUCUUAUGCUAAGUUUCUUAAAGACCUUUGUACUAAAAAGAGAAAUAUGCAUGUUCAAAAGAAGGCAUUUUUAACAGAAAACGUUAGUUCUAUACUCCAACAUAAAAUUCCUUUAAAAUGCAAAGACCCAGGCUCCCCCACUAUCUCAUGUAGUAUAGGGAACCACACAAUUGAGAAUGCUUUGUUGGAUUUAGGAGCUAGUGUAAAUCUUUUGCCUUACUCUGUAUUCGUGAAACUUGGACUGGGAGAAUUACACCCAACUCCAGUGGUGUUACAGCUUGCAGAUCGGUCCACGAAAAUACCUCGUGGUAUUGUGGAGGACGUGCUUAUCCAGGUAGACAAGUUUUAUUUUCCUGUUGAUUUCAUUGUAAUUGACACUCAACCAAUACAGGAUUCAAGGAAGCACAUCCCCAUUAUUCUAGGCCAACCUUUCUUGGCAACUGCGGAUGCUCACAUUCAAUGCAGGACUGGAAAUAUGCAAUUGUCCCUCGGCAACAUGACUAUGGAGCUGAACAUCUUCAAUAUUGCCAAACAACCUCAUAAUGCAGAUGAUAGAAUUGUAGACGUGGAUUUAAUUGAAGCAUUAGUUGAUGAUACUUUUGUUUCAAACCUUAGUGAUGAUCCUUUACAAACAUGUUUAACUCACUUUGGUUUGGAUUUUGAUAUUGACAGAUCGGUCGAAGAGGUCAACGCCCUGCUUGACUCAGCACCAUACAUGGACACUAAUAAAUGGAAGUUAAGAGUUGAACAACUAGCACCAUCAGAGAAGAAACUCAUCCCAUCAUCAGAAUCACCACCGAAACUCGAGGUCAAACCAUUGCCCAACACAUUGGAAUAUGCAUUUUUGGGAGAAGAAAUUACUUUGCCGGUAAUCAUCUCAUCAUCCCUAAAUGACGAACAAAAAGGUAAGUUGUUGGAUGUUUUAAAAGAGCACAAAGGAGCAUUAUGAUGGACCAUAGCAGACAUAAAAGGUAUAAACCCAGUAGACUGCAUGCAUUACAUUCACCUUGAUGAAAAUGCUAAAUCUACUAGGAAAAUGCAACGUCGGUUAAAUCCUAAUAUGAAAGAAGUUGUUAGAACAGAAGUCCUUAAGCUAUUAGACGCAGGUAUCAUUUACCCAAUUUCUGAUAGUUCAUGGGUCAGUCCUGUACAAGUUGUCCCCAAAAAGUCAGGAGUCACAGUAGUUACGAAUGCUGAUAAUGAAUUGAUACCCACUAGAGUAACUACAGGAUGGCGUGUAUGCAUUGAUUAUAGAAAGUUGAAUUCUGUCACACGUAAAGACCAUUUUCCUUUACCAUUUAUUGAUCAAAUGCUUGAUAGAUUAGUAGGCCAUGAAUUUUAUUGCUUUCUAGAUGGCUACUCAGGAUAUAAUCAGAUUCCCAUAGCACCAAAAGAUCAGGAGAAAACUACUUUCACUUGCCCUUUUGGCACAUUUGCAUAUAGGAGAAUGCCAUUUGGAUUAUGUAAUGCACCUGCUACAUUUCAACGAUGCAUGUUGAGCAUUUUUUCUGAUAUGGUUGAACAAUUCCUUGAAGUCUUUAUGGAUGACUUUUCUGUUUUUGGUAACUCGUUUGAUCAAUGUUUACAUCAUCUAACGCUAGUUCUGCAGAGAUGUAUCGAGAAGAAUUUAGUCUUAAAUUGGGAGAAAUGCCAUUUUAUGGUAAAACAAGGUAUUGUUCUCGGUCACAUCAUUUCGAGCAAAGGUAUUGAGGUUGACAAAGCCAAGGUGGAUCUCAUUUCUAAUCUUCCUCCACCUAAAACAGUCAGAGAAGUACGAUCUUUCCUUGGACAUGCUGGUUUCUAUAGACGUUUCAUUAAAGAUUUUAGCAAAGUUUCUAGACCCUUAUGCAAUUUACUUGCUAAGGAUGUACCUUUUAUCUUUAAUGAUUCAUGUCUCAUGGCGUUUGAAAAAUUAAAGCAAUUGUUGACAUCAUCACCCAUCAUUCAGGCCCCAAACUGGAGCUUACCAUUCGAGCUCAUGUGUGAUGCAUCUGAUUAUGCAGUAGGAGCAGUAUUAGGACAAAGAGUUGAUCGAAUUCCCCAUGUUAUUUACUAUGCUAGUAUGACAUUCAAUGAUGCACAGUUGAAUUAUUCAACUACUGAAAAAGAAAUGCUAGCAGUAGUGUUUGCAUUAGAAAAAUUUCGAUCUUAUCUCAUUGGUUGUAAAAUAAUUAUAUUCACAGAUCAUGCUGCUCUUAAAUAUCUUCUCACAAAGAAAGAUGCAAAAGCUAGACUAAUUCGUUGGGUAUUACUUUUGCAGGAAUUUGACUUGGAAUUCAAAGAUAAGAAAGGCACAGAAAAUGUCGUGGCGGACCAUCUCUCUCGUCUCCAUUUUGACACAAUUACAGAGCCAUUAAUAUUAAAUGAGUCAUUUCCAGAUGAACAAUUAAUGAGUGUGGAAGUAUUACCUUGGUAUGCUGAUAUAGUUAAUUAUCUUGUUACAGGUAAACUUCCAGAGCAUUGGACCAAGCAAGACAAGGCUAAAUUCUUUGCGGAAAUAAAGAAUUUCUUUUGGGAUGACCCAUAUUUGUUCAAGUAUUGUGCAGACCAAAUUGUUAGACGAUGUGUCCCUGAAAAUGAAAUUCAGAAUAUUCUUUCAUUCUGCCAUGAACAAGCUUGUGGAGGCCAUUUCAGUGCUAAGAAAACAACGACUAAAGUUUUACAAUGUGGUUUCUAUUGGCCAACUAUAUUUCGAGACGCUUACACUUUCUGUUCUUCAUGUGAUAGGUGUCAACGAAUGGGGAGCAUUACACGAAGGAACAUGAUGCCACUAAAUCCAAUUUUAGUGGUUGAGAUUUUUGAUGUAUGGGGUAUCGACUUCAUGGGACCCUUUCCCUCUUCUUUUGGCCAUCAAUACAUAUUGGUUGGUGUUGACUACGUCUCAAAAUGGGUAGAAGCAAUUCCAUGUAGAACCAAUGAUCACAAAGUGGUGAUAGGAUUUUUGAAAAGCAACAUUGUCUCACGCUUUGGAUUCCCUCGAGCAAUAAUCAGUGAUGGUGGUGCCCACUUUUGUAACAAAGCAUUCAAAGCUCUUUUGACAAAGUAUUCAAUCACACACAAAGUGGCAACCCCUUAUCAUCCGCAAACCAGUGGCCAAGUUGAGAUCUCCAAUCGAGAAAUAAAGCAUAUAUUAGAAAAGACGGUGAGGCCAGACAGAAAAGAUUGGUCAUUAAGACUUGAUGAUGCAUUAUGGGCAUAUAGAACGGCUUUCAAGACCCCGAUUGGGAUGUCACCCUACAGGCUAGUGUAUGGAAAAGCUUGCCACCUACCUGUGGAACUCGAGCAUCGUGCAUAUUGGGCCAUCAAGAAAUUCAACUUUGACAUGCAGCAAGCCAGCUCAGAAAGAAGAUUACAACUGGCAGAACUUGAAGAAAUUCGCAAUGAUGCAUACGAAAAUGCCAAAAUUUACAAGCAACGAAUGAAAGUCUUUCAUGACAAGCACAUUAUGAGAAAAUCGUUCACUCCAGGUCAGAAAGUGCUUUUAUUCAAUUCUCGCUUGCACCUAUUCCCAGGUAAGUUACGCUCUCGAUGGUCUGGUCCAUUUAUUGUUCAUACUAUUUUUCCACAUGGGGCAAUUGAAAUUAAGGACCCAAAGAACGGUGUCACGUUUAAAGUUAAUGGUCAAAGAUUAAAGCCAUAUCUUGAGUACCAACCACAUGGAGAAGACACCGAAAUAAAUUUGAGUGACCCACCAGAUUUGAAUUGAUUUUUUUUCUUUUUGUUGAUUUGAUUUUUCUUUCUUUUUAUUAUUCUUUUGCUAAUUGAAAUUAUUUUUGCAUAAGUGUGUUUGUUUUACCAUUAAGUUUUCUUUUCUCUUAUCAUUGUUAAUCAUGAGUACCAUACUUAGACCGUUCCUCCUGAACAUUCUUAAACCACUUCAACGUGUCAAAACUCAUCUCAAAAAGCAGAUUCAAUUUUGUAAAACACAACGCAUUUGGGCUCUACAACCACCAGAGUUAGUAGCCUAUGUUGAGGGUUUAGAAUGCCAACUCAGAGACAUUGAGAGAAGUGUUUACGACAUCCAGUUAGAGCUUGAGGUAAAUUCAAUAAGAGGACGAUUUUAAUUUUCUUUGUGUGUUUUAAUUUGUUUUUCUGUUUGUGUGUUUUAGUUUGUUACCCCGGUGAAAUGGCGGAUAACGGUACUCCGUGACAAUCAAGUCGGUUACUUCAGUUUCCCAUAAUAACUGACAUUCUGAGGCGAAAGUAUGGACAGAAAAGAGAUUCUAGCAAAGCUUCACAAGCGAUUCCCUUCACUUCCUCAGAAUGCCCUCCUUACGAUCUAUAAAGCUCGGUCCGAACGCAUGCGAUUACUCAUGAAGAAUAACAUACCUGCUGACAUCCGUUGGUUAAUCGAGGCUAAAGUACGAUCGGCAGGUGAGUUUCCUCCAAAAUUUAUUGCAUACAUGCCUGGUUGUGGUAAAGGAAAUUAUGCAAGAAAACGACGAGCUCGAAGAAUUUCUGUUGCUUGUCAUAAGUGUGCUAGAAUGAGUUGCGAUAGAAACCCAUGUUCUUUAGGAAUGGUGUCUGAUAACAGGGAAGAUAAGAUUUAAUUCAUUAGGGAUGGCUUGAAUAAGGAGUCAUUGGAUGAUAUCCUUUUGUCUCUUGAAACGCAUCCUAGUGGAUAUGUGCAAGGAGCGAUUCUCCAGUUAUGGCCAUUAUUCCAGAAAGAGCAUGCACGAUAUAGUCUCGGGAAUCUGACUAUAAACGACCCUGUUUGCCAGUUUAUAAGAAAACUGGAUAGGAAGCCUAUCCUCGACCCAUAGAGGGCGUUCAAGCCGUUUCUGGACGUAAAACCAGAGGAAGAUGUGAGCCACAGUCGCAACUACGUGUAAAUAUCCUUUUACUUUACUGUUAUUUUAUUUCAUUUCACUGUUGUUUUAUUGUUUGCAUUAUUGUCUUUAAUAAUUUUGUUACUGUUUGCUUUUUCCUUUUUACUGUUUCCUUUUUGACUCACGAGCCACGUGCUUAACGCGUUAUUUGACACUGACAUGCCACCCCAUACACAGUUGUGACCCACUGUCACCAAGAUUCUUAAAUAUGACUUUUUGUUAAGCACUCACAAAUUGUUUCUGAGAAAUAUUCCAAUGGCAGCUACUCCUAAUAGACAAUUCAAGAACAUUUGUGUGCUUUCUGGAUUUACCUAUGGCAAACAUAAAGAGUUCGUGGAGGCAGCCAUAGAUCUUGGUCGAAGCAUAGCAGCGAGAAAAUUACACUUGGUGUAUGGAGGAGGUAACCGAGGGUUAUCAAAAAUGGUCUCAGAAGCAGCUUUUAUCAGAGGAAGUCAAGUGUUAGGCAUCAUCCCAAGAGUCCUAAAACCAUUGGGCAGUUCGUCUGACUCAUCAACUGGAGAAGAGUUAGUCGUCUCAGGUAUGCAAGAAAGAAUAACUGAAAUGCUUAAUCAUGCUGAUGCUUUUAUUUUCCUUCCAGGAGAUCUUGCAACACUAGAGGCACUUAUGACACUAGCAUCUUGAGCCCAUCUACACAUUCACCAGAAACCCAUCGGUUUGUUAAAUGUCAAUAACUUUUAUGAUGGCUUUAUCGCAUUUCUUAACCAUGCAAUAAAAAACUAUUUCAUUCCUUCUAAUGUGAAAAAACUCUUUAUUUGUGCUCACACUGCUAAUGAGCUACUUGAUAUGUUACAAGCUUAUAAACCGGAGCCAGACCCCUGGACCUUUGUGUUGGAGCGACCAAAUAAUGAUGGUAACAGUAGCCGCAGUAAGAAGUACAAAUUAGAUUUAACUCUCCGCCUGUAAAUAUUUUCUUCUGUGUUGCACCACCCAGGUGAUGUCUUCUAAACUCUACUUCUUUCAUUUCAAACAUUGAGGACAAUGUUUCGUUCUGGUUGGGGGGAGGGAAUAGUCGACAGUUGUGGAAUCUUGGUUAAAUUUUUACUGAUUUUUUGUUGUAGAAACUAACUGUUGCUAACUUUUUAUGUUGAAGAUGGCUGAAUAUGGAGUGUAGUGACUCUAGAAACGCAUUUUCAUCGUUUAAAAAAAAUUAAAAAAAAACUAAAAAAAAAUUUCAGACAGUUUCUUUUUUUUUUCUUUCUUUAUUCUGUUUUUAUGUUUAUUUUUCUUCUUUUUAAUUUCUCCUCUAUAAAUAUACAUUUUCCAACUUGUGAGUCGAAGAUGGCUGAAUAUGGAGUGUAGUGCCUCUAGAAACGCAUCUUCUUAAAAAAAAAAAAAAAAAAAACCCAUUUUCUUUUUCUAUCAUUUUACGUGUAACUUUUCUAAUUAGUUUUUAUGCAUCAUUUUCACAUUUCUGCAUGCAUAUUUUCCUUUCAUGUUUAGAAUAGGUUGGGGGGUAGAAUGUUGUUUAAAAAAAAAAAAAUUGUGUUAUUUGUUUUAACAUUGGAUGACAUGAUUAAUUUCAAAUUUUAGUAUUUGUAUUAUCUUUGGUCUUAAGUGAUGUUACGCUAUGUUUGCUACUUUACAUGUUGAUGUCGGAGACAAAUAUGAGUUGCUUGAAGGAAUGAACAUGUCAUAAAUAAGUGCCAAGUGAGUUGUUGAGCCUAUCAUUUUCUUGGAGAGUAACACUUUUGCCCAUUCUCUAUACAGCUUAGCAGUUUAUUAGUUUAUACACGAUCUCUAGAUUUCUUUUGAGUUAACCCUUUAAAAAAAAAUGUGUGUUGCUACAUUGGGAGACCCAUCUAACUAGUAGAUAUGGAUAAUUAUUUAGAGCCCUAAAAGACGAUGGAAAGGCCAUAUUUGAUCCGUUUGAGCCUUUCUAGCCAUCCCUUUUAUUAAAUAUCCAUAGUUACCCCUUUUGAGCCUUUUUUUAAAAAAAAAAGAGAACAAAAACAUUUUCUUUGUCAACUUAUCAUCUUGACCCACUCCGAUUUGGAGUAUUACCCAAUGUCUUUUAAGUUCCAUCACCUAUUUAUGUUUGAGAAAAUGUAAAUAAUGAUGUUGUUCAGUGAAGUUAUGCCAAAUAAAAGCAAAAAAAAAAAAAAAAAAACAAAAGUUGUUGUUUCAAAAGAAUAAAAAUAACAAUAAUAGGUGAAAUCCACCUUGCAACUUCAAAAAAAAAUAUAUAUAUUUCUGCAUUUUUCUCAAACAUACACUUUGUUUUCCUUAUUUCCUUUCUUUGUUAGCCAUAUCCCUAGCCUACGUUAUGUCCUAAUAAAAGUCCUUCUUGAUUUUAGGGAACUAUAGUUUGAAGUAGAAGCUAGUUAUAUGGGCUAAAAAGAUGUAGUGAUGCAUAAUAAAAAAAAAAAAGAUAAAUAAAGUGGGUUGACUAACAUUUUAUUUGACUUGAGAUCGUAUUAUUUCUAAGCUAAGGGCAUAUUUAUUUCAUCUUGGUGAGAGCAUGUGAUAUCACUUCUUCAUUAUUUUCUCUCAAUUACCAUUCAUUGGAGUGACUAUUUUUUUAGGUUUAAUUUCUUUGUGAGAGUGUCACUACUUCCAGUGAGAUUUUGGGUUUUGACAUGUCAUUCUUGAAAGUAGUUAUAACAAAGUCUACUGGCCGAUUCAUGUGGAUGGUUGAUGUGGGUGUGAUGUUGUUUUAGACUGGAGAUAAUACUUAUACUUUUAUUUGAUUGCUAUCAUUAAUCUGAUUGAAUAAACACGAGUGUUUCUAAAAAAAAAAAAAAAAAUUAUUUUGAAUUUGAAUUUUGUUUUCGCUUUAUUUGCUAGGGACUAACAUUAAGCUGGUUGGGGGGUGUGUUGAGUGUUAGAAAAUGCAUAUUUAUAAAGGAGAAAACCAUCAUUUUACAUUUCAAGUCUUACUAACAACUCUUACUUUUAUGUAUUUAACCUUCUUGUAAUAUAAUUACGUGUGUUUUAUUUUAAUUAAGUAUUUUAUGUAUUUUAGGGGCAUUAUAGUCAUUUCACAAUAAAGGAGAGAUCAGGCGGCAAAACGGACAUCACUUUUGAACUCAGGACGGUCGAAAACCUUAGGAGGAGCAUAAAAGGAAAAAUGGCACUAUUCAUAUGUACGGUACUAUUCACGUGUACGGUAUUAACUACGUUACUGUUCACAACACUGUUCACAUAGACGGAUCGAUGACGUGGCAUUGACCGAUGAUGUGGCAUUGACUGAUGAGGUGUCACGAUCCUGUUGAGCUAAAAUUCUUAUGUACUGUUGAUGGUGACGUGGCAGUAUAUCAGUGGAUGAAAAAUCUCGCGUACGGUACAUGCAUCACACAGGAUUAUUUUCAACCAAACCGCGUUACUGUUCAUCCGAGUCAAACCGUGUUACUGUUUAUCCGAGUCAAACCGUGUUACUGUUCAUCCGCGUGGUCAAACCGUGGACUGUUGACUUAUGACGUGGCGCAAUCCUGAGCGUCCAAACUGUUUUUAAUCCGAUGGCCAUGAUUUACUCCAUGUAUCUAUAAAAAGGGGGCCUUCCCCCCCUAAUUUGAUAGCUCUGAAUCCAUUUUUGGGAUCCAUUUUCUGUAAUUCCUUCUCCAUCUUGUAUUUUCUUUGUAUUUUAAUAAAUUCCCAUUUUGCCCCUAGUUCAAUUAUGAGUGGCUAAUUUUCUUUCAAGCUUGGGUUGAAGGUGAAGUCUCAACAUGUGUCAUGGGCUUAAUUUGGUAAAUUUAUUUUCUCUUCCCCUCUAGUUUUUGUGGAUGUUUUGACUUCUCGUCGACAAAUAAUAAUAAUCUUGUCUAGAUACCGCCUUGGUUACACCGGCUCUCUAGUAUAAGGUUAUUAUUAUUUGGCACGAUAAGCCCUUAGCACCAUAUUGAUUAGAGCGUGGUUCAUGAGGUGUGGAUUCCCCCCUCAUGAUUUAAUUGGCAUUAAUAAAGAUUAUUUAGCCCAUGAUGCAUGUUGAUACGGAUCCAGAUACCCAAGUACGUCAUUUUAAUAGAAUUCUCUUCAAUUUAUUCUCGCCAUUUCAAUUCCAAUUUUAGAAUUUAUUCUCGCCAUUUUAAUUUAAGUUUUAGCAUAUCCCAAAUCAUUUCCACCACAAAUCCAAUCACCCAUUUACAAAAUUAAUUCUACACAAUUAAAAUCCACCUCCUCGUGGGAUCGACACUCGUCACCAUUAGUCUAUACUACAAUAGAUUCGUGCGCUUGCGAGUACAUUAAAAUUUGCACAACACACUUCAACAUGUUUAGUUCUGUCAUGAUGAAUAGGGUUAUGAGCAAUGUUUAUUGCUGCCUUGUUGUCACAAUACAACUUCAUAGGAACAUCAAUGAUAAUCUUCAAUUCUUCAAGUAGCUUCUUUAACCACAAAAGUUCACAAAUACCAUAUGCUACUGCUCUAAAUUCAGCUUCAGCACUGCUUCUUGCAACCACUGAUUGCUUCUUACUCCUCCAAGUUACCAAGUUUCCUCCCACAAAUGUGCAAUACCCUGAAGUUGACCUUCUAUCAAUAAUAGAUCCAGCCCAAUCUGCAUCAGUAUAUACUUCAACUUGCAUAUUGUUAUUUUUCUUGAAUAGCAGGCCUUUUCCUGGAGUUUUUUUCAGGUACUUGAGAACCUUGUAAACAGCUUCUAAGUGCUCUUUACAUGGAGAGUGCAUAAAUUGACUAAUAACACUUACUGCAAAGGCUAUGUCUGGCCUAGUAUGAGACAAGUAUAUCAACUUACCAACCAACCUUUGGUAACUUUCUCUAUCCACUGAUUUUCCUUCAAUUGCAUAUCCCAAUUUGUGAUAAGGAUCAAUAGGAGUGUCUCCAGGUUUGCAUCCCAACAUGCCAGUUUCCUUGAGUAAGUCUAAAGUAUAUUUCCUUUGAGAAACAAAAAUGCCUUUACUGGAUCUUGCAAUUUCCAUGCCCAAAAAAUAUCUUAAGGGGCCAAGGUCCUUCAUCUCAAAUUCUCUAGCAAGAACCUUCUUGAGAUUUUCCAUUUCUAUUACAUUGCUUCCAGUCAAGAUGAUAUCGUCUACAUAUACAAUGAGGAUCACAACACUACCAUCAGUGAAGUGUUUAAAAAACAUUGUAUGAUCUGCUUGACUCUGUAAAUAUCCAAAGCUAUGAACAGAUUUGGUAAAUCUGUCAAACCAAGCUCGAGGAGAUUGUUUUAAGCCGUAAAGUGAUCUCUUCAGCUUGCACACUUUUUCAAUACCAUAUUCAUUCUCAAAACCUGGUGGCAGAUCCAUAUAUACCUCUUCUUCAAGCUCUCCAUUAAGAAACGCAUUCUUAACAUCUAAUUGUUGUAGUUGCCAUCCUAAGCUUGCUGCAAGAGACAACAAAACCCGAAUGGAAUUCAUUUUUGCCACGGGAGCAAAUGUUUCUUGGUAGUCAAUGCUAUAUGUUUGUGUAAAACCUUUCGCGACAAGCCUAGCUUUGUACCUCUCAAGUGACCCAUCUGCUCUGUAUUUAACUGUAAAAAUCCACUUGCAACCCACUGGUUUUUUUCCUUCUGGUAAUUUAACUAGUUCCCAAGUUUUGCUUUUUUCUAGAGCUCUCAUCUCUGCAUACCCAGCAUCUCUCCAUUCUGGAAUAGAAAGAGCAUCUUGUACAGAUUUUGGAAUUGCUAUGACAGACAGGUUAGCUGCAAAAGCUCUAAAAGAUGGAGAUAAUCUAUGAUAUGACACAUACUUAGAAAUUGGAUGAAGAGUACAAGACCUAGUUCCUUUUCGUAGUGCAAUUGGAACAUCUAGAUCAUUUGUAGUUUCUAAAACAGAUUCUGAAAUAGGAUUAGAAUGAAUGUUACCUGCAAGUUCCAAGUUGCCUGUGUUUGGAUCCGAGUCUUGGCAGUGAGGAGAGGAAUGAUGAUUUGACCUUUUCGAAUUCCGUCGUGUGUAGACUUGAAGCUAUGGUUCUGGAACUCUCUCUAAUGAUUUUUCAUUAUUCAUAAUUGAUGGCAUUGUAGAAGGAACAUGAGGUACACAAGACAUAAUAGGCAUUGGAAGAGAUAAUUCCCAAAAAUGAUCUUCCGGAGUAUGAUUCUCCCCCUGAAGAGAAGUUUUGGGAAAGAAAGAUCUAUUUUCAAAAAAUGUGACAUCCAUUGUGAUGAAGAAUUUUUUAGACAAUGGAUCAUAACAUUUGUAGCCUUUUUGAGUAGGAGAAUAGCUAAGAAAUACACAUUUUAAAGCUCUAGGAUCAAGUUUGCUCAUGUUCUAUGUAUGAAUGUGAACAAAAGCAAUGCACCCAAAAAUCUUGGGUGGUAAAGAUGUGAAAAACUUAGCGGUAGGAUAGAAUUUUGUGAAAACAUUUAAUGGAGACUGAAAAUUAAAGAUUCGGGUAGGCAUGCGAUUUAUCAAGUAUGAUGCUGUGAGAAUGGCUUCACCCCAAAACUGUUUUGGCACCCUAUUUGUGAACAUAAGAGAGCGUGCAACUUCUAACAAGUGUUGAUUUUUCCGUUCAGCAAUACCAUUUUGCUGAGGAGUAUCUACACAAGAGGAUUGGUGCACAAUGCCAUUUUCCAUGAAAUAAUGACCAAGGGCAGUAGAAAAAUAUGCUCUCCCAUUGUCAGUUCUAAAGACUUGGAUUUUUGCUUGAAAUUGUGUUUGAAUCAUGGUAUGAAAGGUUUUAAAAACUGUUGCAGUUUCUGAUUUUUCUUUAAGCAAGUACACCCAACAAACACGAGUGUGGUCAUCAAUAAAAGUUAUGAACCAUUUAGCCCCCGAAAUGUUUGUAACAUGAGAGGGUCCCCAAAUAUCACUGUGUAUGAGAGAAAAAUGUUCAGAUUUUUUAUACGGCUGUGAAGGAAAAGAUACACGAUGAUGUUUGGACAAUACACAAAUUUCACACUGAAACAAAGAAGGAUUUUUAUUCUUGAACAACAAAGAAAACAAGUGUUGUAAAUAAGAAAAACUAGGAUGACCUAAUCGGAGAUGCCACAACAUUAUUUUAUCUUUAAUAGAGAAAGUUAGUUCAUUAUUUGUUGCCUGAGCUUCUCCACACAAACUAACAUCCUCCUCGAAGUAGUACAAACCAUCUACCUCUCUAGCACUGCCAAUUUUCUUCCCUGAACACAGGUCCUGAAAUUCACAAUAGGAAGGAGAGAAUUUAGCAAUGCAAUGAAGAUCCUUGGUAAUUUUGCUAACAGAUAAAAGAUUACAAGACAAAUUAGGAACAUGAAGAACAGAUGUUAACACCAAAUUUGUAGAGAUAGGAAUAGAUCCUUUUCCUGCUGCAGAAGAUAGUGAACCAUCAGCAAUUUUAAUUUUUUGACUACCAGGACAUGGAAUAUAUGAAUAAAAUAAUUUAGAAUGGCUAGUCAUAUGAUCGGUUGCUCCUGAAUCGAUGAUCCAUGGAUCUUUUUUCUCAUAAACAACUCCUAAAGCACUGAAAUCAUUACCUUUCUGGGCUAAAGAACUAGAAGAUGAAGGAUUUGGGAGAGAUUGUGACUGAUUAAGAAACUUGUACAGUUGCUCUAACUGUUCUUUAGUGAAGAGUUGAGAUUCGGAUUCUCCAGUGUUGAUUGUCGGCUGAUUCUCCCCAAAAACUUGAAAACCUCGACUAUGUUUACCAGAGAAUUUAUUGUUUUUCAAAUUUGGAGGUUUUCCAUGAAGCUUCCAACAUGCAUCUCUGGUAUGUCUUGGCUUGUGACAAUAAUCACACCAAACUCUGUCCUUCUCAUCACUCUUCUUCAGGUUUUUUGUUCCCCCAAUCAGUGGAGCUUCUGGUGUAACAGAGAUCAAGGCUGAGUUCUCUGCUGAAGAACCUCCCAUCAUCACAUUCUUUCUACUUUCCUCUCUUUUUACAUAAGAAAACACUUCCCUGGUAGAAGGAAGAGGUUCCUUGCCAAGUACUCGCCCACGGACUUCAUCAAGGUCUGAACUCAAACCUGCUAAGAAUUCAAAUACACGCUCUUUUUCUAACAUCUUCUUGUAUUUAGCACUAUCAGCAGCACAUUCCCACUCGCCAUCAUAGUACUGAUCUAACUCUUGCCAUAAGCCCUUCAAAAUAUUGUAGUAUUUAGUCACUCCUUGACUACCUUGUUUGGUUUCUCGAAUUCUGGUUUUCAGAUCAUAAAUCUGAGCAGAAUUUCCCAAAUCAGAAUAGGUCUCGGUGACAGCAUCCCACAAAUCCUUUGCUGUUGGCAGAAACAAGUAAGUUUGACCUAUCUCCGAUUCCAUUGAAUUCACUAACCAUGACAUGAUCAUUGAGUUGUCAGCAGCCCAAGUAUGAAACUUUGGGUCUUCUUCAGUUGGUUCUUUAAUUGAACCAGUAAGGUAACCAAUCUUCCCUUUACCUCUGAUAAACAUCUUCACAGAUUGGGACCACUGAAGAAAAUUUUGACCAUUCAAUUUAUGGAUUGUGAUCUAAAGUGAUGGACUAUCAUUAGAAACAUAACUUGAUAGUUGUAGAUGUCGUUGCAAUUGCUCUGAAGAUAACUCAGAAGUUUCUUGCUCGCUAUACUUUGAUAUUGGUAUUCAAAUAGAAUUGAAAACUAAAUCCAAGAAUCAAAGAGCGACUCUGAUACCAUGAGAAAAUUAUUGAAGAAAUAUGUAUCUCCUUUUCUUAUUUUUACAAUAGGGUUACACAAUACAUAUAUAUAUAUUCUAAACUACAUAAUGUGCUAGAGUAGGAAAGUAAACAACUAACUGCAGACCAAGAAACUAGGAAACAAACUCUAUCUAAAAAACUGAAAUUCUAUCCCUAUUUUUUUUCCUUUCUAUCCCUAUCUUUUUUCCUUAAAAAUAGGAUAGAAAACAAGUGACUUUUCCACAGCCCUUUUGGACAAAAAUGAUUUCCUGCUAAUUUUGAGAAUAAAACCAUAGACAUCUAACUUCUGAUAUCUAGUCAAUCUGGUAAAAUCUUGGCAGUUGCACUUGGGGCAUAAAUUAGUUCCACCUUGGUUUAAGGACAGAAAUUCGUCAUAUGCAUGUAUUUAUUUAUGUUUUAUACACACACACAUGCAUGUACACACAAACACUACCUUCACUUUGAAGAAAAGAUUAAAAUAACACUGCUCACAUACACAAUACUUACUAUUCUAGUUCGUGUAACUUUCUCCGGAGUCACAAACAGGUCACAGAAUUCACGUAUUAACCGCAUACUUCUAGUCAUUUCUAUUCCUCCUUCACCAUCACUUGUCCCACAAUUACAAAAAGUGAGAGGUAAUAACCAACAUAUUUGGGUUGCUCUUCGGUAAGGGGUGGGAGGUAAGGGUUAGUUGUGGAGGGCACCUAGUACAGAAUCAAGGCCAGCUGUUGGGAAUUUGAUCUCCUGUAACAUAUACUUGUUCAUCAUAAACUAUAUACUUAUUCUGCAGUCGAUGUGUGCAUAUAGCUCUUCAAUUAUCCAGUAAUAACUCACCAUCAACUUCCUGCCAUCUUUCACGGCUAAUUCAGCAGCCAUUUUUGCCUGCUUAAAGGUCAAAAGCCCAAACUAAGCAGAUGCUCCUACUCCGAUACUUAUUAUCUAACUACUACAGAACAGAUGAUACGCAUCAAGUUGUAUCAAGAGAGACACCAAGUUGUGUUUUCCAAGAGGUUCCAAAGAGGUUUUGUUUCUUUGUGUAAUUUUUAGACUGCUUUGACAACUCAUCUUAAAGGUGCCACUCAUCCAAUAUGAUGUGGUGACAGUAGUUUAGAGUUUUAAACUAAAUGCAGAGCUAAUAGUAUUUUGGAAUAUAAUCAUCCUAAGAUACUAUAACACAGGGAUUCUUACACAAAAACAACAACUUCGAUGUAGAGAGAAGAUGAUUUCACAAAAGCAGAUGUUUUGAUUUAAGUCUCCAAAACCCCCACCAAAGAAAUGUUCAACAGAUAUAGAAAUAUGAUCCACAUAUCUGUAACUUAAACUGUGAAAGUUGUUGAUGUUGUUCUAAAAUUGCCACAAUCUAUCUACCCCAUGAAUGUUUUUGGAUAAAACAACAAGCAGGACCCAAUGCCUGUUUUCUAAUAGCUUCAAAAAGGCCAAAUUGGUUUUGAAAUGUCUCCAGCUUUUCAUUUAAUAAGAGAGAGAGAGAGAGAGAAGAAUCGCUCCCCUUUCAAAUACCGUGCUCUUUUGUACCUGGGAAUUUAACUAAUUCUUGCGAAUAAAAAAAUUUAUAAAUUUGGUAAAUUAUUUAUUAAAAAAUAUUGAGAGGCUGUGCAUUAUUUUAUUAGUAAAGAUAUAGUUAUCAUCAAAUUAGUUAUAUUAAAAUAGUUUUUGACUCACGUAAUUUAUUUUUAUUAUUUUUAUAUAUAUAUUUAAUUAAUAAAUUUAUGUUAUAUUCAUUUGUAUAAAAAUGUACAGUUCUAUCCUCACUCUUAUUUUAUUUUUAUUAUUUUUUCAGAAAAUGGUAUGCGUUAUUAAGGUUAAGGGUGACAACUGGGAUCAAUAUACGGUUUAUUCGAGUGCUUAAAACCUAAUAAAUAUCCACUAACUCAUAUUUAAUUAAAAUAUAAUUAUUUUUAAAUAAAAAAAUUUAAUAUAAACUAAACAAAUUGAUUGGAUUUUGUUUCUAAAGGUACAUCAUUAGAACGUUACCUUUAAUUGAACAAAAGCACACAUAACUAGCACAUUCGCCACAAAAGCCUCAGCUUAGUGGUCGGCUUAUUAAUUAUCUUAAUAAAAUCAUGGUCAUAAAUUUGAGUCCCCGUAGGAAUUAUUAGGUUAGGUAGCUUUUUUAGACUACAAAAGCUUUUUUAGACUACUCAUUCAUUUAAUUUUCCGUUAUAUAUAUUCAUCUUUUUUAGAGGCCAAGAAGUCUUCGACAGAAAUGUGAUCUUUUUCUAGUUGCCUCCCGGUGAUGAGCUUCUCCCAAGUUUCAAUUAAUUCGCUUUGAGUGAGGAUAUUUUCUGGUGGCCUCAAAUACAAUGUCUUGUUCAGCACUCAAGGGUCAUCUAUUGUCUUAAUAGUAUAUGUGGCAACAUCAUCAAGAUGCACUAUAGAAAAAAAGAUAAUCAUUUUGUUUAAUAUGAACAUAAAUUCUUACAGUCUAACUCAUAUUAUAGUGAACGAUGCUGUUAUGUGGUGCGUGCAUGCACUAUCUAUAGUUUUAAUAUUAUUAAUAAAGAGUUAAAAGUCUUGAUUUAAUUUUAAAUUGUCAUUCCUCUAACUUCACCGUCUUCAUAGAUGCAGACUUUAUCUUUUGAAGGGUGAGGGUAGCUAUAUUUGAGAGAGGUGUCUAGGGAACCAACCAGCAAAAAACAGCUAGCAGAAACAUAAAUGACAGGGAUUUGAGCAGCCUUGAUUGCCCUUCUCACACAUGCGCUCUGCGUUCUCCCUCCCGCUCUCACUCACUCACGCCCAAAUCUCACCUCACUCACGCAUCUCUCCUUCUGACCGGUGGUUUUCUCUCUCUCGCCGUGGGUCUCAAGGCUGGCAGGGAUUUCUCGACUUGACUACUAAAACAUAAUCCAAAAACUACUAAGAGAUGUAUAUAUUACUCUGAUAUACACAAUAUGAAGAAACUGCAGUUAUAUUUCAAAUAUUAUAUGAAGGAAGAGGCUGUAUGGAUUAUCUAAAGGUGCUGAAAUUAAGAGACCUAUUGAAAAGUCAUGCAUGUGGUAAUUUUUCAAAGAGCUACCAAACAUUUGAAGAAAAAAUGGAAAGUUGGCAAAUUUGUCAAAUUUGCCAAAUGGACACCAUUGACUAUUGGCUUAGGUUAGGUGGAAUGGUAAAGGGGUUGGUGCAAUAGUGCCAUUAUUUUUCCUAUAAAUAGAUGGCACUUUUUCCAUUCUUUUGCAUCCCAAAAUUGUUAAGCUUAUAAGUUUCUAAGCUUUUGAGAGAAGUGAGAGAAGUGUGUCUGGGGAAUUUAUCUUUCCUGCAGAGUGUGAGAGUACUGGGUAUAUUUUGGGUUUCUGGGAAGUGAGAUUCGUUACUCAAAUAUUGUACUCUAUUAAUUGUUAAAUAAACAAUUAUUCUUUCUUGCCUCCGUGGAUGUAGGUUUAAUUACCGAACCACAUAAUUCUUGUGUCCUUUAUUUUUUCUAUAAUUAUUUGGUGCGCUUGAUUCCGCAUUCCAAGCACAACAAGUGGUAUCAGAGCCGAAGGUUCGUACUUGGGGGGAUACGGUACUGUUCACGUAUACGGUACUAUUCCCAUAUACGGUACUGUUCACGAAUACGGUGGAGACGGCCAUUUGUACUUGGGAGACAGUCUAUUGUAAGUAGUGUGUAUUUUUGCAUGUUUAGGAAAGUUCUGUCAACAAAGGCGAUAAGAGUCUAAGGAUUCUGGUUUUUAAUUGGGACCGAGUUCCCGUCCAGUUUCUUGGGAACUUUCCUGGUGCAUUUAUUCAUGCGAAAUUAACAUCAUAGAGACUGUUUUUCAAGUGGAAAUAGUUCGUUGAGAAAAUGGUAGAAGGUGAAACUUCCAGAAUUGGGGAGAGAUCUACCGAGACUAUUUCAGGAGACACUUCAGGUGGGAGACGAGAUUUGUCAAAUCGCUAUUCAGCACCUGUUAUAGGAGGUCAGAAGAUCGAUGUUGAAAAGUUUGAUGGGAAAAUCAACUUCGGCAUGUGGUGGCGCGAAGUUAUGGAUGCCCUUAUUCAAAUCGAUCUCGAUGUUGUUCUGAAAAAUAAAAGACACUUGUAUGAUGAAGAAAUUUGGGAUCGUAUGAAUGAAAAAGCUUGUGGUUAGAUCAGAUCUUGUUUGACCAAGGAGGUGAAAUACUUGGUGAAAGAUGAGGAGUGUGCGGUAACUUUGUGGCGUACAUUAGAGGAAAAGUACUUGGUGAAAAGUCCUGAAAAUCGCCUUCAUGCAAUGAGCCAAGUAUAUGGUUUUCGAAUGAAGCCUGGGGUGUCAAUGCACGAUCAUGUUUCAAGAUUUGAAAAGUUACUUGCUGAUUUGAAGAAUCUUGAUGAAGAUAUUAAGGAUGAAGUCAAGGCUAUGAUUCUGUUACACUCACUACCAGAGGAAUAUAGCCAUUUUGUGACUACUUUGAUAUAUGGGAAGAGUGUGAUCGUCUUCAAAGAUGUUUGCACAACAUUGACUAGCUUAGAGAUUCGGAAUAAUGAUAAAAAUUCUGAACGAGCAUCGUCUGAAGCUUUAGUGAGCAGAGAUUGGGCGAUGGAGAAACAGAAGAAGCGUGGUGGAAAGAACUCUCGAUCCAAAUCGAGAAGCAGAAAUAUAGCUCGAGAUGAGUGUGCCUUUUGUCAUGAAAAGGGCCAUUAGAAGAAAGAUUAUCCAAAUGCUCAAAAGAGAGAUGGGAAGAAACCAGCAGCAGCAAACAUGGCACGGAAAGAUGAGGGAUCUGAUUAUUCACUAAGUAUUACUCCUGCAGCAUACGUGGCUAGUUCGAGCGAGUGGAUACUUGAUACUGGAGCAACCUAUCAUUUGUGUCCCAUUAAGGAAUGGUUUACGGAUUUCAACGUAUUGGAAUCUGGUGCAGUUGUGAUGGGGAAUGAUCAACCUUGUCGCACAAUGGGGAUAGUAACAAUUCGGCUCAAAAUGUUUGAUGGAAUGGUCAGAGAACUCAAAAAGGUUAGAUUUGUUUCAGCUUUAAAGAAAAAUCUAAUUUCUGUGGGUGCUUUAGAAGCUAAAGGCUACAAGGUUACCAUUGAAGAUGGUAUAAUGAAGUUUACACAUGGGGCUAUGGUGAUUCUGCAAGGGGUUCGGCGUCACAAUCUGUACUAUUUGAAGAGAGGUACAACUGAUGAAGCAAAUGUUGUUGAGGCACACAGUGACACCACCAAGCUAUGGCAUGUACGACUAGGACAUGCUAGAGAGAAGUCUUUGCAAACUCUGAUAAGGCAUGGACUCUUAAAAGGUACCAAAACCUGUAAAUUAAAUUUUUGUGAGCAUUGUGUAGUAGGCAAGAAAACAAGGGUUAAGUUUGGUACAGCUAAUCACGAUACUCGUGAGAUCCUUGAAUAUGUUCAUAGUGAUGUAUGGGGACCAACCAAGACUGCAUCAAUUGGUGGAAGCCAUUAUUUUGUUACAUUUGUUGAUGAUUUCUCUAGAAGUGUGUGGGUGUACACCAUGCGAGCAAAUGAUGAGGUUCUAGAGAUUUUCGUGAAAUGGAAGAAAUUGGUGGAGACUCAAACUGGAAGAAAGAUCAAAGUAUUACGAUAUGAUAAUGGGGGUGAAUAUACUUCUGAUCCAUUCUUGCAAGUAUGCCAGAACGAGGGUAUUAAAAGACAUUUCACAGUGAGACAUACUCCGCAACAGAACGGUGUGGCUGAGCGUAUGAAUCGUACUUUACUGGAGAAGGUAUGGUGUAUGUUAUCUAAUGCUGGUUUAGAUAAAAAGUUUUGGGCUGAAGUUGUGAGCUACGCAAGUCACUUGGUAAACCGGUUGCCUUCUGCUGCAAUUGGAGGUAAAACUCCUAUGGAAAUGUGGUCUGGAAAGCAUGCACAAGACUAUGAUUCCCUUCGUAUAUUCGGGUGUCCAGCUUAUUAUCAUGUCAAAGAUGGUAAACUAGAUCCUCGUGCUAGAAAAGCUAUCUUUGUGGGAUUCAAAGGUGGAGUAAAGGACUUCAAGCUUUGGGAUCUCGAAGAUAAAAAGUUUGUGUGUAGCAGAAAUGUCACAUUUGAUGAAGCUUCAAUGAUGAAAGCUUCAAGUUCUCAGCAGGUGGAGAACAAGACCAAAGAGGUAUUGCUGCGGGUGGAGUUUGAUGCAACUCCAUAUGUACCAGUUAGUUCUACAUCAAAGAAGAGUUCAACUAUAGAGGUGACACCUAGAGUUGAAGAAGAGGUUGUUUCUUCUGAUGUCCCACAAAAUGAAGAAACAAUUGAUAAUGUAGAUAAUGAUGAUUUUAUAGCAACAAGGAGGCUAAGAAGAGAGAUAAAGAAACCCGGAUGGCUUACUAAAGAUAUGGUGGUAGCCUAUGCACUUCCAGUUAUUGAUGAUGACAUCCCCAACACUUUCGGUGAAGCAUUACGCAGCAGUGAAAGUGAUCAGUGGAAGUUAGCCAUGGAGGAAGAGAUGAAAUCUCUCCAUCAAAACCAGACUUGGGAACUUGUAAAGUUACCAAAAGGGAAAAAGGCUAUUGGCAAUAAAUGGGUCUACACCAAAAAGCAAGGAUCUCCGAAUAAAAUAACUCCUCGAUACAAGGCAAGGCUCGUGGCAAAAGGUUUUGCUCAAAAGGAAGGUAUUGACUACAAUUAAGUUUUCUCUCCAGUUGUAAAACAUACUUCCAUUCGUAUCCUACUUGCCUUAGUUGCAGAAUAUGAGUUAGAGUUGGCUCAAUUGGAUGUUAAGACCGCGUUCAUACAUGGAGAUUUGGAGGAGGAAAUCUAUAUGAUUCAGCCUUGUGGUUUCAAAGUUGCUGGAAAAGAGAAUCAUGUGUGUAGGUUGAUUAAAUUUUUGUACGGACUGAAGCAAUCGCCAAGGCAGUGGUAUAAAAGAUUUGAUCAAUUUAUACAAGGGCAGAAAUUCACCAGAAGUGAACACGAUCAUUGUGUUUACUUUAGAAGACUACCAGAUAGAGCUUUCAUCUAUUUGUUACUCUAUGUCGAUGAUAUGCUUAUAGCUUCGAAGAAUAGAGAUGAGAUCGAAAGAUUAAAAAAGCAACUGGCUUCUGAGUUUAAGAUGAAAGACUUGGGUGAUGCACAGAGAAUACUUGGGAUGGAGAUUCGUAGAGACAAGAAGAAUGGGAGCGUAUGGUUGACUCAAAAGUCUUAUUUGAAGAAAGUGCUAGAAAGAUUCGGUAUGGAUGACAAAACUAAACCAGUAUGUACACCUCUAGCUUCUCAUUUCAAAUUAAGCUUUUCUUCAUGUCCUAGAUCUCAAGAGGAGCGUGAUUAUAUGGCUCGUGUUCCAUAUGCUAGUGCUGUGGGUAGUCUUAUGUAUGCUAUGGUAUGCACAAGGCCCGAUAUAUCUCAAGCAGUGAGCAUGGUUAGUAGAUACAUGCAAAAUCCGGGUAAAAAUUAAUGGCUUGCGGUAAAGUGGAUUCUCCGAUAUCUGUAUGGGACAGUUGAUGUUGGGUUAUUGUUCAAGAAGGAUUGUGGUCAACAAUGUGUUGGGUAUUGUGAUUCUGAUUUCGCUGGAGACCUUGACAAGCGAAGAUCAACAACGUGCUACGUAUUCACAUUGGGUGGAGGUCCGGUUAGCUGGAGGUCGAUUCUACAAUCGACAAUUGCUCUGUCCACUGCGGAAGCAGAGUAUAUGGCAGCAACUGAAGCUAUAAAAGAAGCUAUCUGGUUGAAAGGUUUAUUAGGUGAUUUGGGAGUAAUCCAGGAGAACAUUGCGGUCUUAUGUGAUAAUCAAAGUGUGAUAUUCCUUGCGAAGAAUCAAACAUAUCACGCUCGGACGAAGCACAUAGAUGUGAAAUAUCAUUAUGUGAGAGAGAUUAUCGAGAGCGGUGUUGUGUUGUUGAGAAAGAUCGAUACCAAAGAUAAUCCAUUAGAUAUGUUGACGAAGGUAGUUUCUGGAGUUAAGUUUCAACAUUGCUUGAAAUUAAUUCAAAUCCUUCGAUUGUGUUAAGAUAUGUCCUUCGGGAAUUUUGAACUACGGUUGGCUUGAUCCCAAAUUUUGGGUACGUAGGCAGUCAUAGAGAUGCAGCCACUUUGGGGAUGAUGAUUGGUUGGUAGUCGGCUCAGAUUUGGACAAAUUUUCACCGAGGUGGAGAAUUGUUGAAAAGUCAUGCAUGUGGCAAUUUUUCAAAGAGCUACCAAACAUUUGAAGAAAAAAUGGAAAGUUGGCAAAUUUUUCAAAUUUGCCAAAUGGACCCCAUUGACUAUUGGUUUUAUGUUAGGUGGAAUAGUAAAGGGGUUGGUGCAAUAGUGCUAUUAUUUUUCCUAUAAAUAGAUGGCACUUCUUCCAUUCUUUUGCAUCCCAAAAUUGUUAAGCUUAUAAGUUUCUAAGCUUUUGAGAGAAGUGAGAGAAGUGUCUGGGGAAUUUAUCUUUCCUGCAGAGUGUGAAGUACUGGGUAUAUUUUGGGUUUAUGGGAAGUGAGAUUUGUUACUCAAAUAUUGUACUCUAUUAAUUGUUAAAUAAACAAUUAUUCUUUCUUGCCUCCGUGGAUGUAGGUUUAAUUACCGAACCACGUAAUUCUUGUGUCCUUUAUUUUUUCUAUAAUUAUUUGGUGCGCUUGAUUCCGCAUUCCGCGCACAACAAGACCCACACCAACCGACAGACCCCCGGUGAUAGAGAGAAAGUCGACUGUGAGAUGCAUUCAAGACGGGGGAAGAGUGAGAGAGAAAACUGCCCGGUCAGAAGGAGAGAUGCAUGAUUGAGGUGAGAGAUUUGGGCGUGAGUGAGUGAGGAGUGAGGGAGAGGGUGCCGCGUGUGUGGGAUGCGUACAAUGACAAUUUAUACUUACAUCAAAACGCCGCGUUCGGUGCCAUGUGUAGGGCUAACUGUGGUUUGAAUCUCACUUUGGUAAUGGAAAUGACUUUGCAAUUGACAGUUUUUGUCAAAAGUUCGCACUGCAUGAAACUAGUGUUAAUAUAAUUUAAAAAAUUAAUUUCAGUAUUAAUUUUUAAAGUUUUAAUUAUUAUAUUUAUUUUAAUAAUAGAUUUAUAUUUAUUAUAAAAAUUUUAGUUAAAUAUUUGUGUUAAAUGGAAUUUAUAAUUAAUAUAAUAGAUCUUAGGUAUUAAUAUAUUAUAAUUAUUCUAUAUGCUAUUGAAAAUCAUUUAUAUUUUUAGACGUUUAUUUUCAUAUUAAGUUUCUAUUUAUUUUAAAAUUUAGUUUAAUAUAAUAUAAGCAAGUAAAGUAUUAAAAUAUUUUUUAGUAUUAUUUAAAAUAUUAAAAUAAUUUUAAAAUAUAAGUCAAAUUUUUAAGUGAAUAUAACUAAUAUUUACAGCUAUUUGAUGGCCUCAACAAGCUAAAGCAGCAUCAAAAUUUGUGGCUCGUUAAUUUAUUUUUUCCCUUUCAAAAAGGGAAGAGGAUAAGUUUGGAAGAAUGAUUAUAUUUUUAAUAAAUUCUUUUUUAUUAUAAUACUUUUUGUCUUUAUUAAUUUAAAAAUAUUGACUCUUAUAUUUUAAAAAAUAUAAAUAUAAUAUUAUAAUAAAAUAUAACAAUAUAUAUCAAAUAUUUAAAAAAUUUAAUAUUUUAAUAUUUUAUAUUAUAUUAAAAUAAAUUUUUAAUAAAUAAAAAUAAUCUAUUAAAAUAAAGUACAAAAAUUUAAAUUAUUUUCAAUAUCAUCUAAAAUAAUUUUACUAUUAUUAAUGCAUGAAAUAUAUUAUAGUAAUUGUAAAUUUCAUUUAACUCAAAGAUUUAUUUAGAAUGUUCAUAAUAAGUCCAAAUAUAUUAUUAAAAUAAUUAUAAUAAUUUACAUUUUAAAAAUUAAUACUGAUAUUAAUUUUUAAAUUAUAUUACUCUACCAGAAAAAUUAAACUAUUAAAUUAUAUCAAUAUUUAUUAAAAAAUUUUGAAAUUAAUUCUUGUUAUAUUUUUAAUUGGAAUUUUUUCAUGUGAUAUAACCAGAAUUGCUACAAUUUUUUUCCCUAAUUAAAGAUGGAGUUAUAAAUUAUUUGUAUAAGUGUCUGUGUGGAAACUAAUGUGACAUGAAAGUAAUAGCUGAAUAACAAUAAUGGGCCGAUUUCAAUUCUUAAACAGACUUGUCCUUCAUCCCAAUUUAUUUACCCCAUUUGGGCCGGUUAUGACAUAAACAUAUUCUUGUGGAAUGAAAAACAUCAUGAGAAGAAAAUGUUUUAUUAUAAUAGAAAAAAGUGGUCCAUAAGUCUAUUCAUUACUUUUUUUAUUCAAUAUAAAUGGCUAACUUUAAAAAUGGUAAAAAUCACAUAACGCGCAAACAUAUUUUAGAUUUAUAUUUUUUAAUACUCUCCGAGUCUCUCUUUCUCUUUUUCUUUUUUUAAAUAAAUGUCAGUAUAAAAUUUAAAAAAAAUUUAGAUAUAAAAUUUGGCAAUGACCAAACAAAAAUUGCAGAGGAAACCUUGAUAUCAUUGAAAUACUGAUAAUAGACACUACAGUAUAAAUAACUUGUUGUGAUCCACUCAACUUGUAACACUUUAAUCCAUAUUCUAAAAUUUUCAUGUUUGUUAGGAUUUUUAUUAUUGAUACUACUGUAUCAAUAAAAUUAUAAUUUAUUCAUAUGGAAUGAAAACAUCAAGAAAGGACCUCUGAUGUUUAUUGUCAUAGAAAAAAGUGGUCCAUAAGUCUAUUAAUUAUUUUAUUUAUUCAAUACAAAUGGCCAACUUAAAAAAUGGUAAAAAUCACACAAUGCACAAGUAAAAUUUUACAAUUACAUUUUUUAAUUCUCUUUGAGUCUCUCUCUCUCUUUAAAAAAUAAACCUCACUGUAAAAUUAGAAAAAUUUUAGACGUAAAAUUUGACAAUCACCAAAUAGAAAACAUAGGGAAAUGAAAAUGGAGGAGCCCUAUUUUCAUUAGAAUAUUGAUCAUAGAUACUAUAAUGUAAAUGAUUUGUUGCGAUUCCUUCAACUUGUCACACUCUAAGCUAUUUUCUAAAAUUUGUAAGGUUUAUAGGAUUUUUAUUACUGCCAUCAUUGUAUCAAUAAUAUUAUAAAUUAUAUAUUCUAUUGUAAUGAAAAUUUGUGUAAUCUUAGGUAUUUAUUGUAUUAAAUUGUGUGGAUUAAUUAAGAAUAUUUUUGGAGACAAAAGAAGUGUGUGUACGUAGGAUUAAUGAUAAAAAAUUUCUAAAUAAAGGUGAUUGCUUCAUUGACAAGUACAUAUUUAUAUUCCUCUAUUAAUAUUUGGGUUGUAAACUCUAUAAUAAAGUUGGUUGGUGUGAGUGGUUCGGCACUCUCACUCUUUAAGAGAGGUCGGGAGUUCAAGCCUCGCUCUCGUAUGGAGUCACCACUUUGGCCAGCACUUUACCUCUUAUGGGCCGACCCGGUGCGAGUGGGAAUUAGUAUGGGUUGUGGUAUGGGCUUAAAGGUGUCUCCCACAGUUGGGGCCCACUCAGGACCACCUCGUGAUUCAAACAAAAAAAAAAAGUGAAUAUAUUGUGGCAAGUGAUGUGGGCAAUAUCGGAUGCGAAAUAUUGAGAGAUCAUUAACGCAUAUAUUUAUUGAAGAUGCGUAUAGAGGAAAGAGUGUAGAUCCGGCCGUAACAAUUACGAAGCUUUCCCCAAGUAUACUCAUGCUUCCUUAACUGUUUCGAAGUAUUUUUCAUAGUGUGCAGAUUUACUUUAUGGUGUCUUUAAUUCAUCUUAAAUGAUUACUUUAUUGUUUUAGGAUGCAAUGUCAUUUAUUGUGUUAAUUUAAACAAUAGAAAAAAUAAGUAACAGUAACGAAAGACUAAUUUGUGAUAUUGAAGCGUACGGGCUUAACUCAAUCCAAAAAUUAGUAAAUUAGCUCAAGAGUUAAGAGUUGUCCAAAUCUUAUAUGAUGAACCCAAGUUUAAUACACAAUUGAUGCGGGAUGUUAUUCCUAACACCUCCCGUCAUGUGUAGGAUUGGCAAAAAAACUCGGGUCAGUCCCGCCUAAACCUACGAGCUUUAUGCAUGGCUCGCAUGAUGAAGUUACGGAUAUUAACCUAAAAAUUUGAAACUUACUAUGAAUGGCCUUGCUUAAAGACUUUUGCAACUUUAAUUUAUAACAAGUAUGUAUAUCUACACACACAUAAGCUUAGAUUGCAUUUGGAUGGCUUUUUUAAUCAAUUCAAACAAUCUGAAAUUUAUCAGAUUAAUCCAAAUCUUAUAUGUAUCCAAUUUUGCCCGCCCCUACUAUAUAUAAGCCCAAGUGACUCUCUUUUACUAAUUAAUAAGAGAAUUUUUGACCUUAUAUCCUUGUUGUGGCGUUAGACUGUUGGUUAUUUUGAUUGUUUCCUACCUUCCAUUUACGCCAGCUAUAACAUUGUAUUAUCACCAUUUUAGCCAUUUAAAUGAAAUUUUAUUUUUCAUUUUAUUGUGUCAAUACUAUCAUAAUUUAUUCAUUUUAUUGUAAUGAUAAUUUGUCUAGUCUUAGGUACUUACUAUAUUAAAUUAUGUAAAUUAAUUGAGAAUACUUUUAGAGACAAAAGAAACACGUGUAUGUAGGAUUAAUAAGCGAAGAGUUGUAAAUGAAGGUGAUUGCUUCAUUGAGAGGCAUAUUAAAUAAUUAUGGAGAGUUGCUCUAUUUCGGAAGCAUAUAUUUAUACUUCCCUAUCAGGAUUUGGGGUAAGCGAGGUGCUUUAUGUAUUGCAGUAACCAAAUGUGGGCAAUAUCAGAGCCGAAAUAUUGAAAGAUCAUAACGCAUAUAAACGAUUAGUAUAUUGAAGACACAUAUAGAGGAAAGAGUGCAGAUCCGGCCGUAACUAUUAUGAGGAUUUCCUCAAGUAUUCUCAUGCUUCCUCAACUGUUCUGAACUAUAUAUUCCUCAUUGUGGGCAGAUUUACUUAAAUACCAACACAAUGAUUCAAUACUUCAAAGGUCAAGGAAAUGUCAAAAUAUGAAAUGAAAAUACUUAAAUACCCUUCUACCUAACAAAACUUAGUACUUCUAACUGCCUUAGCAGAGAAUCUAUAAAAUUAAAAAAAAAAAUUCAUCCAUGAAAAGCUUCGUAACAGAAAAACCGUCUUUCAAAAAAUAAAAAAUAAAAAAUAAAAACAGAAAAACCGACUCAUUUAUCUGCCAAUGAACCAGUCAGGACUCAUUUAAAAAAGAUUACAAAGCAAAAGUAAAUGACACAAAUUGCAUAGAUAUCUCGGAGCCGCAUCAAAGGACAAUGGUGUUAAUUUGUCCGAGUAAUAAAUUCUCCUUGGUCAAAAGCAAUUAACGAUGAAAACUUUCUUCAUUAAGGUUCUGGCCUACGUAAAAAAAAAAAAAAAAAACCACCCCAAGGUCAAAGCACAACGAUAAGUUUAGAAUUGCAGUUUUUAAUUUUUUUUAAUAAAUCAACGUGUAUAAAAAAUAGAUAAUAAUUUUAAAUAAAUUUUAUUUGAUAAAUAUAGGCAUAAAAUUUUAAAAUCACCAAACAGAAAAACAGGGGAAUUAAAACAGAGUCCCUGUUUAUCCUCUAUUUUGCUUGUUAUUAAACAGGGAAAUGAAAAGAUCACAAGCGGAAAUUUUGUUUCUGCGUUGUCUCUUCUCAAUGCUACAUGCAUUCAAAUUAAACCUUACAUAUGCUAGCAAACUAGCUACCUGCGUUUAAGUGUUAGAGUGCAAUUUAUGCACUAAUUUUGCAUUGUUUACUUCUUUUAAUAUCGAUAUUUUGCACUUAAUAAUAGUGAUUUACUUGUAUUUUAUUUUUGUAAGUGCAAUUCUAUUUAUUGGUGCUAAAAUUGGGCUACAAGAUGAUGUUUGAAGAUGAUUGUUUUCUUGGAAAAAUUAUGAGUUUCAGAAGAACUUUGUUGAUAAGGCGUGGGCGCUGGCUGUCAACUACGGACCUGUAGUUUUUAGUUUAACGUGUUUUGUCUUUUUGGUUAUUUUUGUAAUCACGAAUUUAAUAUUUAGAUAAUAUUUUAGAUAUUAGUAUUUUAUUUUAAAAAGAACUCUAGAAGAGAAUUUAAGAGGGGAAUCUAUGGUCAAAGGAAAAAAAAGAAAGGAAACCCUAGAUCUAAAUUUUUCUCUUCUCUCUAUGAAGAACUAAACCUAUUAUUCUGGUUAAAGGUUAAUGGAGCUUUGAUUCAUCAUUACUGUGAGAUCUUUCUUAUGCUUUAAUUGUUUUAUUGAUUUUUGGGUAUUUGUUUAUUCUCUAAAUUAUUGUCAUGAUUAUGUUUGUUAAUUAGAUAAUUAGCCAUUAUUUAAUUAUCAACUUAAUCUAUUGUCAAUUAAAGGAUUCAUCGUAUGAAGAUUUUAAUGUUUGUGACAAAUAGCAUAGCAGUUCGUUAUGUUAUGAGAAUAAACAAUCUAAUUUAAAUGAACCAUCGUAUGCGUUUGUUGAUUAGGAUUUGGGUCUCUCUGGUUUUUCAGGUUGUCAAUUGAUUAAAUCCUAUGAUCGUAUCUAGGGUUGUCUAUUGAUUAGGGAAAUAACCAAUGGUCGUACCUUGGUUAUCGACUAGUUAAGGAGAGAUUGGCUAUUAGAGGGUCUCAGUAGCUAUAACCGGUCUAUUCAUAAGUAGUAAUGAUUUAUAUUUGAAUCAAUGAUCAAUAGUCGAAUCAAGCUGAGUUAAUUCCUUCAACCAGAGCUUUCCCCAAUUUUAAUUUGCAUUCUUGUUAUUUUAAUUUGAUUUUUAUUAUUGUCAACAAUUCCCCCAUUUUGCAUUUUGCAUUUUAAAAGGAUUUAAAUAAUUACUAAUCUCUGUGGACACAACCCUACUCAAUCACUAUACACAAUUUAUUUAGAGUAUGUAUUUAUUUUUGCUGGCUUCGACAACCAUCAAUAAGUUCUCGAUAAGUCCAAAUAAUAGAAUAAUUGUAAAAUGUUCAAAUUCAGUAAUUAAUUAUACAUAUUUAUUUAUUCAAAAUUAUUAUUAUUAUUAAUUAUUGUCAAUAAUAUAUUAAUAUACUAAUUAAUUGUAAACUUUUUUAUCAUUCAUAACAAUGAUGAUGAUGAUGAUGAUGAUGAUGAUGAUAAAAAAUUCAAAACAUAUUAAUUAAUUAUAAUAAUAUAUUAAAUAUUUAAUUAUUUAAUAAUAAUAAUAAUAAAUGCACAAUGUAUAAAUUGAUUAGAAUAAUUAUAUUAAUUAAUCAUAAUAAUUUUUUAAUUGAGGACAAAAUAGAUAUUUUAUAGUUUGUGAGAGGGGGCAAAAUGGUCAAUCUUGGGAAUGGGGGAUUGAUUCCCACCACCUUCCUUAGGAAUCAAUCUUCCAUUCCUCAUUCCUAAUUUGGGUGGUCCCCAUAGUUCUGAUUCGGAUCCCAGCCUCCAUUUUAUGAAGUAAACAUCAUUAAGAUUUCGAUUCCGGAUUCCGAUUCCCCAAUCCAAGAAGUACAGGCACCAUUAUUGUUGAUUGGUUCAAAUGCACAAAGAGAAUGUACCAUGUAGCUAGGCGUCAAGGUUGUGCUGCACAAGUAACCUUUUUCUUUUCUUUUCUUUUUAUUUUUCUUAUUUUCCUUAAUGUAUCGGAAGAAACUGGUGCCUUUGAGAUACUACCAUGUAAAUAAGUACUUAUGGUUCAUUGAAUCUGUAACACUCGGUACCCUACAAUUGCUUUUGAAAAAGGGCUUUACUCACUUAUCGCUAAUAUUCAAGUAAGUUUGUUUCAUUUCAGAAGGUGCAAAGUUUCAAACUUGUUGUAUUGAGAUGUAACAAACUUUGGCCUUAUAUGCUUGUUGUGACGUUUGACUGUUCAUUUUGACUGUUUCCUACCUUCCACUUACGCCUGUAGCACUGUAUUAUUCACCAUUUUAGUUGUUUAAAUGAAAUUUUAUUUUGUCAAAAAUGAAAUGACACCAUUAAAAUUUAAAAAAAUAGUCAUGGAGAUCCCAAAUUUUUACUAAAGAACACCAAUAUUCCCCUUGACUAUAAUACCCUUAGCAGGUGGUAAUAAAAAAUUGACUUAAAAUUUUUUGCGAAAUGUAAAUAUGAUUUAAAUAAUUUAAAUUUUCCAAUAGACUAAUAUAUAUAAUUUAAAUAAUUAAUUUCAAUAUUAAUUUUUUAAAUGUAAAUUAAUAUAUUUGUAUUUAUAAAAUAUUUGCAAUUAUUAUAAAAAUUUUAAAUAAAUCCUUAGGUUAAUAGAUUUUACAAUAAAUAUAAUAUUUCUCAUGUAUUAAUAAUAUUAAAAUUAUUUUAUAUGAUAUUGAAAAUAACUUAAUUUAUAUAUUUAUUUGAAUAUUAUGUCUCUAUUUAUUAUAAUUUGGUUUAAUAGAAUACGAGAUUGUAAAAUAUUAAAAUAUUUUAGAUAUUGAAAUUUUAAUAUGUAUAUAUUAUUAUAUUUAUUUUAAUAUAUUUAUAUUUAUUAUAAAUUAUUAGAGUCAAUUUUUAGUUAAUAAAUUUAAAAAUAUUAUAAUUAAAAAAAAGAAUUCUUAUUGUCUGUUAUUCACAAUAUGAGGUUCUACAAAAUUAUUUCUCCAGACGGGUGUCCUUUUCUUAUUUGUAAAAGGAAAAAUAAGUUCAGGGAUCUUAAAAAAUUCUAGUCCUAUCGACCACUAUGACUAAUGGGAAACGACAUUGCAAUUGACAUUACUUUUCGCAAUAUGACAAAUUUUUGGAGGGAUACGGGAGAAUCGUCAAACGUUCACACCACACGAGAGCUUUAGGUGGGAUCGGGGAGGAUUGUCAAGAGUUCACACCACGAGAAAUUAAUGAUAGGCCUAAUUUCGCUGUCAGUUCUUUAUUUAUUUAUUUUAUUUAUUUCAUACAUUAUUAUCUUGUUGGUAUUGUUUUGUAAAGGUAUAAAAGUAAAGUAAAAUACUAGGGGUACCAUUAAGUUACAGCUGAUGUAACUUACAGUGUUUUAAAAAAUAAUAUAAAAAAUUUAAUAGCUGGUGGGAUCCACAUAUUUUUGAAGAGACUUAAGUUACAACAGUUGUAACUUAACAAAAUCCAAAUAUUUGACAAUAAUGCAUAUAAUUUGGAUUUGAUUUUUAAAAGAUUAUUUGAGCACCACCUAUCCUUAUGAUAUUAAUGUGAAUAUAUCUUAAUAUUAAAUAAUCAAAAUUUGUUUAAUUAUUAUUUGUAUUUCAUACAUUACCUAUUAGAUUUGUUUGAAUUUUACGUUCUUGCUAAUAAAUAUUUAUGUUGUCAAAGUCAAAUUCUAAUGAUUAAAAGAGCAACUAUCCCUUAAAUUUUAAUGGUGAAUUGUAUAUAGUUUUUAAGAAAGUAAGGAUAAGUUGGAUAAUUGACUUAAAUUCUAAUGAUUAAAAGAGCAACUAUCCUUUAAAUUAAAAUGUCAAUUUCUUUAAUUAUAAUUUUUUUUUCAUGUGAUAUAACCACAAUUGCUAUAGUUUUUUUAAAUAAUAAUGGGAGUUAUAAAUUAUUUAUAUAAAAUUUGUGUAGAAUCUAAUGUAACCUAAAAGUAGUUGCUGAAUAAUAAUAUUUGAAACUCUAGGUAAUUUUCAUAUGAGCCCUUUUUAUAUUCAGCAUCUUGAAUCGGGGGAAAUCCGACUUGAAUUGGCGGCUGAUUUUGGUGAUGUAGCUUUCGGUUUAUGGUUGCCUUACAGUGGCGGACGACUGAUUUACGGUCGCCGACUGCUAGGGAUUAUGGUGGUGGUGUAAAUUGACGGAAAAAGUAGAAGGUUUGGUGGCGGCGCGUGUAGGAACCACUCGUGGGUUGUCGUUUCGUGUGGUGACUGCGGGUGGCGAUCAAGGGCUGACGUUGGUCGGUUUUUGGUCAACGGAGGGCGGCCAGUUUGUUGGUGGAGGUGGCUGGCGGUGAAAGUGGCUGAAUGGUGGUGGAUAUCUUGGUGGAGCUACGGGUUUGGGUUGGUGAUUUGCGGCUGUUCAGGCGGCGGUUGAGGCAGCGAUAGCUGCGGCUUGGUCGGCGGUGGCUAGCGAGGUUUGUUGUGGUGUUGGCUGGCUGAUCGGUGGUGGUGGGCGGCGGCGGUGGAGGUUGAUGCGGCGGGUAGGGUUUUCAAAUCGGUUUUUGAUAUUUUUUUUUUUUUUUAUGAAUUUGGUGUGGAUGGGUAUAGGGUAAGAAACACUAGAUAUCAUUCUAGUACUGGACCAAGCCAACGCAAUUAAUUUACCAUCUAGUCGAAGGGUGAUUAGAUAUCGUUCUAACCCAAACGAUAAAAUGAGAUUUUUAACAACGCGUAAUACAAGAUUAGAUGAUGCUCUAAUCCAAACGACUCUACAACGACUCUAUAAGAGAGAUUUUGAUAGAUAAAUCUAGGGAAAAUUAUAAAAGAUGGGUUUUAUUUAAUAAUUAAACCUAAAGUUUUGAAAACAAUGACAAGAUAUUUUUAUUUAUAAUACAGGAAAUCUGCUUCCCUAAGAUAACCUAAAAAAGAAAAGUAAAUCAUAAUUAUAAUAGAAAUGAAAGAUUAAGAUACACACCAUAAUUGACUCAAACUAAAAUAGAAAAUCUUAAAGUAAUAAAUAUUCUAAAAUUGUAAAUUAUCUAAAAUAACAAUAAUUAACUUCCUAAAUCAUUUCUUUGGUGUAAAUCAUUUUACAUCCAACCUCGCUUUAAAGGUUUGAACCAGCGUUACCAACAACAAUGUAUCAAGUUCCAAUCUAGCUUAAGAUCAUGCUGAUACAUCUACUGAUAUCUUUAUUUGAUUAGACAAUAAUGAGUCUAUCUCAUCACUUGUUACCUCUUUCUUGAAGGCUGCAUCUGUUGAGCGAUAACCUCGUUGAAAGUUUAAAGAUCUUCCUCCAUGUUAAAUUAAAUGGGCAUUUGAUUAAGAACUUUAUCUCUAUCUCCUUCUAUCAAAUAACAACCAUCCAAAGGGAAAAAAAAAUUAAAAAAAUCCAUGGGUCACAAUAAUUUCUGGUCAGCCCACAAACCCCCCAUUAUCUGCCACUAUCAAUCAUGAAAAUGAAAAUAAAUGGCAUAUUCCCAAAAUGACGAAAGAUUUUGGGGGAUAUGGGGGAAUUGUCAAAAGUUCACACAACGCGAAACAAGUGUUACAUCCAAUUUUAUUUCGUCAUAUAAUGAUAAUAUCAAAUAAUGACAACCAUCCAAAAGUAUGAUGGGUCUUCCAAAAUUUUAAAAAUGUCGUCAACAUUUAAUUUUCAAUGCUAAAGAAAAUGAAAUGCCCAAAAAUGACACGCAAGACCCACUCACAAACUAAAUGGCCCUUGACCAUAUGUAACAAACUUUGACCUUAUGUCCCUGCUAUGGCGUUAGACUGUUGGUCAUUUUGAUUGCUUUUUACCUUCCAUUUACACCCACUGAAGCAUUGUACGAUUAACCAUUUUAGCUGUUUAAAUGAAAUUUUUAUUUUUUUCAAAAGUAAAAUGACACGCUUAAAAUUUUAGAAAAUAGCCAUGUAGACCCUAAAAUUUUAAUAAAGAACACCAAUACCCUUUUUGACUAUAGUACUUUUAGUCGAUGGUAACAAAAAAAAAAAAUGACUUCAAAAUUUUUUACUAAAUGUAAAUAUGAUUUAAAUAGUUUAAAUUUUCUAGUAGACUAGUAGGUAUAAUUUAAAUAAUUAAUUUAAAUAUUAAUUUUUAAAAUGUAAUUUAAUAUAUUUAUUUUAAUAAUAUAUUUUUAUUUAUUAUAAAAUUUUAAAUAAAUCCUUAGGUUAAAUAGAUUAUAUAAUUAAUAUAAUAUUUCUCAUGUUUUAAUAAUAUUAAAAUUAUUUUACAUGCUAUUGAAAAUAAUUUAAAGUUUUAUAUAUUUAUUUGAAUAUUAUGUCUCUAUUUAUUAUAACUUGGUUUAAUAGAAUAUGAGAUUGUAAAAUAUUAAAAUAUUUUUAGGUACUGAAAUUAUUUUAAUAGGUAUAUAUUAUUAUAUUUACUUUAAUAUCCUACUUAUAUUUAUUAUAAAAUAUUAAAAUUAAUUUUUUUAGUUAAUGAAUUUAAAAAAUAAUAUAAUUAAAAAAAGAGUCUUAUUGUCCGUUAUUCACGAUAUGAGGUUUUACAAAAUUAUUUUCAAAAGGAAAAAUAAGUUCAGGGGUUUCAAAAAAUUCUAGUCCAAUCGACCACUAUGACUAAUGGGAAACGACAUUGCAAUUGACAUUGUUUUUCGCAAUAUGACAAAAUUUUGGAGGGAUAUGGGAGAAUCGUCAAAAGUUAACACCACACAAGAGUUUUAUUUAUUUAUUUAAUUUAUUUCACACAUAUAUUGUCUUGUUGGUAUUGUUUUGUAAAGAUAUAAAAGCACAAGUAAAAUAUUAGGGGAAGUAAAGUAAAAUAUUGGGGGUGCUGCUAAGUUACAACUGCUAUAACUUACAGUUCCUUCAAAAAUAAUGUAAAACAUUUAACACGUGGUGGGACCCACAUUAUGUUUGAAUAGUCCGUAAGUUAUAGCAGUUAUAAAUUAGUAAAAUCCAAAUAUUAGACAAUAAUACACAUUAACAAUGCAUAUAAUUUGGGUUUAAUUUUUUUUAAAUUAUUUGAGUAUUACCUAUCCUUAAGAUAUUAAUGAGAAUAUAUUUUAAUAUUGUGAAGCUUUCCUCAAUUAUUCUCAUGCACCCAGACCUUAUCUGGUCAAGUUUUCUGAUUCAAUACUGACGACAGCUUCUUUGUAAAGCUCUUCAACCACAAGCAUUUCUACAAGGCAAAGGACAAGGACGUGUUGGAAUGAAUAUCAACAUGGGAAUGUCUUAUGAAUUUAGUUUAUAUUCUAAUAUAAGACAAUCAAUAAAUAUUGGAUGCAAUCUAAGGGCUAACAUUUGAUUGAUUAAUAUAAGAAAAAAAAAGGGUACAAAAAUGCAAAACAGAGCUGAUUGAUGGCCUUUAACAGUCAGUUCUAUGACAAAGUAACCACCAUAACCAAUGGAAUUAUAAGACAUCAAGAAACUUGAACUUGGCAGGAGGUCUCAUUAGCAGUAUACCUCAGAAAUUAAGACAGAGACUUUAAAAUGCAAGCUUAUGGAGCAAUUUAAGCACUGAAACUAAUAACAGUGAUGCCAAAAAAGGUGCAGGAGUACGGUAUUAGCAAUUGACCUCUGCUUUUGCUUGGACAAAGGUUCUCAUCACAAGGGACUCAUUAGUUGCCCUUGCCUCACACGAUUGGAUGCUAAGGGGGAAAAGGAAGUUUGAAUUAGUCAAUCUCAUUUCUAAUGGCAUUCACAGAGAACCUAUAAAACAAAAAAGUAAAUAAAAAUUUUCAUCCAUGAAAAGCUUAGUAACGGAAAAACCGACUCUUUUAUCUGCCACUGACCUAAUCCGGACUCAUUUAAUUAAAAAAGAAUUCAAAGCAAAACUAAAAGACACAAAUUGCAUACAAGUCUAGGAGCCAUAUCAAAGGCGUUAUAUAACUUGUCCAAUUAAUAAAUUCUCUUAGGGACCAUGCCGUGCUCACUCAUUUCCAAAGCAAUUAAUGAUAAGAACUUUCAUCAUUAAUUGAUAUGGCCAGUGUAGAAAAAAAUGAAAAACCCCUCCAAGAUUAAAGCACAAGGAUAAGUUUAGAAUUACACUUCUUAAAUUUUGGUUAAUAAAUAAACGUCUAUAUGAAAAUAGAAAAUCUUUUUGGAAUAAAUAAACGUCAAAUUUUUGUUUCUAUCUUACUACCUUCUAAAUCCGCAAUCCCAAGUACUUAGAAGUAAAUGCUACAUAGUACAUGAGAUGUUUCCCGUUCAAAUAGCUCGUCCGAUACCAUUAACAUGUUCAUCUCUCUGUAAUUGGUGUAAUUACGAGAUUGGUGGUUGACAUGGCUUUCCUUGUACAGGUAUGUAUGAUUGUUUUUUUUUUUUUUGGCACUUCUAAAUGGAUACUGUUGAAAAGCUUAAAAUUGAACUGAUAAUUUUGUUUGGAAGCUCAGAAAAUUCAUGAGAAAGUGAAAUAGAAUAUGCUGGAUUUCUUUUCUUUCCAUAACAUACAAAUGACAAACGUAGCAGUAUUUAUACUCGUUGCUUACAUCAUAAAAACAGAAUUAAAGCAAGGUACACAACUAUAACAGCAUCAAAAGCGUGCUUAACUAAUUGGCUGAGCUGGCAUAUACUUCUUUAACUAACAAUGCUGCUGACUGGACUUUAGCUCACACAUGCUUAUCGUGCAGCUACUCUUAGUUCACACGUGCUCAGUGUGCUUCCUUAACAGACACAAGGGAAAAGACAUGAUUUUGAGAUAUAACGCUUGAAUGUUCUCGGAAUGGCAUAACGCUUCGUGUGUCUCGGAGCGGCUGAUUGGUGCUGUACGUGUUUCUCAUAUAGAACUCAAGUCUGCUGUUGUCCCAAAGUUGGAACCAGAGAUAUCAUGACUCUGGUUUCAUUUCACCUCAACUGUGUUUUUUUUUUUAAUUAAAAAAAUAAUUUUUUUAGGUAUACAUACAUGUAUUUUGAUCCCAUUUUCAUGGGAAUUUUGCAUUAAAAAAUGAAGAAUAGCUAAUAGGGAAUUUCCUGAUUCUUUAGUUACUAUUUUUGGAAUGAGGGUAAUUAGUAGUAAAGUUGGUUUCUACUCGCAAACAAGUGAGCUGCUCGAUUCCCAAGUGGUAUCAACCAGUUUUCAACUUUUUAAUAUACACAAAUUGUUAUUGUUUAAUAGCUACUACUAUUAAAACUCAACAUCUUACAAAAAUACUUAAAAAAAAUGAUUUUUUCUUAUGAUGCUGUAAAAAAAAUUACGGGUUUACUUAUUUCCACGAGAUCUUGUAUAGUGUUCUUGUAUAGUGGAAUUAAGAUUGUCUUCCCGAUGGUGCAAUUCACCCUCUUCCUUUACAGUCACUUGCACUUUGUGCAGCUUUGGUGUGGAUACGAUUCCCAGGGAAAAAGUCUUCAUGUUCGGACAAUGUGUCACAAAUACUCGUUCCAAUGAUGGGAAUUCAAGAGUGUAAUUCUCCAAACAAAAGCUGGUAAGCCUUGGUAAAUCAUCAAGUUCCAAAAGUUUUAAUUCACUGAAAGCAAUACGAUUCUCCUUCACUUCUUCUCCAGCAUGUCCUACGAUUUCUUCUAAUUUUUUGCAGUUCCAUACAUAAAGAUUCACCAGACUAGUAGGAAUUCCAACCUGAAAAUAAGCAGAGAGAGUGUGUGUGUAUAAAUAUUAAAAAAGUAAAAAUGUAAGAGUAUCAUUCAACUAGGCUCAAAGUAUGUUUGAUCAUACAAUUAUACGUUUUAUGAACAUAACAAACUGUGAAAUGUCUACUAGAUAUUUUUUGUUAAACAAAAAAGGUAACAAGAUAAAUAAAUAAAUAAAUAAAAGCCAGAUAAACAAAGAUGAUAAAAAUGUAUUUACACAAUUAGUAUUAGGGACGUAGAAAGAAUUUAAGGCAAUUUCUAAAUAUUUUAGACUUAUUUUGCAUCUUGAUAUAAGUUUUUAAGCAUAAAUUUGCACAUUUCAACUAUUCCUUUAAAAAAAAACUCAACUAAAAUGCCUCUUUUUCCCUUUUCCUUGGUCCCCUUUUUUUUAUGUAUAUAUAAAAAUGGAAAAAAAAAUUUGGAAAAGACUUCCUAGUACUGUCAACAAGGGAUUGCUGUAAAGUGGAUCUUUAUUAAGUACUUCCAGACUCGAGGAAAUUUCUUUACAAUCAAGGGUCAGUUGUAAACAAUCAUGAAUUUAUGGUUAAGUAAUGGCAUAAUCAAUUCUUAACUAAACUGGAGAUAUUAAUUAAAUUUGAAGACUUUUUUUUUUUCCCAAUCGAAAUGUGAAGAACUAAGGAAAAGAGAAAUAUAUAGAUGAAUUUGUGAACUUAUAAGAUGAGUGACUAUCCUUUAAUUUUUGAAAAUCGUACUUAUUAAGAUAUGAGCAAAAACAAUUAAAUUGAAUUAUAUUAUGCUGUUGAAUCUGUUUAAAAAAAUUAUAUUGUUGAUUCUAAUGCUGGUGAACCUAAAAACUAGACUUAAAACGUAGAUUUCAGAGUGGUGGUUUGAAGUACAAUAUUUGAAAUAAAUAAUUAGUGGCUGAAUAUCAUUUGUAAACACAGAAAUGAUUAAAAAAUUGUUGAAUGUUAUUUGAAAAAAAAAAUCGAAAUGAAUACAGAAACCUUACCAAUGGAGGAAAAAUAUUCAUUAGCUUAUCACACUCUUCUAUCUCCAAAUUCUUCAAUUUCCUGAAAGACUCCGAAGCAAGCUGGUGGUGCCAUAUUGUUCUUAGGUUAUCCAUCCACACAAUAUAUAAUACCUCCAACCUAGGAAGUCGUACCUGGCAAUUAAAGAUUAAAUAACUAAUUAAUCAAUUAAUGGCAUAAUCAAUUGAUAACUAAAUUAGAGGCGGAUAUUAACUAAAUUUGAAGACUCAAGGAAAAGACAAAUCAAGUAUUGUGACUAAAAUUAUUUUUUUAAUUAAAAAAAAAAAACUUUUCAUCAAAGAGAGGAGGAGGUUGCAUUUCAGAAUGAAUAGUGUCUUCUGGUGAGCUCGUAGAGAUGAAUCUUAACAUAUUACUGCAACAACCAAUCAUGAGGUUUAGCAAAGAAGGGAAUUCAACAACUAAAUCUGAAUGAAUAUGUCCCAUAUUGGCAAAACCUUUAAUUCAAUCAACUUUCCUUCAUCUCUUUCUGACCAUCCCGUGGUGUCGACUACCCCUUCCAUUGACUCACAAUAGCUUAUCUCAAGAUGUUGGAGUUGCAAAAGGCUAUUAACCAUAGAAUAUGAAAACAGAUACUUUAGACGAUAACACCUUUCCACAGUCACUUUUGUUAAAUUUUGACGAAAGUACAUUCCUUGAUUAUGAUCGGCCCAUAAUUUUUUCAUGUUUCUUAAGUCCCUGAGAUUCAAUUCCUCUAAGCUCGGAAGAAUAACCUGCAAAGAAAACCCGUACAUUUUUGUUCCUUCAAGUACAACCGUCUAGUAUAAUAUUCUUUUGAUGAUCAAAGAUUAAUUGUGAUAAUAAAUUAAUCAAUUAAUUAUUGAACAGAAAAUUAUCACCUUUGGAGCAGGAUCAUCAUCAGCAAUGAUUUCGUUGAAUCCCAAAGAAGUUGUUGGUUUGCUAAUUGUUGCACCAAAGAAGUAAGAUUUGAAACUUGUUUUUCUAGAGAAGUAGUACUUACCUCAUUGACUCGCUUAGGUGGCGGCAGUAGAUCGUUCCUAGUGUUGAACUGUUGGGAAUUAGCAGCCAUGUUAGCAAUGAGAUUUCGGGCUGCUUCUGGUGUCUUAUCCACGAGUGCUCCUCCACUAGCGGCAUCAAUCAUACUCCUAUCCAUAGGUAGUAGAACCUCAUAAAAGUAUUGAAUAAGAAGUUGAUCACUUAUCUGAUGGUGAGGGCAACUAGCACAUAGCUUUUUGAAUCGUUCCCAAUAGUCGUAGAGCGACUCUCCAUUAUACUGUCGGAUUCCACAAAUUUCUUUUCGAAUGCUGCCAGCUUUUGAUGCUGGGAAAUAUUUCUCCAAAAAUAGCUGACGCAUCUCAUUCCAUGUAGUGACAGUACCGGAGGGAAGAUAGUACAACCAUUCCUUGGCUGAAUCCGCCAAAGAGAAUGGGAAGGCCAUUAGCUUAACUUGCUCUUCAGAAACUCCGGCUGGUUUCAUUGUGGAGCAGACCACAUGGAACUCCUUCAAGUGGUUAUUUGGAUCCUCUCCUGCAAGACCAUGAAAAGUAGGAAGAAGAUGAAUCAUCCCAGAUUUGAGUUCAAAGUUUACUUGAGGGUUUGGAUUCUCAAUGCAUAAGGGUUGUUGGUCCAAGUUAGGAGCUGCCAACUCUUUAAGUGUUCGGUUGUUAUUCUGAGCCAUUGGUUGGGGUUCUGGGCUGCUUGGNNNNNNNNNNNNNNNNNNNNNNNNNNNNNNNNNNNNNNNNNNNNNNNNNNNNNNNNNNNNNNNNNNNNNNNNNNNNNNNNNNNNNNNNNNNNNNNNNNNNNNNNNNNNNNNNNNNNNNNNNNNNNNNNNNNNNNNNNNNNNNNNNNNNNNNNNNNNNNNNNNNNNNNNNNNNNNNNNNNNNNNNNNNNNNNNNNNNNNNNNNNNNNNNNNNNNNNNNNNNNNNNNNNNNNNNNNNNNNNNNNNNNNNNNNNNNNNNNNNNNNNNNNNNNNNNNNNNNNNNNNNNNNNNNNNNNNNNNNNNNNNNNNNNNNNNNNNNNNNNNNNNNNNNNNNNNNNNNNNNNNNNNNNNNNNNNNNNNNNNNNNNNNNNNNNNNNNNNNNNNNNNNNNNNNNNNNNNNNNNNNNNNNNNNNNNNNNNNNNNGCUAGUCCCCGGCAACGGCGCCAAAAAUUUGGUAGUGUCGUUAAGGUGCACCAAAUUUAAAACCUUACCACUAAUAUAAAUAAUUAGUACAGAGCGAGUAAGGAUCGAUCCCAUAGAGACUAUGCUAGUUAUAUUUAUUAUUAACUCCAAAGCAAGAUUUAAAAUAAAAUAAUAGUAAUAGUAAUAAUAAUAUAAAUUAAUCUAACUAAAGAAAAUGCCAAUUAAAAAUAAAAGGGGGGUUUAUGAAUUUUUAACUAAAUAGUAAGAAAUAAAGAAAUUAAAAUUACGAACAAGAAUUUAAUAAAAACUCUAAUUAAAGGAGAAAGAAAUAAUAAUGAUGAAAACUUUGGUUAAAGGAUCAUUCGCCACCACCAAACAUGCACAUAAUAAAUCAAUUCUAUUAUCAAUUUAUAUUGAAACUAUCAACCAUAGACAACAAUAAGCUCUGUUAGUCUCAAUCUUUCCUUAGUGUGUCGUUAGGUAAAAUAAGCUCUUCACCUAAUCUAUAACCAUUAAAUAAUUUAAAACAAGCUCUUUAAAUUUAAGAUAAUGGAAGCAUUAAACAAAGAAAGAAAUUAGGUUGAUCUAGGCAAUAAACACACAAGCUCAGAUUAUUUAACCUAGGUUAUGUUCUCCAAUUGAAAUCAUUAAUUCCAACCUGCUACUAAUGAUUAAAAUAUCAAGACAAUUACGGAUCAAGAAUUUUAAUCUAGCAAUAAAAUUUAUUCAAGUCCUAUCUAAUUGGCCACUCAAACAAAACAAGAAUAAACCAUGAACAUUAAUUAUAGAAGAACAUAAACAAUCUCAAUUAAAUAAAUUGAAUGAUAGAAUUUAAAUUUAAUUGCAUAGCAUGUUUAGGGUUUUGAAUUCACCCUCAACCAAAUAAAAAUCUAGCCUAACAUAAUUGAAUUGGGAAUAAGAGAAUUGACAAAACCAAUCAUAGAGAUUAAUUCAAGCGGCUGCCUUUUUCUUCAAUUGAAUUCCGGCUGCUGAUUUUUUCUUCUUCUUGCGGCUAUUGAUUUUCCUCUUGCUGCCGAAUUGGAUUUGCCCUCCCAAAGUCUCUUGCUGCCCGAAUUCUUUUCCCUCUAUUGCUUCCGCUUGAUCCUAUUUAUAAUGCUUCAAUUGUGGCUUUUUUUAAAUCCUUGCCUGGAAAGAAUUAAAUUCAAAGCUCAAAACCGCCACCUCAUGCUUCAAUUAAUAAGCCAAUAAUGAUUUCCUAAAGCCAAAAGGCUUUAUUCUCUUUCCUUUCACGUGGCAACUUUUGGUUUGCAUCUUUGUUUUCCAAUUUUGCUUUCAUGUGAUGGCUUGGCUUGUUAAUUGGCUUGGCUUCCUUUUUGACUUCCAUUUUCUAAUUUUAGCUCCAUGUGCAACAUUAAUUUUGCUCGGCCCAUACAAGCUUUAAUUAAAUUUAUUUUCUAAUUCCUUCCAAUUCUUGAUCUCUUGUGCACUUUUGUCUCUCAAUCUUCAAUCAAAUUUUUUUUCUUGAAUGCUCCGAUUUAAUUUCUCUUUAAUUCCAGAAUAUACCUAAAAUAACAAAAUAAAUAAAACUAAGAUAAAAAUUAACAAAAUAAAAUAUAAUUUACUAAAUUAAAAAUUAACUAAAAUAACUAGAAUAUUUAAGACCAAAACAAGAAAAAGAUAGAGAAAUUAAUAGCAAAAUAUAUGAAAAAUAUGCACUUAUCACAAGCCUCUCAUUUUUCAAAGCUUUUGCAAGGGUAAUAAGUGCAACAGGCAAUCCUCCGCAUUUUUCAACGAUCUCAUCUGCUAAAGGUUGAAAAGCAGAUGCUUUUGCAGAAUUACACACUAUCUUUCCAAACAAUUGCAAUGCUUCUUCCUUUGAUAAAACUUCAAUUGAGAAAUCCUUCUGAGAUUUCAUAUCAUUGCGCAAUAAAUCUCGACUUCUAGACGUCAAUAUUAUUGUGCGUCUUCUCCGAUCGUCCUCUCUAUCUUUCUCAUCAACAUCCCCAUAAGGAAUUCCAACUGUAUCGAACUCAAGUUUUGUCCAAAUAUUAUCCAGUAUAAUGAGGAGCCGCUUCUCUUGCUUCAACCUUUGACACAGUCGAGAAGCUCUUUGAAAUUCAUUCUCAUUCAAGUCAAAUUCCAUGCCUAAAUCAAAAGCAAGUUUGUCUUGAAUUUUAUGAUGAUCUGGGGUCUGUGUUAUCUCAGCCAUAACGAACUUAUCGAACAACUUAUCUUCCAUCACUUGGUUUGCAACUUGUUUGACCAGCGUGGUUUUGCCCACGCCGCCCAUCCCAUAGACCCCAAUUAUGUUGACCUUGUCAUCCUUCACCGCCUCCAUAACAUCUUGAAAUACUUUCAUUCUUGAAUCAAACGCCUCGAAAUCUUUCACUUGCAUAUGUUCUGCCCGCUUUGGAGCAGGACUGUAGGAAACAUUGGAGAAGUUGCCUUUUCCCACGAGACUAGCGGCAGCUUCUGCCGCCUUUGCUGCUUGUUUACUAAGCUUGUAACGAGAAAUCAAGUUUGGGCAUAAUCCUUUGAAGCAGGACUUCUUAGCUCUAUCUUCAUCAUCAAUGAUGGAUUUUGCAACCCCUUCACUGAUGAAUUCAUCAACGCUAUGUAGCCAGUCUGUGACACCCUCAUAAAGCUCAUCCCCUUGUAGCCUAGCAUGAUUAACUGGUUGCUGCACCAUUUCUCUCUUAUAUCCCAGCUGCUUCACUUGAUCUUUUAGCUCAUCUAUGUAGCUCUGGUACUUGAACACAUAAGAUAUCUGCCGUGUAAUCGGGUUGAACAGUGACUUUGCACCUUCUGAUACACAGUUGGUUAAAAAAGCCAGACACGCUUCUAUAGCCAUUGCCGGUUGCUUAACAAUAUAUAUCUAGUUUUUGGCUGUUGAAAAAAAAAAUGGAUUCAAAUAAAUUAAAUGAACUAGCGGGGAAGAAAAAGAAAGAAACGACAACAAACAACUUUUUAGAAAAAGGUUUCAGGGGCCUGAAUGGAAAACCAACAAUUUUUUGAAGAAAGAAAACUUUUUUGGAAGAUGGAUGCAAAUUAACCAUUAAUAAUACUGCAUAAGAACACAGAAGUUAACAAUAAACAGUAACUUAAAACUCAAGAAAAUUAAAUGACAAGAUUAAGACAAACAAGAGAUAGUUUUUGUUGGACAUUAAGAAACAUCUGCUAUCAAGAUCAAAGAUUAGAAAUUAUGCUAUUGAAAGAAAUUAUUAAAGUAUUUAGAACAAACGCACCUCUUCAAUUAUCGAGGAUCACAGAGUUUAUGAGCUUCACUCUUGGCCUUCGAUUUAUAAGAAAAAUUUUAAUGAGCAAAAGAUCACUGUUAACUGCAGAAGAAUGUGAGUAAAGAGUUUAUGGGAGUAAGCAAUACAAUUGAAUUGUAAAAGAACAAGACUUAAAGCGUGCACCCCGUGUUCAUAUAAACAGAACACAUGUUCAUUUUUAACAAAGUGAUCAAUAACUCUAUUCGUUAUUUAAUUGAUAUUGUAACCAAUUCUAAGAGAAUAUAAUAAUAAUCAUUCAAUCCAUAAAUUUAGAAUUAGAUUUUUUUAACUCUUUAUUUAAAUAUAAACCUUAAUGGAAAAUUAUAAAAGUUUAGAGAUAAAAUUUUUCAAUCACCAAACGAAAAAAACAGGGGAAUGAAAACAGAGGAAUCUUGUUUUAACUAUUUUUUUCCUCAACUCUCGUUCUUAUAUUAAUAAUCUUGUUUUGAUGAUAGUGCUCGUGACUGCGGGAAAAUUUCUACUGGAAACAACUCAAUUUCGGAAGAAAACUUAAUUUUGCAAGUGAUGAAUUUGAACUCGUUGGAUUGGUUGAUUUAUGAUUGACUGAAUUUCACUUUUGCCCAAAAGAUCUUUAACCAAAGUUUAAUAGCCAUCAUGUACUCCUUAAAAGCAAUUUUUUUUUUUAGAUUUGACUGAAUUUGAACUUGUUGGAUUGGUUGUUUUUAGAUUAUUAAUAUGAGAUAUUACAACGUAAAUAUUUUCAUGUGGUUGAGCCCUAUUCUAAAAUCUGUAUAGUUAGCUUUAGAAAAAGGGCUUUUCCUGCUGAUCUGUAAUCUUCAAAUAAACUUAGAUACAAAUAAUGAAAUAAAAGACAACAAACAAGCAAUACUGAUACAAAGCCAACAGAUCAGAGUUUUUUCUUGCCUUCUUUUGUUGAAGGAUUAGAGUUUUUGGUAUUAUCAGUAAAGGUUUCAAGGAGUAAAGCCUAUAAACUUUUUUUUUGGGGGGGGCGCCGCCGCGGGGAGGGGGGGGGGGGGGAGAGCAUGCAAAUUAACCAAAAGAAAUAAUAAGAGCACAGGCUUUAACAAUGAAUACUGACUUAAAACUCAUGCAAAAUAAGUUACAAUAUUAAAACAAACCAGAGAAAAUUUUUUCUUGGAAAGUAGAUGGAACUUAUGAAAGAGCAGAUGUCAAGGAUUUAGAAAACGCGCACCUCUUUAAUUAUCUGGGAUUAGAGAGUUGGUGAGCUUCUCUAUUUAAGAACAAGUUGAAAGAGGAAAAAGAUCACUGGUAACUGCUGAGGAAUGUGUGAGAAAAGAGUUGAUGAGAGCAAUAACAAAGACCUGCAAAAGAAAAAGAAUUAGUCAUGCACCGCUUUUCUAUAUCAUGUAUUUGGUUAUUGUUGCCCUGUUGACGCAUGUUGAAGAAGAAAGCACUAGUUCACAACUCUACGUUUUCAUAUAUUCUAAAGAAAUAAUUAAGUUUUCAUAGAAUGAUACCUGUUGUGUUUGAGUAAUUUUGGUAUAUACAUUGCUUGUGUACUGUGAAAUUGAAAUGAAUAUUGAUGGAAUGACUGAAUUUCACUUUUGCCCAAAAGAUCUUUAACCAAAGUUUAAUAGCUAUCAUGUACUCCUUAAAAGCAAUUUUUUUUUUUAGAUUUGACUGAAUUUGAACUUGUUGGAUUGGUUGUUUUUAGAUUAUUAAUAUGAGAUAUUACAACGUAAAUAUUUUCAUGUGGUUGAGCCCUAUUCUAAAAUCUGUAUAGUUAGCUUUAGAAAAAGGGCUUUUCCUGCUGAUCUGUAAUCUUCAAAUAAACUUAGAUACAAAUAAUGAAAUAAAAGACAACAAACAAGCAAUACUGAUGCAAAGCCAACAGAUCAGAGUUUUUGGUACAAAGCCAAUAAAAGACAAUAAACUUAGGACCUUUUUUUCUUGCUUUCUUUUGUUGCAGGAUUAGAGUUUUUGGUAUUAUCAGUAAAGGUUUCAAGGGUCUGAGUAAAAGCCUAUAAUCUUUUUAUAAACUUUUUUUUUUGGGGGGGGGGGGGGGGGGGGAGCAUGCAAAUUAACCAAAAGAAAUAAUAAGAGCACAGGCUUUAACAAUGAAUAGUAACUUAAAACUCAUGCAAAAUAAGUUACAAUAUUAAAACAAACCAGAGAAAAUUUUUUCUUGGAAAGUAGAUGGAACUUAAGAAAGAGCAGAUGUCAAGAUCAAGGAUCAGGGAUUCUACUAUCAAAAAAAAAAAAAUUAUUCAAGGAUUUAGAAAUCGUGCACCUCUUUAAUUAUCUGGGAUUAGAGAGUUGGUGAGCUUCUCUAUUUGGCCUUCAAUAUUUAAGAACAAGUUGAAAGAGGAAAAAGAUCACAGGUAACUGCUGAGGAAUGUGUGAGAAAAGAGUUGAUGAGAGCAAUAACAAAGACCUGCAAAAGAAAAAGAAUUAGUCAUGCACCGCUUUUCUAUAUCAUGUAUUUGGUUAUUGUUGCCCUGUUGACGCAUGUUGAAGAAGAAAGCACUAGUUCACAACUCUACGUUUUCAUAUAUUCUAAAGAAAUAAUUAAGUUUUCAUAGAAUAAUUUUGGUAUAUACAUUGCUUGUGUACUGUGAAAUUGAAAUGAAUAUUGAUGGACAGAGCAAUGCAUAUGCCUAAAAAAACAUAAAGCAAAUCCUUGAACGAAUGAUUCAGGACUAAAACUUUUAUAAAAGCAAAUACCGGAAACACACAAAAAGCAUUUAAGAGAGAAACUAAACCGCAAAUAAUCGAAGUAAGAUCAAUAAUAUAUGAUUUGAUUUAUGCAUAUUCAAAAACCAAAAUAUAAAAUAAAAUACAAAAUUAAAGUUUGGUUUAUUCUUUCCACAAAAAACAGGGGAAUGAAAACAGAGGCAACUUGUUUUACCAAUUUUUUCUUCUUAAUUUCCGGCAAAAAAAAUCAAUAAACAGGGGAAUGAAAACAAAGGAACGAAAACAGAGGAAACUUGCUUUUCAGGCUAUCUUGUGACAUGAUGAUAUUGCUCGUGAAUGCAUGAAAAUUUCUAAUGCAAACAGCUCAAUUUGGGAUGAUAAGCUUAAGUUUGCAAGUGAUGCAUGAUAAUCAGAUAUUUGUGGCUUUUAAAACUCAAGAAAACUCAAGAAAAUUAAAUGACAAGAUUAAGACAAACAAGAGAUAGUUUUUGUUGGACAUUAAGAAACAACUACUAUCAAGAUCAAAGAUUAGAAAUUAUGCUAUUGAAAGAAAUUAUUAAAGUAUUUAGAACAAACGCACCUCUUCAAUUAUCGAGGAUCACAGAGUUUAUGAGCUUCACUCUUGGCCUUCGAUUUAUAAGAAAAAUUUUAAUGAGCAAAAGAUCGCUGUUAACUGCAGAAGAAUGUGAGUAAAGAGUUUAUGGGAGUAAGCAAUACAAUUGAAUUGUAAAAGAACAAGACUUAAAGCGUGCACCCCGUGUUCAUAUAAACAGAACACAUGUUCAUUUUUAACAAAGUGAUCAAUAACUCUAUUCGUUAUUUAAUUGAUAUUGUAACCAAGAUCAAGGAUCAGGGAUUCUUAUGCCUACUGAUAUUUAAACAGAGAAUUCUUUCUUCUUUUUCUCUUCAUGGAUUAGAGUUUUUGCUAGUAACAGAAAGGUUUCAAGGGUCUGAAUAAAAUCCCAGAUUUUUUUUUAACUUUGUUUUUUGUGGGAAAAUGGAUUCAAAUUAACCAAAGCCAAUAAUAAGAUCACAGACUUUAACAAUGAACAAUAACUUAAGCAAAACCAAUGACAAGAUUAAAACAAACCACAGAAAUUUUUUCUCGGAAAGUAGAUGAAAAGCAAGUAAGAACUGCUAUUAAAGGAUAUUAUUAAAGGAUUUAGAACAUGUAUACCUCUUUAUUUAUAUGGGAUCAGAGAAUCGAUGACCUCCUCUAUUCGCUUCAGAUAUUAAGUAAGAACUGCUAUUAAAAGAAUGAAUUGAUGAGAGUAAUAACAAUGAUUGCAAAAUAGGAAGACUCAAUCAUGCACCCCUUUUAUACCUGAUCAUAUUAAGAAGUCGUUAAAGAAUAACGACUAAAUUAGGAAUUAAUUCUGAAGUUCAGAAUCAAGAACAAAGACGAAGCUUUAAUAACGCAUGCAGUGAGAUACAAGAAAUGGAUCUGGUAAAAUACAUUAAAAAAAUUUGUUCAACUUCAACCUAGUUAAGCUGAUGAAAGCACUAGUUGUUGGCUCUACGUUUCAUAUGUUCUAAUGAAAUAAUUAAGUUGAAGUUUUCAACGAAUAAAUACCUGUUUCGCUUGAAUAGCUUUGGCAUAUACAUUACUUGUGUCCUGUGAAAUUGAAAAGGUUAUUGAUUUACAAAGCUUAUUAGUAGAGAAAAGCUACGUAAGAUGCCUGAUAAAAGAUAAAGCAAGAGCUUGAAUGAAGAAUGACAUUUUAGAAAGAAACUAAAGUGUAAUCAUCAAAGUAGGAUCAAUAAUGUACCACUUUCCUUGCAAAUCUGGUGGGUUUUCUGAAUAGAUUUUUACAUUAUUCUAUUUAACCAUUUUGGGUUUACCCUAAGCAUUCUUGGUUGGCAUUGUCCUGUAAUCUGCGUGCCCUGGAUACGUGUGAGGGAAAGAUGAGGGUAGAUAUGCAAUUUCAAGAAGCGAUUUGCUUGCAUAAUUCAAUGCAUGGAAAGAGAUGUACCUGACCAGAAAAAAAAGGGCACCAUCCAUAUCUGAGCUUGACUUUUUAGAUGGAUAAAUAUUCUUAUUACUGUUGAUAAUGGAGAAGGGUUCUACUUUUACUUUGCCAUCUUUGAUAUAAAACAGCAUGAUUCCUUUUUAUCAAACACUUGCCUAAGUCUAUUUUUUAUUUUUCUUAUUUUCAGAAAGAGAUUAGCUUAAUUUAAAUUAUAUUCAAGUACAAAGUGUUAUACACUCAUAAAACGAGAAAUAGGCAUGUAUUGAUCACGCGCAAUCUAGUUUUUUUUUUUUUUCUUUUUUUUUAAUCCAGUCUUCUUAUUAAAAAAAAAAGAAUUUAUUUGCUUUAUUUUAAAUUAUUUUUUCAUGCGGUAAAUGCAAUACUGAGUAAUGGGUGAGCAAAAUAUUUACAGGCACACCCCCUUUUAAUGAUUUCGUACUAAAAUUAAAAAUUGACGAUUCCAUGAUAAAGUUCAAAGAGUAAAUGAAGACCCAUAAAUGUUUUUUGGUCAUGAGCAAUUUUUGAGUUGGGACAGCACUCGUAUGAAAAAAAAUAGUUUUUUUUUUUCUUUAAGCAUGAGGAUAUUAAUUCUUUUUUUAUAAAUCAGCGUGAAUAUAAAAUUAAAAAAAUAGUUUUGAAUAACUUCUUUUCUUUUUUCAUAAAUAUAGAUAAAAAAUUUUAAAGUCACCAAACACAAAACCAGGAAAAUGGAAAGGAAGCCCCUGUUUCUCCGCUGCUGCAAGCACAAAUUCGGUUUCUACAGGAGUACCUUCUAAAUGCACCAUUUGUAUUGCUUUGUUUCCACGUAAGCUAACGGAAUUUGAUGAAGACAAAAUAGAUAUGAGUCGUGCUAUUCACACCCCUCGAUAAUUCUCUCAAAAUCCCCUUUCUAAUUAUACCGCCUUGAAUAAUUUCAAAACUGACUUUUCCUCUUAUAAUACCACCUUCAAUUCCCUUAAUACCCUUGUUCGCUAUGAAAAUAAGGAAAAUGCCUACAUAAAAAGCUGGCUCUGAUAAUCUACCUGAAUUUACAUUAGAAAAGAGUGGACUUUGAGAAAUAAGAAGACAAUAUAGGGAAUUUUACCAAAAUAAUCCAUUUUUAUAUACAGGGAAUGGUAUUUUCUAAUAUAAGGAGGAGUGGAGAAAUUAAAUUUAGCAAAAUAAAGAACCUCCAUCGAGAAGCAAAAAUGAUGAUAUCUUUGUCGUGAAGAGAUUUCAAUUCAAUUGCAUACAUUGACGAAACAUUAAAUACGGAAAAAACAAAAAAGAAAUAAUAGAACAUGGGGAUUUCGAGAACUUCUAAAGAGAGAAAUGUAUUUAUAAGCAUUGAAAAUUAGCUCAUUAAAUUUGACAGAAUAAUAUACAAUCUCACUGUUGGCCAGAAAAUAAUAGUAAGAACUUGUGAACAUAUAUAAUCAAUUGCUUAUUACUUAAGCUUUUUCUCCGUUAUUUUGAAUGGGUGCAAAGAGGAGAAGUUUUGUACCCAAAUUCCAACUCGAAUUGUGUAGGCUGCUUGCAAGAGCUUCAUUAGAUUUUUAUUUGUCUUUUAAUAGUGCUACUCGAUAAAUACAGCUAGCUAUCUGUCCUUUUUGUUACUGGACUAUAGAUCAAUUGACAGUUGAAGUUAUAUUAAUUUGUUGUACUGGAAUUGAAGCUUGUAUCUUAGCCAUUUCGUGAAGUGUCAAAUAUAUUUUUAAUUUCCUUAAAAUUGUUCAAAAUAUGUUUACACUUUUAAAGUCACUAUUAUACAUGAGUGCCCUAAAAUCAUUUCCUUAAAAUUGUUCAAGUGGGAUCCUAGUUCUCUAUGGCAGUUGAAGAGGUAAAUGCGCAUAGAGCUAUGCUCUAUCAUAGGCCUCGGCCACUAUAAGAAAUUUGAUUUUUUAAGACGAUAUUUUUUACAACAACUUUAAAUUUGGUCACAAAAUGGUAUUUAUUGUGACAAAUUUUUUAAAUCGUAGCUAAUAAUCUUGUCCUAACUUAUAUUUUUUUUUGUAACCAAUUAUUUUUAUUUUGAGACUUGUUCAUUGGUCAUUAAUUAAAUUUUUUUAUACCAAAAAUUAUUUUAGUCACCAAAAGAUAUAUUUUUUUGGCGCAAAAUCUUCCCUCCAAAAGUGAUUAUUUUGAGACAAUAUUUCACUAUUUAUGACAAAAUAAAUAGUCAUGAAAUAUAAUUAUAGGCGACCAAAUUAUUUGGUAACUAAAAGAGGGGUGUAAAAUUAACUAAACAAUCUAUGACACAAAAUAUUAGUAGCCAAAAUUAUUGUUCUUUUGGCAUAUUUUAAGACCAUUUUUUUGGUCAUAUAUAAUUACCUACAGUGACAAAAUUAAAAAAUAGUCGUUGAAUGUUUUAUCUUGAAUAAUUUUAUAUUUGAUAACCAAUUUUUUUUUCUUUUUGAGACAUAUUACUUGGUCCCUAUUUCAACUUCUUUUUGACUAACUUUAUAAUAGUCACAAAAGACAUUUUUUUUUUUUUUGGCAUAAAAAGUCUGUCCAAAGUUAGCUCUUUUGGGACAAUAUAUAAUCUUUUAUGACAAAAUAUAUAGUGGCGAAAUAUAAUUAUUUUUUACAAAGUUAUUUCGUAGCUGAAAAAGAGGUGUAAAUUUAGUUAACCUAUUUGUGACAUAAAAUAUUAGUCUCCAAAACUAUUAUGCUUUUAGCCAAUUUUAAGACCCGAUUUUGUUGUCAUGGAUAAUUACCUAUUUUCAAAAAACUAAGAGAUAGUAAUCAAAAGUUUGUCUUGAUUGACAUUGUAUUUUAUGAGCAAAAUAUUUUGUUUCAGUGACACUUUACUUGGUCUCUGAUUAGACUUGUUUGUGAUGAUCAAUAGAAAUAUAUAAUAACCACUAAAUUUUUUUGGAUUAAAUUUUAUAGAUACUAUUAAUUAAGUUGUUGACGAAAAUGAUCGAACCAAUACUAAUAUGGGAUACCAUCAACAGCCGUAAUACUUAUGAACCGAGAAAUUAUAAUAUGUAGUGAAAAAGUUUUAACAGUAGUCCCUAGUAUUUAGAAUUAUUUUGACUACUUUAUUUAUUUCCAAAACAUAAAAUUCUCAACCCAAAAUUCCCCGCAUUGUGUUUUAUUUUGUCUCCUCACUCAGUUACUCUUAUUAACUCACGGCUUGACAAAAAAAAGAAAAAAAUUCUCACAGCUUGAUGUUCUCCUCUCUUUAAAAAUAAAAAUCCCCAGUUACUCUGCUCAAACUCGUUAAUAUUUGUUUCCACCACCAAAGCAGCCACUCGUAUCUUUUAUUAAGCAUAACGUUUUUCUUAAAACCUAAUUGAUCAUUCUUUAACGUCUCCAGGAUUAUAUUUGGCACGCUAUUUUUCUCCUUCAAUUGAAUAGAAGUCUAGAACCUUUUUUUUUUCGCAAUUCACUUUUGCUGUGUUUCGUGGUUUGGACUAAGAUCAUGACAAUUAUUGAACGAUGGGGAUAAAUAUCAAAGAAGGAGCUUACAUGCCCUAUAUAUCUCUCUUUGGAUGAAUAACGAAUGUGAGCUUUCAAAGUACAGAGAUUUACAUGUUUUAAUUGUCAUUUACAUUGCUGCAUGCCAAUUGCUUGAUAAAAUACUGCAACAAAUACGCAUUCUCGAUUUUCUUAUAAAUUUAUUUUCUUAAUCUGAAAAAAAUUGAAUGUUCAGAGAAUUUUGAAGGUUUUGGUGUAUGCAUUAAUAUUUCGAUUCUAUUUAUGUUGUUUAACUAAUGAAGAUGAUACAUCUAGCCUCUUUUUGCCCCUUGUUGUUUUUAUUCUUGUGCUUUAUAUACGGUUCAAGUGUGAUACACUUUAGUUUUUCUCAAGUGUUUGUUAGUAUUUCCCGAAGCAAAAUUUGUCACAGACUUUGAGUUCAAAAGUUGAAAUCAUAACUAACAUACUUCGAUUUUUUAUUUUCCUUUUUUCUUCGGUAUCCUUCUAUAUGGCAUUGGUUGAGAAAUUGGUGUACUUAGAUCGUAAUAUUCUGUAGAAAUAAGCCAAUAUUUCAUUACGUACAUUGUUUAAUAUGAUGAGUAUUGUAUAGAAGUUUUACAUAUAAGCUCCUUAUAUAUUAUGCAUUAUGUUUUUAUCAUAUUGUUGCUUGGAACUUUGAAGGAUUGGCCACAGGGCUUUAGUCCUACAUGGACAUUUUAUAUUUAAUAGCUGGUUAGGCAUUUUAUUUGAUGUUAUUUGGACUUGUAGGUGUUAAAAGUUUUGUUCAGUAAUUUUAUAAUUCAGAUUCCCAUUGUGAUAAGAUAGCAAUUUUUUGUGUGUCAGAUUCUGUCAACUGAUAUUUAGCUAAAAUAUCUCACUAACCCCUAUUGGUUAGGUAUUAUUUUAAAUCACAUACUUGAUUUUUAUUUUCUUUUUAUCUGUGGAAUCCCAUGUAUCAUUCAUAAGAAACAAGCUAUUAUAUAAUCUAUUCUUUAGAUCCAUUUAUAUGUAGUGAGCACUCUGAUUUCUAUUAUUUGAAUUUUUUGCUACUGUUACUACUCUUUCGGCCCUUCAAAUAGGGGUUAACAGAAAUGGUGAGUAUAUUAAUACAAAUUCAAACUUUCUUUUUCUAAUUUUAUCCAAAAUAACCUACUAUUUUAUUUUAAUUUCAAACUUUUGUCAUAGUCUAAUGGGCAGUUGUCUUGUCAUUAUUUGGUUUCAAGUAAGAAGAGAGAAAGUUAGUGAGAGGAUGAAAAUUUUGCAAAAACUUGUUCAUAGCUAUGGUAAUUAAGUAGUUUGAGUUCUUUUUUUUGUUGUUUUCUAUGUUGGUUUUGGAUCAUUGUAGUUGCUGAUUGUGAUUUAUUGUCGCCUAUGGUUGCUGACUUUUGUUUACUGUGGCUACUUUAUUAAAGCAAUUUUGGAUAUUGAAGUUUAUGGCCAACUUUUAUUAGACACUUCUGACCUUUAUCGAUAUAUUUUCUGAACCUUUACACUUAAGAUGUGUGUGUGUGUUUUUAAAAAAUACAUGUGAAUGAAAUAGUACUUGAAAUAAUAUAUUUUCUCAACUUUUAUUAGAUAUAGUGAAAUAGUACUUGAAAUAAUAUAUUUUCUCAACUUUUAUUAGAUAAUUCAAAGUAUAUCCCACUUAUUAUCGAUAUAUUUGCUCAAGUCUCAUGUGCAACAUGUGAAUGAAAUAGUACUUGAAAUAAUAGAGACUUUGUUUUAUGACUCAUAUUUUUACAUUUCUUUGCAAGGAACCAUACUUAAUUGUACCUAAUAGAAGAGAUAUCUUUUCACUAUAUAGUCUUAGUAUAAAAAGAUACAUCUUCUAUAUAAGGCACAAUUGAUGGGACAUAUCUUUAUACUAAGACAUCAUUCAUAUUUAUCACACAAUAAUAGAAACUGCAAUGGUAGGUGGAAUAUUAUGAAGUCAAAAUUGAGAACGACAUUAAAUCAUGAAUUCUUUAUGUGUUUACUCGAAUGCCUGACAGUAUUUAGUUCAAUUAACACAGAUUGGAAAUCCAAAUGAUUGAAGAGUUGUAUGAGUUCAAGUUCAGUAUUUAAUUACUAUAUAAUUAUACAUAAAUGUGGAUUUUGCAAGCUUGAACCCAUGUGUGUUAGCCCAUUUCGGCCCAAUAAACAUAUUGUUCUGGAUAAAAAAUAUCAGGGGAUCUCUGAUGUUUCUUUGGUUUAACAUAAAUUUAUUCCUAACUCUAUAACCAUGCAUUAUUUAGACAAAAAUUUUUGCAAUCACCAAACAGUAAAACAGAGAAAUAAAAACGGAGGAGCUCUUUUCUAAAACAGAAGUAGGUGUUUUGUCUGAACGUACCACUUUCUGUUUAAUUAUUAUGUUUACGGAAUAGAUUUUUUUUUAUUAUUCUGUUUUAUGUUUCCGUCUUUACCCUAAGCAUUCUUGGUUGGCAUCGCUGCAUUGUCCUGUAAUCUGUGUGCCUUGGUGAGGAGGGGAAUGGAUAACUGUGGUGCUGGAUACGUGAGAGACAAUGAUGAGGGUAGAUUUGUAAUUGCCAGAAGCGAUUUGCUUGCAAUAAUUCAAUGCAUGGAAAGAGAUGCCUCUAACAAAAAAUGGGACUAUCCAUAUCUGAGCAUUAGAGCUCUACGUCUUAGAUAAAUAAAUAUACUUAUUAGUAUUGUUUUUGCAUAUAUCUUUCACAAAAUUAUUGUAUUCGCUUAUAUAGAGAGGACGAUUUAGAUAAGUUUCAACUAAAAAUUGACAAUUCCAUGAUAAAGUUAAAAAUCACCGAAUAAAAAACUGGAAAAUCCCCUGUUUCUCCUCUGCUUUCUUUUGAUUAUUAUUAAAAAGGGGAAUUAAAAAAUGAGUUGCAAGCACAAAUUUUAUUUCUACAGUAGUACCUUCUAAAUGCACCAUUGUUUGAUACAUUAAAAUUAAACAUUACUUAUGCUAGUAUAUCGGUACUUCACAUGUCCGUUCUUCAUUAAUGUAUAUUCAUUUACACCCAAGCUACCUGUCAGUUUUGCGAAAACUGAAUUUAAAGGUGUGGCUUAAAUUAAAAUAAUAAUCAGCCUCAUAGAAUACAGAGAAAAAAGAUAAUUUAUCACAAUCAUAUCCUAAUGCAUCAUAAAUUUAGAUUAUUUAAUUACUGUUAGGAAAUCUGCUUAGAUAAGGCGCACACUACAAAUUCUAAAUUAAAUUCCUAAUUAACAAUAAAAGAUAGACCCUAUUAAUCGUCCACCAGGUACCUUGUAGCCUGCAUCAUAAGUUUAGAUUUAAAUUUUUGCAAUUACCAAACGGAGAAACAGGGGAAUGAAAACAAAGGAGCCCUAUUUUUUCCAUUUUUGUCCCCCUUAACUCUUGUCCUUAUACAAAUAUUUUUCCUUGGAAUUUCAGGCAUACGAAAAAAUAUUGAAAAUUAUUUAAAGCAAACAGGUGGAUGAUAACAAAAAUAUAUUUAAUUAACCAAAUCAAGACACUAUAUUGGUCGUCAAUGUUUCGGCAUCACUGUCUUCUUCAGAUGUUACUUGUUUUUCACAUUUAUUUUGCGCUGUUGUGGAUUAAUAUGGUUCUGCUGGGUGCACAUUUUUACGUGCUACUGUAUUUUCUCUCAGUCCUUUUUAAAAGAACAUACACCCACAUACUAUGUAGAGUGACCUUUUUUAAUGAGGAAUCUGUCAUUUUAAUAAAAUGAAGAAUAAACUAAAAGGUAGAAGUACACGAACUCUAAUGCAAUAUACCUUUUCUUUUCUUUUACCUUUACUAUAAGAUAGGGAAUGAUAUAAUUGAUAAUGGAACUUGGGGUCAGAGCAGCGGUGUAAUUUUGAGAGGAUUUACAAGAUGGUAAGUGCAAUAAUUAACAGGCUCAUUUAAUAUAUCAAACUGCUAGAUAAUUGUACUAGUUAAACAUAAUUUUCAGAGAAUCUUUUUAAGGGUUUAUUUAUUAAUAUUUUGUUUCUUUCCAGCAUGAACACUUUGUUUUGACACGUGCUUAACAACCUUCAACGAACUGGAACAACCUUCAUCACAUGCUUCCUCACGUGAUUACUUAAAUUGAUAUGUAAAACGUGCUCCAUCCAUGUCGUUUCCACUAAAUCGUUUUUUGUUAAGAAUCAGCUGAGCAGCACGUGAGCUAAUGAAGCUUUUACGGCUUCAAAACGCAGCCGUUUCUGGGAACCAAACUUGAUUCAUCAUCUCACAACUACAGAUGAAUUAUCGAAGUGGCUGAUUGGUGCUGUACGUGUUUUUCGUAUUGAACUCAACUCUGCUAUAAUACAUGCGUGCAUCUGAUACAUGCACAAAAACCACCACUCCCACUCCCACUCCCACUCCCACGCCCUCGCGUCACGCGCCUUACCACUCCCUCGCCUCACCUCACCUCUCUUCUUGUUCCACGGCCAUCAACGGCGGCACGAGUCGGCAACGAUCAACUGCGGCUGUAAAUUGACCACAAUCAUCUCUCUCUCUCGGCUUUGCUCAAAUUUGGCCGAUCUAUGCGCUUGCUUAAGCUUGGCCGAUCUAUGCUUGCUCAAUUACUCUUCCUAUAUUCAGUCGGAGUCAACUGUUUGACAAGAGUCGAAGUCCAAGGUUCUUUUUUACAGGAUUUGAGCUACUUCUUUUAUUCUUCUUCCAUGUUCACUGAUACGAAGCUUUGAUGUGGUGUUCUGAGAGCGGGUGGAAUUUGAGAUUCUCCUUUCUUCUCUAUAUGAAGGUGCUUGUCAUGUGUCAAGAAAAAUAAAAUUAUUUACAAAAGAUUAUUUUAAGGAGAUUUAUUAUUAUUCGUGGAUCGGGAAGCUCAAAAAAUUUUCUUAUGUAGACUCAAAUCAUUUCUAUAGGGCGAAGCAUAUGAAUGAUACAUAUUAUCUUUUUUUGGCCUUAUGUAUUGUUAUUUGCAGUGUGAUUUGGUCUAGCUUAAGAGCUUAAGCUUGCAGGCUGGAUUUGUCUGACAUGGAACAAUUUAAUUUGUUCAUCGUGAUGUUUAUAUCCAUUUUGUACUACUAUCAAUUUCAAUCAUGGCUAAUUUUUAUAUGUAUUUCUCGUGGACUCUCAGGUUCAGUGCACAAGAGGAUGAAGACGAUGGACACCCAAAUUUGAUGUGGAGAACAACUAUUGCAAAUGGUCCUUGAUUUACUUCUCCAAUUGACUUGAAUUGGUUUGACGCAAUUUAUAGUGUAUUUUUGUCAUCUUUGUAUGACUGGCAGGUCGUCCUGAUUUGGUACAUGACUGGACACAGGAAUUGGACUCAUAUUUUUCAAACCAGAAUGCCAACAAUCAAGCAUUUUCUUUUGAAAGCACUGGCGUCUUCUUCAGUGCCAAAAAGGUUAGAGAUUUUCUGUAUCCUGUUUUGUAUUUGAUCAGUUUAGCAUGUGGGUGGCAAUCAAGAAAAGUUAUUAUAACAUUUUUGUGUUCCCGAAAAACUGCUGCUGAUGUGUAGUGCAGGAAAUGAAUUGUUUGUGACUUCUUUUUAUUUGUAUUCUUUCUUUUUUCUUUUCUCCCCAACAGAAUUACGUAUUUCUGAAGAGCUUCUUGAAGUUGAUUACCAUGUAUGCCACUUUCUUUACUCUAUGCUCAGGAUGUGAUUUUGUUUAGGUCAGAACCAUCAUCUAAAGUUUACUUAAUGCUGCCGAGAAGCUGUAGUAGAGCAAUGAAGGCUGUUGGUGUUAUGAAGGCCAGCUGUGAAGAAAUAUUUGAACUUGUAAUGAGCAUGGAUGGGACACGAUACGAGUAUGCUUCUUUUCUAUUUUUUAUUUUUAGUUACUUUAACAUAAUCAAGACUAUAUUGGCUGUCUGUGUAAGCUGAGUAUUAUAUUUCCUCUUGUAUGCUGUGAAAUUCACAUUGUCUCCAGUCCCGAUUCUGUAUGUGCCUUUUUGAAUAUAUUUAAUUAAUCUGCAUGGUGCUUUCUAAAGAUUAUUACAAACUUUUGUUGCUUAAGUAUAUGAAGAAUGUGGAAAUGAAAAUAGCUUUUGAAGUUUGAUGGAUUGCUUCAUUAAUAAAGAAAGACUAGGACUCAUUUUUAUAACUUUUCUCCACUUAGCUAAUGGUAUUUGAUGAAGACAAAAUAGAUGUAGCUAUCUAUAUUUUUUGUUGCUGAACUAUAGAUCAAUUGAUGGUUGAAGUUAGUUAUAUUAAUUUGUUGUACUAGAUUAAAGCUUGUAUCUUAGCCAUUUCAUGAAGUGUCAAAUACGUUCUUUCCUCUUUUUUUUUUUUUUCGAAACAUGUUACACUUUUGAAGUCACUAUUACAUAAAAGAGUGUUCUAAAACAGGAGAAGGCGUGCUGCCUGAAAUUACCUGUUUCCUAGCAAAUCUAGCUGGUUUGCGAAUUAGAUUUUAACAAGUCUCUUGGCAAGGUUUGCUAGUAAUGUGUUCAAAUUAUUCUAUUUAAUUUUACUGUCUGUACCCUAAUAAUUCUUGGUUUGCACCAUUGCAUUGUUCCAUAAUCUCUGUGCGUUGGCUUAUAAAGGCCAGCAAGGCUGAUCAUUUGUCGAAUAGUUAUUUCCAUGAAAUUCCUAUCAAUUUGACUCAGUAUUUAGAGGUCUUGAAGAGGGCAGUGUACUAGACAUGGAUUUCUACCUCUUUUGGUUGUACAAUUGUUGUAUUUCUUGGCCAUCAGAUCUUUUUUAUGUACCUUUCUCAAAGUUCUUGCCGCACGUACACCGUUUUUCAUGUUUUGUGCAGGUGGGAUUGUAGUCUUCUGUAUCGCAGCUUAGUUGAAGAGGUAGAUGGUCAUACGGCUAUUCUCUAUCAUAGGCUUCAGCUGGACUGGCUUCCAAUGUAAUAGUCUCUUGAUUCAAUCAUCUCAUUUAUGCUUUGGUCAGAAUAGAACAUUUAUUGUUCUUCUUUCCCCUUUCCUCUCUUCUGAUGUAAUAUGUGAGGAAAUUACCUAAAAUUUCUGUAUCCCAAUGUAAUUGUUGGCAUUCAGAAAUAAAAUAAAUACACCGUCUUGUUUUUCCCUCGGUUCAGUCCUAAGUUCUCUUUGGGCCUUCUGCAAGUUUUUAAACAUACUGUGACAGUAAAAAAUCUAGUGAUUGAGAUCAUUUUGAUGAAUUUAAUUUUAAUUCUUAGCUGAUACUUUUUCUGGAAUUUUUUUCUUAUGUUUCCUCAAUAUGACUUAAAUAUAGGGCUUAGUCAUGGAUCAUGCACCAGAGUGAUGGAAGCACCCCUUGUUUAUUAGGAAAAGCAGUUGAUUGUAACUAUAUCCGCGGUCCUAAGUAGUUAGAAGUAAAUGCUCUUCGAAUUCCUAUAGUACAUGGGAUGUGUUCCCUUUCAAAUAGCUUGUUCAAUACCAUUAACAUGGUUUAACAUUGUUCAUCUUUCUGUAGAUUGAUGUUGACGUGUUCUUCUAGAGUUGCUAAUGGAGUUUUGGGCCUUGUAAUUGGUGUAAUUACGGCAUUGGUGGUUGACAUGGCUUUCCUUGUGCAGGUAUGUAUGAUUGUUUUUUUCCCCCACUUCUAAAUGACACGAGGGAAGAGACAUGAUUUUGAGAUAUUGUACUGCAAUUUGCAUAUUUGCAUACUUGAAUAGUAACUCAAGAAUCAUUUUCAGAAUGGUAUAAUGCUUCGUGUAUGCAGGCAAAUACUACAGAUGAAUUACCGGAGCGGCUGAUUGGAGCUGUACGUGUUUCUUAUAUAGAACUCAAGUCUGCUAUUGUCCCAAAGUUGGAACCAGAGACAUCAUGACUCUGGUUUCAUUUCACCUCAACUGUUUUUUUUUUAAUUGAAAAAAAAAAUCAUUUGUUUUAGGUAUGCAUACAUGUAUUUUGAUCCCGUUUUCAUUGUAAUUUCUCAUUUACUUUGAAAGAAAGUCACUGGUGUUUUCGAAUAGGAAUUUUGCAUUAAAAAAUAAAGAAUACUUAAUAGGAAACUUAAUAAUUCUUUAGUUACUAUUUUUGGAAUGAGUGUAAUAGUAUUGAAGUUGGUUUCUACUCGCAAUCAAGUGAACUACUCGAUCCCCAACUGCGACCGCACUAAUUGUCAUUGUUUAAUAGCCUACUACUUUUAAAACUCAACAACUAAAAAAAUGAUUUUCUUAUGAUGCUGUGAAAACAUUUAUGGGUUCACUUAUUUCCACAAGAUCUAUAACAUGGUCUUGACUUCACGAAAUUCUUUUAACUUAAAGGGUUCUGGUCUGAGAAAGUUAAUUUGACGGAUUAAUUCCUUUUAAUAAUGGUCGAGUUAAUUUUACUAUACUCGUAAAACUAUUAUUAUUCUGAUAAUGCCACAAAUGUUAUGAUGUUUUCUUCAGCCAAUAAUCUUCUAUUAGGACUAGUUAGAAAUCAAAUGCUUAAAACACCAAUUGAAUGAAUAAUGCAGAAGUUUAAACAGUAUCUAAUUGAAAAUUACAUGAAGCAUGAAACAUCAAUUCAAGUCCUUCCUUAAACAGAGAAUGCAUCAAACAAAUCCAAAGUGUCUUGCAUGUCUGUAAAUAAUUGUAAAUGCGUUUAGAUUAUUCAAGUACAGGAGAACAAGCAAGUUGAAUCAUGUACAAGAGGUUGGCCUGGUUCGAGAUAGCUUCUUCACAGUACCUGAAGGGUUGGCUCAAUCUUUUCUUUAGAAUUCUGCACAUUUUGUAAUUACUCGUGUAAGCAAGCAUACAUUACAACCAUAAUAAUAAUAAGGCAAGAGUAAUGAUACGACCACAGCCUCUUGUGCACAAAUAAUAUUGUACAAACUAAUAUGACAUAAUAUGAUUGAUUAAACAAAAACAUAACAUGACCCUCAUAAUUUAUUUAUUAUUAUUUUAUAUUUUCAGUCAAGCAAUCAUAUUAUGCCACAUUAAAUAGAAAUAAUUUACUAGAUAGUGCCAACACUUCAUUGAUACUCACCAUUUCAUUGAACAAUUUUUUUAUAGUGUCAUUGAGGUUGCCUUCCCAACAUCCUUCAUCAUCACCAUCUUCAUCUUCGGUGGGUUUCACUUUGUUUAGCUUUGGUGCGUCUACGACUCCUGGAGAGAAAAUCUUCAUCGUUGGGCAUUGUCUCACAACUACGUGUGCCAAGGACGGGAACUCAAGAGCGUAAUUACCCAAACUAAAGCUUGUUAGGCUUGGCAAACAAUCAAUUCCCAAGUACUCCAAUUUCCUGAAAACAAUGCAAUCUUCCGCUUCUUCUCCAACCUGCGACUGUAUAAUUUCUUCCAUCAUUUUGCAAUCAGUUAUCUUCAUUCUUUCAAGAUUCACUAGACUUUCAGAUGUUGAGAGUGUCAAUAAAUUUAUCAACCCAUGACACUUCGAUACUUCCAGAGUCGCAAGAUUUUCCAAAUGCCACAAAGCUGGUACUAAUUUCUGCAACUUACUACAUUCAAAUAUUUCUAGACUUUUCAAGUUUGCAAACACUUUGUUGGAUUCGGCAUUUUCCUUCCAGAGAUGCUGCACUUUGUGUAAUCCAGAUAGCUUUAACUUCAUCAAUUGAGGGAAUGCAACCUGAAAAUCAACAAAAUUAAGUUGUAAAUGAAAAUAUGUAUCCAAUCUCUACAGUCUUCCCCUACAUAUUUUAUGGACAAGAUUAAUCACGGCAUUUUAUAUUUUAUUUCCAAAUUAGUAUGCUUUGCAGUAGGAUCCCAAAUAUAAGUAUCAAAUCGAUUACCCUUUGAAACACAUAAAUGAAAUCUGAUCAUAAAUCCAAUAUGAAUUAGCUAGGAAAACAAAGAUCUAACACGCAUAAUUUAUGCGAUAUAGUUCAUCACCUCCUGUCACUAGGCAUCUAAUUAAUUUGAGACAUUUUUUUAAUUCAUACUAUAAAGUUAGUUAAUAACUACAAUUAUAUUGUUAAAUCAGAUAUAAAUUAAGACGACGUGCAAAAAGAUAAGUCAUUAAAUUUGAUUUGAUUCUAAUGAAAUUACAUCUAUGCGAAUGAAAGUGAAGGGAAAAAUAAUAAUAAUGAUUACCUUUUUAUCGAAGAGAUGUUGUAUUUGAUUAGCUACCAAGAGGUUCUCUUCUGAUUUUAAUUUUUGAGCUUCCUUAUUAUCUGCUGUCAUGUGCAAUACAGAUGUAGAAUUGGAUAUGAAUGUUUCCAUGUCAGGGCAAUUCUCAAUAGUUAGAUAUCUCAACUCAGGCAGUUCAAUUAUAUUCCCAGUGAAGUUGCAGAAUCUUUUGAGUUUUGGAAGAUCAAUGAGCCUUAGAUUGGAAAGCUUAGGAAACAUGGGGCCUAUAUGUUCUUUGUCAGCAUUUAGCUCUUCCAAACGAAGCACCUCUUCUAGUGAAUCACAAUUCCUCACUUCCAGCCGUCGCAAAUUGUUCAAGCAUCGUAGCAGAUUGGCAGGAAUAGCACUCGACAUAUUCGUGCAGUCAUCCACCACCAGCCGUGCUAAAUUGUUGAAGAAGCUGACAGGCAGUGCUUGGCCAUGCCAUAUUUCUUUCAAACGUGGAAAAUGUGAGAGUUGCAAAUACCAUAUGUCACGGAAUCCAAUCUGCACAAACCAAAACAAUUGCACCGGAUAUAUACAAUUUUUUUUUUGAAAGGCAUUAUAUAUAUACACAUUAAACUUACAUGUUUUGUGUUUUAACUUCUAAAAAUAUAUAUACAAGACCGGGGUAUAUGCUUAAAUGUGCAAUUGCAGGGGAGAUGCAUAAACAAUUUGGGUGAAUCGAUUAACACAUACCAUUUCUUUGUAAUACUUUUGCAUAAUGGAAUUAAGGUUAUUGCCUUCCCAAUGGUGCAGUUCACCCUCUUCCUUUUCAGUCACUUGCACUUUGCAUGGCUUUGGAAUGGAUAAGAUUCCCUGAGAAAAAGUCUUCAUAUUUGGACAACGUAUCAUAGAAACUCGUUCCAGUGAUGGGAAUUCAAGAGUGUAAUUCUCCAAACAAAAGCUGGUAAGCCUUGAUAAAUAAUUAAGUAUCAAAACUUUUAAUUCGCUGAAAGCAAUACGAUUCUCCUUCACUUCUUCUCCAACAUGUCCUACGAUUUCUUCUAUUUUUUGGCACUUCGAUACUUUAAGAUUCACCAAACUACUAGGAAUUCCAACCUGAAAAUAAGCAAAAGUGUGUGUAUAUUAAAAAAGUAAAAAUGUAAGAAUAUCAUUCAACUAGGUUCAAAGUAUGUUUAAUCAUACAAUUAUACGUUUUAUAAAGAUAACAAACCAUGAAAUGUCUACAAGAUAAUUUUUUGUUAAACAAAAAAAGCAACAAGAUAAAUAAAUAAAUAAAAGCCAGAUAAACAAAGAUAUUAAAUGCAUUUACACUAUUUAGUAUUAGGAACGUACGAAGAAUUUAAGGCAAUUUCUAAAUAUUUUAGACUUAUUUUGCAUCUUGAUGCCAGUUUUUAAACAAAAUUUGCAAAUUUCAACUAUUCCUUUUGGGAAAAAAAAAUCAACCAAAAUGCCGCUUUUUCCCUUUUCCCUUGGUCCCUUUUUUUUAUGUAUAUUUAAUUUUGGAAACAAAAUUAAAGUGGAUCUUUAUUAAGUACUUCCAGACUCGAGGAAAUUUCUUUACAAUCAAGGAUCAGUUGUAAAUAAUCGUGAAUUUGUGGUUAAUUAAUGGCAUAAUCAGUUCGUAACUAAACAAGAGAUAUUAAUUAAAUUUGAAGACUUUUCUUUUCUUUUUUUCUUUUUCCAAUCGAAAUGUGAAGAAUUAAGGAAAAGAGAAAUAUAUAGAUGAAUUUGUGAACCUAUAAGAUGAGUGACUAUCCUUUAAUUUUUGAAAAUUGUACUUAUUAAGAUAUGAGCAGAAACAAUUAAAUUGAAUUAUAUUAUGAUGUUGAAUCGUGAUUAAAAAAAUUAUAUUGUUGAUUCUAAUGCUGGCGAACCUAAAAAAUGGACUUAAAAUGUAGAUUUGAGAGUGGUGGUUCGAAAUACAAUACUUGAAAUAAAUAAUCAGUGGCUGAAUAUCAUUUGUAAACCCAAAAAUGGUUAAAAUAUUGUUGGAUGUAAUUUAAAAAAAAAAAGAUUCGAAAUGAAUACAACGACCUUACCAAUGGAGGAAAAAUAUUCAUUAGGUUAUGACACUUAUAUAUCUCCAAAUUCUUCAAUUUGCUGAAAGACUCCGAAGGAAGCUGGUGGUGCCAUAUUUUUCUCAAAUUAUUCAUCCAGCUAAUAUCUAAUACCUCCAACCUAGGAAGUCGUACCUGGAAGUUAAAGAUUAAAUAACUAAUUAAUCAAUUAAUGGCAUAAUCAAUUGAUAACUAAAUUAGAGGCGGAUAUUAACUAAAUUUGAAGACUCAAGGAAAAGACAAAUUAAGUAUUGUGACUAAAAUUAAUUUUAUUUAUUAAAAAAAAAACCUUUUCGUCAAAGAGAGGAGGAGGUUGCAUUUCAGAAUGAUUGGUGUCUUCUGGUGAGCUCGUAGAGAUGAAUCUUAACAUAUUACUGCAAUUACCAAUCUCGAGGUUUAGCAAAGAAGGGAAUUCAACAACUAAAUCUGAAUGAAUAUGUCCUGUAUUGGCGAAGCUUGUCAGUUCUGUAAGCCAAUAGAGCUGCAGGGAGUGUAGUUUAGGAAAAACCUUUAAUUCAAUCAACUUUCCUUCAUCUCUUUCUGACCACCCCGUGGUGUCGACUACCCCUUCCAUUGACUCACAAGACCAUAUUUCAAGAUGUUGGAGUUGCAAAAGACUAUUAACCAUAGAAUACGAAAACAGAUACUUCAUACGAUCACAACUUCUCACGUACAGCUUUGUUAAAUUUUGACAACAGUACAUUCCUUGAUUAUGAUCGGCCCAUAAUUUUUUGAUGUUUCUUAAUUCCGUGAGAUUCAAUUCCUCUAAGCUCGGAAGAAGAACCUGCAAAGAAAAGCCGUACAUUUUUGUUCCUUCAAGUACAACCGUCUAGUAUAAUAUUCUGUUGAUGAUCGAAGAUUAAUCGUGAUAAUAAAUUAAUCAAUUAAUUAUUGAACAGAAAAUUAUCACCUUUGGAGCAGUAUCAUCAUCAGCAAUGAUUUCGUUGAAUCCCAAAGAAGUUGUUGGUUUCUCCCUGUCGGGUCCUGUAAACAAACAAAAACAAUAUACAUAAUUAAUCUUUGUCGUUGUCUUUUUUUUUUCAAAAUAAUUGAGGCGAAGUCCAUAAAUCCACCAACACUUAAUUUCAACACUUACCAACAGUCAUUUCCAGUUUAUUGCAGGAAGCCACUUUGACCUUUUGAAGCCGCAGUAGGUUUCUGGCUAUGGAAAAUGAGAAAAGAUGCUUCAAUUUAUCACAGGAUUCUACUUCUAUAAUCUUUAAGUUGCUGAAAAAUUGAUCUUCUCUGAGUUGGCUGUGGCAUAUGGCCUCCAAAUUGAUCAAUUUAUAGAGAGACAAUGACUCCAGCAAGGGGAAGACUUUGCGAUGAACCCGUCCAACUGAACCGACAAUGUGUAAAAUCUCAGAACACCUUUCUACCCAAAGAUGCUUCAAUCGUGGAAAACCUUCCCCAUCAUCUAAUUCAUGAACAACAUUCUGAACACCCGUCAGUUCCUCUAGACGGAUAUCUUCAGUUAACUUCAGCAACAUUUUCAUCCCAUAAUUCUCCAAAAGAGUGCUAACAUUUUCUAACCCAUGGAGCUGCACCAAUCUUGAUGUUUCAGAAUUAGCGCGCCAGAUGCCCCACGCUUCUCCUAUACAUAUCCUAUAUCUUGGCAAUUCGACAAAGACCAAAUCCUGCGGCAGCAUUUGGGCAUCCUGAACUUGUAUCUCCAAAGUAGUUAGCUUUGACAGCCCCUUCAAUUCAGCAAGACUGGCGUUACUUCCUCCUUCAACCUUAUCCCACUGCGGAAAGCUGUCACCCAUAUAUAGUUCUUCCAAUCGAGAAAAUUUUGAUAUGACAUUUGGUGCUAUCACUACAAGGCUGCUACAAUUGCUCAAAUCUAGCAAUUGUAACUGCGCCAAUUGACCAAUUUCAAGUGGCAACUGCUUAAUGUCGGAAUAUCGAAAGCUAAGAAUCUCUAAUUUCUUUAGCUGUCCAAUUGCCGCUACAUCUUCUAGUUGGCACCAGUCUAAACACAAUGUUUGAAGGUUAAUGAGGUGACCAAGUGAUGAAGAUAAUGAAGAGAAAUGAAUUCCGCUAAGACUUAAAACUUUGAGAUCUUCCGUCCCUUCAAAAAAGAGGUGUGAAAUUUCCAAAUAGCUAUCACCAUUUGCAAGCAACAGUAAUAACUUGAGUUGGGGACAUUCCAACCUUUCGGGAAGCUCUUGAAUAUCUCCAUAAGGUAUAGAAAUAGCAAUUGCACCUUUCUGUAUGAUCUUUUCUAUCUCUUCCUUCAAGUUGGUAACAUUUGGGAUACUAAACAUGAGCUUCUCUGAGGCAAUUGAUACGGCAACAACAUGAAUGACGUCAUGCAUUUUAACUUCAUCUUCAGCAUCGCCGUCCAACAAUAAGCAUGAAGCUUUGAGAUUGUCGAUCAAUGCGUCCACUCUAUUCCUUGCAUUUUCCAAUGUGCGAACAUUUUUAAACAAACCCUUACCAUAUCUCAACAAGGAAGCAACUUGUAUAGGAGUACCUUCACCAAAUAGAGUACAAAGAAGGAACAAAGAUUUUGCUUCAUCACUUUCCAAGAAGUUGUAACUCAAUUCUAUGGAAGAGCAGACAUUUGCAUCCAUUCCAUGAAUUUCUCUUGGAUUAGAAUUUCGCAGCUGAGUCAACGCAUCCUUCCAAACGGGAAGCUUCUUAUUUUUCAGAGCAUUUGCAACUGUACUCAGUGCAACAGGCAAUCCUCCACAUUUUCCAACAAUCUCAUCUGCUAAAGGUUGAAAAGCAGAUGCUUUUGCGGAAUUGCCCACGAUCUUUUCAAAAAAUUGCAAUGCUUCUUCCUUUGAUAAAACUUCAAUUAGGAAAAUCUUCUGAGAAUUCAUAUCAUUGGUCAAUAAAUGUUUACUUCUAGACGUCAAUAUUAUCGUGCGUCUCCUUAGAUCUUGCUUUCUAUCUUUCUCAUCAACAUCCCCAAAAGGAAUUCCAAUUUCUUCCAACCCAAGUUUUUUCCAAAUAUUAUCUAAUAUAAUGAGGACUCGCUUCUCUUUCGUCAAUCUUUGACAAAGUUGUUUUGCUCUGUGGGGUUUGCUAUCAUUCAAGUCAAAGUUCAAGUCUAAAUCGGAAGCGAGCUUGUCUUGAAUUUUCUGAACAUCUGGGUUCUCUGUUACCUCAGCCAUAACGACCUUAUCGAACACCUUAUCUUCCAUAACUUGCUUUGCAAUUUGCUUGACUAGCGUGGUUUUACCCACGCCGCCCAUACCGUGGACCCCAAUUAUGUUGAGCUUAUCAUUCCUCAAUGCCUCCACAACAUCUUGAAAUAAUUUCAUUCUUGAAUCAAAGGCCUCGAAAUCUUUCGCUUGCAUAUGUUCUGUACUCUCUGGAGCAGGACGGUGGGAAACACUAGAGAAGUUGCCUUUUCCCACGAGACUAGCGGCAGCUUCUGCGGCCUUUGCUGCUUGUUUACUAAGUUUAUAACGAGAAAUCAAGUUGGGGCAAAAUCCUUUGAAGCAGGACUUCUUAGCUCUAUCUUCAUCAUCAAUGAUGGAUUUUGCAACCCCUUCACUGAUGAAUUCAUCAACGUUAUUAAGCCAGUCUGCAACAUCCUUGUAAAUCUCAUCUCUUUGUUGAGUAGCCUCACGAACGGGUAUUCCCACCCUUUCUCUUUUAUAUUCUAGCUCCUUCACUUGAACUUUUAGCUCAGCUAUGUAGCUCUGGUACUUGAACACAUAAGAGAUCUGCCGCAUAAUCGGUUCGAACAAUGCCUUUGCACCUUCUGUUACAAUGCCGGAAAAAGUAGUGGAAACCAGGUCUGCAGCCAUUGCCUAGCCUGUUGCUUUCAUACAUACAUACAUACAUAUAUAUAUAUAUAUAUUAGCUGUUGGAAAAAUUAGAUUCAAAUAAAUUAAAAUGAACUAGGGGAAAGACGGAGAAAGAAAUGACAACCAACAACUUUUUAAAAAAAGGUUUCAAGGGCCUGAAUGGAAAACCAACAAUUUAAAAAAAAAAUUGUAAGAUGGAUGCAGAUUAACCAUUGCUAAUAUUACAUAAGAACACAGAAGUUAACAAUGAACAGUACGUAGAAAAUUAAAUGACAAGAUUAAAACAAACAAGGGCUAUUUUUUCUUGGACAAUUGUACCUAUUUAAUUAUUAAAGAGUUAAUGACCUUCACUGCUGGCCUUGAAUAUAUAAGAACGACCAGAAGAUGAAUAUUAACUGCAGACGAAUGUAAGUAAAGAGUUCAUGAGAGUGAGUAAUACAAAUGAAUUGUAAAAGAACAAGACUUAAGUGUGACCCCAUCUUUUGUUUUAUUAUAUAAAUAGAACACAUGAUCAUUUUUAACAAAGUGAUCAAUAACUCUAUGCGUUAUUUAAUUGAUAUUGUAACCAAUUUUAAGGGAAUUUAAUAAUAAUCAUUCAAUGCAUAAAUUUAAAAUUAGAUUUUUUUAAUUCUUUAUUUAAAUAUAAAUCUUAAUGGAAAAUUAUAAAAAUUUAGAGAUAAAAUUUUUCAAUCACCAAGGAAAAAAAAUGGGAAUGAAAACAGAGGAAUCUUGUUUUACCUUUUUUUUUUUUUCCUUAACUCUUGUUCCUAUACAAAUAAUCUUGUUUUGAUGAUAGUGCUCGUGACUAUGGGAAAAUUUCUAAUGGAAACAACUCAAUUUCGGAAGAUAAGCUUAAUUCUGCAAGUGAUGAAUUUGUUCAAUUGACUCUGUACUUGAACUCGUUGGAUUGGUUGAUUUACGAUUGACUGCAUUUCAAUUCUGCCUAAAAGAUCUUUUUAAUAGCUAUCAUGUACUCCUUAAAAGCAAUCAUUUUUAGAUUUGACUGAAUUUGAACUUGUUGGAUUGGCUGUUUUUAGAUUAUUGAUAUGAGAUACUACAAUGUAAACAUUUUCAUGUGGCUGAGCCCUAUUCUAAAAUCUGUAUGUUGCUUUAGAAAAAGGGCUUUUCCUACUGAUAUUUAAUCUUCAAGUAAACUUAGAUAUAAAGUAAAUCAAAUAAAAUGACAAACAAGCAAUAUAAUAAAAGACAACAAACUGGCAAUAUUGAUACAAAGGCAACAGAUAUUAAACUUUAGGACAUUUUUUUCCUAGCUUUCAUUUGUUGGAGGAUUAGAGAUUUUGGUAUUACCGGAAAGCUAAAAGGUUUCAAGGGUCUGAGUAGAAACCUAUAAUCUUUUUAAAAACUUUCUUUUUCUUUUUUCUUUUUUCUUUUUUUGGGGGGGGGGGGGGGGGGGGGGGGGGAAGAAUGCAAGUUAACCAAACGAAAUAAUAAGAGCACAGGCUUUAACAAUGAACAAUAACUUAAAACUCAUGCAAAGUAAAUUCAAUAUUAAAACAAACCAGAGAAAUUUUUUUUCUUGGAAAAUAGAUGGAAAUUAUGAAAGAACAGAUGUCAAGAUCAAAGAUCUACUAUACACAAACACACACAUUAGAGGAUUUGGAAAAUGUGCACCUCUUUAAUUAUCUGGGAUUAGAGAGUUGGUGAGAUUCUCCAUUUGGCCUUGAAUAUUUAAGAACAACCUCAAAGAGCAAAAAGAUCACCGGUAACUGCCGAGGAAUGUGUAAGAAAAGGGUUGAUGAGAAUAAUAACAUUGACUUGCAGAAGAAAAAGCAUUAAUCAAGCACCCCUUUUUUAUAUCAUGUAUUUGGUUAUUGUUGCCCUGUUUACGCACGUAUAGGAUAAUUAUAUGCAAUCUUUUUUUAAAAAUCCACAUGCACUUUAGGGCUUCUUUCAUAAAAGCAGAUACCGGAAACACACAAAAAUCAUUUGAGAGAGAAACCGAACAGCAAAUCAUCAAAGUAAGAUCAACAAUAUAUGAUUUGAUUAAUGCAUAUUCAAGAACAAAACAAAAAUAAAUAAAUNNNNNNNNNNNNNNNNNNNNNNNNNNNNNNNNNNNNNNNNNNNNNNNNNNNNNNNNNNNNNNNNNNNNNNNNNNNNNNNNNNNNNNNNNNNNNNNNNNNNNNNNNNNNNNNNNNNNNNNNNNNNNNNNNNNNNNNNNNNNNNNNNNNNNNNNNNNNNNNNNNNNNNNNNNNNNNNNNNNNNNNNNNNNNNNNNNNNNNNNNNNNNNNNNNNNNNNNNNNNNNNNNNNNNNNNNNNNNNNNNNNNNNNNNNNNNNNNNNNNNNNNNNNNNNNNNNNNNNNNNNNNNNNNNNNNNNNNNNNNNNNNNNNNNNNNNNNNNNNNNNNNNNNNNNNNNNNNNNNNNNNNNNNNNNNNNNNNNNNNNNNNNNNNNNNNNNNNNNNNNNNNNNNNNNNNNNNNNNNNNNNNNNNNNNNNNNNNNNNNNNNNNNNNNNNNNNNNNNNNNNNNNNNNNNNNNNNNNNNNNNNNNNNNCCCCAGGGGAAAAUCUGGAAUUCCUUUUUUUAAUUUUUUUUUUUUUAAAAAAACCCCACCGGAAAUUCUUAAAAUUUGGAAAAAAAAAUUUUGAGUCCCUUAUUCUGGGGGGGGGGGGGGGGGGGACGAAAACAGAGGAAACUUGUUUUACAUUUUUUUGAUCUUAACUCUUGUUCUUAUAUAAUAUUUUCCCUGGGAUUUCAGGCAAACCAAACAAAAAAAAAAAAAUUCAAUAAAGAGCAAGUUGCUCUAAUUGAUUUAUCUUGUUUUUCAGGCUAUUUUGUGACAUGAUGAUAUGUAAUGCUCUUGAAUGCUAGAAAAAUUCUAAUGCAAACAUUUUUGCAAAUGACGAAUGUAAAUAACUUUUUUUGAUUAAUUGAAUCUCUAAUACUCUUACCCUAUUCUAAAAUUUGUAGGUUGCUUCAGAAAAAAAGGGUAUUUCUCACUCAUCUUCAAUCCUCAAGCACAAUUAGAUUAAAAGCAAAUCUAAUAAAAUAACAAACAAAUUAACAAAAAAAAGAAAAAGAAAAAAAACAAUGUUGAUCUUGAGACAAUUGAUACUUAAACAGAGAAUUCUUUGUUCUUUUUUUACUCCCCCUGGCUCGAGGAUUAGAGUCUUUCUUUGCUAUUAACAGAGAGGUUUUAAGGGUCCGAAUAAAAACCCGCGCUUUUUUUAAAAACUUCUUUUUUUUUUUUUAUUGGGGAAGAUAGAUUCAAAUUAACCAAAGCUAGUAAUAAGAACACAGGCCUUACAAAUGAACAAUAACUUACAACUCAAGCAACAUAAAUAAUAAGAUUAAGACAAACAUGAGAUUUUUUUCUUCGAAAGUAGAUGGAAAUCAAGUAAGAACAGCUAUUAAAAGAAAUUACUAGAGAAUUUAGAACAUGUGUACCUCUUUAAUUAUUUGGGAUCAGAGAGUUGAUGAGCUCUCUAUUCGCCUUGAAUAUUAAGAACUGGUAUUAAAAGAAAUUAUGAAGAACAAUUUUAGUGAGCGAUAGAUCACUGUUAACUUCAGAGGAAUUUGUGAGUAAAAAGCUGAAAAGAGCCGUAAUAAUGAAUUACAAAAGAAGAAGACUUAAUCAAGCACCCCUUUUAUACCCGAUUUUUAAGAUUUAGUCUUGAAGUUCACAAUCAAGAACAAAGACGAAGCUUUAAUAAAGCAUGCAGUGAGAUACAAGAAAUGGAUCGGGCAAAAUACCUUACGAAGCGUUUCAUAUUUUCUAAUGAAAUAAUUAAGUUGAAGUUUUCGACGAAUAAAUACUUGUUGUGCUUGAAUAAUUUUGGCAUAUACGUUACUUGUAUCCUGCGAAAUUGAAAAGCACAUUGGUUUAUUAGAGCUUAUUAGGAGGGAAAAGCUUUGUAAGAUACCUGAUAAAAGAUAAAGUAAAAGCUUGAAUGAAGAAUGACAUUUUAGAAAGAAACUAAAGUGCAAUCAUCAAAGUGGGAUCAAUAGUGACUUGAUAUUUCAAUUGUUCUGUCCACAAAUGAUGCUUCGUUAUUACUAAUUCCAGAUGGACAUUAUUAGAAAAUGAUCUUAUGUUUAACAGAAAAAUAAAAACUCGUCAUCAUACAAAACAGCGUGAAGAAAUCUUCAAUUUGAUUAUUAUAAAAUAAUAAGUUUCAUUACUAGAUUAUGCGGACAUUAAUGUUAGAGAUUUGAUCAGAUUAUCAUAUAAUUUACUAAACGCUUUGAGAAGAACAAUAAUUAAUUUUUAAAAAAUUGAAAAAUAAAUUAAAUAAAGAGUACACGCAAAUAAUGUUACUUCCAAUCACCAAACUGAAAAACAGGGGAAUGAUAACAGACGAGUCCCUGAUUAUCCUCUCUCUCUCUCUCUCUUUUUCAAUCUCUCUCUUUGAUAUCCAUAUCUGAGCAUCAGAGCUUGACAUCUUUGAUAAAUAAAUAUGCUUACUGGUACUGUUUUUGCAUAUGUCUUUCACAAAAUCAUUGUAUACGCUUACAUAGAGAAGAAGAUUCAGAUAACUUUCAAAAUCUGAAUCCGCCUGAUGGACAGGCUUGACCACACAGCCCCGAGACAAGGAAGUCCAAGCAACUAAUCUAAACCGUUCUCCUUUAUUAGCUAGAUUUAGUAUUUGGGUUCUUUAUGUAAAACGACACUAUGAUCUUGAAAUUUUGAUUUAAUUAAUAAAUAGUUAAAUUCUUAAUGUUUCAGGAGUAGAUACAUAGACUCUCUUCUAAUUUUAGUCAUUACAAACAAUGCCAUUGUGCGGUUAUACUAUUGCUUCUUUUAUGAAACCAUUCUCACCAUCACAUAGAUCUUGGCAUAUAGAGUCUCAUAAUGUCAUCAAAUAAUUUUUUUUUUUUUUAAAAACAUAAAAUAUGAUACAUGUAUUCAUUUUUUUUCAAAUUAGGGUGUAUUAUUCUUAAAACUUAAGUGUUCUACUUAUAAAUAUCUUGAAGGUGUGAGUGUUUUCUUUUCGUAAACAAACCGUAAAAGAAAAAGAGGAACAAUAAUUUUUUACUUAUCCUUAGAGAUAAGAUUCAAUCGGGAUGUGAGUAAGUGUGUUUUUCUUUUUUUAUUAUGCUAAAUUAUCGAGUCACAAAGCAUAUUGAUUCAAAAGUAUAACUUUAUACUGAUGAUAGAUAAUUUCAAAACAAUGGAAUGAAAACAGAGGAGCUCCCCCCUCCCCCACCCCAAUCCCCGCCCCCCCCCCCCCCCCCCCCCAAAAAAAAGUUCUUCUUCUUUUAUAUAUUUUUCUUGGAAUUUUAGGUAAAAGAAAAAAAAAACUGAGAUUGAUUUCAAGGGAACAGGUGGAUAAUAACUAAAAUACUUAUUUUUAUAUAUUUGAUAUGUGCGCUCACUAUUAAUAGAACUUAUUAGAUACUACAACUUAAAUAACUUCCCAUGGUUGAUUGAGGGUAUGUUUGAGAUUUCCUUUACUUUCCAAGAAUUAAUUUCUACCUUGAUUCUGAACAAAAAAAUAAUUUUACAAAUAAUCUAUUAGGGUGUUUGGUAAAUGAUGAUUAUUUGACAAUCAAUUUUUAAACGGUUUACUAUACAAAUCUGGUAAAUGAAAAUUAAAAGUGUAAAAUGUUCAUGUACAAUGACAAAAAUGUACUUGUUUACUUGUUUGUAAUUUAUUUAGAAUAUUAUUAUUUAAAUCUUUUUUUAUUUACAAGAUUUUUUAAGAGCAUAUUCUAUUUUCUUUAUUACAUAUUUAAAUAAUUUUUUAUUAACUAUUUUAAUUUGCAAUAAAAUUAACUUCAAUAUCUUUUUAACUAAAAAAUUUGUUAUGUAGUUCGUGAUAUAACAAAUACUAACAUAUCAUUAGUUUGAUUAAUAAAUUAAGUGCAAAAAAGAAAAUGCAAAAAUUUAAUCUUUAUAUAAACUUUUAUGUACAUAAAAUCAUUGUAAUCAAACUAGUUCAUAGAAAUAUAAUAUUAUAUACAUGUGUGUAAAAAAAAAAAACAUAUGACCAUAAUAUUAUCCACUCAUUAAACUUGCUGCACUAUUAUUUCUCAAUCUCUCCAUCUCUCGACCUUCAAGAACAUUACUACCAUAAUCUUCUUCUUCUUGAAUCCAACCUCUAUUUCCUCAUCAUCAACAAUGCGACCAAUUUGCCUUGAUAGCCUUUCAACUAGAAUAGAGUUGGCAGUAGAUAUUUUAGUACUCUCAAACUAUGCCCAAACAGGGUCACCAGUGAUUGUUGUAUUAAAAGACAUUCUAUUUAAUUUUCCUCUGACUCUGGGUCGAUACCUUUUAUGCAAAAUCUAUUUACUUAAGGAAUUUUCUACACAUGUCGAUAUCAUAUUAAAGUGAAUUCAGAUCCUAUAUUAUUGACAUUAAAAUUUAGCCGAAUAGUAAAAAAUUUCCCUUUUUGUUUGUCACACAACCAUAUAGUCCCAUUUUUGGUUAUAAGCUCACAAUAUGUAAGGGAAAUGAAGAUCUAUUAAAACUUUCCCAUAAUAUUAAACAUUAAACAAUAUCAACAUUUUGUGCAUAUGGUGCCUCAUCAACAAUUUGAUGUUCAUUUUGUUGCUCGGAGGAAUAUGACUACCUAUUAAUUAAUUAGCAAGAAUUGCGUUGCGAGUCCAUGUUUUUGUCGUUUGGAUGGAGGAUGUGCCAUCUUUUUAUUGUAGAUGCUUUGUAAGGCUUUUGAUUUAAUGAUUUAAUGCAGUCAAUUAACAAAAGCUUACAUAUAUUAUUAUGUAGUUGCUGAGAUGUCUGUUCUUGAUAAAGUCGAUUUAUUUACACCCAAGCCAACGGAAUCAAAGCCUUUUCGUUAAUAAUAUACACGGUAAUUGUUUUUGUUAAAUUGAUUUCUGGCUAACAAGAUAUUUGAAAGCAUUUAGGUAGCGUUUACAUUUUGCGUUGGAGUGAGAAUCGUGAGAAAUGAGAAUCCUGGGAUUAGGAGUGUGGAGUGGGAGUCGAAGUAUGUUGUUUACUUACACUGAAAUGGAAGUAUGGAAUUGAAAUCAGAAUCCAAUUUAUUUGUUUACAUUGUCUUAGAUUGUGAGUAAUGAUUUUAAAUUACAGCUUUACUCUUAAAGAAUUAUAGUUAUUAAUUACAAAAUUAAUAAAAAUUAUAUUUUUAAAUUAAUAAUAAUUAUUAAUAUUCUUAACUAUGUAAAUCACAAUUAUUUUAUUAAUUUUAAUUUUAAUUAUAUAAAUAAAAAAUUAUUAAUAACAACAAUACAAAUGAAACAUUAUUAUUGAUAAUAUAGUACAAAAUUAAUUUUUUUAGAAUAAAAUAUUUAUUAUUAUUAAUUACUAAUAUUAAAUAAAUAUAAUAGUAUUAUUUUUAAAUAAGUAUAAUAAUAUUAUAUUUUCAAAUAAAAAUAGAAUAUAGUAAUAUUAUUAAUUCUUUAUGAAUAUAAUGAUAUUAUUUUUAAGUAAUUUUAACUUAGAAUCAAUGUAAAUUAUUAUUUUUAACCAAAAAAUUAAUAUUAUUUUAAAUAUGUUUAAUAUUAUUAUUUUUAAUAAAUUUAAUUUAUAAAAUAAUAAAAUAUUAUUAUUUAAAUAAAUAUGAUUUUACUUAUUUUAUUAAAUUUAAUAAAAUAAAUAUGUUUAAUAUUAUUAUUUUUAAUAAAUGUAAUUUAUAAAAUAAAAUAAUAAUAUAAGUUAAAUAAAUAUGAUAUUAUUUAUUUUAUUUUAUUAAAUAUAAGGGUGAAAAAGGAAGAGAGGCGAGUGAAUUUCCACUCCCACCUUCCUCCAUGGGAGUGGGAAUCUCACUCCCCCACUCCAAAAUUAGGUGGGAUCCACGGAGUGGAAUUCUCACUUCCCCUUUGAAAAUUGUAAGUAAACACUGGAGUAAGAGGAAUCCACACUCCUCACUCUCACUCCAAAAAGUAAACACUAUAUUAAAGAAGUCAUUGACUUAUAAGAAAGCCAUGAUUAAAUACACGGCGAAGCAUGUGAGCUCGUUUUUCAAUUUCUUUGAUCACUCAUAAGUAGGGGUGGGCAAAAUCGGAUUCGGAUUGGGUUCGGGUUGAUUUGAUCAAUUUCGGAUCAAUCGGGUUGGGGAAAAAAUCAUCCGAACUCAAUCCGAAUUAUUAACCCGAUCCAAUCCGAUCCGAAUAUAAUUCGGAUCGGAUUGGAUCGAAAAUUCGGAUUAAUUCGGAUUAGAUUCAGAUUUAAAAGCAUUCGGGUUAUAUAUCCAUUCUAUAUUUCUGGGUUAAUUUCAGAAGCAAUCAAGUAAAACAAUCAACCUUUUCUCAAGAUAUAGUUUUGUUUUAAGCUUUUUAAAUUAAAUUAUUUAAAACAAUAUAGUCAAUACCACCAAAAACUUGGUGACAGUGAAUGUGGAGGUGAAUUUAGUUGUAGCAGUUGUGGUAACCGGUGAAGCUAGUGGCAGCAAGCGGUAGCAGUCGAGGUGUAGUAGAUUCCAUCGGCACGUUGCGGUUGCAGCGAUGGCUUAGCUUUGAACGAUCGCGUCGGUGACUGAUGGCUGCUGGUUCACGCAGUUGCAUCUCCGAUUUGCUGGCUGCUGCUUCUUGCGGUUGCAUCUCCGAUCUGCUCGCCGCUGCUUCGCUGACAUCUCCGAUCUCCGAUGGUUUGGCUUCGCACGAUCACAUCGGUGAUUGCUGGCUGCUGGUUCGCGGCUUCGCGCGGCCGCAUCUCCGGUCUGCUGGUUGCUGCUUCUUGCGGUUGUAUCUCCAAUCUGUUGGCUGCUGCUUCGUUGUUUGGCAUCUCAACAUUUCCGAUCUCCGAGGCCAAACCUCUAUUUGUGUGUGACCGUGUGUGAUGUGAGUGUGUGUGUGUGCACUUACAGAUUAUUUUAAUUUAGAUCUAAGAUUUGCUUUUUGUGUGGUGUGAAUCCGAUUUUGUUGUGUUUGCCACUUUGUUAGUUUGUUACACAGUUUUUUUUUUAAGCCAACCCGAUCGGGUUUUCGGAUCGGAUCGGGUUUCAUCCGAUCCGAUCAUGAUCCGAUCGGGUUGGCAAAGUUACAUCCGAUUGGAUUUUGUUAACAAUCCGAUCCGAUCUGAACCCGAUAUUUUUUGGGUCAGAUCGGAUCGGAUCGGGUCGGAUAUUUUGCCCAACCCUACUCAUAAGCUUUUCUAUACCACUCACUAUAUCAUCCUUUUAAGUCAAUUUCGACUGAUCAUCAGAGAUCAUGCACCCCACCUUGAGAUGAUUGAUCACCAAUUUGGCAUUGUAACGUUGAUCACCUCUAAUUGCCCAUGCUAAAAUUGAGACCCCACAGCCAAUUGCUUCUACAGUUGAAUUUUAUCCACAGUGAGAUAAAAAUCCACCUAUUAAUUGAUAACUCGGCAUCAAUAAUUGUGGUGCCAUUCCAUCUAUUAUCAAACCCUUUUUACCGGCUUUACUAUCUAAACCACUAUGAAAAUAAGCUGGUUAAAUGACGUGGAGGAUCCAAUCUAUUUACAUCAGUUUGAAUUACCUAAAUAAUCGGUGGAUUUGAUGCUUCUAAAUCAUUGGCUAAUGUUGAAUAAUCAUUUAAGGUGGGACCCAUUUCGGUACCAAAUGACAUGUAUAACACUGAUCCACAUGAUUUCAAAUCUAACCAUUGAAUGAUCUCAUCUUUGGUCAUGUUAGAACUCCGCCGGUUGGUUCUCAUCUCACAAUCACGAAGCACUGAACCGGUCGAUUUGUAAAAUUGUUCAGGUAACAAUGGGCCCACUCCCCACACUAGCAUCAACACCAUCGAUCCCUCCACUUGCUUCAUCCAGUGUGGUUGAUCACUCGGUUCUGAUGGACCUAUUUUCUCUGAACCGGGUGCACCUCACAAAGGUUGUGGGCCACCAGGAAGGGACCCGUGAGGCCUGCGUUUAAGAUCUGAUUGGAAUAAAGCAACAUCCUUGGGUAACCCAAGAAGUAAAUGGGCCUCUCCCGGUUUGGCAUCCUGGAUGCGAGCCUGCCACAUGGCACACUCCACAGCUGCUGAGCAAGCAUCAGAAGUGAAGAACCCAACAAUGGGAACUUCAAAAUUCUUGAAAACAUCAGCCGUCCAGCCCAUCAUAACGCCGAUGACUACGCAAACAGGUCGGCUUUCGGGUUCCGGGUUGAAAGGAGGUUUCGAAGACCCUGAAGCAUUUGGUUGUGCAUGACAACAUGGAGGUAAGAAGGAGGCGAUGGUAGUAGUGGAGAUGAGGAGGGUAUUUCGGUAAUUUCACAUAGAGGGUAUUGGUGAAGAGAGGAAGGGGUGAUGCUGGUGGUGGAAACGUGAGAGGGAAUAAUGAGGGUAGAUUUGUAAUUACGAGAAGCAAUUUGCUUGCAUAAUUCAAUGCAUGGAAACAGAUGUCCCUGACCGAAGAACGGGACAAUCCAAAUCUCAGCCUCAGCAGCAUUCGCAACAGAGCUUGACAUCUUUUAUGAAUUAUUUGAGACUUAAUUGUUAUUGACUGCUUUUGCCAUCUUUCAUAAAACAUUCUUUGUUAUAUAUUCAAGUAAAUAAAUUUAUCGUUUAAAAUUAAUUUUUCAUGUGGUAAAAGCAAUACUAAAUAUGGGGUGGAGAGAAUAAUUUGUAGGGCAUACCCCCACCAUUUAUUUAAUUUCAUUAAAAAAGAAAGAAAAGAAAUAAAGGCUUGUUCAACAUUCAAUUAAAAUUAACAAUUCCAUGAUAAAAUUACUUGAGAAUAAAAAUUUUUAAAAAAAAAGUAACUCAAAAACGAGGAAUUUUUGAGUAACUGAAGAACCAUAGAUGUUUUUUGGUCAUGAGCAAUUUUUGAGUUGACACAGAACUUGUAUAAAAAAAAUAGUUUUGAAAACUUCUUUUCUUUUUUCGUAAAUAUAGAUAUAAAAUUUUAAAAUCACCAAACACAAAACCAGGAAAAUGGAAGGAGAGCCCCUGUUUCUCCUAUGUUGCAAGCACAAAUUCGGUUUCUAAAGUUGUACCUUCUAAAUGCACCAUUUGUAUUGCUUUGUCUCCACUUGAGCUAACGGAAUUUGAUGAAAACAAAAUAAUUGAACGAUAGGGAUAAAUAUCAAAGAAGGAGCUUACAUGCCCUAUAUAUUCUCUUUGGAUGAAUAACGAAGGUGAGCUUUCAAAGUACAGAGAUUUACAUGUUUUAAUUGUCAUUUACAUUGCUGCAUGCUAAUUGCUUGAUAAAAUACCGCAACAAAUACGCAUUCUCGAUUUCUUAUAAAUUUAUUUUCUUACUCUGAAAAAAAUUGAAUGUUUAGAGAAUUUUGAAGGUUUUGGUGUAUGCAUUAAUAUUUUGAUUCUAUUUAUGUUGUUUAACUAAUGAAGAUGAUACAUCUAGCCUCUUUUUGCCCCUUGUUGUUUUUAUUCUUGUGCUUUAUAUACGGUUCAAGUGUGAUACACUUUAGUUUUUCUCAAGUGUUUGUUAGUAUUUCCCGAAGCAAAAUUUGUCACAGACUUUUAGUUCAAAAGUUGAAAUCAUAACUAACAUACUUCGAUUUUUUAUUUUCCUUUUUUCUUCGGUAUCUUUCUAUAUGGCAUUGCUUGAGAAAUUGGUGUACUUAGAUCGUAAUAUUCUGUAGAAAUAAGCCAAUAUUUCAUUAUGUACAUUGUUUAAUAUGAUAAGUAUUGUAUGGAAGUUUUACAGAUAAGCUCCUUAUAUAUUAUGCAUUAUGUUUUUAUCAUAUUGUUGCUUGGAACUUUGAAGGAUUAGCCACAGGGCUUUAGUCCUACAUGGACAUUUUAUAUUUAACAGCUGGUUAGGCAUUUUAUUUGAUGUUAUUUGGACUUGUAGGUGUUAAAAGUUUUGUUCAGUAAUUUUAUAAUUCAGAUUCCCAUUGUGAAAAGAUAGCAAUUUUUAUUGUGGGUCAGAUUCUGUCAACUGAUAUUUAGCUAAAAUAUCUCACUAACCCCUAUUGGUUAGGUGUUUUUUUUAAUUCACAUACUUGAUUUUUAUUUUCUUUUUAUCUGUGGAAUCACAUGUAUCAUUCAUAAGAAACAAGCUAUUAUAUAAUCUAUUCUUUAGAUCCAUUUAUAUGUAGUGGGCACUCUGAUUUCUAUUAUUUGAAUUUUUUGCUACUGUUACUACUCUUUCGGCCCUUCAAAUAGGGGUUAACAGAAAGGGUGAGUAUAUUAAUACAAAUUCAAACUUUCUUUUUCUAAUUUUAUCCAAAAUAACCUACUAUAUUAUUUUAAUUUCCAACUUUUGUCAUAGUCUAAUGGGCAGUUGUCUUGUCAUUAUUUGGUUUUAGGUAAGAAGAGAGAAAGUUAGUGAGAGGAUGAAAAUUUUGCAAAAACUUGUUCAUAGCUAUGGUAAUUAAGUAAUUUGAGUUCUUUUUUUUUGUUAUUGUUUUUUAUUCACUUUUUCCUGUCUUAAAACAAAUAACGAGUUUUUGUGUUUUUAAUAUUUCUUAUAAACUUCAUGUUGUUUGGUAUAAAAUUAGGUAAUUGGAAAGGUCUCAUGUUGGAUGAAAUUAUCAAUUAUGUGCAGUCCCUACAAAAUCAAGUGGUCGUCAAUGUGUCAGCAUCACUUUCUUCUUCAGAUGUUACUUGUUUUUCACAUUUAUUUUUCUCUCAGUCCUUUUUAAAAGAACAUACACACACAUACUAUGUAGAGUGACCUUUUUUAAUGAGGAAUCUGUCAUUUUAAUAAAAUGAAGAAUAAACUAAAAGGUAGAAGUACACGAACUCUAAUGCAAUAUACCUUUUCUGUUCUUUUACCUUUACUAUAAGAUAGGGAAUGAUAUAAAACUGUUCGAUAAUAGUAAGUGAAAUAAUUAAAAGGCUACUGUUCUAGCUCAUUUAAUAUAUCAAACUUUUCUAGCUCAUUUAAUAUAUCAAACUGCUCGAUAAUUGAAUUGGCCUAGUUAAACAUAAUUUUCAGAUAAUCUUUUUAAUGGUUUAUUUAUUAAUAUUUUGUUUCUUUCCAGUAUGAACACUUUGUUUUGACACGUGGUUAACAACCUUCAACGAACUCGGAACAACCUUCAUCACAUGCUUUCUCACGUGGUUACUUAAACUGAUAUGUUAAACGUGCUCCAUCCACGCCGUUUCCACUAAAUCAUUUUCUGUUAAGAAUCAGCUGAGCAGCGCGUGAGCUAAUGAAGUUUUUCGUAUUGAACUCAACUCUGCUAUUUUCCCAAAGCUGGAAAGCAGAAACAUCAUCCCUUUGGUUUUAUUUCACCUCAACCUUUUUCUGAUCCCAUUUUCAUUGUAAUUUCUCAUUUACUUUGAGUGAAAGUCAUUGUUGCUUUCGAACGAGGUUUUGCAACUAAAAAGGAAAAUGGGGCGGCUACAAUACAUGCGUGCAUCUGAUACAUGCACAAAAACUGACCAUUGGAUUAAAUGGAGUGAUCUAAUGGCUGAGAUUUGUUUCAUUAUUAAGCAAUAAAAAAAUUUGAAACAACCAGAAACCUGUAAAACCGGUCAUUUGGUUUAAGGUAAAAAUAUAUAAAUGAAAAAAAAAAAAAAAAACCCACCACUCCCUCGCCUCACCUCUCUUCUUUUGGGUUUAGUAUUGCUGCUUUUAACAUAAUUGACCUAUGGCCCAAAUCAUUUCUAUAGGGCGAAGCAUAUGAAUGAUACAUAUUAUCUUUUUUUGGCCUUAUGUCUUGUUAUUUGCAGUGUGAUUUGGUCUAGCUUAAGAGCUUAAGCUUGCAGGUUGGAUUUGUCUGACAGGGAACAAUUUAAUUUGUUCAUCGUGAUGUUUAUAUCCAUUUUGUACUACUAUCAAUUUCAAUCAUGCCUAAUUUUUAUAUGUAUUUCUCGUGGACUCUCAGGUUCAGUGCACAAGAGGAUGAAGACGAUGGACACCCAAAUUUGAUGUGGAGAACAACUAUUGCAAAUGGUCCUUGAUUUACUUCUCCAAUUGACUUGAAUUGGUUUGACGCAAUUUAUACUGUAUUUUUGUCAUCUUUGUAUGACUUGCACGUCGUCCUGAUUUGGUACAUGACUGGACACAGGAAUUGGACUCAUAUUUUUCAAACCAGAAUGCCAACAAUCAAGCAUUUUCUUUUGAAAGCACUGGCGUCUUCUUCAAUGCCAAAAAGGUUAGAGAUUUUCUGUAUCCUGUUUUGUAUUUGAUCAGUUUAGCAUGUGGGUGGCAAUCAAGAAAAGUUAUUAUAACAUUUUUGUGUUCCCGAAAAACUGCUGAUGAUGUGUGACUUCUUUUUAUUUGUAUUCUUUCUUUUUCUUUUCUCCCCAACAGUAUUAUGCAUUUCGAAGAGCUUCUUGAAGUUGAUUACCAUGUAUGCCACUUUCUUUACUCUAUGCUCAGGAUGUGAUUUUGCCAAGCAUUAAAAUGGUUUAGGUCAGAACCAUCAUCUAAAGUUUACUUAAAGUUGACGGAUUAAUUCCUUUUAAUAAUGGUCUAGUUAAUUUUACUAUACUCAUAAAACUAUUCUUAUUCUGAUAAUGCCACAAAUGUUAUGAUGUUUUCUUCAGCUAAUGAUCUUCUAUCAGGACUAGUUAGAAAUCAAAUGCUUAAAACACCGAUUGAAUGAAUAAUGCAGAAGUUUAAACAGUAUCUAAUUGAAAAUUGCAUGAAACAUGAAACAUCAAUUCAAGUCCUUCCUUAAACAAAGAAUGCAUCAAACAAAUCCAAAGUGUCUUGCAUGUCUAUAGCAUGACAAAAAAGUUGUAAAUGCGUUUAGAACCAAAUUAUUCAAGUACAGGAGAACGAGCAAGUUGAAUCAUGUACACGAGAUUGGCCUGGUUCGAGAUAGCUUCUUCACUGUACCUGAAGGGUUGGCUCAAUCUUUUCUUUAGAAUUCUGCACAUUUUGUAAUUACUCGUGUAAGCAAGCAUACAUUACAACUCUUGUACACAAACAAUAUUGUAUAAACUAAUGCGACAUAAUAUGAUUGGUUAAACAAAAACAUUACAUAGCCCUCAUAAUUUAUUUAUUUAUUUAUUAUUAUAUAUUUUCAGUCAACCAAUCAUAUUAUAUUACAUUAGUUUCUAUAAAAUAAUUUUCUAAAUAGCACCAAAACUUAAUUGAUACUCACCAUUUCAUUGAACAAUUUUUUUAUGGUGUCAUUGAGGUUGCCUUCCCAACAUCCUUCAUCAUCAUCAUCUUCUUCAUCAUCAUCUUUUUCUUCUUCGGUGACGUUCACUUUGUUUAGCAUUGGUGUGUCUAAGACUCCUUGAGAGAAGAUCAUCAUUUUUGGACACUCUCUCACAACUACUUGUUUCAAGGACGGGAAUUCAAGAGCGUAAUUACCUAAACAAAAGCUUGUUAGGCUUGGCAAACAAUCAAGUCCCAAGUACUUUAAUUCCUUGAAAACAAUGCAAUCUUUCGCUUCUUCUGCAACCGGCGACUGUAUGAUUUCUUCCAUCAUUUUGCAAUCAACUAUCUUCAUUCUUCCGAGAUUCACUAGAUUUUUAGAUGCUGAGAGCGUCAACACAUUUAUCAACCCGUGACACUUCGAUACUUGUAGUCCCCACAGAUUUUCCAAAUGCCACGAAGGUGGUACUAAUUUUUGCAACUUACUACAUUCCGAUAUUUCUAGCCUUUUCAAGUUUGCAAACGCUUUGUUGGAUUCGUCAUUUUCCUUCCAGAGAUGCUGCACUUUGUGUAAUCUAGAUAGCUUUAACUCCUUCAAUUGAGGGAAUGUAAGCUGAAAAUCAACAAAAUUAAGUUGUAAAUGAAAGUAUGUAUCCAAUCUCUGCAGUCUUCCCCUGCAUAUUUUAUGGACAAGAUUAAUCACGGCAUUUUAUAUUUUAUUUCCAAAUUAGUAUGCUUUGCAGUAGGAUCCCAAAUAUAAGUAUCAAAUCGAUUACCCUUUGAAACACAUAAAUGAAAUCUGAUACUAAAUCCAAUAUGAAUUAGCUAGGAAAACAGAGAUGCGACAAGCAUAAUUGAUAUAGUUCAUCACCUCAUGUUACCAGUCAUCGAAAUAAUUUAAGACAUUUUUUUAAUUCAUACUAUAAAGUUAGUUCAUAACUGUAGUUGUAUUGUUAAUUCAUAUAUGAAUCAAGAUGACAUGCAAAAAGAUGAGUCAUAAAAUUUGAUUUGAUUCUAAUGAAAUUACAUCUGUGCGAACAAAAGUGAAGGGGAAAAUAAUAAUAAUAAUAAUAAUAAUAAUAAUAAUCACCUUUUCAUCGAAGAGGGGUUGUACUUGAUGAGCCAGCAAAAAGUUCUCUUCUGAUGUUAAUUUUUGAGGUUCCUUGUUAUUUGUUGUCACAUGCACUACAGAGUUGGAUAUGAAUGUUUCCAUAUCAGGGCAAUUCUCAAUAGUUAGAUUCUCCAACUCAGACAGUUCAAUUAUAUUCCCAGUGAAGUUGCAGAAUCUUUUGAGUUUUGGAAGAUCAAUGAGCCUUAGUCUGUUAAGCCUAGGAAACCGGGGGCCUAUAUGUUCUUCCUUAGCAUUUAGCUCUUCUAAAUGAAGCACCUCUUCUAUUAAAUCACAAUUCCUCACUUCCAGGCAUCUCAAAUUGUUCAAGCAACGUAGCAGAUUGGUAGGAAUAGCACUCGACAUAUUCGUGCAGUCAUCCACAGCCAGUUGUCGUAAAUUGUUGAAGAAGCUGACAGGCACUGCUUGGCCGUGCCAUAUUUCUCUCAAGCGUGGAAAAUGUGAGAGUUGCAAAUGCUCUAUGUCACGGAAUCCAAUCUGCAUAAACCAAAACAAUUGCACUGGAUAUAUAUAAAUUUCUUUUUUUGAAAGGCAUUAGAUAUAUAUAUACAUUAAACUUACAUGUUUUGUGCUUUAACUUCUAAAAAUAUAUUUACAACGCAGGUGUAUAUGUUUAAAUGUGGUAUAGUGGAAUUAAGCUUAUUGCCAUUACUUCGUAAUGGUGUUCGUAACACCAUUACUUCGUAAAGUGAAUCGAUUAACACAUACCAUUACUUCGUAACACUUUUGUAUAGUGGAAUUAAGCUUAUUGCCUUCCCAAUGGUGUUCACCCUCUUCCCUUUCAGUCACUUGCACUACGUAUAGCUUUGGUGUGGAUGAGAUUCCCCGAGAAAAAGUCUUCAUGUUCGGACAAUGUGUCAUAGAAACUUGUUCCAAUGAUGGGAAUUCAAGAGUGUAAUUCUCCAAACAAAAGCUGGUAAGCCUUGGUAAAUCAUCAAGUUCCAAAAGUUUUAAUUCGUUGAAAGCAAUACGAUUCUCCUUCGCUUCUUCUCCAACAUGUCCUAUGAUUUCUUCUAUUUUUGCACAGUCUGAUACAUCAAGAUUCACUAGACUAUUGGGAAUUCCAACCUGAAAAUAAAGAGUAGCAUUCAACUAGAUUCAAAGUAUGUCAAAAUCAUACAAUUGUUUUAUGAAAAAUAACAAACCAUGAAUGUCUACUAGAUAUUUUUUGUUAAAGAAAAAAAAGAAAAAAUAAAAAUAAAUAAAUAGAAGUCCAGAAAAACAAAGAUAAUGAAAAUGCAUUUACACUAUUUAGUAUUAGGAACGGAGAAAGAAUUUCAGGUAAUUUUUAAAUAUUCUAAAUUCAUUUUUCAUCUCGAUGCUAGUUUUUUAAAAUUUUUAAUUUUCAAACAUGCCUAUUUUUAAAAUAACUAAACUAAAACGCUGUAUUUCCCUUUUUUUUUUUUUCCCGAUAUUCAUGCUUUUAAAAAUGGAAAACAUUUCUGGAAAACACUUCCCAACGCCAUCAACAUGGGACUGUUAUAGAGUGAAUAUUUGAGGAAUUUUUUAAUCAACGGUCGAUUCAAAAUGACCAUCAUGAAUUUGUGCUUAAUCAAUGGCGUAAUCAAUUCAUAACUAAACUAGAGAUAUUAACUACAUUUGAACACUUUUCUUUAUUUUUUUUUAAAUCGAAAUUUGAAGACCCAAGGAAAAGAGAAAUAUAUAUGAAUUUGUGAGCUUAAAAGCUGAGUAACUAAGUAUCUUUUAAUUUCUAAAAAUCUUAUUUAUUAGGAUUUAAGGAAAAAAACAAUUAAAUUGAAUUAUAUUAUGCUGUUAAAUCGUGUUUAAAACAAUUAUAUCGUUGACUUUAAUGCGGGUGAACCUAUAAAUUAGAUUGACAAUGCAGAGUUCAGAAUGGUGAUUUGAAGUACACUACUUUUUUGCCCUCCUGAUGUUUGAAGUAAAAUACUUGCAAUAAAUAAUUUGUGAAUGAAAAUUAUUUGUAAACACAAAAAUGAUUAAAAUAAUUGUUGAAUGUUACUUGAAAUAAAAAUUCAAAAUGAAUAUAGCAAUCUUACCAAUGGAGGAAAAAUAUUCAGUAGAUUAUUACACCCAGAUAUCUUCAAUUUUUUCAAUUUGCUAAAAGACUUCGAAGCAAGCUGGUGGUGCCAUAUUUUUCUCAACUUAUCCGCCUCACUAAUAUGUAAUACCUCCAGACUUGGGAGUCGUACCUGAAGUUAAAAAUUCAAUGCAAUUAGAGAUGUAUAUUAAUUAAAUUUGAAGACUCAACGAAAAGAGAAUUUAAAAAUUCAAUGAAAAAAAACCUUUUCAUCAAAGAGGGAUUGAGGUUGCAUUUCAGUGUGAAUGACGUCUUCUGGUGAGGCAAAGCUACUUAGUUUUGGAAGCCAAUGGAGCGACAGGUAGUGUAGUUUGGGAAAAACCUUAAAUUCAUCUCUUCCUCCUAACGUCGUGGUGUUGACUACCCCUUCAAUUGACCGGCAAUUACGAAUCUCAAGAUGUUGGAGUUGCCCAAGACUAUUAACCAUAGAAUAUGAAAACAAAUACUUCAGACGAUGACAACUCCACACGGUCACUUUUGUUAAAUUUUGACAACAAUAUAUUCCCUGAAAUUGAUCGGACCAUAAUUUUUUUAUAUUUGUUAAACUGACAAGUUCCAGUUCCUCCAAGCGUGGAAAAGUAACCUGCAAAGAAAAACCAUACAUUUUUGUUCCUUCAACUACAACUUCUAAUAUAAUAUUCUUUCGAUGAUUGAAGAUCAAUCGUGAUAAUAUAUUAAUUAAUUAAUUAUUAAACAGAAAAUUAUUACCUGGUGAACAGGAUCAUCCUCUGCAUUGAUUUCUAUGAAUCCCUGAGUUGUUGUUGGUUUCUCCAUGUCGGGCCCUAUAAAUGAACCAAAACAAUAUAUAAUAAACAUCCGUUGUUUUUUUCCCCAAAAAAAGAAAAAGAAAAAAAGAAAGAGUCAAUGUCAAUAAUCCUACCAAUAAUUAAUUUCAACACUUACCAAUAAUCAUUUUCAAAUCAUCGCAGUCUUCCACUUUUACUUUUUGAAGCCGCAAUAGGUUUUUGGCCAUAGAGAAUGAGAAGAGAUACUUCAAUUUUCGACAGGAAUCUACGUUUAUAAUCCUUAAGUUGCUGAAGGAUUGAUCUUCUCUGAGUUGGCUGUAGCAUAUCGUCUCCAAAUUAGUUAAAAACAUAAGAGACAAUGCCUCCAGCAAGGGAAAGACUUCGCAACGAACCCUAACUGAACCGACAAUAUGUAAAAUCUCAGAACAGUCUGUUACGAGAAGACGCUUCAAUCGUGGAAAACCUUCCCCAUCGUCUAAUUCAUGAACAACACUUUGAACACCCUCCAAUGUUUCUAGCCAGAGAUCUUCAGUUCUCUGCAGCAACAUUUUUGUCCCAUCAUUCUCCUGAAGAAUGCUAACUUUUUUUAUCCCCUUGAGCAUCAUCAAUCUUGAUGCUUCAGAUUUGACGAGCAAUGGGUCAAACUCAUCUUCGGGCCCAUCUCCUAUACGUAUCUUAUAUCUUUGCAAUUCCACAGAGACAAAAUCCGGCGGCAGAAUUUCGGCAUCCGGAACUUCUAUCUCCAAAGUAGUUAGCUCUGUCAACCUCUCCAAUUCGACAAGACUGGCAUUACUUCCUCCUUCAACCUUCUCCCACCCUGAAAAACCGUUACCCAUAUACAAUUCUUCUAAUUGAGAAAAAUUUUUGGAUAUGACAUUUCGGUGCUAUUCACCUUCAAGCCCACCAAACAAUUGCUCUCAAAUCUAGGAAAUUGGUAACCGCGGCCAAUNNNNNNNNNNNNNNNNNNNNNNNNNNNNNNNNNNNNNNNNNNNNNNNNNNNNNNNNNNNNNNNNNNNNNNNNNNNNNNNNNNNNNNNNNNNNNNNNNNNNGCGAGGCUGAGAAUCUCUAUUUCUUUAGUGUCCCAAUUGCGCUAUAUCUGCUAGUCGCACCAGUCUAAACACAAUGUUUGAAGGUUAAUGAGGCGACCAAGUGAUGAAGGUAAUGAAGAAGAGCCAAUUCCAGGAAACUGUAAAACUUUGAGUCCUUCCAUCCCUUCAAAAAAGUGGUCUGAAACUUGCAUAGGGCCAUUACCCUCCGUAUACAACAAAAAUAACUGGAGAUUGGGACAUUGCAACCUUUCAGGGAGCUCUUGAAUAUCUCUAUGAGGUAAUGAAAUAGCAAUUGGAUCUUUCUGUAUUGUCUCUUCCAUCUUUUUCUCCAAGUCAGCAACAUUUGGAACAUUAAACAUGCGCUCCUCUCUGGCAAUUGAUACGGCAACAACAUGAAUGACGUCAUGCAUUUUAACUUCAUCUUCAGCAUCACCGUCCAACAAUAAGCAUGAAGAUUUGAGGUUGUCGAUCAACCGAUGCACUCUACUCCUUGCUUCUUCCAAUGUGUAAACAUUUUCAAACAAACCCCAACCCACACCACAUCUCAAUAAGUCAGAAACUUGUAUGACAUUACCUUCACUGUAUAGACUACAAAGACGGAACAGAGAUUUUGCCUCCUCACUUUCCAAGAAGUCAUAACUCAAUUUUAUGGAGGUGUACACAUUUGCUUGCAUGCCAUGAAUUUCUCUAGCAUCCGAUCUUCUUAGCUGAUUCAAUGCAUCUUUCCAAAAGUAACUAUCCUUAGUUUUCAGAGCAUUUGCAACUGUACUCAGUGCAACAGGCAAACCUCCGCAUCUUUCAACGAUCUCAUUUGCUAUACUUUGAAAAGCGGAUAUUUUAGUUGAAUCACCCACUAUCUUUUCAAAUAACUGCAAUGCUUCUUUUGGUGGCAAAGCAUCGAUCGGGAAAUUUUUCUGAGAAUUCAUAUCAAUGCGCAAUAAAUCUCGACUUCUAGACGUCAAUAUUAUUGUGCAUCGUCUCUGAUCAUCCUUUGUAUCUUUCUCAUCAACAUCCCCACAAGGAAUUCCAACUUUUUCGAACUCGAGUUUUUUCCAAAUAUUAUCCAAUAUAACGAGGACCUGCUUCUCGUUCUUCAAUCUUUCACGUAAUCGAUCUGCUCUUUCGAAUUUAUUCUCAUCCGAGCCAAAUUUCAUGCCUAAGUCAAAAGCAAGUUUCUUUUGAAUUUCCUGAUGAUCUGGGGUCUGUGUUACCUCAGCCAUAACGACCUUGUCGAACACCUUAUCUUCCAUAACUUGCCUUGCAACUUGCUUGACUAGCGUGGUUUUACCCACGCCGCCCAUCCCGUAGACCCCAAUUAUCUUGAGCUUAUCAUCCUUCAACGCCUCCACAACAUCUUCAAAUACUUUCAUUCUUGAAUCAAAGGCCUCGAAAUCUUUCACUUGCAUAUGUUCUGCCCGCUUUGGAGCAGGACGGUAGGAAACAUUAGAGAAGUUACAUUUUCCCAUGAGACUAGCAGCAGCUUCUGCGGCCUUUGCUGCUUGUCUACUGAGCUUGUAACGAGAAAUCAAGUUUGGGCACAAUCCUUUGAAACAGAACUUCUUAGCUCUAUCUUCAUCAUCAGUGAUGGAUUUCGCAGCUCCCUGACUGAAUUCCUUGACGCUAUUAAGCCAGUCUGCAACAUCCUUAUAAAUCUCAUCUCCUUGUUGAGUAGCCUGAUGAACGGGUAUUUCCACCCUUUCUCUUUUAUAUCCCAACUGUUUCACUUGAUCUUUUAGGCCAUCUAUGUAGCUCUGGUACUUGAACACAUAAGAGAUCUGCCGUAUAAUCGGUUUGAACAGUGACUUUGCAUCUUCUGAUACGAUGCUGGAAAAAGCAGCCAGACCCACUUCUGCAACCAUUGCCUGUUGCUUAACAAUAUAUGUAUAUAUAUGAAUAAAAUGAAUAAAAAUGUCAAAGAAAGGAAUACAAAUAAAUUAAAAUGAACUAGAGGGAAAGACAGAGAAAGAAAAGACCGCAAACAACAUCGCGAUAUUGAUUUUGAACCAACUGAUACAUAAGUAGAGAAUUUCUUUUUCUAUCUUAAGGAUCAGAGGUUUUGCUAUUAACAGAAAGGUAUCCUUUAAGGAAAGUUGAUGGAAAUUAAGAAAGAAUGGCUAUCAAGAUCAAGUAUUCUGCUACUAAAAAUAAAUGAUAUGACUUAAGAAAAGUAAAUGAUAUGAUUAAGAAAAACCAGAGAAUUUUUUCCUAGGAAAGUUGAUGGAAAUUAAGAAAGAACCGCUAUGAAGAUCAAGUAUCAGAGAUUCUGCUACUAAAAGAAUAUUACAGGUUUUAGAACAAGUGCACCUCUUUACCUGUCUGGGAUCAGAGUCGAUGAGCUGCUGUAUUCACCUUGAAUAUAGAAGAAAUAUUACAGGUUUUGACUAAAGAGGAAUGUGAGGAACGAGUUGAUGAGAGUAAUAACAAUGAAUUUCCAAAAGAAGACGACUUGAGCAUUAAGCAUGCACCCCCUUUAUCAAUCAAAUAUUGGUACGUAUGUACGUAGGGACCAUUAUGCGUAUAUGAAGUCCAUUAGUUGCAAUCAGAAACCCUGGCCCAAUUUAAUUGACACUCGAUUUUUGAUAAGAAGAAGGCAAGGAUAAGGACAAAGUCAAUCAAUCACCAACAGUAAUUACUUCAAUCUUUGUCAAUCUACUUAAAUUGUCGAUCAACAUGAAAAUUGUUUAAAUUGAUAUUUGUAAAUCAAUCAAUUUUCUAGUUACUAUGAUUAUAACGUUUCACCUUUCAUAUUGGAUUUUAUCUUUUCGAAAGUUUUCAAAUAUGAGUGUCAAUAAUUAUUGAGACUCCAAGCCGUGCUCUCAAGAUCGUGCUGACAAAUCACUAUUGACUUUGUUUAUGCAAAAUUCAAAGAAAAAAAGUUAUGGUUUUGUAUUGCCAGCCCUGCUACUUUUUGUUUUUUUCAUUUGUAUUAUUUACGAAUUAUUUUUUAACAGAAACAUGAGAACUCAUCAUCGUAUAAAAUUGCAUGAAAAAAUCUUCAAAUUUAUAAAAGUAAAUUUCAUUGACAGAUUGUGGAUAUGUUAGAAAGAAUAAGGAUAAGAAUGAGUUAAGAAAUAAUAUAUAUAUAUAUAUAUAUAUAUAUAGAUAGAUAGAUAGAGAGAGAGAGAGAGAGAGAGAGAGAGAGAGUGAAAGUAAACAAUGUUUUGGUACAUUUGGUAUUGUUUUCAAAAUAUUUUGAAAAGAAAAAUUUUCAAUUAUCCAUCUAAGAAUUAUCUUAUUAUCCAAAAAGUUAUAAAAAUUUAAAAAUAUUUAAUUUUAUACCCAUUAUUACAAUGUGUAUCAACUGUUUACUAAAAAAAUAAAGUUACUCCUAAAACAUAAUCACCACUACAAUUUUGUGUUCGGUUCUAUUUUGUCACUUUGAACGAAUAACUUUAUAUUUUUAACAGAUGUUUCAUACAAAUUGCAUACAUUGGAUGUAAAAUUAAAUAAAUUUAAAUUUUUAUAAUAAUUUUAAUAAUUGAAUAAACUUUGAGUAAAUGACUGAUAAUUUCUCUUUUAUAAGCUACAAGAAGUUAAAAAGAAAAAAGAAAAAAUAGGAUGAUAAUUUCUCUUUUAUAUGCCUCAGAUGAUUUAUUGUUUCGGGUCUAAGAUUUUAAUUAUUCAACUUAAAAGAUUAAUAUAUUAUAAAUUAAUUAAUUAAAUAAUCAUUAAGCAACUAAAUUGGGUCCCCUGGAUGUCAAUUCCUUUAAUAUUGACGCAACUAUUUUUUUCUGGCAAAUAAUUAUUAAUGCACUGACGGAACUUUUGCAUAUCUACACAGCGAUUUUAAAUAUUACUGGUAACUGCUGAGAAAUGUGCGAGAAAGAAGUUGAUGAGAGUAAUAACAGCGACUUGCAAAAGGAAAAGACAGAAUCAUUCACCCCUUUUUGUAUCACCUAUUUGGUUACUGUUUCCCUGUUGACGCAUGUAUAAAUUUGACUGGUUUUUCUGCACUUUUUUGGCUGUUGCUUAACAAUGUGUGUGUGUAUUUGCUGUUGAAAAAAUUGGAUUCAAAUAAAUUAACUGAAAGAUUAGAGUUUUGACUAUUAACUGAAAGGUUUCAAGGGUAUGAAUGAAAAGCAACAUUCUUUUUUAGAAACUAUUUUAGAGGAGAGAUGCAAAUUAACAAAUGCUAAUAACAAGAACACAGAAGUUAACAAUGAACAGUAACUUAAAUCAAGAAAAUUAAAUGACAAAAUUAAGACAAACAAGAGAUAUUUUUUUCUUGGACAUUAAGAAAUAACUGCGGUCAAGAUCAAGGAGAUUAUGCUAUUAAUAGAAAUUAUCAAAGGAUUUAGAACAAGUUCACCUCUUUAAUUAUCCGGGAUCAGAUAGUUGAUGAGCUUCUCUAUUUAGCCUUGAAUAUUUAAGAAUAAUUUUAAAGAGCAAAAAGAUCACUGGUAACUGCUGAAAAAUAAGUGAGAAAAGAGUUGAUGAGAAUAAUAACAAUGAAUUGAAUAAAAAAAGGACUUAAUCAUGCACCCCCUUUGCAUAUCAUGUAUUUGGUUACUGUUGCCUUGUUGACGCAUGUAUAGAAUAAUUACAUGUAUUAUUAUAAUUUUGGAUUCGAUAUCCUUGUAUUAGUGUCUAAGAUUUUCAUGAAGAAUUAAACUUGGAAUGACCAAAAGAGGAAGCUGCAGUGUAUUGUUGGACCCAAUUAAGUUGAAGAAAGCACUAGUUCACAACCUUACGUUUGGAUAUAUUCUAAAGAAAUAAUUAAACAGCAAAUCAUCACAUGCACUUUAAUGAUUUGAUCUAUUGUUUUCAAAAGAAAUUGCAAUUAACAGUUUUUGUCAAAAGUUCGCACAGCGUGAAACUAGUGUUAGUAUAAUUUAAAAAAUUAAUUUCAGUAUUAUUUUUUAAAAUGUUAAUUAUUAGAUUUAUUUUAAUAAUAUAUUUAUAUUUAUUAUAAAAAAUUUAGUUAAAUAUUUGUGUUAAAUAGAAUUUAUAAUUAAUUUAAUAUAUCUUAGGUAUUAAUAAUAUUAUAAUUAUUCUAUAUGCUAUUGAAAAUAAUUUAAAUUUUUAGACAUUUAUUUUAUAUUAAGUUUCUAUUUAUUACAAAAUUUAGUUUAAUAUAGUAUAAGCUUGUAAAGUAUUAAAAUAUUUUUUUCAUUUUUUUUAAAAUAUUAAAAUUAUUUUAAAAUAUAUAUAUUAACAUUGAAGCUAAUUUUUUGAGUUAAUAGAGCUAGUAGGUGUUAUAGUAAAAAAGAGUAUCUUAGUAUCUCUUAUUGAAAAUAUAUAGAUCUAUAUAAUCAUUUUUUCAAAUAUUGAGAUGUAGAAAAAUAAAUUAAAAAAUUUUAAAUUUUAAUAUGGCCAUCGUAGGGUUAGAAUCCCCGCUCCAACCCGAUUUGGAGAUUUAUGUUUUUAAAAAAAAAAAGAACAAAGAAAAAAUACACACCCGACCAAAUCAAGCACCUCAUCAAAUCAAAAAUAAAAAAGGAAAGAAAUUAAUGGCUUGCAUGCAAUUUUGGAUCUGAAAUUAAAAUUACAUAAAAAUUAAGGCUUACGUACCUUAAUAUUUACAGCUUGUUUGAUGGCCCCAACAAGUUUAAGCAGCAUCAAAAUGUUGUGGCUCCUUAAAUGACAACAUCGACUUGUUUGACAGCUCCAACAAGGCUACGAUGAUCAGAAGAUGAGCCCUCAAUCAACAAGGCUAAGAUUGGCUUCUCUAUCCUCUGCCGACAUGUCCUCUUCUCCCAACAACCAGCGCCUUGCUCUUUGUCAUUUUUCCUCUUGUUAGUUUUCUUCUACAUAUAAUUAUUACACUGGGAAGUAUACACACACUUCUUUUCUUUUUAUAGUACCUUACUAUUAUAUCUUUACAAAACAAUAUCACCCUAAGACAUAUAUGUAUGAAAUAAAUAUAUAAGGAACGGACGAAAUAAAAUUAGAUCUAACACUAGUUUCAUGUGGUGUGUGAACUUUUGACAAUCCUCUCAUACCCCAACAAAAACUUUGUCAUAUUACAAAAGUUAUCACGACCAUAGACUUUUCAAUUGCAUAUUGGAAUUGCAAUGUCAUUUUAUUAUAGUAAUGUCAUUUCCAUUAUUCAUAGUGGCAGACAAUGGACAUCACGGGACACGGCUAGAAGUUAUCACGACCAUAGACUUUUCUAAUUUAUGAAAUAAAUGAAAUUAGAUCUAAUUCUAGUUUCAAGUGGUGUGAACUUUUGACAAUCCUCCCAUAUCCUAACAAAAGCUUUGUCAUAUUGCGAAAAUACCUUUUCAAUGUUUCAAUUGCAAUGUCAUUGCCAUUAUUCAUAGUGGCAGACAAUGGACAUCACGGGACAUGGCUAGAAGUCUAUGUUACGGCUUCUGUAAGUAACAGCAGCCAAUGGGGAACUUCCAUGGGGGCUAUAGGAGAGAGAAAGAGGUCCCAAUACAAGUGUUAGAGUACAAUUUAUACACUAGUUUUGCAUUGUUUACUUCCCUUAAUAUCGAUGUUUUGCAUUUAAUAAUAAUGAUUUACUUGUGUUUUACUUUUGUAAGUGCAAUUCUAUUGAUUUGUGAUAGAAUUGAGGUAUAAGAUGAUGUUUAAAGAUGAUUGUUCUCUUGGAGAAAUUUAGAGCGUCAGAAGAACUUUAUAGAUAAGGCGUGGGCGCGUGCUGUCAACUGCGGACCUGCAGUUUUUAGUUUAAUGUGUUUUGUAUUUUUGGCUAUUUUUGUAAUUACGAAUUUAAUAUUUCAAAUAUUAUUAUUUUAUUUUAAAUAGAACUUUAAAAGAGAAGAGAGAGAGAGUAUUUAAGGGAGGAAUCUAUUGUGAAAAAGGGGGGAUUUUAAUUGGAGAAAAAGAAAGAAACCCUAGAUCUAAUUUUUCUCUUCUCUCUAUGAAAAACUAAACUUAUUUUUUCUAGUUGAAGGUUAAUGAAUUUUUGAUUCAUCACUACUGUGAGAUCUUUCUUAUGCUUUAAUUGUUUUAUUACUUUUUGGGUAUUUGUUUAUUCUCUGAAUUAGUUUCAUGAUUAUGUUUGUUAAUUAGGUAAUUGGCCACUAUUUAAUUAUCAACUUAAUCUAUUGUCAAUUAAAGAAUUCAUCGUAUGACGAGUUUAAUGUUUGUGACAAAUAACAUAGCAGUGAGUUGUGUUAUGGGAAUAAACAAUCUAAUUUAAAUGAAUCAUCAUAUGUGUUGAUUAGGAUUUGGGUCGCUCUGGUUUUUCAGGCUGUCAAUUGAUUAAAUCCUAUGAUCGUAUCUAGGGUUGUCUAUUAAUUAGGGAAAUAUCCAAUGGUCGUACCUUGGUUAUCGACUAGUUAAGGAGAGAUUGGCUAUUAGAGGGUCUCAAUAGCUAUAACCAGUUUAUUCAUAAGUAAUAAUAAUCUAUUUUUGAAUCAAUGAUCAGUAGUCGAAUCAAACUGAGUUAAUUCCUUCAACCAAAGCUUUCUCCAAUUUGAAUUACAACUUUAAUUUGCAUUUUUGUUAUUUUAAUUUGAUUUUUUAUUAUUGUCAACAAUUCUCCCAUUUUACGUUUUACGUUUCAAAAGAAUUUAAAUAAUUACCGAUCUCUGUGGACACAACCCUGCUCAAUCACUAUACACAAUUUAUUUAGAGUAGGAAUUUAUUUUUAUUGGCUUCAACAACCAUCAACAAGGUGAUGGAAAUGGGAAAGUUCGAAGCUGUUACUUUCAGCUUCUGCACCGUAGCCAUGUCCCACGGGACAAGGCUAGAAGUUAUCAUGACCAUAGACUUUUCUAAUUUAUUUUUUCCUUUCAAAAAGGGACAAGGAUAAGUUUGGGAGAAUGAUUAUAUUUUUAAUAAAAGAAUUCUUUUUUAUUAUAAUACUUUUUGUCUUUAUUAAUUUAAAAAUAUUAACUCUUAUAUUUUAAUAAAUAUAAAUAUAAUAUUAUAAUAACAUAUAACAAUAUAUACAAAUAUUUAAAAAAAUUUAAGAUUUUAUUAAAAUAAAUUUUAUAAUAAAUAAAAAUACAUUAUUAAUAUAAUUUUAAUAAUUUGCAUUUUAAAAAGUAAUACUGAUAUUAUUUUUUAAAUAUUAAUUUUUUAAAUUAUAUUACUCUACCAAAAAAAAUUAAACUAUUAAAUUAUAUUGAUAUUUAUUACAAAAUUUGCAAUUAAUUCUUAUUAUAUUUUUAAUUGGAAUUUGUUCCUGUGAUAUAACAACAAUUGCUACAGUUUUUUCCCUAAAUAAAGAUGGAGUUAUAAAUUAUUUGUGUAAGUGUCAUGAAAGUAAUAGUUGAAUAACAAUAAUGGGGCUUUAGGCAAUUUUUUUUAUGAGGUCUUCUUGCAAUUUCAACACUUAAACAGACUUGUCCUUGAUCCCAAUUUAUUUACCCCAUUUGGGCCCACGAUGAGAUAAAUAUAUUCCUGUGAGAUGAAAAACAUCAGGAGAAGAAAAUGUUUUAUUAUAAUAAAAAAACAAGUGGUCCAUAAGUCUAUUUAUUACUUUUUUUAUUCAAUACAAAUGGCCAACUUAAAAAAUGAUAAAAAUCACAUAACGCACAAGCAAAAAUUUAGAUUUACAUUUUUUAGUUCUCUCCGUGUCUCUCUUUCUCUUUUUUAAAAAAAAUAAAUAAAUGUCAGUGUAAAAUUAGAAAAAUUUUAGAUAUAAACUUUGGCGAUGACCAAACAAAAAUUGCAAGGGAAAGAAAAUAGAGGACCCUUGAUAUCAUUAAAAUACUGAUCAUAGACACUACAAUAUAAAUAACUUGUUGUGAUCCACUCAACUUGUAACACUUUAAUCCAUAUUCUAAAAUUUGUAUGUUUGUUAGGAAUUUUAUUAUUGACAUUACUGUACCAAUAAAAUUCUAAUUUAUUCAUAUGGAAAGAAAACAUCAAGAAAGGACCUCUGAUUUUUAUUAUAACAGAAAAAAGUGGUCCAUAAGUCUAUUUAUUAUUUUAUUUAUUCAAUACAAAUUGCCAACUUAAAAAAUGGUAAAAAUCACAAAAUGCACAAGUAAAAUUUUAGAAUUACAUUUUUUUUAAUUCUCUUUGAGUCUCUCUCUCUCUCUCUUUAAAAAAUAAACCUCACUGUAAAAUUAGAAAAAAUUUAGACAUAAAAUUUGACAAUCACCAAACAGAAAAUGUAGGGAAAUGAAAAUGGAGGAGCCCUAUUAUCAUUAGAAUAUUGAUCAUAGAUACUAUAAUGUAAAUGAUUUGUUGUGGUUCAUUCAACCUGUCACACUCUAAGCCAUUUUCUAAAAUUUGUAAGGUUUAUAGGAUUUUUAUUAUUGGCAUCAUUGUAUCAAUAAUAUUAUAAAUUAUAUAUUCUAUUGUAAUGAAAAUUUGUGUAAUCUUAGGUAUUUAUUGUAUUAAAUUGUGUGGAUUAAUUAAGAAUAUUUUUGGAGACAAAAGAGGUGUGUGUACGUAGGAUUAAUAAUAAAAAAUUUCUAAAUAAAGGUGAUUGCUUCAUUGACAAGUACAUAUUUAUAUUCUCUAUUAGUAUUUGGGUUGUAAACUUUGUUUAUAAAGUGAAUAUAUUGUGGUAAGCGAUGUGGGCAAUAUCGGAUGCAAAAUAUUGAGAGAUCAUUAACGCAUAUAUUUAUUGCAUAUAGAGGAAAGAGUGUAGAUCCGGCCGUAACAAUUAUGAAGCUUUCCCCAAGUAUUCUCACGCUUCCUUAACUGUUCCAAAGUAUUUUUCAUAGUGUGCAGAUUUACUUUAUGGUGUCUUAAUUCGUCUAAAAUGAUUACUUUAGUUCUUUUGGGAUGAAAGGUCAUUUAUUGUGUUAGGAUUAAACAAUAGAAAAAAUAAGUAAUGGUAACGAAAGACUAAUUUGUGAUAUUGAAGCAUACAUGCUUAACUCAAUCCAAAACUUAGUAAGUUAGCUCAAGAGUUAAGAGUUGUCCAAAUCUUAUAUGCUGAACCCAAGUUCAAUACUCAAUUGAUGCAGGAUGUUAUUCCUAACACCGCCCGUCAUGCGUAGGAUUGGCAAAAAAACUCGAGUCAAUCCCGCCUAGACCUGCAAGCUUUAUUUAUGGCCAGCAUGAUGAAGUUACAGAUAUUAACCUAAAAAUUUGAAACUUACUAUGAAUGGCCUUGGUUAAAGACUUUUGUAACUUUAAUUUAUAACAAAUAUGUAUACACACACACACAUGUUUAGAUUGCAUUUGGGUGACUUUUUUUAUCAAUGCAAACAAUAUCAAAUUUAUCGGAUUAAUUUGAAUCUGAUCUAUAUCCGAUUUUGCCCGCCAUAAGCCCAAGUGACUCUCUUUUACUAAUUAAUAAGGGAAUUUUUUGACCUCAUGUCCUUGCUGUGGCAUUAGACUGUUGGUCAUUUUGAUUGUUUCCUACCUUCCAUUUACGCCAGCUGUAACAUUGUAUUAUUCACCAUUUUAGCCAUUUAAAUGAAAUUUUAUUUUUGUCAAAAAUAAAAUGACACCCUUAAAAUAAAAAAAAAUAGUUAUGUAGACCUCAAAUUUUUAAUAAAGAAUGUCAAUACCUCUUUUAACUACAAGAUUCGUAGUAGAUGAUAAAAAGAAAAUUAACUUCAAAUUUUUUCAUUAAAUGUAAAUCUGAUUGAAGUAGUUUAAAUUUUUCUAGUAGACUAAUAUAUAUAACUUAAAUAAUUAAUUUCAUUAUUAAUUGUUAAAAUGUUAACCAAUAUAUUUUUAAUUUAUUAUAAAAAUUUUAAAUAAAUCCUUGGAUUAAAUAGAUUUUACAAUUAAUGUAAUACUUCUGAUUUAUUAAUAAUAUUAAAAUUAUUUUAUAUGAUAUUCAAAAUAAUUUAAACUUAUAUAUAUAUUAAUAUUAUGUCUAUUUAUUAUAAUAUGGUUUAAUAUUAUACGGGAUUGUAAAAUAUUAAAAUAUUUUUCAAUAUCCAAUUAUUUUAAUAUGUAUAUAUCAUUACAUUUAUUUUAGUAUCAUAUUUAUAUUUAUUAUAAAAUAUAAAAUUAAUAAAAUUAAAGAGUAUUGCAGUAAAGUAAAAAAGAAAAGUCUUAUUAUCUCUUAUUCACGAUAUGAGAUUCUACAAAAUUAUUUCCCGAAACGGGUGUCCUUUUCUCAUUUUCAAAAGAAAAAAUAAAGUAAGAAUAAGUCCAUGGGUUUCAAAAACUUCUAGUCUUAUCCCGGGACUACAUUGUCUGCCACUAUAACUAAUGGAAAUGACAAUACAAUUGACAUUGCCUUUCGCAACAUGACAAAUUUUUGGUGGGAUAUGGAAGAAUUGUCAAAAGUUCACGCCAUGUGAGAGUUUUUGGUGGGAUGUGGGAGGAUUGUCAAAAGAUCACACCACAUGAUAUAACCACAAUUGCUAUGGUUUUUAUUUUUUAAAUAAUGAUGGGAGUUAUAAAUUAUUUAUAUAAAUUUGCGUAGAAACUAAUGUAACAUAAAAGAAGUAGCUGAAUAACAAUAUUUGGUGCUUUAGGUAAUUUUUAUAUGAGCCUUUCUUUUAUUUAGCGGCUCUAGUGCUUAAACAAACUUGUUCUCGAUCUUAUAACAGAAAAGGCAUCCCAUUUAAGCCUAUGAUGACAUAAUUAAACAUAUUCUUUUGUGACGAAAACAUCAAGAGAAGACAUCUCAUGUUUUAUUAUAACAGAAAAGAAGUGGUCCAAACGUCUAUUCGUUAUUUUAUUUAUUCAAUAUAAAUGGCCAACUUUAAAAAAAUGAUCAAAAUCACACAACACUCAAGUAAAAAUUUAGAAUUACAUUUUUUAAUACUCUCUAAGUCUCUCUCUCCUGCCCCCCCCCCCCCCACCCCGUCCCCUUUUUUGAAAAAAUAAACCUUAGUGUAAAAUUAGAAGAAUUUUAGAUAUAAAAUUAGAAGAAUUUUAGAUAUAAAAUUUGGCAAUCGCUAAACAGAAAAGCAGCGGAUUGAAAAUAAAAAAACUCUAUUACCAUUGGAAUAUUGAUUAUAGACAAUAUAAUAACUUGUUGUGGUUCAUUGUAGCACUCUGAGCCAUAUUCUAAAAUUUAUAGGUUUGUUAAGGCAUUUAUUAUUGACAUUAUUGUGUCAAUACUAUUAUAAUGAUAAUUUGUCUAGUCUUAGGUACUUAUUAUAUUAAAUUAUGUAAAUUAAUUGAGGAUACUUUUAGAGACAAAAGAAACACGUGUAUGUAGGAUUAAUAAUCGAAGAAUUGUAAAUGAAGGUGAUUGCUUCAUUGAGAGGCAUAUUAAAUAAUUAUGGAGAGUUGCACUAUUUCGGAAGCACAUAAUUAUACUUCCCUAUCAGGAUUUGGGGUAAACGAAGUGCUUUAUCUAUUGCAGUAAGCAAUGUGGACAAUAUCAGAGGCGAAAUAUUAAAAGAUCAUAACGCAUAUAUUGGAGCCAUUUAUCUUCCGCAACUGUUCUGAACUAUUCUUCAUUGUGGGCAGAUUUACUUAAAUACCUGCACAAUGAUUCAAUACUUCAAAGGUCAAGGAAAUGUCAAAAUAUGAAAUGAAAAUACUUAAAUACCCUUCUACCUAACAAAACUCGCAGAGAAUCUAUAAAAUUAAAAAAAAAAUAUUCAUCCAUGAAAAGCUUCGUAACAGAAAAACCGUCUUUCAAAAAAUAAAAACAGAAAAACUGACUCAUUUAUCUGCAAAUGAACCAAUCGGGACUCAUUUAAAAAAGAAUACAAAGCAAAAGUAAAUGACACAAAUUGCAUAGAUAUCUAGGAGCCGCAUCAAAAGACAAAGGUGUUAAUUUGUCCAAGAAUAAAUUCUCCUAGGUCAAAAGCAAUUAACGAUGAAAACUUUCUUCAUUAAGGUUCUGGCCUACGUAAAAAAACAGAAAAAAACCACCCCAAGGUCAAAGCACAACGAUAAAUUUAGAAAUGAAGUUUUUAAUUUUUUUUUAAUAAAUCAACGUGUAUCAAAAAUAGAUAAUAAUUUUGGAUAACUUUUUUUGAUAAAUAUAGACAUAAAAUUUUAAAAUCACCAAACAGAAAAACAGGAGAAUUAAAACAAAGUCCCUGUUUAUCCUCUAUUUUGCUUGUUAUUAAAAAGGGAAAUGAAAAGAUUGCAAGCGGAAAUUUUGUUUCUGCGUUGUCUCUUCUCAAUGCUGCAUGCAUUCAAAUUAAACCUUACAUAUGCUAGCAAACUAGCUACGCUGCAUGUAAGUUCUCGAUAAGUCCAAAUAAUAGAAUAAUUGUAAAAUGUUCAAAUUCAGUAAUUAAUUUUAUUUAUUUAUUUAUUCAAAAAUUAUUAUUAUUAUUAAUUAUUGUCAAUAAUAUAUUAAUAUACUAAUUAAUUGUAAAAAAAUUUAUCAUUCAUAACAAUAAUAAUGAUGAUGAUGACGAUAAUAAUAAAAAUUCAAAAUAUAUUAAUUAAUUAUAAUAAUAUAUUAAUUAUUUAAUAAUAAUAUAUUUAAAAUAUAUAUAAAUUGAUUAGAAUAGUUAUAUUAAUAAAUUAUAAACAUAUAUUAAUUAAUCAUAAUAAUUUUUUAAUUGAGGACAAAAUAGAUAUUUUAUAGUUUGUGAGAGGGGGCAAAAUGAUCAAUCUUGGGAAUGGGGGAUUGAUUCCCACCACCUUCCUUAGGAAUCAAUCUUCCAUUCCUCACUCCUAAUUUGGGUGGUCCCCAUAGUUCUGAUUCGGAUCCCAGCCUCCAUUUUAUGAAGUAAACAUCAUUAAUGAUUUCGAUUUCGGAUUUCGAUUCUCCAGUCCAAGAAGUAAAGGCACCAUUAUUGUUAAUUGGUUCAAACACACAAAGAGAAUGUACCAUGUAGCUAGGCGUCAAGGUUGUGUGGCACAAGUAACCUUUUUCUUUUCUUUUUAUUUUUCUUGUUUUCCUUAACGGAUCAGAAGAAAUCGGUGCCUUUGAGAUACUACAAUGUAAAUAAGUAUUUGUGGUUCAUUGAAUCUGUAACACUCGGUACCCUAAGGUUGCUUUUGAAAAAGGGCUUUUCUCACUGAUCACCAAUAUCCAAGUAAGUUUGUUUCAUUUCAGAAGGUGCAAAGUUUCAAACUUUUUGUAUUGGGAUGUAACAAACUUUGGCCUUAUAUGCUUGCUGUGACGUUAGACUGUUCAUUUUGAUUGUUUCCUACCUUCCACUUGCGCCACUGUAGCACUGUAUUAUUCAUCAUUUUAGUUGUUUAAAUGAAAUUUUAUUUUUGUCAAAAAUAAAAUGACACCAUUAAAAUUUAGAAAAAUAAUCAUGUAGAUCCCAAAUUUUUAAUAAAGAAUACCAAUAUUCCCCUUGACUACAAUACCCUUAGCAGGUGGUAAUCAAACAAAUUGACUUAAAAUUUUUUACGAAAUGUAAAUAUGAUUUAAAUAAUUUAAAUUUUCCAGAAGACUAAUAUAUAUAAUUUAAAUAAUUAAUUUCAAUAUUAAUUUUUAAAAUGUAAAUUAAUUUAUUUGUACUUAUAAAAUAUUUGUAAUUAUUUUAAAAUUUUAACUAAAUCCUUAGGUUAAAUAGAUUUUACAAUUAAUAUAAUAUUUCUCAGGUAUUAAUAAUAUUAAAACUAUUUUAUAUGACAUUGAAAAUAACCUAAAUUUUUUAUAUAUUUAUUUGAAUAUUAUGUCUCUAUUUAUUAUAAUUUGGUUUAAUAGAAUACGAGAUUGUAAAAUAUUAAUAUUUUAGAUAUUGAAAUUAUUUUAAUAUCUAUAUAUUAUUAUAUUUAUUUUAAUAUCCUAUUUAUAUUUAUCAUAAAUUAUUAGAGUUAAUUUUUUUAGUUAAUAAAUUUAAAAAUAUUAUAAUUUAAAAAAAGUCUUAUUGGCCGUUAUUCACGAUAUAAGGUUCUAAUAAAUUAUUUCUCUAGACAGGUGCCAUUUUCUUAUUUUCAAAAGGAAAAACAAGUUCAGGGCCUCGGGGGUUUCAAAAAAUUCUGGUCCUAUCUAUCACUAUGACUAAUGGGAAACGGCAUUGCAAUUGACAUUGCUUUUCGCAAUAUGACAUAUUAUGGAGGGAUAUGGGAGAAUUGUCAAACAUUCACACCACGCGAGAGCUUUAGGUGGGAUAGGGGAGGAUUGUCAAGAGUUCACACCACAAGAAACUAAUGAUAGGUCUAAUUUCGUUGUCAGUUCUUUAUUUAUUUAUUUUUUUUAUUUCAUACAUUAUUGUUCUUGUAAAGGUAUAAAAGUAAAGUAAAAUACUAGGGGUGCUGUUAAGUUACAACUGAUGUAACUUGUAAUUUUUUCAAAAAUAAUGUAAAAAAUUUAAUAGGUGGUGGGACUCACAUAUUUUUUAAGAGACUUAAGUUAUAGUAGUUGUAACUUAACAAAAUCUAAAUAUUAUACAAUAAUGCAUAUUAAUAAUGCAUAUAAUUUGGGUUUGAUUUUUAAAAGAUUAUUUGAGUACCACCUAUCCUUAUGAUAUUAAUGUGAUUAUAUCUUAAUAUUAAAUAAUCAAAAUUUGUUUAAUUAUUAUUUGUAUUUCAUACAUUACAUAUUAGAUUUGUUUGAAUUUUAAGUUGUUGCUAAUAAAUAUUUAUGUUGUCAAAGUCAAAUUCAAUAGCUACAAAAGCAGAGAUAAUGGUAUUGUAUAUAGUUUUUAAGAAUGCAAGGAUAAGCUGGAUAAUUGACAUAAAUUCUAAUGAUUAAAAGAGCAACUAUCCCUUAAAUUAUAAUGUUAAUUUCUUUAAUUAGAUUUUUUUUUUCAUGUGAUAUAACCACAAUUGCUACAAUUUUUUUUUAUAAUAAUAAUGGGAGUUAUAAAUUAUUUAUAUAAAAUUUGGGUUGAAACUAAUGUACCAUAAAAGUGGUUGCUGAAUAACAAUAUUUGAAACUUUAGGUAAUUUUCAUGAGUCCUUUUUAUAUUCAGCAACCUGAAUUGGGGAAAAUCCGACUUGAAUUGGCGGUUGAUUUUGGUGAUGUGGCUUUUGGUUUAUGGCGGCUUUACUGUGGCGGAAGACUGGAUUUACGGUUGCCGACUGCUAGGGAUUAUGGUGGUGGUGUAAAUUGACGGAAAAAGAAGGUGUUUUGGUGGCGGCGCGUGUAGGAAGCACUCGUGGGUUGUCGUUUCGUGUGGUGACAGAGGGCGGCGAUCAAGGGCCGAAGUCGGUCAGUUUUUGGUCAACGAAGGCCGGCGAGUUUGUUGGUGGAGGUGGCUGGUGGAGAAAGUGGCUGAAUGGUGGUGGGUUGCUUGGUGGAGCCGCAGGUUUGGGUUGGUGAUUUGCGGCUGUUCAAGCGGCGGUUGAGGCAGCGAUGACUGAGGCUUGGUCGACGGUGGCUAGUGAGGUUUGUGGUGGUGUUGGCUGGCUGAUUGGCGGUGGUGGGCGGCGGUGGGGGUUGGUCUGACGGGUAGGGUUUUCAAAUUUGUAAUUUUUUUUUUUGAUGGAUUUGGUUUGGAUGGGUAUGGUGUAUCUAGGAAAGAUGUGUGAUUCGCACAGAAUUGCUUUGAUACCAAUUGAUGGAGCGAGCGUAGCGGAAGUGGAAUUGAUAAGGUAAGAAAUACUAAAUAUCAUUCUAGUACUGGAUCAAGCCAACACAAUUAACUUACGCUUUAAUCAAAGCGUGAUUAGAUAUUGUUUUAAUCUAAAUGAUUCAAUGAGAUUUUUAAUAACGCGUAAUACGAGAUUAGAUGACACUCUAAUUUAAAUAACUCUAUAAGAGAGAUUUUGAUAAAUAAUACUAGAGGAAAUUAUAAAAAAAAGAGUUUUAUUUAAUAAUUGAAUUUGAAGUCCUGAAAACAAUGACAAGACAUCUUUAUUUUUUUUAUUACAGACAUCUUUAUUUAUAAUAAAAGAAAUCCACUUUCCUAAGUUAACCUAAAAAGAAAAUUUAAAUUAUAAUUAUAAUGGAAAUAAAAGAUUAAGAUACAUACCAUAAUUGACUCAAACAAAAAUAGAAAACCAUAAAAUAAUAAAUAUUUUAGAAUUAUAAAUUAUCUAAAAUAACGUUAAUUAACUUCCUAAAUCACGUCUUUGGUGUAAACCAUUUUGCAUCCAACCUUGCUUUAAAGGUUUGAACCAACGUUACGAACAACAAUGUAUCAAAUUCCAAUCUAACUUAAGAUCCUGAUACAUCUACCGAUGUCCUUGUUUGAUUAGACAAUAAUGAGUCUAUCUCAUCACUUGUUACCUCUUUUUUGAAGCUGCAUCUGUUGAAGUGAUAGCCUCGCUUAGAGUUUAAAGAUCUUCUUCCAUGUUAAAUAAAGUGGGCAUUUGAUUAAAAAACUUUAUCUCUAUCUCCUUCUAUCAAAUAACGAAAACUAUCCAAAGGAAAAAAAAAAAAUUAGAAAAGUCCAUGGGUUGCAAUAAUUUAUGGUCUGUCCUCGGACCCCAUUAUCUGCCAAUAUCAAUGAUGAAAAUGAAAAUAAAUGGCAUCUUCCCAAAAUGGCGAAAGAUUUUUAGGAGAUAUGGGGAAUUGUCAAAAGUUCCCACAACGCGAAAUAAGUGUUACAUCCAAUUUUAUUUCAUCAUAUAAUGAUAAUAUCAAGUAAUGACAGCCAUCUAAAAGUAUAAUGGGUCUUCCAAAAUUUUGAAAAUGUCGUCAACAUUUAAUCUUCAAUGCUAAAGAAGAUGAAAUGCCCAAAAAUGACAUGCAGGACCCACUCACAGACUAAACGGCCCUGACCACAUGCAACAAACUUUGACUUUAUGUCCCUGCUGAGGCGUUAGACUGUUGGUCAUUUUGAUUGCUUUUUACAUUCCAUUUACGCCAUUGUAGCAUUGUACUAUUUACCAUUUUAGCUGUUUAAAUGAAUUUUUUUUUCCAAAAAUAAAAUGACACCCUUAAAAUUUUAGAAAAUAAUCAUGUAGACCCCAAAAUUUUAAUAAAGAACACCAAUACCCUUUUUGACUAUAGUACUCUUAUGGUAGCCACAAAAAAAAAAUGACUUCAAAAUUUUUUACUAAAUGUAUAUAUGAUUUAAAUAGUUUAAAUUUUCUAGUAGACUAGUAUGUAUAAUUUAAAUAAUUAAUUUUUAAAAUGUAAUUUAAUAUAUUUAUUUUAAUAAUAUAUUUAUUAUAAAAAUUUUAAACAAAUCCUUGGGUUAAAUGGAUUUUAUAAUUAAUAUAAUAUUUCUCAUGUUUUAAUAAUAUUAAAAUUAUUUUAUAUGAUAUUGAAAAUAAUUAAAAAUUUUAUAUAUUUAUUUGAAUAUUAUGUCUCUAUUUAUUAUAAUUUGGUUUAAUAGAAUACGAGAUUGUAAAAUAUUAAAAUAUUUUUAGGUAUUGAAAUUAUUUUAAUAUGUACAUAUUAUUAUAUUUAUUUUAAUAUCCUACUUAUAUUUAUUAUAAAAUAUUAAAAUUAAUUUUUUUAGUUAAUAAAUUUAAAAAAUAUUAUAAUUAAAAAAAAGAGUCUUAUUGUCUGUUAUUCACGAUAUAAGGUUCUACAAAAUUAUUUUCAAAAGGAAAAAUAAGUCUAGGGGUUUCAAUAAAUUCUAGUCCUAUUUGCCACUAUGACUAAUGAAAACGACAUUGCAAUUGACAUUACUUUUCGCAAUAUGACAAAUUUUUGGAGGGAUAUGGGAGAAUCGUCAAAUGUUCACACUACGCGGGAGUUUUGGAUGGGAUUGGGGAGGAUUGUCAAGAGUUCACACCACAAGAAACCAAUGAUAGCCAUAAUUUUGCUAUCAGAUCUUUGUUUAUUUAUUUUAUUUAUUUCAUACAUUGUUGUCUUGUUGGCAUUGUUUUGCAAAGAUAUAAAAGUAAAAUAAACUAUUAGGGUGCUGCUAAGUUAAGCUGUUGUAACUUACAAUCCCUUAAAAAAUAAUGUAAAAAAUUUAACACGUGGUGGGAUCGACAUAUGUUUGAAGAGGCUUUAAGUUACAGUAGUUGUGACAUAGCAAAAUCCAAUUAUUAGACAAUAACGCACAUUAACAAUGCAUAUAAUUUGGGUUUGAUUUUUUGAAAAAUUAUUUGAGUAUUAACUAUCCUUAAGAUAUUAAUGUGAAUAUAAUUUAAUAUUAAAUAAUCAAAAUCUGUAUAAUUAUAAUAUAUAGUUCAUACAUUGCAUGUUUAAUCAAAAUCUGAUUGCUUUUUACCUUCCAUUUACGCCCACUGUAGCAUUGUACUAUUCACCAUUUUAGCUGUUUAAAUGAAAUUUUUUUUUUUUCAAAAAUAAAAUGACACCCUUAAAAUUUUAGAAAAUAGUCAUGUAGACCCCAAAAUUUUAAUAAAGAACACCAAUACCCUUUUUGACUAUAGUACUCUUAUGGUAUUCACAAAAAAAAAAAAUGACUUCAAAAUUUUUUACUAAAUGUAAAUAUGAUUUAAAUAGUUUAAAUUUUCUAGUAGACUAGUAUGUAUAAUUUAAAUACUUAAUUUUUAAAAUGUAAUUUAAUAUAUUUAUUUUAAUAAUAUAUUUAUUAUAAAAAUUUUAAACAAAUCCUUGGGUUAAAUAGUUUUUAUAAUUAAUAUAAUAUUUCUCAUGUUUUAAUAAUAUUAAAGUUAUUUUAUAUGAUAUUGAAAAUAAUUUAAAAUUUUAUAUAUUUAUUUUAAUAUUAUGUCUCUAUUUAUUAUAAUUUGGUUUAAUAGAAUACGAGAUUGUAAACUAUUAAAUAUUUUUUGGUAUUGAAAUUAUUUUAAUAUGUAUAUAUUAUUAUAUUUAUUUUAAUAUCCUACUUAUAUUUAUUAUAAAAUAUUAAAAUUAAUUUUUUUAGUUAAUAAUUUUAAAAAAAUAUUAUAGUUAAAAAAAAGAGUCUCAUUGUCCGUUAUUCACGAUAUGAGAUUCUACAAAAUUAUUUUCAAAAGGAAAAAUAAGUCCAAGGGUUUCAACAAAUUCUAGUCCUAUCUGCCACUAUGACUAAUGGAGACGAUAUUGAAUUGACAUUGUUUUUCGCAAUAUGACAAAUUUUUGGAGGGAUAUGGGAGAAUCGUCAAGCGUUCACACCAUGCGAGAGCUUUAGGUGGGAUAUGGGAGAAUUGUCAAGAGUUCACACCAAGAGAAAUUAAUGAUAGGCCUAAUUUCGUUGUCAGUUCUUUAUUUAUUUAUUUUAUUUAUUUCAUACAUUAUUGUCUUGUUGGUAUUGUUUUGUAAAGAUAUAAAAGUACAAGUAAAAUAUUAGGGGAAGUAAAGUAAAAUAUUGGAGGUGCUGCUAAUUUACAGCUGCUGUAACUUACAGUUCCUUCAAAAAUAAUGUAAAAAAUUUAACACGUGGUGGGACCCACAUUAUGUUUGAAGAGGCCGUACAUUAUAGCAGUUGUAAAUUAGUAAAAUCCAAAUAUUAGACAAUAAUACACAUUAACAAUGCAUAUAAUUUGGGUUUGAUUUUUUAAAAAAUUAUGUGAGUAUUACCUAUCCUUAAGAUAUUAAUGAGAAUAUAUUUUAAUAAUAAAUAAUCAAAAUCUGUUUAAUCAUAAUAUGUAAUUGAUACAUUGCAUGUUAGAUUUGUUUGGAUUUUAAGUUGUUGCUAAUAAAUAUUUAUGUUGUGAAAGUCGAAUUCAAUAGCUACAAAAGCAGAGAUAACGGUAUUUUAUGUAGUUUUUAAGAAUACAAGGAUAAGACCAUAACGCAUGAGAUAAUGGUAUUUUAUAUAUAUUAAAAGACCAUAACACAUGUAUUUGAGCCAUUGAUAUUGAAGACACAUAUAGAGGAAAGAGUGCAGAUCCGGCCCUCAGUAUUGUGAAGCUUUCCUCAAGUAUUCUCAUGCACACAGACCUUAUCUGGUCAAGUUUUCUGAUUCAAUAUAAUCAAUUUCCGCGCAGUACUGACGACAGCUUCUCUGUAAAGCUCUUCAACCACAAGCAUUUCUACAAGGCAAAAGACUAGGACGUGUCAGAAUGAAUAUCAAUAAGGGAAUGUCUUAUGAAUUUAGUUUAUAUCCUAAUAUAAGACAAUCAGUAAAUAUUGGACUCAUUAGUUGCCCUUGCCUCAGACGUUUGGAUGCUAAGGGGAAAAAGGAAGUUUGAAUUAGUCAAUCUCAUUUCUAAUGGCAUUCACAGAGAACUUAUAAAACAAAAAAAUUAUAAAAAAAAAUUCAUCCAUAAAAAGCUUAGUAACGGAAAAACCGACUCUUUUAUCUGCCACUGACGAAAAAAAAACUGAAGUAUCAAAUAGAUAAAGAUUUUAAUUUUUUUCUUGGAAAAACUAAUAAUAAAUUAACAAUUGGAUAAUACUAUUAAUUAGAGAUCUUUAAUAUUAAGGUUAUCAAAGAUAGAAUGUGUAUAAAAAUUCUUAAUUAUAAGAUAAUUACUAACUAAAAAGAGGCCUAAAAAAGAAGAUUUGCUAUUAUAAGUAAUACCAAAAAUAAAAAAGGGAGACUUCCUAAUUGUUUAAUUGUUAAAAAAGAGGAUUUGCUAUUAUAGGCCUAAUUUGCCUAUAAGUAAUACCAAAAAUAAAACCGUUCCUGGAUGUAAAAAAUAAAAAUUAUUGUUAAAUUCCUGACUAAUAAGGUCAUUGAAAGUAUUCAAAGGACCUGAACUUAUAGGAAAGCCAGCCAUGAUGAACUAUACCACGUUGCAAGUGAGCUCGUAUCUUCAUCCCUUGAUCUGCCAUCGGCAUUUCUGUUCCACUCACUAUACCAUCCUUUUCAAUCGAUUUUUAUUGAUCAUAAGAGGCCAUGUGGCCCACCUUAUUUUUAUUUUGGAUCCAUAACCCAAAGCUGGCCCAAGUUCUGAUUCCAGAAUCAUUUGUCUACAAAGUGACCUCAUUCCGGCAAUUGGUUUAUGCUAAUAGCACGUGCAAUUUUCAUUUUCUUCUUUUUAUUAAUUAAUUUCAUCAUUAUUAUUUGCUUAUUAUUUUAAAUUAAUUAAUUAAAUUGUAUUAUUGAAAUUAGUCUUUCUUUUUUCUUUUCUCUUUCAAUGCACAAAGCCAAACAACCAUUCUUGCUUCAAAUACCGAAGAGCUCCUGACUACGGCUGUCAAUGCUUCUAUAUUUACGUGCUGUGCUGCAUCACUCUUAGCGAAAGCUUGAAUGAAUGAUUAAAGACAAAAGCUUAUAUAAAAGCAGAUGCCGGAGGCACUCAAAAAGCAUUUGAGAGAGAAGCUACACAGCAAAUCAUCAAACGUACUUCAAUGACUUUGAUUUUGAUUCUUUUUUUUUUCAAAAGAAGUAGAAAAGUCCAUGGAUCACGAUAACUGCUUGUCCUAUGCCGUGACCUCAUUGUCCGCUGCUAGUGUCAAAUAGAUUAAUCUUUCUAGUAGAUUAAUAUAAUUUAUAAUUUUAAUUUCAGUAUUAAUUUUUAAAAUGUUAGUUGUUAUAUUUAUUUUAAUAAUAUAUCUAUUUUUAGUAUAAAACUUUAAAUAUAUAUUUAGAUUAAAUAGAUUUAUAAUUAAUAUAAUAUAUCUCAUGUAUUAAUGAUAUUUAAAUUAUUUUAAAUAAUAUUAAGCCUAACUUAAAAUUUUAUAUAUUUAUUUUAAUAUUAUGUUUCUAUUUAUUAUAAAAUUUAGUUUAAUAUAAUAUAAGAUUGUAAAGUAUUCAAAUAUUUUUUAAAUAUUGAAAUUAUUAUAAAAUGUAUAUAUUGUUACAUUUUUAAUAUUGAAGUCAAUCUUUUUUAAGUUAAUAGAGUGAAAAGAUAUUAUAAUAAAAGGCUACGUAAUCUUUCACUUGCACAUAUUCUGUACUCUCUGGAGCAGGACGGUAGGAAAUAUGAUUACAAAUGUUAAAUUCGCCUUUCUUCACAAGUUUAUCAGCUUCGUUUGCGGCCUCUGCUGCUUGUUUACCAAGCUUGUAACAAGAAAUCAAAUUUGGGCACAACCUUUUGAAGCAGAACAUCUUAGCUCUAUCUUUAUCAUCAAUGAUUGAUUUUGCAACCCCUUCACUGAAUUCAGCAACUCUAUUUAGCCAGUCUCUGACACCCUUAUAAAUCUCAUCUCCUUGUAGAGUAGCCUCUCUAACCAGCAUUUGCACCCUUUCUCUUAUAUAUUCCAGCUCCUUCACUCAAUCUUUUAGCCCAUCUAUGUAGCUCUGGUACUCGGAACACAUAAGAUAUGUGCCACAUAAUCGGUUUGAAUAAUGCUUUUGAACCUUGUGAUACAAUGCUAGAAAAAGUAGGGAGACACCCUUCUGCAGCCAUUGCCUGUUGCUUAACAAUCUAUAUAAAUAAAUACAAGUGUCAAAGAAAGGAAUACAGAUAAAUUAAAAUGAACUAGUGGGAAAGACAGAGAAUGAAAAGACUGCAAACAAUAUUGCGAUAUUGAUCUUGAACUAACUAAUAAUUAAAUAGAGAAUUUCUUUUUCUUUCUUGAGGAUCAGAGAUUUUGCUAUUAACAAAAAGGUACUUCGAGGGUCUGAAUAAAAAACCAACCAUAAAUUAUCAAAAGCUAGUAAAAACACAGACGUAAAUAAUGAACAAUUACUUAAGCAAAACAGACCAUGAUACAAAGCAAAUCUAAUAAAAUGACAAAAAAAGAAAGAAAGAAAGAAAGAAAGAAAAUACAACAAAUAAUAUUGAAGUGUUGAUUAUGAGCCAACUGAUAUUUAAACAGAUUUUUUUAAAAUUUUUAGUCUUUUGCUAAAGGAUUAGAGUUUUUGUUAUUAAUAGAAAGGUUUUAAAGACCUGACAUUACUAGAAAAAUACUAAAUAAUGACAGAAAUUUUAUAACAUAUAUCGUUAUGUCACGAAUGUGUCAUGAAAAUAUGAUAGAUUCGUGAUAUAUAUUCAUGUCCAGAGUAUAUGACAUAUUCAUGACUUAUAACUUAACCAUCGUAAAUAAAUGAUACAUAUAAGUCAUGCUUAAGUUUUGUGAACUUAUAAGAUUGUAAAACAAUGCCGUUUAAAUUAACGACACCGUUUUGUAUAACUUAAAACCCAUUAACACUCGCAGCCAAAUUUUGGCUAAGCGUUGAAUUAAUCCCUCUCUCCACUGUAGAGAUGGCAGAAAAGCCCGCUCAGACCGGAUCCGGACUGGACCCGGUGCAUACGGUCCGGGUAAAACCCGGAUCGGAUGCAUGGAAAAAGCGGAUCCGGGCACGGGUCCGGUCACAGCACCAAGAAUCUGGAACCCGGACCCGUGCCCACUUUUUUAUUAAGUAAAAAAAAAAUAUAUAUAUAUAUAUAUAUAUAGUAGUUUUCCAAUCAGGGAUUAGUUAAAAGACAAAAUAAACACAUACUCCAAUGCAUUGUAUUUUAUCAUGUAGUGUAGUAAAAUUUAAAUUUUUUUGUCUUUUAGCUAAUCCAACUACUAUAUAUAUAUAUAUAACAACAAAAAUGCAUUUUGCUUUACCCAAUUUCCCCCAAACCCAACCGGCCAACCCUAAAUCGCAACAAGUCUCAGAAUCGCCACCUCCCUCCGUUUCUCCACCAACAACCACCACCCAUCUUCACCGAUGCAGUGUUGACGGCGCGGCCUCUUCCCCACUUACAGAAAAAUGCGCAUGCUUUUACCGAGAAAAGAAAGCUUUUAUUUUUUGUAUGACAUCUGGUCCUCCCAUCAAGCUUACCUGAGGCAGCGAGGCUGAAAGUCUCUGUUAUCAACCAUCAGGACACCAGAAAGAGUAAUUGCUCACAUCGUAAGCGCCAUGAACUAAUUUUUCCGAAAAGGAGGAAAUGAAGGUCACAAUGGAGCUCAUUUCCCGCGAUUCGAGAGCCCUACAGAGAGGUAGGACCCCUAACUCACUCCGUUUUAGUCACCUUUCAAUGGCUCCCUUAAUUUCCUAAAUCAAUAAGUGUUCUAAAAGGGCUUGAAAAAUCAAAAUGAUGCCCAACAUUAGUGCCAGGAUUAAGGAACUUUUCACUGCAAAGAAGUGAAUAGCUACGUGGAUGAAGUUAUGGGCCAUGCAGAAAUUCACACUUCACUCUCUCUUGAUUUGUACUCAAAAGUCGCCACCAACCUUCAAUUAUAUGGACUCAUGGAUUCAAUAUUUAGGCUUACAAUUGGACCUUCACAAAGCAAUUGGAGCACUCCAAGCUGCAAAAAAUGUCUCUUCUCUGUGACAUCUGCAGGUGGGCUAGAAGAAGGUUAUGCAUAGAUGGUCUAUGUGCGUGUGCUUACUAAAUGCAUACAAAAUGUAUAAGAACUGAGAUUCCUAUGUUUUUUCCUUUUUAAUUUUAAUAAUUAUGUUAGAUGUUUGCUUGGUAGUUAAGAUGUUUUGGUUUUGGACUGUUACGCUUUGUUAGAACUUAAAAGUAAACAAUUGUUUAGGCUGUAUUUUUUUUUACAGUGUUUUCACCUUUGAAAAUCCGGGUAGAGAAAACCCGGAAAAACCCGUGCCCGGAUAGUGCCGGGCAUGUACCCGGCCUGUAUAAAAAAAAUUCCGGACACGGUGCGGGUUCGGGUAGUUACGUGUGACAUCCGGGUCGGUCCCGGGCAGCCUCAAACCCAGACCCGACCCGGACUUUUGCCAUCUCUACUCCACUGGCCACUGCAACCUAAAAUAGUUUUUCACUUUAAUAACCCAAAAGCUUUCCUCUGUUUCAACUAAGCGAAAAUUUACAUAUUAAAGCCUGGCUCAAAUUCCUUUUUUCAAUCGAAAUUAAACGUAGCCACAAAACCCUAAUUCACCACACCAAUUUAUCUCUGCCCGGUAUUCAUUUAAACCCUACCUCGCGGUUCAAUGUCAUUCAAUACGAUUGCAGAUGCUGUUUCAACUUGUCAUUUAGUUAGCGCCAUCCAGUUCUCUAUGGUAAGCCUUAACCCUAACAACUAAUCGACUGCGGUAGCACGUUGCUUGUUAGGAGUGGGGAUACAUUAUUUGAAUAUAUGAAUUGGGUGAUGUUAGUGAUUCAUUCCCCUAUUUGUCGUGAAUUGAGAUUUGUGCAUAAUGCUAGUAAGAUUGCUAAAAAUUUCAUAUUUUGUAUUGUUCCAGUUGAAUUUCUUGCUUGUGGAAGAUAAAACAAAAGUUCAAUUUCAUGUUGAUUUAAUUCUUCUUUUCCUUCUUUUUAUUUUUCUUCUUUAUAGUCACGCUCUGGCUUUGGUGCUAUGCUUAGUGCAGUUUAUGGUUUCAAGAUUAAGUCAUGUUUAUUUGAUGGCAUCGAUUCCAUCGUUGAGGAUUGGAUUGUUGAUCAAAUGCACAUAGUAAGCUCUUCUUAUUUUAUCUCAAUUUUAAUUUUCUUUUAUUAUCUGCCUCUACCUGAAAAUGGACGUGUUUUACUAGUAAGCAUAGACCUUGUUUAUUUAAUUGAUAUUUUAAUUUUAUGUAUAAGAAUGGAGGUUUAUUUUGGAAAAAAAAAGAAAUAAAAAAAAUACUCUGUUGAAGCUAAUUAGUACUGAAUUUUUUUUGGUGGUGCGACCAGAGGUGGAAACAGGGUAUGAAAAUGUGUUACUGGUGAGGCUGCUGCUUAAGAUGAGAAUGCAUUCUUUUCAAAAAUCCUUGGAAGGUGUGAUCUAAUUAUAUUUGAUGGAAUAUUAAAUGGCUAAAAAUCUGUCAUACGUUCAAACUUUGUUUGUGUUUAGAAGAAUGGUGUUGACUGUAUAUUCGUUUGGAAGAAUGGUGUUGAUUGUAUAUUCAUUUGCUUAGCCUUUUGACAGAUGGAUUUGGAACUGACGAUAAAUGUGAUUCAAUUUACAAGGUUUUCGAGGGGCUCACAGUGGAAGGGAUAUUGAAGAACUGGUCGAAGUUAAAGCCUAUGAUUGUGAAAGAUUGGAGUGAGAAUAUAGAUGCUCAUUUAAAUCUUUUUGGCAAGGUCAGAGAUGAAUGGAUAGAUAAGGAUUUAUUUGACAACUUGGACUGGUGCUAAUAGGUAUUUUAAGCAAGCUUUUUGAGAUAACACUGAGCAAGUUAUACUACUAUUUUGCACAUGAUGAUCAAAACUCUCGAAAAGUAAAUAAAAUAAAGUAUUAACUUUUACUUUCAUCUUUUGCAUAGCAAUCAAUGUGGUGCUUGUUCUGUGACAACUUUGAUAAUCUACUUAAUUACUGGUUAGCAUUUGGACCAAAAAAGUUCUUAUGAUUUACAUGUUUUGUAGAAAUGCAUGAACCUUAAAUGUGCUGAUCAGGGAGUUUAAUUAUUGCACCUUGAAAUUCAUUUACUGUUAACUAAUUGGCUUUCCUUUGCAUAAAGCCGCUUAUAAGGCUUGAGUGGACGUCUUUAUGGGCAUAUUUUUUGUAUUUCUCGAUGCAUGCCUUUAUCAUUUAAUGUGGUGCUCGUAUUUCUUUAUGCAUGCCUUUAUCAUUUAAUGGCCAGCUCCCUUUCCUCUUUUGUAAUUUGAAUAGUAGUAUGGGCCUCCAUUUUACAAAUCUUUAACAUUUUUUGCUGUAAAUUAAUUUUUCUUUCAAAUAUUUUGGAGGUCAUUGGAAUUCCUGUAGGUCUAUUUACCAGAUUUUAGUAUGUUUAAGGUUAUAAUUUUGCUUAGACUUUAAUUUUUCUGAAAGAUUGUAGUAUUGAUCCUUAAAGUAAGAUCAUGCUACUUCAAAUUAUUUUGAAGUGUUGCUAGUUAUAGCCUUACAUAUCAAAUUCCAGUUGUCUGGAAAUUUAUUGAUAGCUGUUACAGCAGCAUAUUUUAUGACUCUACUUCUUAGUUAUGUAAGUUCAUUAUGUUUAGGUCAGAGGCAGUCAGCUGUGGGGAAUCGAUUUAUACACAGAUGACUUUGAUCUUGUUGCUGGUAUGUGGUUCUAUGAAUAAUUGUUCACAAUAAUUGUGUUUGCCUCACUGUUUUUGUUUUAUGAGAUCUAUAAUUGAUCUUGGGAUAUUACUUUUUAGUUCUCAUGCAGGCAAGUUACUACCUUCCCACUGCAUCUCCUCCUUUAUCUGCUACUCAAGAGUUGCGUGCCAUAAUCUGGUAUUACCUCUGCAAGAUUGUGAAUGAAUAUGAUGCCUCUAAAUUUAUUUUAUACAUAAUGCUAAUGCUGAAUAAUAUAUUGUAGCUCCUGUCAUAUUCUACUUUGACUUUUUAUAUUCCGUUUCAAAUAAAAAUCUUAUUCAACUUUAGUUGUUCAUGAGCAAAUGUCACAUGUAUAAGCCCAAAUGAUGUUUAAAGGUAGCGCCGCUACCUUCAGUUUGAGCUUACAAUGGGUGAAAAAGAAAUUGAAACUGAUAUUUUGCGGUUUUUCUUAUUUUUCAAAGUAUUUUAGAUCAUGACUUUUGUUUGGACUUGAUGGUUAUAGAUUGUGUCUAGAUUUGUUAAGUCGUUUCCAACACCUCGUGCCAAAUCAAAGCACAAUCUUUCUGAUUCAGAUGUUUUGUUAAUUGUGCUUCAUUUUUUCGUUAAAGGUUGGAUGGUUGAAUGGAUUGAUGGAGUUGGAGUUCAACCAAUAAUUCUAAUUUUUUGGACUUAAAAUGCCUUUUUCUUCUGUAUAAAAGCUUUAGUAAGUGCUAUUGAGUUGACAGAAGUUGAAUACUUACAGGUUGUUUCACACUUUUUAAUAGUUUUACAUAUAUGAAUUUCUGUUUUUUGAAUUGCAGAAAGGAGGUGGAACUAUUGAUUUGGAGCCUUAUCUUACUCACUCAUCAACAACGGAGCCUACCCUCGCUCCUAUGGCAGUGGAACGGACAAUGACUACUAGGGCUGCAACAUCAGUUGGUUCGGGUCUGUUUUGAUAGCGAAUUUUGAUAUGUCAAUAUAAUGUGUAAUUGUUUUGGGUUGAGCUGGUAAUUAUGCUGGAUUAGAUUGGUUUGGUUUUGGUGCUUCGCUGAUGGAACACUGGUUUUUUAGAAAAUUUGAAUGUAAUAUGAGACUACAUUUAGUUUAAUUGAACACUGCAUCUAGUCUAAUUACUAGAAGUGUGGCAUUUGGUUUGGUUUAUCCGAUAUUCUCCAGAAUUUCACUUGCAUCUGGUUUUGUUGCAUAUGUUUGCUUGCAUUUGAUGGCAGUAGCAGACUGUUUGGUUUUGUGGCAUUUGAUGGCAGUUUGGUCUGUUCUUGGUGCUGAUUUACGAUUGUUCCUGAUGUGUUGAUGUUAAUUGCAGGUGCUUGAAUCAGCUAGGGUUGCUGGUUUUUUCAGAUGGUUGACUCAGGCGUUGUUACUGGUUGAUUCAGGUGGCUGGCUCAAGUUGUUCAUUUAAUGUUAGGAAGCAAAUUAAGAAUUAAUGAAGUAUUCAUUUAACUAUAAUUAUUGUAGUUAUUUUAUUUCAUAACUGAAUUAUAAUCUAUGAUACUUGUGAACAAAUUAGAGAAUUUUUAUAUAUAAAUUAUAUAUAUGUGUGUGUAUGUACAUUUUGCUUUUUAUAUAAUAAUUUAAAGAAUAUAUUUCAAUUCCCACAAAAAAAUGGCCCCAAUUUCAAUAAUUCCUGCCAAAUAAUUAAUUUUUUUUAAUUUACCGCCAAAAUAUAUCUUAAAGAAAUGUUAGUUAUUCUUGCUAGAUUUAACAAAAAUAAUUUAUAGGAUUAACAUUUAAUUAAAAUAAUUAAAUAAUUUUACUAUUUCAAUUAAAUGUCAUGUUUAUAUCACAGACAAUAGUCAUGAAUGGGAAGUAUUAGUUACAUAUUUUUCCUUGUAGUUAUUUUAUUUCAUAACUGAAUUAUAAUCUAUGAUACUUGUGAACAAAUUAGAGAAUUUUUAUAUAUAAAUUAUAUAUAUGUGUGUGUAUGUACAUUUUGCUUUUUAUAUAAUAAUUUAAAGAAUAUAUUUCAAUUCCCACAAAAAAAUGGCCCCAAUUUCAAUAAUUCCCGCCAAAUAAUUAAUUUUUUUUAAUUUACCACCAAAAUAUAUCUUAAAGAAAUGUUAGUUAUUCUUGCUAGAUUUAACAAAAAUAAUUUAUAGGAUUAACAUUUAAUUAAAAUAAUUAAAUAAUUUUUCUAUUUCAAUUAAAUGUCAUGUUUAUAUGACAGACAAUAGUCAUGAAUGGGAAGUAUUAGUUCCAUAUUUUUCCUUGGGAUUUCAGGCAAAUGAAAAAAAGAUUGAGAAUGAUUUCAAGAGGACAGGUGGAUGAUAAGUAUUCAUUUUUGUAUAUUUGGCUAAUGUCCUCAUUAGUGGAUUUUUAUGGUAUUGAUUUUUUUUUUUUUGGUUUAUAAUUUUCAAUUAGUUGUUACCCUAGAGGAAGAGCAGGCUGAUCAAAUUGAUUUGUCUUAUUUUUCCGGCAAUCUGCGACACGAUGACUGUGAUAAUGCUCGUGACUGCUGGAAACUUUCUGGUGGAAAUAACUUUAGAGUUCGUAGCAAGCAUUUUUGUUAUGACAAAACAAAGGUUCCCCCAUAUUUUGGUUGUUUGUUAUGGUAUUUAUAUAUCCUGCAUAUGCUAGGUCGACAGGUUAUGAUGUAGUUUGGUUGGCUCUUGUGCUUUGUGCAAUUUGUAACUGCAGAUACCUGCGGGAAAACAUUUAAUGGAUCUUGUUGCUGUUGAUUGGUUCAAAGACACAAAGAGAAUGGACCAUGUAGCUCGGCGUCAAGGCUGUACUGCACAAGUAACUGAAGAAAAAUGUGAAUUGGUUCCUCUUUUUCUUACUUUCCAGAACAGUAUGUACAGGGAAUAUAUACAGCAAAAUAGGAGAGAAAAUAGGAGACUACAUCUAUCCUUUCCUAAAUAAUAGGAAACAAAAUCUGGAAAGAAUCCUAAUGAAUCUUCCCAUUAUAAUUUAACUUAUUCCUAAAAUAGCCUAGAUUACAAAUAAAUCAUAACUUUGAAUCUUUAUUUUCAACACUCCCCCUCAAGCUAGUGUGUGUAUAUCAUACAAACCCAGCUUGUUACUUAAGUCUUCAAAGUUAGGUCUUGGCAGUGCUUUAGUAAGGAUGUCUGCAAUUUGUUGUCUAGUUGGAAUGUACUUUAGUUCCACACUUCCACUAGUGACCUUCUUUGAGAUGAAGUGCCUAUCAAUCUCGACAUGUUUGGUUCGAUCAUGAUGCACUGGAUUUUUUGCGAUGCUGAUUGCUGCUUGAUUGUCACACCUCAUUAGAAUGGAUGAAGGGUUGCACACACCGAGUUCUUUGAGUACACGCUUUAUCCAAAUUCCUUCACAGAUUCCAUUUGCCAAAGCUCUGAACUCUGCUUCUGCACUACUCCUAGCUACAACUGAUUGUUUCUUACUCCUCCAGGUUACUAGAUUUCCCCAGACAUAGGAACAGUAAGCAGAUGUUGAUAUUCUAUUUGUGAUGUCUCCAGCCCAGUCUGCAUCAGAGUAGAUCUCAAUAUUCCUAUAUUCUGAUUUCUUGAAAAACAAUCCUUUUCCAGGUGUCAUCUUUAGAUACUUCAAAAUUCUAAAGACUGCAUCCAUGUGUUCCUCUGUAGGAUUGUGCAUGAAUUGGCUCACAGCACUAACAACAAAGCCUAUGUCCGGACGGGUAUGUGAGAGAUAAAUUAAACGACCAACCAGUCUUUGAUAUCUCUCUCUAUUGACUGGAACACUAUUCUCAACUGAGCCUAGUUUCUUGUAGGGAUCCAUAGGAGUAUCUACUGGUUUGCACCCAAUCAUACCAGUCUCCUUUAGUAAGUCCAGGGUGUAUUUCCUUUGGGAGACAACAAUUCCCUUCCUAGAUCUUGCCACCUCCAUCCCAAGAAAAUAUUUCAGAUUCCCUAGAUCUUUAACUUCGAAUUCCUGAGCUAGCUGUUUCUUCAACUUCUGCAGUUCUUCCUCAUCAUUUCCUGAGAGAAUGAUGUCAUCAACAUAUACGAUUAGGAGAGAGAUCUUCUUUGCUUGUGAUGUUCGGAGGAAUAGAGUGUGAUCUGCCUGACACUGAGUGUAACCAAGUCUCACAACUGCCUUCGCAAAUCUAUCAAACCAUGCUCGAGGGGAUUGUUUAAGCCCAUACAAAGAUUUCUUGAGCUUGCACACUUUAUUUCUAGUAAGAUUCAGAUCAAGACCCUGGGGAACUUCCAUAAACACUUCUUCUUCAAGAUCGCCAUUGAGAAAUGCAUUUUUUAUAUCUAGUUGGUAUAAGUACCAAUCUAGAUUUACUGCUAAGGAGAGCAAGAUUCUAAUGGUGUUGAGCUUCGCAACCGGAGCAAAGGUUUCAAGAUAAUCAAUCCCAUAUGACUGUGUGAACCCUUUAGCUACAAGACGAGCUUUGAGCCUCUCAACACUUCCAUCUGCCUUGUAUUUAACAGUAAAAAUCCACUUACAUCCAACUGGUCGUUUCCCUGCAGGAAGAUUUGUUAUAACCCAUGUAUCAUUUUUCUCAAGAGCAUUUAUUUCUUCAUGAACAGCUCUCUUCCACUCAGGAUGACCGAGAGCCUCUUGUAUAUUGUUGGGAACAUGUAGAUUAUCUAAAGAAGAAACAAAGGCUCGGUAUGAUGGGGACAAACCAUCAUAUGAGACAUAUUUGGCAAUUGGAUGAGUGGUGCAACUUCGAACCCCCUUUCUUUCUGCAAUUGAUUUAUUAGAAUCAUCCACACUUGGAACCAUGAACUCAACCGAGGCAAGACUAUCCAUACCUGUGUUGUCUUCAUAAGAGCUUGGAUUUGGUUCAGUUUCUUGGACAUGUGGCUGAGUUCUGUGCUCUAUCUGCUCUCCAGUUCUUCUCCUCCUAUAAACAUUAAGAUUAUCAACAGCAAGCUGUGGAAGAGGUGAGAUUAGAGGUUGUAGUUGAUGAGCUGAUGGAUGACGGGGUGACUCGGCUGGUUGUGGUUGGGAGGACUCAGAUGACUCAAAAGGUUGUGAAGAUGUUGGGAGGAUUGCUGAUUGUGGCUGUUGGAUAGAUUGAUCAUGUGUGGUGGUUGAGUUAUGAGGGUUUUCAUGAGGGGUUUCCAGCCAAGAUUGCCAAGAAGAUUCCCAAGGCUGAUGUUCGCUCAUACUCUCUCCCUGAACAACAGUUUUGGAAUAGAAAGGCAGGUUUUCAACAAAUGUUACAUCUCUGGAAAUGUAUAUUUUUCUGGUAUGAGGAGAAUAGCAUUUGUAUCCUUUUUUAUGUGGAGAAUAGCCUAAAAAUAUACACUUGAGAGAUCGGGGAUCAAGUUUAGUCCUGUGUUGAGAGUGAACAUGGACAUAUGCUGUGCAACCGAAUAUUUUUUGUGGUAAAUCUGCUGAAACAAUCCUAGUGUGUGGAAAGAAAUUGAGAAGAACUUUUCUUGGGCAAUGAAACCCCAAGACUCUAGAAGGCAUUCGGUUGAUUAAGUAGGCUGUAGUGAGAACAGCUUCACCCCAGAAAAAAUUAGGAACAUGAGAUGAGAACAAAAGACAGCGAGCCACUUCAAGAAGGUGUCUGUUUUUGCGUUCAGCGACCCCAUUUUGUUGUGGGGUGUCAACACAAGAACUGAUGUGAAGAAUGCCUUGAUGGAGAAGAUAUGAGCUGAGGGAGUCUUUGAAAUAUUCCUUGGCAUUGUCGGUUUUAAGGACUUGGAUUUUGGUAUUGAAUUGGGUUUGAAUCAUGGCGUUAAAGUUUUGGAAGAUUUGACUAACUUCGGAUUUGUUUUUCAUGAGAAACACCCAAGUGAGACGAGUAUGAUCAUCCACAAAUGACAAAAACCAGCGAGCCCCAGAAACAUUUUUAAUUCUUGAGGGACCCCACACAUCAUUGUGAAUUAAAGCAAAUGGACGAGAAGGCUUAUACUUAACGCUUGAAUAAACAUUUCGAGUAUGUUUUGCAAAUUGACAAAUUUCACAAUGAAAUGAUAAAGGGUUUUUAUUGAUGAAUAGAUUGGGAAAAAUUUUUGCGAGAUACAUGAAACUAGGAUGACCUAAUCGAUAGUGUAACAGAACAAUUUCACUAUCGUUAUUGACAUUUGGACUAACAAUAGAAUGAGGAUAACUAGUUGACAGACUAUUGGACUUGGCACAGUUUGCUCUCGAAUCUUGUAUGAAGGAGGAUUGAUCGCUUUUGAGUAGAUAGAGUCCAGAACAUAGCUCAGCACUGCCAAUCGUCUUCGCGAAUCCAAGUCCUGAAAAACACACAUAUUUGGAUAGAAUUUAGUUACACAAUUCUGAUCACGAGUGAAUUUACUGAUUGAAAGUAAAUUGCAAGCCAAAUUAGGCACAUAAAGUACAGAAUUAAGGUGUAACUCCUUAGUGAGUCUGAUGGAACCUGUCCCUGCUAUAUUGUGUGAGAGCCAUCUGCGAUCCGGACUGAAGUGCUGUUGAUGCUAGCUUUAUAAUCCUGCAACAUUGAGGCAUCUCCAGUCAUGUGAUCAGAAGCACCAGUGUCAAUUAUCCAGGGUUUGCUUGCUCCAUUAGUGGCUGCAAAUGCUGAAUGAGUCUCUUUCUAAGCCACUAGACUUGUCCCUGCAUUGGAGUUCAAAGUGGCUUGAUCGAAAAGCUUUUGAAGAAUCUCCAUUUGCUCCUUGCUGAAUGGAUUUGGCUCGGGUAGGGCCUGAUUGUCCGUGGUGGAUGCUGCAUGAGCACGAGAUUCACGGUCACCUUUGGAACGAGGUUUCCAAUCAGCAGGUUUGCCAUAAAUUUUCCAGCAACUCUCCUUAUAGUGGCCUGCCUUACGACAGUGAUCGCACCAUGGUCUUUCUUUCUUUGUACGAUUUUCACUAACCCCUACAGAGUUGGAUGCACGGGCAACAAGUGCAGAGGCGCCCAGUGUUGGUUCUGAUGACCCCAUCAUCACCUUUUUCCUACUUUCUUCAUGCCUAACUUCAGAAAAGGCUUCACGAGGGCGCGGUAGAGGCUUUGUCCCGAGUACACGGCUCCUAACCUGAUCAAGAUCUUUAUUGAGUCCGAGGAGAAAUUUAAACGUUCUCUUCUGUUCCACAAUCUUCUUGUACAAGGUUGUAUCGUCGGUGCACUUCCAAGGGUAUGUUUCAAAUAGAUCAAGGUGUUGCCAAUGCCUAGUCAGAGUAUUAAAGUAUUGAGUGACAGAUUGUUCUCCUUGGCGGAAGUCAUGGAGGAUGGUUUCAAUCUGGAAUAACUCUGAUGUGUUCUCAGAGCUAGAAUAGGUUUCCUUUGCAGCAUCCCAUAUGUCAUUUGCAGUCCCAAACAGAAGAAAAUUCUCACCAAUAUCAUUGUUCAUGGAAUUGAUAAGCCAUGACAUGAUCAUGUUGUUCUCUGACUNNNNNNNNNNNNNNNNNNNNNNNNNNNNNNNNNNNNNNNNNNNNNNNNNNNNNNNNNNNNNNNNNNNNNNNNNNNNNNNNNNNNNNNNNNNNNNNNNNNNNNNNNNNNNNNNNNNNNNNNNNNNNNNNNNNNNNNNNNNNNNNNNNNNNNNNNNNNNNNNNNNNNNNNNNNNNNNNNNNNNNNNNNNNNNNNNNNNNNNNNNCACGUAACAGAGGUUGAUGAGGAAGCCAUCCCGUAUUUUGCCACAGAGAAUACAACUGAUGGGAGAGGAAGGAAGGUAGAUUGUUCAAUUUAUGAGAGAAGAAGGAAAUGGCGGCUGAUAGGAGAACUAGGGUUUAGAGCCAGGCUCUGAUACCAUGAAGAAAAAUGUGAAUUGGUUCCUCUUUUUCUUACUUUCCAGAACAGUAUGUACAGGGAAUAUAUACAGCAAAAUAGGAGAGAAAAUAGGAGACUACAUCUAUCCUUUCCUAAAUAAUAGGAAACAAAAUCUGGAAAGAAUCCUAAUGAAUCUUCCUAUUAUAAUUUAACUUAUUCCGAAAAUAGCCUAGAUUACAAAUAAAUCAUAACUUUGAAUCUUUAUUUUCAACAGUAACUAUUCUUUUCUUUUUAUUUUUCCUUUUCUGAAAGAAACUUAGUUUUGUAUUGUUUGGCAAGCUAGAAAAUGAAAGAAAAUAAAAGAAAGCGCUGUAAAGAAGUUUGUAGAACCUUUAUUACUCUAGCAUUACAACUGAAUGAAUACAGACUGAUAUUUCUAUUAAGCUACAAUUUUCUCAACACACACACAAGUUUGUUACAUCACAUAACCAUUUGCUGCAUAACUAAUUUGACACAUCAGCUCAACCAGCUAACUAACUUUGCCAGGUCAAGCCUAGUGAGUUGAUCUGCUAAAGUCAGCUACACAGCAACAUCAUGCUCUGCUCCAACUUCAUUCAAUUCACUAACAUCCCCCCUCAAGCUGAAAUGUUUAGGAUGAACAUUCAGCUUGCUUCUUAAGUAACUAAACUGUUUGAGAGUAAGCCUUAGUCAACACAUCUGCUGUUUGAUCUUGACUGGGCACAAAACAUACUUCAAUCUCUUUUGCAGUAACUUUAUCUCGAAUAAAAUGUAUAUCCAAUUCGACAUGCUUAGUUUUAGCAUGAUAGACUGGAUUGUAAGCUAAAGCAAUUGCUUCUUGAUUAUCACACCACAUCAUAGGAGUAGAGCUCAAUUUGAUGUUAAGUUCACCAAGUAAAGAUUGUAUCCAGGGAACCUCUGAAGCAGCAUGAGCAAGAGAUCUAUACUCAGCCUCUGUGCUGGACCUGGAAACAACAACUUGUUUCUUUGAUGACCAUGAGACUAGAUUAGGGCCUAGGUAAACAGCAAAGCCAGCCACUGACUUCUUAUCAUCACGAUCACAAGCCCAAUCAGAAUUUGAAAAACAAUGUAGUUGCAAAGUUCCUUUGUUAUUAAAUUGCAGCCCAAGAUGUAUAGUGCCUUUUAAGUACCUCAAUAACCUUUUGCAUGUUUCCCAAUGUUGUGUUCUAGGACUUGAAAUGAAUUGACUUAGGUUGUUUACAGAGAGAGCAAUGUCAGGUCUGGUAAGAGUAACAUAUUGAAGAGCUCCUAUAACACUCCUAUAUUGAGAAACAUUAUCAAUUAGCUCUCCUGAUUCUUUUGUGAGAUAAUAACCAGUAGACAUUGGAGUAGGCACAGGACUGCAAUCUGUCAUGCCAUGUUUAUCCAGAAUGUCAGUAAUAUACUUUGCUUGUGUCAAGGAAACCCCUUGUGAAGACUUGCUGACUUCAAUCCCCAGAAAAUAGCUAAGUUCCCCCAUGUCUUUUAAAGCAAAGGCUUGAUUCAUAAUCUUAAUAACUUGCUGAAUUAGUGUUGGACUGGAACUAGUGAUGAUAAUAUCAUCAACAUAGACCGAAACAAGAGUUAGAUGACCACUGUUCCAGGCAUGAAACAGAGAGUUAUCAGACCUUGAAUGCUAGAAAUGCCGUUUAGAGAUCAUUGCAUCCUUGAAUCUAUCAAACCAGGCUCUAGGUGCCUGUUUUAAGCCAUACAAAGCUUUAUUCAGCUUGCAGAUAUGAUUAGGUUUAGUUGAGUCAACAAAACCUUCAGGUUGAGCCAUGUACACCUCUUCAAUUAAAAUGCCAUUUAGAAAGGCAUUAUUAACAUCUACUUGCCUAAUCACCCAUUGAUUCAAUACUGCUAAGCUAAGAAUAACUCUAACAGUUGAAGCUUUAACUACUGGACUAAAAGUUUCUGUAUGGUCAAUCCCAUGUGUCUGAUGAAACCCCUUUGCAACAAGCCUGACUUUAUAUCUUGAAACUGAACCAUCUGAGUUAUACUUUAUUCGAAACACCCAUUUGCUGCCAACUAUCUUCACUGGAGUAGCAUGUAAAACUAAAUCCCAGGUGUGAUUAGUUUUAAGUGCUAGAUACUUUUCUUGCAUAGCCUUAUACCACAUAGGAUCAGAAAGUGCUUGGGAAACAGAAGUUGGUUCUGAUUUCUGGGCUAAUAAAGCUGACAAAUAAAUUUUUGGCUUGAAAAUACCUGCUUUUGACCUGGUUAUCAUUGGAUGACCAGUUGAUGCAGGUUGUGGCAAUGUAUGUGGAGGUGAAUUAUGUGGUAGUGAAGAAGAAGAAGCUGAGUUGGAAUUAUCAGAAAAAUAAAGUGGAGUAGAAUUUGGUGAGGGAGUAGGAGCAUCUGAAUGAUGAACAUUUUGAUGGUGUUCUGAUGAUGCUGCUAAAGGUGCUUGUAACUGAGUAAUAGAAGGAACAGAGGAAUUGAAAGAAGACUUAUAAUUUUUUGUUGACUAACAACUUGAAGAGAGUGAAGAAAAAUCUGCUCCAGACUCAUAAGGAAAAGAAUUUUCAUCAAAGGUGACAUGAUUUGAAAUGUAAACCCUCUUAGAAGAGUGAAGACACUGAUAUCCCUUGUGUUGUGAAUUGUAGCCAAUGAAUAUACAUCUGGCAGUUCUGAAAUCAAACUUAUGUCUAUUGUAUGGUCUGAGUGUUGGAUAACAAGCACAACCGAAGGUUUUAAGUGUUGAAUAAUCUGGUUGAUGAUGAAAUAACUUUUGGAAAGGAGAAAUGUUGUUUAGAAUUGGAGUUGGAAGUCUGUUUAUCAAAUAGACAGCUGUGUGGAAUGCAUUCCACCAAAAUUUGAGUGGUAAAUGUGCUUGAGCUAAUAAGGUCAGACCUACAUCAACUAUGUGUCUAUGUUUCCUCUCAAUUCUUCCAUUUUGAUGAUGAAUAUGUGGGCAAGGGUGUCUAAAAUGGAUACCAGAAGCAGUGAGUAAUGAGGAAAAUGUUCUGAACUCUUCUCCCCAAUCAGUUUGGACAGUUUUGAUUUGAAGUUGAAGAUGCUUUUCAAUAAAAAUUUUGAAAUUGGUAAACACUUCAAGAGCAUCAGAUUUGGCUGACAAUGGAAAUAUCCAGGUAAAUCUACUAUAAUCAUCUAAGAUUGAUAAGUAGUAAUUAUAUCCUUGGGUAGAACAGACAUGAGAAGGACCCUGAUGGCUGUCGAAGCCAACAAAAAUAAAUUCCUACUCUAAAUAAAUUGUGUAUAGUGAUUGAGCAGGGUCGUGUCCACAGAGAUCGAUAAUUAUUUAAAUCCUUUUGAAACGUAAAACGUAAAAUGGGGGAAUUGUUGACAAUAAUAAAAAUCAAAUUAAAAAUAACAAGAAUGCAAAUUAAAGUUGUAAUUUAAAUUGGAGAAAGCUCUGGUUGAAGGAAUUAACUCAGCUUGAUUCGACUACUGAUCAUUGAUUCAAAUAUAGAUUAUUAUUACUCAUGAAUAGACCGGUUAUAGCUACUGAGACCCUCUAAUAGCCAAUCUCUCCUUAACUAGUCGAUAACCAAGGUACGACCGUUGGUUAUUUCCCUAAUCAAUAGACAACCCUAGAUACGAUCAUAGAAUUUAAUCAAUUGACAGCCUGAAAAACCAGAGAGACCCAAAUCCUAAUCAACACAUAUGAUGAUUCAUUUAAAUUAGAUUGUUUAUUCUCACAACACAACUCUCUGCUAUGUUAUUAGUCACAAGCAUUAAAUUCUUCAUACGAUGAAUCCUUUAAUUGACAAUAGAUUAAGUUGAUAAUUAAAUAGUGGCCAAUUACCUAAUUAACAAACAUAAUCAUGAAAAUAAUUCAGAGAAUAAACAAAUACCCAAAAAGUAAUAAAACAAUUAAAGCACAAGAAAGAUCUCACAGUAGUGAUGAAUCAAAGCUUCAUUAACCUUCAACCAGAAAAAUGGGUUUAGUUUCUCAUAGAGAGAAGAGAAAAAUUAGAUCUAGGGUUUCUUUUUCUCCAAUCCAAAAUUCCCCCCUUUCACAAUAGAUUCCUCCCUUAAAUACUCUCUCUCUCUUCUCCUCUAGAAUUCUAUUUAAAAUAAAAUACUAAUAUCUGAAAUAUUAAAUUCGUAAUUACAAAAAUAACCAAAAAUACAAAACACGUUAAACUAAAAACUGCAGGUCCGCAGUUGACAGCACGCGCCCACGCCUUAUCAAUAAAGUUCUUCUGCCGCUCAUAAUUUCUCCAAGAGAACAAUCAUCCUUAAAAAUCAUCUUGUAGCUCAAUUUUAUCACCAAUCAAUAGAAUUGCACCUACAAAAGUAAAACACAAGUAAAUCAUUAUUAUUAAGUGCAAAACAUCGAUAUUAAGGGAAGUAAACAAUGCAAAACUAGUGCAUAAAUUGCACUCUAACAAAUUCCCCCACACCAAGAUGAUGCUUGUCCUCAAGCAUAUAACUCAAGAUUAAUCCCAAAUCUCCACUCAAUUCUCAUCUCAACUCAUCCAAAAAUAGAAAUUAAGUCGAUCAACAUUCGAGAGACAAGGAUUUUAAAGCAUAGAAUCUCAUAAGAUAGAAUAAGAACAUUCAACCACCAAGAAGAUCCAUUCAAAAUUCAAGUGCAACAAGAUGUAAUAGCCCUCUCAAUAACUUCACUCCAUGCACUCAAAGUGUUUAGGGUGUCAUUUAUCCACUCAAAUCAAAUCAAAGAAUGCUAUUACCAUAAGCUUGCUCAUAUAUCACAUCUCAAUCCACAAAACAUGAAUAAAAUGCAAAAAUCUAAGGGUCUUAAAAGGAUUGUAAUGGGGUUAAAUGGGUUAAAUGAAAAAGAAAGGUUUACGAAAGAAAAAGAGAUCAAAAUGAGAAGAAUGAACUCAUUGAAUGAACUUAUGAUAUCAAAAUGCUUAUUUCUACUCAAGUCACCAAGAAUGUAAACAUUUUUUUUUUCGAUUUUUCUUUUUCUUUUUUUUUCUUUUUCCUUUUCUUUUUCUUUUUUUUUUUCAUUUUUUCAUUUUUUUUUGUUUUUUGUUUUUUGUUUUUUUCGAAUCAAACAAAAGAAACGAACCUUGCACAAUUUAAUUCAAGCAUAAUGCUUGUUGAUCUAAUUGAGAAACUUCAAUACAAGGUAGAAAAAGCAACAAAAUAUAUCCACACAAUGAGUCCAAAAAUCUCCUUAAAUUGAGGCUCAAAAAGAAGAAAAAUGGUUAAGUAGACGGAGAGAAUUAGAUGGGUAAUGGUUAAGGCUCAAACAAAGGUAGCAAAUAAAGGUCUUCGGGUAGAGAAAAAGGAAAAUGCGAGAAUAGAAAAAUGGUAAAUGGUUUGCCCUUAUCAUUUUAAUGCCUAAAAUCCCGUAAUGUGGCUUCAAUAUGCAUAACAAAGCAAAUUCUAGAAUAAACAAACUAGGAUUGAUAUUCACAUAACAAAAAUAAUUAGAGCAAAGUGGUUGCUCAUAGGCUCAAAUCCUCACAAAGUUGGUAAAUUUGCCAUCAAAUCAUGUACACUCUUCAAAUGAAUCAACCAUCAAUAGUGGUGUAGAAUGAGAAGAAGGUAUGAGUGAUAUAUAAAAGAAAAGGUAAAAAUUAUAAGAAGUGAGAAAGAUGUAUGUAGUAAUAUGAAAAGUGAAAGAUAAAAUGUGAGUGAUGAAAGAGUAUGGUAAAAUAAAAAUAGAUAUGAAUAGUUUGAGAUAGAUGGGAAAAAAGUAGUGAGAAAGAAAAGAAAAGAAAAUUAAUAAUAUAUGAAGCAUACUAACUCCAAAAUCAUUUAAGGAUGAGUAGAGUGAAAAUAGAUGAGUAGAGUGAAAAUAAUAAUUCCAGACAUCAAUAAUGCAAAAAUCCCUCCCCCACACCAAGAACUUACAUUGUCCCCAAUGUAAGAUAAUCAAAGCUCACAUAAAAAUUAAAGCGUAAGGAUAAAAGAUUAAGGGCAAAAAAAAAAACUUCCCUGAAUUGUGAGCUUUGAUCCACAUAACGUCUAUGGGCUUGGCGGAAAUGGUGGGGUAAAUCCCACACUCUCGAAGUAUGCGGCCAAAUUCUGCUCCAUCUUGUUCAGCUUGUGCUCCAUUUUCUCUAACUGAAUACUCAAAGGUGGUGCGGAUGUAGAAGGAAUAGUUGGCGGGGCAGCAGUGUCGUCGUCAAACUCGUCAUCAGAGGUAGCACCACUCCUAGCAUAAAGCUUCUUCGGAAGUUGAGUGGGUCCUGGUUCAGUAAACUGAAAUCUCCCCUCCUUGAAUUCAACCACACCUGUUCUUUCAAACACAGACAUAUCCAAAAAUUCCUUUUUGCAAGCAGGAUGCAAAUCAUUAUUGUCGGGAUCAAGAACACAUAGGUUUAUAGCUAACAGAGUAAUGUAUGGACCAAGAAAUAAAGUCCUAUACCGUUUAAGCACAUUUUGAAAUUGAUCCGCUAACCAAAAACCUAAAUUAGGCCUCACAUCAUUUAACAUGCACCAGAUAAAAUAAAAUUCAGUUUUAGAGAAAAUUCCCGAGUGAUCUUUCUUGCCUAAAAAAUUAUAUGCUAAGAAUCGAUGCACACAUUUCAAAACAGGAUCACGUAAGAAAGAACUCUUUGAUUUACUCGGGUCAUAGGCAUUGUGAUCAACAGAUAAAUUACGCCAAAGACCAUAAGGCUCAAAAUUUUCGCUAAAGUCACAAGUUGUUCCUAAAUAUGCAUCACUAGAAGAAUAAUCAUCAUCAAUGAAUCCUAAAGCUAGGUUAAAAUCCGUGAUAGAGUGUGAAAAAUUUCGUCUCAUUAACCUAAACUUAAUGACAUUCGGGGUAUGCAAAGUAAAAUCAUUCGGCAUAGUAAAUUGAAAAGUAGCAUAAAACUCCCUAAUCAACUCAACAUAACCCAAACAAUCAACAUCAACAAAUUUACGCAACCCAAUCUUAUCUAUCAAAGAAUCAAAAUUAUCCUUAACAUUCAAUUUUUCAAGAGUCGGGUAAUGAAUAUACUUAGCUGGAAGUAUUUUGCAAGUGGAAAUAUCUUUGUACCUCUCUUUCUCUUGUUGAGUCGCGAACGCGAGGCACCCUCCGAGAUUGGAUUCCGCAAGUGGCAAAACACUCAUGCCUUUUCCAUGCUUCGAUCUUUGUCUCACGGCUUUGCGUGAAUCUGAAAUUGUGUUCCAUGGAACCGUAGUGGGAGCGGCAAUCUUAGAUUUCUUUACGACGGGUUUCUUUUUCGAUGACUUGGAAGUAGAUGCUUUCCUCUUCGGCAUUGUUACAAUAAUUGCACUCACGGAUUUCGAUUUACCCGGCUGGAAUACAUGACGUAGGCUGGUUGCGUUGCGUUGCUGCUCGACUGGAGCUUGCUGUGCGGGUUGGAGCUGGUUGCGCACUGCUGGGCUGCGAGACACGGGAUGCUGGUGCUGCGCUCGCGGGGGCUUGCGUUGCGAGCUGGUGAUUCGCGUUGCUGGUUCGUGCUGCGUUGCGGGGCUGCUGGUGGGACUGAUGUUGCGCGUUGCGGCUGGGGCUGGAUCUACGCACUGCUGUGUGAUUCGCGAGAGCCGGUUCGUCUGCGUUGCUGUGCUGCACUGAGGUUGAUUCGCGUUGCUGCUGGUUGCGGUGCGCGAUGCUGCGCCCGGCGGCUGGGGCUGGUGGGGCUUGCUGCUGGAAAACGAUAAUCAACAGUAAUUUUUUUGAAUUAGGGAUUUGUGAACAGUGAUUUUCGAAUUUUUUUUUUUUUUUUUUUUAGUGAUGAAUCACUUUGAGACACUAAAAAUUUCAGAAGUACUUUUUUAAUAAGCACGUGGGCACGCCUUAUCAAAAAUUUUCUUCUGGCCAAAAUAAGCAAACACAUUAUUUUAAAAAAAAAUCUGAAUCAAAAUUAAAAGAAGAUAUAACAAAAACCAAAAUAAAUAAAUCAUUUGGGUUGCCUCCCAAAAAGCGCCUUUGUUUUAUGUCUUUGGCUAGACACGUUUAUGCAUCAAUCUCCAUAAUUGGGACUCUCGAGAGCCACAUCCUCCACAAUAUUCACCGAAAAACCUUCAUAAAAAGGUUUUAAGCGAUGACCAUUAACCUUAAAAACUUUGUCAGAGGUCGGACUCCGAAUCUCAACUGCACCAUGAGGAAAAACAUUAGUAACAAUAAAAGGUCCAACCCAGCAAGAACGUAAUUUACCCGGAAAAAGUUUAAGCUUAGAAUGAAAAAGAAGAACUUUUUGACCAACAGAGAACUCCUUUCUCAAAAUCAUUCUAUCAUGAAAUGUCUUCGUCUUUUCCUUGUAAAAAAUUUCCUGCGCUAUAGGGUUAAUAACAUCCACAGAAAAUACCGAAUGUUCCUCACUAGGAUAUUUCAUGGUAUCAUUCAUAUUGAAUCCUAUAACCUCUCCAUCAAACUCCAUAGUGAGAGUCCCUUUAUGUACAUCCAUUUUAGUCAUAGCAGUCUUAAGAAAAGGUCUUCCUAGCAAAAUUGGGACAGAAUUAGAGGAGUUAUCAUCUUCCAUAUCAAGUACAUAAAAAUCAGCAGGAAAAACCAACUCAUUAACUUGUACUAAGACAUCUUCUAAUACCCCAUCAGGAUAUGCAUUAGACCUAUCAGCUAGUUGAAUUAUCACGCCAGUUUCUUUUAAUGGACCAACAUUCAAAGAUGAAUAAAUGGAACGAGGCAUGACAUUAAUAGAAGCUCCUAGAUCUAACAUAGCCUUUUCAACUCUAACACUACCAAUUUUACAAGGGAUAGUAAACAUACCUGGAUCCUUGCACUUAGGAGGUAGUUUCUUUUGGAAAAUUGCUGAAACAUUCUCCCCCAUGUGAACUUUUUCAUCUCCUCUUAAUUUUCUUUUGGAGGUGCACAGUUCCUUAAGGACUUUAGCAUAUCGAGGUAUUUGUUUUAUAGCAUCUAAUAAAGGAAUAUUUACCUCAACCUUGCGAAAUGUCUCAAGGAUGUCUUUCUCUUGUUCUUCCUUCUUGGAUUUUGCAAACCGGCUUGGAAAAGGAGGAGGUAUCACAAUAGGUAGGGGUUUCGCUCCGGUGGGUUGUGCAUCUUGAGAUUGAGGCAUCAAUUCAUUCUUCUCAAGCUCAUCUUCUACAUGCUCUGUCACUUUCUUACUAGGCUCUUGCAACUCCUUCCCACUUCUAAGGAUGAUAGCACUAACGUUUUGCUUUGGAUUCACCUCAGAUUAUGAAGGCAAUCUUCCUAAUACUCGAGACUCCAGAUGGCUUACUGUAGUCGCCAAUUGACUCAUUUGGUUCUCCAAGUUCUGAAUGCUUGCUGUAGUUGCCUGCUGAAAUUGUUGAGUGUUAGUCGCAAGUGAUUUAACAAUUUCUUCAAGAGAUAUACCUGACUUGGAGUUUGACUGUGGAGGUGCUGGUUGUCUUGGUGGAUACUGUUGUGGGAAUCCUGACGGUUUAACUCCAUAGCUGAAGUUGGGAUGAUCCUUCCAUCCCAGAUUGUAUGUUUGUGCAUAAGGAUCAUACCUCCUCUGAGGCAUGCCUGGAAAUCCUCCAACUGCAUUGGCUUGUUCAACGAGUUCUUCUUGGAGUGUAGGACACAUAUAAGUUGAAUGACCCAUAUUGUAACAAAUGCCACAAGUCUUCACCUGUUGCACAUUACCUACAACAAACUUUUCCACAAGAGAAGUAAGUUUAUCUAAACGUUGUUCAACAAAAGAAAUAUUUACCUCAUUCACCUUCCUUGAAGUGGGAUCUUGCCUGCUACUAAAUUGUUGUGCAUUGGCAGCCAUAUUUGAGAUCAACUCCCUUGCUUGAGUAGGGGUUUUGUUCACCAACACACCUCCACUAGCAGCAUCUAUCAUACUUCUAUCCAUUAAUGAUAGUCCUUCGUAAAAAUAUUAAAUAAGAAGUUGAUCAGAAAUCUGAUGCUAAGGACAGCUGGCACACAAUUGUUUGAAUCGCUCCCAAUACUCAUACAAAGUCUCCCCAGGAAGUUGUCUGAUCCCACAAAUAUCUUUUCUGAUGUUGGCAGCUCUUGAAGUAGGAAAGUACUUCUCAAGGAACUGCUUUUUCAAACCAUUCCACGUUGUAAUUGAUCCAGGAGGCAAGUAGUACAACCAAUCUUUAGCUAGCCCAUCUACAGAGAAUGGAAAAGCACGCAACUUAAUCUGCUCUUCAGUCACGCCUUGUGGCCUCAUACUUGAGCACACAACAUGAAACUCCUUGAGAUGUUUAUGAGGAUCUUCACCUGCAAAACCAUGAAACUUGGGUAAUAAAUGAAUAAGCCCAGACUUUAAUUCAAAAUUUACCUCCAAGUCUACAUAUUGAAUGCAGAGUGGUUGUUGAUUCAAGUCUGGUUCAGCUAACUCUCUAAGAGUUCUUUCUACAGGUGCAGGUCUAUCCAUCACUUGUUCUUCUGAAUCGCUAGAUGAUUCAACUAAAUCAGGCACUGUAUCUGUUUCAGAAAGCAAAGGCGACGAGGAUCGUUGCUUAGCUCGCUUUGUCUGCUGUCUCAGUUGGCGAGCUGUCUUCUCAAUUUUAGGAUCAAACGAAAGUGUACCUGUACGAGAAGAACGAACCAUACACCAAGUAAAACGUAAAAAAGAUUAAAUAAAUGACACCAAUCCCCGGCAAUGGCGCCAAAAUUUGAUGGGUGUCGAAGCCAACAAAAAUAAAUUCCUACUCUAAAUAAAUUGUGUAUAGUGAUUGAGCAGGGUCGUGUCCACAGAGAUCAGUAAUUAUUUAAAUCCUUUUGAAACGUAAAACGUAAAAUGGGGGAAUAGUUGACAAUAAUAAAAAUCAAAUUAAAAAUAACAAGAAUGCAAAUUAAAGUUGUAAUUUAAAUUGGAGAAAGCUCUGGUUGAAGGAAUUAACUCAGCUUGAUUCGACUACUGAUCAUUGAUUCAAAUAUAGAUUAUUAUUACUCAUGAAUAGACCGGUUAUAGCUACUGAGACCCUCUAAUAGCCAAUCUCUCCUUAACUAGUCGAUAACCAAGGUACGACCGUUAGUUAUUUCCCUAAUCAAUAGACAACCCUAGAUACGAUCAUAGAAUUUAAUCAAUUGACAGCCUGAAAAACCAGAGAGACCCAAAUCCUAAUCAACACAUAUGAUGAUUCAUUUAAAUUAGAUUGUUUAUUCUCACAACACAACUCUCUGCUAUGUUAUUAGUCACAAGCAUUAAAUUCUUCAUACGAUGAAUCCUUUAAUUGACAAUAGAUUAAGUUGAUAAUUAAAUAGUGGCCAAUUACCUAAUUAACAAACAUAAUCAUGAAAAUAAUUCAGAGAAUAAACAAAUACCCAAAAAGUAAUAAAACAAUUAAAGCACAAGAAAGAUCUCACAGUAGUGAUGAAUCAAAGCUUCAUUAACCUUCAACCAGAAAAAUGGGUUUAGUUCCUAAUAGAGAGAAGAGAAAAAUUAGAUCUAGGGUUUCUUUUUCUCCAAUCCAAAAUUCCCCCCUUUCACAAUAGAUUCCUCCCUUAAAUACUCUCUCUCUUCUCCUCUAGAAUUCUAUUUAAAAUAAAAUACUAAUAUCUGAAAUAUUAAAUUCGUAAUUACAAAAAUAACCAAAAAUACAAAACACGUUAAACUAAAAACUGCAGGUCCGCAGUUGACAGCACACACCCACGCCUUAUCAAUAAAGUUCUUCUGCCACUCAUAAUUUCUCCAAGAGAACAAUCAUCCUUAAAAAUCAUCUUGUAGCUCAAUUUUAUCACCAAUCAAUAGAAUUGCACUUACAAAAGUAAAUCAUUAUUAUUAAGUGCAAAACAUCGAUAUUAAGGGAAGUAAACAAUGCAAAACUAGUGCAUAAAUUGCACUCUAACAGACCCCAAAGAUCUGCAUAUAUCACUUGUAAGGGUGCUGAAGUUUUUGUUUCAACUGAAUCAAAAUGCAGCAUAUGAUUUUUCCCAUAUUGACAUGCUGAACAAAAUUUCAAGCUUUCAAUUUUAUUAUAAGCAGUAGAGUUGUUACAAGUUUUGAGUAUAGUUUUGAGAGUAUAAGAUGCUGGGUGUCCUAAUCUUCUAUGAAGAAGAUUUACAUCAAUAGAACUCUUUGUAACAACUGACAGACAUGGCUUUUUAUUCAAUUCAUAAGAACUAACAGCAGUGAGCUGAUCAGAAUUGAAAACAGGAGAACAAGCAAAGAGAGUGAAUUUUAUUUUGACCAACUGAAUUGAGAAAGACUGAAUGAGCAGCAACAUGUGAAGAGACUCUAUACAAGUCACCUUUAGCAACACCUUCAAGUAAAAUUUUCCUUGUGUUCCUAGCCUUUAUAAAAAACAAAUCACCAAGAAAUUCCAACAGUAACUGGAUUGUCAGCCAAUAAUUUUGAAAUGCUAAGCAAAUUCUUAGUAAUAAAAGGGACAUGAAGAACAUGGUUUUUAAAGGUUUAGAAGUUGAAGUAUUUAGCACAACUGAUCCUACAUGUGUAAUAGCUAAUGCAUUUCCAUCUCCAACAAACAAUUUUUCAGUACUAGUAUAAAUUUGUGAAUCCAGAAGUUUACCUAGAUCAUUUGUAAUGUGAUUUGUUGCUCCACUAUCAAUAUACCAUGAAGGAUCUUCAAUGUGUUCUGGUGGAAGUGAAGAAGGCAUAGCUGAGGAAGAUGAAGCACUUGACUGUCCAGGAUUAUUAUUUCCUUGACCAGAAACAAAAGUAGAUGGUCUAGGGGUGAAUGAGUAAUAAGCAGAAGGAUUACUAUCUGGAUACACCAUAUUUCCUUGAUAGCCAAAACCAGCAUUUAAACCAAAACCUCCAAAACCUCUGCCACCAUUACCAUUAAAAGCUCUUCCUCUACCAUAUUGCCCUUGAUUAAAACCUCUGCCACCAUUCAUAUUACCUCUGCCAUAGUUUCUCUGUGGAACAAAAGAUGAAUUGUACCUAUUUUUGCAUCUAUUGGCUGCAUGACCAGGUAUGAAGCAGAUUUGACAAACAGUUUCAGAGGAAUUACCACCAUUAUUAAACUGACCAUAUCCAUAUCCAUUAAAACCUCCAUACCUAGAAUUAUUUCCAUAAUUUUUUUGAAAAUUGCCAUUAUUCUUUCCAGCAUAUGAGUUCUUCUGAGCAAUAUUUGCUGUCAUAUUGUGCAUCACAUCACCAGCAAUUUUUCCUUUCUUUUGUUCAACUCUAUUUUCAUGAUUCAAUAGCAAAGGAUAUAGUUCAUCUAAUGUUAUCUUCUCACCUCGAGCUAAAACACCUGUGACUAAAGAUUCAUAAUCUGAUGAAUCAAGACCAGUUAAUACAUGAAUCACAAGAUCACUUAACUCAACAGGUUUUCCAGCUAGAGCUAAAGUAUCAGCUAUACGUUUUACUUUUGCAAAGUAAUCAGACAUAUGCAUUGCACCUUUCUUAAUAGUUUGAAUCUGCAUUCUAAGUGUUUGAAUUCUAGCUUGUGAUUAAGAAAUAAACAUACUAGUAAGAGUCUUCCAAAGCUGUUUUGAAGUUGUGGAGUCAAUCACAGUAGCAAGUAGAUUUUGCUGUAUCGACGACAUCAUCUAACUCAACAGAAGUUGAUCAGUCUUCAUCCAAGCUAUGAACUCUGGAUUAAUAGAUUUGGAUUCAGAUUCAGUAAAAAUUUCAGCUCCAUUGUUGUUUCCAAAAGAAAGAAACUACUCAGGACAUUCUUGAUCACCAUUGAUAAACCCUUCCAGACCGUUUCCUUUGAUCGAUGCUAAAAUUUGUGCCCGCCAUAAAAUGAAGUUGUUUUGGUCUAGCUUUGCAGGCGUAACAAAACUAAAAGAGUUGUUAUUUUGAACUGUAUUCGCCAUUUAUGGCUCUAAUACCAUGAAAGAAACUUAGUUUUGCAUUGUUUGGCAAGCUAGAAAAUGAAGAAAAUAAAAGAAAGCUCUGUAAAGAAGUUUGUAGAACCUUUAUUACUUUAGCAUUACAACUGAAUGAAUACAGACUGAUAUUUAUAUUAAGCUACAAUUUGCUCAACACACACACGAGUUUGUUACAUCACAUAACCAUUUGCUGCAUAACUAAUUUGACACAUCAGCUCAACCAGCUAAUUAACUUUGCCAGGUCAGCUUAGUGAGUUGAUCUGCUAAAUUCAGCUACACAGCAACAUCAUGCUCUGCUCUAGCUUCAUUCAAUUCACUAGCAUUUUCCCUUGAUACAUUAGGAGAAAAGACUGCCUGUGAGAUACAACAAUGUAAAUAACUUCUCAUGGUUCAUUGAAUCUAUAACGCACUGAGCCCUAUUCUAAAAUAUGUAGGUUGCUUCUGAAAAAGGGCUUUUCUCACUGAUCUUUAAUCUUCAAGAAAGUUUGUUUCAUUUCAGAAGGUAUAAGUUUCAAACUUAUUGUAUUGGGAGGUUGUAUAGUUGUAACCUAAGCAUCUGCAGGUUCCUGGUUCAACACAUUAUAGUAUGGUAUUUUAUUUUGUCACAAGGCAAUUGGUUACGGGAUCACUUUUGCAACGGUUUGUUGAUGGCGAUGAUGAAUUUCGCAAUAGUAGGUUGAAACUUAUUCCAUCUGUUCCUAAGGUAUCCAUCUUGGCCUUCAUGUAGUAGGACUAUAUUAACGUAUACUUACCCUUUACUGCAUGGUACACUUCAAUUUGUACAAAGAAGGCAUGCAUUUAGGUGUGAAUGUAUUGAUGGGUUGUACCUUCAAACUUUAUCUCCUUUUUACCCUCUUGAAUUUGUUUUGCACUUGUUCUUGAUUUUCAGCACUGAAUCAUGCAGGGGUCAUGGAUAGUGCGCCAGAGUGUUGGAAGCACCCCUUGUUUAUUGGGGAAGGCAGUUGAUUGUAACUAUAUUCGCGGUCCCAAGUACUUAGAAGUAAAUGCUCUUGGAAUUUCUAUAGUACAUGAGAUGUUCCCCUUUCAAAUAGCGUCCAAUACCUUUAACAUGGUUUAACAUUGUUCAUCUUUCUGUAGAUUGAUGUUGACAUCGAUUCUUCUACUGUUGCUAAUGGAGUUUUGGGCCUUGUAAUUGGUGUAAUUACGACAUUGGUGGUUGAGAUGGCUUUCCUUGUACAGGUAUGUAUGAUUGUUUUUUUCCCCCACUGCUAAAUGGACACAAGGGAAAAGACAUGAUUUUGAGAUAUUGCACUGCAACUUGCAUUUUUGCAUACUUGAAUGUUCUCAGAAUGAUAUAAUGCUUCUGUGUGUGUCUUCUUUAUCUUGCUCUUCUGUAUGCAGGCAAAUACUACAGAUGAAUUACCGGAGCGGCUGAUUGGUGCUGUACGUGUUUCUCAUAGAGAACUCAAGUCUGCUGUUGUCCCAAAGCUGGAACCAGAGAUAUCAUGACUCUGGUUUCAUUUCAGCUCAACUGUGUUUUUUUUUUAAUUAAAAAAAUCAUUUGUUUUAGGUAUACAUACAUGUAUUUUGAUUCUAUUUUCAUUGUAAUUUCUCAUUUACUUUGAAUGAAAGUCAUUGGUGUUUUCGAAUGGGAAUUUUGCAUUAAAAAAUGAAGAAUAAUGAAUAGGAAAUUUCCUGAUUCUUUAGUUACUAUUUUUGGUAUGAGUGUAAUUAGUAGUAAAGUAGGUUUCUACUCGCAAACAAGUGAACUACUCGAUUCCCGAGUGGUAUCAACCAGUUUCCAACUUUUUAAUAUACACUAAUUGUUAUUGUUUAAUAGCUACUACUAUUAAAACUCAACAGCUAGCAAAAAUACUUAAAAAAAAUGAUUUUUCUUAUGAUGCUGUGAAAAAAAUUACGGGUGUACUUCUUUCCAUGAGAUCUAUAACAUGGUCUCGACUUCACGAAAUUCUUUUAAUUUAAAGCGUGCUGGUGUGAGGUCAGUUUAACUGAUUAAUUCUUUUUAACAGUGGUCGAGAUAAUUUUACUAUACUAAAAAAUAUUCUUAUUCUGAUAAUGCCACAAAUGUUAUGCUGUUUUCUUCAGAUAAUGAUCUUCCAUUAGGAGAGGUUAGAAAUCAAAUGCUUAAAAGACCAAUUGAACGAAUAAUACAGAAAUUUAGGCAGAAUCUAAUAGAAUAUUGCAUGAAACAUGAAACAUCAAUUCAAGUCCUUUCUUAAACGGAGAAUGCAUCAAACAAAAUCCAAAGUGUCUUGCAAGUCUGUAGCGUGAGCAAAAAAUUGUAAAUAUGUAGAACCAAAUUAUUCAAGUACAGAAGAACGAGCAAGCUAAAUCAUGUAUAAGAGAUUGGCCUGGUUCGGGAUAGCUUCUUCACUGUAUCUGAAGGGUUGGCUCAAUCUCUUCUUUAGAAUUCUGCAGAUUUUGUAAUUACUCGUGUAAGCAAGUAUACAUUGCCACCAUAAGAAUAAUGAAGCUAGAGUAAUGAUAUGACCACCACCUCUUGUGCACAAACAAUAUUGUAUAAACUAAUGCGACAUAAUAUGAUUGGUUAAACAAAAACAUUACAUGGCCCUCAUAAUUUAUUUAUUUAUUUAUUAUUAUUAUUAUAUAUUUUCAGUCAACCAAUCAUAUUAUAUCACAUUAGUUUCUAUAAAAUAAUUUGCUAAAUAGCACCAAAACUUAAUUGAUACUCACCAUUUCAUUGAACAAUUUUUUUAUGGUGUCAUUGAGGUUGCCUUCCCAACAUCGUUCAUCAUCAUCUUUUUCUUCUUUGGUGACGUUCACUUUGUUUAGCAUUGGUGUGUCUAAGAGUCCUUGAGAGAAGAUCUUCAUUUUUGGACACUGUCUCACAACUACUUGUUUCAAGGACGGGAAUUCAAGAGCGUAAUUACCUAAACAAAAGCUUGUUAGGCUUGGCAAACAAUCAAGUCUCAAGUACUCCAAUUCCUUGAAAACAUUGCAAUCUUUCGCUUCUUCUCCAACCUGCAAUUGUAUGAUUUGUUCUAUCAUUUUGCAAUCAACUAUCAUCAUUCUUUUGAGAUUCACUAGAUUUUUAGAUGCUGAGAGCGUCAACACAUUUAUCAAUCCGUGACACUUCGAUACUGCCAAAGCCUCAAGAUUUUCCAAAUGCCACGAAGGUGGUACUAAUUUUUGCAACUUACUACAUUCCGAUAUUUUUAGACUUUUCAAGUUUGCAAACACUUUGUUGGAUUCGGCAUUUUCCUUCCAGAGAUGGUGCACUUUGUGUAAUCCAGACAGCUCUAACCAUCUCAAUCGAGGGAAUGAAACCUGAAAAUCAACAAAAUUAAGUUGUAAAUGAAAAUAUGUAUCCAAUCUCUGCAGUCUUCCCCUGCAUAUUUUAUGGACAAGAUUAAUCACGACAUUUUAUAUUUUUUUUCCAAAUUAGAAUGCUUUGCAGUAGGAUCCCAAAUAUAAGUAUCAAAUCGAUUACCCUUUGAAACACAUAAAUGAAAUCUGAUACUAAAUCCAAUAUGAAUUAGCUAGGAAAACAGAGAUGUUACACACAUAAUUAAUAGAGUUCAUCACCUCGUGUUACCAGGCAUCCAAUUAAUUUAAGACAUUUUAAUAAUUCAUAUUAUAAAGUUAGUUGAUAGCGGAGGUUAUAUUGUUAAAUCAUAUAUAAAUUAAGACGACGUGCAAAAAGAGGAGUCAUUAAAUUCGAUUUGAUUCUAACGAAAUUACAUCUAUGCGAAUGAAAGUGAAGGGAAAUAAUAAUAAUAAUAAUAAUAAUCACCUUUUCAUCGAAGAGAGGUUGUACUUGAUGAGCCAGCAAGAAGUUCUCUUCUGAUGUUAAUUUUUGAGGUUCCUUAUUAUCCGCUGUCAUGUGCAGUACAGAGUUGGAUAUGAAUGUUUCUAUAUCUCGGCAAUUCUCAAUAGUUAGAUUUCUCAACAUAGGCAUUUCAAUUAUAUUCCCAGUGAAGUUGCAGAAUCUUUUGAGUUUUGGAAGAUCAGUGAGCCUCAGCCUGUAAAGCUUAGGAAACAGGGGGCUUAUAUGUUCUUUGUCAGCAUUUAGCUCCUCCAAAUGAAGCACCUCUUCUAUUGAAUCACAAUUCCUCUCUUCCAGCCAUACCAAAUUGUUCAAGCACCGUAGCAGAUUGGCAGGAAUAGCACUCGACAUAUUCGUGCAGUCAUCCACAGCCAGUUGUCGUAAAUUGUUGAAGAAGCUGACAGGCAGUGCUUGGCCAUGCCAUAUUUCUUUCAAACGUGGAAAAUGUGAGAGUUGCAAAUCCCAUAUGUCACGGAAUCCAAUCUGCACAAACAAAAACAAUUGCACUGGAUAUAUAUAAAUUUUUUUUUUGAAUCAACUUACAUGUUUUGUGUUUUAACUUCUAAAACUAUAUAUACAAGGCAGGUGUAUAUGUUCAAAUGUCCAAGUGCAAGGGAGAUGCAUAAGUAAUUUCGACGAAUCGAUUUAACACAUACCAUUUCUUCGUAACACUUUUGUAUAGUGGAAUUAAGGUUGCCUUCCCAAUGGCGCAAUUCACCCUCUCCCUGUUAAGAAUAGAAUUAGUUAGUUAAUGAGUAUGCUGACAUGGCAGCUGAGUCAGCUAAAGGUUGUUAUAGAGGUUGUUAGUAGUAAACUGUGCGUGUGUGCAAUGUGUGUAGAAUCUUCUAUGCACAUAUAAAAAGGCUUGUAAUUUCCAGAUUCAUUAGAUCAAUAAUAACAGAAUUCUCAGCUUACAGAAGUUUUCUUUCUUCCUAUUUUCUUAGUAACCAAACAACAUCACAGUUUCAUAUAAAACUUAAUACUUCCUUUUUACUCACAUGCACUUCGUGCAGCUUUGGUGUGGAUACGAUUCCCUGAGAAAAAGUCUUCAUGUUCGGGUAACAUGUCAUAGAAACUCGUUCCAAUGAUGGGAAUUCAAGAGUGUAAUCCUCCAAACAAAAGCUGGUAAGCCUUGGUAAAUGAUUUCAGGUAAUUUUUAAAUAUUCUAAAUUCAUUUAGAAUAUUUAAAUGAAUUUAGAAUAUUCACUAUUUAGUAUUAGGAAUGGAGAAAGAAUUUCAGGUAAUUUUUAAAUAUUCUAAAUUCAUUUUUCAUCUUGAUUCUAGUUUUUUAAAAAAAUUUAAUUUUCAAACAUGCGUAUUUUUAAAAUAACUAAACUAAAACGCUGUAUUUCCCUUUUUUUCCCGAUAUUCAUGCUUUUAAAAAUGGAAAACAUUUCUGGAAAACACUUCCCAACGCCAUCAACAUGGGACUGUUAUAGAUGAAUUAAGGAAAAGAGAAAUAUAUAGAUGAAUUUGUGAACCUAUAAGAUGAGUGACUAUCCUUUAAUUUUUGAAAAUUGUACUUAUUAAGAUAUGAGCAGAAACAAUUAAAUUGAAUUAUAUUAUGCUGUUGAAUCGUGAUUAAAAAAAUUAUAUUGUUGAUUCUAAUGCUGGCGAACCUAAAAACUGGACUUAAAAUGUAGAUUUGAGAGUGGUGGUUCGAAGUACAAUACUUGAAAUAAAUAAUCAGUGGCUGAAUAUCAUUUGUAAACAAAAAAUGGUUAAAAUAUUGUUGGAUGUAAUUUGAAAAAAAAAAAAAGAUUCGAAAUGAAUACAGCAACCUUACCAAUGGAGGAAAAAUAUUCUUUAGGUUAUCACACUCAAAUAUCUCUAAAUUCUUCAAUUUGCUGAAAGACUCCGAAGCAAGUUGGUGGUGCCAUAUUAUUCUCAAAUUAUUCAUCCAGCUAAUAUGUAAUACCUCCAACCUAGGAAGUCGUACCUGGCAGUUAAAGAUUAAAUAACUAAUUAAUCAAUUAAUUGCAUAAUCAAUUGAUAACUAAAUUAGAGGCAGAUAUUAACUAAACUUGAAGACUCAAAGAAAAGACAAAUUAAAUAUUGUGACUAAAAUUAAUUUUUUUUAUUAAAAAAAAAACCUUUUCGUCAAAGAGAGGAGGAGGUUGCAUUUCAGAAUGAUUGGUGUCUUCUGGUGAGCUCGUAGAGAUGAAUCUUAACAUAUUCCAGCAACUCUGAAUCUCGAGGUUUAGCAAAGAAGGGAAUUCAACAACUAAAUCUGAAUUAAUAUGUCCCGUAUUGGCAAAGCUUGUUAGUUUAUAAAGCCAAUAGAGCUCCAGGGAGUGUAGUUUAGGAAAAACCUUUAAUUCAAUCAACUUUCCUUCUUCUCUUUCUGACCACCCCGUGGUGUCGACUACCCCUUCCAUUGACUCACAAGAUCUUAUCUCAAGAUGCUGGAGUUGCAAAAGACUAUUAACCAUAGAAUAGGAAAACAGAUACUUCAUACGAUGACAACUGCUCACGUACAGCUUUGUUAAAUUUCGACAACAGUACAUUCCUUGAUUAUGAUCGGCCCAUAAUUUUUUCAUGUUUCUUAAUGACCUGAGAUCCAAUUCCUCUAAGCUCGGAAGAAUAACCUGCAAAGAAUACCCGUACAUUUUUGUUCCUUCAAGUACAACCGUCUAGUAUAAUAUUCUUUUGAUGAUCGAAGAUUAAUCGUGAUAAUAAAUUAAUCAAUUAAUUAUUGAACAGAAAAUUAUCACCUUUGGAGCAGGAUCAUCAUCAGCAGUGAUUUCGUUGAAUCCCAAAGAAGUUGUUGGUUUCUCCCUGUCGGGUCCUAUAAACAAACAAAAACAAUAUACAUAAUUAAUCUUUGUUUUUUUUUUCAAAAUAAUUGAGGCGAAGUCAAUUAUCCCACCGGUACUUAAUUUCAACACUUACCAACAAUCAUUUCCUGAUCAUCGCAAAAAGCCACUUCUACCUUUUGAAGCCGCAGUAGGUUUUUGGCUAUGGAGAAUGAGAAAAGAUGCUUCAAUUUGUGACAGAAUUUUACUUCUAUAAUCCUUAAGUUGCUGAAAGAUUGAUCUUCUGUGAGUUGGCUGUCACAUAUUGUCUCCAAAUUGAUCAAACGACGAAGAGACAAUGACUCCAGCAAGGGGAAGACUUUGCGACGAACCCGUCCAACUGAACAGACAAUAUGCAAAAUCUCAGAACAACUUUCUGCAGAAAGAUGCUUCAAUCGUGGAUAACCUUCCCCAUCAUCUAAUUCAUGAACAACAUUCUGAACACCCUUCAGUUCUUCUAGAUAGAGAUAUUCAGUUCUCGUCAACAACAGUUUCAUCCUGUAAUUCUGCAAAAGAACGCCAAACUUUUCCAGCCCCUGGAGCUUCAUCAAUCUUGAUAAUCCAGAUUUAACGGACCAGCUGCUCCACCACUUAUUUCCUAUACAUAUCCUAUAGCUUUGUAAUUCCACAGAGACGAAAUCCUGCGGUAAAAUUUCGGCAUCCCGAACAUGUAUCUCCAAAGUAGUUAGCUUUGACAGCCCAUUCAAUUCAGCAAGACUGGCGUUACUUCCUCCUUCAACCUUCUCCCACUGUGAAAAGCUGUUACCAAUAUAUAGUUCUUCUAAUCGAGAUAAUUUUGAUAUGACAUUUGGAGCUAUCACCACAAGACUGCUACAAUUUCUCAAAUCUAGCAACUGUAAUCUCGUCAAUUGUCCAAUUACAACUGGCAACUCCUUAACAUCAGAAUCUCGGAAGCUGAGAAUCUCUAAUUUCCUUAGCUGUCCAAUUAUAGUUAUUUCGUUCAGUCGGCAACCGUCUAAACACAAUGUUCGAAGGUUAAUGAGGCGACCAAGUGAUGAAGGUAAUGAAGAGAAAAAUAUGCCAGUAAAAUCUAAAACUUUGAGUUCUUCUGUCCCUUCAAAAAAGAGGUCUGAAAUUUGCAAAGAGCUAUCACGCUUUGAAAACAACAAAAGUAACUCGAGACGGGGACAUCCCAACCUUUCGGGAAGCUCUUGAAUAUCUCUAUAAGGUAAAGAAAUAGCAAUUGGACCUUCCCGUAUUGUCUCUUCCAUCUUUUUCUCCACGUAGGCAACAUUUGGAAUAUUAAACAUGAGCUCCUUUUCUGCAAUUGAUACAGCAACAGCAUGAAUGAUGUCAUGCAUUUUAACUUCAUCUUCAGCAUCACCGUCCAACAAUAAGCAUGAAGAUUUGAGUUUGUCGAUCAAUGCAUCCACUCUAUUCCUUGCAUUUUCCAAUGUGCGAACAUAUUUAAACAAACCCAAACCCAUACCCAUACCAUAUCUCAACAAGGAAGCAACUUGUAUAGGAGUACCUUCACCAAAUAGAGAACAAAGAAGGAACAAAGAUUUUGCUUCAUCACUUUCCAAGAAGUCGUAACUCAAUUUUAUGGAAGAAUACACAUCUGCAUCCAUACCAUGAAUUUCUCUUAGAUUGGAACUUCUUAGCUGAUUCAACGCAUCCUUCCAAAUGGCAAGACUCUUAUUUUUCAGAGCACUUGCAACUGUUCUCAGUGCAACAGGCAAUCGUCCGCAUUUUCCAACAAUCUCAUCCGCUAAAGGUUGAAAAGCAGAUGCUUUUGCGGAAUUGCCCACGAUCUUUUCAAAAAAUUGCAAUGCUUCUUCCUUUGAUAAAACUUCAAUUGGGAAAAUCUUCUGAGAAUUCAUAUCAUUGAUCAAUAAAUCUUGACUUCUAGACGUCAAUAUUAUCGUGCGUCUCCUUAGAUCUUGCUUUCUAUCUUUCUCAUCAACAUCCCCAGAAGGAAUUCCAAUUUCUUCCAACCUAAGUUUUUUCCAAAUAUUAUCUAAUAUAAUGAGGACUCGCUUCUCUUUCGUCAAUCUUUGACAAAGUUGUUUUGCUCUGUGGGGUUUGCUAUCAUUCAAGUCAAAGUUCAUGUCUAAAUCGGAAGCGAGCUUGUCUUGAAUUUUCUGAACAUCUGGGUUCUCUGUUACCUCAGCCAUAACGACCUUAUCGAACAACUUAUCUUCCAUAACUUGCUUUGCAAUUUGCUUGACUAGCGUGGUUUUACCCACGCCGCCCAUACCGUGGACCCCAAUUAUGUUGAGCUUAUCAUCCCUCAAUGCCUCCACAACAUCUUGAAAUAAUUUCAUUCUUGAAUCAAAGGCCUCGAAAUCUUUCGCUUGCAUAUGUUCUGUACUCUCUGGAGCAGGACGGUGGGAAACACUAGAGAAGUUGCCUUUUCUCACGAGACUAGCGGCAGCUUCUGCGGCCUUUACUGCUUGUUUACUAAGUUUAUAACGAGAAAUCAAGUUGGGGCACAAUCCUUUGAAGCAGGACUUCUUAGCUCUAUCUUCAUCAUCAAUGAUGGAUUUUGCAACCCCUUCACUGAUGCAUUCAUCAACGCCAUUAAGCCAGUCUGCAACAUCCUUGUAAAUCUCAUCUCUUUGUUGAGUAGCCUGACGAACGGGUAUUCCCACCCUUUCUCUUUUAUAUUCCAGCUGCUUCACUUGAUCUUUUAGCUCAGCUAUGUAGCUCUGGUACUUGAACACAUAAGAUAUCUGCCGCAUAAUCCGUUCGAGCAAUGCCUUUGCACCUUCUGAUACAAUGCUUGAAAAAGCUUCGAGACCCACUUCUGAAGCCAUUGCCUAGCCUGUUGCAUAUAUAUAUACAUUAGCCGAUGGAAAAAUUGGAUUCAAAUAAAUUAAAGUGAUCCAGAGGGAAGGACAAAGAAAGAAAUGACAACGAAUGACUUUUUAAACAAAGGUUUCAAGAGCCUGAAUCGAAAACCAACAAUUUGAAAAAAAAAAAAAGAAUUGGAAGAUGGAUGCAAAUUAACCAUUGCUAAUACUACAUAAGAACACAUAAGUUAACAAUGAACAGUUACUUAAGAAAAUUAAAUGACAAGAUUAAAACAAACAAGCGCUAUUUUUUCUUGGACAAAUGUACCUGUUUAAUUAUUAAAGACUUAAUGAGCUUCACUAUUGGCCUUGAGUAUAUAAGAAUGAGCAAGAGAUCAAUGUCAACUGCAGAGGAAUGUCAGUAAAGGUUUCAUGAGAGUGAGUAAUACAAAUGAAUUGUAAAAGAACAAGACUUAAGCGUGCACCCCCUGUUUUGUUUUAUUCGUUAUGAAAAUGAUAUUGUACCCAAUUUUAAGAGAGCAUAAUAAUAACCAUUUAAUGCAUAAAUUUAGAAUUAGCUUUUUUUUUUGUAAUUCUUUAUUUAAAUAUACACGUCAAUGGAAAAUUUUGAAAAUUUGGAUACAAAAUUUUAAAUCACCAGAAAAAAAAAAGCACGGGAACGGAAAUAGAGGAAUCUUGUUUUACCUUUUUUUUUCCCCCCUUUAACUCUCGUUCUUAUAUAAAUAAUCUUGUUUUGAUGAUUGUGACUCGUGACUGCGGGAAAAAUUCUAAUGGAAACAACUCAAUUUCGGAAGAUAAGCUUAAUUCUGCAAGUGAUGAAUUUGUUCAAUAGACUCUGUACCUGAACUCGUUGGAUUGGUUGAUUGAUGAUUGACUAAAUUUGAAUUAAGUUUAAUAGCUUAGCUAUCAUGUACUCCUUAAAAGCAAACGUAAAUCUUUUUUAGAUUUGACUGAAUUUGGGAACCUGUUGGAUUGAUUGUUUUUAGAUCAUUAAUAUCAGAUACUACAAACGUAAAUAUUUUCUUGUGGUUGAGUCCUAUUCAAAUCACACAAAAUUGCACGACCAAAUAUUAAGAGAACGUAAUAAUAAUCACUCAGUGCGUAAGGGUAAAUUUAGAAUUACGUAUUCUUUUUUAUUUAAUAAAAUCCCAGCGAGAAAAUCAUAAAAUUUAGAUAUAAAAUUUUCAAUCACCAAACAAAAAACAGGGGGAAUGAAAACACAGGAAACUUGUUUUACCUUUUUUUCAUCUAACUCUUGUUCUUAUAUAAUAUUUUCCCUAGUGUUUCAGGCAAGCAAAAAAAAAAAAAAAAUCAAUAAAGAGCAAGUUGCUCAAAUUGAUUUAUCUUGUUUUUCAGGCAAUCUUGUGAUAUGAUGAUAAUGCUUAUGAAUGCUAGAAAAACUUCUAAUGCAAACAACUCUAUUUGGGAUGAUAAGCUUAAUUUUACAAGUGAUAAAUAUAAAUAACUUUUUGUGGUUAAUUCAAUUUGUAAUUACCCUUAGCCCUAUUCUAAAAUUUGUUGGCUGCUUCAGAAAAAAAAAAAAAAAAAUUUCACUCAUCUUUAAUCUUCAAGUAAAAAACAAAUCUAAUAAAAUGACAAACAAACAAACAAAUAAAAGACAGCAAACAAACAACAUUUAGCCAACUGAUAUUUAAACAGGGAUUAGAGUUUUUGUUAUUAACUGAAAGGUUUCAAGGGUCUGAAUAAAAUCCCAGACUUUUUUUUAAAACUUUUUUUUUAAUUAACCAAAGCCAUAUAAUAAGAUCACAGACUUUAACAAUGAACAAUAAUUUGAAACUCAAGCAAAACCAAUCACAAGAUUAAAACAAACCAGAGAAUUUUUUUCUUGGAAAGUAGAUGAAAAGCAAGUAAGAACUGCUAUUAAAGGAUAUUAUUAAAGGAUUUAGAACAUGUAUACCUCUUUAUUUAUAUGGGAUCAGAGAGUCGAUGACCUUCUCUAUUCGCUUCGGAUAUUUAGUAAGAACUGCUAUCAAAAGAAUGAAUUGAUGAGUAAUAACAAUGAAUUGCAAAAGAGGAAGACUUAAUCACGUACCCCUAUUGUACCCGAUUUUUAAGAUUUAAUUUUGAAGUCCAGAAUCAAGACAAAAGACGAAGCCUUAACAAAUAUGCAGUGAGAAUAGUUAAGUUGAAGAAAGCACUAGUUUAUGGCUCUGUGUUUCAUAUGCCGUAUUGAAAUAAUUAAGUUGAAGUUUUCAACGAAUAAAUACCUGGUGUGCUGGAAUAAUUUUAGAAGAAUAUUGGCUUAUAGAGAUUAGAGCAUAUUAGGAGGGAUCAGAUUUGUAAGAUGCCUGAUAAAAGAUAAAGCGAAUGUUAUUAUGGACAUACCAAUUUCCGACUUUUCGGAGUGCAUCCGUCUAUCCAUGACUUGAAAAGAGACCCAAUGUGUGGACAGACUUGAUUACAUNNNNNNNNNNNNNNNNNNNNNNNNNNNNNNNNNNNNNNNNNNNNNNNNNNNNNNNNNNNNNNNNNNNNNNNNNNNNNNNNNNNNNNNNNNNNNNNNNNNNNNNNNNNNNNNNNNNNNNNNNNNNNNNNNNNNNNNNNNNNNNNNNNNNNNNNNNNNNNNNNNNNNNNNNNNNNNNNNNNNNNNNNNNNNNNNNNNNNNNNNNNNNNNNNNNNNNNNNNNNNNNNNNNNNNNNNNNNNNNNNNNNNNNNNNNNNNNNNNNNNNNNNNNNNNNNNNNNNNNNNNNNNNNNNNNNNNNNNNNNNNNNNNNNNNNNNNNNNNNNNNNNNNNNNNNNNNNNNNNNNNNNNNNNNNNNNNNNNNNNNNNNNNNNNNNNNNNNNNNNNNNNNNNNNNNNNNNNNNNNNNNNNNNNNNNNNNNNNNNNNNNNNNNNNNNNNNNNNNNNNNNNNNNNNNNAUUUAAUAAUUAUAGAAGAAUAUUGGCUUAUAGAGCAUUUUAGUAGGGAUAAGAUUUGUGGACAGAAUAAAUGAAAUAAUAAAAAGCAUAACUGAUCAAGUCAUUAUUGAUCUUACUUUGAUUAUUACAUUGCACAUUAGUUUCUUUCUAAAAAUGCCAUUCUUCAUUCAAGCUUUCGCUUUAUCUUUUAUCAGGCAUCCUACAAAUCUUAUCCCUACUAAUAUGCCCUAUAAGCCAAUAUUCUUCUAAAGUUAUUAAAUGCCAUUCUUCAUUCAAGCUUUCAUGGACAUUAUCUACAAACUGAAUCUUCAAUGUAAUAAAAUAAUGAUCAGCCUCACAGGAUACAUAAAAAGCUCAUUUAUCACAAUCAUUUCCUAGUGCAUCAUAAACUUAGAUUAUUUAAUUUUACUAUUAGGAAACCUACUUAUAAAAGGCGCACACUACAAAUUCUAAAUUAAAUUUCUAACUAAGAAUAAAAGGUAAACCCUAGCAAUUUUCCACCAGGUGCCGUGUAGCCUGCAUCAUAAAUUUUGAUUUAAAUCUUUGUAAUCACCGAACAGAAAAACCGGGGAAUGAAAACAGAGGAGCCCUAUUUUUCCAUUUUUUUAACCCUUAACUCUUGUUCUUCUAAUUAUAUUUUUGCUUGGAAUUUCAGGCAAACGAAAAAAAAUAGUGACAACUAUUUAGAGAGAACAGGUGGAUGAUAGCAAAAAUAUUUUUAAUUAAUAUGCAUGAUUAACUCUUGUUCUUCUAAUGUAGUGGCUUGAUUAAUUAAUAUUUUUAAUCAAGCCAUUACAUUAUUGGUAGUCUCUGUGGGCUCAUUUCGUCUCCAGACCUGAUAUUGUAUAUCUCUUUUUGAAUAUGUUUAAUUAAUAUGCAUGCUGCUGAAUAAAGACGAUGAUUUCCAAAUUUUUGUUGCUUUUUUUUUUUCUUUUUGCUGCUUUGGUACAUGAAGAAUGUGGAAAUAGAAAUAGCUUUCGAAGUUUAAUGGCUUGCUUCAUUAGUAAAGAAAGACUAGGAUAUCCGUCCUUUUUGUUACUGAAUUAUUGAUCAAUUGACGGUUGAAGUUAGUUAUAUUAAUUUGUUGUACAAGAAUUGAAGCUUAUAUCUUUACCGUUUCGUGAAAGUGUCAAAUAUGUUCUUUCCUUGCAAUUGUUCAAAAUAUGUUACACUUUUGAAGUCACUAUUACAUAAAGGGUGUUGUAAAAUAGGGAAAGGCGGGUUUAUGAUUAGAUUUUAAUAUGUUUAAUUCAAGGAUUAACCGAAGCUAUUAACCAACGGCUACUAACCGAAAACCGAAUUUAACAAUAAACACUAACUCAGAAUUCAAGAAAAUUAAAUGACAAGAUUAAGACAAAUGAGAGAUAUUUUUCUUGGACAUUAAGAAAGAACUACUAUCAAGAUCAAGGAUUAGAGAUUAUAUAUGCUAUUAUUAAUAGAAAUUAUUAAAGGAUUUAGAACAAGUUCACCUCGUUGAUUAUCUGGGAUGAUGAGUUUCUAUAUUCACCUUGAAUAUAUAAUAACAAUUUUAGUGAGCAAAAGAUCACUGGUAACUGCAGAGGAAUGUGUGAGUUUAAGAGCUUAUUAGAGUAAGCAAUACAAAUGAAUUUUCAAAUUAUGUACUUGGUCAUUGUUGUCCUACUGACGCACGUUUUUUUUCAUGAAUAAUUGCCAGAUCAGAAAAGAAUAAGUUCGGUGGAUUGAAAGAUUGCUGAAGCAAGUAAAACAAUCUUCAUAUCGAACAUGAUUCCAAUUAAAUUAAUCUUUUUAUAAGAUGACUAAUAAAAGACAAAAGUAGAAGCUUUGAUGAAUGAACGAUGACCAAAACUUUUGUAAAAGCGGAUGCCGAUAAAAUAAACAAAAGGCACUUUAAAAAGAAACUAAAGUGCGAUCAUCAAAGUAAGAUCAAUAAUGACUCGAUUUAUUUCACCUAUUCUGUCCACAAAUGAUGCUUCGCUAUUACAAGGUCCGAAUGGACAUUAUUUACAAAUUGUUCUUAUGUUUCACAGAAAAAUGAAAAACCGUUCAUCAUCAUAUAAUUAUGAAAUAAAUAAAUUUUAUUAAUGGAUUAUGGGGAUAUGUUAAUGUUAGGGAUAUGUUCAAAUCAUCAUAUAAGUUACUAAACGCUUCAACAAGAACAAGAAUUAAUGAGUUAAAAGUAAAAAAAAAAAAUUUUAAAAAAAGUUAAAUAAAUAAAACUUAGAAGUAAAGAAUGUUAUUUGCAAUCACCAAAAUGAAAACAGUGGAACCCUGUUUUUCCUCUCAUUUCUCUUUCUCUCUUUUUCAUUUGUUGGGAAGUGUCGCCUAAAACACUUCCUCUGCUAGGUGGAAUUAUUGGCUUGAAGAGAUGAGUUCUUGUCACAAGCACAAAUUUUAUCUGUACAUUAUUUCAUUUUAAAUGAUGAGUUCUUGUCACAUGAUCAUUACUUUUUUUGUUUUGAUUUGGUUAGUUCAUGAUAACAAACAAAUUAUUUUGCAUCACAUUAUGGUAAAAAGUUGCCCUCUUUGUUACUUCCACAGCUAUAUAGUUUAAUAUUUUGUAAUAAGAUCACAAAGUGCAUGGGAACCACUGUUCGAGUACUUCAGCCUAAUAUGAAGAUCUAUUGAAAAUUUUCCUGAUGUCAUGAUAUUAAACAAAAAAAGGUACCUCUUUUACUAAUUAAUAAGAGAAGUUUUGACCGAUUUCAUGUGACUCUCUUUUACUAAUUAAUAAGAGAAUUUUUGGCCUUAUAUCCUUGCUGUGGCGUUAGACUGUUGGUCAUUUUGAUUGUUUCCUACUUUCCGUUUACGCCAGCUGUAACAUUGUAUUAUCACCAUUUUAGCCAUUUAAAUGAAAUUUAUUUUUGUCAAAAAUAAAAUGACACCCUUAAAAUUAAAAAAAAAAUAGUUAUGUAGACCUCAAAUUUUUAAUAAAGAAUGCCAAUACCCCUUUUAACUACAAGAUUCUUAGUAGAUGAUAACUAAAAAAAUUAACUUCAAAAAUUUUCACUAAAUAUAAAUCUAAUUGAAAUAGUUUAAAUUUUCUAGUAGACUAAUAUAUAUAACUUAAAUAAUUAAUUUCAUUAUUAAUUUUUAAAAUGUUAAAUAAUAUAUUUUAAUUUAUUAUAAAAAAUUUAAAUAAAUUCUUGGAUUAGAUAGAUUUUACAAUUAAUGUAAUACUGCUGAUUUAUUAAUAAUAUUAAAAUUAUUUUAUAUGAUAUUCAAAAUAAUUUAAACUUUUAUAUAUUUAUUUUAAUAUUAUGUCUAUUUAUUAUAAAUUUAUAAUUUGGUUUAAUAUAAUACGGGAUUGUAAAAUAUUAAAAUAUUUUUCAAUAUCAAAUUAUUUUAAUAUGUAUAUAUCAUUACAUUUAUUUUAAUAUUGCAUUUAUAUUUAUUAAAGAGUAUUGCAGUAAAGUAAAAAAAAAAAAAGUCUUAUUAUCCCUUAUUCACGAUAUGAGGUUCUACAGAAUUAUUUCCCCAAACGGGUGUCCUUUUCUCAUUUUCAAAAGAAAAAAUAAAGUAAGAAUAAGACCAUGGAUUUCAAAAAACUUAUAGUCCUAUCCCGGGACCAAACGUCUAUUCAUUAUUUUAUUUAUUCAAUAUAAAUGGCCAACUUAAAAAAAUGAUAAAAAUCACACAAAGCUCAAGUGAAAAUUUAGAAUUACAUUUUUUAAUACUCUCGGAGUCUUCUCUCCUGCCCCCUUUUUUUCUUAAAAAAAAAAACCUUAGUGUAAAAUUAGAAGAAUUUUAGAUAUAAAAUUUGACAAUCGCUAAACAGAAAAGCAGCGGAUUAAAAAUAGAGGAGCUCUGUUAUCAUUGCAAUAUUGAUUAUAGAUAAUAUAAUAACUUGUUGUGGUUCAUUGUAGCACUCUGAGCCAUACUUUAAAAUUUACUGGUUUGUUAAUGCUUUUAUUAUUGACAUUAUUGUGUCAAUAUUAUUAUAAUUUAUUCAUUUUAUUGUAAUGAUAAUUUGUCUAGUCUUAGGUACUUAUUAUAUUAAAUUAUGUAAAUUAAUUGAGAAUACUUUUACAGACAAAAGAAACACGUGUAUGUAGGAUUAAUAAGCGAAGAGUUGUAAAUGAAGCUGAUUGCUUCAUUGAGAUGCAUAUUAAAUAAUUAUGGAGAGUUGCUCUAUUUCAGAAGCAUAUAUUUAUACUUCCCUAUCAGGAUUUGGGGUAAGCGAAGUGCUUUAUGUAUUGCAGUAAGCAAAUGUGGGCAACAUCAGAGCCGAAAUAUUAAAAGAUCAUAACGCAUAUAAACGAUUAGUAUAUUCAAGGCACAUAUAGCGGAAAGAGUGCAGAUCUGGCCGUAACUAUUAUGAGGAUUUCCUCAAGUAAAUAUUAAAAGAACAACUAUUCUGAACUAUAUAUUCUUCAUUGUGGGCAGAUUUACUUAAAUACCAACACAAUGAUUCAAUACUUCAAAAGUCAAGGAAAUGUCAAAAUAUGAAAUGAAAAUACUUAAAUACCCUUCUCCCUAACAAAACUUAGUACUUCUAACUGCCAUCGCAGAGAAUAUAUAAAAUUUAAAAAAAAAAUCAUCCAUGAAAAGUUUCGUAACAGAAAAACCGUCUUUCAAAAAAUAAAAAAUAAAAAAUAAAAACAGAAAAAUUGACUCAUUUAUCUGCCAAUGAACCAGUCGGGACUCAUUUAAAAAAGAUUACAAAGCAAAAGUAAAUGACACAAAUUGCAUAGAUAUCUAAGAGCCGCAUCAAAGGACAAAGGUGUUAAUUUGUCCAAGUAAUAAAUUCUCCUAGGUCAAAAGCAAUUAACGAUGAAAACUUUCUUCAUUAAGGUUCUGGCCUACGUAAAAAAACAGAAAAAACCACCCCAAGGUCAAAGCACAACGAUAAGUUUAGAAUUGCAGUUUUUAAUUUUUCUUUUUAAUAAAUCAACGUGUAUUAAAAAUAGAUAAAAAUUUUGAAUAAUGUUUUUUUGAUAAAUAUAGACAUAAAAUUUAAAAAUCACCAAACAGAAAAACAGGGCAAUUAAAAGAGAGCCCUUGUUUCUCCUCUGUUUUGUUUGUUAUUAAACGGGGAAAUGAAAAGAUCGCAAGCAUAAAUUUUGUUUCUGCGUUGUCUCUUCUCAAUGUUGCAUGCAUUCAAAUUAAACCUUAUAUAUGAUAGCAAACUAGCUACUCUGCAUGUACGAUAAGUCUAAAUAAUAGAAUAAUUGUAAAAUGUUCAAAUUCAGUAAUUAAUUAUACAUAUUUAUUUAUUCAAAAAUUAUUAUUAUUAUUAAUUAUUGUCAAUAAUAUAUUAAUAUACUAAUUAAUUAUAAAAAUUUUUAUCAUUCAUAACAAUAACAAUGAUGAUGAUGAUGAUAAUAAUAAAAAUUCAAAAUAUAUUAAUUAAUUAUAAUAAUAUAUUAAUUAUUUAAUACUAAUAAUAAUAAAAAUGUAAAAUGUAUAAAUUGAUUAGAAUAGUUAUAUUAAUAAAUUAUAAACAUAUAUUAAUUAAUCAUAAUAAUUUUUUAAUUGAGGACAAAAUAGACAUUUUAUAGUUUGUGAGAGGGGGCAAAAUGGUCAAUUUUGGGAAUGGGAGAUUGAUUCCCACCACCUUCCUUGGGAAUCAAUUUUCCAUUCCUCAUUCCUAAAUUUGGGUGGCCCCAUAAUUCUGAUUUGGAUCCCUGCCUCCAUCAUUAAUGAUUUCGAUUUCGGAUUCCGAUUCCCCAAUCCAAGAAGUAAAGGCACCAUUAUUGUUAAUUGGUUCAAACACACAAAGAGAAUGUACCGUGUAGCUAGGCGUCAAGGUUGUGUUGCACAAGUAACCUUUUUCUUUUCUUUUUAUUUUUCUUGUUUUCCUUAACGGAUCAGAAGAAAUUGGUGCCUUUGAGAUACCACAAUGUAAAUAAUUAUUUGUGGUUCAUUGAAUCUGUAACACUCGGUACCCUAGGGUUGCUUUGGAAAAAGGGCUUUUCUCACCGAUCGCCAAUAUCCAAGUAAGUUUGUUUCAUUUCAGAAGGUGCAAAGUUUCAAACUUGUUGUAUUGGGAUGUAACAAACUUUGGCCUUAUAUGCCUGCUGUGACGUGAGACUGUUCAUUUUGAUUGUUUCCUACCUUCCACUUACGCACUGUAGCACUGUAUUAUUCACCAUUUUAGCUGUUUAAAUGAAAUUUUAUUUUUGUCAAAAAUAAAAUGACACCAUUAAAAUUUAGAAAAAUAAUCAUGUAGAUCCCAAAUUUUUAAUAAAGAAUACCAAUAUUCCCCUUGACUACAAUACCCUUAGUAGGUGGUAAUAAAAAAAAAUUGGCUUAAAAUUUUUACGAAAUGUAAAUAUGAUUUAAAUAAUUUAAAUUUUCCAGUAGACUACUAUAUAUAAUUUAAAUAAUUAAUUUAAAUAUUAAUUUUUAAAAUGUAAAUUAAUUUAUUUGUAUUUAUAAAAUAUUUGUAAUUAUUUUAAAAUUUAACUAAAUCCUUAGGUUAAAUAGAUUUUACAAUUAAUAUAAUAUUUCUCAUGUAUUAAUAAUAUUAAAAUUAUUUUAUAUGAUAUUGAAAAUAACCUAAAUUUUUAUAUAUUUAUUUGAAUAUUAUGCUCUAUUUAUUAUAAUUUGGUUUAAUAGAAUACGAGAUUGUAAAAAAUUAAAAUUUUUAGAUAUUGAAAUUAUUUUAAUAUGUAUAUAUUAUUAUAUUUAUUUUAAUAUCCUAUUUAUAUUUAUCAUAAAUUAUUAGAGUUAAUUUUUUUAGUUAAUAAAUUUAAAAAAUAUUAUAAUUUAAAAAAAAGUCUUGUUGUCCGUUAUUCACGAUAUGAGGUUCUACAAAAUUAUUUCUCCAAACGGGUGUCCUUUUCUUUUUUUCAAAAGGAAAAACAAGUUCAGGGCCUCAGGGGUUUCAAAAAAUUCUGGUCCUAUAUACCACUAUGACUAAUGGGAAACGACAUUGCAAUUGACAUUGCUUUCCACAAUAUGAUAGAUUAUUGGAGGGAUAUGAGAGAAUUGUCAAACGUUCACACACGCGAGAGCUUUAGGUGGGAUAGGGGAGGAUUGUCAAGAGUUCACACCACGAUAAACUAAUGAUAGGCCUAAUUUUGUUGUCAGUUCUUUAUUUAUUUAUUUUAUGUAUAUCAUACAUUAUUGUAUUUUGUCAAGGUAUAAUAGUACAAGUAAAAUACUAGGGGUGCUGUUAAGUUACAACUUAUGUAACUUGCAAUUUUUUCAAAAAUUAUGUAAAAAAUUUAAUAGGUGGUGGAACCCACAUAUUUUUUAAGAGACUUAAGUUACAGCAGUUGUAACUUAACAAAAUCUAAAUAUUAGACAAUAAUGCAUAUAAUUUGGGUUUGAUUUUUAAAAGAUUAUUUGAGUACCACCUAUCCUUAUGAUAUUAAUGUGAUUAUAUCUUAAUAUUAAAUAAUCAAAAUUUGUUUAAUUAUUAUUUGUAUUUCAUACAUUACAUAUUAGAUUUGUUUGAAUUUUAAGUUGUUGCUAAUAAAUAUUUAUGUUGUCAAAGUCAAAGUCAAUAGCUACAAAAGUAGAGAUAAUGGUAUUGUAUAUAGUUUUUAAGAAUGCAAGGAUAAGCUGGAUAAUUGACAUAAAUUCUAAUGAUUAAAAGAGCAACUAUCCCUUAAGUUAUAAUGUCAAUUUCUUUAAUUAGAAUUUUUUUUUCAUGUGAUAUAACCUUAAUUGCUACAAUUUUUUUUAUAAUAAUAAUGGGAGUUAUAAAUUAUUUAUAUAAAAUUUGGGUUGAAACUAAUGUAACCUAAAAGUGGUUGCUGAAUAACAAUAUUUGAAACUUUAGGUAAUUUUCAUGAGUCCUUUUUAUAUUCAACAACUUGAAUUGGGGGAAAUCCGACUUGAAUUGGCGGUUGAUUUUGGUGAUGUGGCUUUCGGUUUACGCCGGCUUUACAGUGGCGGAAGACUGGAUUUACGGUUGCCGACUGCUAGGGAUUAUGGUGGUAGUGUAAAUUGACGGAAAAAGAAGGUGUUUUGGUGGCGGCGCGUCUAGGAAGCACUCGUGGGUUGUUGUUUCGUGUGGUGACAGCGGGCGGCGAUCAAGGGCUGAAGUUGGUCGGUUUUUGGUCAGCAGAGGCCGGCGAGUUUGUUGGUGGAGGUGGCUGGUGGAGAAAGUGGCUGAAUGGUGGUGGGUUGCUUGGUGGAGCCGCGGGUUUGGGUUGGUGAUUUGCGGCUGUUCAAGCGGUGGUUGAGGCAGCGAUGACUAAGGCUUGGUCGACGGUGGCUAGGGAGGUUUGUGGUGGUGUUGGCUGGCUGAUCGGCGGUGGUGGACGGCGGUGGAGGUUGAUGUGACAGGUAGGGUUUUCAAAUUUGUAAAUUUUUUUUUUGAUGGAUUUGGUUUGGAUAGGUAUGGUGUAUCUAGGAAAGAUGUGCGAUUCGCACAUAAUCAUUUUGAUACCAAUUGAUGGAGCGAGGCGUAGCGGAAGCAGAAUUGAUAGGGUAAGAAACAUUAGAUAUCGUUCUAGUACUAGACCAAGCCAACACGAUUAGUUUACGCUCUAAUUGAAGCGUGAUUAGAUAUCGUUAUAAUCCAAAUGACUCAGUGAGAUUUUUAAUAACGCGUAAUACGAGAUUAGAUGACACUCUAAUCCAAAUGACUCUACAAAAGAGAUUUUGAUAACUAAUCCUAGAGGAAAUUAUAAAAGAGGGGGUUUAUUUAAUAAUUGAACUUGAAGUUAUGAAAAUAAUGACAAGACAUCUUUAUUUUUUUUAUUACAGGCAUCUUUAUUUAUAAUAGAAGAAACCCGCUUUCCUAAGUUAACCUAAAAAGAAAAUUUAAAUCAUAAUUAUAAUGGAAAUAAAAGAUUAAGAUACAUACCAUAAUUAACUCAAACUAAAAUAGAAAAUCAUAAAAUAAUAAAUAUUCUAGAAUUAUAAAUUAUCUAAAAUAACGUUAAUUAACUUCCUAAAUCACUUCUUUGGUGUAAACCAUUUUGCAUCCAUCCUCGCUUUAAAGGUUUGAACCAACGUUACCAACAAUAAUGUAUCAAAGUCCAAUCUAACUUAAGAUCUUGAUACAUCUACCGAUGUCCUUGUUUGAUUAGACAAUAAUGAGUCUAUCUCAUCACUUGUUACCUCUUUCUUGAAGGCUGCAUCUGUUGAAGUGAUAGUCUCGCUUAGAGUUUAAAGAUCUUCUUCCAUGUUAAAUAAAAUGGGCAUUUGAUUAAAAAACUUUAUCUCUAUCUCCUUCUAUCAAAUAACGACAACUAUCCGAAGGAAAAAAAAAAUAGAAAAGUCCAUGGGUCACAAUAAUUUAUGGUCUGUCCCCGGACCCCAUUAUCUGCCACUAUCAAUGAUGAAAAUGAAAAUAAAUGGCAUCUUCCCAAAAUGGCGAAAGAUUUUUGGGGGAUAUGGGGGAAUUGUCAAAAGUUCACACAACGCGAAACAAGUGUUACAUCCAAUUUUAUUUCGUCAUAUAAUGAUAAUAUCAAAUAAUGACAACCAUCCAAAAGUAUGAUGGGUCUUCCAAAAUUUUGAAAAUGUCGUCAACAUUUAAUCUUCAAUGCUAAAGAAGAUGAAAUGACCAAAAAUGACACGCAUGACUCACUCACAGACUAAAUGGCUCUGACCACAUGUAACAAACUUUGAUCUUAUGUCCUUACUGAGGCGUUAGACUGUUGGUCAUUUUGAUUGCUUUUUACCUUCCAUUUAUGCCAUUGUAGCAUUAUACUAUUCACCAUUUUAGCUGUUUAAAUGAAAUUGUUAUUUUUUUUCCAAAAAUAAAAUGGCACCCUUAAAAUUUUAGAAAAUAGCCAUGUAGACCCCAAAAUUUUAAUAAAGAACACUAAUAUCCUUUUUUACUAUAGUACUCUUAGUAGAUGGUAACAAAAAAAAAAAUGACUGUAAAAGUUUUUACUAAAUGUAAAUAUGAUUUAAAUAUUUUAAUUUUUCUAGUAGACUAGUAUGUAUAAUUUAAAUAAUUAAUUUUUAAAAUGUAAUUUAAUAUAUUUAUUUUAAUAAUAUAUUUAUUAUAAAAAUUUUAAACAAAUCCUUGGGUUAAAUAGAUUUUAUAAUUAAUAUAAUAUUUCUCAUGUUUUAAUAAUAUUAAAAUUAUUUGAUAUGAUAUUGAAAAUAAUUAAAACUUUUAUAUAUUUAUUUGAAUAUUAUGUCUCUAUUUAUUAUAAUUUGGUUUAAUAGAAUCAAAUGAAAGUGUACAUGUACAAGAAGAAAGAACCAUACACCAAGUAAAACGUAAAAAGGAUUAAAUAAAUGACACCAAUCCCCGGCAACGGCGCCAAAAUUUGAUGGUUGUCGAAGCCAACAAAAAUAAAUUCCUACUCUAAAUAAAUUGUGUAUAGUGAUUGAGCAGGGUCGUGUCCACAGAGAUCGGUAAUUAUUUAAAUCCUUUUAAAACGUAAAACAUAAAAUGGGGGUUUUGUUGACAAUAAUAAAAAUCAAAUUAAAAUAACAAGAAUGCAAAUUAAAGUUGUAAUUCAAAUUAGAGAAAGCUCUGGUUGAAGGAAUUAACUCAGCUUGAUUCGACUACUGAUCAUUGAUUCAAAUAUAGAUUAUUAUUACUUAUUAAUAGACCGGUUAUAGCUAUUGAGACCCUCUAAUAGCCAAUUUGUCCUUAACUAGUCGAUAACCAAGGUACGACCGUCAGAUAUUUCCCUAAUCAACAGACAACCCUAGAUACGAUCAUAGGAUUUAAUCAAUUGACAGCCUGAAAAACCAGAGAGACCCAAAUCCUAAUCAACACAUAUGAUGAUUCAUUUAAAUUAGAUUGUUUAUUCUCAUAACACAACUCACUGCUAUGUUAUUUGUCACAAACAUUAAAAUCUUCAUACGAUGAAUCCUUUAAUUGACAAUAGAUUAAGUUGAUAAUUAAAUAGUGGCCAAUUACCUAAUUAACAAACAUAAUCAUGAAACUAAUUCAGAGAAUAAACAAAUACCCAAAAAGUAAUAAAACAAUUAAAGCAUAAGAAAGAUCUCACAGUAGUGAUGAAUCAAAGCUUCAUUAACCUUCAACCAGAAAAAUAAGUUUAGUUCUUCAUAGAGAGAAGAGAAAAAUUAGAUCUAGGGUUUUUUUCUUUUUCUCUCAUCCCCCUUUUUCACUAUAGAUUCCUCCCUUAAAUACUCUCUCUCUCUUCUCUUUUAGAGUUCUAAUUAAAAUAAAAUACUAAUAUCUGAAAUAUUAAAUUCGUAAUUACAAAAAUAACCAAAAAUACAAAACAUGUUAAACUAAAAACUACAGGUCCGCAGUUGACAGCACGCGCCCACGCCUUAUCAAGAAAGUUCUUCUGACUCUCUAAAUUUCUCCAAGAGAACAAUCAUCUUUAAACAUCAUCUUAUAACUCAAUUUUAUCACAAAUCAAUAGAAUUGCACCUACAAAAGUACAACACAAGUAAAUCAUUAUUAUUAAGUGCAAAACAUCGAUAUUAAGGGAAGUAGACAAUGCAAAACUAGUGCAUAAAUUGCACUCUAACAAGUUCACACCACGAGAAAUUAAUGAUAGGCCUAAUUUCGUUGUCAGUUCUUUAUUUGUUUAUUUUAUUGAUUUCAUACAUUAUUGUCUUGUUGGUACUAUUUUGUAAAGAUAUAAAAGUACAAGUAAAAUAUUAGGGGAAGUAAAAUAAAAUAUUGGAGGUGCUGCUAAGUUACAGCUGCUGUAACUUACAGUUCCUUCAAAAAUAAUGUAAAAAAUUUAACAUGUGGUGGGACCCACAUUAUGUUUGAAGAGGCCGUAAGUUAUAGCAGUUGUAAAUUAGUAAAAUCCAAAUAUUAGAUAACAAUACACAUUAACAAUGCAUAUAAUUUGGGUUUGAUUUUUAAAAAAAUUAUGUGAGUAUUACCUAUCCUUAAGAUAUUAAUGAGAAUAUAUUUUAAUAUUAAAUAAUCAAAAUCUGUUUAAUCAUAAUAUGUAAUUCAUACAUUGCAUGUUAGAUUUGUUUGGAUUUUAAGUUGUUGCUAAUAAAUAUUUAUGUUGUGAAAGUCGAAUUCAAUAGCUACAAAAGCAGAGAUAAUGGUAUUUUAUGUAGUUUUUAAGAAUACAAGGAUAAGACCAUAACGCAUGAGAUAAUGGUAUUUUAUAUUAAAAGACCAUAACACAUGUAUUUGAGCCAUUUAUAUUGAGGACACAUAUAGAGCGAAGAGUGCAGAUCCGGCCGUAACUAUUGUGAAGCUUUCCUCAAGUAUUCUCAUGCACGCAGACCUUAGCUGGUCAAGUUUUCUGAUUCAAUAUAAUCAAUUUCCGCGCAGUACUAACGACAGCUUCUUUGUAAAGCUCUUCAACCACAAGCAUUUCUACAAGGCAAAAGACUAGGACGUGUCAGAAUGAAUAUCAAUAAGGGAAUGUCUUAUGAAUUUAGUUUAUAUCCUAAUAUAAGACAAUCAAUAAAUAUUAGAUGCAAUCUAAGGGAAUGUCUUAUGAAUCCUGAUUGAUGGCCUCUCACAGUCAGUUAUAUGACAAAGUAGCCACCACAACAAACUUGAACUUGGCUGGAGGUCUCAUUAGCAGUAUACCUCAGAAAUUAAGACAAAGACUUUAAAAUGCAAACUUAUGGAGCAAUUUAAGCACUGAAACUAAUAACAGUACUGUAUUAGCAAUUGACCUCUGCUUUUUUCUUGGACAAAGGUUCUCAUCACAAGGGACUCAUUAGUUGCCCUUGCCUCAAACGUUUGGAUGCUAAGGGGAAAAAGGAAGUUUGAAUUAGUCAAUCUCAUUUCUAAUGGCAUUCACAGAGAACCUAUAAAACAAAAAAAUUAUAAAAAAAAAAAUCAUCCAUAAUUCGCCAAACCGAAAAGAAAAACAGGGGAAUGAAAAGAGAGCCCACGGGAAUGAAGAGAUCAGCUCUUGUCGCGAAAAUGCAGUCGACUGUAACUAUAUCCGGGUCCCUAGUACUUAGAAGUAAAUGCUCUUGGAAUUUCUAUUAUAGAUUGAUGUUUCCCGUUCAAAUAGCUCUUCCGAUACCAUUAACAUGUUCAUCUCUCUAUAGAUUGAUGUUGACAUAGAUGUUAUUCUACUUUUGCUAGUGGAGUUUUCCUUGUACAGGUAUGUAUGAUUGUUUUUUUUGCACUUCUAAAUGGACACUGUUGAAAAGCUUAAAAUUGAACUGAUAAUUUUGUUUGGAAGCUCAGAAAAUUCAUGAGAAAGUGAAAUAGAAUAUUCUGGAUUUCUUUUCUUUCCAUAAUAUACAAAUGACAAACGUAGCAGUAUUUAUACUCGUUGCUUACAUCAUAAAAACAGAAUUAAAACAAGGUACACAACUAUAACAGAAUCAAAAGCGUGCUUAACUAAUUGGCAGAGCUGGCAUAUACUUCUUUAACUAACAAUGCUGCUGACUGGACUUUAGCUCACACAUGCUUAUCGUGCAGCUACUCUUAGUUCACACGUGCUCAGUCUGCUGUUGGCCCAAAGUUGGAACCAGAGAUAUCAUGACUCUGGUUUCAUUUCACCUCAACUGUGUUUUUUUUUUUAAAUUAAAAAAAUCAUUUGUUUUAGGUAUACAUACAUGUAUUUUGAUUCUAUUUUCAUUGUAAUUUCUCAUUUACUUUGAAUGAAAGUCAUUGGUGUUUUCGAAUGGGAAUUUUGCAUUAAAAAAUGAAGAAUAGUGAUUUUUGGAGUGUAAUUAGUAGUAAAGUUGGUUUUUACUCGCAAACAAGUGAACUGCUCGAUUCCCGAGUGGUAUCAACCAGUUUCCAACUUUUUAAUAUACACUAAUUGUUAUUGUUUAAUAGCUACUACUAUUAAAACUCGACAUCUAACAAAAAUACUUAAAAAAAAUGAUUUUUCUUAUGAUGCUGUAAAAAAAAAUUACGGGUUUACUUCUUUCCAUGAGAUCUAUAACAUGGUCUUGACUUCACGAAAUUCUUUUAAUUUAAAGCUUGCUGGUGUGAGAAGGUCAGUUUGACUGAUUAAUUCUUUUUAACAGUGGUCGAGAUAAUUUUACUAUCUAAUCGAAUGUUAUGCUGUUUUCUUUUUCUAAUCUGGUGUGAGAUAAUUAAUUCUUUUUCACAAAUGCUAUGCUGUUUUCUUAGGCUAAGGAUCUUCUAUCAGGAGAGGUUAGAAAUUCAAUGCUUAAAAGAGAAUAAUACAGAAAUUUAGGCAGAAUCUAAUCGAAUAUUGCAUGAAACAUGAAAAAUCAAUUCAAGUCCUUUCUUUAAACGGAGAAUGCAUCAAACAAAAUCCAAAGUGUCUUGCACGUCUGUAGCAUGAGCAAAAAAUUGUAAAUAUGUAGAACCAAAUUAUUCAAGUACAGAAGAACGAGCAAGCUAAAUCAUGUAUAAGAGAUUGGCCUGGUUCGGGAUAGCUUCUUCACUGUACCUGAAGGAUUGGCUCAAUCUCUUCUUUAGAAUUCUGCAGAUUUUGUAAUUACUCGUGUAAGCAAGCAUACAUUGCCACCAUAAGAAUAAUAAAGCUAGAGUAAUGAUAUGACCACCACCUCUUGUGCACAAACAAUAUUGUAUAAACUAAUGCGACAUAAUAUGAUUGGUUAAACAAAAACAUUACAUGGCCCUCAUAAUUUAUUUAUUUAUUUAUUUAUUUAUUAUUAUAUUUUUUCAGUAAACCAAUCAUAUUAUAUCACAUUAGUUUCUAUAAAAUAAUUUGCUAAAUAGCACCAAAACUUAAUUGAUACUCACCAUUUCAUUGAACAAUUUUUUUAUGGUGUCAUUGAGAUUGCCUUCCCAACAUCCUUCAUCAUCAUCAUCUUCAUCAUCAUCAUCAUCUUCUUCAUCAUCAUCUUCUUCAUCAUCAUCUUUUUCUUCUUCUGUGACGUUCACUUUGUUUAGCAUUGGUGUGUCUAAGACUCCUUGAGAGAAGAUCUUCAUUUUUGGACACUGUCUCACAACUACUGGUUUCAAGGACGGGAAUUCAAGAGCGUAAUUACCCGAACAAAAGCUUGUUAGGCUUGGCAAACAAUCAAGUCCCAAGUACUCCAAUUCCUCGAAGACAACGCAACCUUUCGCUUCUUCUCCAACCUGCAAUUGUAUGAUUUGUUCUAUCAUUUUGCAAUCAGCUAUCUUCAUUCUUUGAAGAGUCACUAGACUUUCAGAUGUUGAGAGCGUCAAUAAAUUUAUCAACCCAUGACACUUCGAUACUUCCAGAGUCGCAAGAUUUUCCAAAUGCCACGAAGCUGGUACUAAUUUCUGCAACUUACUACAUUCAAAUAUUUCUGGACUUUUCAAGUUUGCAAACACUUUGUUGGAUUUGGCAUUUUCCUUCCAGAGAUGCUGCACUUUGUGUAAUCCAGAUAGCUUUAACUUCAUCAAUUGAGGGAAUGCAACCUGAAAAUCAACAAAAUUAAGUUGUAAAUGAAAAUAUGUAUCCAAUCUCUGCAGUCUUCCCCUGCAUAUUUUAUGAACAAGAUUAAUCACGACAUUUUAUAUUUUAUUUCCAAAUUAGUAUGCUUUGCAGUAGGAUCCCAAAUAUAAGUAUCAAAUCGAUUACCCUUUGAAACACAUAAAUGAAAUCUGAUGCUAAAUCCAAUAUGAAUUAGCUAGGAAAACAGAGAUGUAACACGCAUAAUCGAUAUAGUUCAUCGCCUUAUGUCACCAGGCAUCUAAUUAAUUUAAGACAUUUUUAUAAUUCAUACUAUAAAGUUAGUUAAUAACAGAGGUUAUAUUGUUAAAUCAGAUAUAAAUUAAGACGACCUGCAAAAAGAUGAGUCAUUAAGUUUGAUUUGAUUCUAAUGAAAUUACAUCUGUGCGAACGAAAGUGAAGGCAAUAAUAAUAAUAAUAAUAAUAAUCACCUUUUCAUCGAAGAGGGGUUGUACUUGAUGAGCCAGCAAGAAGUUCUCUUCUGAUGUUAAUUUUUGAGGUUUCUUGUUAUCUGUUGUCACGUGCACUAAAGAGUUGGAUAUGAAUGUUUCCAUAUCAGGGCAAUUCUCAAUAGUUAGAUUCUCCAACUCAAGCAUUUCAAUUAUAUUCCCAGUGAAGUUGCAGAAUCUUUUGAGUUUUGGAAGGUCAAUGAGCCUUAGCUCGAAAAGCUUAGGAAACAGGGGACCUAUAUGUUCUUUGUCAGCAUUUAGCACUUCCAAAUGAAGCACCUCUUCCAGUGAAUCACAAUUCCUCACUUCCAACCAUUCCAAAUUGUUCAAGCACCGUAGCAGAUUGGCAGGAAUAGCACUCGACAUAUUCGUGCAGUCAUCCACCACCAGGUGUCUUAAAUUGUUGAAGAAGCUGACAGGCAGUGCUUGGCCAUGCGAUAUUUCUUUCAAACGUGGAAAAUGUGAGAAUUGCAAAAACUCCAUGUCACGAAAUCCAAUCUGCUCAAACCAAAACAAUUGCACUGGAUAUAUACAAUUUUUUUUUUGAAAGGCAUUAGAUAUAUAUAUAUACAUUAAACUUACAUGUUUUGUGUUUUAACUUCUAAAAAUAUAUUUAAAUGUGCAAGUGCAGGGGAGAUGCAUGAACAAUUUGGAUGAAUCGAUUAACACAUACCAUUUCUUCGUAACACUUUUGUAUAGUGGAAUUAAGCUUAUUGCCUUCCCAAUGGUGCAGUUCACCCCCUUCCUUUUCAGUCACUUGCACUUUGCAUGGCUUUGGAAUGGAUAAGAUUCCCUGAGAAAAAGUCUUCAUGUUUGGACAACGUAUCAUAGAAACUCGUUCCAAUGAUGGGAAUUCAAGAGUGUAAUUCUCCAAACAAAAGCUGGUAAGCCUUCGUAAAUCAUCAAGUAUCAAAACUUUUAAUUCGCUGAAAGCAAUACGAUUCUCCUUCGCUUCUUCUCCAACAUGUCCUACGAUUUCUUCUAAUUCUUUGCAAUCCGAUACUUUAAGAUUCACCAGACUACUAGGAAUUCCAACCUGAAAAUAAGCAAAAGUGUGCGCAUGUGUGGUGUAUUAAAAAAGUAUGUUAAUCAUACAAUUAUGCAUUUUAUAAACAUAACAAACCAUGAAAUGUCUACUAGAUAAUUUUUUGUUAAACAAAAACGGAACAAGAUAAAUAAAUAAAUAAAAUCCAGAUAAACAAAGAUAAUAAAAAUACAUUUACACUAUUUAGUAUUAGAAACGUAGAAAUAAUUUAAGGCAAUUUCUAAAUAUUUUAGACUUAUUUUGCAUCUUGAUAUCAGUUUUUAAGCAUAAAUUUGCAAAUUUCAACUAUUCCUUCUUUUUUUUUUAAAAAAAAAGGGACCAUUUUCCUUGGUCCCUUUUUUUUAUGUAUAUUUAAAAAUGGAAAAAAAAAUUUGGAAAAGACUUCCCAAUACUGUCAACGAGGGACUGCUGUAAAGUGGAUCUUUAUUAAGUACUUCCAGACUAGAGGAAAUUUCUUUACAAUCAAGGGUCAGUUGUAAAUAAUCAUGAAUUUGUGGUUAAUUAAUGGCAUAAUCAAUUCGUAACUAAACUAGAGAUAUUAAUUAAAUUUGAAGACUUUUAUUUUCUUUUUUUCUUUUUCCAAUCGAAAUGUGAAGAAUUAAGGAAAAGAGAAAUAUAUAGAUGAAUUCGUGAACCUAUAAGAUGAGUGACGAUCCUUUAAUUUUUGAAAAUCGUACUUAUUAAGAUAUGAGCAAAAACUAUUUAAUUGAAUUAUAUUAUGCUGUUGAAUCGUGUUUAAAAAAUUUAUAUUGUUGAUUCUAAUGCUGACGAACCUAAGAUACUUGAAAUAAAUAAUCAGUUUGCUGGCUGAAUAUCAUUUGUAAACAAAAAAUGGUUAAAAUAUUGUUGGAUGUAAUUUGAAAAAAAAAAGAUUCGAAAUGAAUACAGCAACCUUACCAAUGGAGGAAAAAUAUUCAUUAGGUUAUCACACCCAAUUAUCUCCAAAUUCUUCAAUUUGCUGAAAGACUCCGAAGCAAGCUGGUGGUGCCAUAUUUUUCUCAAAUUAUCCAUCAACCUAAUACGUAAUACCUCCAACCUAGUAAGUCGUACCUGGCAGUUAAAGAUUAAAUAACUAAUUAAUCAAUUAAUGGCAUAAUCAAUUGAUAACUAAAUUAGAGGCGGAUAUUAACUAAAUUUGAAGACUCAAGGAAAAGACAAAUUAAAUAUUGUGACUAAAAUUAAAUUUUUUUAUUAAAAAAAAAACCUUUUUGUCAAAGAGAGGAGGAGGUUGCAUUUCAGAAUGAAUGGUGUCUUCUGGUGAGCUCGUAGAGAUGAAUCUCGACAUACUGUUGCACCAACUAAUCUCGAGGUUUAGCAAAGAAGGGAAUUCAACAACUAAAUCUGAAUGAAUAUGUCCCGUAUUGGCAAAGCUUGUUAGUUCUGGAAGAAAAUGGAGCUUGAGGGAGUGUAGUUUAGGAAAAACCUUUAAUUCAAUCAACUUUCCUUCUUCUCUUUCUGACCACCCCGUGGUGUCGACCACCCCUUCCAUUGACUCACAAGACCGUAUUUCAAGAUGUUGGAGUUGCAAAAGACUAUUAACCAUAGAAUACGAAAACAGAUACUUCAUACGAUGACAACUGCUCACGUACAGCUUUGUUAAAUUUUGACAACAGUACAUUCCUUGAUUAUGAUCGGCCCAUAAUUUUUUCAUGUUUCUUAAGUCCCUGAGAUUCAAUUCCUCUAACCUCGGAAGAAUAACCUGCAAAGAAAACCCGUACAUUUUUGUUCCUUCAAGUACAACCGUCUAGUAUAAUAUUCUUUUGAUGAUCGAAGAUUAAUCGUGAUAAUAAAUUAAUCAAUUAAUUAUUGAACAGAAAAUUAUCACCUUUGGAGCAGUAUCAUCAUCAGCAAUGAUUUCGUUGAAUCCCAAAGAAGUUGUUGGUUUCUCCCUGUCGGGUCCUAUAAACAAACAAAAACAAUAUAUACAUAAUUAAUCUUUGUUGUUUUUUUUUUUCCAAAAUAAUUGAGGAGAAGUCCAUAAUCCCACCAAUACUUAACUUCAACACUCACCAAAAAUCAUUUCCAGAUCACCGCAAAGAGCCACUUCUACCUUUUGAAGCCGCAGUAGGUUUUUGGCCAUGGAGAAUGAGAAAAGAUGCUUCAAUUUGUGACAGGCUUCUACUUCUAUAAUCCUUAAGUUGCUGAAAGAUUGAUCUUCUGUGAGUUGGCUGUCACAUAUUGUCUCCAAAUUGUUCAAAUAGCUAAGAGACAAUGACUCCAGCAAGGGAAAGACUGUACAAUGAACCCGUCCAACUGAACCGACAAUAUGCAAAAUCUCAGAACAACUUUCUACCCAAAGAUGCUUCAAUCGUGGAAAACCUUCCCCAUCAUCUAAUUCAUGAACAACAUUCUGAACACCCUUCAGUUCGUUUAGAUGGAUCUCUUCAGCUUCCUUCAGCAACAUUUUCGUCCCAUAAUUCUCCAAAAGAGUGCUAACAUUUUCUAGCCCAUCGAGCUCCACCAUUCUUGAUGUUUUAGAAUUAACGCCUCACAUGCGCCACGCUUCUCCUAUACAUAUCUUAUAUCUUUGCAAUUCCACAGAGACCAAAUCCUGCGGUAGAAUUUCGGCAUCCCGAACGUGUAUCUCCAAGGUAGUUAGCUUUGACAACCCCUUCAAUUCAGCAAGACUGGCGUUACUUCCUCCUUCAACCUUAUCCCACUGCGAAAAGCUGUCACCCAUAUAUAGUUCUUCCAAUCGUGAAAAUUUUGAUAUGACAUUUGGUGCUAUCACUACAAGGCUCCUACAAUUGCUCAAAUCUAGCAAUUGUAACCGCGUCAAUUGACCGAUUUCAAGUGGUAACUGCUUAAUGUCGGAAUAUCGAAAGCUAAGAAUCUCUAAUUUCUUUAGCUGUCCAAUUGCCGCUACAUCUUCUUGUUGGCACCAGUCUAAACACAAUGUUUGAAGGUUAAUGAGGCGACCUAGUGACGAAAGUAAUGAAGAGAAAUGAAUUCCAGUAAAAUCUAAAACUUUGAGUUCUUCUGUCCCUUCAAAAAAGAGGUCUGAAACUUGCAUAGGGCCAUUACCCUCCGUAUACAACAAAAAUAACUGGAGAUUGGGACAUCCCAACCUUUCGGGAAGCUCUUGAAUAUCUCUAUAAGGUAAAGAAAUAGCAAUUGGACCUUUCUGUAUUGUCUCUUCCAUCUUUUUCUCCACGUCAGCAACAUUUGGAAUAUUAAACAUGCGCUUCUCUGCUGCAAUUGAUACAGCAACAACAUGAAUGACGUCAUGCAUUUUAACUUCAUCUUUGGCAUCACCGUCCAACAAUAAGCAUGAAGAUUUGAGAUUGUCGAUCAACCGAUGCACUCUACUCCUUGCUUCUUCCAAUGUGUAAACAUUUUCAAACAAACCCCAACCCACACCAUGUCUCAAUAAGUCAGAAACGGGUAUGACAUUACCUUCACUGUAUAGACCACAAAGACGGAACAGAGAUUUUGCCUCCUCACUUUCCAAGAAUUCAUAACUCAAUUUUAUGGAGGUGUACACAUUUGCUUGCAUGCCAUGAAUUUCUCUUGCAUCCGAUCUUCUUAGCUGAUUCAAUGCAUCUUGCCAAAAGUAACGCUCCUUAGUUUUCAGAGCAUUUGCAACUGUACUCAGUGCAACAGGCAAACCUCCGCAUCUUUCAACGAUCUCAUUUGCUAUACUUUGAAAAGCAGAUAUUUUAGUUGAAUCACCCACUAUCUUCUCAAAUAACUGCAAUGCUUCUUUUCGUGGCAAAGCAUCGAUCGGGAAAUUUUUCUGAGAAUUCAUAUCAAUGCUCAAUAAAUCUUGCUUUCUAGACGUCAAUAUUAUUGUGCAUCUUCUCUGAUCAUCCUUUCUAUCUUUCUCAGCAACAUCUCCAGAAGGGAUUCCAACCGCAUCCAACUCAAGUCUUGUCCAAAUAUUAUCCAAUAUAAUGAGGACCCGCUUCUCUUUCUUCAAUACUCGACGUAGUCGAUUUGCUCUGUCGAAUAUAUUCUCAUUCAACUCAAACUUUAUGCCUAAAUCUGAAGCGAGUUUGUUUUGAAUUUGCUGAUUAUCUGAUUCAUGUGUUAGCUCAGCCAUAACGACCUUAUCGAACAACUUAUCUUCCAUCACUUGCUUUCUAACUUGCCUGACUAGCGUGGUUUUACCCACGCCGCCCAUGCCGUAGACCCCAAUUAUGUUGAGCUUAUCAUCCUUCAACGCCUCCAUAACAUCCUGUAAUACUUUCUUUCUUGAAUCAAAGGCCUCGUUAUCUUUCCCGCCCCUAGGUGAUUCGCUCUCUGGAGGAGGAUCGUAGGAAACAUCACUCUUCAGUUUGUCGCCUUUUUCCAUGAGAUUAGCAGCAUCUUUUGCGGCCUUUGCUGCUCGUUUACUGAGUUUGUAACGAGACAACAAAUUUGGACACAAUCCUUUGAAGCAGGACUUCUUGGCUCCAUCUUCUUCGUCAAUGAUAGAUUUUGCAACCCCCUCCGUAGAUUCAACCCUACUUCGCCAGUCUUUGACACGCUGAUAAAUCUCUUCCCCUUGUCGGGUAGCAUGAUAAACAUGUUGUUGCACCAUUUCGUUUAUACCUCCCAACUCCUUCACUUGAUCUUUCAGCUCUUCUAUGUAGCUCUGGUACUUGAACACAUAAGAGAUCUGCCGCAUAAUCGGUUCGAACAAUGCCUUUGUGCCUUCUGAUAUAAUGCUUGAAAAAACACCUUGACAGAAUUCUACAGCCAUUGCCUGCUGCUUAACGAUAUAUAUGUAGUUUUUGGCUGUUAAAAAAAAAAAAAUUGGAUUCAAAUAAAUUAAAUGAACUAGAGGGGAAGAAAAAGAAAGAAACGACAACAAACAACUUUUUAGAGAAAGGUUUGACAGGCCUAAAUGGAAAACCAACAACUUUUUGAAGAAAGAAAACUUUGGAAGAUAGAUGCAAAUUAACCGUUGAUAAUAAUACUACAUUAAGAACACAGAAGUUAACAAUAAACAGUAACUUAAAACUCAAGAAAAUUAAAUGACGAGAUUAAGACAAACAAGGGAUAGUUUUUGUUGGACAUUAAGAAACAACUGCUAUCAAGAUCAAGGAUUAGAAAUUAUGCUAUUAAAAGAAGUUAUUAAAGGAUAGUGCUCGUGACUGCAGGAAAAUUUCUAAUGGAAACAACUCAAUUUCAGAAGAAUUUAUCCAAUUGACUCUGUACUUGAACUCGUUGGAUUGGUUGAUUUAUGAUUGACUGAAUUUCAAUUCGGCCCAAAAGAUCUUUAACCAAAGUUUAAUAGCUAUCAUCUACUCCUUAAAAGCAAAUGUGUAUCUUUUUUAGAUUUGACUGAAUUUGAUCUUGUUGGAUUGGUUUUUUUUUAGACAAAGUUGUUUUCCUACUGAUUUUUAUUCUUCAAGUAAACUUAGAUACAAAGUAAAUCUAAAAAAAUGACAAACAAACAAUGAAAUAAACGACAACAAACUGGCAAUUUUGAUACAAAGCCAACAAAUAUUAAAAUUUAGAACAUUUUGUUUUCUUGCUUUCUUUUGUUGGAGGAUUAGAGAUUUUGGUAUUACCCGAAAGGUUUCAAGGGUCUGAGUAGAAACCUAUAAUCUUUUUAAAAACUUUUUUUUAAAAAAUUUUUUUUGGGGAAAAGGAUGCAAAUUAACCAAAGGAAAUAAUAAGAGCACAGGCUUUAUCAAUGAACAAAAACUUAAAACUCAUGCAAAAUAAUUCAAUAUUAAAACAAAUCACUGAGGAAUAUUUAAGAACAACUUGAAAGAGCAAAAAGAUCACUGAGGAAUGUGUGAGAAAAGAGUUGACGAGAGAAAUAACAAUGACUUGCAGAAGAAAAACCAUUAAUAAUUAUGUGCAUUUUUAUUUUAUUUUUAUCCGCAUGCACUUUAAUGAUUAGUGCUCCUUUCAUAAAGCAGCUACCGGAAACACACAAAUAUCAUUUGAGAGAGAAACUAAACAGCAAAUCAUCAAAGUAAGAUCAAUAAUAUAUUAUUUGGUUAAUGCAUAUUCAAGAACAAAAACAAAAAUAAAUAAAUAAAUAAAGAAGGUUUGAUUUUGUAUUGCCAACGCUGCUUUUUUGUUAUUUCAUUUGUUCUUUCCACAAAUGAUGCUUGGUUAUAAUUAAGUUUCACAUGGCCAUUACUUACAAACUGUGUUUGUGUUAACAGAAACAUGAAAUUCACAUCACACAAAAUUGCACUAUCAAUUCUUAAUAGAACAUAAUAAUAAUUACUCAACGCAUAAGGGUAAAUUUAGAAUUACAUUUUCUCAAUGCAGAAGGGUAAAUUUAGAAUUACAUUUUCUGAUUCUUUUUUAUUUAAUAAAACCCCAAUGGAAAAUCAUAAAAAUUUAGAUAUAUAAAUUUUCUCCACCAAACAAGAAAAAAAAAGGGGGAAUGAAAACACAGGAUUUAUUUUACCUCUCUUUCAUCUUAACUCUUUUUCAGGCAAACCAAAACAAAAAAAUUUCAAUAAAGAGCUAGUUGUUGAAAUUGAUUUAUCUUGUUUUUCAGGCUAUCUUGUGACGUGACGAUAGAUAAUGCUCGUGAAUGCUAGAAAAUUUCUAAUGCAAACAACUCAAUUUGGGAUGAUAAGCUUAAUUUUGCAAAUGACGAAUGUAAAUAACUUGUUUUGAUUAAUUGAAUUUGUAAUACUCUUACCCUAUUCUAAAAUUUGGAGGUUGCUUGAGAAAAAAGGGUAUUUCUCACUCAUCUUCAAUCCUCAAGUAAAAUUAGGUAAAAAUCAAAUCUAAAAAAUCACAAACAAAUUAACAAAAAAAAAAAAAAAAACAACAACAUUGAUCUUGAGACAAGUGAUAUUUAAACAGAGAAUUCUUUAUUCUUUUUUACUUCCCCCUCCCCCCCCGGGGGGCUCGAGGAUUAAAGUCUUGCUAUUAACAGAGAGGUUUUAAGAGUCUGGAUAAAACCCGUGCUUUUUUAAAAAACCACUUUUUUUUUUCUUUUCUCUUUUUUUUGGGAAGAUAGAUUCAAAUUAACCAAAGCUAGUAAUAAGAGCACAUACCUUACAAAUGAACAAUAACUUACAACUCAAGCAACAUAAAUGAUAAGAUUAAAACAAACCGGAGAAAUUUUUCUUGGAAAAUAGACGGAAAUUAAAUAAGAACUGCUGUUAAAAGAAAUUAUUAGAGGAUUUAGGAGCAUGUGUACCUCUUUAAUUAUUUGGGAUCAGAGAGUUGAUGAGCUCUCUAUUCGCCUUUAAUAUUGAGUAAGAACUGGUAUUAAAAGAAAUUAUUAAGAACAAUAUUUCAGUGAGCAAAAGAUCACUGUUAACUGCAGAGGAAUUUGCGAGUAAAAAUUAAGCUGAAAAGAGCAGUAACAAUGAAUUGCAAAAGAAGGAGACUUAAUCAAGCACCCCUUUUAUACCCGAUUUUUAAGAUUUAAUUUUGAAGUUCCCAAUCAAGAACAAAGACGAAGCUUUAAUGAAGCAUGCAGUGAGAUACAAGAAAUGGAUCGGGCAAAAUACCUUACGAAGCGUUUCAUAUUUUCUAAUGAAAUAAUUAAGUUGAAGUUUUCGACGAAUAAAUACUUGUUGUGCUUGAAUAAUUUUGGCAUAUACAUUACUUGUAUCCGGCGAAAUUGAAAAGCACAUUCAUUUACAGAGCUUGUUAGUAGGGAAAAGCUUCGUAAGAUGCCUGAUAAAAGAUAAAGCAAAAGCUUGAAUGAAGAAUGACAUUUUAGAAAGAAACUAAAGUGCAAUCAUCAAAGUAGGAUCAAUAGUGACUUGAUCAGUUAUGCUUUUUGUUAUUUCAAUUGUUCUGUCCACAAAUGAUGCUUCGUUAUUACUAAUUCCACAUGGACAUUAUUUAGAAACUGAUCUUAUGUUUAACAGAAAAAUAAAAACUCGUCAUCAUAAGCAUUCUUGGUUGUCCUAAACCAGAAGUAGGUGUUUUGCCUGAAAGUACCACUUUGCUAGCAAAUCUAGUGGGUAUACUGAAUAAAUUUUUACAUUAUUCUAUUUGAUCUCUCUGUCUUUAUCCUAAGCAUUCUUGGUUGGGAUCGCUGCAUUGUCCUGUAAUCUGUGUGACUUAGUGAAAAGAGGAAUGGGUAACUGUGGUUAUGGGUACGUGAGAGGUAACGAUGAGGGUAGAUUGUUAAUUUUGAGGAGCGAUUUGCUUGCAUAAUUCAAUGCAUGGACAGAAAUGUCCCUGACCAAAAAAAGGGACCAUCCAUAUCUGAAUCUGAGCAUCAGAGCUUGACUUAUUUGAUAAAUAGAUAUACUUGAACUGUUUUUGCAUAAUAACUAAAAUAUUUAUUUUUAUAUAUUCGAUAAACGAGCUCACUAUUGAUAGAACUUAUUAGAUACUACAACUCAAAUAACUUCUUGUGCUUGAUUGAGGUUUUUAUAUAUUCGUAUGUUUGAGUUUUUUUUUUUUUUUUACUUUCUAAGAAUUAACUUCUACCUUGAUUCUAAAAAAAAAUAUAUAAUUUUACAAAUAAUUUAGUUCGGCAUUUGGUAAAUGAUAACUAUUUGAGAAUAAGUUUUAAAAUGGUUUACUGUACAAAUCUGGUAAAUGAAAAUUAAAAGUGUAAAAUGUUCACAUAAUGAAAAUUAAAAGUGUAAAAUGUUCACUUGCAAUGACAACAAAUACUUAUUUACUUAUUUGUAAUUUAUUUUGAAUAUUAUUGUUUAAAUCAUUUUUUUUACUUACCAGAUUUUUUAAGAGCAUUCUAUUUUCUUUAUUACAUAGUUAAAUAAUUUUUUAUUAGCUAUUUUAUUUUGCAAUAAAAUUAACUUCAAUAUUUUUUUAACUAAAAAUUUUGUUAUGUAGUUCGUGAUAUAACAAAUACUAACAUAUCAUUAAAUUGAUUAAUAAAUUAAGUGCAAAAAAGAAAAUGCAGAAAUUUAAUCUUUAUAUAAACUUUUAUGUACAUAAAAUCAUUGUAAUCAAACUAGUUCAUAGAAAUAUAAUAUUAUAUACAUGUGUGUAAAAAAAACAUAUGACCAUAAUAUUAUCCACUCAUUAAACUUGCUGCACUAUUAUUUCUCAAUCUCUCCAUCUCUCGACCUUCAAGAACAUUACUACCAUAAUCUUCUUCUUGAAUUCAACCUCCAUUUCCUCAUCAUCAACAAUGCGACCAAUUUGCCUUGAUAGCCUUUCAACUCCUCCCACUUUCCUCCCUUUUUGCAGACACUCUUUUUCUUUUUCUUUUUCUUCUUUAAUAGCUUCAAUGGGAACAACCUCAUCUAACGACAAGUCCAUUCUUCAACUAGAAUAGAGUUGGUAGUAGAUAUUUUAGUACUCUCAAACUAUGCCCAAACAGGGUCACCAAUGAUUGUCGUAUUAAAAGACAUUCUAUUUAAUUUUCCUCUAACUCUGGGUCGAUACCUUUUAUGCAAAAUCUAUUUACUUCAGGAAUUUUCUACACAUGUCGAUAGCAUAUUAAAGUGAAUUCAGAUCCUAUAUUAUUGACAUUAAAAUUUAGCCGAAUAGUAAAAAAUUUCCCUUUUUGUUUGUCACACAGCCAUAUAGUCCCAUUUUUGGUUAUAAGCUCACAAUAUGCAAGGGAAAUGAAGAUCUAUUAAAACUUCCCCAUAAUGUUCAUUUUGUUGCUCGGAGGAAUAUAACUACCUAUUAAUUAAUUAGCAAGAAUUGCGUUGCGAGUCCAUGUUUUUGUCGUUUGGAUGGAGGAUGUGCUAUCUUUUUGUUGUAGAUGCUUUGUAAGGCUUUUGAUUUAAUGAUUUAAUGCAGUCAAUUAACAAAAGCUUACAUAUAGUAUUAUGUAGUUGCUGAGAUGUCUGUUCUUGAUAAAGUCGAUUUAUUUACACCCAAGCCAACGGAAUCAAAGCCUUUUCGUUAAUAAUAUACACGGUAAUUGUUUUUGUUAAAUUGAUUUCUAGCUAACAAGAUCUUUGAAAGCAUUUAGGUAGCGUUUACAUUUUAUGUUGGAGUGAGAAUCAUGAGGAGUGAGAAUCCUGGGAUUAGAAGUGUGGAGUGGGAGUCGAAGUAUGUUGUUUACUUACACUGGAAUGGAAGUAUGGAAUUGAAAUCAGAAUCCAAUUUAUUUGUUUACAUUGUCUUGGAUUGGGAGUAAAUGAUUUUAAAUUACAACUUUACUCUUAAAAAAUUAUAGUUAUUACUUACAAAAUUAAUAAAAAUUAUAUUUAAAAAAUAAAAUAUUUAUUUUAUUAUAUUUUUAAAAUAAUAAUAAUAAUUAAUAUUCUUAACUAUGUAAAUCAAAAUUAUUUUAUUAAUUUAAAUUUAAAUUAUAUAAAUAAAAAAUUAUUAAUAACAACAACACAAAUGAAACAUUAUUAUUGUACAAAAUUGAUUUUUAGAAUAAAAUAUUUAUUAUUAUUAAUCACUAAUAUUAAAUAAAUAUAAUAGUAUUAUUUUUAAAUAAGUAUAAUAAUAUUAUAUUUUCAAAUAAAAAUAGAAUAUAGUAAUAUUAUUAAUUCUUUAUGAAUAUAAUAAUAUAAUUUUUAAGUAAUUUUAAAUUAGAAUCAAUAUAAAUUAUUAUUUUUAACCAAAAAAUUAAUAUUAUUUUCAAUAUGUUUAAUAUUAUUAUUUUUAAUAAAUGUAAUUUAUAAAAUAAUAUAAUAAUUUAAUUUAAAUAAAUAUGAUAUUAUUUAUUUUAUUUUAUUAAAUAUAAAGGUAAAAAAUGAAGAGAGGCGAGUGAAUUCCCACUCCCACCUUGCCCCAUGAGAGUGGGAAUCCCAUUCAGUCACUCCAAAGUUAGGUGGGAUCCACAGAGUGGAAUUCUCACUCUCCCUUUGAAAAUUGUAAGUAAACACUAGAGUAAAAGAAAUCCACACUCCUCACUCUCACUCCAAAAAGUACACACUACAUUGAAGAAGCCAUUGACUCAUAAGAAAGCCAUGAUUAAAUACAAGGCGAAGCAUGUGAGCUCGUUUUUCAAUCUCUUUGAUCACUCAUAAGUUUUUCUAUACCACUCACUAUAUCAUCCUUUUAAGUCAAUUUUGACUGAUCAUCAGAGAUCAUGCACCCCACCUUGAGAUGAUUGAUCACCAAUUUGGCAUUGUAACAUUGAUCACCUCUAAUUGGCCAAGCUAAAAUUGGGACCCCAAAACCAAUUGCUUCUACAGUUGAAUUUUAUCCACAGUGAGAUAAAAAUCCACCUGUUAAUUGAUAACUCAGUAUCAAUAAUUGUGGUGCCAUUCCAUCUAUUAUCAAACCCUUUUUACUGGCUCUACUAUCUAAACCACUACGAAAAUAAGCUGGUUAAAUGACGUAGAGGAUCCAAUCUAUUUACAUAAGUUUGAAUUACCUAAAUAAUCGGUGGAUUUGAUGCUUAUAAAUCAGAGGGAAUUGCAGCAGAUACACCUUCAUACUUUAAAAAUUACCUCAAUACCUUAAAAUUUGAUUUUUCCAAAAUUUUCAUCAAUAUCCUUUAAAAGCUGAUAGGAAAUGACUAAGUUAUCCUCGUUUUAAAACACUUCAACUCAACUGGCAGCACCUCUCCCUCCCUCUACUCAAACAAACAAACACUCAUAUAUGCUACAAUUCCCUCCACUACCUUUACUCAAACAAACAAACAUUCAUUCUCCAUACAUGCUAAAUCGAACUUCAACACGAGCAAAUUGAGCUGAGAAAGGGAAGCUGCUACAACUGAGAAAGAGAAGCCUAGUUCGUCGCUACAUAAUCGCCAGCGAGAGUUGAUCCUUUAUUGCAAAAUGGUCAGAAUGUAACUAGUUGAGGUAAGUAAUUCCCUAUAAUUUGUUUUCUUGUUGAUAUUCAAGGGAAAAAACAAAAAGUUAGGGUUUUAUAUUGAAAAAAUAAUUAAUUAGUUGCGGGUCUCUCAUAACAUGUUCGAAAACACAUUUCUAGUUGUUUUGUUGCAUGCAAAUUGUGAAAAAUUAAUGGAUUGUGCCGAUUAUAAUUUUUUCAUGUAACACACGAUUUGGUCAUGUAAGGUUAUGUAAGAUUCAAGGUUGUGUAUUACACGACCUUCAUGUAUUGCACGAUUACAUGACCUUCAUAUAUUGCACGAUUACACGAGCUUUAUGUAUUACACAAUUACAUGACCUUCAAUUCCAGAUUGAGGAGUAAAAAGUUUAUCAUCUCUCCAGGUGUGUUCUGUAAUUUAAUUUUUUGUUUCUUGUCGAUAGAAUAUACACAUUACAUUUAGUUUAAUUAGGCUCACAAUUGGGGACAAUAAAUUGGAAUGGUACAUAUGCCUUUACCUUGUGGAAUGUCAUUACUUAGAGAGAUCCUUAAUUUGCAAUUAUAAGCCAUGGUAAGUCAUGGUAUGUCUAGUUAUGAGUGGAAACACUUUGAUCAUUGCGAAUGGUGUUCUUAUGUGUAUAACAUUACAUUAAUUUCCUAUAGUUAAUUUUUUUUCCUAAUUGAUUUCAUGGAUUAAUUAUAUGCAGGCAUUCCUCAUGUAUGCAUGUAUGUUUGGGCAGAGGAAGAAAGCACUUUGAAGAUUAAAAAAGCUUUUUAAAUGGUUGUACUAUGUUUAAUAGCGAUGUUCAUUAGUGUAUCAUAUCCAAAUAUUGAAAAAUUUGUACACUGAUAACUUUGUUUAUUUAUACUAAUUAAUCUAAUCAUUUCUCAAACUGUCGGAUGUUCAAAUUUAGUUUUUUUUUUCUGCAAUUUAUGAACACACGAUUUGGUCGUUUAAGGUCAUGUAACAUAGGAUUCAAGGUCGUGUAAUAUACUCAUGUAUACAUGACCCUCAGUCGUCUAUGACAUGACUUUGUAUAUUAUUACGCGAUCUUGAAUCAUGUGUUACGAGUCUUUCAUGACCUUCAGUUAUAUAUUACACGACUUUCAUGUACUACACGACUUUAUGUAUUACAUGACUUUAUAUAUUGCGCGAUUAUACAGCCUCCAUGUAUUACACGACCUUAAAAUUACACGAAAUUUUCCAUUAAUCAUUAGAUUAAUUUAGUUCAUUAAAGACUUAAUUUGUGCUAAGAAUUUAUAUUUGCUGCUAUGCAGAAAAUGUCAACGAAAAUUAUUAAAAAAAAGAAGUGAAAUUAAAUUGGAAUCUAAAAAAAUUCCACAUCAUCAUUGGUUUGAAUUGUAAGUGGUGGCAUAGGAUCAGAUGUCUUAAGCUUGAACUUCAUUGUGAUUUCGAAUUCCGAAGUAUCUAUAUCAAUAAAUUGAGCUAAUCUUCACCAAUCCGGCAUAUGUUGUCGAUCGUGGUAUCAUUAUCCCUUUAGCCUUGGAACCUUUGAACUUAUACUCAUCAUUUUGGUCAAUCCAUUCACCAUUGAAGAGAAUAGGUACACGUACCAAAACCAUAUCUGAUGAUACAAUAAAAACAAUAAUAUCAAAUUUCAUAUACAAGUAACUACACGACCUACAUGACUACAUUACUUACAUGACUUACACGACCUACAUGACUAUAUUACUUACAUGACCCACAUGACUUACACGACUAUAUUACUUACACGACCUACAUGACUAACUACAUGACGUGCACGGUAUCAAAAGGAAUGCACGACGCAAAACAUUUUCACCAUAAAUAAAUUAUAUUGCUGAAAAAAAUAAUUAAACAACCUACAUUGCAUAUAAUUCUACAUAUAAGAAAAAAUGGUGAAAAUACAACAUUAUAGAGUGAGGAAAUUUUCUAAAUUUUCCUAAAAAUUAAAAAAAAAUUAAAACCCAACAACAUUAACAUAUCUUAUUGGGUUGUUUAAUGAGCAAUGCACCUAAUUUCAGUUAAAGAAAGAGUGGGUGUUAAAGAAAUGAAUAUAUAAUUGUAUUUGUGUAAGAAGUUAUGAGAGAUUUUGAGAGAUUCUAGGAGAUUUUGAGAAAAUUUCGGCAGCAAGAAAAGAUUUGGGUGAAAGAAAUAUGAAGACAAUGAAGUUGAGUGAAUUUGAUGCAUUCAUUAAGGACAUUUCAAACUUUACUUACAUUUAUUAGGGUAUCCAUGAAAACAAAAAAGGGAGGGGAUAUUUAAAUAAUUUUGAAACUAUUAAAGGGUAUUUAAUUAAAAAACCCUCUAAAUCAUUGGCUAAUGUUGAAUAAUUAUUUAAGGUAGGACCCAACAUGUAUAACACAGAUCCAUAUGAUUUCAAAUCUAAUCAUUUAAUGAUCUCAUCUUCGGUCAUGUUAGAACUCCGCCGGUUGGUUCUCAUCUCACAAUCACGAAGCACUGAACCGGCCGAUUUGUAAAAUUGUUUAGGUAACAAUGGGCCCACUCCCCACACUGGCAUCAACACCAUCGAUCCCUCCACUUGCUUCAUCCAGUGUGGUUGAUCACUCGGUUCUGAUGGACCUAUUUUCUCUGAACCGGGUGCACCUCACAAAGGUUGUGGACCACCAGGAAGGGACCCGUGAGGCCUGCGUUUAAGAUCCGAUUCGAAUAAAGCAAUAUCCUUGGGUAACCCAAGAAGUAAACGGGCCUCUCCCGGUUUGACAUCCUGGAUGCGAGCCUGCCACAUGGCACACUCUACAGCUGCUGAGCAAGCAUCAGAAGUGAAGAACCCAACAAUGGGAACUUCAAAAUUCUUGAAAACAUCAGCCGUCCAGCCCAUCAUAACGCCGAUGACUACGCAAACAGGUCGGCUUUCGGGUUCCCGGGUUGAAAGGAGGUUUCGAAGGCCUUGAAGCAUAUGGCUGUGCAUGACAACAUGGUGGUGAGAAGGAGGUGAUGGUAGUGGUUGAGAUGGGAGGGUAUUUCGGUAAUUUCACAUAGAGGGUAUUGGUGAAGAGAGGAAGGGGUGAUGCUGGUGGUGGAAACGUGAGAGGGAAUAAUGAGGGUAGAUUUGUAAUUACGAGAAGCAAUUUGCUUGCAUAAUUCAAUGCAUGGAAACAGAUGUCCCUGACCGAAGAACGGGACAAUCCAAAUCUCAGCCUCAGCAGCAUUCGCAACAGAGCUUGACAUCUUUUAUGAAUUAUUUGAGACUUAAUUGUUAUUGACUGCUUUUGCCAUCUUUCAUAAAACAUUCUUUGUUAUAUAUUCAAGUAAAUAAAUUUAUCGUUUAAAAUUAAUUUUUCAUGUGGUAAAAGCAAUACUAAAUAUGGGGUGGAGAGAAUAAUUUGUAGGGCAUACCCCCACCAUUUAUUUAAUUUCAUUAAAAAAGAAAGAAAAGAAAUAAAGGCUUGUUCAACAUUCAAUUAAAAUUAACAAUUCCAUGAUAAAAUUACUUGAGAAUAAAAAUUUUUAAAAAAAAAGUAACUCAAAAACGAGGAAUUUUUGAGUAACUGAAGAACCAUAGAUGUUUUUUGGUCAUGAGCAAUUUUUGAGUUGAGACAGAACUUGUAUAAAAAAAUAGUUUUGAAAACUUCUUUUCUUUUUUCGUAAAUAUAGAUAUAAAAUUUUAAAAUCACCAAACACAAAACCAGGAAAAUGGAAGGAGAGCCCCUGUUUCUCCUCUGUUGCAAGAACAAAUUCGGUUUCUACAGUUGUACCUUCUAAAUGCACCAUUUGUAUUGCUUUGUCUCCACUUGAGCUAACGGAAUUUGAUGAAAACAAAAUAGAUAUGAGUGGUGCUAUUCACAGCCCUCAAUAAUUCUCUCAAAACCCCUUUUCUAAUUAUACCCCGUUGAAUAAGUUCAAGACCAACUUUUCCUCUUAUAACACCACCUUCAAUUCCGUUAAUACCCUUGUUCGCUAUGAAAAUGAGGAAAAUGCCUACAUAAAAAGCUGGCUCUGAUAAUCUACCUGAAUUUACAUUAGAAAAGAGUGGACUUUGAGAAAUAAGAAGACAAUAUAGGGAAUUUUACCAAAAUAAUCCAUUUUUAUAUACAGGGAAUGGUAUUUUCUGAUAUAGGGAGGAGUGGAGAAAUUAAAUUCAGCAAAAUAAAGAACCUCCAUCGAGAAGUAAAAAUGAUGAUAUCUUUGUCGUGAAGAGAUUUCUGCCUCAUACAAAUUUUUUAUUCUAGAAUGCUUGAAACCGAAAAGUUCUGUAGUUGUUUCAAUUCAAUUGCAUACAUUGACGAAACAUUAAAUACGGAAAAAAACAAAAAAGAAAUAAUAGGACAGGGGGAUUUCGAGAAGUUCUAAAGAGAGAAAUCUAUUUAUAAGCAUUGAAAAUUAGCUCAUUAAAUUUGACAGAAUAAUAUACAAUCUCACUGUUGGCCAGAAAAUAAUAGUAAGAACUUGUGAACAUAUAUAAUCAAUUGUUUAUUACUUAAGCUCUUUUUCUUCGUUAUUUUGAAUGGGUGCAAAGAAGAGAAGUUUUGUACCCAAAUUCCAACUCGAAUUGUGUAGGCUGCUUGCAAGAGCUUCAUUAGAUUUUUAUUUGUCUUUUAAUAGUGCUUCUCGACAAAUACAGCUAGCUAUCUGUCCUUUUUGUUACUGGACUAUAGAUCAAUUGACAGUUGAAGUUAUAUUAAUUUGUUGUGCUGGAAUUGAAGCUUGUAUCUUAGCCAUUUGGUGAAGUGUCAAAUAUAUUUUUAAUUUCCUUAAAAUUGUUCAAAAUAUGUUUACACUUUUAAAGUCACUAUUAUACAUGAGUGCCCUAAAAUUGGAGAAGGCGAUUUGCCUGACAUUACCUGUAUUCGCUUGUAUAGAGAGGACGAUUUAGAUAAGUCGGAACGGAACAACCUUCAUCACAUGCUUCCUCACGUGGUUACUUAAACUGAUAUGUAAAACGUGCUCCAUCCAUGUCGUUUCCACUAAAUCGUUUUCUGUUAAGAAUCAGCUGAGCAGCACGUGAGCUAAUGAAGCUUUUACGGCUUCAAAACGCAGCCGUUUCUGGGAACCAAACUUGAUUCAUCACCUCACAACUACAGAUGAAUUAUCGAAGUGGCUGAUUGGUGCUAUACGUGUUUUUCGUAUUGAACUCAACUCUGCUAUUUUCCCAAAAGCUGGAAAACAGAAACAUCAUCCCUGUGGUUUUAUUUCACCUCAACCUUUUUCUGAUCCCAUUUUCAUUGUAAUUUCUCAUUUACUUUGAGUGAAAGUCAUUGUUGCUUUCGAACGAGGUUUUGCAACUAAAAAGGAAAAGGGGGCGGCUAUAAUACAUGCGUGCAUCUGAUACAUGCACAAAAACUGACCAUUGGAUUAAAUGGAGUGGAUCUAAUGGCUGAGAUUUGUUUUAUUAUUAAGCAAUAAAAAAAUUUGAAACAACCAGAAACCUGUAAAACCGGUCAUUUGGUUUAAGUUAAAAAUAUAUAAAUGAAAAUAACAAAAAAACCCACCACUCCCCCGCCUCACACGCGCCUCACCGCUCCCCGCUCCCUCGCCUCACCUCUCUUCUUGUUCCACGGCCAUCAACGGCGGCACGAGUCGGCGACGAUCGACUGCGGCUGUAAAUUGACCACGAUCAUCUCUCUCUCUCGGCUUGCUCAAAUUUGGCCGAUCUGUGCGCUUGCUUAAGCUUGGCCGAUCUAUGCUUGCUCGAUUACUCUUCCUAUCUUCAGUCAGAGUCAACUGUUUGACAAGAGUCGAAGUCCAAGGUUCUUUUUUACAGGAUUUGAGCUAUUCCUUUUAUUCUUCUUGCAUGUUCACUGAUAUGAAGCUUUGAUGUGGUGUUCUGAUAGCGGGUGGAAUUUGAGAUUCUCCUUUCUUCUCUAUAUGAAGGUGCUUGUCAUGUGUCAAGAAAAAUAAAAUUAUUUACCAAAGAUUAUUUUAAGGAGAUUUAUUAUUAUUCGUGGAUCGGGAAGUUUAUUUUGUUUUUUGGUCUCUUAUUUAUUUAUUGUUUUCACGAGGAAAUUGCUGUGCUUUUGGAAAUUAAUAUGCUGUGUUGUCAAUGUUGUGUGAAAUCCUUUUAUUGGUGUCUAUGUAAAGUGUUUCAGAUUUCAGACCUGAGAGUUAAUCUUCGCGUACCAGUUGGCUUUUGGGUUUAGUAUUGCUACUUUUAACAUAAUUGACCUAUGGCCCAAAUCAUUUCUAUAGGGCGAAGCAUAUGAAUGAUACAUAUUAUCUUUUUUUGGCCUUAUGUAUUGUUAUUUGCAGUGUGAUUUGGUCUAGCUUAAGAGCUUAAGCUUGCAGGUUGGAUUUGUCUGACAGGGAACAAUUUAAUUUGCUCAUCGUGAUGUUUAUAUCCAUUUUGUACUACUAUCAAUUUCAAUCAUGCCUAAUUUUUAUAUGUAUUUCUCGUGGACUCUCAGGUUCAGUGCACAAGAGGAUGAAGACGAUGGACACCCAAAUUUGAUGUGGAGAACAACUAUUGCAAAUGGUCCUUGAUUUACUUCUCCAAUUGACUUGAAUUGGUUUGACGCAAUUUAUAGUGUAUUUUUGUCAUCUUUGUACGACUAGCAGGUCGUCCUGAUUUGGUACAUGACUGGACACAGGAAUUGGACUCAUAUUUUUCAAACCAGAAUGCCAACAAUCAAGCAUUUUCUUUUGAAAGCACUGGCGUCUUCUUCAAUGCCAAAAAGGUUAGAGAUUUUCUGUAUCUUGUUUUGUAUUUAAUCAGUUUAGCAUGUGGGUGGCAAUCAAGAAAAGUUAUUAUAACAUUUUUGUGUUCCCGAAAAACUGCUGAUGAUGUGUAGUGCAGGAAAUGAAUUGUUUUUGACUUCUUUUUAUUUGUAUUCUUUCUUUUUUCUUUUCUCCCCAACAGGAUUAUGCAUUUCUGAAGAGCUUCUUGAAGUUGAUUACCAUGUAUGCCACUUUCUUUACUCUAUGCUCAGGAUGUGAUUUUGCCAAGCAUUAAAAUGGUUUAGGUCAGAACCAUCAUCUAAAGUUUACUUAAUGCAGCCGAGAAGCUGUAGUAGAGCAAGGAAGGCUGUUGGUGUUAUGAAGGCCAGCUGUGAAGAAAUAUUUGAACUUGUAAUGAGCAUGGAUGGGACACGAUACGAGUAUGCUUCUUUUCUAUUUUUUAUUUUUAGUUACUUUAACAUAAUCAAGACUAUAUUGGCUGUCUCUGUAAGCUGAGUAUUAUAUUUCCUCUUGCAUGCUGUGAAAUUCACAUUGUCUCCAGUCCCGAUUCUGUAUGUGCCUUUUUGAAUAUAUUUAAUUAAUCUGCAUGGUGCUUUCUAAAGAUUAUUACAAACUUUUGUUGCUUAAGUAUAUGAAGAAUGUAGAAAUGAAAACAGCUUUUGAAGUUUGAUGGAUUGCUUCAUUAAUAAAGAAAGACUAGGACUCAUUUUUAUAACUUUUCUCCACUUAGCUAAUGGUAUUUGAUGAAGACAAAAUAGAUGUAGCUAUCUAUAUUUUUUGUUGCUGAACUAUAGAUCAAUUGACGGUUGAAGUUAGUUAUAUUAAUUUGUUGUACUAGAAUUAAAGCUUGUAUCUUAGCCAUUUCAUGAAGUGUCAAAUACGUUCUUUCCUUUUUUUUUUUUUUUUUCAAAACAUGUUACACUUUUGAAGUCACUAUUACAUAAAAGAGUGUUCUAAAACAGGAGAAGGCGUGCUGCCUGAAAUUACCUGUUUCCUAGCAAAUCUAGCUGGUUUGCGAAUUAGAUUUUAACAAGUCUCUUGGCAAGGUUUGCUAGUAAUGUGUUCAAAUUAUUCUAUUUAAUUUUACUGUCUGUACCCUAAUAAUUCUUGGUUUGCACCAUUGCAUUGUUCCAUAAUCUCUGUGCGUUGGCUUAUAAAGGCCAGCAAGGCUGAUCAUUUGUCGAAUAGUUAUUUCCAUGAAAUUCCUAUCAAUUUGACUCAGUAUUUAGAGGUCUUGAAGAGGGCAGUGUACUAGACAUGGAUUUCUACCUCUUUUGGUUGUACAAUUGUUGUAUUUCUUGGCCAUCAGAUCUUUUUAAUGUACCUUUCUCAAAGUUCAUGCCGCACGUACACCGUUUUUCAUGUUUUGUGCAUGUGGGAUUGUAGUCUUCUGUAUCGCAGCUUAGUUGAAGAGGUAGAUGGUCAUACGGCUAUUCUCUAUCAUAGGCUUCAGCUGGACUGGUUUCCAAUGUAAUAGUCUCUUGAUUCAAUCAUCUCAUUUAUGCUUUGGUCAGAAUAGAACAUUUAUUGUUUCCUUCUUUCCCCUUUCCUCUCUUCUGAUGUAAUAUGUGAGGAAAUUACCUAAAAUUUCUGUAUCCCAAUGUAAUUGUUGGAAUUCAGAAAUAAAAUAAAUACACCGUCUUGUUUUUCCCUCGGUUCAGUCCCAAGUUCUCUUUGGGCCUUCUGCAAGUUUUUAAACAUACUGUGACAGUAAAAAAUCUAGUGAUUGAGAUCAUUUUGAUGAAUUUAAUUUUAAUUCUUAGCUGAUACUUUUUCUGGAAUUUUUUUCUUAUGUUUCCUCAAUAUGACUUAAAUAUAGGGCUUAGUUUGGUUUAGAAGUUCAUCUAAAACCUUCUCCUUGAUUCCAAAAAAAUUCUCUAGAAAGGUCUCAGAUGGAUUUUAGGGGAGUUUUGUGGCAAAUUUGAAAAGUUCAGGGGAAGGGUCUAAUGAAUUUUAAAACCACAUGGGUUAUCUGUUUUAUUCAGAGGAUAGUGGAAUUCCCUGAAAUUUAUCAUUUUUAUUUAAAUAAUCUUCCUACUUUCCUCUGCAGAAUUUAUUUAUAUAUAUGAAUUCAUUUGGUUGCAGGUUUGUUUGGCCCCGCGGCCUUUGUUAAGUGCGUUAUUGGCGUUGAAAUGACGCUGCGAGUUAUGGUAAGGUUCUUGCUUCCCCACUUCUUGAAAUUAAAUCUAUCUUUUCUGGCACUAGAAGUUUCCAUAAGCUGUGUUUUGUUAUCGCGCAGUUGUGUUAUUUCAUUCUAGGGAGCAUAUGAACUGUGGUCCACAACCCGGAUAUGUACGAGCUCACAUGGAGAGUUAGUUUUCUGUCCUUUACUUUGGUUGAUGUAGAGAAUUAACAAGUGACUAAGUCAUGCCAAGUUGCACCACUUGCUUCCUGUAUUCUGAUUUCUCAGGUGGUGGAUUCAACAUUUCCCCACUAAAACCUCAAAAUGGUAGGCCCAGAACACAAGUACAGCAUCUUAUGCAGAUUGAUCUAAAAGGGUGGGGUGUUGGUUAUGUGUCAAUGUUUAGCAACACUGUCUUCUGCAGAUGUUAAAUAGCAUUGCUGGUAAGUUUCUUGCUUUCACAUUUUAUUUUGCGCUGUUAUGGGUUAAUAUGUUUCUGUUGGGUGGCCAUUUUAAGUCAUAUUUUUACGUGUUACUGUAUUUUCUUCAGUCCUUUUAUAGGGAACACACACAUACACGUAUGUAGAGUCACCUUUUAAUGAGGGAUCUACCAUUUUAAUGAAAUGAGGAAUGAGCUAAAAGAUAAAAAAUUCACGAACUCCAAUGCAAUAUGUGUGUGUGCGCGUGUACACCUUUUCUAACUCUUGUUCUUAGUUAGAUAUUUUUUGGGAUUUCAGGCAAAUGAAAAAAGAGAUUAAGAGAAUGAUUUCAAGAGAACAGGUGGAUAAUAACUUAAAUAUUCAUUUUUAUACAUUUUGUUAAUGUCCUCUUUAAUGGAUUUCUAUGGAAUUAACCUUGUAAUUGGUGUAAUUACGGCAUUGGUGGUUGACAUGGCUUUCCUUGUGCAGGUAUGUAUGAUUGUACUGCAAUUUGCAAAUUUGCAUACUUGAAUGUUCUCAGAAUGGUAUAAUGCUUCGUGUAUGCAGGCAAAUACUACAGAUGAAUUACCGGAGCGGCUGAUUGGAGCUGUACGUGUUUCUUAUAUAGAACUCAAGUCUGCUAUUGUUCCAAAGUUGGAACCAGAGACAUCAUGACUCUGGUUUCAUUUCACCUCAACUGUUUUUUUUUUUAAUUGAAAAAAAAAAAUCAUUUGUUUUAGGUAUACAUACAUGUAUUUUGAUCCCGUUUUCAUUGUAAUUUCUCAUUUACUUUGAAAGAAAGUCAUUGGUGUUUUCGAGUGGGAAUUUUGCAUUAAAAAAUAAAGAAUACUUAAUAGGAAAUUUCAUAAUUCUUUAGUUACUAUUUUUGGAAUGUGUGUAAUAGUAUUAAAGUUGGUUUCUACUCGCAAACAAGUGAACUACUCGAUCCCCAACUGCGACCACGCUAGUUGUCAUUUAAAACUCAACAACUAACAAAAAUACUAAUAAAAAAAUGAUUUUCUUAUAUUGCUGUGAAAACAUUUAUGGGUUCAUUUAUUUCCACAAGAUCUAUAAUUUGGUCUUGACUUUACGAAAUUCUUUUAAUUUAAAGGGUUUUGGUCUGAGAAAGUCAGUUUGACGGAUUAAUUCUUUUUAAUAAUGGUCGAGUUAAUUUUACUAUACUCAUAAAACUAUUUUUAUUCUGAUAAUGCCACAAAUGUUAUGAUGUUUUCUUCAGCUAAUGAUCUUCUAUCAGGACUAGUUAGAAAUCAAAUGCUUAAAACACCGAUUGAAUGUAUAAUGCAGAAGUUUAAACAGUACCUAAUUGAAAAUUGCAUGAAACAUGAAACAUCAAUUCAAGUCCUUCCUUAAACAGAGAAUGCAUCAAACAAAUCCAAAGUGUCUUGCAAGUCUGUAGCAUGACAAAAAAGUUGUAAAUGCGUUUGGAACCAAAUUCUUCAAGUACAGGAGAACGAGCAAGUUGAAUUAUGUACAAGAGAUUGGCCUGGUUCGAGAUAGCUUCUUCACUGUACCUGAAGGAUUGGCUCAAUCUUUUCUUUAGAAUUCUGCACAUUUUGUAAUUACUCGUGUAAGCAAGCAUACAUUACAACCAUAAUAAUAAUAAAGCAAGAGUAAUGAUACGACCACCACCUUUUGUACACAAACAAUAUUGUAUAAACUAAUGCGACAUAAUAUGAUUGGUUAAACAAAAACAUUACAUGGCCCUCAUAAUUUAUUUAUUUAUUUAUUUAUUAUUAUUAUUAUUAUUAUUAUUAUAUAUUUUCAGUCAACCAAUCAUAUUAUAUCACAUUAGUUUCUAUAAAAUAAUUUGCUAAAUAGCACCAAAACUUAAUUGAUACUCACCAUUUCAUUGAACAAUUUUUUUAUGGUGUCAUUGAGGUUGCCUUCCCAACAUCCUUCAUCAUCAUCAUCUUCUUCAUCAUCAUCUUUUUCUUCUUCGGUGACGUUCACUUUGUUUAGCAUUGGUGUGUCUAAGACUCCUUGAGAGAAGAUCUUCAUUUUUGGACACAGUCUCACAACUACUUGUUUCAAGGACGGGAAUUCAAGAGCGUAAUUACCUAAACAAAAGCUUGUUAGGCUUGGCAAACAGUCAAGUUCCAAGUACCUCAAUUUCCCAAAAACAAUGCAAUCUUCCGUUUCUUCUCCAACCUGCGACUGUAUAAUUUCUUCCAUCAUUUUGCAAUCAACUAUCUUCAUUCUUCCGAGAUUCACUAGAUUUUUAGAUGCUGAGAGCGUCAACACAUUUAUCAACCCGUGACACUUCGAUACUUGUAGUCCCCACAGAUUUUCCAAAUGCCACGAAGGUGGUACUAAUUUUUGCAACUUACUACAUUCCGAUAUUUCUAGCCUUUCCAAGUUUGCAAACACUUUGUUGGAUUCGUCAUUUUCCUUCCAGAGAUGCUGCACUUUGUGUAAUCCAGACAGUCUUAACUUCCUCAAUUGAGGGAAAGCAACCUGAAAAUCAACAAAGUUAAGUUGUAAAAGAAAAUACGUAUCCAAUCUCUGGAGUCUUCACCUGCAUAUUUUAUGGACAAGAUUAAUCACGGCAUUUUAUAUUUUAUUUCCAAAUUAGUAUGCUUUGCAGUAGGAUCCCAAAUAUAAGUAUCAAAUCGAUUACCCUUUGAAACACAUAAAUGAAAUCUAAUGCUAAAUCCAAUAUGAAUUAGCUAGGAAAACAGAGAUGUUACACACAUAAUUAAUAUAGUUCAUCACCUCGUGUUAUCAGGCAUCCAAUUAAUUUCAGUCAUUUUUAUAAUUCAUACUAUAAAGAUAGUUAAUAACUGAGGUUAUAUUGUUAAAUCAUAUAUAAAUUAAGAUGACAUGCAAAAAGAUGAGUCAUUAAAUUUGACUUGAUUCUAAUGAAAUUACAUCUGUGCGAACAAAAGUGAAGGGAAUAAUAAUAAUAAUAAUAAUAAUAAUUACCUUUUCAUCGAAGAGGGGUUGUACUUGAUGAGCCAGCAAGAAGUACUCUUCUAAUGUUAAUUUUUGAGGUUCCUUGUUAUCAGUUGUCACAUGCACUACAGAGUUGGAUAUAAAUGUUUCCAUAUCAGGGCAAUUCUCAAUAGUCAGACUCCACAACAUAGGCAUUUCAAUUAUAUUCCCAGUGAAGUUGCAGAAUCUUUUGAGUUUUGGAAGAUCAAUGAGCGUUAGGCUAAAAAGCCUAGGAAACAGGGGGCCUAUAUGUUCUUUGUCAGCAUUUAGCUCUUCCAAAUGAAGCAUCUCUUCUAGUGAAUCACAAUUCCUCACUUCCAGCCUUGCCAAAUUGUUCAAGCAUCGUAGCAGAUUGGCAGGAAUAGCACUCGACAUAUUGGUGCAGUAAUCCACCUCCAGCUCUGCUAAAUAGUUGAAGAAGCGGACAGGCAGUGCUUGGCCAUGCCAUAUUUCUUUCAAACGUGGAAAAUGUGAGAGUUGCAAAUACUGUAUGUCACGGAAUCCAAUCUGCACAAACCAAAACAAUUGCACUGGAUAUAUAUAAAUACAUUAAACUUACAUGUUUUGUGUUUUAACUUCUAAAACUAUAUAUACAAGGCAGGUGUAUAUGUUCAAAUGUGCAAGUGCAAGGGAGAUGCAUAAGUAAUUUCAACGAAUCGAUUUAACACAUACCAUUUCUUCGUAACACUUUUGUAUAGUGGAAUUAAGGUUGCCUUCCCAACGGCACAAUUCACCCUCUUCCUGUUAAGAAUAGAAUUAGUUAGUUAAUGAGUAUGCUGACAUGGCAGCUGAGUCAGCUAAAGGUUGUUAUAGAGGUUGUUAGUAGUAAACUGUGCGUGUGUGCAAUGUGUGUAGAAUCUUCUAUGCACAUAUAAAAAGGCUUGCAAUUUCCAGAUUCAUUAGAUCAAUAAUAACAGAAUUCUCAGCUUACAGAAGUUUUCUUUCCUCCUAUUUUCUUAGUAACCAAACAACAUCACAGUUUCAUAUAAAACUUAAUACUUCCUUUUUACUCACCUGCACUUCGUGCAGCUUUGGUGUGGAUACGAUUCCCUGAGAAAAAGUCUUCAUGUUCGGGCAACGUGUCAUAGAAACUCGUUCCAAUGAUGGGAAUUCAAGAGUGUAAUUCUCCAAACAAAAGCUGGUAAGCCUUGGUAAAUAAUCAAGUAUCAAAACUUUUAAAUUGCUGAAAGCAAUACGAUUCUCCUUCACUUCUUCUCCAACAUGUCCUAUGAUUUCUUCUAUUUUUUCACAGUAUGAUACAUUAAGAUUCACUAGACUAUUGGGAAUUCCAACCUGAAAAUAAAGAGUAGCAUUCAACUAAAUUCAAAGUAUGUCAAAAUCAUACAAUUGUUUUAUGAAAAAUAACAAACCAUGUCUACUAGAUAUUUUUUGUUAAAGAAAAAAGGAAAAAAAUUAAAACAAAAAUAAAUAAAUAGAAGUCCAGAAAAACAAAGAUAAUGAAAAUGCAUUUACACUAAAACGCUGUAUUUCCCUUUUUUUUUUCCCGAUAUUCAUGCUUUUAAAAAUGGAAAACAUUUCUGGAAAACACUUCCCAACGCCAUCAACAUGGGACUGUUACAGAGUGAAUAUUUGAGGAAAUUUUUUAAUAAACGGUCGAUUCAAAAUGACCAUCAUGAAUUUGUGCUUAAUCAAUGGCGUAAUCAAUUCAUAACUAAACUAGAGAUAUUAACUACAUUUGAACACUUUUCUUUAUUUUAUUUUUAAAAUCGAAAUCUAAAGACCCAAGGAAAAGAGAAAUAUAUAUGAAUUUGUGAACUUAAAAGCUGAGUAACUAAGUAUCUUUUAAUUUCUGAAAAUCUUAUUCAUUAGGAUUUAAGGAAAAAAAACAAUUAAAUUAAAUUAUAUUAUGCUGUUAAAUCGUGUUUAAAAUAAUUAUAUUGUUGACUUUAAUGCAGGUGAACCUAUAAAUUAGAUUGAAAAUGCAGAGUUCAGAAUGGUGAUUUGAAGUACAAUACUUUUUUUCCCUCUAGAAGUUUGAAGUACAAUACUUGCAAUAAAUAAUUUGUGAAUGAAAAUUAUUUGUAAACAAAAAAAUGAUUAAAAUAAUUGUUGAAUGUUAUUUGAAAUAAAAAUUCAAAAUGAAUAUAGCAAUCUUACCAAUGGAGGAAAAAUAUUCAGUAGAUUAUGACACACAGAUAUCUCUAAUUUUUUCAAUUUGCUAAAAGACUUCGAAGCAAGCUGGUGGUGCCAUAUUUUUCUCAACUUAUCCGCCCCACGAAUAUGUAAUACCUCCAGACUUGGGAGUCGUACCUGAAGUUAAAAAUUCAAUGCAAUUAGAGAUGGAUAUUAAUUAAAUUUGAAGACUCAACGAAAGAAGAAAUUAACUAUUAAGAAUAAAAUUAAUUUAAAAAAAAAACCUUUGCAUCAAAGAGAGGUUGAGGUUGCAUUUCAGAAUUAGCUUCUGGUGAGGCAAAGCUACUUAGUUUUGGAAGACCAUCGAGCUGCAGGAAGUGUAGUUUAGGAAAAACCUUAAAUUCAUCUCUUCCUCCUAACCCCGUGGUGUUGACUAUCCCUUCCAUUGACCAACAAUUAAUAAUCUCAAGAUGUCGGAGCUGCCCAAGACUAUUAGCCAUAGAAUAUGAAAACAUAUACUUCAGAGGACAACACCUUGUCACGGUCACUUUUGUUAAAUUUUGACAACAAUACAUUCCCUGAAAUUGAUCGGGCCAUAAUUUUUUGAUGUUUGUUAAACUGACAAGUUCCAGUUCCUCCAAGCGUGGAAAAGUAACCUGCAAAGAAAAACCAUACAUUUUUUUUCCUUCAACUACAACUUCUAAUAUAAUAUUCUUUCGAUGAUUGAAGAUCAAUCGUGAUAAUAUAUUAAUUAAUUAAUUAUUAAACAGAAAAUUAUCACCUGAUCAUCCUCUGCAUUGAUUUCUGUGAAUCCCUGAGUAGUUGUUGGUUUCUCCAUGUCGGGCCCUAUAAAUGAACAAAAACAAUAUAUGAUUAACCUCUGUUGUCCCCUCCCAAAACAAAAAAAAAAAAAGAAUGAGCCAAUGUCAAUAAUCCUACCAAUAAUUAAUUUAAACACUUACCAAUCAUCAUUUUCAAUUUAUUGCAAUUUACCACUUCUACUUUUUGAAGCCCCAAUAGGUUUUUGGCCAUAGAGAAUGAGAAGAGAUACUUCAAUUUUGGACAGGAAUAUACGUAUAUAAUCCUUAAGUUGCUGAAAGAUUGAUCUUCUCUGAGUUGGCUGUAGCAUAUCGUCUCCAAAUUAGUUAAAUUAAUAAGAUCCAAUGAUUCCAGCAAGGGAAAGACUUCGCAACGAACCCGUCUAACUGAACCGACAAUAUGUAAAAUCUCAGAACAACCUGUUACAUGAAGAUGCUGCAAUCGUGGAAAACCUUCCCCAUCGUCUAAUUCAUGAACAACAUUCUGAACACCCGUCAGUGAGUAUAGACGGAGAUCUUCAGUUCUCUUCAGCAACAUUUUCGUCCCAUCAUUCCCCAAAAGAAGGCUAACUUUUUCUGGCCCCUUGAGCACCAUCAAUGUUGAUGUUUUAGAUUCGACGAGUCGUCGGUUAGACAUUUGUCCUAUAAAUAUCUUAUAUCUUUCCAAUUCCAUAGAGACAAAAUCCGGCGGCAGAAUUUCGGAAUCCGAAACAUCUAUCUCCAAAGUAGUUAGAUUUGACAACCCCUUCAACUCGACAAGACUGGCAUUACUUCCUCCUUCAACCUUAUCCCACUGUGAAAAGCUGUUAUGCAUAAACAGUUCUUCUAAUCCAGAUAAUUUUGAUAUGACAUUUGGUGGUAUCAACUCAAGGCUCCAACAAUUGCUCAAAUCUAGCAACUGUAACCGCGUCAAUCGUCCAAUUUCAAGUGGUAACUGCUUGAUAUCGGAAUCUGCAAGGCUGAGAAUCUCUAAUUUCUUUAGCUGUCCAACUAUUGCUAUAUCUUUUAGUCGGCAAUAGUCUAAACGCAAUGUUUGAAGGUUAAUGAGGCAACCAAGUGAUGAAGGUAAUGAAGAGAAUUGAAUUCGAGUAAAAUUCAAAACUUUGAGUCCUUCCGUCCCUUUAAAAAAGUGGUCUGAAACUUGCAUAGAGCCAUCACCCUCCGCAUGCAAUAGCUCAAGACAGGGACAUUGCAACCUUUCAGGAAGCACUUGAAUACCUCCAUAAGGUAAAGAAAUAGCAAUUGGACCUUCCUGUACUGUAUCUUCCAUCUUUUUCUCCAAGUCGGCAACAUUUGGAAUAUUAAACAUGAGCUCCUCUUCUGCAAUUGAUACAGCAACUACACGAAUGACGUCAUGCAUUUUAACUUCAUCUUCAGCAUCACUGUCCAACAAUAAGCAUGAAGAUUUGAGUUUGUCGAUCAACGUAUGCAAUCUCCUCCUUGCUUCUUCCAGUGAGUAAACCUUUUUAAAAUAGUCCAUACCCAUACCAUAUCUCAAUAAGUCUGGAACAGGUAUAGCAUAACCUUUACUAAGUAGACCACAAAGACGGAACAGAGAUUUUGCCUCCGCACUUUCCAGCAAGUUGUAACUCAAUUUUAUGGAGGUGUACACAUUUCUUUCCAUUCCAUCAAUUUCUCUUGCAUCGGAACUUCUUAGCUGAUUCAAUGCAUCCUUCCAAAUGUCAAGAUCCUUAGUUUUCAGAGCUUUUGCAACUGUACUCAGUGCAACAGGCAAUCCUCCGCAUUUUUCAACGAUCUCAUCUGCAGUGGGUUGAAAAGCAGAUAUUUUAGUUGAAUCACCCACUAUCUUCUCAAAUAACUGCAAGGCUUCUUCUUUUGAUAAAGCAUCGAUCGGGAAAUUUUUCUGAGAAUUCAUAUCAGUGCACAAUAAAUCUCGACUUCUAGACGUCAGUAUUAUUGUGCAUCGUCUCUGAUCAUCCAUUCUUUCGUUCGGAAUCCCAACUUUAUCGAACUCCAGUUCCCCCCAAAUAUUAUCCAAUAUAAUGAGAUGCCGCUCCUUGUUCUUCAAUACUCGACAUAGUCGAUUUGCUCUGUCGAAUAUACUCUCAUUCAACUCAAACUUUAUGCCUAAAUCAGAAGCAAGUUUGUCUUGAAUUUUCUGAUGAUCUGGGUUCUCUGUUACCUCAGCCAUAGCGACCUUAUCGAACAACUUAUUUGUUUCCAUCACUUGCUUUGCAACUUGCUUGACUAGCGUGGUUUUACCCACGCCGCCCAUGCCGUAGACCCCAAUUAUGUUGAGUUUCUCAUCCUUCAACGCCUCCAUAACAUCCAGUAAUACUUUCUUUCUUGAAUCAAAGGCCUCGUUAUCUUUCCCGCCCCUAAGUGCUUCGAUAUCUGCAGAAGGAUCGAAGGCAAUUUCUUCACUCUUCAGUUUGUCGCCUUUUUCCAUGAGAUUAGCAGCAUCUUUUGCGGCCUUUGCUGCUCGUUUACUGAGUUUGUAACGAGACAACAAAUUUGCACACAAUCCUUUGAAGCAGGACUUCUUGGCUCCAUCUUCUUCAUCAAUGAUAGAUUUUGCAACCCCCUCCGUAGAUUCAACCUUACUUCGCCAAUCUUUGACACCCUGAUAAAUCUCUUUGCCUUGUCGAGUAUCAUGCUUAACACGUUGUUGCACCAUUUCGUUUAUACCUUCCAACCCCUUCACUUGAUCUUUUAGCUCAUCUAUGUAGCUCUGGUACUUGAACACAUAAGAUAUUUGCCGUAUAAUCGGUUUGAACAGUGACUUUGCACCUUCUAAUACAGUGCUGGAUAAAGCAGCCAGAGCCACUUCUGCCAUUGUCUGCUACUUAACAAAUCUAAUAAUAUAUCAAAGAAAGGAAUACAAAUAAAUUAAAAGGAACUAAAGGGAAAGACAGAGAAAGAAAAGACGGCAAACAACAUCGCAAUAUUGAUCUUGAACCAACUGAUACCUAAAUAGAGAAUUUCUUUUACUAUCUUAAGGAUCAGAGGUUUCGCUAUUAACCGAAAGGUAUCGCUUCUAUUUUGUCACUUUGAACGAAUAACUUUAUGUUUUUAACGGAUGUUUAAUACAAAUUGCAUACAUUGGGUGUAAAAUUAAAUAAAUUUAAAUAUUUAUAAUAAUUUUAAUAAUUGAAUAAAACUUUGAGUAAAUGACUGAUAAUUUCUCUAAGAUGAUUUAUUGUUUGGGGUCUAAGAUUUUAAAUAUUCAACUUAAAAGAUUAAUAUCUUAUAAAUUGAUUAAUUAAUUAAUCAUUAAGCAACUAAAUUGGUCCCUGGAUGUCAAUUUAUUUAAUAUUGACGCACCUAUUUUUUUUUUCUGGCAAAUAAUUAUUAAUGCACUUAGGNNNNNNNNNNNNNNNNNNNNNNNNNNNNNNNNNNNNNNNNNNNNNNNNNNNNNNNNNNNNNNNNNNNNNNNNNNNNNNNNNNNNNNNNNNNNNNNNNNNNNNNNNNNNNNNNNNNNNNNNNNNNNNNNNNNNNNNNNNNNNNNNNNNNNNNNNNNNNNNNNNNNNNNNNNNNNNNNNNNNNNNNNNNNNNNNNNNNNNNNNNNNNNNNNNNNNNNNNNNNNNNNNNNNNNNNNNNNNNNNNNNNNNNNNNNNNNNNNNNNNNNNNNNNNNNNNNNNNNNNNNNNNNNNNNNNNNNNNNNNNNNNNNNNNNNNNNNNNNNNNNNNNNNNNNNNNNNNNNNNNNNNNNNNNNNNNNNNNNNNNNNNNNNNNNNNNNNNNNNNNNNNNNNNNNNNNNNNNNNNNNNNNNNNNNNNNNNNNNNNNNNNNNNNNNNNNNNNNNNNNNNNNNNNNNNNNNNNNNNNNNNNNNNNNNNNNNNNNNNNNNNNNNNNNNNNNNNNNNNNNNNNNNNNNNNNNNNNNNNNNNNNNNNNNNNNNNNNNNNNNNNNNNNNNNNNNNNNNNNNNNNNNNNNNNNNNNNNNNNNNNNNNNNNNNNNNNNNNNNNNNNNNNNNNNNNNNNNNNNNNNNNNNNNNNNNNNNNNNNNNNNNNNNNNNNNNNNNNNNNNNNNNNNNNNNNNNNNNNNNNNNNNNNNNNNNNNNNNNNNNNNNNNNNNNNNNNNNNNNNNNNNNNNNNNNNNNNNNNNNNNNNNNNNNNNNNNNNNNNNNNNNNNNNNNNNNNNNNNNNNNNNNNNNNNNNNNNNNNNNNNNNNNNNNNNNNNNNNNNNNNNNNNNNNNNNNNNNNNNNNNNNNNNNNNNNNNNNNNNNNNNNNNNNNNNNNNNNNNNNNNNNNNNNNNNNNNNNNNNNNNNNNNNNNNNNNNNNNNNNNNNNNNNNNNNNNNNNNNNNNNNNNNNNNNNNNNNNNNNNNNNNNNNNNNNNNNNNNNNNNNNNNNNNNNNNNNNNNNNNNNNNNNNNNNNNNNNNNNNNNNNNNNNNNNNNNNNNNNNNNNNNNNNNNNNNNNNNNNNNNNNNNNNNNNNNNNNNNNNNNNNNNNNNNNNNNNNNNNNNNNNNNNNNNNNNNNNNNNNNNNNNNNNNNNNNNNNNNNNNNNNNNNNNNNNNNNNNNNNNNNNNNNNNNNNNNNNNNNNNNNNNNNNNNNNNNNNNNNNNNNNNNNNNNNNNNNNNNNNNNNNNNNNNNNNNNNNNNNNNNNNNNNNNNNNNNNNNNNNNNNNNNNNNNNNNNNNNNNNNNNNNNNNNNNNNNNGGGAUUAUGGGGGUAUGCUAAUGCGGCAACCUGACUGUGAGUCGGGAAAAGCUAAUGAGGCAACUUUGCUUGUGCUGCUUCUUUUUUUUUUUUCUUUUGCUUUCUUUUUUGCUUUUUUUUAAUAAUAUUAAAUAAUAUAAAUUUUAAUUUAAUUUAAUAGAAUAUUAUAUAAUAUUAAUUUUUAUUUUCUCUUAUUUUGACAUCAUAAUUAUUAAUAUAAAUUAAUUAUUUUUAUUCAUAUUUUAAUUUUUAUUACUAAAUAAUAAUUAUAUAAUAAUUAAUAUAUAAAAUUGAUUAAUAAAUACUUAAAUAAUAUAAAAAUAAGAAUAUAACUUGAUAUUACAUUAUUUAAUUAUAUUAUAGUAAUUAAUAUAUAUGAAAAUUUAAUAUAACUAAUAAAAAUAUUUAUAUAUGAAUAAAUUUAAAUAAUAUUAAUUUAAAAUUAAUAUUAAUAAAAAUAAUAAUAUAAAAUAUCAUUAUGUUAUGAUAUUAUUUAGGUAUUAAUAAAUAUUAUUUUCUAAAUAUAUAAUUUAAGUUAAUCACAAAAAAUUAAUACAGUACAGUGUAGCACCAAACAUUGUAUUAUGCUGUAUGCCUGUAUUGUAUUAGCACUGAUUGGGUGUAAAGCGUUUGUAAGUGGCUUUUUAAGUCUGCCGUCAAAUCCCCUGCAAAAGCUUUUUUCUUAAUAUCACGCGUGUUGGUACUACAUAAAACCGUAAACUCUAACAAUUUCUUUGUUCUUUCUUAAUAUCACGCGUGUUGGUACUACAUAAAACCGUAAACUCCAACAAUUUCUUAGUUCUCAACACCCCUUAAUUUACAAGAAUUAAUCACUUCAAGGGUGGAUUAGGUAUAUCUUUAGUUCAUAUAUAACUAGCAAUAUCUAAUAUCCCAUAUACAUGUUUUUCUCCCAGAAUGUAAACCAACUAUUCAUAUCUUAGACUCCAAGUAUUCGUAUCUUAAAGUCAAUCGAUAAUAUUAAUUUAAAUUUAAUAAUAAUAUAAAAUAUUAAUAUAAUAUAAUAUUUAAUUUAAAUUAAUUACAAACAAAUAAUAUAGUACAAUGUAGCACCAAACAUUGUAUAGCAUUAUUAUAAUACAAUGCUAAUGCAAUACAAUAUAAUAUAAUCCACCAACAUUAAAAUAAUAUAAUAUAGCAUAAUACAAUACAGUGUGUCAAAUGCACCCUUAGGGUGUGUUUGGUAUGUGGUAUUGCAUAGCAUUAAAUGUGGGCCCAACAUUAAUUUAAACCAAUAACAUGUUUGGGAGCAAUUGAGGCUUAUUGGGAUUGGGUAUUGAGGGGUGCGCUAAUGCGGGAACCACCGCAUUAGCUUGUCUUUUUUUUUUUACUUUUACUUAAUAAUAAUAUAAAUGAAUAAAUAUAUAAUUUUUAAUUUUUAAUAUAAUAUUAUUUUUAUUUUUAUAUCAUAAUUUAUUAAUAAAUUUAUAAUUUAAUAUGAUUAAUAAUAAAUAUUUAAAUAGUAUAUAAAAUAUAAUAUAAUAUUACACUGUGUAAUUAUUGUAAUAUAAUUAAUAUAUAUAAAUUAUUUAUUUUUAAAUAAUUUAAUAUAAAAAAUAAAAAAAUAUUUAAAUACAAAUGAAUUUCAAUAAUAUUGAUAUACGAUUAAUAAUAACAUAAAUAAUAAUAUAAAAUAUUAGCACAAUUCAUUUUGCUAUUAAAUAUGUUAUAACAAUUUUGUCAUUUUAUAAUUUUGUGGUGUAUAUGAACAUAUGUCUUAAGAUUAUUUUUGAACAAAUCUUGUAGGUUUUAACUAUUUAUUUUUCUUGUUAUAUUAUUUCAAGAUUAUUUGAUUAAAUUAUUUGCUUCGAUAUUUAACAAGUUAUAUAUUUAGAAAAUAUAGAAAAUAAAUGUUAUGCUUCCAAAAAUUAAAGGAUAUAACGUUCGAUCUUUAUGAAGAAUUAUGAUAUUUUUGAACAUUUAUACUAAAAAAUUAUUAAAUUUUUAGAAAAUUAAAAGAUAUAACAUUCGAUCUUUAUGAAGAAUUAUGAUAUUUUUUAACAUUUAUACUAAAAAAAUAAUUAAAUUUCUAAAAUUUAAGACCUCUAUAUUUAGUUUUUUUUAAGUACUAUUAAUAUUAUUUUAUAAAUAUAUAAUAUAAAUUAAUUACAAAAAAUUAAUACAGUACAGUAUAACACCAAACAUAAUAUAAUUAAAAAUUAAUACAGUACAGUGUAAUACCAAAUAUUGUACAAUAUUAUUAUAAUACAGUACUAAUGUAAUACAACAUAAUACAAUACACUGCAUAAAAAUAAUGUAAUUUAGUGUACCAAACACACCCUUACAGAACUUUUGCAUAUCUACACAGCGAUUUUAAAUAUUACUGAUAACUCCUGAGAAAUGUGUGAGAAAGGAGUUGAUAAGAGUAAUAACAGCGACUUGCAAAAGGAAAAGACAGAAUCAUUCACCCCUUUUUAUAUCAUGUAUUUGGUUACUGUUGCCCUGUUGACGCAUGUAUAAAAUAACCGUAUGUAUUUUUUUUGGCUGUUGCUUAACAAAAUGUGUGUUUGUGUGUGUAUAUAUAUAUAUUUGCUGUUUGAAAAAAUUGGAUUCAAAUAAAUUAAAAUGAACUAGAGAGGAAGAGAAAGAAUGAAAAGACAACAAACAAUUGAUAUUGAUCUCGAACCAACUUCUUUCUUUCUUUCUUUCUUUUUUGUGUUUUUUUUUUCGCCCGUACCCCCUCUCAGAUUAGAGUAUUGGCUAUUAAAUGAAAGGUUUUAAGGGUAUGAGUGAAAAACAACAUUCUUUUUUAGAAACUAUUUUAGAGGAGGGAUGCAAAUUAAAUGACAAGAUUAAGACAAACAGGAGAUAUUUUUUCGUGGGCAUUAAGAAAUAACUGCUGUCAAGAUCAAGGAGAUUAUGCUAUUAAUAGAAAUUAUCAAAGGAUUUAGAACAAGUUCACCUCUUUAAUUAUCCGGGAUCAGAUAGUUGAUGAGCUUCUCUUCUUGGCGUUGAAUAUUUAAGAAUAAUUUUAAUGAGCAAAAAGAUCACUGGUAACUGCUGAAAAAUAAGUGAGAAAAGAGUUGAUGAGAAUAAUAACAAUGAAUUGAAUAAAAAAAGGACUUAAUCAUGCACCCCCUUUGCAUAUCAUGUAUUUGGUUACUGUUGCCUUGUUGACGCAUGUAUAGAAUAAUUAGUGACUUCUUUCAUGAAGAAUUAAACUUGGAAUGACCAAAAGACGAAGCUGCGGUGUAUUGUUGGACCAAAUUAAGUUGAAGAAAGCACUAGUUCACAACCUUACGUUUGGAUAUAUUCUAAAGAAAUAAUUAAACAGCAAAUCAUCACAUGCACUUUAAUGAUUUGAUCUAUUGUUUUCAAAAGAAAUUGCAAUUAACAGUUUUUGUCAAAAGUUCGCACUGCGUGAAACUAGUGCUAAUAUAAUUUAAAAAAUUAAUUUCAGUAUUAGUUUUUAAAAUGUUAAUUAUUAUAUUUAUUUUAAUAAUAUAUUUAUAUUUAUUAUAAAAAAUUCUGUUAAACAUUUGUGUUAAAUAGAAUUUAUAAUUAAUAUAAUAUAUCUUAGGUAUUAAUAAUAUUAUAAUUAUUCUAUAUGCUAUUGAAAAUAAUUUAAAUUUUUAGACGUUUAUUUUCACAUUAAGUUUCUAUUUAUUAUAAAAUUUAGUUUAAUAUAGUAUAAGCUUGUAAAGUAUUAAAAUAUUUUUUCAUAUUUUUUGAACAUAUUAAAAUUAUUUUAAAAUAUAUUUAUAUAUUAACAUUGAAGUCAAUUUUUUAAGUUAAUAGAACCAGUAGGUGUUAUAGUAAAAAAGCGUUUCUUAGCAUCACUUAUUGAAAAUAUAAAGAUCUAUAUAAUCAUUUUUUCAAAUAUUGAGAUGUAGUUAUAAAAGAAAAAAUAAAUUAAAAAAUUUUAAAUUUUAAUAUGGCCAUCGUAGAGUUAGAAUCCCCGCUCCAACCCGAUUUGGAGAUGAGCUUGGUCUAUUUAUGUUUUGGAAAAAGAAAAACCAAAGGAAAAAAAAGGCACCCGACCAAAUCAAGUAACUCAUCAAAUAAAAAAUAAAAAAAGGAAAGAAAUUUAAUGACUUGCAUGCAAUUUUGGAUCUGAAAUUAAAAUUACAUAAAAAUUAAGGAUUACGUACCUUAAUAUUUACAGCUUAUUUGAUGGACUCAACAGGUUUAAGCAACAUCAAAAUGUUUGUGGCUCCUUAAAUGAGCCCCCGACAUGGUGCAAAUGACAACAUCGACUUGUUUGACAGCUCCAACAAGGCUACGAUGAUCAGAAGAUGAGCCCUCAAUCAACAAGCUAAGAUUGGCUUCUCUAUCCUCUUCGCCCCACAACCAGCGCCUUGCUCUUUGUCAUUUUUCCUCUUGUUAGUUUUCUUCUACAUAUAAUUAUUACACUGGGAAGUAUACACACACCUCUUUUCUUUUUAUAGUACCUUACUAUUAUAUCUUUACAAAACAAUAUCACCCUAAGACAGCUAUGUAUGAAAUAAAUGAAAUAAAUAUAUAAGGAACUGACGAAAUAAAAUUAGAUCUAACUCUAAUUUCACGUUGCGUGAAUUUUUGACAAUUCACCCGUAUCCCAACAAAAGCUUUGUCAUAUUGCGAAAAUACCUUUUCAAUGUUUCAAUUGCAAUGUCAUUGCCAUUAUUCAUAGUGGCAGACAAUGGACGUCACGGGACGGUAGAAGUCUAUGUUACGGCUUGUGCAAGUAACAGCAGCCAAUGGGGAACUUCCACGGGUGCUAGAGGAGAGAGAAAGAGGUCCCAAUGCAAGGUGAUGGAAAUGGGAAAGUUCGAAGCUGUUACUUUCAGCUUCUGCACCUUAGCCAUGUCCCACGGGACAAGGCUAGAAGUUAUCAUGACCAUAAACUUUUCUAAUUUAUUUUUUCCUUUCAAAAAGGGACAAGGAUACGUUUCGGAGAAUGAUUAUAUUUUUAAUAAAAGAAUUCUUUUUUAUUAUAAUACUUUUUUCUUUAUUAAUUUAAAAAUAUUGACUCUUAUAUUUUAAUAAAUAUAAAUAUAAUAUUAUAAUAAAAUAUAACAAUAUAUACAAAUAUUUAAAAAAAUUUAAGAUUUUAUUAAAAGAAAUUUUAUAAUAAAUACAAAUAUAUUAUUAAUAUAAUUAUAAUAAUUUGCAUUUUAAAAAGUAAUACUGAUAUUAAUUUUUUAAAUUAUAUUACUCUACCAAAAAAAUUAAACUAUUAAAUUAUAUUGAUAUUUAUUAAAAAAAUUGAAGUUAAUUCUUAUUAUAUUUUUAAUUGGAAUUUUUUCAUGUGACAUAAUUACAAUUGCUACAUUUUUUUCCCUAAAUAAAGAUGGGAGUUAUAAAUUAUUUGUAUAAGUGUCUGUGUGUAAACUAAUGUGACAUGAAAGUAAUAGCUGAAUAACAAUAAUGGAGCUUUAGGUAAUUUUUUAUGAGGUCUUCUUGCAAUUUCAACACUUAAACAGACUUGUCCUUGAUCCCAAUUUAUUUACCCCAUUUGGGCCCCUUAUGACAAACAUAUUCUUGUGGAAUGAAAAACAUCAGGAGAAGAAAAUGUUUUAUUAUAAUAGAAAAAGUUGUCCAUAAGUCUAUUCAUUUUUUUUUUAUUCAAUACAAAUGCGGGCCGCGUUCUGUGGGUCUNNNNNNNNNNNNNNNNNNNNNNNNNNNNNNNNNNNNNNNNNNNNNNNNNNNNNNNNNNNNNNNNNNNNNNNNNNNNNNNNNNNNNNNNNNNNNNNNNNNNNNNNNNNNNNNNNNNNNNNNNNNNNNNNNNNNNNNNNNNNNNNNNNNNNNNNNNNNNNNNNNNNNNNNNNNNNNNNNNNNNNNNNNNNNNNNNNNNNNNNNNNNNNNNNNNNNNNNNNNNNNNNNNNNUAAGUAGAGUGAGACUCUGGCAUCCUCUAAAUAUCUCUCAACACUCUUUCUUAUUAACCCCAUUAAAAUAUUUAAAAAUAUUAUAAAAUUCUUUUAACACCUUUUUUAUGGCAAAAAUACCCUUAGUUUAAAUUUAUUAAUAUAAACCCCAUUUUAAUUUUUGACCCCUGAUUGUGAUUUUUUUUUAAAGCACCUGAAUUUUGAAACAAUUAAUUAUCUAUUGAAAAAGAAAGAAAGAAAAGGAAAACAAAAGGAAAAGGGCACUUGCUCCAAGAAAGUUCUACUUUAAUGUGGCAAAUCAUUGAAACACCACAUGGCCAAAACUUUACUCUAUGCAUGACAACUCAUUGUAAUUGAUAAUGACCCUCGCAAACACUUGGCUACCAUGCGUGUAAUUCUAAGGCCAAGUGCUAAUUUGGUUUACUGAUGAAGAUGCUGAGCACAAGCUUCUGAAAAUGCAGAAUUACGAAUUUUUCGAAAGACUGCGAACCUUUAUGGAGAAAGACAACUAGGCCACUGGAAAACAUGUCGGUGGGAAAAUAAUUCUGAUGAUCGUUCAGCUCGUCCUUUGCUUCAUAAUUACUUUCUUCUUUCUUAAUUUCUCUCAUGGGUCUCGGUUUCUUCCUGAAGCUUGUUGAUGAUGAGUUGCAUAUGCCGAUAAUUCCUCACCAGAAAAUAAGAUGAAAAGGUAACUUUCUUAAUUUUUAAAAUGCUGAAUUUCAAUUUAAGGUACUAUUCAUUUUGUCUCUUUCAAGUUAUUUUUCAUUUUUCUGCUGAUAUUUUAAUAUUUACAGUCAAUUGUAGCAUUACUUAAAUUUAUAGUAUGUAGAUCAUAAUUCAUAAAUUAGUUUGCAGUUGGAGUAAACUCGAAAAUGUUAAAAAAAUAAUAAUAACAACAAAAAGAGUAGAGACAAGUUGUCAUCUUGAGUAACAAUAAAAUAAAGAAUUGCAGCUUUUACAAAGUCUUUCUUUAAAAAUAUGAAAUGAAUAAAAUGACUAUUAAAAUGGUUCAAAAUUUUCUGAUAGUGUCAUUGACUAGCUAGAUCAAUUGUUUCUUGUGUGGUAACUUCAAACACCAAAUCCUUGAAAGCAAGUAUAUUAGUUUUGUAUGGUGUUGCCCAGCCUUCUGCACAUGGUUCAUGAUAUUUGAUCCAACUAUUCGCAAUAGGAGGAAUAGGUGAAGCUGGAAGCAUGAACACCUGUAAAAAAAAAAAAAAAGCCAUAGAAAAAUUAGUCCAAUAAUUAAGAUAUUGCAGCAUAAUUUGAAUUUCUAAACUUUUACAUACCUCUAUGAAAUGAUUUCUAUUAACAAAUCCAAUAGCAAUGAUUUUAUGCGAGGAGCGUGAUAAUGGAAUAGAUCUAAGUGGAAGGAAUGUGACAAUCAGCACAUCUGAUAUAUGUAGUAAUACCACAUUAUAUUUAGAAGCAAUAAUAUGACCAAUUUCAGGCAUGGUCAUCCAAUACUCUCUUCCUGGGUUAUUCUCAAAGUAUAAAAGUGAAUGAAGCACCUCCUCUGCUCUACCAGCAUAUUCAAAGACUCUUUUAUAAUCAUUAAAGUGACUUUGCAACUCAACAACUAAGACUUUCCUGACUUGUGCCCAGUUAUCUUCACCAAUACCUAUUAGGUCAGCCACUGCCUGAAAACCACAAUUACCAUCUGCAACAACAUCUCUAACACCACAAAUAUAAGGCCUCAAACCAAAUGGAAAUGAAUCAAUAUAAGAAGCAUGCUUUGGUGCUUUUGUUUGAGAAACACUCAUUUUUCGUUGCCCUUUUGGUUUUUUUGUAGUUGUACUUGAAGACAUAAUGUCUGGAGAAUGAUUAUCCUGUGCGGAUACUACAUACUCAAAUCUUGAUGGAUCUCGGCGGGUAGAUUUAUCAAGCUUUUGGGAGGGUCGUCCUCGAGUCUUAGCUUUAACAGGUAGCUCAAUUAAAAAAGUUAAGAAUGGAUCAGCUAAUUCUUUCAGUUUUCUUUUUAUUUGCAUUUUUCCGAAACCAUCUGAAUCUUCAAAACGCUUGAUAAUCAUUUCCAUUUCAGGGGUACAACUCAACUCUGCUGAUUUUUCAUAGCUGGUGCAGACAAGGUCUAAUUUCCUCCAAUGCAAAUGUACAGAAUCUAAAGGUAUCGGUCGACCUUCACGCUUAUACUCUGCAAUUUCAUGUGCACACGGUAGCCCAUAAGUGUGUCGAACUACACAACCACAUGCUGAAAUAUCUAUACCAAUUAAAUCAGCUCUUUUUGACUCACUUAGUAUCAUAUCUAAUGCAUUUCUAGCAACUAACCCCCUUAAUUCUUUAAAAACUGAAGGUGUGAAACUAUGUUGCACAGUAGUCAAACUCUUCUCAAAUGAUGCCUUAAUUUUUGUAUGUUGCAACUCUACCAAAGAAUGAAGUUUUGUCCAUAAUGUUACAAAGUUUCCUUGGGAUGAACAUAGUUGCCUUUUUAAUUUUGAAUGUGCAGUCUCAGCCCUAAAAAUAAACCAACAAAAAAAUAAUAAAAAGAUAUAUAAAAAAAUGGUGUUGAGUUUAUUUAUAAAAUCAUUGAAAACUAAAUAUUGGUUACCUGUUGGUUGUCAUAUUUCCGAAAUGCAUAAUAAAGUCUGUCCAUGCUGCAAUAAAUUUUUCUUUAUACUUAUCAAGCCAUGUCUACUUCACAUAGACAAGUGCUUUCGGAUAUCUAGCAUAAUCACUCUAAAAAAUACUCAAGUGUUGUAUGUACUCUUGUUCAGUGGCUGAGAACACCAGUACAUUCCAGUUGCUGUUAAAGGCUUCCCAUCUUUCAUUAGUAUGAAAUAGCCUCUUAUAAUUAGCUAACACAUUUUUUGAAAUAUGCCAUCUACAAAGUAAAUUAGUUGCACUUGGAAAUAUCUUUUCAAUGGCAUUCAUCAGAGCUAAUUCCCUGUCUGUCACAAUCACAGCUGGUAACAUAUCAUCUUGCAUAAUGGUUUUCAAUCUUUCUAAUGCCCAAAUAUAGUUAUCUUCUCGUUCGGACUCAAGAUAUGCAAAACCAACAUUAAAUGUCUUUGCAGUCGAUGUGUCACCAACUAUUUCUAACAACGGAAACUUAUACUUAUUGACUUUAUAAGUGCAGUCCAUUAUCAGAACACUUGGAAAAGCUUUUAACAAAUCAAAAGUAAGAGGAUGUGCCUAAAAUAUGUCUUUCACACAAUUUGUAUCAUCAUCACUCCGAUGCCACUCAAUGUAAUUAUGAUCAUGCAAUUUACUCAUAAGCUGUUGCAUUUGUGACCGUCCGCCCAAUUCGCGAACCUUAUAUUUAUACCGAGCAUUAUAAACCGUCUUCAUUGUUGUAACAUUAAAUGUAUCCCUAGUCUUUAAAGUAUGUAAUAUCUCUUUUGGCCGAACAUUAUUUUUAGACAAAUCAACCAAUAUACUAACAUCUUCAUUAGUAAGUCUACCUGCAAAUGAGUGGCCCUCAAGAUAUUGUGCAAAAUGAUGGUUAUGCAAUCCACAGAUUACUUUUAACACCCAAUCUUGAUUAUUCACCAACAUUUGACCCUUUAAUAAAAAUGGACAGCCACACUUUUUUGUUCCAAUUGCAUUCGGUCUUUUCUUCUUUUCCAAGUCGCUAUUCUGCUUAGACAUGUUGGUACUUCUUUUCGGAUAUGCACCACUUCUUUCACAAGCAAAAAUUAUCCUUGGUCUCCUUCCAAUCACAUUCACGUCAGAUCUUUUAAUAAUAAUCACAAGUCCAUUUUUUUCCCAACAUCAUGCAUCCAUCGAAUCAACUUGUCUCUACUGGUGAAAACCUAUGAGAAAGACAAUAAUAUAUUAGUUAAUGAUACAAAGAAAAGAGAAUAUAUGUAUGAAAAUUUAUUUAGCAUUUUACCUCUUCAGUAGUGAAUGCAGCAGUGUAAUCCAUAACAUCUACUUUAUUAUCAAGAAUGACAACUAUGGUAGAACUUUCCUCCUUUACAAUCAUUGUAAGAUAUUACAUAAGUUAAUACAAGACACAAAACUAGAAUAAUAGCAAUUUAUUCAGCAAUAAUCAACCAAACAAUUGACAUUUGUUAAGGGAUAUUUGUUGAACAUUGUUCAACGCUCUCCCAGUCAUUAUAAUUCUAAAACAAUAAAUUAAUAGCAAACUUACUUUUUUAUUAUCAUCCCCAUCUAUUUGCAUGAUUAUUUUGCCCUAAAUUUGAAACUCUUAGAUUAGGGUUUAAGAAAGAAAAGAGAGUUUAUAUCGUAUGCCACACAAAGAAUUUAAAACUCUUAAACAAAAAUAUGCCAUAUAAGAAAUUUUUAAGGGGAAAAAAAUAUUUGAUUUUGAGUGGGGGUUUAAUUAGAAAUUGUCUUAUUAUGUAAUUUUAAUAAAGGUUAAAAUUGUAAAAUAACUAAAGGGGUGUUAAGAGGUAUUUAGAGGGGUGCCAAUAGUCCCACUCAAAUAAGUAAUGGUAACAAAAGACUAAUUUGUAAUAUUGAAGUGUACGGGCUUAACUAAAUCCAAAAAUUAGUAAGUUAGCUCAAGAGUUGAGAGUUGUCCAAAUCUUAAAUGUUGAACCCAAGUUCAAUACUCAAUUGAUGCGGGAUGUUAUUCCUAACACCUCCCGUCAUGUGUAGGAUUGGUAAAAAAACUCGGGUCAGUCCCGCCUAGACCUACGGGCUUUAUGCAUGGCCCGCAUGAUGAAGUUACGAAAUUAACCUAAAAAUUUGAAACUUACGAUGAAUGGCCUUGCUUAAAGAUUUUUGCAACUUUAAUUUAUAACGAGUAUGUAUAUAUACACACACAAAAGUUUAGAUUGCAUUUGGAUGACUUUUUUAAUCAAUUCAAACAAUCUGAAAUUUAUCAGAUUAAUCCGAAUUUGAUCUGUAUCUGAUUUUGCCCGCCCCUACUAUUUAUAAGCCCAAGUGACUCUCUUUUACUAAUUAAUAAGGGAAUUUUUUACCUUAUAUCCUUGCUGUGGCGUUAGACUACUGGUCAUUUUGAUUGUUUCCUACCUUCCAUUUACGCCAGUUGUAACAUUGUAUUAUUCACCACUUUAGCCAUUUAAAUGAAAUUUUAUUUUCAUAAAAAAUAAAAUGACACCCUUAAAAUUUAAAAAAUAGAUAUGUAGAUCUCAAAUUUUUAAUAAAGAAUGUCAAUACCCCUUUUAACUACAAGAUUCUUAGUAGAUGAUAACCAAAAACAUUAACUUCAAAUUUUUCACUAAAUGUAAAUCUGAUUGAAAUAGUUUAAUUUUUUUCUAGUAGACUAAUAUGUAUAACUUAUAUAAUUAAUUUCAUUAUUAAUUUUUAAAAUGUUAAUUAAUAUAUUUUUAAUUAUUAUAAAAAUUUUAAAUAAAUCUUGGAUUAGAUAGAUUUUACACUUAAUGUAAUACUUCUGAUUUAUUAAUAAUAUUAAAAUUAUUUUAUAUGAUAUUCAAAAUAAUUUAAACUUUUAUAUAUUUAUUUUAAUAUUAUGUCUAUUUAUUAUAGUUUGGUUUAAUAUAAUACGGGAUUGUAAAAUAUUAAAAUAUUUUUCAAUAUCAAAUUAUUUUAAUAUGUAUAUAUUAUUACAUUUAUUUUAAUAUCACAUUUAUAUUUAUUAUAAAAUAUAAAAUUAAUAAAAUUAAAGAGUAUUGCAGUAAAGUAAAAAAAAAAGUCUUAUUAUCCCAUAUUCACGGUAUGAGUUUCUACAAAAUUAUUUCCUCAAAUGGGUGACCUUUCCUCAUUUUCAAAAGAAAAAAUAAAGUAAGAAUAAGUCCAGGGUUUCAAAAACUUCUAGUCUUAUCCCAAGACCUCCAUUGUCUACCACUAUGACUAAUGGAAAUGACAUUGCAAUUGACAUUGCUUUUCGCAACAUGACAAAUUUUUGGUGGGAUAUGAGAGAAUUGUCAAAAGUUCAUGCCGCGUGAGAGUUUUUGGUGGGAUGUGGGAGAAUUGUCAAAAGAUCACACCACGUGAUAUAACCAUAAUUGCUACAAUUUUUUUUAAUAAUGAUGGGAGUUAUAAAUUAUUUAUAUAAAUUUGUGUAGAAACUAAUGUAACAUAAAAGAAGUAGCUGAAUAACAAUAUUUGGUGCUUUAGGUAAUUUUUAUAUGAGCCUUUCUUUUAUUUAGCGACUUUAGUGCUUAAACAAAUUUGUCCUCGAUCUUAAUUUACUUACCCCAUUUAAGCCUAUGAUGACAUAAACAUAUUCUUUUGUGACGAAAACAUCAAGAGAAGACAUCUCAUGUUUUAUUAUAACACAAAAGAAGUGGUCCAAACGUCUAUUCAUUCUUUUAUUUACUCAAUAUGAAUGGCCAACUUUAAAAAAUGAUAAAAAUCACACCACGCUCAACUGAAAAUUUAUAAUUACAUUUUUUAAUACUCUCUAUACUCUCUAGCCUCUCUCUCCUGCCCCCUUUUUUUUUUAAAAAAUAAACCUUAGUGUAAAAUUAGAAGAAUUUUAGAUAUAACAUUUGACAAUCGCUAAAUAGAAAAGUAGGGGAUUGAAAAUAGAGGAGCUCUGUUAUCAUUGGAAUAUUGAUUAUAGAUCAUAUAAUAACUUGUUGUGGUUCAUUGUAGCACUCUGAGUCAUAUUCUAAAAUUUAUAGGUUUCUUAAGGUUUUUAUUAUUGACAUUAUUGUGUCAAUACUAUUAUAAUUUAUUCAUUUUAUUGUAAUGAUAAUUUGUCUAGUCUUAGGUACUUAUUAUAUUAAAUUAUGUAAAUUAAUUGAGAAUACAUUUAGAGACAAAAGAAACACGUGUAUGUAGGAUUAAUAAUCGCAGAGUUGUAAAUGAAGGUGAUUGCUUCAUUGAGAGGCAUAUUAAAUAAUUAUGGAGAGUUGCACUAUUUCGGAAGCAUAUAUUUAUACUUCCCUAUCAGGAUUUGGGGUAAGCGAAGUGCUUUAUGUGUUGUAGUAAGCAAUGUGGGCAAUAUCGGAGGCGAAAUAUUAAAAGAUCAUAACGCAUAUAUUUGAGCCAUUUAUAUUGAAGACACGUAUUGAAGACACGUAUAGAGGAAAGAGUGCAUAUCCGGCGGUAACUAUUAUCAGGCUUUCCUAAAAUAUUCUCAUGCUUCCUCAACUGUUCUGAACUAUUCUUCAUAGUGGGCAGAUUUACUUAAAUACCCUUCUACCUAACAAAACUUGGUACUUCUAAUUGCACUCGCAGAGAAUCUAUAAAAUUAAAAAAAAAUUCAUCCAUGAAAAGCCUCGUAACAGAAAAACCAUCUUUCAAAAAAUAAUAAUAAAAUAAAAACAGAAAAACCGACUCAUUUAUCUGCCAAUGAACCAAUCGGGACUCAUUUAAAAAAGAUUACAAAGCAAAAGUAAAUGACACAAAUUGCAUAGAUAUCUAGGAGCCGCAUCAAAGGGCAAUGGUGUUAAUUUGUCCGAGUAAUAAUUAAUUUCAAUAUUAAUUUUUAAAAUGGAAAUUAAUUUAUUUAUAUUUAUAAAAUAUUUGUAAUUAUUUUAAAAUUUUAACUAAAUCCUUAGGUUAAAUAGAUUUUACAAUUAAUAUAAUAUUUCUCAUGUAUUAAUAAUAUUAAAAUUAUUUUAUAUGAUAUUGAAAAUAACCUAAAUUUUUAUAUAUUUAUUUGAAUAUUAUGUCUCUAUUUAUUAUAAUUGGGUUUAAUAGAAUACGAGAUUGUAAAAUAUUAAAAUUUUUAGAUAUUGAAAUUAUUUUAAUAUGUAUAUAUUAUUAUAUUUAUUUUAAUAUCCUAUUUAUAUUUAUCAUAAAUUAUUAGAGUUAAUUUUUUUAGUUAAUAAAUUUAAAAACUAUUCUAAUUUUAAAAAAAAGUCUUAUUGUCUAUUAUUCAUGAUAUGAGGUUCUACAAAAUUAUUUCUCCAGACGGAUGUCCUUUUCUUAUUUUCAAAAGGAAAAACAAGUUCAGGGUCUCAGGGGUUUCAAAAAUUCUGGUCCUAUCUACCACUAUGACUAAUGGGAAACAACAUUGUAAUUGACAUUGCUUUUCACAAUAUGACAAAUUAUUGGAGGGAUAUGGGAGAAUUGUCAAACAUUCACACCACGCGAGAGCUUUAGUGUGGGAUAGGGGAGGAUUGUCAAGAGUUCACACCACGAGAAACUAAUGAUAGGCCCAAUUUCAUUGUCAAUUCUUUAUUUAUUUCAUGCAUUAUUGUUUUUCUAAAGGUAUAAAAGCAAAGUAAAAUACUAGGGGCGCUUUUAAGUUACAAUUGAUGUAACUUACAAUUUUUUCAAAAAUAAUGUAAAAAAAUUAAUAGGUGGUGGGACCCACAUAUUUUUUAAGAGACUUAAGUUACGGCAGUUGUAACUUAACAAAAUUUAAAUAUUAGAUAAUAAUACAUAUUAAUAAUAUAUAAUUUGGGUUUGAUUUUUAAAAGAUUAUUUGAGUACCACCUAUCCUUAUGAUAUUAAUGUGACUAUAUCUUAAUAUUAAAUAAUCAAAAUUUGUUUAAUUGUUAUUUGUAUUUCAUACAUUACAUAUUAGAUUUGUUUGAAUUUUAAGUUGUUGCUAAUAAAUAUUUAUGUUGUCAAAGUCAAAUUCAAUAGCUACAAAAGCAGAGAUAAUGGUAUUGUAUAUAGUUUUUAAGAAUGCAAGGAUAAGCUGGAUAAUUGACAUAAAUUCUAAUGAUUAAAACAGCAACUAUCCCUUAAGUUAUAAUGUCAAUUUCUUUAAUUAGAUUUUUUUUUUUAUGUGAUAUAACCACAAUUGCUACAAAUUUUUUUUUUUAUAAUAAUAAUGGGAGUUAUAAAUUAUUUAUAUAAAAUUUGGGUUGAAACUAAUGUAACCUAAAAGUGGUUGCUGAAUAACAAUAUUUGAAACUUUAGGUAAUUUUCAUGAGUCCUUUUUAUAUUCAGCAACUUGAAUUGGGGGAAAUCCGACUUGAAUUGGCGGUUGAUUUUCGUGAUGUGGCUUUUGGUUUAUGGCGACCUUACAGUGGCAGAAGACUGGAUUUACGGUUGCCGACUGCUAGGGAUUAUGGUGGGGGUGUAAAUUGACGGAAAAAGAAGGUGUUUUGGUGGCGGCGCGUGUAGGAAGCACUCGUGGGUUGUCGUUUCGUGUGGUGGCGGGCGGCGAUCAAGGGCUGAAGUUGGUCGGUUUUUGGUCAACGGAGGCCGGCGAGUUUGUUGGUGGAGGUGGCUGGUGGAGAAAGUGACUGAAUGGUGGUGGGUUGCUUGGUGGAGCCGCGGGUUUGGGUUGGUGAUUUGUGGCUGUUCAAGCGGCGGUUGAGGCAGCGAUGACUGAGGCUUGGUCGACGGUGGCUAGUGAGGUUUGUGGUGGUGUUGGCUGACUGAUCGGCGGUGGUGGGCGGCCGUGGAGGUUGAUGUGACGGGUAGGGUUUUCAAAUUUGUAAAUUUUUUUUUUUGAUGGAUUUGGUUUGGAUGGGUAUCGUGUAUCUAGGAAAGAUGUGCGAUUCGCACAGAAUCCCUUUGACACCAAUUGAUGGAGCGAGGCGUAGCGGAAGCGGAAUUGAUAGGGUAAGAAACAUUAGAUAUUGUUCUAGUACUAGACCAAGCCAACGCAAUUAGCUUACGCUCUAAUCGAAGCGUGAUUAGAUAUCGUUCUAAUCCAAAUAACUCAAUACGAUUUUUAAUAAUGCGUAAUACGAGAUUAAAUGACACUCUAAUCCAAACGACUCUACAAGAGAGAUUUUGAUAAAUAAUCAUAGAGGGGUUUUAUUUAAUAAUUGAACCUGAAGUUAAUGAAAAUAAUGACAAGACAUCUUUAUUUUUUUUUAUUACAGACAUCUUUAUUUAUAAUAAAAGAAACCCGCUUUCCUAAGUUAACCUAAAAAGAAAAUUUAAAUCAUAAUUAUAAUGGAAAUAAAAGAUUAAGAUACAUAUCAUAAUUGACUCAAACUAAAAUAGAAAAUCAUAAAAUAAUAAAUAUUCUAAAAUUAUAAAUUAUCUAAAAUAACGUUAAUUAACUUCCUAAAUCACUUCUUUGGUGUAAACCAUUUUGCAUCCAAACUCGCUUUAAAGGUUUGAACUAACGUUACCAACAACAAUGUAUCAAAUUCCAAUCUAACUUAAGAUCUUGAUGCAUCUAUCGAUGUCCUUGUUUGAUUAGACAAUAAUGAGUCUAUCUCAUCACUUGUUACCUCUUUCUUGAAAGCUACAUCUGUUGAAGUGAUAGCCUCACUUAGAGUUUAAAGAUCUUCUUCCCUGUUAAAUAAAAUGGGCAUUUGAGUAAAAAGCUUUAUCUCUAUCUCCUUCUAUCAAAUAACGACAACUAUCCAAAGGGAAAAAAAAAAUUAGAAAAGUCCAUGGGUCACAAUAAUUUAUGGUCUGUCUCCGGACCCCAUUAUCUGCCACUAUCAAUGAUGAAAAUGAAAAUAAAUGGCAUCUUCCCUAAAUGGCAAAAGAUUUUUGGGGGAUAUAGGGGAAUUGUCAAAAGUUCAUACAACGCGAAAUAAGUGUUACAUCCAAUUUUAUUUCGUCAUAUAAUGAUAAUAUUAAAUAAUGACAACCAUCCAAAAGUAUGAUGGGUCUUCCAAAAUUUUGAAAAUGUCGUCAACAUUUAAUCUUCAAUGCUAAAGAAGAUGAAACGCCCAAAAAUGACACGCAGGACUCACUCAAAAACUAAAUGGCCCUCACCACAUGUAACAAACUUUGACCUUAUGUCCCUGCUGAGGCGUUAGACUGUUGGUCAUUUUGAUUGCUUUUUACCAUCCAUUUACGCCAUUGUAGAAUUGAACUAUUCACCAGUCUAGCUGUUUAAAUGAAAUUGUUAUUUUUUUUCCAAAAAUAAAAUGACACCCUUAAAAUUUUAGAAAAUAGUCAUGUAGACCCCAAAAUUUUAUUAAAGAACACUAAUAUCCUUUUUUACUAUAGUACUCUUAGUAGAUGGUAACAAAAAAAAAAUGAUUGCAAAAUAUUUUAGUAAAUGAAAAUAUGAUUUAAAUAGUUUAAAUUUUCUAGUAGACUAGUAUGUAUAAUUUAAAUAAUUAAUUUUUAAAAUGUAAUUUAAUAUAUUUAUUAUAAAAUUUUUAAACAAAUCCUUGGGUUAAAUAGAUUUUAUAAUUUAUAUAAUAUUUCUCAUGUUUUUAUGUUAUAGAAAUAUUAAAAUUAUUUGAUAUGAUAUUGAAAAUAAUUAAACAUUUUAUAUAUUUAUUUGAAUAUUAUGUCUCUAUUUAUUAUAAUUUGGUUUAAUAGAAUACGAGAUUGUAAAAUAUUAAAAUAUUUUUAGGUAUUGAAAUUAUUUUAAUAUAUAUAUACAUAUUAUUAUAUUUAUUUUAAUAUCCUACUUAUAUUUAUUAUAAAAUAUUAAAAUUAAUUUUUUUAGUUAAUAAAUUUAAAAAAUAUUAUAAUUAUAAAAAGAGUCUUAUUGUCUGCUAUUCACGAUAUGAGAUUCUACAAAAUUAUUUUGAAAAUGAAAAAUAAGUCCAGGGGUUUCAACAAAUUCUAGUCCUAUCUGCCACUAUGACUAAUGGAAACGACAUUGCAAUUGACAUUGGUUUUCAUAAUAUGACAAAUUUUUGGAGGGAUAUGGGAGAAUCGUCAAAUGUUCACACUACGCGGGAUUUUUGGAUGGGAUCAGGGAGGAUUGUCAACAGUUCACACCACGAGAAACCAAUGAUAGCCCUAAUUUCGCUGUUAGUUCUUUGUUUAUUUAUUUUAUUUAUUUCAUACAUUGUUGUCUUGUUGGCAUUGUUUUGUAAAGAUAUAAAAGUAAAGUAAACUAUUAGGGUGCUGCUAAGUUAAGCUGUUGUAACUUGCAGUCCCUUAAAAAAUAAUGUAAAAAAUCCACAUUUGUUUGAAGAGGCUGUAAGUUAUAGUAGUUGUGACUUAGCAAAAUCCAAAUAUUAGACAAUAACGCACAUUAACAAUGCAUAUAAUUUGGGUUUGAUUUUUAAAAAAAUUAUUUGAGUAUUAGCUAUCCUUAAGAUAUUAAUGUGAAUAUAAUUUAAUAUUUAAUAAUCAAAAUCUGUUUAAUCAUAAUAUAUAUUUCAUACAUUGCAUGUUUAAUCAAAAUCUGAUUGCUUUUUACCUUCCAUUUACGCCCACUGUAGCAUUGUACUAUUCACCAUUUUAGAUGUUUAAAUGAAAUUUUUAUUUUUUUUCCAAAAAUAAAAUGACACCCUUAAAAUUUUAGAAAAUAGCCAUGUAGACCCCAAAAUUUUAAUAAAGAACACUAAUAUCCUUUUUAACUACAGCACUCUUAGUAGAUGGUAACCAAAAAAAAAAAAUUGAUUGCAAAAUUUUUUAGUAAAUGUAAAUAUGAUUUAAAUAGUUUAAAUUUUCUAGUAGACUAGUAUGUAUAAUUUAAAUAAUUAAUUUUUAAAAUGUAAUUUAAUAUAUUUAUUUUAAUAUUAUAUUUAUUAUAAAAUUUUUAAACAAAUCAUUGGGUUAAAUAGAUUUUAUAAUUUAUAUAAUAUUUCUCAUGUUUUAAUAAUAUUAAAAUUAUUUUAUAUGAUAUUAAAAAUAAUUAAAAAUUUUAUAUAUUUAUUUGAAUAUUAUGUCUCUUUUUAUUAUAAUUUGGUUUAAUAGAAUACGAGAUUGUAAAAUAUUAAAAUAUUUUUAGGUAUUGAAAUUAUUUUAAUAUAUAUAUAUAUAUAUAUAUAUAUAUUAUAUUUAUUUUUAUAUCCUACUUAUAUUUAUUAUAAAAUAUUAAAAUUAAUUUUUUUAGUUAAUAAAUUUAAAAAUAUUAUAAUUAAAAAAAGAGUCUGAUUGUCUGUUAUUCACGAUAUGAGGUUCUACAAAAUUAUUUUGAAAAGGAAAAAUAAGUCCAGGGGUUUCAACAAAUUCUAGUGCUAUCUGCCACUAUGACUAAUAGAAACGACAUUGCAAUUGACAUUGCUUUUCUUAAUAUGACAAAUUUUUUUAGGGAUAUGGGAGAAUCGACAAAUGUUCACACUACGCGGGAGUUUUAGAUGGGAUCAGGGAGGAUUGUCAACAGUUCACACCACGAGAAACCAAUGAUAGCCCUAAUUUCGCUGUCAGUUCUUUGUUUAUUUAUUUUCAUUAUUUCAUACAUUGUUGUCUUGUUGGCAUUGUUUUGUAAAGAUAUAAAAGUAAAGUAAACUAUUAGGGUGCUGCUAAGUUAAGUUGUUGUAACUUACAAUCCCUUAAAAAAUAAUGUAAAAAAUCCACAUUUGUUUGAAGUGGCUGUAAGUUAUAGUAGUUGUGACUUAACAAAAUCCAAAUAUUAGACAAUAACGCACAUUAACAAUGCAUAUAAUUUGGGUUUGAUUUAAAAAAAAAAAAUUUUGAGUAUUACCUAUCCUUAAGAUAUUAAUGUAAAUAUAAUUUAAUAUUAAAUAAUCAAAAUCUGUUUAAUCAUAAUAUAUAUUUCAUACAUUGCAUGUUUCAUCAAAAUUUGAUUGCUUUUUACCUUCUAUUUACGCCCACUGUAGCAUUGUACUAUUCACCAUUUUAGAUGUUUAAAUGAAAUUUUUAUUUUUUUCCAAAAAUAAAAUGACACCCUUACAAUUUUAGAAAAUAGUCAUGUAGACCCCAAAAUUUUAAUAAAGAACACCAAUACCCUUUUUGACUAUAGUACUCUUAUGGUAGCCACAAAAAAAAAUUGACUUCAAAAUUUUUUAGUAAAUGUAAAUACGAUUUAAAUAGUUUAAAUUUUCUAGUAGACUCGUAUGUAUAAUUUAAAUAAUUAAUUUUUAAAAUGUAACUUAAUAUAUUUAUUUUAAUAAUAUAUUUAUUAUAAAAAUUUUAAACAAAUCCUUGGGUUAAAUAUUUUUAUAAUUAAUAUAAUAUUUCUCAUGUUUUAAUAAUAUUAAAGUUAUUUUAUAUGAUAUUGAAAAUAAUUUAAAGCUUUAUAUAUUUAUUUGAAUAUUAUGUCUCUAUUUAUUAUAAUUUGGUUUAAUAUAAUACGAGAUUGUAAAAUAUUAAAAUAUUUUUUGGUAUUGAAAUUAUUUUAAUAUAUAUAUAUAUAUUAUAUUUAUUUUAAUAUCCUACUUAUAUUAUUAUAAAAUAUUAAAAUUAAUUUUUUUAGUUAAAAAUUUAAAAAAAUAUUACAGUUAAAAAAAAAGAGUCUCAUUGUCCGUUAUUCACGAUAUGAGAUUCUAUAAAAUUAUUUUCAAAAGGAAAAAUAUGUCCAGGAGUUUCAACAAAUUCUAGUCCUAUCUGCCACUAUGACUAAUGGAGACGACAUUGAAUUGACAUUGCUUUUCGCAAUAUGACAAAUUUUUGGAGGGAUAUGGGAGAAUCAUCAAGCGUUCACACCACGCGAGAGCUUUAGGUGUGAUAUGGGAGAAUUGUUAAGAGUUCACACCACGAGAAAUUAAUGAUAGGCCUAAUUUCGUUGUCAGAUCUUUAUUUAUUUUUUAUUUAUUUCAUACACUAUUGUCUUGUUGGUAUUGUUUUGUAAAGAUAUAAAAGUACAAGUAAAAUAUUAGGGGAAGUAAAGUAAAAUAUUGGAGGUGCUACUAAGUUACAGCUGCUGUAACUUACAGUUCCUUAAAAAAUAAUGUAAAAAAUUUAACACGUGGUGGGACCCACAUUAUGUUUGAAGAGGUCGUAAGUUAUAGCAGUUGUAAAUUAGUAAAAUCCAAAUAUUAGACAAUAAUACAUAAUAACAAUGCAUAUAAUUUGAGUUUGAUUUUUAAAAAAAUUAUAUGAGUAUUACCUAUCCUUAAGAUAUUAAUGAGAAUAUAUUUUAAUAUUAAAUAAUCAAAAUCUGUUUAAUCAUAAUAUGUAAUUCAUACAUUGCAUGUUAGAUUUGUUUGGAUUUUAAGUUGUUGCUAAUAAAUAUUUAUGUUGUGAAAGUCGAAUUCAAUAGCUACAAAAGCAGAGAUAAUGGUAUUUUAUGUAGUUUUUAAGAAUACAAGGAUAAGUAGGGGUGGGCAAAUCGGGUUUCGAUUCGGGUUGUUCGGGUUUCGGAUUGGGUUUCAACCCGUUCGGGUUGGAGAAUUGAACCCAAUCGGGUUGAAAGCACCAACCCGAACCAAACCGAACCGAAUUUAAUUCGGUUCGGUUCGGUUUGGGUUGGCAAUUCGGAUCGGAUUGGGUUGAUAAUUCGGGUUAAAAUUUCGGUUCGGGUUAAUUCGGGUUAGAAUGGGUUGGAACAAUUUAAUCUAAAAAUUCUAACAACAACCACUUAAAAUCUAAAAAUUUAAAUUUCAAACAUUCUUAACAACAAAUAUCAAUUACAAAUCAUCCUUAAUAACAUUUCAACAAUUUAAAAAUCUCAAUUCCAAACAUUCCAAACAUCCUUAAGGAACGAUUUAAUCUAAAAAUUAUAACAACCUCUUAAAAUCCAAAAAUCUUAAUUCCAAAUAUCCUUAAUAACAAAUAUCAUCUACAAAUCAUCUUUAAUAACAUUUCAAUAAUUUAAAACUCUCAAUUCCAAACAUCCUUAAUAACAAAUAUCAACUACAAAUCAUCUUUAAUAACAUUUCAAUAAUUUAAAACUCUCAAUUCCAAAUAUUCCAAACAUCCUUAAGGAACAAUUUAAUUCAAAAAUUAUAACAACCACUUAAAAUCUAAAAAUCUCAAUUCCAAACAUCCUUAAUAUAUAUAUAUAUAUAUUUUUUUUUUUAAUUUAAAAGCUGAAUCUUAAAAAAAAAAAAAAGCUUCAACCCGAACGGGUUGAAACUUUGAAUCCGUUCGGGUUUCACCGGUUAACCCAAACCGAACCGAACGCCCACCCUAAGGAUAAGACCAUAACGCAUGAGAUAAUGGUAUUUUAUAUUAAAAGACCAUAACACAUGUAUUUGAGCCAUUUAUAUUGAGGACACAUAUAGAGCGAAGAGUGCAGAUCCGGCCGUAACUAUUGUGAAGCUUCCCUCAAGUAUUCCCAUGCACACAACCCUUAUCUGUUCAAGUUUUCUGAUUCAAUAUAAUCAAUUUCCGAGCAGUACUGACGACAGCUUCUCUGUAAAGCUCUUCAACCACAAGCAUUUCUACAAGGCAAAAGACUAGGACGUGUCGGAAUGAAUAUCAAUAAGGGAAUGUCUUAUGAAUUCAGUUUAUAUCCUAAUAUAAGACAAUCAGUAAAUAUUGGAUGCAAUCUUAGGCUAACAUUUGGUUGAUCAUUAUACAAAAAAAAAGGUACAAAAAUACAAAACAGAGCUGAUUGAUGGCCUCUCACAGUCAGUUAUAUGACAAAGUAGCCAUCACUACUUGAACUUGGCUGGAGGUCUCAUUAGCAGUAUACCUCAGAAAUUAAUACAGAGACUUUAAAAUGCAAACUUAUGGAGCAAUUUAAGCACUGAAACUAAUAACAGUACGGUAUUAGCAAUUGACCUCUGCUUUUUGCUUGGACAAAGGUUCUCAUCACAAGGGACUCAUUAGUUGCCCUUGCCUCACACUUUUGGAUGCUAAGGGGAAAAAGGAAGCUUGAAUUAGUCAAUCUCAUGUCUAAUGGCAUUCACAGAGAACCUAUAAAACCAAAUAAAUAAAUAAAGUUUUCAUCCAUGAAAAGCUUAGUAAUGGAAAAACCGACUCUUUUAUCUGCCACUGACGAAAAAAAAACUGAAGUAUUAAAUAGAUAAUGAAUUUAAUUUUUUUCUUGGAAAAACUAAUAAUAAAUUAACAAUUAGAUAGUACUAUUAAUUAGAGAUCUUUAAUAUUAAGGUUAUCAAAUAUAGAAUGUGUAUAAAAAUUCUUAAUUAUAAGAUAAUUACUAACUAAAAAGAGGCCUAAAAAAGAAGAUUUGCUAUUAUAAGUAAUACCAAAAAUAAAAAGGGAGACUUCCUAAUUGUUUAAUUGUUAAAAAAGAGGAUUUGUUAUUAUAGGCCUAAUUUGCCUAUGCUUAAAACCGUUCCCGGAUGUAAAAAAAUAAAAAUUAUUGUUAAAUUCCUGACUAAUAAGGUCAUUGAAAGUAUUCAAAGGACCUGAACUAUACCACGUUGCAAGUGAGCUCGUAUUUUUAUCCCUUGAUCUGCCAUCGGUAUUUCUCUUCCACUCACUAUACCAUCCUUUUCAAUCGAUUUUUAUUGAUCAUAAGAGACCAUGUGGCCCACCUUUUUUUUAUUUUGGAUCCAUAACCCAAUGCUGGCCCAAGUUAAACAGCAAAUCAUCAAACGCACUUCAAUGACUUUGAUUUUGAUUUUUUUUUUCAAAAGAAGUAAAAAAAUCCAUGGGUCGCAAUAACUGCUGGGAAAUUUAUAAAAAUAGUCAUAAAAUAUUUGUAUUUUUUAACUUUAAUCCCUUAAAGUUUUUUCUAUCAUAACUAGCCAAAUACCCUACUUUUGGACUAGAUUACCCUCAUCACUUUUAUCAAAUUUAUAAAGACAUGCCACUUUUUCAAUUCCAGCACAACUAAAUACGGUUCUUCUUCAAUAACUUAACAAACAUUUAUCACUCUCAACAAACUUCAUCACUCUCUAUAAAUCAAUUACAUAAUUGAAUAUAAUCAUCAAUGGGAGAGCUUCUUAAAAUUAGUUUAUGCUUUUACACAAUGUAAAUCUUUAAUCUAUUGAUUUUAUCAACUAAAUUUGAAAUUAAAGUGGGUUUUGUUACAAAUAUUGUUAUUUUUCAUUCAUAAAACAAUGUGAUUUGUUAAAGUACUUAGUUUGAGUUGAGAAAUGAAGAAAAAUCAUUGAAAAUAUAGAAAAAUCGGGCAAAAAACGAAGUUCAGAACAAGUGAGAUAGGCAAGUGGGACAGGUGCAUGUCUCACAUAAACGCACUGCAUUUAUGUGCGACAGGCACCUGUCCCACUGCUUGUCGCACAUAAACCCAUAAAUUUUAUAGAGUACAUGAUUUUGGAUUUGAUUUGUCUCGUCAUAAGCUUCGAAACAGUAUAUUAUACGCCUAAAACGAACAUAUGUAGCUCAAGUUAUAGCUUUUGCAAUAUAUAUGAAAUUUAGUGAGACAGGCACCUGUCCCACUUGCCUGUCUCACUAAAUUUCAUAUAUGUUUCAAAAAUCAUAACUUGAGCUAUAUAUGUCCGUUUUAGACGUAUAAUAUAUCAUUUCAAAGUUUAUGAUGAGACAAAUCAAAUUCAAAAUUAUGUACUCUAUAAAAUUUGUGGGUUUACGUGCGAUAGGCAAUGGGACAGGUAAAAUGAAUAAACUCUGAGCCUCUCUCUAUAACACUAUAUAGAACCCUAAGCCUAAGUCUCACAUUCGCAACCGCCCCACAUAUCAGAACCACAGCGAACUGCCUCCGACCCUACGGACCCAAAAAAAUUAUUGUAUUCCUGCUCUUUCACUUCAAUAAUUUUUUGUAUUAUUCCAUAUCUUUCACUUUAAUAACCCAAAAGCUUUCCUCUGUUUCAACCCAAAAGCUCAAAUUCCUUUUUUCAAUCGAAAUAAAACGUAGCCACAAAACCCUAAUUCACCACACCAAUUUAUCUCUGCCCGGUAUUCAUUUAAACCCUACCUCGCGGUUCAAUGUCAUUCAAUACGAUUGCAGAUGCCGUUUCAACUUGACAUUUAGUUAGCGCCAUCCCGUUCUCUAUGGUAAGCCUUAACCCUAACAACUAAUCGACUGUGGUAGCACGUUGCUUGUUAGGAGUGGGGAUACAUUAUUUGAAUAUAUGAAUUGGGUGAUGUUAGUGAUUCAUUCCCCUAUUUUUCGUGAAUUGAGAUUUGUGUAUAAUGCUAGUAAGAUUGCUAAAAAUUUCAUAUUUUGUAUUGUUCCAGUUGAAUUUCUUGCUUGUGGAAGAUAAAACAAAAGUUCAAUUUCAUGUUGAUUUAAUUCUUCUUUUUUUUUUCUUCUUUAUAGUCACGCUCUGGCUUUGGUGCUAUGCUUAGUGCAGUUUAUGGUUUCAAGAUUAAGUCACGUUUAUUUGAUGGCAUCGAUUCCAUCAUUAAGAAGCUCUUCUUAUUUUAUCUCAGUUUCAAUUUUCUUUUAUUAUCUGCCUCUACCUGAAAAUGGACGUGUUUUACUAGUAAGCAUAGACUUUGUUUAUUUAAUUGAUAUUAUAAUUUUAUGUAUAAGAAUGGAGGUUUAUUUUGAAAAAAAAAAAGAAAUAAAAAAAUAGACUCUGUUGAAGCUAAUUAGUACUGAAUUUUUUUUGGUGGUGCGACCAGAGGUGGAAACAGGGUAUGAAAAUGUGUUACUGGUGAGGUUGCUGCUUAAGAUGAGAAUGGCUAAAAAUCUGUCAUACGUUCAAAUUUUGUUUGUGUUUGGAAGAAUGGUGUUGACUGUAUAUUCGUUUGGAAGAAUGGUGUUGAUUGUAUAUUCAUUUGCUUAGCCUUUUGACAGAUGGAUUUGAAACUGACGACAAAUGUGAUUCAAUUUACAAGGUUUUCGAGGGGCUCACAGUGGAAGGGAUAUUGAAGAACUGGUCUAAGAUAAAGCCUAUGAUUGUGAAAGAUUGGAGUGAGAAUAUAGAUGCUCGUUUAAAUCUUUUUGGCAAGGUCAGAGAUGAAUGGAUAGAUAAGGAUUUAUUUGACUACUUCGUCUGGUGCUAAUAGGUAUUUUAGGCAAGCUUUUUGAGAUAACACUGAGCAAGUUAUACUACUAGUUUGCACAUGAUGAUCAAAACUCUCGAAAAGUAAAAUAAAAUAAAUUAUUAACUUUUACUUUCAUCUUUUGCAUAGCAAUCAAUGUGGUGCUUGUUCUGUGACAACUUUGAUAGUCUACUUAAUUAUUGGUUAGCAUUUGGACCAAAAAAGUUCUUAUGAUUUACAUGUUUUGUAGAAAUGCAUGAACCUUAAAUGUGCUGAUCAGGGAGUUUAAUUAUUGCACCUUGAAAUUCAUUUAUUGUUAACUAAUUGGCUUUCCUUUGCAUAAAGACGCUUAUAAGGCUUGAGUGGACGUCUUUAUGGGCAUAUUAUUUGUAUUUCUAUAUGCAUGCCUUUAUCAUUAAUUUAUGUGCUGCUUGUAUUUCUUUAUGCAUGCCUUUAUCAUUUAAUGGCCAGCUCCCUCUCCUCUUUUGUAAUUUGAAUGGUAGUAUGGGCCUCCAUUUUACAAAUCUUUAACAUUUUUUGCUGUAAAUUAAUUUUUCUUUCAAAUAUUUUGGAGGUCAUUGGAAUUCCUGUAGGUCUAUUUACCAGAUUUUAGUACGUUUAAGGUUUUAAUUUUGCUUAGACUUUAAUUUCUCUGAAAGAUUGUAGUAUUGAUCCUCAAAGAAAGAUCAUGCUACUUCAAAUUAUUUUGAAGUGUUGCUAGUUAUAGCCUUACAUAUCAAAUUCCAUUUGUCUGGAAAUUUAUUGAUAGUUGUUACAGCAGCAUAUUUUAUGACUCUACUUCUUAGUUAUGUAAGUUCAUUAUGUUUAGGUCAGAGGCAGUCAGCUGUGGGGAAUCGAUAUAUACACAGAUGACUUUGAUCUUGUUGCUGGUACGUGGUUCUAUGAAUAAUUGUUCACAAUAAUUGUGUUUGCCUCACUGUUUUUGUUUUAUGAGGUCUAUAAUUGAUCUUGAGAUAUUACUUUCUAGUUCUCAUGCAAGCAAGUUACUACCUUCCCACUGCAUCUCCUCCUUUAUCUGCUAUUCAAGAGUUGCGUGCCAUAAUCUGGUGUUACCUCUGCAAGAUUGUGAAUGAAUAUGAUGCCUCUAAAUUUAUUUUAUACAUAAUGCUGAUGCUGAAUAAUAUAUUGUAGCUCCUGUCAUAUUCUACUUUGACUUUUUAUAUUCUGUUUCAUAUAAAAAUCUUAUUCAACUUUAGUUGUUCAUGAGCAAAUGUCACAUGUAUAAGCCCAAAUGAUGCUUAAAGGUAGCGCGGCUACCUUUAGUUUGAGCCUACAAUGGAUGAAAAAGAAAUUGAAACUGAUAUUUUGCUGUUUUUCUGAUUUUUCAAAGUAUUUUAGAUCCUGACUUUUGUUUGGACUUGAUGGUUAUAGAUUGUGUCUAGAUUUGUUAAGUUGUUUCCAACACCUCGUGCCAAAUGAAAGCACAAUCUUUCUGAUUCAGAUGUCUUGUUAAUUAUGCUUCAUUUUUUUCGUUAAAGAAUGGAUGGUUGCAUGGAUUGAUGGAGUUGGAGUUCAACCAAUAAUUCUAAUUUUUUGGACUUAAAAUGCCUUUUUCUUCUGUAUAAAAACUUUAGUAAGUGCUAUUGAGUUGACAGAAGUUGAAUACUUACAGGUUGUUUCACACAUUUUAAUCGUUUUACAUAUAUGAAUUUCUGUUUUUUGAAUUGCAGAAAGGAGGUGGAACUAUUGAUUUGGAGCCUUAUCUUACUCAAUCAUCGACAGCGGAGCCUACCCUCGCUCCCAUGGCAGUGGAACGGACAACGACUACUAGGGCUGCAACAUCAGUUGGUUUGGGUCUGUUUUGAGUUUAUUGUCAUUUAUUUGGCAAUGUUUUGAUAGCGAAUUUUGAUAUGUCAAUAUAAUGUGUAAUUGUUUUGGGUUGAGCUGGUAAUUAUGCUGGAUUAGAUUGGUUUGGUUUUGGUGCUUCUCUGACGGAACACUGCUUUUUUUAGAAAUUUUGAAUGUAAUAUGAGACUACAUUUAGUUUAAUUGAACACUGCAUCUAGUCUAAUUACUAGACGUGUGGCAUUUGGUUUGGUUUAUCCGAUAUUCUCCAGAAUUUCACUUGCAUCUGGUUUUGUUGCAUAUGUUUGCUUGCAUUUGAUGGCAGUAGCAGACUGUUUGGUUUUGUGAGAUUUGAUGGCAGUUUGGUCUGUUCUUGGUGUUGAUUUAAGAUUGUUCCUGUUGUGCUGAUGUUAAUUGCAGGUGCUUGAAUCAGCUAGGGUUGCUGGUUUAUUCAGAUGGUUGACUCAGGCGUUGUUACUGGUUAAUUCAGGUGGCUGACUCAAGUUGUUCAUUUAAUGUUAGGAAGCAAAUUAAGAAUUAAUGAAGUAUUCAUUUAACUAUAAUUUUUGUAGUUAUAUUAUUUCAUAACUGAAUUAUAAUCUAUGAUACUUUUGAACAAAUUAGAGAAUUUUUAAAUAUGAAUUAAAUAUGUGUGUGUAUGUACAUUUUGCUAUUUAUAUAAUAAUUUAAAGAAUAUAUUUCAAUUCCCACAAAAAUAAUGGCUCCAAUUUCAAUAAUUCCCGCCAAAUAAUUAAAUUUUUUUAAUUUACCACCAAAGUAUAUCUUAAAGAAAUUUUAGUUAUUCUUGCUAGAUUUAACAAAAAUAAUUUGUAGGAUUAAAUUUAAUUAAAAUAAUUAAAUAAUUUUAUUAUUCCAAUUAAAAAUGUCAUGUUUAUACGACAGACAAUAGUCAUGAAUGGGAAGUAUUCGUUACAUGUUUUUCCUUGGGAUUUCAGGCAAAUGAAAAAAAGAUUGAGAAUGAUUUCAAGAGGACAGGUGGAUGAUAAGUAUUCAUUUUUGUAUAUUUGGCUAAUGUCCUCAUUAGUGGAUUUUUAUGGUAUUGAUCUUUUUUUUUUUUUAAUUUUCAAUUAGUUGCAGCCCUAGAGGAAGAGCAGGCUGAUCAAAUUGAUUUGUCUUGUUUUUGGGGCAAUCUACGACACGAUGACCGUGAUAAUGCUCGUGACUGCUGGAAACUUUCUGAUGUAAAUAACUUUAGAGUUCGUAGCAAGCAUUUUUGUUAUGACAAAACAAAGGUUCCCCCAUAUUUUGUUUAUUUGUUAUUUAUGGUACUUAUUUAUGGUAUUUAUAUAUCCUGCAUAGGCUAGGUAGACAGGUUAUGAUGUAGUUUGGUUGGCUCUUCUUGUGCUUUGUGCAAUUUGUAACUGCAGAUACCUGCGGGAAAACAUUUAAUGGAUCUUGUUGCUGUUGAUUGGUUCAAAGACACAAAGAGAAUGGACCAUGUAACUAGGCAUCAAAGCUGUGCUGCACAAGUAACUAUUCUUCUCUUUUUUAUUUUUCCUUUUCCAUUGACGGAUUAGAAGAAAAUACUGCCUGUGAGAUACUGUAAUGUAAAUAACUUCUCAUGGUUCAUUGAAUCUAUAACACACUGACCCUCUUCUAAAAAAUGUAGGUUGCUUCUGAAAAAGGGCUUUUCUCACUGAUCUUUAAUCUUCAAGUAAGUUUGUUUCAUUUCAGAAGGUAUUAAGUUUCAAACUUAUUGUAUUGGGAGGUUGUAUAGUUGUAACCUAAGCAUCUGCAGGUUCCUGGUUCAACACAUUAUAGUAUGGUAUUUUAUUUUGUCACAAGGCAAUUGGCUAUGGGAUCACUUUUGCAACGGUUUGUUGAUGGCGAUGAUGAGUUUCGCAAUAGUAGGUUGAAACUUAUUCCAUCUGUUCCUAAGGUAUCCAUCUUGGCCUUCAUGUAUUAGGACUAUAUUAAUGUAUACUUACCCUUUACUGCAUGGUACACUUCAAUUUGUCCAAAGAAGGCAUGCAUUUAGGUGAAAAUGUAUUGAUGGGUUGUACCUUCAAACUUCAUGUCCUUUUUACCCUCUUGAAUUUGUUUUGCACUUGUUCUUGAUUUUAAGCACUGAAUCAUGCAGGGGUCAUGGAUCGUGCGUCAGAGUGUUGGAAGCACCCCUUGUUCGUUAGGGAAAGCGGUUGAUUGUAACUAUAUUCGCAGUCCCAAGUACUUAGAAGUAAAUGCUCUUGGAAUUUCUAUAGUACAUGAGAUGUUCAUCUUUCAAAUAGCAUCCGAUACCAUUAACAUGGUUUAACAUUGUUCAUCUUUCUGUAGAUUGAUGUUGACAUUGGUUCUUCUACCGUUGCUAAUGGAGUUUUGGGCCUUGUAAUUGCUGUAAUUACGACAUUGGUGGUUGACAUGGCUUUCCUUGUACAGGUAUGUAUGAUUGUUUUUUUCCCCCACUUCUAAAUGGACACAAGGGAAAAGACAUGAUUUUGAGAUAUUGCACUGCAAUUUGCAUUUUUGCAUACUUGAAUGUUCUCAGAAUGGUAUAAUGCUUCGUGUGUGUCUUCUUUAUCUUGCUCUUCUGUAUGCAGGCAAAUACUGCAGAUGAAUUACCGGAGCGGCUGAUUGGUGCUGUAGGUGUUUCUCAUAUAGAACUCAAGUCUGCUGUUGUCCCAAAGUUGGAACCAGAGAUAUCAUGACUGUGGUUUCAUUUCACCUCAACUGUGUUUUUUUUUUAAUUAAAAAAAAUCAUUUGUUUUAGGUAUAUACAUACAUGUAUUUUGAUUCGAUUUUCAUUGUAAUUUCUCAUUUACUUCGAAUGAAAGUCAUUGGUGUUUUCGAAUGGGGAUUUUGCAUUAAAAAAUGAACAAUAGUGAAUAGGAAAUUUCCUGAUUCUUUAGUUACUAUUUUUGGUACGAGUGUAAUUAGUAGUAAAGUUGGUUUCUACUCGCAAACAAGUAAACUGCUCGAUUCCCGAGUGGUAUCAACCAGUUUCCAACUUUUUAAUAUACACUAAUUGUUCUUGUUUAAGAGAUACUACUAUUAAAACUCAACAGCUAACAAAAUUACUCAAAAAAGAUGAUUUUUCUUAUGAUGCUGUGAAGAAAAUUACGGGUUUACUUCUCUCCACGAGAUCUAUAACAUGGUUUUGACUUCACGAAAUUCUUUUAAUUUAAAGCAUGCUGGUGUGAGAAGGUCAGUUUGACUGAUUGAUUCUUCAAAAAUAUUCUUAUUCUGAUAUUGUCACAAAUGUUAUGCUGUUUCGGCUAAUGAUCUCCUAUUAGGAGAGGUUAGAAAUCAAAUGCUUAAAAGACCGAUUGAACGAAUAAUACAGAAAAUUUAAGCAGAAUCUAAUCGAAUAUUGCAUGAAACAUGAAACAUCAAUUCAAGUCCUUUCUUAAACGGAGAAUGCAUCAAACAAAAUCUAAAGUGUCUUGCACGUCUGUAGCAUGAGCAAAAAAUUGUAAAUAUGUAGAACCAAAUUAUUCAAGUACAGAAGAACGAGCAAGCUGAAUCAUGUAUUAGAGAUUGGCCUGGUUCGGGAUAGCUUCUUCACUAUACCUGAAUAAUUUGCUAAAUAGCACCAAAACUUAAUUGAUACUUACCAUUUCAUUGAACAAUUUUUUUAUGGUGUCAUUGAGGUUGCCUUCCCAACAUCCUUCAUCAUCAUCAUCUUUUUCUUCUUCGGUGACGUUCACUUUGUUUAGCAUUGGUGUGUCUAAGACUCCUUGAGAGAAGAUCUUCAUUUUUGGACACUGUCUCACAACUACUUGUUUCAAGGACGGGAAUUCAAGAGCGUAAUUACCCAAACAAAAGCUUGUUAGGCUUGGCAAACAAUCAAGUCCUAAGUACUCCAAUUCCUCGAAACCAUUGCAAUCUUUCGCUUCUUCUCCAACCUGCGAUUGUAUGAUUUCUUCUAUCAUUUUGCAAUCAGCUAUCUUCAUUCUUCCGAGAUUAACCAGAUUUUUAGAUGCUGAGAGCGUCAACACAUUUAUCAACCCGUGACACUUCGAUACUUCCAGUCCCCACAUAUUUUCCAAAUGCCACGAAGGUGGUACUAAUUUUUGCAACUUACUACAUUCCGAUAUUUCUAGACUUCCCAAGUUUGCAAACGCUUUGUUGGAUUCGUCAUUUUCCUUCCAGAUAUGCUGCACUUUGUGUAAUCCAGAUAGUGUUAACCAACUCAAUUUAGGGAAUGCAACCUGAAAAUCAACAAAAUUAAUUAAGUUGUAAAUGAAAAUAUGUAUCCAAUCUCUGGAGUCUUCCCCUGCAUAUUUUAUGGACAAGAUUAAUCACGGCAUUUUAUAUUUUUUUUCCAAAUUAGUAUGCUUUGCAGUAGGAUCCCAAAUAUAAGUAUCAAAUCGAUUACCCUUUGAAACACAUAAAUGAAAUCUGAUCCUAAAUCCAAUAUGAAUUAACACGCAUAAUUAAUAUAGUUCAUCACCUCAUGUCACUAGGCAUCUAAUUAAUUUGAGACAUUUUAAUAAUUUAUACUAUAAAGUUAGUUAAUAACUGCGGUUAUAUUGUUAAAUCAUAUAUAAAUUAAGACGACAUGCAAAAAGAUGAGUCAUUAAAUUUGAUUUGAUUCUAAUGAAAUUACAUCUAUGCGAACGAAAGUGAUGGGAAUAAUCAUCAUCAUCAUAAUAAUAAUAAUAAUAAUAAUAAUAAUAAUCACCUUUUCAUCGAAGAGAGGUUGUAGUUGAUGAGCCAGCAAGAAGUUCUCUUCUGAUGUUAAUUUCUGAGGUUCCUUGUUAUCUGUUGUCACGUGCACUACAGAUGUAGAAUUGGAUAUGAAUGUUUCCUUAUCAGGGCAAUUCUCAAUAGUUAGAUAGUCCAACUCAGGCAGUUCAAUUAUAUUCCCAGUGAAGUUGCAGAAUCUUUUGAGUUUUGGAAGAUCAAUGAGCCUUAGAUUGGAAAGCUUAGGAAACAUGGGGCCUAUAUGUUCUUCCUUGGCAUUUAGCUCUUCCAAAUGAAGCACCUCUUCUAGUGAAUCACAAUUCGUCACUGUCAGGUAUUGCAAAUUGUUCAAGCACCGUAGCAGAUUGGCAGGAAUAGCACUCGACAUAUUCGUGCAGUCAUCCACCACCAGGUCACUUAAAUUGUUGAAGAAGCUGACAGGCAGUGCUUGGCCAUGCCAUAUUUCUUGCAAACGUGGAAAAUGCGAGAGUUGCAAAUACUCUAUAUCACGGAAUCCAAUCUGCACAAACCAAAACUAUUGCACUGGAUAUAUACAAUUUUUUUUAAAGGCAUUAGAUAUAUAUAUAUAUACACACACACACACAUUAAACUUACAUGUUUUGUGUUUUAACUUCUAAAACUACAUAUACAAGGUAGGUGUAUAUGUUUAAAUGUGCAAGCGUAGGGGAGAUGCAUGAACAAUUUGGGUGAAUCGAUUAACACAGACCAUCUUUUUGUAACAUAUUUUUAAAUGUGCAAGUGCAAGGGAGAUGCAUAAGCAAUUUGGACGAAUCGAUUAACACAUACCAUUUCUUCGUAGCCCUUUUGUAUAAAGGAAUUAAGGUUAUCGCCUUCCCGAUGGUACAAUUCACCCUCUUCCUUUUUACUAACUUGCACUUUGCAUGGCUUUGGAAUGGAUAAGAUUCCGUGAGAAAAAGUCUUCAUGUUCGGACAAUGUGUCACAGAAACUCGUUCCAGUGAUGGGAAUUCAAGAGUAUAAUUCUCCAAACAAAAGCUGGUAAGCCUUGGUAAAUCAUCAAGUAUCAAAACUUUUAAUUUACUGAAAGCAAUAUGAUUCUCCUUCGCUUCUUCUCCAACAUGUCUUAUGAUUUCUUCUAAUUUUGUGCACUUCGAUACAUUAAGAUUCACCAGACUACUAGGAAUUCCAACCUGAAAAUAAGCAAAAGUGUGUGUAUAUUAAAAAAGUAAAAAUGUAAGAAUAUCAUUCAACUAGGUUCAAAGUAUGUUUAAUCAUACAAUUAUACGUUUUAUAAACAUAACAAACCAUGAAAUGUCUACUAGAUAAUUUUUUAUUAAACAAAAAAAGCAACAAGAUAAAUAAAUAAAUAAAAGCCAGAUAAACAAAGAUAAUAAAAAUGCAUUUACACUAUUUACUAUUGGGAACGUAGAAAGAAUUUAAGGCAAUUUCUAAAUAUUUUAGACUUAUUUUGCAUCUUGAUAUCAGUUUUUAAGCAUAAAUUUACAAAUUUCAACUAUUCCUUUUAGGGAAAAAAAAUUCAACCAAAAUGCCGCUUUUUCCCUUUUCCUUGGUCCCUUUUUUUAUGUACAUUUAAAAAUGGAAAAAAAAAAUUGGAAAAGACUUCCCAAUAUUGUCAAUAAGGGACUGCUGCUGUAAAGUGGAUCUUUAUUAAGUACUUCCAGACUCAAGGAAAUUUCUUUACAAUCACGGGUCAGUUGUAAAUAAUCAUGAAUUUGUGGUUAAUUAAUGGCAUAAUCAAUUCGUAACUAAACAAGAGAUAUUAAUUAAAUUUGAAGACUUUUAUUUUCUUUUUUUCUUUUUCCAAUCGAAAUGUGAAGAAUUAAGGAAAAGAGAAAUAUAUAGAUGAAUUUGUGAACCUAUAAGAUGAGUGACGAUCCUUUAAUUUUUGAAAAUCGUACUUAUUAAGAUAUGAGCAAAAACUAUUUAAUUGAAUUAUAUUAUGCUGUUGAAUCGUGUUUAAAAAAUUUAUAUUGUUGAUUCUAAUGCUGACGAACCUAAAAACUGGACCUAAAACGUAGAUUUCAGAGUGGUGGUUCGAAGUACGAUACUUGAAAUAAAUAAUCAGUGGCUGAAUAUCAUUUGUAAACAAAAAAUGGUUAAAAUAUUGUUGGAUGUAAUUUGAAAAAAAAAAAAAAAGAUUCGAAAUGAAUACACUCAAAUAUCUCCAAAUUCUUCAAUUUGCUGAAAGACUCCAAAGCAAGCUGGUGGUGCCAUAUUCUUCUCAAAUUAUCCAUCGACCUAAUACGUAAUACCUCCAAACUAGGAAGUCGUACCUGGCAGUUAAAGAUUAAAUAACUAAUUAAUCAAUUAAUGGCAUAAUCAAUUGAUAACUAAAUUAGAGGCGGAUAUUAACUAAAUUUGAAGAAGACUCACGGAAAAGACAAAUUAAAUAUUAUGACUAAAAUUAAUUUUUUUUAUUAAAAAAAAAACCUUUUCGUCAAAGAGAGGAGGAGGUUGCAUUUCAGAAUGAAUGGUGUCUUCUGGUGAGCUCGUAGAGAUGAAUCUUAACAUAUUACUGCAACUCUGAAUCUCGAGCUUUAGCAAAGAAGGGAAUUCAACGACUAAAUCUGAAUGAAUAUGUCCCGUAUUGGCAAAGCUUGUUAGUUCAUAAAGCGCUUCUAGCUGCAGGGAGUGUAGCUUAGGAAAAACCUUUAAUUCAAUCAACUUUCCUUCAUCUCUUUCUGACCACCCCGUGGUGUCGACUACCCCUUCCAUUGAAUCACAAAGCCUUAUCUCAAGAUGUUGGAGUUGCAUCAGACGAUUACAAUUCCCCACGUACAGCUUUGUUAAAUUUUGACAACAGUACAUUCCUUGAUUAUGAUCGGCCCAUAAUUUUUUCAUGUUUCUUAAGUCCCAGAGAUUCAAUUCCUCUAAGCUCGGAAGAAUAACCUGCAAAGAAAACCCGUACAUUUUUGUUCCUUCAAGUACAACCGUCUAGUAUAAUAUUCUUUUGAUGAUCGAAGAUUAAUCGUGAUAAUAAAUUAAUCAAUUAAUUAUUGAACAGAAAAUUAUCACCUUUGGAGCAGUAUCAUCAUCAGCAAUGAUUUCGUUGAAUCCCAAAGAAGUUGUUGGUUUCUCCCUGUCGGGUCCUAUAAACAAACAAAAACAAUAUACAUAAUUAAUCUUUGUCGUUGUCUUUUUUUUUUCAAAAUAAUUGAGGCGAAGUCCAUAAAUCCACCAACACUUAACUUCAACACUUACCAACCAUCAUUUCCAGAUCAUGGCAAAAAGCCACUUUGACCUUUUGAAGCCGCAGUAGGUUUUUGGCUAUGGAGAAUGAGAAAAGAUGCUUUAAUUUGUGACAGGAUUGUACUCCUAUAAUCCUUAAGUUGCUGAAAGAUUGAUCUUCUGUGAGUUGGCUGUCACAUAUUGUCUCCAAAUUGUUCAAAUUGCGAAGAGACAAUGACACCAGCAAGGGGAAGACUUUGCGACGAACCCGUCCAACUGAACCGACAAUAUGCAAAAUCUCAGAACAACUUUCUACAGAAAGAUGCUUCAAUCGUGGAAAACCUUCCCCAUCAUCUAAUUCAUGAACAACAUUCUGAACACCCUUCAGUUCGUUUAGAUGGAUCUCUUCGGCUUCCUUCAGCAACAUUUUCGUCCCAUAAUUCUCCAAAAGAGUGCUAACAUUUUCUAGCCCAUGGAGCCCCACCAAUCUUGAUGUUUCAGAAUUAACGGGCCAAAUGCGCCACCACGCUUCUCCUAUACAUAUCUUAUAGCUUUGCAAUUCCACAGAGACCCAAUCCUGCGGCAGAAUUUGGGCAUCCGGAACUUGUAUAUUCAAAGUAGUUAGCUUUGACAGCCCCUUCAAUUCAGCAAGACUGGCGUUACUUCCUCCUUCAACCUUAUCCCACUGCGAAAAGCUGUCACCCAUAUAUAGUUCUUCCAAUCGAGAAAAUUUUGAUAUGACAUUUGGUGCUAUCACUACAAGGCUCCUACAAUUGCUCAAAUCUAGCAAUUGUAACCGCGUCAAUUGUCCAAUUUCAAGCGGUAACUGCUUAAUGUCGGAACCUCGAAAGCUAAGAAUCUCUAAUUUCUUUAGCUGUCCAAUUGCCGCUAUAUCUUCUAGUUGGCACCAGUCUAAACACAAUGUUUGAAGGUUAAUGAGGCGACCAAGUGAUGAAGGUAAUGAAGAGAAAGGAAUUCUAGUAAGAGUUAAAACUUUGAGUUCUUCUGUCCCUUCAAAAAAGAGGUCUGAAAUUUGCAUUGAGCUAUAACGCUUUGAAAACAACAAAAGUAACUGGAGACGGGGACAUCCCAACCUUUCGGGAAGCUCUUGAAUAUCUCUCUGGGGUAAUGAAAUGGCAAUUGGAUCUUUCCGUAUUGUCUCUUCCAUCUUUUUCUCCACGUCAUCAACAUUUGGAAUAUUAAACAUGCGCUCCCCUGCAGCAAUUGAUACAGCAACAACAUGAAUGACGUCAUGCAUUUUAACUUCAUCUUCAGCAUCACCGUCCAACAAUAAGCAUGAAGAUUUGAGAUUGUCGAUCAACCGAUGCACUCUACUCCUUGCUUCUUCCAAUGUGUAAACAUUUUCAAACAAACCCCAACCCACGCCAUAUCUCAAUAAGCCAGAAACUUGUAUCGCAUGACCUUCACUGUACAGACCACAAAGACGGAACAGAGGUUUUGCCUCCGCACUUUCCAAAAAGUCGUAACUCAAUUUUAUGGAGGUGUACACAUUUGCUUUCAUGCCAUGAAUUUCUCUUGCAUGCGAUCUUCUUAGCUGAUUCAAUGCAUCUUGCCAAAAGUAACGCUCCUUAUUUUUCAGAGCAUUUGCAACUGUACUCAGUGCAACAGGCAAACCUCCGCAUUUUUCAACGAUCUCAUUUGCUGUACUUUGAAAAUCAGAUAUUUUAGUUGAAUCACCCACUAUCUUCUCAAAUAACUGCAAUGCUUCUUCUUUCGAUAAAGCAUCGAUCCAGAAAAUUUUCUGACAAUUCAUAUCAUUGCACAAUAAAUCUCCACUUCUAGACGUCAAUAUUAUUGUGCAUCUUCUCUGAUCAUCCUCUCUAUCUUUCUCAUCAACAUCCCCAGAAGGAAUUCCAACUUCAUCGAACUUCAGUUCUCUCCAAAUGUUAUCCAAUAUAAUCAGGACCCGCUUCUCUUUCUUCAAUACUCGACGUAGUCGAUUUGCUCUGUCGAAUAUAUUCUCAUUCAACUCAAACUUUAUGCCUAAAUCAGAAGCAAGUUUGUCUUGAAUUUUCUGAUGAUCUGGGUUCUCUGUUAUCUCAGCCAUAGCGACCUUAUCGAACCACUUAUCUUCCAUCACUUGCUUUGCAACUUGCUUUACGAGCGUGGUUUUACCCACGCCGCCCAUCCCGUAGACCCCAAUUAUGUUGAGCUUAUCAUCCCUCAACGCCUCCAUAACAUCUUGAAAUACUUUCAUUCUUGAGUCAAAGGCCUCGAAAUCUUUCACUUGCAUGUGUUCUACCAGCUUUGGAGUAGGACGGUGGGAAACAUUGGAGAAGUUGCCUUUUCCCAUGAGACUAGCUGCAGCUUCUGCGGCCUUUGCUGCUUGUCUACUGAGCUUGUAACGAGAGAUCAAGUUUGGGCACAAUCCUUUGAAACAGAACUUCUUAGCUCUAUCUUCAUCAUCUGUGAUGGAUUUUGCAGCGCCCUGAGUGAAUUCCUUGACGCUAUUAAGCCAGUCUGCAACAUCCUCAUAAAUCUCAUCUCCUUGUUGAGUAGCCUGAUGAACGGGUAUUUCCACCCUUUCUCUUUGAUGUCCCAGCUGCUUCACUUGAACUUUUAGGCCAUCUAUGUAGCUCUGGUACUUGAACACAUAAGAUAUCUGCCGUUUAAGCGGUUUGUACAGUGACUUUGCACCUUCUGAUACAACGCCGGUUAAAAAAGCCAGACACGCUUCUACAGCCAUUGCCUGUUGCUUAACGAUAUAUAUGUAGUUUUUGGCUGUUUAAAAAAAAAAAAUGGAUUCAAAUAAAUUAAAUGAACUAGAGGGGAAGAAAAAGAAAGAAACGACAACAAACAACCUUUUAGAGAAAGGUUUGACGGGCCUGAAUGGAAAACCAACAACUUUUUGAAGAAAGAAAGCUUUGGAAGAUAGAUGCAAAUUAACCGUUGAUAAUACUACAUAAGAACACAGAAGUUAACAAUAAACAGUAACUUAAAACUCAAGAAAAUUAAAUGACGAGAUUAAGACAAACAAGGGAUAGUUUUUGUUGGACAUUAAGAAACAACUGCUAUCAAGAUCAAGGAUUAGAAAUUAUGCUAUUAAAAGAAGUUAUUAAAGGAUUUAGAACAAGUUUACCUCUUUAAUUAUCUAGGAUCAGAGUUUAUGAGCUUCACUAUUGGCCUUGGAUGUAUAAGAAAAACUUUAAUGAGCAAAAGAUCACUCUUAACUGCGGAGGAAUGUGAGUAAAGAGUUUAUGGGAGUAAAGCAAUACAAUUGAAUUGUAAAAGAACCAAGACUUAAGCGUGCGUCCCGUGUUUUGUUUUAUUAUAUAAACAGAACAUAUGUUCAUUUUUAACAAAUUGAUCAAUAACUCUAUUCGCUAUUUAAUUAAUAAUGUAAUCAAUUUUAAGAGAAUAUAAUAAUAAUCCUUCAAUGCAUAAAUUUAGAAUUAGAUUUUUUUUUACUUUUUAUUUAAAUGUAAAUCUCAGUGGAAAAUUAUAAAAAUUUAGAGAUAAAAUUUUUCAAUCACCAAACGGAAAAACAGGGGAAUGAAAACAGAGGAAUCUUGUUUUACUUUUUUUUUCUUUUUAAACCUUAACUCUUGUUCUUAUAUAAAUAAUCUUGUUCUGAUGAUAGUGCUCUUGACUGCAGGAAAAUUUCUAAUGGAAACAACUCAAUUUCGGAAGAUUAGCUCAGUUUUGCAAGCGAUGAAUUUAUUCAAUUGACUCUGUACUUGAACUCGUUGGAUUGGUUGAUUUAUGAUUGACUGAAUUUCAAUUCGGCCUAAAAGAUCUUUAACCAAAGUUUAAUAGCUAUCAUCUACUCCUUAAAAACAAAUAUGUAUCUUUUUUAGAUUUGACUGAAUUUGAACUUGCUGGAUUGGUUUUUUUUUAGAUUAUUAAAAUUUGGAAUAUUUUUUUUUCCUUGCUUUCUUUUGUUGGAGGAUUAGAGAUUUUGGUAUUACCAGAAAGGUUUCAAGGGUCUGAGUAGAAACCUAUAAUCUUUUGAAAAACUUUGUUUUUUUUUUUUUUUAAUUUUUUGGGGAAAAGGAUGCAAAUUAACCAAAUGGAAAUAAUAAGAGCACAGGCUUUAACAAUGAACAAUAACUUAAAACUCAUGCAAAAUAAAUUCAAUAUUAAAACAAACCAGAGAAAUUUUUUUCUUGAAAAGUAGAUGGAAAUUAUGAAAGAACAGAUGUCAAGAUCAAGGAUCAGGGAUUCUACUACCCAAAAAAAAUAAAAAAUAAAAUUAAAGGAUUUAGAAAAUGUGCACCUAGAGUUGGUGAGCUUCUCUCUCUAUUCACUUGAAUAUUUAAGAACAACUUGAAAGAGGAAAAAGAUCACUGGUAACUGCUGAGGAAUGUGUGAGAAAAGAGUUGACGAGAGAAAUAACAAUGACUUGCAGAAGAAAAACCAUUAAUCAAGCACACCUUUUUAUAUCCUGUAUUUGGUUAUUGUUGCCCUCUUGACGCAUGUAUAGAAUAAUUACGUGCAUUUUUUUUAAUCCGCAUGCACUUUAAUGAUUAGUGCUCCUUUCAUAAAGCAGAUACCGGAAACACACAAAUAUCAUUUGAGAGAGAAACUAAACAGCAAAUCAUCAAAGUAAGAUCAAUAAUAUAUGACUUGGUUAAUGCAUAUUCAAGAACAAAAACAAAAACAAAUAAAUAAAUAAAUGGAGAAGGUUUGAUUUUGUACUGCCAACGCUGCUUUUUUGUUAUUUCAUUUGUUCUUUCCACAAAUGAUGCUUGGUUAUAAUUAAGUUCCACAUGGCCGUUACUUACAAACUGUGUUUGUGUUAACAGAAACGUGAAAUUCACAUCACACAAAAUUACACUAUCAAUUCUUAAGAGAACAUAAUAAUAAUCACUCAACGCAUAAGGGUAAAUUUAGAAUUACAUUUUGAAAUUGAUAAAAUGUUUUUUAUGGGAUUUCAGGCAAACCAAAACAAAAAAAAUUUCAAUAAAGAGCUAGUUGUUGAAAUUGAUUUAUCUUGUCUUUCAGGCUAUCUUGUGACGUGACGAUAUAUAAUGUUCGUGAAUGCUAGAAAAUUUCUAAUGCAAACAACUCAAUUUGGGAUGAUAAGCUUAAUUUUGCAAAUGACGAAUGUAAAUAACUUGUUUUGAUUAAUUGAAUUUGUAAUACUCUUACCCUAUUCUAAAAUUUGGAGGUUGCUUGAGAAAAAAAGGGUAUUUCUCACUCAUCUUCAAUCCUCAAGUAAAAUUAGGUAAAAAGCAAAUCUAAAAAAUCACAAACGAAUUAACAAAAAAAGAAAAAAAAAAACAACAUUGAUCUUGAGACAAGUGAUAUUUAAACAGAGAAUUCUUUAUUCUUUUUUACUUGCCCCCCCCCCCCCGGGGCUCGAGGAUUAAAGUCUUUGCUAUUAACAGAGAGGCUUUAAGAGUCUGAAUAAAAACCCGUGCUUUUUUUAAAAAACCACUUUUUUUUUCUUUUUUCUUUUUUUUUGGGAAGAUAUAUUCAAAUUAACCAAAGCUAGUAAUAAGAGCACAGACCUUACAAAUGAACAAUAACUUACAACUCAAGCAACAUAAAUGAUAAGAUUAAAACAAACCGGAGAUAUUUUUCUUGGAAAAUAGACGGAAAUUAAAUAAGAACUGCUGUUAAAAGAAGUUAUUAGAGGAUUUAGGAGCAUGUGUACCUCUUUAAUUAUUUGGGAUCAGAGAGUUGAUGAGCUCUCUAUUCGCCUUGAAUAUUGAGUAAGAACUGGUAUUAAAAGAAAUUAUUAAGAACAAUAUUUUAGUGAGCAAAAGAUCACUGUUAACUGCAGAGGAGUAAAAUGCUGAAAAGAGCAGUAACAAUGAAUUGCAAAAGAAGAAGACUUAACCAAGCACCCCUUUUAUACCCGAUUUUUAAGAUUUAAUUUUGAAGUUCCCAAUCAAGAACAAAGACGAAGCUUUAAUAAAGCAUGCAGUGAGAUACAAGAAAUGGAUCGGGCAAAAUACCUUACGAAGCGUUUCAUAUUUUCUAAUGAAAUAAUUUAGUUGAAUUCUUCGACGAAUAGAUACCUGUUGUGCUAGAAUAAUUUUGGCACACACAUUACUUGUGCCCUGUGAAAUUGAAAAGCACACUCAUUUACAGAGCUUGUUAGUGGGGAAAAGCUUCGUAAGAUGCCUGAUAAAAGAUAAAGCAAAAGCUUGAAUGAAGAAUGGCAUUUUAGAAAGAAACUAAAGUGCAAUCAUCAAAGUAGGAUCAAUAGUGAGUUGAUCAGUUAUGCUUUUUGUUAUUUCAAUUGUUCUCUCUUUUUUCAAUCUCUCUUUAUGUUAUAAUUGAAUAAUUGUAUAGAAAGUGUGACGGUUGCUGCAGCAUUAUGAAGUCAAAAUUGAGAACGACAUUAAAUAAUCAAUCUCUUUAUGUAUUUACUCGAAUGUCUGAUAGUGUUCAGACUUGGAUUUUCAAUAAACACAGAUUCGAAAUCCAAAUAAUUGAAUAAUUGUGUACGUUCAAAUUCAGCAUUUAAUUACUAUAUAAUUAGACAUAAAUGUGUAUAUAAUUUUACUUUCUAAGAAUUAACUUCUACCUUGAUUCUAAAAAAAUAUAUAUAUAUAAUUUUACAAAUAAUUUAGUACGGCGUUUGGUAAAUGAUAACUAUUUGAGAAUAAGUUUUAAAAUGGUUUACUAUACAAAUCUGGAAAAUGAAAAUUAAAAGUGUAAAAUGUUCACAUAAUGAAAAUUAAAAGUGUAACAUGUUCACAUACAAUGACAAAAAUAUAUUUAUUUACUUAUUUGUAAUUUAUUUUGAAUAUUAUUGUUUAAAUCAUUUUUUUACUUACUAGAUUUUUUAAGAGCAUUCUAUUUUCUUUAUUACAUAUUUAAAUAAUUUUUUAUUAACUAUUUUAAUUUGCAAUAAAAUUAACUUCAAUAUUUUUUUAACUGAAAAUUUUGUUAUGUAGUUCGUGAUAUAACAAAUACUAACAUAUUAUUAAAUUGAUUAAUAAAUUACGUGCAAAAAAGAAAAUGCAAAAAUUUAAUCUUUAUAUAAACUUUUAUGUACAAAAACCGUUGUAAUCAAACUAGUUCAUAGAAAUAUAAUAUUUUAUACAUGUGUUUAAGAAAAACAUAUAACUAUAAUAUUAUCCACUCAUUAAACUUGCAGCACUAUUAUUUCUAAUUCUCUCCAUCACUCGACCUACAGGAACAUUACUACCAUAAUUUUCUUCUUGAAUUCAACCUCCAUUUCCACAUCAUCAACAAAGCGAUCAAUUUGCCUUGAUAGCCUUUCAACUCCUCCCACUUUCCUCCCUUUUGCAGACACUCUUUUUCUUUUUCUUUCUUUAAUAGCUUCAAUGGGAACAACCUCAUCUAUCGACAAGUCCAUUCUUCAACUAGAAUAGAGUUGGUAGUAGAUAUUUUAGUACUCUCAAACGAUGCCCAAACCGUGUCACCAGUGAUUGUUGUAUUAAAAAACAUUCCAUGUAAUUUUUCCUCUGACUCUGGGUCGAUACCUUUUAUGCAAAAUCUAUUUACUUCAGGAAUUUUAUACAUAUGUCGAUAUCAUAUUAAAGUGAAUUCAGAUCCUAUAUUAUUGACAUUUAGCCAAAGGUAAAAAAUUUUCCUUUUUGUUUGUCCCCCAACUAUAUAGUCCCAUUUUUGGUUAUAAGCUCGCAAUAUGCAAGGGAAAUGAAGAUCUACUAAAAACUUCCCCAUAAUAUUAAACAUUAAACAAUAUCAACAUUUUGUGCAUAUGGUGCCUCUCCAACAACUUGAUGUACAUUAUGUUGCUCGGUGGAAUAUGACUACUUAUUAAUUAAUUAGCAAGACUUGCGUUGCGAGUCCAUGCUUUUGUUGUUUGGAUGGAGGAUCUGCCAUCCUUAUUGUGAAAUAUGAACUAAAUAUACACUCACGACAUGUCAUAUGUUGAGUCUGUAGUAGCACGACAUGUCAUCUGAUAAGCAUUUGGAACAAAACCGACAUGAGCCAAAAUGUCGUUCUUUGUUUAAGUAGCUCACGUGUUUGGCAUGUGAGCUGAACAAGACUCUUACUCUCAGAAACGACUGAACCAGAAGCCGUUUUGAGCAUGCUUAUUCAAGACACGUUGCAAGCACGUGGCUGAGGCUGAAUCUGUUAUGUUAGCGGGAAAAGCCGCUGAGGAAGGCAUCCAGAAUCAGUUAAUAAAGAACUGGAGUUCUGGGUUUUUCACAACAGGGCCAGAAAACAGAGAGAGAGCAGAGAAAGAGGGAAUGCGAGAGAGAGAGAGUUCUGAAUAGGCUUGUAAUCUCCAUUUGUGUUUGCUCUCUGUAAACUCUUGAACAAGCAAUAAAGUGAAAUCACAGAGUUUGUUUCCAGUGGAUGUAGGCAUCAUUCAUUUGGUGCUGAACCACUUUAAUUCGUGUGUGUUUUGUUCUUGAUCUAUUUGUUAUUCUUGAUUCUUAGUAGGUUGACUUCUUCUUGGUUGAAUCUUGAGUAUAAACCAGUGAGUGAAGUGUUCUUGGGGUGGGUUUAGUCUUGAUAGUUAGGGCUUAAACCAAAACACUUUUAUUUUAGAUGCUUUGUAAGACUUCUGAUUUAAUGAUUGAAUGCAGCCAAUUAACGAAAGCUUACAUAUAGUAUUAUGUAGGUGCUGAGAUGUCUGUUCUUGAUAAAGUAGAUAUAUUUACACCCAAGCCAACGGAAUCAAAGCCUUUUCGUUAAUAAUAUACACGGUAAUUGUUUUUGUUAAAUUGAUUUCUGGCUAACAAGAUCUUUUUUUUUUUUUGAAAGGGCUAAAAAGAUCUUUGAAAGCAUUCAAAGAAGCCGCCGAACUCAUAGGAAAGCCAUGAUUAAAUAUACGGUGAAGCAAGCGAGCUCGUUUGUUAAUCUCUUGAUCACUCAUAAGCUUUUCUAUACGGCUCACGAUAUCAUCCUUUUGAAUCGAUUUUGAUUGAUCAUCGGAUAUCAUGUCCCCACCUUGAGAUGAUUGAUCACCAAUUUGGCAUUGUAAUGUUGAUCACCUCUAAUUGGCCAUGCUAAAAUUGGGAGCCCACAACUAAUUGCUUCCAUAGUUGAAUUCCAUCUACAAUCAAAUAAAAAUCCACCCAUUGAUUGAUGACUUAGUAUCAAUAAUUGUGGCGCCCACCCAUCUAUUAUCAAUCCCCUUUUAACCAAUAAAGUGUUGGCUCCACUGGCAAUGGAGUCCCCUUAAGUGGUUUGACUGGGUUUGCUCCCCAGUUCGAGUCGCAGGGAAGUCGCCUUUGUUGGGAGAACCUGUGCCUCUCGGUUCGAGCGGGGACUUCUAGUCUGGGUUGUGGUACGGGCUUAAAGGUGCCUCCCACAGUUGGGGCCCUCCCCAGGAUACCUCGUGGUCAAAACCAAAAAAAAAAUCAAUCCCCUUUUACCGACUUUACUCUCCAAACCACUGGAAAAAUAACUGCCUUCUACUGGUCUGUCUAAACCGGUUAAAUGACGCGGAGGAUCCAAUCUACCUGCACUAGUUUGAAUUACCCAAAUAAACUGUUGAUUUGAUGCUUCUAAACAUUGGCAAGGCUGAAUACUCCUCUAAGGUGGGACGCACUUUGGUACCAAAUUAUAUGUAUAGCACAGAUCUACGUGAUUUCAAAUCCAACCAUUAAGCGAUCUCAUCUUCAGUCAUGUUAGAACUCUGCUGGUUGGUCUCGUCUCACGAUCAUGAAACGCUGAACCGACCAAUUUGUAAAAUUGUUUAGGUAACAAUGAGCCCACUCCCCACACCGGCUUUCCCAUUUGAUUGGCUAAAUAAUUAAUAAAUGGUCCCUCAAGAUCAUUACAUGUGUUAGAACAUCAACGCCAUCGAUCCCUUCACUUCCUUCAUGCAGUGUGGUUGAUCAUCGGGUUCUAGUGGACCUAUUUUCCCUGAACCGGGUGCACUCUGCAGAAGUGGUGGACCACUAGGAGGGGGCCCACAAGGCCUACGUCUAAGAUUCGAUUCAAAUAAAGCCGUAUCCUCAGGUACCCCAGGAAGUAAAUAGGCCUCCCCUGAUUUGACAUCUUUGAUGCGAGCCUACCACAUGGCACACUCUACAAUUGUUCAACUAAAAUUAAUAAUAUUGUUCUAAUUAAUUACUCGAUAAGCAAAUAGUCAUAGACAAAUCUAUCCCUAAUCCCACAUUUACAAAAUAAAGAAUUGAAAUGAGUUUAUGUGGCUUUGAACCCAAGCCCUCAAGCCUAGUGGCUGGAUCUUGACCACUUUGACAUAAUUAUUAUAACAAUUUUUUUUUUCAUAUUUCACUAAGCAUCUUUUGUUAUAUAAUGAGGAAGAUAAGUUGACGGAGAAGGGUUCUACUUUUACUAGUAGAUGAGAUUUAAAUUAAGAAGGUUAGUUUUAGAUUGUUAAAUUUCCUUAGACGAUUAUUCAUGUGAGAUGUUUAACAUAUACUUGAGUUAGUCGGUGCCUAACAAUUCUUGUGAUACAUGAAACCAACCAAUAUGAAAACCAUAUGAAGUUGGUAGGAUUAGAUUAAUUUAAAUGAAAAUAAAAAUUAGUUUAUGCUAUUUAUUAAUCUUAUACUGUUGAAAAUUGAAAGUUAAUUCUUUAGCCUGUCAAUUGGUUCAUGACAUAAUUAAAAUAUUCAAGUAAAUACAUUUAUCGUUUAACAUUAAUUUUUCAUGCGGUAAAACCAAUACUAAUUAUAGAGUGGAGAGAAUAAUCUGUAGGGUAUACCCCCACCUUUUAUUUCAUUUCAUUUAAAAAAAAAAGAGAGAGAGAGAAAAGUAAAGGCUUGUUCAACAUUCAAGUAAAAUUAACAAAUCUAUGAUAAAAUUACUUCAGAAUAAAAAUUAAAAUGUUUAAAAAAAAAACGGCAACUCGAAAACGACAUACAAAUACCGCAUAGAAGGUUUUCGUCACGAGAUAUUUUUGGGCUGAGACAACACUUGUAUAACUUAGCAUAUAGCUUGGAUGACGGUGAGAAUAAGAAGGAAAACGGCACCGCAGACCGAAAUGCCAGCCCAUGGAGUAUUGAAGUAAUUUUUUUUCACAAUUCAAAGGAGGUUUUGGAACUUACCACAAGGCUGAGUAUUUCAACAGUUAUGGAUGACAUAAUCCAGCUAAGCAGAAGCUGAUCUUGGCGUUUCCACACAGCAUAUUCUGGAUUUUCAUGACCUUCAGAGAUUGACGAAGUGCCUUCAAAUCCAGGUGAAAGAAAUUGAUCAGGACAUAGCUUUGAUCCAUCGAUAUAAGACUCAAGUCCAUUGCCUCGAACUGAAGAGAGCACCUGAUGUUUCCAGAUCGUGUAAUUUGUACGAUCUAAUUUGACUGGUGUAGUGAAGGUGAAAGAAGCUAUGGCACUGGUAUUAGAUUGUGAAUUUGAGUUCGUUAGAGCCAUUGGAUCUAGCUCUGAUACCAAGUUAAAGAAGCUUUUCCUGUUUGUUUACUCAGAAAGUGAAGGAAAAAUACAGAGAAAAUUAUGUAGCUAGAAUGAAUCUAAAACCAUCUUAUUAAUCUAUAUUUGGUUCAAUAUACAACAAUAUUUAUGCUACUCACUGGAACCUUCUAUAUGAAACAAACACGUGAACUCAAUACAAUUCAGCUUAACAAACUUUUAACGGGAAAUAACUAAACAGAGCAACGGCUUGCCAGCGUGGCUGCUGACUCAGCAGCCGACUAAUCAUACUCUGAAAAAAAAUCACCAAACAGAAAAACAGGGGAAUGAAAAGAUAGCCUCCGUUUAUCCUCUGUUCUGUUUUCAUUGUUAUUAAACAAGGGAAUGAGAAAAGAGAGCCCCUGUUUCUUCUCUUUUUUGAUUUUUUUAAUUACUAAACUGGGGAACGCACGGAUCACCUCUUGUUGCAAGCGCAAAUUCUUGUUUCUACUUUAGUACCUUCUAAAUGCUGCAUGCAUUAAAAUUAUUCUUACAUAUGCUAACAUAAUAGCUACUGUACAUGUAAGUUCUUGAUAAAUCCAAAUAACAUAAUAAUUUUAAGAGUUCAAAUUUAGAAUUUAAUUAUAUAUAUUUAUAUAAAUCCAAUGUGCAUAUCGGAUAUUGCAUGCUGCAAUGAUCUCAUAUGUUUCCUCAAUAUGACUUAAAUAUAUAGGCCACAACUUGGUUUUGAAGUUAGUCUAAAGCCUUCCCCUUGAUUCUAACAAAUUCACUAGGGAAGGUUCAUAUGGAUUUUGGGGGAGCUCUAUGGCCAAUUUUAAAAGUUCAGGGGGGAUCAAAUGAAUUUCAAAACUGCAUGGGUUAUCUAUUUCAGUCAGAGGAUAGUGGAAUUCCCUGAAAUUUAUCCUUUUUAUUAAAUUAAUCUUCCUCCUUUCCUCUGUGGACCUUUGCUAUGUGUGUUAUUGGCGUCCAAAUGACGAUGGGAAUUAUGGUAAGGUUCUUGCUUCCCCACUUCUUGAAAUUAAAUAUAUCUUUUCUGGCACUAGAAAUUUCCACAUGCUGUGUUUUGUUAUUGUUUGGGAGAAAUACGUCAACGAGACCAGGCGUGGUGAGCAGAUAUCUGAUAGCAGAGUUCCGCGAACCGGUGUGUUCCGUAAAAGCCUGGUGCGCGGAGGAACAGGAGCAGAAGUAUCCCGCUCGUCCACGAACACGUCAUCCGCGAGGCCAAUUUCCCGUAAGAGGCAUAAGGUCAUUCCGGCUAGAGGUCGAGAGGCGAGGAGACCCGGUCGACGGCAGUUGGCAAGACAUGCUCCCCAGCCCGAGAAUCUAGGCACGACAGCCACGCUUUCCCCAGAACUGUGGCGUAACACGCAAAAUCUCACGGAACCACGACAACCACGCUUUCCCCAGAACCGUGGCGUAACACGCAAGAUCUCACAGAACCACGACAGCCACGCUUUCCCCAGAACCGUGGCGUAACACGCGAGAUCCCACGUUUGCCCAUAACGCAGCAGUCAGAGUCCCAUACCGUCUCGAAAAAAGCGGAAAACUGGGAUUCAGGGGAGGCCUAUAAAAAGGUAGCCAACGAAGGUAAAAGGGUUAGCAUUUUUAAGAUUAGAAAAGAAAUAAAAAAAGCCAUAAGACCUGUGGCAAGCGUUCCCCGAACCUUGAUAUCUGAAUUGAGCGUCGGAGGGUUUGCGCCGGGAAAACAACCGGCGUACUCUGACUUGUCUGUGUGCGCAGGAACCUCUGGAGAAGAAGCCUCACGAGGAGACCUCCUGGUCGUGAAGAAGUUGAUCGGGCAGAGAUCCUGGUCGUAGAACGAGGAGACCCGGAAUCCCGCAUCAACAUUUUGGCGCCGUCUGUGGGGAACAGAGCAAAAAGCUUCUGUUGAUAGCAAGAGGAGGGGCGAAGCAAGUGAAAAGCAAUGGAGACAUGAGGAAGUAGUGGACAAGGGGGUGAUAGGAGGCCUAACGAUUCCGUGACGCUGAGGGAGAUAGUCAGUGAAGCACGGGAAAAAGUCAUGUUCGACCGGAUGGAACGGGUGGAAAAGCAGAUGGAGACCUUGACAACCAUCCUAGAUGAGCUGCGGAGCGAGCGAAGUAUAAUCCAAGAGGGAAGGGGGAGAGGCGGUGGAGUGGCACCAGGUCCCGAUAGUGCGGGGAGAAGUCAAACCACCGGGAGAUUUGGUGGUGAGAGAGGUAACGUACCUCUGCGGGGAGAAUUUCAUAGAGAAAGAGAGCGGUCCCCGGCAAGGCAGACUGGCGACGAGGACGAUGGAGUGGUGAAUGCAGAGGAAACGAAGUUGAGACAACACUUGCAUGAUGUAGAGCAAGAGCGGGAUCAAGUUGCAGCACGUGACCCUGGUCGUGCAGUGCAGCUGGAGGAGGAAGUGCGCAGACUAGCGCAGAUAAUCGACGACAUGCAAGGAAGGAACAGAGCCCCUGGUUGGAGGAUAAUGCUAGACGGAGAAUCACCGCUCGCAGCAGAGAUCAUGAGGGCAGUUAUUCCGAGAGAUUUCCGCCUCCCAGACCUCAGAUACUCGGGAAGAACUGAUCCGUUGGUGCACAUAGAGCGCUUCAACGACAUAACUGGGGUACAAGGAUUAUCUCAAUCCCAAAGGUGCAGAGUGUUCCCACUAUCCCUUGAGGGACGUGCACGAGAAUGGUACAGGAAACUUCCUCGGGGCAACAUUAAAACCUUCGAGCAGAUGUGCCAGGAAUUCGCGGAGCAGUUCAGUGGGGCAAUGGCGCCGGAAGAUGACAUGAUGGAGCUGAAAAGCAUGAAACAGGGGGAGCAAGAAACCCUUCGGGAAUUCAUCAAGAGGUUUCAUCGGGCUGUCCUCGACUUGGGAGCCUUCAACCACCCUCAGGCGUUAAGGGGAUUGAAAGAAGGGGUGAAGAUAGGAAGGCUGUGGUACAAUUUGAGAAGCCCAGCUAUUCAAACGUAUGCAGCCGCAUACGAACAGGCUAAGAGAGACAUCGAGAUUGAAGAGGAGAAGGCUGCACGGAUUAAGACAGACCAGUUACAAGGGUUGGGGAGGAAAGAGAAGAAAGCAUUACCGGGGAAUGGGCCGAUCAGGAGGAGGGACCACCAGGCCUCCGGUAGCGGAGCAGGAGGUCGGGUAGCCGCUUACCAUUCUCAUCAAAGGCCACCACAGUAUCAGCGCAGCAGGGCGCAACCUCCUCGUUCCCCAGUUAGGGAGCCUUGGAGAAGACAUGAGUCGGCAUCUGGUGGUCUCCAUCAACACCCCCACGGUAGCAGAGCGAGCAGACCAGAAGUACUUCCACCGCCCCCAACUCAGAGCGGGGCAAACGGAGAAAGAGUAGUGCACCUGAUCGACCAGAACCCGGACUAUGGGCGGUACACUUCCUUGAAGAUGUCCCUGGAUGAGGUGUACGAGGCCAUAAAGGAUCGAGGGCUGUUGCACCUCCCUACACCAAUAACAAAGCUACCCAACAGGAGGGAUAGAGGGCGUUAUUGUAAGUUCCAUGGCACCCAUGGCCAUACCACAGCAGAGUGUAGAGAUCUCAAGACCCAGGUCGAAGAUUUGGUGAGAAAUCGGUACCUGGACGAGUUUAUGGAUGGGACUUUCCCGAUGGGGGCCGCAACAGGUGAAGGGGAGCAGAGUGGCGGAAACGUGAGGCACGAGCAGCCUGCAGUAAGGGUGAUCGCCGGGGGCCCGACAUUGGCCGGAGAUUCCAACAGAUCGAGAAAAAAUUAUGCUAGGUACGCCAUGACCAGUAAAGAGGUACUCCUCAACACCCCAGCAGCCAAACGAGCAAGGGUCAGGCAAGUGCCAAUCAUGUGGACGGAUGAGGAUGAGGAAGGGAUUCUAUACCCCCACGAGGACGCUUUAGUCAUCAAGGCUACUAUCGCUAGCAAGAAGUUUGACCGGAUACUGAUUGAUACAGGGAGCUCAGUUGAUGUGUUAUUUAAGUCAACCCUGGAAGAGAUGGGAAUAGCCGACCGGAAGUUGGAAUACACCAAUACCUCCUUGAAGGGGUUCGGAGGAGGGAAGCUGGUCCCUCUGGGCGUGGUCGAGCUGCCUAUCACAAUUGGGAGCUCCCCGACAGAAAGAACAAUGAUACUGGACUUUGUCGUAGUGGAUGAGGAAGGUCCUUACCAGAUGAUCUUAGGUCGGCCAUUUUUAAGGAUGAGCAAAGCGGUGUUGUCCAACCAUUAUCUGGCCCUGAAGUACCGGGUGAAUGGGGUAGUAGGAGUGGUACGAGGAGACCAGAGGAUCGCAAGAAGCUGCUACUCCUCGGCAGCAAGGGAAGCAAUGCAGAUAACAUCCCUCGAUACCCGAGUGGAAAGCAGGAAGGGCAGACAAGAACCUGUAGAGGAUCUGGAAACAGUAAGCCUGGGACCAAAGAACCCGGAAAAGACGAUCAGAAUCGGGUCGAGACUUAGGGGAGGGCAAAAGCAGGAGUUGGUGAAAUGCUUACAGGCUCAUGCUGAUGUGUUUGCUUGGACACAUGAAGACAUGCCAGGGAUUGACCCUGAGGUAGCAUGUCAUAAGCUGGCAAUAAAGAAAGGUGCUCGGGCAGUAAGGCAGAAGAGGAGGUGCUUCAACCAGGAGAGGUAUGAGGCUAUAAAUGGCGAGGUGGAGAAGCUCCUGAGAGCAGGGUUCAUUCGGGAAGUCAGUUACCCUGAGUGAAUAUCGAAUGUGGUGUUGGUAAAGAAGGCAAACGGCGAGUGGAGGAUGUGUGUGGAUUUCACAGACCUCAAUAAGGCGUGCCCAAAAGACAGCUUCCCUUUACCAAAGAUCGAUCAGCUGGUAGAUUCAACGGCUGGACAUGAUCUGCUCAGCUUCAUGGACGCGUUCUCGGGAUACAACCAGAUCCCCAUGUACGGGCAGGAUGAGGAGAGCACGGCUUUCAUCACUAACCAAGGUUUGUUCUGUUACAGGGUAAUGCCAUUCGGUCUCAAAAAUGCGGGGGCCACCUAUCAAAGGCUGGUGAACAAAGUCUUUAAGCCGUUGAUUGGGAAAACCAUGGAGGUGUACGUGGAUGACAUGAUCACCAAGUCCAAAAUCCCGGAGGAACAUGUCAGACACCUCGAGGAGACAUUCGAGCUUUUGAGGAAGUAUAAGAUGAAGCUCAACCCGGAGAAGUGUGCUUUUGGGGUCGAGUCAGGGAAAUUCCUUGGAUUCAUGGUGAGCCAUAGGGGGAUUGAAGCAAAUCCCGAGAAAAUCCAGGCGAUUGUGCAAAUGACGUCUCCUCAUAACCUGAAGGAGAUGCAGAGCCUCACGGGGAGGUUGGCGGCGUUGAGCAGAUUCAUAUCCAAGGCUACAGAUAAGUGUCAGCCAUUCUUUCAAGUAAUAAGGAGGGGAAAGAAAACAGAAUGGACCCCAGAAUGCGAGGAAGCCUUGCGGAACUUGAAGCAAUACUUGCAGCAAGCUCCGCUGCUGUCCACACCGAGGGAUGGGGACAUGUUGUAUCUGUAUUUGGCGGUAUCGGAUCGGGCCGUCAGUUCUAUUCUGGUGAGAGAGGAAGAAGGAGUUCAGUAUCCGAUAUACUACACCAGCAAAGCCCUGCUCGACGCUGAGACCAGAUACCCACCGUUGGAAAAAUGGGCACUUGCCCUUGUGGUUGCUGCUCGGAAGUUGAGGCCAUAUUUUCAAGCAUUCCCGGUUUCGGUAGUAACAAACCAGCCAUUGCGUCAAACUCUGCACAAGCCAGAUGCCUCUGGUCGGCUCGUCAAGUGGGCUGUAGAGCUGAGCGAGUUCGACAUAGACUAUAAACCCCGCGCAGCGAUAAAAGCCCAGGCAAUGGCUGAUUUCGUAGCCGAAUUCACAGAGCCCGAAGUAUGCUUAGAUCAACAAGAUGCAGAUAUAGGCAAUGACGAAACUCAAGUAUGGCAGAUGUCUGUGGAUAGGUCAUCAGGGGAGCGGGGUUCAGGAGCAGGGAUUGUCUUGGAAGGCCCAGAGGGGGAGGAGAUCUCUUAUGCUGUAAAGUUGGAGUUUGCAGCCACGAAUAACCAGGCAGAGUAUGAAGCCUUGAUAGCAGGUCUGGAAUUAGCUAAGGCCGUGAAAGCAAACAGAGUUAAGAUCAGAACUGAUUCCUAGCUGGUUGCAAAUCAUGUCAGUGAAAGAUUCCAACCAAGAGAGGAGAAGAUGGAGCAGUACCUGAAGAUAGUCAGGCAGAUGAUGGGGAAGUUUGAAGCAGUGGAGGUAAUACAAAUCCCCAGGGAGCAGAAUAGUCGAGCAGACAUUUUGGCUAGGAUGGCAGCAGUAGCCGACCCAAAAAUGCCAAAGUCGGUUCCUCUGGAGGUGAAGUCCAGCCCAAGUAUUGGUCAGAAUUUGGGGGUGUUGCGGAUAGAACAAAAAUGCUCGUGGAGGGAUCCGAUAGUUUCAUACCUUAGGGACGGGGUAUUACCACCAGAUAAGGUGCGAGCUCGCAAGCUUAGAGCCCAGGCCUCGAGAUACACGAUGAUUGAUGGGGUACUGUAUCGGCGAGGAUAUACACUAUCGAUUACUUCACGAAGUGGAUAGAGGUAGAAGCCCUUAGCAGGAUCACAGAGUCGAGCAGACAUUUUGGCUAGGAUGGCAGCAGUAGCCGACCCAAAAAUGCCAAAGUCGGUUCCUCUGGAGGUGAAGUCCAGCCCAAGUAUUGGUCAGAAUUUGGGGGUGUUGCGGAUAGAACAAAAAUGCUCGUGGAGGGAUCCGAUAGUUUCAUACCUUAGGGACGGGGUAUUACCACCAGAUAAGGUGCGAGCUCGCAAGCUUAGAGCCCAGGCCUCGAGAUACACGAUGAUUGAUGGGGUACUGUAUCGGCGAGGAUAUACACUAUCGAUUACUUCACGAAGUGGAUAGAGGUAGAAGCCCUUAGCAGGAUCACAGAGAAGAAAACAACGGACUUCGUGUGGAGAAACCUGGUCUGUCGAUACGGGAUCCCUUAUGCCUUGGUAACGGAUAAUGGCAGGCAGUUCGAUAAUCACAGCUUCAGGGAUUUCUGCCAGAACCUCGGGAUAGAGCUGAAGUAUUGCUCGCCUGCUCACCCUCAAUCGAACGGACAAGUAGAAGCAGCCAACAAGACCAUCAAGAGGCUUUUGAAAACCAGGCUUGGAGCAAAAAAGGGUGCGUGGGUUGACGAGCUGUCAGGUGUGCUAUGGGCAUACAGAACAACCCACAAAACAGCAACUGGGGAGACACCGUUCGCUUUGGCUUUCGGACAUGAAGCGGUCGUGCCGGCCGAGAUAGGAACGACCACACACCGGACAAAUCAUUUCAAUGAGCAGGAGAACGACGAGCAGAUAUGUUUGAAUCUUGAUCUGCUAACGGAAAGGAGGGAGCAAGCAGCCGAGCGAUCGGUCAUUUACCAACAGAGGGUUGCUCGGUAUUAUAACCAGAAGGUGAACAUACGGCAAUUCAGGGUCGGAGACUGGGUACUGAGAAGAGUGAAUCAGAGCACCAAAGACUCGACUCAAGGAGUGCUGGGACCGAAUUGGGAAGGGCCAUAUAGAGUCAAGCAGAUAGCGGGACCUGGAGCUUACAAGCUGGUACGCACGGACGGCCACGAGGUGAAACGCCCAUGGAACGCAGCACACCUCCGAAAAUACUUCCAGUAAGACUUGUUCACAUGUGAAAACUAUUUUUGCUCAUGUUCAUUACCGUUUAUCUUUCACACUUAUUGUCCAAACAAUCUCAUGUAAGUCGAAUCUUGCCAUUAAUGGAACGUCGAAGAAUUUCUUUCGCUUGAAACCGAGAAAGUUGCCUAAGGCAUGCAAAGGCUCGACAAAGUCUCAAAGCCUGUCUUAUGGCGAGACAGAAGCCAAGCAUGCCAGGAUCUGCUCGGCCACGAGAAGGCGAACAGAAUCCCAAUCCUUGAAGAAAUGCCUAAGGCAUGCAAAGGCUCGACAAAGUCUCAAAGCCUGUCUUAUGGCGAGACAGAAGCCAAGCAUGCCAGGAUCUGCUCGGCCACGAGAAGGCGAGCAGAAUCCCAAUCCUUGAAGAAAUGCCUAAGGCAUGCAAAGGCUCGACAAAGUCUCAAAGCCUGUCUUAUGGCGAGACAGAAGCCAAGCAUGCCAGGAUCUGCUCGGCCACGAGAAGGCGAGCAGAAUCCCAAUCCUUGAAGAAUCCAAGGCAUGCAAAGGCUCGACAAAGUCUCAAAGCCUGUCUUAUGGCGAGACAGAAGCCGAGCGUGCCAGGAUCUGCUCGACCGUGCGAAGGCGAGCCGAAUCCCAGGCAUUGAAGAAUCUCCAAAGGCAUGUGGCGAAACCAUGAGCCAAGCCGGAACCUGCUCGUCUAGACAGACACAAGCAGAUUCUCAACCGAAAAUUAAUUCAUAAUUACAACACAAGAAAGUAAUCAAAAACCAUUUUUAUUAAUUUGUUAAUAAUUAACAGAGGGGACAAUCUCAAUGAACAUUGUUCAUUACAAUACAAGAAAUAUAUCAAGAAGAUGAUGGACCAGUAAGCCCGGCAGCAUCGGUUGGCUGGACCUCCUCAGGUGCUGGAGGGGUAUCACCAGUUGCGUCCGGGGGGGUACUUGCCUCGCCGACAUCAGCAGGGACUGCAUGAGCAGGAGAGUCUUCCUCCUCAAUCACGAUCGGCUCUACCCCAUCAGUAUCUUCCUUAGCCGCCUCCUCGUCCAUGUGUUGAGCAACACCAGCUGCAAGGUCAUCCAUCUUCAGAUCAGGGUGUUGCUUCCCGAGGACGGCCAUGAUGCAACGAUAGGAAUGCCGAAGGCCCUGGUCGUACUGGUUGUCAGCCUCCCUCUCCAAGUUCUCGACCUGAGCUCGGUGGGAGUCGCGGAGAGAUUCGAGCUGAGCCUCAUACGUAGCCUUCUGCCUUUGCAGAUCCUCCUUGACCUUGGUAAGCUCCUCCUCGAGGGAAAUGGCUUUUGCUUGAGCAAGUGAUUCUUGCUCUAUCAGCUUCAGAUUCUCGAGAUUCAGCUCCCCUGCUUUCUUCUCGGCAACGUCAGCCCUGGUCGUCGCCAAUUGAAUAUCCUCCUUCAUCUUCCGGUCGUAGCGGCCAACCUUAGCCUUGUAAUAGGUGGUCAGGCAGCUGAGGUGGAAAGCGUUAUGCUGCAUGGCCCCCACCAGCUCACCCAAGGUGCGGCCGUCAAAGUCCUCCAGGUCCUUCUUGCUCACGAGUUUAGUUAACUCAUUGAGGUAAGGGACCAGAUGUUCUGCUCGGCUGUCAGGUAAGCGAGACCAAGGCCCGACAGGAGGAGAAGAAGAAGCAGGAUCUGUGGCUGCUCCACUAGCUUCCCCGACUUUCACAGAAGCAGGAGGUAAAGUCUUCAAGGGUGGGACCUGCUGCACGAUGUUGGCCCGCUUUGCAGCAGGGGCAUCCUUACUCUGGUCCCUCUUCGUGGUUGGAGGUCGGGAACGUUUUCGGGUCAAAGCCCCAAUCACAGCGUCCUCCAUCCUAUAGCCAGGAAGUAUCAAGCGAGACUCGAGCAAGUUGUAUGUAGUUAACAGUUCUCGGCUCGAGCAGGAAUUGGCUGGUCAGGUUCAAGCGGGAAGUGGACACCCCAAGAAACUACAACACAAACAGACACUUGGUUAGAGACAAGCCAAUAAAGCAAGAACAAUUAUGAACGCAAGACAUCUAGAGCGAGCAGGCAACCUGGGACCGUGAAACGGGGUGGGACGCGACAAUCCUUCCCGUCUAUUUGUGCAAUUUGACCCCAAGGACCCCCAGCAAAAAAGAAUUUCCUCUUCCAAGCCCCACCACCACCGGUUGGAAGAUCGGUUAUGGGUUUCCGGCUCUUGGUGCUAGAUUGGAAGUAGUACCAGCCGGCAUCUUUGGGGCUGCUCUUUAGCUGGUACAAGUGCUUCACCUCAUCAACCGUGGACUCGCUUCCGAAAAAGGACUUUUCUCAUUAAUUUUUGAUCUUCAAGUUAAGUUUGUUUCAUUUCAAAAGGUAUUAAGUUUCAAACUUGUCGUGUUGGGAGGUUGGAUAGUUGUAACGUAAGACAUCUGCAGGCUUCCGGUUCAAAACAUUACAGUAUGGCAUUUUAUUUUGUCACAAGGGAAUUAGUUAUGGGAUCCCUUCUGCAACGAUUUGUUGAUGGCGAUGAUGAACUCCGCAAUAGUAGGCUGAAGCUUAUUCCAUCCGUUCCUAAGAUAUCCAUCUUGGUCUGCAUCUAUUAGGACUUUGUUAACAUGUCGUAACCUUCACUGCAUGGUACACUUCAAUUUGUUCAAAGAAGGCAUACAUUUAGGUAUAAAUGUAUUGAUGGGUUGUACCUUCUAACUUAAUGACCUUUUUUCACUCUGUUGAAUUUGUUUUGCACCUGCUCUUGAUUUUAAGCGCUAAAUCAUGCAGGGGUCAUGGAUCGUGCACCAGAGUGUUGGAAGCACCCCUUGUUUAUUAGGAAAAGCAGUUGAUCGUAAUUUUAUCCGCGGUCCCAAGUUCGUAGAAGUAAACGCUCUUGGAAUUUCUAUAAUACAUGAGAUGUUCCCCUUUCAAAUAGCUCGUCCGAUACCAUUAACAUGGUUUAACAUUGUUCCUCUGUCUUUAGAUUGAUGUUGACAUCGGUUCUUCUAAUAUUGCUCUUCUUUAUCUUACACGUGUCUCUUCUUUAUCUUACUCUUUAGUAUGCAGUCAAACACUACAGAUGAAUUACCAGAACGGCUGAUUGGAACCAGAAACAUCAUGACUGUGGUUUCAUUGCACCUCAACUUUUUUUAAUACCCGAAAAAAAAAAAUCAUUUGUUUUAGGUAUACGCACAUGUAUUUUGAUCCCAUUUUCAUUGUUUUCUUUGGAUGAAAGUCAUUGAUGUUUCCAAAUGAGACUUUUGCAUAAGUAUAGCUAGUAGGAAAUUUUCUGAUUCUUUAUUUACUAUUUUUGGAAUCUGAGUGUAAUAGUUUUAAAAUUGUUUAAUCGGUCUCUAAAUGUCGUACUCACAAGCAAACAAGUGAACUGAUUGAUUCCCAACCGUCACUCAACCGGUUUCCAACUUUUUAAUAUACACAAUAACUGUGUUUGUUGAAUAGCUAAUACUAUUAAAGCUCAACAUUAACAUAGAUACUAAUGGAAAAAUUGAUUUUCCUAUGAUGCUGUGUAAAGAAUAUGGGUUUACCUACUUCCAUAAGAUCGAAAACAUGAUCUUGACUUCACGUGAUUCUUUUAAUUUAGAGAGUGCUGGUUUGAGAAGGUCAGCUUGACGGAUUACUUCCUUUUAAUAAAUGUCAAUACACUAUAUUUGAUAAUACUAUAAAAAUGUAAUAAACAUUGUCUUGUGCUGUUUUCUUCAACUACAGAUCCUCAAUUGAAUCAGUCAAUCAGGUUAGAAAUCAAAUGCUUAAAAUACCAAUUGGAGAAACAAUAUAGAAGUUGAAUAUUGCAUGCAUAUGAAACAUCAAUUCAAGCCCUCACUUAACCAGUGUGCACCAAGCAAAUCCAAAGUGUCUUGCAAUUAUGUAGCAUGACCAAAAUGCUAUAAAUGCAUCUGGGAACAAAUUUUUGAAGUAGAGGAAAACGUGCAAGUUGAAUCAUGUAUAAGAGAUCGGCUUGGGUCGAGAUAGCUUCUUCUUUAUACUUGAAGGGUGGGCUCAAUCUUGUCUUUAGAAUUCUGCAUGUUUGUAAUUAUACAUGUGUAAGCAAGCAUACAUUACCAUAAUAAUAACAAUAAGAAAAAAGAAGCAAAUGUUAUGAUACGACUAUAAACUCCAUCAGACAAACAAUAAUGUAUAAAUUAAUGUGACAUAAUAUGAUUGAUUAAACAAAAACAUCACAUGGACCACUUGAUUUAUUUUUUAUUAUUAUAUAUUUUCAGUCGACCAAUCAUAUUAUACCAUAUCAAUUUCUACAAAAUAAUUUGGUAGUUAGCGCCAAUACUUAGUUAAUUAAUACUGACCAUUUCAUUGAACAAUUUAUGUAUGGUGUCAUUGAGGUUGCCUUCCCAGCAUCCUUCUUAUUUUUCGGUGAGUUUCACUUUAUUUAGCGUUGGCGUGCCUAUGAUUCCUUGAGAGAAAAUCUUCAUCUUUGGGCACUGUCUCACAAGUACUUGUUUCAAGGACGGGAACUCAAGAGUGUAAUUACCUGAAUAAAAGCUUGUUAGGCUUGGCAAACAGUCAAGUCCCAAGUACUCCAAUUUCCCGAAAACAAUGCAAUCUUUCGCUUCUUCAUUUAAUAAUUAUAGAAGAAUAUUGGCUUAUAGAGCAUUUUAGUAGGGAUAAGAUUUGUGGACAGAAUAAAUGAAAUAAUAAAAAGCAUAGCUGAUCAAGUCAUUAUUGAUCUUAUUUUGAUUAUUACAUUGCACAUUAGUUUCUUUUUAAAAAUGCUAUUCUUCAUUCAAGCUUUCGCUUUAUCUUUUAUCAGGCAUCCUACAAAUCUUAUCCCUACUAAUAUGCUCUAUAAGCCAAUAUUCUUCUAAAAUUAUUAAAUUCCAUUCUUCAUUCAAGCCUUCAUGGACACUAUUUACAAAUUGUUCUUGUAUUUGACAGAAAAAUGAAAACUCCUCAUCAUACAAAACUGCAUGAACAAAUCUUCAAUUUAAUUAUGAUAAAAUAAUAAAUUCCAUUAAUAGAUUAUGUUGUAUUUUUUUUUUUUUUGACCACGAGAUAUCCUGAGGAGGGCCCCAAUUGUGGGAGGCACCUUUAAGCUCGUACCACAACCCAUACUAGAAGUCCCCACGGGAACCGGGAGGCACAAUUUCUCCCAACAAAGACGAUUUUCCUGCGACUCGAACUGGGGAGCAAACCCAGUCAAGCCACUUAGAGCCAACACUUUGUUGGUUAUGUUGUAUGUUAAUGUGAGGGAUUUGAUCAGGUGAUCAUAUAAUUUAGUAAACGCUUUAAGAAGAACAAGAAUUAAUAAGUUAAAAAUUAAAAAAAUAAAUAAAUAAAGAGUAGAUGGAAAGAAUGUUAUUUGCAAUCACUAAACCAAAGAACAGGGGAAUGAUAAGAGAGGACGGUUACUGCAACAAUAUGAAGUCAACAAUAUAAAGUGUUUACCAACUUAAAACCAGGGCUAUAAAGUGUUUGAUGAAUUAUUUUUUAAUUAAAAAAAAAAAACUGAUUUAGCGGGAUAAAACAAUGCUCCAUUCCGUUUAGUAUGUGAAGUCCAGAGUAUUACCUACUACUAACUAAAUCCGCUUGAUUCACAAGACUACCAAGAGAUAACUGAAUCAUUAUUUAAUUUUACUAUUAGGAAACCUACUUAUAUAAGGCGCAAACCACAAAUUCUAAAUUAAAUACCUAACCAUAAAUUAAGAUCAACCCUAACAGUCAUCCACCAGGUGCCGUGUAGGCUGCAUCAUAAAUUCUGAUUUAAAUAUUUGCAAUCACCGAACAGAAAAACAGGGGAACGAAAACAGAGGAGCCCUAUUUUUCCAUUUUUUUAACCCUUAACUCUUGCUCUUCUAAUUAUAUUUUUCCUUGGAAUUUCAAGUAUGAGAUGAAUUUGGAGAAAGUAAAUAAAUUUGAAUUACGUGAAAAAUUCUAAUUUUUUUAACCCUUAACAGUUGGUAUAUUUUUUUUAGGUCAUAGAUUAAUAAAUUUCUUUUAAAAAAAUUUAUAAUAUCAAUUAAUAUUAUAACCUAUAGAUUAAUACAGAUAAAAAUAUGAUUGAUUUAUCUCCACCACCUAAGUCUUAGCCAAAUUUAAUUAAAGAUUAAUUUAAUAAAUUACCGAAAAUAAUAAAGUAAACGAAAAAUAAAGCACGCAAUUAAGUAAUCAUGCUUCUAAAGGGCUAAUUAACCAUAAUAGGCAUAGGUAUUAAUUUGACUUCUAUGAAAGUCCCUUCUAGUUUCUCAAAAUUCAAAAAUUACAAUAAAAAGCCAAAGAAAAAGUCAAUGCUUCUAAAGUAGAAAAGUUUGAGUACUAGAUAGGCUGCCCAAAAUACAUUUUCAUUACUCACAUAUCUCUAUAGAAAGUAAUUUUUUUAAUAAAAACAACCUAUUUGGCUAAUAUUCAGUAGUCUUUUUUGUUGAUGGAAUUAUCCUCUUAACAAUAUUUUAAAAAGUUUACAUGAAUAUUCCUUUUUUAAAAAAAAAAAGAAUAAUAACGUGUAUUGUUAGGAUAAAAAUGAUCAUCAAUACGUAUGUAUAUAGGCACAAAUAUAUGAAAAAAAAUCAAGUUUAAGUACAAUGUAUAGGUCAAUGCCUAAGAGUCAAGCCUAAAUUAGGGGUAUAAAAAACUACAAAAUACAAUUUCGUACACUACAAAAUUUUGAUAUCAGCAGUAGGGGUAUAAAAAAAUCAUUGUUGCCAAAAAUCCAAAAGCUAACUAGAGGUUUGGUUUUGUUUCAAAAAUUAAAAAAACAAGUCAAUUCGUAAAAUCAAAAACAGAAAAAGAAAAACAAAAUAUAGAGGAAUUUACAGUUUAAAAAGAAAAACCAAGCCAAAACGAAAUUGAAUCGAAAGUCGAACCAACUCAGUUCAGUUUGAUUUGAAUUUUAUUUUAUAAAAAAAAAUGAUCGGAACCAACUAAACUGUAUUAUGUUAUAAAUUAUUAUAUAACAUAAAUUUUUGAAUACCUUUGUGACGAGCACAAUUUAAAAUUUUAUGAUUUUAAAUUUUAACAUUAAUGGAGAGUUAAUACUCCACCAUUUUCCAAUUUUUACAAUACAUAUUACCAGUUUAGAUAUGCUGUAUAUUAUUGUUAUAAUUUUUCGAGCAAGAUAAUAUUUGUCAAUUGGUGUUAUGACAUCAAAAUACUUGGUAUUAGUUAGUGCUAAGUGCUUCUUUUUCUUAAAAAAAGCGGUUCCUUAGUUUUAAAACAAAAAUCAUUAUCCUGAAAUUCUCCAUUUGCUUUGUUAACAGAUAUAACAAAAUAAAGUGAUAAAAGUUUAAUUUAUAAAACUUCGGCAUUUAUAUCUAUCAGAUUCAACACUUUAGUGUCAUAGAUUUAUUUCGGUGGAGCACGAUGUGGGUUGGGCCAGGCUUAGAAUUUUAAGCACGAGAGCCUUAAAAAUAUGAUAUGAUUAGAGAUGGACUGAGCACAGCACGAUGAAAAUGCCCACAAUAAGCACAUUAUAUUUUUUUAUUGAAAAUAAACUUAAAAUUUUAUGUUUUAUAAAUAACUUGAAGUUGAAUUUUUUAAAUUCAUUUAAUUCUUAGUUUAAAAAAAUAUUAUAAUUAAUUUAUAUUUAUAAUUUAUUAAAUAAAUAAUUGAUAUCAUGAUUUUAAUGAAUAAAAUUAUAAAUAUAAUGAUUUUAUAAAUAUGCAUUAAUAUUAUUGUGAACUAUGAUCUAUGACUCUAUGUAACUCUAAGUUAACAAUUAAGUUAACCCUUAAGAAAAUAUUAUUAUUAUUAUUAUUAUUGUUGUUGUUGUUGAGUAUUAAAAAAAUUAUAAUACUAAGAGGUCAAACUUAGAUCUAUUAAAUAUUACAUUUUCUUACUAUUAUUAGUUUAUUAUUAUUGAAUAUAAACUUGAGUUUUGAUUUUUUGAUUCUAUUAAAUUUGAAUAAAAGUAUAGACCUAAGAAAAAUAUAUAGACUUGAAAAAAAUACGCCAACAGUUUAGUAUGCCCUUUAAAAAUUAAAAAAAAAAAAAAACUUAGUGAGCUUUUUUUCUUAGGCAUAGCACGGCAUGUAUCGGCAUGUGUGUUAGGCCGGACCUAAACAAAAAAAAUAAAAUAAAUCUCGACACGACACAACACAAGCAUAAGCACGCAUGGGCCUUACUUACUGGCCCGACCCAUUGAGCAUCUCUAACUGUAUCUAUCUCCGCCAUAAUAAAUUAAACAUCGGGUAACUACUAGACUAGGCAUUAGCAUAUAAACUAACUAACUAUAGUACCAAAAAGAAUGAUGCGACAUUGUAAAAGAGAUGGGGCAAAGGGCAGAAUGGGAAACGAAUGAACCAAAUAAUAGUAUAUAAUAAUAUGGAUUUGGUAAAAAUAAAAAAUAAAUAAAAUAAAGUGGUGACACGUACCUCCUUUUAUUUCUCGAUCGAGUAGUGCAGAAAGUGGAGUGUGUGUGUGUGUGUUAAUUGUGAAAUGUCAGCCAAUUUUUUCUCUCUCAUUCUGAAACAGCUCAGCAGGAAUAGUGUACACUAGAGACGUCUGUCUGUCAGUCAGAACUGCCAAAAGAGCAAAACGGGUGCACGUACAAAUUAAAUCAGCCAAUCAGCGAUAUAUUUCAGUUACUAAAAGCUAGCACAGAGGGAACAAGCAAUAUGCAGGGCCAAAAGAGAUGAGACCCCUGAACCCGAACCCUCCUGAAUGAUCUGAUCACAUCUGAUUCGAUGUCUCGAGUCAUUAGAUUUAACAUAUUUUAACAAUAUUUCUCAGUUAAUAUGUGAUUUAAUUAAAGGUCAAGUUUACAUCUGAAAAUGAACUUAUUAAAAAUUAAUUUGAAAUAACAUCUAAGAUAUCUAUUUGUUUAUAAUAAAAUUUAAUUGUCAUAUCAGAAUUAUUUUCCGUUAGACUUUACAAUAAGUUAAUCCCAAAUAAAUUGACAAUUUCAAUUUUAAAGUUAGUUUGUAACUUUAAAAUAAUUUUCUAAUAAAAAUUUAAUCUGAAACAUUUGCAAUAAUAUCAAGUAUUUUGAUGUAAUAACACCAAUGUUUCACAUGCACACACAAGUCAUAUAUAAGUUAACAAAAACAUCAUUUGUUAUUAACAAAAUCAUGUUAAUUUUUAAUUCUUAAAUUAACUCCCUAUUAAAUUUUGGCUAAAUGUUAGAGUGCAAUUUAUGCACUAGUUUUGCAUUGUUUACUUCCCUUAAUAUCGAUGUUUUGCACUUAAUAAUAAUGUUUUACUUGUGUUUUACUUUUGUAGGUGCAAUUCUAUUGAUUGAUGAUAAAAUUGAGCUAAAAGAUGAUGUUUAAGGAGGAUUGUUCUCUUGGAGAAAUUAUGAGCGUCAGAAGAACUUUGUUGAUAAGGCGUGGGCGCGUGCUGUCAACUGCGGACCUGCAGUUUUUAGUUUAACGUGUUUUGUAUUUUUGGUUAUUUUUGUAAUUACGAAUUUAAUAUUUCAGAUAUUAGUAUUUUAUUUUAAAUAGAAUUCUAAAAGAGAAGAGAGAGAGAGUAUUUAAGGGAGGAAUCUAUUGUGAAAAAGAGGAUUUGGAUUGGAGAAAAAGAAAGAAACCCUAGAUCUAAUUUUUCUCUUCUCUCUAUGAAGAACUAAACCUAUUUUUCUGGUUGAAGGAUAAUGAAGCUUUGAUUCAUCACUACUGUGAGAUCUUUCUUAUGCUUUAAUUGUUUUAUUACUUUUUGGGUAUUUGUUUAUUCUCUGAAUUAGUUUCAUGAUUAUGUUUGUUAAUUAGGUAAUUGGCCACUAUUUAAUUAUUAACUUAAUCUAUUGUUAAUUAAAGGAUUCAUCGUAUGAAGAAUUUAAUGUUUGUGACAAAUAACAUAGCAGAGAGUUGUGUUGUGAGAAUAAACAAUCUAAUUUAAAUGAAUCAUCAUAUGUGUUGAUUAGGAUUUGGGUCUCUCUAGUUUUUCAGGCUGUCAAUUGAUUAAAUCCUAUGAUCGUAUCUAGGGUUGUCUAUUGAUUAGGGAAAUAUCCAACGGUCGUACCUUGGUUAUCGACUAGUUAAGGAGAGAUUGGCUAUUAGAGGGUCUCAAUAGCUAUAACCGGUCUAUUCAUAAGUAAUGAUAAUCUAUAUUUGAAUCAAUGAUCAGUAGUCGAAUCAAGCUGAGUUAAUUCCUUCAAUCAGAGCUUUCUCCAAUUUGAAUUACAACUUUAAUUUGCAUUCUUGUUACUUUAAUUUGAUUUUUAUUAUUGUCAACAAUUCCCCCAUUUUACGUUUUACGUUUCAAAAUGAUUUAAAUAAUUACCGAUCUCUGUGGACACGACCCUGCUCAAUCACUAUACACAAUUUAUUUAGAGUAGGAAUUUAUUUUUGUUGGCUUCGACACCCAUCACUAAAUCAUUAUUGCAAUUUAUAAAUUAAUAUUUAUAAAAAAUUAUGAAUCAUCCAAAAAGCUGCUUGAUAUAGAUUAAUUUCAUGGUCAUCAAUUUUUUUUUAUUUAUAUACCUUUAAAUUAUCACUUGUAUCAUAUGAAAAGACCAUAUUACCCCUCUAACGUCAUCAUAUUUAAACGGCAACUAAGCUAUGGUGAACGACAUUAUAUUUUGUCAACUUAAGAUGAAUGACUGAUAUACCCUAAAAGUAUUGUAGUAAAUUUGAUAAUAAAGUAUACAAUUGAUAAUUUUCCUAUUUAUAAUUUAUCCCCUUAAUUAUGAGUAAUUUUGUUUUUGUCUUCAUUUGUCCCUUUCCUACAAAACCGUACAAGUUACAUAUAUAAAACAUUCUUCUUUAAUCAAGUUUGGAAUAUUUUCAUCCUUAUGUAAAAUUAUGCAUAUAUCUUUUGAGUUUCUCAAUUGUACUUGAAAAAAAAAAUUACAUUUAAUCACGGUUGGUUAUCCAUAAAAAAUUUUAGGUGGAAAGUUCACGCGUUUUAAAAUUUAAUUGUGGAAUUAUAUUACAUUUAUUAUUUAGUUUCAAUUUAAUCAUGUAUCAAAUUCAUAUUUUAAAACAUGUGGAAAUUUAUAAUAUAUAAUGAUUCUAUGUAAAUAUAUUAUCUCAUUUCUUCAUUCUUUUGUUAUUAGUUCUCCUCCACCACAUUAGAUAUAUUUUGAAGUUUUCUAAUGUAAAUGUUACUAACAAAUACGCAUUGAAUAAUUAUCGGGUAGUUUAUAUUAUAAUUUAAUAAUAGCCACAACAUAAAUGUACAAUUUGGUGAUAGUAAAUGCCAUUACAUGAAAAUGAAAUCAUCAUGUUGCAAACAAGAUGCAACCAAGGGAUUGCAAACAAUGUUAAGUUACUAUUGGGUCACUUGAACUCCUGGGCUCUCUCCUGUGUAAUUUAUAUUAGACUGUCGCGUACAAAACGCAGACAUAUAUAUACAUACAAGUAGUGCUUUGGCAACAGACACAAUAGCCAAGAAGCAGCCCUUGUUUUCAAAUUCAUUCAAAUGCCAGCCUGCAGUUUUGAAUCCUUCAAAUUGUGCUCCACCUUUUGAGGGGACGAUGAAGAGUGAAAGAAGAGACAAAUGGCAGAAAUAUCAUCCAUUGCAAUGCCUCGUUUCUUAUAUUUCCAUGCCCGAACAGCACAUUCCACCAAUCUUUUUGCUGCCUUUUCCCUAUCCACUACUGAAGAAACAAUCUCCACCGCCUCUUGGUUCGAAAUCACAUCCCAAACCUGAAGAACAAUCCAUAAUUGAUCUUUCAAACAUUGACGUUAGUUCAGAUCAAAAGAUAAUUCCAAUAUGUGGAUACGUAUCCCGUCUGAUGCCAGAAUGAUAAAUUGGUCUCGUGUUGUUAUGUUUCUUUGCGUUACAUGGGGCACGGAGAUUAGGCCAUAGUCCUUGACACAGUAAUCACCCAAGGCUCUUGAUAUGGCUAGUCCCGGAGUCUCACCAUUCGGCAUCCAGACUCUGUAUACGCCUGGCUCAUCAUUUAAGCAAAACACAAGCCCUUUGGACUGCGUUAUUCGCUCCGCUUCCUCUGUAUAGGCCAGUGAAGACAAGAACCCGUACGCAGACCUUAAAACACACCCAUAUAUACACCUACACGAGGCAGAAAUAUUUAAGAGACAAUGAGAUAAUUGAGAUCUGAUUGGUAAAAUAUUGUUAAUUAAUAAAAAAUAAUUAAUAUACUUGCUAUUUAAGUAUUUUACUAAUACUUUAAACAUCAGUAUUCAAUGAUGUUAAUAUGUGAUUUUAAUAUUAAAUUUAUGUUCUCAUUUAUAACAGUAUGGUCAUCAGUAUUCACAACACAUCAUAUAUUAAUGUAUGGGUUUAUUAAUAUUAACAAACAUUUAUUUCCAAAUAAAUAUGGUAGCCUUAGUAUUUAAGAAUAUUCUUUAUUGUCUAGUCGUCUGUCCAAGGAAGAACGGGCCAUCAUCAAAUUUAUCAACGGCCUUCUCUAAGUAAUCAAAAGCAGGACCUGUGACAAAUUAAAACUUUUUCCGUGAGUUCAGCACAUAUAUAUACAUAUUCAAAAUGCAUUCCAUUAUAAACAAGUAAGCAAGUUUCAAAUCCUACCAGCUUGUUUUGCUGGGUCUCCUUUGAAUGAAGUAUACACAUCGUUGGUGAAGGUAUCGAUGUGGGAAAACAGUUCAUCAGCAAACUUUCGUUUCUCAGGAUCCUACAAUAUUUUCACAACAUUACUUUACUCAAAGUUGAGAGAGAGAGAGAGAGAGAGAGAGAGAGAGAGAGAAGCUUUUAUUAAAAGCAACAAUGUAAUCAGCAAAAUCUUACAUCAGGUAAAAGUGAAGGCCCUUCAAAAUUGCUGUCAACAUAUUUAAUCAAAUCAAGAGAUUCUCCAAUAACUUUGCCAUUGUGCUCCAGUGCUGGAACCUGUAAAGAACUCUAAUAGGUAAAUAUACUUCAUAACUCCAGCAAUGAUCUCUAAUCUUGCACGAAAGUGUAACAAUCAGUUUAACUCUUUCGUUGUGUUUUCUUGCAAGCAAGCAACUUGCUCAAAUCAGAAUAUGUUAAGAUUUUACUAGGCACACAAAGCACAAAGACACCAUUCCAAUUUUAUUCAGGAACUCCUCCGCACAGAUUACAAGCAUUUCAAUUUCAAAGAUGGGGCAUAAGGACACAGAGUCACAUAAUUAGGCUAUUUGGUAUUGAGGUGCUGUGGUUUUUUUAGCUACAGCUGCCACACGUACCCAAAAAAAAAAAAAAAACUGUAACUAUAAAAUAAAAAUUAAAAAUGCGUAAUAAAUAUGAAUUUUAAAUUAAGAUUUUGACAAAAAUAGUAGAAAUAUUAUAAUUUUACAAAACACUUUAACUCUGUACCUUUUAAUCCAUAGCCGCCCUACCUCAAUACCAAACACAACUAAUCUCUUCCUUUUCUAUAUCUGAAUUGGUCUAUCAACACCUUGAUUAGAAAAAUUCCUAAUUAUUAUUCAGAAACUUUCUAAUACUAUUCAAAAUCUUCCCAGCAGAUUCUAAGCUCCAUGUUAACCAAAAGAAUGCACAUAUUGUUGAUCUAUCAAAUUACUUAAAUGAUCAAUCAAAUAAAAUCAAAUAUUAUUAUUGAUCACACAUCAGCAUCAGCAUCAGCAUCACCUUGUUAACAGGAUAAACCUUCUCCUUGUACCAAGCGGGCCUAUCUUGGAGGUUCAGUGGAACUAACUUAAUCUUGUCUUGUAAUCCCUGCAGCAGCACACCAAAAGUUGUCAAAUUCAAAGAGAGUAUUACGACAAAGGCGAAACGAAUAAACCAUAAAUUACUGUUAUUGUUAUUAUUAUUAUUUUAAUUAAACCUAGAAAGCAGAGACGGGUCAACAGUGAUAAAAAAAAUAUAAUAAAAAUAGUAAAUAAAAAUAAAACCUUGUAGUUCCUGGUGAUCCACACACGCUGAGCAAAUGGGCACGAGUAAGAAAUGUACAACCUGGGAGUUCCAUCGAACAGAGGUGGUAGCUCGGCCUUCGAAUCCAACGGUGGAGGAAGAUUCUCUUGCGCUCUAUCAAAGAUGACACAUGAUCGUUAAAAUAAUGAUCAUAAUUAAUUAUGAAAUUCCAAAAAAAAAAAAAAACCAAAUUCUUGUUGUGGCCAUCGAGGAAGGUAAGACUCUAGAGGUUUCCUGAAUGCUUUUCUUUUGCUUUGAAGAAGAAAGUCAUAUGAUACCGAAAUGUGUCUCUACGCAGAAUGAGUGCGCUUAUAUAUAGAAGCUUUAAAGUAACCUUCUGAAGCCAGCAGUGACGCAAUGCGCACGUGUUAGGGUGUCAUGAUAAUAAUGCAUGUUGCCAAAAAAAAGGGCAAAAUUCUUAUCAGUUUUAGGCAAUUGCCAUGCAUAUUAGUUGGAUUCAAUGGCUGCAAGGGAGAAGCAGUGAGAAUAUCGCUGAUUAAUUAAAUUUGUAUAAUAGAAAAAAUUUGGUAUAUUUUUUUAUGACAUAUUGCUAAAAAUGUGGAGGCUUUGAUAUUAAAAAAGAGUUAUUUAUAAAUAAUGUUAUUAUGUUAUUGUUGAUUAUUAACAAUAAAUUUUUAGGAGAUAUCAUUUGGUUUACAAGUAGUUCAUCAACCGUGUUUAUUAAAAUGUUACAAACAGGAUUACAAAAUAUUAAAUUAUCCUAAACCCAAUUAAUAUCUGCAGGGAUCAGACGACUGUUAGAACAUAUGUUCUAUAAUUUUUCUCUGGAAAAAUAUUAUUUCUUGUACAAACAUAAUAAAUAGCUAUUUAUAACUUAAUAAUUCAAAAAUAGUUAAUUUAUAAAAAGACUAUUCUUGGUGUUAACUAAUGCAGUGGAACUGAUAUAAAUUAACUUAUUGUAAAGAAUUCACUGUAAAGAUAUCAUUUGUUAAUUGUUAAUUAUAAAUAUCCAAUAUUAAAAUUAAUUUCUGAUUUAAUCCAUGAUUGUCAAGCUAUUGUUUUCAUGGUUUACAAUUUUUUAAAAUAGAAGAGGUAAAACAUUAAGUAAAAAGUUUUCAAUCUCGUAUAAAACAAUGUAGAAUGUUUUAACCAAUUCAAAAUUUUUUAUAAUAAAGCAGUUAUUUUCAAAAUUCACAUUAUGUUUCUAUUACUCAUAAAAAAAAAUCCCUUCAAUGAAUGCAGACAUCCUUGAAAGAAACUUCACUACUCUAACAAAAAGGCCAAAAUUUUAGAAAAUGACAGGAAAAGAGAACACCAAUUGUCAACUAGAGUACCCUUUGUGAAAAACACAAUAAUAAAUAGCUGAUAUAUGAUUAGGUUAAUUAAUUGAUUGGAUUGGAAUCAACUUCGGACUGUUUUGCCCUUCCCUGCAGUGCAGCGUAUUAGGUGGCGAAUGAAGUAACUGGCCUCACUAAUUUUAAGUAAAAAGAUUGUUAAUAUUUAACCGCGUCUUAUCAACAUUCUUUGUUUUGAUUAAAAUAUACGACAUCGUUUGCAGAAGAGGCAGCAAGGGCAACAACGUGCCAAGUAUAAUAGACAAAUUUUUUAUCAUAUUAAUUGAGAAGGCUUGAGUUCUGGCCGAUGUUAAUAAAAUUUAAAACACAAAAAAACUGAUAAUGUCACGGCUGGUGAGAUGAUAUAUAAAUAUUAAAAAGAAAAAAAAGAAUUAUCAAUAUUUAAUUUUUGAAGAUUAAACUCAUUAAUUAAAGUGAAUCGUGCAUGCUUUGCUAGCUGAUAUCGCGCGCGCGUGUGUAUGUAUAAAUAUGUUAGAUCAAAUCCAAAGCUAAUUCCAAGUAUUAUAUUAUAUAUAUGUUACUAUUAUUAAUUAGAAUUCCCAAGCUCAAGCUAAUUAAUUGAUGGUAAUCUUUUGGAUGCACUUAAUUGUAAUUAACCGGAUCAAAUUUUGAAACCAAAAUAAUUCACGGGGCAUUCUAGCUUCUAGCUAAUUCAUCCAAAAAAAUAUAAAAUUAUAUAAAAAUAAUAAAAAUACGUGUGAUGUCAGCUUGAUGCGUACAUUCAAAGUUCCAAUUGAAAACAAAUAGAUAUUCAUUUUUCUUGUCAAAUUAUUGAAAGAGACAUCUCUUAAUUUCUUCCAUCACCAGCAACGGUUGAGUGACCUUGUCUUACAUUGUGCAGCAGCCUCCUCGAAGUAAAAAAAAAAAAAAAAUAUAGCCCAUUAUCUUGGCUUUUGGCUGGAUCCAAAUUUUUGUUAAAUACAAAUAAAUAUAAUAUCAAAUUAAAUAUUCCAAUAAACCUUCUAAUAUCUUCUUUGAACAGUUUUAUUUUUAUUUUAUGAGGGAAGAGUAAACCAUUAAAACUAUAAUUCAUCAUAAAUUUAUUGUGCCAAUUUUUUUUUAAAUCCAUAAUUUUGUGAAAUAUAAAUUUUAAGAAUUGAAAAAUAUCAUUAUAGCUUUCAUAUCCAAAGUUAAUUUUGAUAUUUUUGUACAAAUACAUAAUCUUCAAAUGUGGAUAAUGUAAAAGAUGAAAAUUGUCAAAUUAUUAGAUAAUUGUUUUUACAAAAUUUUAACGAUCAGAAAAAUCUUAAUUUAUAUGUCUUAGUUUAAAGAAUUGGUAUUAUCAAAUGUUACUUAAAUGUAAAUAUAAUAUAAAUAUUUUAUGUAUUUAUAUGUUACGUUUAUGAUUUGGUCACUGUUUAUCUAAAUUUUAAUAAAAUCAGACAUAUUUAUGUAAUUUACUCAUUAAAAAAAAAAUCCAUGAUUUAAUUUGCAAUGAUCAAAUUGUUGUAUUUUGUCAUAUCAAAAUACAUAUUUUUGUACAAUUACCCAUUAAGUUUAUGCUACAAUCAAGCUAUUUAUAAUAUAAGUGUGAUUUUUGAAUUUAAUAUUGAUAUUAGUAUUAAAUAUGAUAAUAAAAAAAUAUUUUAUUAGAUAUUAAUUGGGUCAUUUGUGUUAUUGUUUUUAAAAAUUAAUGACCUGCAACAUUAAUUGUCAAUAAUGGGUUUUUUUAAAACAUGCUGGUGCCCGGAUGUAAAUGCCGGUACCUCCCAAGUCAGUAGCCUUAUUAUAAUCCCGUCAGCAUAUUGGCCUGCCCCUGUACCAUUACUCCAAUUGAUGCUGAAAAUAUAACAACAUCAGUGACCGCGUUGUCGUUUCCCGUGAUGUUUAUUCCGAUGCCGGAGAAAUCCUUUUCGCGAUCAUCCCCGCCGAUGUUGAUGUGUUGGCCGAUGAAGGAAUUUCUUAUAUACGUUUCGUGGCCAUCUUGGAUGGAAAUGCCAGCGGUAGUGAAAUGCGAAACGUAACAAUUGUCCACUGUGGUUCUUAUUGAAUUUAUAAUGGCAAUGCCGCCACCCCUAAAAUUGGAGUCCAACAUAAGCUCCUUCAAAGUAAUGUAUUCGUAUAAUGACGAUGAUGAUGACGAUCUUAACUCUAUGAGAUGUCCGUUGCCCGAAAAAUCAUCCGAUGCUCGGAGGGACCCACCGUGUAUCUAUGUAUACAUAUAUAGAUGUUAAAAGUAAGAAUUAAAAGUAAGAAUUAAAUUUUAAAUUAAUAUGUGAUUUGGUAUGAUUCCUGGCAUUUUGUAUUCGGUUUUGUAGUCCUUCAUAAGACUGGCAAAAAUCAUUAUCAAUUAAACAUUAUGUUGUUAUAUUUUUUUAUUAUAUUUUUUUAAUGAUCUUUAUUUUAUUUGCUUUAAACAAUAUCUAUUUUUCAAAAACAAUACUUUUGACAAACAAACCCUAAAGUGAUGAAAGAGAAAGCAUGCAUUUUGCACAUGUUUAUAAAAACAAGAGAGUAUAUUUAAUCUCAAUCUGUAAUUCUGUAUAAUGUAUUAUUCUUAAGUUUGAAUCAAAUUAUUCUUGAUUCCAUCCGCCAAUCCAUCUCGGGCCAUUGAAUUAUGCAUAGCUAUUAUGGUAAUGGUCUCUUUAUUCUCCUCACAAUCAAUUAAUUGUGAUGACCAUACUGUUCUCACGAUUCUCAACCGCAAAAAAUUUAAAUAUUGUAUUGUACAUUUUUAUAAACAAAUUUUAUGUCAUCUCCAUUAUUGUGGAAUUUUAAUAUCCUAAUACAAUAUUAUGAUAGUAAUUGGGUCAAUAUGGGUAUUGGAUCAUAUUAUCGUUAUAAAUAUUAAUUUAUUAUAACUGAGUGUGUAAAGUAUCUUUUUUUAUUGUUGUACCAUAUUUAACUUUUGGCUGCAAAUAUAUAUAUAUUUAGCAUUAUUUAUAUCAAUAAGUUAAUAUAUAUAUCCUUUUCUUUAACAUCAAAUUUAAGUUUUUAAAAAGUUAUGAUAAUUCACUAAUUUGGUAUUUAGGAAAUUAAAUCCAUAUCAAUUUAUUAGAUAUCUUAAACCGUAUGUAAAAAUAGAAUAUUGACCAUUAUUCUAUUAGUAAUAUAUCCAUUAAAGAUUUUGACGUGCUAUGGUCUAAAAAAAUUAACUUGGCGGGAUGUUAUGAUUAUAUUCAAGGUGAUAGGGAAGAAAGUUAUGAGGAGACCCCAUUGAAGCCUAUAUAUUAUAGUAUGCAUAAAGACUCAAAAUGUGCACUUGAAAUAACAGUUGUCACUGACAGGUUAAGAUAAACUACCAAAUUGGCACUUAAAGGAAGAAAUUCUAGUAUUAGUGUCAUAUUUUAUGCCAUAUUAUGUAAUGCAUAUUAGUAAUGAUUUCUUCAUAAUAUCGCAGAUAUAUAAAAGUUCAUCUAGCUAGAUGCAUUGUAGAUUUUGUGAGAAUUAUUUUAUUCCGUCCAAAUGAGUUCACAUUAUUAUCCAAUUUUCCUUUUUUUAAGUUGAUUUAUGAAAGAAAAAAAAAAUGACACCAAUGUUUUCCACGUCGCCGCAAGUCUCAUCGAUAAAAGUCCAUCUACAAAUUAGUUCAUAAUUCUUUUUGUAACUUCGCUAAAAGCUAGUCAAGUCAUUGCUAGCAAGCCUCAAAAGCACGAAGUACGCGAAUCACGGCGAUAACUGAUAAUAACUUGGUUGUCCGGUUUCGCAUACUAAUUAGCUUGAUUGAAAAUCGUGAAGUAUGGGGCACGACUAACGCAACGCAUACGUCUCAUGCAUUAGGCAAAUAUUGUACGCGACCCAUGUUGAGAGCACAAAUCCACUAUCUACAAGUACUAUAUAUAGAGCUGCAAUGCGUGCUUCAAGUAUUCACAACUUACCCCCAGCUGGCUAGCCAGCCUCUAUAAUUUGAAGGGAAAAAAAAAAAAAAAACAACAACCUUGUUCAACUUGCAAAUACCUACCAAUUAUUAUGGAGAAAAGCUUUGAUAUCAUUGCCCUGUCUAUGAUCAUUCUGGUGACUUAUUCAUCUAAAAUGGUGUCGGUCGCCGGCCGGUCGCUGCAUGAACCAUCCAUUGUUGAGAAGCAUGAAAAAUGGAUGGCUGAGCAUGGGCGCACUUACAAGGACGACCUGGAGAAGGAAAAGCGGUUUAAGAUAUUCAAAGAAAACCUUGAAUACAUUGAGAAAGCCAAUGAGGAGGCGAAUCGGACGUACAAGUUAGGCACCAAUGAAUUUUCAGACUUAACUAAUGAGGAGUUUCGUGCUUCAUAUACAGGAUACAGGGUGCCAAGCCAGUCAUCUUCAUCACGGCAAUCCACAACAGCAUCCUUCAAGUAUCAAAACCUGACUGACGUUCCAACUAGCAUGGACUGGAGAGAGAAAGGAGCUGUCACUCCUAUUAAGAACCAAGGUCAAUGUGGUAAGUAAAUCGUAUACUAAAUAUUUAUGAAGUAACUAUAAUAGAUUAUUUAGCCUCCAACCUCUUUCAGAACUCAAACUCAGUUGACCAUCAGCUAAUUAAUAAAAACAGCUUGACAACCGUCUGCCAAACCCCUGCUGGGGCAUGUUUCAUGUAACUUAAUCAAGCCUUUUUUUUUUUUUUCCUUAAUAUGUACGAUGCAGGAGACUGUUGGGCAUUUUCAACUGUGGCGGCGGUGGAAGGGGUGACUGAGAUUAGUAGUGGUAAUCUUAUUCCACUUUCGGAGCAGCAAAUACUAGACUGCUCAAUAGAUGGUAACCGUGGAUGCGGUGGCGGUUGGAUGGACAAUGCCUUUAAAUAUAUUAUAAAAAACCAGGGUAUUGCCUCAGAAGCGGAUUAUCCAUACAAGGAAGUCCAAGGGACUUGUGAAGACGCACAGGUCAAGGCAGCUGCUAAAAUUAGUAACUUUGAAGAUGUAAAACCCAAUGAUGAGCAGGCUUUACUCCAAGCUGUAGCCAUGCAGCCAGUAUCAAUUUGCAUUGAAGGAAGUGGACCAGACUUCCAGAGUUACAAAGGCGGUAUUUUUAACGGAGGAUGUGGAACUCAGUGUUCUCAUGCUGUUGCUAUCGUUGGAUUUGGGGCAACUGAAGAUGGAAUGAAGUAUUGGUUAAUUAAGAAUUCAUGGGGGGAGAGCUGGGGUGAGGCCGGCUACAUGAGGAUUCUCAGAGAUGUUGAAGCACCUGAAGGUCUCUGUGGCAUUGCCACUAAACCUUCCUACCCAGUUGCAUGAGUAGCAGUAUUUUAUAUUAUAAAUAGCCGCCUCUUAAUAAUGAUGUCUUCAAGCCUACACAUGCAUUAGCCUCGAAAGGCUUAUACGAACCGUAUGAAUCGUAUGAUUCUGUGGUUUUACCUAUGUUGAGUAUUUCAUAAGUUGUAAUUGAACGCCAAUAUUUGGUAUUAGUUAAUGUUAAAUCUCUCGUUUAAAUAUAAGUUUGAUCUUUGCAGUAAUUAGUCAUUUACAUUUAAUGCCACGGAUACUCAAUUCGACCAAGAAAUACAUAGUUUAUAUCUUAGUUACUCUGAUAUUUUAUGUGGCAUGUUAUAUGUCGUUCAUUGAUUAAGUUGUAAGAAUAGUAUGUAAAUAAUUAAUAAUAAAUUUAUUUAUUAUCAUUUAUGAGACAAUAAAUGAUUAGUGGAACAUUAAUUAAAAUACAAACUAUUAUUAUUUAUUUAAGAAAUAUAUAUUGGUCAAUGAAAUUAAUGCAAGACAAAAAGUAACUGAAUUUUGAUUACACGCUUGAUGUCUGGAAGUACAAUGAUUAUGAAUUUGUGUUAAAUUAGGUCAAAGUUUUAAGUUAAAAUAAUCAAACCUAUAUACUCACACUAACUUUUAAAGUUUGAGUGGAAUUUGCCCGCUUUAAUUGGGGUCUCAUACAGCAAAAAAAUUUUGGCCAUCUUGAAUUUCUUUUUCUAAUUACUUAUAAAAAUUUAAAGGCUUGGUAAUUUCCCUCCCCCAAAUUCUGUCUUUAUUCCUAAGUAAAUUAGUUAGUCAUUAUUUCAAUAAUUAAAAUUAUUCUAAGUUCUAAAUUUUGGGCGUGGAGGGAAAGUUAAGCGCAAGUAGCCGUGACUGAUUAAUAUUAAACAAUAUAAUUUAAUGCAUUUUUAUUCUUCAUCUAUUUUUUUAAUAUUAGUUUUUGAACAAAAUAGUAGAACGAUAGUUAUAAUUUAUUAAUCAAAUUUUUUUACUUUCAUAUCCAUAUUAUAUUGUCAGUAAUAGUGUCAUGUAAUGAUAAUUAAAAGUAUUAGGAGAUACUUUUAAAAGUCGACCGCCUCAUCAAAAAAUCAGGAUGGCCAAGUGGUCUAAGGCGCCAGACUCAAGUUCUGGUCUUCGAAAGAGGGCGUGGGUUCAAAUCCCACUUCUAAGUAAUUUUUUAUUUUUUAUUCAUUUUUUUACAACGUUACGACUAAACGACGUCAUUUUCAUUAAACGGCAAGUCGUUUCAGUCGUCUUCUUUAACGGAAUAAAAAAUAUCUAAACCGAAGACCAAUGUUUCCAAACCCGCUGUAAACCCUACAGAUAACCCUCAUUGCCACUCGCAUCACUGAGUUCUUAACCUGAGUUAAAAUGGCCGAGUCCGCAUCCGAACUCAGUGAGUUCCGGAUUUUUCCGGCGGACUCACCGCCACCACAACCGAAUUCAACCGGAGUUCCGGUUCAUAAUCUAACACCAGAGGAGCUCGUGGCCAAAGCCAUAGCUCCAGUUAAGAAACAGUUUCUUCGUCAUUAAAUUCCAAAAUAAAUUUUAACAUAAUAAUUAAUUCUUUUAAUAGAUAAAAUUGUCUAUAUGCACGAUUGAAUUCAGCCCCAAAAUGUUAAUUAAAAAACAAUUAUCCAAUAUUCAAGAUAGUUUGAAUCGUCAUUCUCAUAUCGUUAUAAUGUCAUGAAAUAAUUGUACAAAAACAAAUGACCAAUAAAUUCACAAACGUAUAAUAUUGCCUAAUGUAAAUAACUUAUUAAUUAAUAUUGAUAUAUUAUUAAUUACUUAAUGUUUUACCUUUUUAUAAAACAUAAAAUUAUGUUUACUUCCAUUCAAGAUAUCCCAAAAAAAUUAAUCUUUUUGGAUGAUUCAUAAUUUUCAAGAGGAUGUUUUUACACCAUACCAUCGUCAAAUUGAUAAGGGCCAUGUUAUUUUUUAUUUAAUUAAUUUAAAUUUCAACUAGAGAGCUAUUGGAAUCGAUCACUGUAAAAGUUAAGUUGUGAUGUAAUCACACAAUCUUGAGAUCUGCUAUUAGAAAAAUAAUUGAAGAACCAAAUCCCAAUGAAAAUACAUCCAAAAUGAUGUCGUUUUGAAUUUGUUCCAAAAAAAUAAAAUAAAAUCAAACUCACUAAAAAACAACAUGUGUGUUUUUGUUAACCUUUUAUCGAGUUUUAAUUUAAAUAUUUAUCAUGUACUUUUAUAUUCUAUUCAGGACCGGCUCAACCAUAUUUGAGGCCUUAGGCAAAUGGUUUUAAUUAGUUUUUCUUAAAAUUUAAGACAAAAAAUAUGUAUAUUAGUUAUGAGUGAUGAUACAGCCACAAACUCUUGUACAAAUUGACGUGGUAUUAAUUUAUUGGUUGAAUAAAAAUAUAAAAUAAUAAAAACAAAAUCACGUGAGCCAAGUGAUAUUUAAUUCAACCAAUCUUAUCAUGCCACAUCAGUUUAUACAAGAGUUUGUGGUUAUAUCAUUACUCAUAAGUUAUAUAAUAUUUAUUGAAAAUCAAUUCUUCAAACACUCUCUAAAAUGUAAAAUUAUUAAAUAAAAUUAUAUUACACUAUUGUCAAUCCUUGAAAUUUUAAUUCAAUUAUAAUAUUUUUACUUUUUUUUAACUCAAAUUACAUCUUUUAUACUACUUCUUUUCUACAUUAAAUUAAUUUUUUUAUUCUUCUAUUUUCUAAAGUUUUUUUAUAUAGUUAUUUAUUUCACAAUAGAAAAAAAAGCACACAAAAAUAGUAGAUGAAUAAAAGAAUGUAUUAAAAAGAAAUAAGAACACAUAAAUAAUACAAUUAAUUAAGAGAAUAAUAAAAAAUAAAAUCUGAAAUUUGAAAUUUGAGAUGAAAUCAUAAAUUAACUUUAUCUUUAUAUUAAUUAUUUGAAGAUUUGAGUAAUGACUAAUAGCCAUAGAGAAUAGAAAAAAACUAUUAGAUUUUUUCUUUUUUUUCUUGAGUGGAAAGUAGAGGAAGCAAGAUUUUUUUUCCCCUCUCUCUCUUUCUUUCUCUCAAAAACGAAGAACAUAUGGUGUCUUCAUUGUUAGAAGAAAAAUUUAAUGGAUAAGUAAUAAAAUGUGGGGCUUUUAUAGAGGUUUAAAAUGAAUAUAAAACUUUUUAAUUAUAAGUUGUUAAUUCUAACAAUGAAAUAUCAAAUUUAUAGGAUUGAAACUAUUAAUUUAUCGGUUUUGUAGGAAUUAAAACUACUAAGUACUACAUUAAAUAAACUUUAUAGGAACUCGGUAGUUUAUUUGAGAAAAGAUAAUUACAAAAUAAUAAUAAAUUAGAUGCAUAAUAAUGAUUUUUAAAUUCACUUUCCUCUUUUAUAUACAAAAUAAUCAUCUUAUAGGAUCUUCAUGUAAAGUAGGGCCCUAAGCAACCGCCUAAGUUGUCUAGAGAUCGAACCGCUACUGAUUCUAUUACUAAUUUUGAAAUUUUCAGACAUAUUUAAGCUCCACUAUUUUAUUUUUUUAAUCAAAAUAGUAUGUUUAUUAAUAAUGAUUAUAAAAAAAAGAUAAUGAUUCAAUAAUGUUGUUUAUAUAUAUUGAAUCAACUUUAAAAGUCAACAUUUACUUUACACACUCAUAUAAAUGCUAAAAUAACCCUUUAUUUAUUUAUUUUUUUAAGGCUGUAGAAUGUAUUCAUUACAAAGAUAGAGUAAAUUUAAUUUGUGGUAUUCAAAAUUUGAUGAUUACAAUUUUUGAGUUGAUGGUCUUAUGCUUCAUAUUUGCAUUAAUUUUAUGUUUAAUGGUAGAAUUAUCAAGCUCAAUGACAGUGAUUUCAUGUAAAGCUUUAUUUCCUAAUUACAAUUUUAAGUUAAUGGUCCUAGAUUUCAUAUUAACAUUAGUUUCAUAUAUCUUUUAGGUUCAAUAUUAAUGAUUUCAUGUAAUACUCAAUGAUUUCUAGUUUAAUGAUUACAAUUGUAAGUUGAUGGUCAUAUAUUUCAUGCUUAAUAGUAGAAUUAUAUUAAUGGAUGAAGCUGUUGCUAUCAUUUACAUUAAUAUUUAUUUCCUGGAACUCAUUUAUAGCACAUCUCAAUGUCAUUAUUUAAAAAUUUAAAUUGAUGGUUGGUUUUGUAUUCAUUACAUCGGAUGAUUUAUAUUUAAAUAAAUUAUUUCAAUCUCAUAUCGUUUUAUUAUGGGUGAUUUUAUAUCCACAUUAAAAUUUUUAAAGUUGUUAUCAUAACUUUUUAAAAUCAGAGUUGUGUUUAUUUAUCAAUUUAAAACGUCAAUAAUCUACUAUUGGCUUAACAAUUGAUAUUCUCAUUUGGGAAUCAUCAAGAUUUUAAAAUUUUUCAAAGCCCCCAUGCUCAAUUUAUACGCAAAAAAGAGGGGGGGGGGGGUGGGUGGUAAGAUGCAUGAUCAGAAAUGAAUUUGGCAAGUAUUUGAUUGAGUUGAGAGGUCACUAAUCUCACUUAAUUUGCGAAUCACAAUAUGAUUGUUUUCAAUCGGCACCAAAACGAAGGGCUGGUUUUGGUUAUUAUAGUGCCUUGUUCUAUGAAGGAUUUUGGUUACCCACAUAUGGGAUUGAUCUUUGCUUCUACUCAGUAUAAAUUCUUGAAUUAUACUAUAUAUGGGAUUGAGACUUUCGUUAAAUUUUAAUUUAUAAUAUUUUUCCGGAGAAAAGUAAUUAGCAUGAAACACAACAGCGGUGAAUCAUCUCAUUUUUCAAGAAAUAAUAUUUGUCAGAGCUUUUUUUUUAUAUUAGUUUAUAAUUAACUUUUUUUUUUAUAUUAAUCACGAGGUAUCCUGGGGAGGGCCCCAACUGUGGGAGGCACCUUUAAGCCCGUACCACAACCCAGACUAGAAGUCCCCGCUCGAACCGGGAGGCACAGGUUCUCCCAACAAAGGCGACUUCCCUGCGACUCGAACUGGGGAGCAAACCCAGUCAAGCCACUUAAGGGGACUCCAUUGCCAGUGGAGCCAACACUUUGUUGGUUGUUUAUAAUUAACUUUAAUAUGUAAUAAUAUAGCAUAUUCUGGGAAACCUGUUGGGAUAAUUGUUUUUAAUAUUAUUAUGAUAUUACGCAUGAUUGGCAGUCGCAACUCAUCAUCAUCAUCAUCUGAAACCAUAUUAACAAACAUUUAUUUAACAAUAUUCUUUAUGUAAACAGGAUUACCCUAAACCCAAUUAAUAUCUGCAGGGAUCAGAUGACUGUUAGAACAUAUGUUAAAUUUGUAUAAUAUAUGAUUUAAAAAUUUAAAAAAUAAAUUUUUCUUUUUUGGAGAUAACAGUUGGUAUAUUUAUGAUUAGUAAAACUAAAAGUUUUAUUUUUAUUCUAUGUGCUCCAUCAUGGCAGUAGUUAUUUUUUUUGCGAUUAAACAUACUAUUUUGAUUUAAAUGGAUUACAAAAUGGCACAUUUUUUUAACCCUUAACAGUUGGUAUUUUUUUUUAAUAAGAUUAUUAAUGCAUCAAGUAAUCUUGUUUUGAUGAUUGUAACUCGUGACUGCGGGACAAUUUCUAAUGGAAACAACUCAAUUUCGGAAGAAAACUUAAUUUUGCAAGUGAUGAAUUUGAACUCGUUGGAUUGGUUGAUUUAUGAUCGACUGAAUUUCACUUUUCCUCAUAAGAUCUUUAACCAAAGUUUAAUAGCUAUCAUGUACUCCUUAAAAGCAAUUUUUUUUUAGAUUUGACUGAAUUUGAACUUGUUGGAUUGGUUGCUUUUAGAUUAUUAAUAUGAGAUAUUACAACGUAAAUAUUUUCAUGUGGUUGAGCCCUAUUCUAAAAUCUGUAUAGUUAGCUUUAGAAAGAGGGCUUUUCCUGCUGAUCUGUAAUCUUGAAAUAAACUUAGAUAUAAAUAAUGAAAUAAAAGACAACAAACAAGCAAUACUGAUACAAAGCCAACAGAUCAGAGUUUUUGGUACAAAUCCAAUAAAAGACAAUAAACUUAGGACCUUUUUUUCUUGCUUUCUUUUGUUGAAGGAUUAGAGUUUUUGGUAUUAUCAGUAAAGGUUUCAAGGAGUAAAGCCUAUAAACUUUUUUUUUGGGGGGGGCGCCGCCGCGGGGAUUUUACACCAUACCAUCGUCAAAUUGAUAAGGGCCAUGUUAUUUUUUAUUUAAUUAAUUUAAAUUUCAACUAGAGAGCUAUUGGAAUCGAUCACUGUAAAAGUUAAGUUGUGAGGUAAUCACACAAUCUUGAGAUNNNNNNNNNNNNNNNNNNNNNNNNNNNNNNNNNNNNNNNNNNNNNNNNNNNNNNNNNNNNNNNNNNNNNNNNNNNNNNNNNNNNNNNNNNNNNNNNNNNNGAAAAAUUAAGUUUUCAUAGAAUAAAAUGGUACGAUUUUUAAUUGAACAAUUGAGUGCAAUCAGUAACAAAGGCUUUACAUAUGCAAGUAAAAUUUGUAGGUUGCUUCAGAAAAAAAGGGCAUUUCUCACUCAUCUUUAAUCUGCAAGUAAAAUUAGCUACAAAGCAAAUCUAAUAAAAUGACAAACAAAAGAACAAAACAAAGAAAAGACAGGAGGCAAACAACAUUGAUCUUAAGCCAACUGAUAAUUAAACAGAGAAUUCUUUUUUUUUUUUUUUUUAACCUGUUGCUCAAGGAUUAGAGUUUUUAUAUUAACAGAAAGGUUUAAGGGGUCUGAAUAAAAGCCCACAAUUUCUCUAUUUUAUUUUUAUUUUUAUUUUUUGAAAGGAGCUUCACUAUUGGCCUUGAAUAUAAAAGAAUGAGCAAAAGAUCAAUGUCAACUGCCGAGGAAUGUGAGUAAAGAUUUCAUCAGAGUAAGUAAUACAAAUGAAUUGUAAAAGAACAAGACUUAAGCGUGCACCCCGUGUUUUGUUUUAUUGUACGUAUAAACAUAACAUGUUCAUUUUUAACAAAGUGGUCAAUAACUCUUUUUUUUUGGUACAAAGACGUGCCUAGCAUAGACUAGGGCAAAACAAAACGGGGGUGUGAAACCCCAAUACAAUCAUGACGAAUCCAAAACCCAGCCCCUAAAGGAAGAGAAUUGAAAAGGUGCAAUUCAACAGGUAGUGAAAGAGCAGAGUUUGCAGGAAAGUCAGCUGCAAAAUUUGAUUCUCUGUAAACAUGCUUGACCUGCACUUGCCAGGUUCUGUUAAGCAAUUCCUUAAUACCCCUGACAAGAGAAGCAUGUGCAUUUGGCCUAAUCUCGUCAUCCGCCACCAAACGAGUAACACAAAGGCUGUCAACCUCCACCUGAAGCUGCCGAAUUCCAUUAUCCCAAGCCAUACAUAACCCUUGAUAAAGGCCCCAUAACUCAGCACCAAUGAUGGUAACCACACCAACAUUCAUUCCAAAACCAAUUAUCCACUCUCCAUAACAGUUUCUAAUCAAGCCACCCGUACUAGACAGACCAGAACUUUUACGAGCUCCAUCUGUGUUGAGUUUAAAACAAGGCCAAGUAGGUGCCACCCAUCCAAAAUAUUUCUAAAUCUUCAUGGCAGCAGGAACCAAACAACUCUGAUUAACCUUUUGAAUUUCUUCUGUACGGAUCUUAAUAUCCAUUACAACAGUACUCUUGCUGGUAAAAACACCAUUAUGCAGAUUUUGGUAACGCCAAAACCAAAGCCUCCAAACUGUGACCCCAAAAAGACACGGCCAGUCAAACAUACCAUCAUACUUCCACAAGUUCCUCAAAUUAUAUAACGCCCAAUCUCGGAGAUUCAAACUAAAAAAUUGAUGACUAAUCCCAUGGGGUAUCAAUGACGACCAUACAUGCUUAGCACUGGGGCAAUCCCGCAGCACAUUAAGAGUAUUUUCAACAACACAGCCACACCUUGCACAACUCAUAUCAUCAACAAUAUGUCUCCGGAAAAGUUCUGCUUUAGUUUUAAGUCUAUUUUGACCCACCACCCACAGAAAGGUUUUGAUAUGUUGGGGACCUCUCCACUGCCAAAGAAUGCGCCAAAAGGAUUCUUCAUUGUGAACCUCCAUUUUUGACAAAGCCCUAUAUGCUGAAUUAGUAGUGAAAUCUUCUGACUUAGAAUAUGCCCAGUACAUGUAAUCAUCCUCAUCAUUUACACUGGGAGGCUUGGUGGCUGCAAUUUUGAGAAGUAAAUGAUGGGGAAAUAAAUUCUCAAAAAGCCGCCAAUUCCAAGUACCCUCAACAGUGAUAAACCUCGCCACACACUCCUCAAGCUGCUGUAAACGUAUCGGCUGCAAAGCGAAAGUAUACAAAGGGUAUUCCUCUGUUACCCAAUUAUCCCACCAAAAUCUAACUCGGUUGCCAUUUCCAAUGUCCCAUUUGAUCCCUUUUAAAACCUCAUGCCAAAUGCCUCCCACAGCCUUCCACAUGUAAGAGCCAUAUUUCGUAGGUAAUGUGCCGGGGAGGGCUUUAGGAGCCAGCCCAUACUUAGACAAGAGAACCUUCACCCAUAAACUAUUUGGAGAAGCAAUUAAAACCCACCCAAUCUUCAUGAGCAGAGCAUCAUUCAUUAAAUUAAGCUGCUUAAGACCAAGGCCUCCGCUAGGUUUCAGUUGACAUAUUGUAUCCCAUUUCACCAAACUGAUUUUCUUCUUGUCUGCUGCCCCGCUCCAAAUAAACCUCCUACAAGCCUGAUCAAUUUUCUCCCGAAUACCAAACGGAAUCUUCGUGGUCUGCAUUGCAUAAAUAGGAAUUGCCUGGAUUACCGAUUGAGUGAGAGUGAUCCUACCCGCCAAGGACAAAUGUAUCGCAUUCCACCCCGACAAACGUUGGUUCACUUUGUCCAAAAUUCCCUGAUAAGUCAGCUUAUUAACCCGUGAAUGAAUAAUUGGCAUUCCUCAAUAUUUCCCUAGGUUUUUUGUGACAGAAAAACCCAAGGAAUCACCAAUUUCCUUAGCCUCAGCAGACUUUAUGUUGUGGGAGAAAAAAACUUGUGUCUUUGUUUUACUAACUUUCUCUCUAGAGCUCAUACAACAAACAUUCAACACUUCAUUAUAACCAUUGCUUGCCUACAGGAAGCCUCUGCAAGCAAGAUAAGAUCGUCAGCAAAAAAUAAGUGAGAUAAAGAGGUACCUCCACGAGACAGUUUAAUAGGUUUCCAGUGCCCUCUCUUCACAGCGUCAUUUAUUCCAUGGCUUAACCUUUCUAUACAUAACACAAAGAUAUAUGGGGAAAUGGGGUCUCCCUGUCUAAUACCCCUAGAAGGGGUAAAAAUCUCUGUAAUUUCUCCAUUCCAUAGAAGUUGCAUAGUCGCCGUUGUAAUACAUUCCAUAAUAAGCCGAACCAAAAUAGUAGGCAAUCCAAACUCCCUCAAGGUUUCAUAAAUAAAAUCCCAGCUUAAACGAUCAUACGCCUUUUCCAAAUCCACCUUAAUGGCCAUCUGCCCAAUCCUCCCUUUCUUACGUCUCAUCAAAUGAAUAACUUCCUGAGCAACCACUAUGUUUUCCGUUAUGUGUCUCCCCCGGAUAAAACUAGUCUGGGUAGGUCCAAUGAGGUCAGGCAAGAUAGAUUUCAGCCGGUUAGCUAAUAACUUAGUGAUAGUUUUAUAGAUAACCGGGCAAAGACUAAUCGGACGAAAAAGCUUAAGGCUAAUAGGAUUAUCCGACUUAGGAACCAACACAAUCAGAGUUUUGUUCAACUCCUUAGGGAUCUCGUUGCCAUUAAAAAUACCUUUUAUAAGACUACAGACAGAUUUUCCCACUACAUGCCACUGGGUCUGGUAAAAGAGAGCAUGCAACCCGCCUAUUCCAGGGGCUUUCAAAGCCUUCAUGCCGAAGAUCACAUUCUUAAUUUCCUCAUCCUCCACUGCUUGUCCCAAAGCUUGCAUUCGACUUUCCUCAAGGACUGGGAAGGCGUUAACAACAUGGUAUGGAUGAUAGAUUGCAUCCUCUUUGGAAUAGAGCUUUGAAAAGAAGGACACAGCAUAAUCUCUAAUCUCAUCAUUAUUCAACAACCAAUAACUCUAUUCGUUAUGAAAUUGAUAUUGUACCCAAUUUUAAGAGAGCAUAAUAAUAACCAUUCAAUGCAUAAAUUUAGAAUUAGGAUUUUUUUGUAAUUCUUUAUUUAAAUAUAAGCUUCAAUGGAAAAUUAUAAAAAUUUAGAUAUAAAAUUUUAAAUCACCAGACCAAAAAAAAAAAAAAAAAAAAAUAGGGGAACGGAAAUAGAGGAAUCUUGCUUUACCUUUUUUCCCUUUAACUCUUGUUCUUAUAUAAAUAAUUUUGUUUUGAUGAUUGUAACUCGUGACUGCGGGAAAAUUUCUAAUGGAAACAACUCAAAUUCGGAAGAUAAGCUUAAUUAUGCAAGUGAUGAAUUUGUUCAAUUGACUCUGUACUUGAACUAGUUGGAUUGAUUGAUUGAUGAUUGACUAAAUUUGAAUUAAGUUUAAUUGCUUAGCUAUCAUUUACUCCUUAAACGCAAACGUAAAUAUUUUCUUGUGGUUGAGCCCUAUUCUCAAAUCAGUAGGUUGCCUUUGAAAAAGGGCUUUUCUCACUGAUCUUUUUUUUUUUUCUUUAAUUCACACGCACUUGAUUAUUGAAUUCUUUCAUGAAGAAAUAAACUUGUAAUGACUUAAAGAUUUAAUUUCAAGUUAGAAUCAAUACCAAAAGACGGAGGUUUAACAAAGCCGUUUAGUGUGAUAAAAGUACUUUAAAAAAUGUUGUUCGACCCAAUUAAGUUGAAGAAAUAAUAAAGUUUUCAUGGAAUAAAUACCGGUUGUGCCUUAAUGAUUUUGGCAUAGACGUUGCUUGUGUACUGUGAAAUUGAAAUGAAUAUUAAGUGACUGCGCGAUGUAUAUGCCUAAUAAAAGAUCAGCAAAAGCUUGGAUGAAUGUUUGAGGACCAAAACUUUUAUAAAAGCAUUUUUGAGAGAAACUAAACACCAAAUUAUCAAAGUAAGAUCAACAGUAUAUGAUUUGAUUUAUACAUAUUCAAAAACAAAAUAAUGAUUAAUAAUAAAGUUUGAUUUUGUAUUGCCAACGAUGCUUUUUUGUUGUUUCAUUUGUUCGACGUGGCCUUAUUUACAAAUUGGUUUAUGUUAACAGAAACAUGAAAUUCACAUUACACAAAAUUGCAAGAACAAAUAUUAAGAGAACGUAAUAAUAAUUACUCAAUGCGUAAGGAUAAAUUUAGAAUUACAUAUUCUUUUUUAUUUAAUAAAGUCCCAACGGGAAAUCAUAAAAAUUUAUAUAUAAAAGCUUUCAACCACCAAACAAAAAACAGGGGGAAUGAAAACACAGGAACUUGUUUUAACUUUUUUUCAUCUAACUCUUGUUCUUAUAUAAUAUUUUCCCUAGUAUUUCAGGCAAAAAAAAAAAAAAAAAAAUCAAUAAAGAGCAAGUUGCUCAAAUUGAUUUAUCUUGUUUUUCAGGCAAUCUUGUGAUAUGAUGAUAAAGCUCAUGAAUGCUAGAAAACUUCUAAUGCAAACAACUCUAUUUGGGAUGAUAAGCUUAAUUUUACAAGCGAUAAAUAUAAAUAACUUUUUGUGGUUAAUUGAAUUUGUAAUUACUCUUAGCCCUAUUCUAAAAUUUGUAGGCUGCCUCAAAAAAGAAUAAAAAAAAAUUUCUUACUCAUCUUUAAUCUUCAAGUAAAAAAAAAAUCUAAUAAAAUGAAAAACAAACAAACAAGUAAAAGACAGCAAACAAACAACAUUUAACCAACUGAUAUUUAAACAGGGAAUUCUUUCUUCUUCUUCCCCCCCCCCCCCCCCCCCCCCGGGCUCAUGGAUUAGAGUUUUUGCUAUUAACUGAAAGGUUUCAAGGGUCUGAAUAAAAUCCCAGACUUUUUUUUUUUAAUUAACCAAAGCCAUAUAAUAAGAUCACAGACUUUUAACAAUGAACAAUAAUUUGAAACUCAAGCAAAACCAAUGACAAGAUUAAAACAAACCAGAGAAAUUUUUUCUUGGAAAGUAGAUGAAAACUAAGUAAGAACUGCUAUUAAAGGAUAUUAUUAAAGGAUUUAGAACAUGUAUACCUCUUUAUUUAUAUGGGAUCAGAGAGUCGAUGACCUCCUCUAUUCGCUUCGGAUAUUAAGUAAGAAUUGCUAUCAAAAGAAUGAAUUGAUGAGAGUAAUAACAAUGAAUUGCAAAAGAGGAAGACUUAAUCACGUACCCCUAUUAUACCCGAUUUUUAAGAUUUAAUUUUGAAGUCCAGAAUCAAGACAAAAGACGAAGCCUUAACAAAUAUGCAGUGAGAAUAAUUAAGUUGAAGAAAGCACUAGUUUAUGGCUCAGUGUUAAGUUGAAGUUUAUGAAAUAAUUAACUAGUUUAUUAUGCUCAAGUCAGUUUUUGGGCCUUUGCCAAAAAACUUGUGCCACCACUCAUAUGGCUUAAUAAACAUUGUCUUAAAAACCAAAAGCUUUUUGAGUAAUUUGCAGAAAAAUGAAAUAGAGUGUAAAAGAAAGGAUUUUCCAUGAGAAGAAGAGAGAAAAAGAUGCCUUGCAGACCCCGAAAAAAUAAAUAAAUCCUCCUUUUAAGGUCACGCCCCACUCUCCUCUUUUCCCCUUUGUUCUCCUCCACUUACGGGAGUUAAGGAUGAGAUAAAAGUAAUGCCUCCACUCUCCAUUUUUUUCUCCUUUUUCCGUUACCAAACAUCAGUCCCCCAGUUUCUAGUGUUGAGAGUUUUAACGAAUCAAGACUGGAAACUAUAUGAAUUUUAAAGUGACAUCGAUGUGGUUGGCAUAAAUCGGCUCGGGAUUGCUAAAAUUAACCUUACUAUUAGCAAAAAAUUUCAAGUUUUAAACUUUUACUUGCCUUUAAAUAUACCAUUUUCCUACUCGCAUAAUCAUGUAAAGCAGGUUUCAUAAGUUCACGUAUUUAUCUCACCUGAAGUAAGUUUUGAGACUUAGUCAUUUAUCUGCUUUAGAAUAUUUUUCACUCAUAUAACUCUUGCUCGCCUAAUCUUGGUCGGGCAAGAGCAGGCAAACUUUGACUUCGUCUCACUACGAGGAGGUUUAGAGACUGUAAGCCUUUCACUUGAAGUACCCUUUUUUUUUUUUUUUUACUUUCUGCUUGCCUUCACAUGGUUGAGCAGAUUCUGGCAAGCUUGACUUCUUGUCUCGCCAUCGAGCAAACUUUGAGACUUUGAAGUCUUUUAUGUGCCUUAGAAACUUUCUUGGGAUUUUUGUUCUCUGCUCGCCUUUACAUGGUCGAGUAGAUUCUGGCGAGCUUGGCUUCCUAUCUCGCCAUCAAGGAGGCUUUGAGACUUUGGAGCCUUUGCUUGCCUUAGAAACUUUUUUGGAACUUUUGUGGUUUGCUCGCCUUCGCUUGGUCCAGCAGAUCCUGGCAUACUUGGCUUUCUGUCUCGCCAUAAAUAGGCUUUGAGACUUUGGAGCCUUUGCUUGCCUUAGAAACUUUUUUGGAAUUCUCAUUGUUUGUUCGCCUUCACAUGGUCGAGCAGCUUCUAGAGAGCUUGGCUUCCUGUCUCGCCAUCGAGGAGGCUUUGAGACUUUGGAGCCUUUGCUUGCCUUAGAAACUUUUUUGGAACUUUUGUGGUCUGCUCGCCUUCGCUUGAUCCAGCAGAUCCUGGCAUGCUUGGCUUCCUGUCUUGCUAUAAAAUAAGCUUUGAGACUUUGGAGCCUUUGCUUGCCUUAGAAGCUUUUUUGGAACUUUUGUGGUCUGCUCGCCUUCGCUUGGUCGAGCAGAUCCUGGCUCCUGUCUCACCAUAAAAUAGGCUUUGAGACUUUGGAGCCUUUGCGUGCCUUAGAAGAUUUUUGAAACUUUUUUGGUCUGCUCGCCUUCGCUUGGUCGAGCAGAUCCUGGCAUGCUUGGCUUCCUGUCUCACCAUAAAACAGGCUUGGAGACUUUGGAGCCUUUGCGUGCCUUAGAAGAUUUUUGAAACUUUUUUUGUCUGCUUGCCUUCGCUUGGUCGAGCAGAUCCUGGCAUGUUUGGCUUCUUGUCUCGCCAUAAAACAGGCUUUGAGACUUUAGAGCCUUUGCGUGCCUUCAAUGUGCUCUUAUUUGAGGUUUUUGCUUUAAAUCCUAAAAUAUGGACAACCAUCAAAAAUUUAAUUUCGGACUUGUAACUUAUAACUUGUCCAGAAAAUAGCUCACAUUUACAACUUGCGCUUUAGCUAUUUAUAUAUGUUUGGGCCUUUGAUGGAUAAACAUCCUUGGUGUUUUUAUUACCAUCUAUAAUAUUUGGUUAGCAAUAUUAUUAAAGACCUUUGCUAAAGGUGCGGAGCACCAUUUCCCAACACUAAAGAUAUUAAAAUUUAUAUAUAAAAUAAAUCAUAUUAUAUAAAAUAUGUAAUCAACAAAUAAAUGGUACCAUAAAAGUUUAAGCAAAGUCAUAUCACUGUAUCAAGGAAAUACGAUCUCAUGCUAACCCAAGUUCCAUCAAUCCUUCGGUCAAGCAUGUUGUGUGCUAAUAUAUGACUAUGCUAUAUAUUCUAUAAUAUGUAAUCCUUCGGUCAAGCAUGUUGUGUGCUAAUAUAUGACUAUGCUAUAUAUUCUAUAAUAUGUAAUCUUAACUAUUUUCUAUUAACGACUUAAUAAGUCAAAACCUCAUCCAUCAGAUUUUUGAAGUCAGGUAGUGGAUUUAAAGGAUAAAUAUAAAACUGGGGUUUUAGAACAAGUGCACCUGAGAUUGUGCUCUGCAUUAUUUCAUUAGUACUUCAUCAAACAAAUCCCGAGCUUGACUCUGCUUUGCUCCCUUCUUAGAAUUAUUCUUGCAAUAUUUUAACACGGGCACAAAAUGAAUAAAAUAUGAAGGAAACAAAAAUCCAACUUCAUCAAUUCUUUGAAGCUUGAAGACAUGCCUAUCAAUUCUCAUCAUCAAUAAAAAUUUGUUUUGUUUUAAAACCAUUAUUAAGGUUAGCCAAAAUACCAAUACUCGGCCUCAUCCAGAUUAUGCUAAUUAUACUUCUUCCAACACUCAUUAACGAUUAUGAGAAUUUGUGCAAUGUGGAUGACAGGUACUAUCAAAAGACAGCGAAUAUAUGCAUAAUUUCUAAUGUUCUCUUUGCGAAAAUAUAAUAAAGCUAUGGUUAAGAAUAACUCAUGCUCUCAAUCAGUUUGAUACUUAUAUUAAAUAAACUGAAACAGAACCUGGGUUUAGAUCUUGGCUCCUGGGCAACAUUCUCUCAAGCAUAUAUGUAGUGUAUGUAGUGUAAUCAGCAACAAACUCACUUUUGAACUUUCAUAUCCCUUGAGGCGAUUUAACGAACAGCUCCUGAUUUGAAUUUUAACAAUUCUGCCUCAACUUGUAAUGAACCGAGUUUUAUACCAGAAUUGUCUAUAUACUUUCCCUGCAUAGUCUUCACAUGAAAACUAGCUGCAUGAUUGAUUGAUGGGGUGUAAAACCAGUAGGAAAUAUCUUGAAGAAACCAAAGAUCCGUGGAUUUUUAUGCUUACCACCAAAUGAAUUUAACAAUUUGUGUAAUCUUUAUUUUAAGAAAUUGAACAUUGAUAAUACCGCAAAUCGAUUGCUCUUUUGAACAGACUUUAUAUCUUGAGUUCGAUGAAAAGAGAACAAUCAAUCAAGAAAUAUAAAUACAUCAGCAAAAUAAUGAUGGUAGUAGCAUUACACAUCUAAUUAGCCAUAACGAAGCCGAAUAAUUAGCCAUAAUAAAUCUGAACUGUUAACAUUAUGUCAAGCAUGUUGUUGGAAAAUAUUAAAUUAAUUCAUUUGCAAGUAUAAUAGCAUGUAAUCUUGAAUUAUGAAUGAAGCCCAUUCUAACAAGCUAAUUUUGUAAAGGAACAUUAUCAACGAAUUCCAAGGGAUAAUAUUCAAUUUCAGCAAAUAUAUCAUGCACGGUAUUGAAACAUGCAUGUUAUUAAAGAAUUUCCAAGCAUCUCUCAUUUGAUAAAUCAAUAAUCAUAGCAAUUGGAAAUUGAAUUUUAAUGACAAUAUACUUAAAGCAAUAAAUAAGCCAAAACCUUUACAGGUAAGCAUUCCAUCCAGCCUUGAUUGGCUUCCGUGUUUGAGCCAGCUUAUCAAUUUGUGCAUGAUAAUAUUCUGCCUUUGGCUUGGCCGGAUGAAAAAUUGGUAGAGACAAGAAGUUGGCUUUUUGUACCGAUUCCCCACAGACAGUGCCAAAUGUUGAUGCCCAAAUCUGAUCUAGUCUAUUAGCGACUUAAUAUCAAACUUCUACACCAGCAUUAGAUUUAUUUGGUAGAGAAUCGAUUGGUCAAUCGUCAAGAUGUCCUGCAACCACUAGCGAUUAACUUGCGAAUACUUAAAAUCAUAGAAGACGGUCAGAGGCGCUGAAAGUUUUUCCGACGUGAACCCUCCGACACUCAAGUCAGUUUCUGGGCCUUUGCCAAAAAACUUGUGCCACCACUCAUAUGGCUUAAUAAACAUUGCCUUAAAAACCAAAAGCUUUUUGAGUAAUUUGCAGAAAACUGAAAGAGUAUAAAAGAAAGGAUUUUCCAUGAGUGGAAGAGAGAAAAAGAUGCCCUGCAGACCCCGAAAACAUAAAUAAAUCCUCCUUUUAAGGUCAUGCCCCACUCCCCUCUUUUCCCCUUUGUUCUCCUCCACUUACGGAAGUUAAGGAUGAGAUAAAAGUAAUGCCUCCACUCUCCAUUUUUUUUUCUCCUUUUUCCGUUACCAAACACCUACAAAUCUUAUCCCUACUAAUAUGCUCUAUAAGCCAUUAUUCUUCUAAAAUUAUUAAAUGCCAUUCUUCAUUCAAGCUUUCAUGGACAUUAUUUACAAAUUGUUCUUGUAUUUGACAGAAAAAUGAAAACUCCUCGUCAUACAAAACUGCAUGAACAAAUCUUCUGUUUAAUUAUGAUAAAAUAAUAAAUUCCAUUAACAGAUUCUGCUGUAUGUUAAUGUGAGGGAUUUGAUCAGAUGAUCAUAUAAUUUACUACACGCUUUAAGAAGAACAAAAAUUGAUGACUUAAAAAUUAAAAAAUAAACAUAUAAAGAGUAGAUACAAAGAAUGUUAUUUGCAAUCAACAAACUGAAGAACAGGGGAAUGAUAACAGAGGACGGUUGCUGCAACAUUAUGAAGUCAAAAUUAAGAAAGGCAUUUUUUUCUUUUUUUUUUACAUUAUUCUAUUUAAUCUUAAAUUUUUACAAUCACCAAAUGGAAAAACAGGGGACUGAAAACAAAGAAGCCCUGUUUGCAGAAACAGGGGAGUUUCCGGGUUUCUGGAAACAAACUCAGAAACGAAUGAACUGGCUGCCGGCGGUACUUUCUAGAUAAAUCUCUUGGUGUAUAUAAGCUUUCAUGAUCUGGUUUUAGUCUGGUUAGGUUCAGCCACUGUGACUGUUAGGGAUUCUCGUAAACUGAAUUUAAAGUUGCGGCUUAAAGUGUUUACCAACUUAAAACCAGAGCUAUAAAGUGUUUGAUGAAUUAUUUUUUAAUUUAAAAAAAUAAAAAACUGAUUUAGCGGGAUAAAAUAAUGCUCCAUUCUGUUUAGUAUGUGAAGUCCAGAGUAUUACAAAGAGAUAACUGAAUCUUCAAUGUAAUAAAAUAAUGAUCAGCCUCAGAGGAUACAUAAAAAGCUCAUUUAUCACAACCAUAUCCUAGUGCAUCAUAAACUUGAUUAUUUAAUUUUACUAUUAGGAAACCUACUUAUAUAAGGCGCACACCACAAAUUCUAAAUUAAAUUUCUAACUAAGAAUAAAAGGUAAAGCCUAGCAAUUUUCCACCAGGUGCCGUGUAGCCUGCAUCAUAAAUUUUGAUUUAAAUCUUUGUAAUCACCGAACAGAAAAACCGGGGAAUGAAAACAGAGGAGCCCUAUUUUUCCAUUUUUUUAACCCUUAACUCUUGUUCUUCUAAUUAUAUUUUUGCUUGGAAUUUCAAGCAAACGAAAAAAAAAAAAGUGACAACUAUUUAGAGAGAGCAGGUGGAUGAUAGCAAAAAUAUUUUUAAUUAAUAUGCAUGAUUAACUCUUGUUCUUCUAAUGUAGUGGCUUGAUUAAUAUUUUUAAUCAAGCCACUACAUUAUUGGUAGUCUCUGUGGGCUCAUUUCGUCUCCAGACCUGAUAUUGUAUAUCUCUUUUUGAAUAUGUUUAAUUAAUAUGCAUGCUGCUGAAUAAAGACGAUGAUUUCCAAAUUUUUGUUGCUUUUUUUUUUUCUUUUUCUGCUUUGGUACAUGAAGAAUGUGGAAAUAGAAAUAGCUUUCGAAGUUUAAUGGCUUGCUUCAUUAGUAAAGAAAGACUAGGAUAUCUGUCCCUUUUUGUUACUGAAUUAUUGAUCAAUUGACGGUUGAAGUGUCAAAUGUGUUCUUUCCUUACAAUUGUAUAUGCUAUUAUUAAUAGAAAUUAUUAAAGGAUUUAGAACAAGUUCGCCUUUUUAAUUAUCUGGGAUGAUGAGUUUCUUUAUUCACCUUGAAUAUGUAAUAACAAUUUUAGUGAGCAAAAGAUCACUGGUAACUGCAGAGGAAUGUGUGAGUUAAGAGCUUAUUAGAGUAAGCAAUACAAAUGAAUUUUCAAAUUAUGUACUUGGUCACUGUUGUCCUACUGUCGCACGUAUUUUUUCAUGAAUAAUUGCCAGAUCAGAAAAGAAUAAAUUCGGUUGGCUGAAGUAAGUAAAACAAUCUUCAUAUCGAACAUGAUUCCAAUUAAAUUAAGCUUUUUGUAAGAUGACUAAUAAAAGAUAAAAGUAGAAGCUUUGAUGAAUGAACGAGGACCAAAACUUUUGUAAAAGCGGAUGCCGAUAAAAUAAACAAAAGGCACUUUAAAAAGAAACUAAAGUGCGAUCAUCAAAGUAAGAUCACUAAUGAUGCUUCGCUAUUACAAGGUCCGCAUGGACAUUAUUGAGUUCUGCUAUUUGAACUACGCGAAGACAAAACAAAGACAGAAAAAUUGACACUGUUACUUCAACGGCUGUUUAUUACUUUUUGAAUUUAAAAAAUAAAAUAAUCAAAAGAAAAAGGAAAAGGAAAAGUAACGAAAAAAAAGAAAUAAAAUAAUCAAAAGAAAAAAAAAAGAUUACUUUUUGAGUUAAUCUUUCUCCAUCUCUCAUCUCUGCUAUCUGCGUUCACGCACAAAGAAAAAACUCUUCAUCUCACCAUUUUCAUCUCUUUGCAUCUCACCAGUUCCGCAUCUCAGUUACCAUAAGGAAGAAGUUAGAUCUAGAUCUAUAAACAGAGAUUUUGAUAAAAUUAGUACUGAUUAAUUAGUAAGUUAGUGACUCUCACUAUAUUCAAAUAAAAUUUUUAUUGUGUUCUAUAUAUUUAAAUGAUUAGAAUAUUUAAUUUAAAUUGUAAAAAUUCGUAAAUUUUUAUUUUUUAUAUAUUUAAAUUGUUAUGAAUUGUUAUGAUUUUUUUAAUUUAAAUGGUUGUUAAAUAAUGGAAUAGAUUAUAACAAUUUCUGAAUGUGUUUUAUGAACUUUAAAUUUUUAAAAUUAUGUUAGAUUUGACUUUAAAUCUUUGAAAUUGUAGUGAUGGAAUAAUAUUUUGUGUUAAAUUAAAUUUUUAAUUUUUGAAAUUAUGUUAGAUUUGUUUAAUUUUGUCCGCUUGCAAUUUAUUUGUUCACGCUAUCAUGAAGUGAUAUUAUAUAGGCAUCGAUGGUUUUUUAAUUAUUACAAAAUAUUAUUUUUUAAUUAUUUAACAAAAAUUGAUACAAAAUAUUAAUUUUGUAUGACUGAGAGAUACAUAGGGUUAAACAGGACGAGUAGAGAAAGGAACGAAUGAAAAAUAAGUGGAAUGAACAAAGUAAUUAACGAGAAUGAAUAGAGGGGACAAAGUGGAGAACGAGUAGUUGAGGAUGAGAAUAAGUGGAUCAGAUUUUAAAUAAUAAAGAUAUUUAAAAAAUUUUCAUUUUUUAUUAUAAUAUUUGUUGUUGGUCCCACCAAAAAAUUGGAUGAGAGCAGGCGUGAAAGAGCAUUUUUUUUCAUUUUUAUUCUUUAUUUUAAUAAUUGUUAUCGGUCCCACAAAAAAAGAAAAUUGAAUGAGGAAAGGCGUGAAACGGCAGCCAAUUUCUGUCGUCCCAUCGUCGUGCUUUCGUCUAUUUACCAUUUCUCGACAUUAUUUACAAAUUGUUCUUAUGUUUCACAGAAAAAUGAAACACUGUUCAUCAUACAAAAUUGCAUGACCGAAUCUUCAAUUUUUAUAAUUAUAAAAUAAUGGAUUAUGUGUAUGUUAAUGUUACGGAUAUGAUCAGAUCAUCAUAUAAGUUACUAGACGCAUUAACAAGAACAAGAUCUAAUGAGCUAAAAGUUUUUUUUUUAAAUUAAAUAAAUAAAGAGUAAAAGUAAAAAAAAAUGUUAUUUGCAAUCACUAAAAUGAAAACAGAGGAGCCCUGUUUUUCCUCUCGUUUCUCUUUCUCUCUUUUUCAAGUAGUAGAAAAUGAUAACAGAGUUUGAGAGCUCACUGCUUUCAUUAGUUGGAAAGUGUCGCCUAAAACACUUCCUCUGCUAGGUGGAAUUGUUGGCUUGAAGAGAAGAGUUCUUGUUACAAGCACAAAUUUUAGCUGUACAUUAUUUCCUUUUAAAUGCACCAUUGUUGCACAGAUUUGAACCCUAUGAUCAUUAGUUUUUUGUUUUGAUUUGGUUAGUUCGUGAUGACAAAUAAAUUAUUUUCAUCACAUUAUGGUAAAAAGUUGCCCUCUUUGUUACUUCCACAGCUAUUUAGUUUAAUAUUUUGUAAUAAGAUCACAAAGUGCAUGGGACCUAUUGUUCGGGUACUUAGCCUAAAAUGAAGAUCUAUUAAAAAUUUCCCUGAUGUCAUGAUAUAAAACAAUAAAAGGUACCAACUUCAGCUUAAAUUCAUAUAAAAUUAAACCUUACCACAUACUGUAUUGAAACAAAUUACUCAUCUUUAUUGGUAACAUCAUCACCUUCAUAAAAUAUAUGGUAUCGUACAAAGUUCUUGCGCUGGGUUCGGGCAUCUAACAACGAGGACACAGCAACCUAUUCGCUAGGUUAGAGACCAAAGAGCCAACAGCAAAUGUGCACGACGCAUGUCACUAUCAUGAAAACAACAUUCUUUUUCUUUUUUUUUUCUCCUCAAUAAUUUCAGAUAUAAUAUUUUAACUAAGUUUGUAACACUGUUGAUUGAAAUUAUCAAGUACGAAUGUGUGUAGAUUUUAACAUGUGCACUCAUAAUUAUUAUUGUGCAGUUUUAGACUUAGUUGGGUAUUGAGGUGCUAAAACUUUUGCCGUAAGAAAAAAAAGUUUUAAGUAUAAAAUAAAAUUUAAUAGUAUCUAAUAAAUUUAGUUUUUUAAUAAUAUGUUGAGUACAUAAAAGCCCCAGGUCGGCCAUGCUACUAUUUUCACCCCGGCAUGGAUCACCUUAGCCAAAUGGUAUGAGCAGAACGCAGGAUAAACACGAGCCAACCAGAGACGAGUACCGGCCAGGGUAAUGUACCGACCAGAAUCAUAUACCGAGCCGACACCAAUUCCCCAAAAAAGCGGGAACACGAUCCCACAGAAUCACGGUAGUUGCGCUUUUCCCAGAACCGUUGUGGGAGAUGCGAGAUCCCACGUUUGCCCACAAUGUAGCAGUUAAAAUCCCAUGAGAGGCUACCACUACCCGAGAAAGGGGGGGAUGAAGGGUGAGUGAAAACGUGGGACAGCGGCUAUAAAAGAAGAAGAAACCGAUUAAGAAGGGGAGAGAAAAAUUGAGAGAGGGAAAACGCUGCCAAAUUGCAAUCAUGCCAUUUUCUGACAAGACUCCGAAUAAUUUAGAAACCAUUUUUAGAUCUAAAUUGCACUGUUUUCCCGUAAACACCUUGAGCUAACUUAGGCAUUGGAGGGUUUUCGCCGGCAAAACCACCGGCGACUCUGAUCCGUUUUUGGUGAACGCAGGUCUAGUAAGAGAAAGGAGGGUGAUUCCAACCUCAGAGGUUCGAGCAACAGUCGAUAACGUAAACGUUGGUGAAAGAAUCUGGUCGGUCAAAAGGCGAGCAGAUUUAAGCAUCAACAUUUUGGCGCCGUCUGUGGGGAGCUGGAUAAAAAGCUACCACCGAAUUAGUAGUUACCGGAGAAACAACGAACGAUUAGACAUGGAUUUGCCAAGGAAGGACGCUUUGAGGGAGGAUAACGAAUCGGGGGAGACAAGCACCCUUCGGGAAAUUGCAAAUGAAGCCCGAGAGAGGGUGAUGCAAGAUCGAUUGGAAUAGAUGGAGAAGCAAAUGGAGACUCUCGCUACCAUACUGAAUGAGCUGAGAGAUGAGCGGAGAAGGGAUUGCGAAAUCCCCGUGGGGAGAGAUGAUGUGGGAGCAGAACCCAACCUCCGGAGGCGUAGAGUCGAGGAGAUCCCUCCGCCGGUGGACCAACCUUAUGGGGUGCAUCCCCACAGAAGCACUGGUUGAGUUCCUGGAGAACAAAUAGAUGAAGGGAGGAACUAACCUCGCCCCAGGCGAGCACUGGAAGCUGAUGGCCGAGGAGCCAGUGCUGAUGAAGGAGAGUUAAGACAGCGGUUGCAGAAUGUCGAGCAGGAGCGAGAUCAGAUAGCUGCACGUGAUCCUGACCGUGAUGUAGAAUUGGAGGGAGAGGUGCGCAGAUUAGCGCAAGUGAUAAAGGAGAUACAGGGUAAGAGGAAGCCCCCGAGCUGGAGGAUAAUGCUAGAUGAAGAAUCUCCACUAUCAACUGAGAUCGUGGGUACCAUAAUCCCAAGAGAUUUCCGCUUCCCCGACCUCAAAUACUCCGAGCGAAGUGACCCGCUGGUGCACAUUGAGCGUUUCAACGACAUGAUAGGUGUGCAGGGGCUGACACCAGCUCAGAGGUGCAGGGUGUUCCCGUUGACAUUAGAGGGACGAGCCCGAGAAUGGUACCGCAAGCUGCCCCGAGGAAGUAUAAAGGGGUAUGAGCAGAUGUGCCAGGAGUUGGCCGAGUAGUUCCGAGGGGCAGUGGCCCCAGAGGACGACAUGAUGGAACUGAUGAGGAUGAAACAGGAGGAGCAUGAAUCCCUUCGAGAUUUUGUAAAACGAUAUCACCGAGCCGUGCUAGAUCUGGGGGCUUUUAAUCACCCGCAGGCGUUGAGGGGAUUAAAAGAAGGUGUAAGAAUCGGCCGACUGUGGUAUAACUUAAGAAGCCCCCUUGUACAGAAUUACUCGUCGGGGUAUGAGCAGGCGAGGCGAGAUAUAGAAAUCGAAGAGGAGAAAUCAGCAAGAAUAAAAAGUGAACAGCUGGACGAGCUGAGGCGAAAGGAACGGAGAGCCCCAACAGGGAGCGGGUCGGGAAAACGAGCUGGAGAAUCUUCAGUGAUGGGCGGAAUAUCGGCUCGGUCCCGCCCUUACCCCAUAGCUCCGAGAUCGCAGCAGUUCCAGCACAACCGGGCUCAACCUCCGCGUCCCCCAUUUCCGGAUCGGCAACGAGAAUUCCGGCAGAUGGCUGCCCACCCCUAUCACAACACUCCCAGAGCAUUACAUGCAACCAAUUCCAGGGCUAGUCGACCAGAUCAGUUAGCAACUGGGCCAGCCUGAGGUGACAUUCAUGAUAGCCGAGCAGUUCAGCUGGUAGACCAGAGCUUGGCGUAUAGACAGUACACUCCAUUAAAGAUCUCCAUGGAGGAAUUGUAUGAGAGGAUCGAGGGACGAGGCUUGUUAUACCCUCCAGCCCCUAUAACAAAACCGGCUCACCGACGGGAUAAGAGCAAAUUCUGCAAAUUCCACGACACUCAUGGUCACACUAUCAGCCAAUGUCGUGACCUGAAAAUUCAGGUGGAAGAUUUGGUGAGAAACCGUUAUUUGGACGAAUAUGUAGAUGGAAUGUCCCCCGUCACUGAAUCACAGUACACGCGGGAUGAAGGAGCUGAGAUGGGCCUGGAACGUGAACAGCCGACUAUCCGUAUAAUAGCAGGGGGGCCAACAUUGGCUGGGGAUUCGAACAGGGCACGGGAGAACUAUGGGAGAUAUGCCCUGACUAGCAAAGAAGUGCUUUUCAAUUUUCCGGCAACCAAGAAGGCAAAAGUGCGGCAAGUUCCCAUUAUGUGGACAGAUGACGAUGAAGAGGGUAUCUUAUAUCCGCAUGAGGAUGCAUUGGUGAUCAAGGCAAUGGUGGCUGGUACAGAAUUGCGACGAAUACUAAUAGACACAGGCAGCUCGGUUGACAUCCUGUUUAAGUCGGCUCUAGAUGAUAUGGGGAUUGCAGACUUGAAAUUGGAGCGGACAAAUACAUCCUUAAAGGGAUUUGGAGGGGGAUGGUUAACUCCCAUGGGGAUCACCGAACUCCCAAUUACUAUGGGGACAAAGCCAUUUGAAAGAACAAUGAUGCUGGAUUUUGUCGUGGUAGAGAAAAGAAGCCCUUACCAGAUGAUACUGGAGAGACCGUUCAUGAGGAUAAGCCAAUGUGUUGUAUCCACGCAUUACUUGGCACUGAAAUACAGAGUAAAUGGGGUGGUUGGCGUAGUAAAAAGCGACCAGAGGAUGGCAAGGAGUUGUUAUGCUACAGCAGCCAAGGAGACACUGCAGGUUACUUCUCUAGAUAAUCGAGGAAAGUCUAAAAAGGGCCGCCAAGAGCCUGUUGAGAAGCUGGAGGAAGUUGCGGUAAGCAAAAGCAACCCGAGCAGAGUAGUGAAGAUCGGGUCAGGAUUGGUUGGGGCAGUAAAAGGCGAGCUGAUAAAUUACCUACAGUCUCAUGCGGAUAUAUUCGCCUGGUCUCAUGAAGAUAUGCCCGGAAUUGAUCGCGGGGUAGCUUGCCACAAGUUGGCAAUCAAGAAGGGGGUAAGGCCGGUGAGACAGAAGAGGAGAUGCUUCAACCAGGAAAGGUACGAGGCCAUAAACGCCGAGGUGGAGAAGCUGUUGAAAGCAGGAUUUAUAAGGGAAGCCAAGUACCCAGAAUGGAUUUCAAAUGUCGUCCUGGUAAAAAAGGCCAACGGGAAGUGGAGAAUGUGUGUGGACUUCACGGACCUCAAUAAGGCAUGCCCAAAGGACAACUUUCCCCUACCCAAAAUAGAUCAGCUGGUGGACUCAACAGCAGGUCACAGUCUGCUCAGUUUCAUUGAUGCCUUUUUCUGGAUACAACCAGAUACCCAUGGACGAGCAGGAUGAGGAGAGCACUGCCUUUAUAACUAACAUGGGUUUGUUUUGCUACAGGGUAAUGCCUUUCGGCCUAAAAAAUGCAGGAGCCACCUAUCAAAGGUUGGUAAACAAGAUCUUCAAACCGUUGAUUGGACACACUAUGGAGGUAUAUGUGGAUGAUAUGAUUACGAAGUCCAAAGAGCCGAGGGAUCAUGUGAAGCAUCUAGAAGAGACCUUUGAAUUGCUGAGGAAGUAUGAGAUGAAACUAAACCCGGAGAAAUGCGCAUUUGGGGUAAGCUCGGGCAAAUUUCUGGGAUUCCUGGUAAGCCACCAAGGGAUUAAGGCCAACCCCGAAAAAAUACGAGCGGUUACAGAUAUGAGAUCUCCGCGGACAGUUAAAGAGGUGCAGAGCCUUACAGAGAAGUUGGCAGCAUUGAACCGAUUCAUCUCGCGGGCCACAGAUAAAUGCCACCCUUUCUUCCAAAUCAUAAAGAAAGGGAGAAAGAUGGAAUGGACAUUAGAGUGCGAGGAAGCAUUUGGGCAACUGAAGGAAUAUCUGGCCCGUGCACCGUUACUGUCAACUCCGAGAGAGGGUGACCAGCUGUUUUUGUACUUGGCAAUCUCCAAGCAAGCUACCAGCUCAGUCUUAGUCAGGGAAGAAGAAGGGAAGCAACACCCGGUAUACUACACGAGCAAGGCCCUGGUGGACGCAGAAACCAGAUAUCCACUAAUGGAGAAGUGGGCGCUGGCUCUGAUAACGGCAGCACGCAAACUCCGACCAUAUUUCCAAGCCCACCAGAUCGUUGUGAUGACUGACCAGCCCCUUCGGCAAGUGCUUCAAAAACCAGAUGCGUCUGGUCGGUUAGUAAAAUGGUCAGUGGAGCUGAGCGAAUUUGACCUGACCUACAGGCCCCGAGGAGCAAUCAAGGCCCAAGCCCUGGUAGAAUUUAUGGUAGACCGAGCUGAGCCAGGGGAAGGAGAUCGGGAGUAGCAACCGUUAGAGCAGGAGAAAACAGAGGGGAUGUGGUUGGUAAUGGUUGACGGAUCAUGUAGUGAGCAAGGAUCCGGAGCAGGAGUUGUAAUACGGAGCCUAGAAGGAUCCGAAAUAACGUAUGCAGUAAAGUUUGAAUUUCAGCUCGCAAACAACCAAGCUGAAUAUGAAGCCUUUAUCACCGGGCUCGGACUCGCACAUGCCUUAAAAGCAAAAAGGGUAAAAAUUCGAGCAGAUUCCCAAUUGGUAUGUAAUCAGCUCAAUGAUCAGUUCCAAGCAAGGGGAGAGAAGAUGGGCCUUUAUUUGAAGAAGGCGAAGUAGAUGGUCGGGCUUUUCCAAGAGGUGGAGGUGAAGCAGAUAUCUCGGAAUGAGAAUUACCGAGCAGAUAUUUUGGCUAGGAUGGCUGCAGUUGCAGAUCCGAAAUUACCUAAGUCGGUUCCACUAGAGGUAAGGACCUCGCCAAGUAUAGGAGAGGAGGUAGAGGUGAUGAGAGUAUGCAUUGGAGAAUCAUGGAUGGACCCGAUUCGCGCAUAUAUCCGGGAUGGAAUCUUACCAGAGGACAAACAGCAAGCCAGGAGAUUAAAAUGCCGAGCAGCGAGGUACACUCUACUAGAUGGAGUGCUGUAUCGCCGAGGGUUCACCUUACCCCUUUUGAGAUGUGUGGAUGAUGAGGAGGCAGAUUAUGUACUGAGGGAGAUUCAUGAAGGAAUAUACGGCAAUCACUCGGGAGCAAGAACUUUAGCCUUCAAGGCACUCCGGCAAGGAUACUUUUGGCCAACUAUGCACCAGGAUGCGAAAAGGAUGGCAAAGAACUGUAAAACCUGCCAAAGCUUCUCUAAGGUUCCUGCACAACCCCCAGAGAAGCUGACCACUAUGACAUCCCCGUGGCCUUUCGCUCAAUGGGGAAUCGACUUGAUUGGUCCGUUACCUAAGGGCCGAGGAGCGGCGACACAUGCAAUUGUGGCAAUAGACUACUUCACCAAGUGGGUAGAAGCGGGAGUCCUCAGCCAAAUCACCGAGAGGAAGACAACAGAUUUUAUUUGGAGAAAUAUCAUUUGCAGAUACGGGAUCCCCUAUGCCAUCAUUACAGAUAAUGGGAGACAAUUUGACAACAGCAACUUCAGGGAAUUUUGCCGAAAUUUGGGGGUGGACCUGAAGUUCUGCACCCUCGCACACCCCCAGGCAAACGGACAAGUGGAAGCAGCCAACAAAGUAAUAAAAAAGCUUUUGAAAACUAGAUUGGGAGAGAAGAAGGGAGCCUGGGUUGACGAACUACCAGGAGUAUUAUGGGCCUACCGGACAACUCACAAAACCGCCACAGGGGAAACCCCGUUCGCUUUAGCCUUUGGUCAUGAGGCGGUAAUCCCAGCAGAAAUCGGAGUAGGAACACAUCGAACAGAAUAUUUCGCUGAGGAGAAAAACGACGAGCAGAUCUGCUUAAACCUGGACCUGCUGGAGGAGAAAAGGGAAGGGGCCUCGCAGAGAGUGGCCCAGUGUCAGCAACGGGUCAUGCGCUAUUACAACAAGAACGUACGCGUGAGGCAGUUCCGAGCAGGAGAUUGGGUACUUAGGAAGGUGAACCAAAACACCAGGAAUCCUAACCAUGGCGCUCUUGGCCCAAAGUGGGAAGGCCCGUAUAGGGUGGUACGAGCCACUGGACCAGGAGCUUAUAAGUUAGCGUACCUAGAUGGACGAGACGUGAGGAGGUCAUGGAACGCCGAGCACUUGAAGAAGUAUUUCCAGUAAGCAAAGUGCUCUACCAAAUCUUCAUUUUGACAAAUUGUUUGUGUUAACUGCAUGAUGGCUUGAUGCAUAUGUAUGUAUUCAGUAUUUUUGUAACACAUUCAUGUUUCAAAUAAAGAUGAAUUCAGCAUGAAAUCCCCCUACUAGCAAAGCCAAAUAAAAAUUCUACGAAGGCAAGCAAAUGCCUACUUCUGCUUGGUCAACGAAAGACCAGCAGCUAAUUUUACGAGAAAUUCACUAAGGAAAGUGAGUGCCUGUUUCUGCUCGGUCAACGAAAGACCAGCAGCUAAUUCCGCAAAAAUUCUAUUAAGGCAAAUAAGUGCCUAUUUCUGCUCGGACAACGAUAGACCAGCAGCUAAUCUACGAAAAUUCUACUAAGGCAAGUAAAUGUCUGAUUCUGCUCGAUCAAUGAAAGACCAGCAGCUAAUCUACGAAAAUUCUACUAAGGCAAGUAAAUGCCUGAUUCUGCUCGGUCAAUGAAAGACCAGCGGCUAAUCUACGAAAAUUCUACUAAGGCAAGAAAAUGCCUGCCUCUGCUCGGUCAACGAAAGACCAGCAGCUAAUCUACUAAGGCAAGUAAAUGCCUGCCUCUGCUCGGUCAAACGAAAGACCAGCAGCUAAUCUACUAAGGCAAGAAAGUGCCUGCCUCUGCUCGGUCAGCGAAAGACCAGCAGCUAAUCUACGAAGGCAAGUGAGUGCCUGCUUCUGCUCGGUCAACAAAAGACCAGCAACUAAUCCUACGAAAAUCCUACUAAGGCAUGAAAGUGUCUACUUCUGCUCGGUCAACGAAGGACCAGCAGCUAAAUUUAUGAGACUUUUACUAAGGCAAAUAUGUGUCUGCUCCUGCUCAGUCACCGAAGACCAGCAGGCGAUUUUGCGAAAAUUUUUACCAAGGCAAACGGAUGCCUAUUCCUGUUCGAUGCACUAAAGAACCAACAGGCGAAACCAGACAAAAAAGCCAAUAGAGAGCAUUUAAAAAAUUUUAUAAACGUUCAAAUGUUUACAAAGCAAAUGAAAAACUAGAGUCUUUACAAAAAUAGACCUAAGGAUUAGGAGGAUCAACGGCCUCAGCAGGUGAAGGGUCAGCUAUCUCGGGAGGUGGAAGGUCAGCAAUAUCGGGAGGAGGAGGCACGGACCCCUGCCCCACUUCAAAAACACGCUGCCCAGCUUCUCCCUCCUGCACCCCAUUCAAAGGAACCUCCACCUGCUCCUGCUCAUCCUGCUCCUUAUCUCCUUGGCCGGCCCCAGCCAUAUACCUCUCCACCCCAGAUUCCAGCUUGCUCAUGUCGAGCUCGGGGUAUUCUUCCUUGAGUACAGACAUGAUGCACUUAUAGCUGAAAGCAACCCCGGAGUUAUACUCAGCAUCCAACCGAUCAUCCACAUCAGCGGAUUUGCCUUUCUCUUCAGCCAGCUGGUCACUCAGGGAUUUGAUCUCUCCCUCAAGGGCGGUCCUCAGAGUAUCUCUUUCACUUUGAGUAGCCUGAAGAUCGGACUUCAGAUCACCCAGCUCACCCUCAAGCUUGGAGGAAGUAGACUCAGCAACCGCAACUUUCUCCUCAAGCUCCGUAAGCUGCUUGUUCAGCUCGGCCAGCUUCUCUUUGGACCGAUCAGCAGAUUCGGCUUUCUUUUUCAACUCCUGGUUAUCAGCUUGAAGCUUCCUCUCAUGACGCGCGGACCCGGUCUUGUAGCACGAGACCAUUGUGGCCAGCCUGAAAGAGACUCUUUGAACAGAAGCAGCUAACUCGGAGAGGUCCAUGCUCUCGAUGUCCUUCACCAUCUUGGGCCCAACCGAUUUUUUGUAAUCUUUCUGGUAUAGGCUCAGGUAGUCACCUUGAUCCCGAGAUGGAAGAGGAGCAGAUCGGUCCCCAGACUGCAAGCUGACCUCAGGACUCUUGUCGGAGGUUUUCUCCCCACCACUCUUACAGGGUGGGGGAGGGGGCAGAGCAGGGACAGGAGCCUUGGAGGGGCCGACACUAUUCUUCUUUGGAGGAGGAGGAAGGUUGCUGGAGCUGCUUGGAGCCCGACCACGCUUCCUGCUCAUUGCGCUGAGGAUCUUGUUAUCCAUUCCAGCGGCUAUGUCCACUAGGCCCGAACCGACCAGGUUUGUUGGUGACAGGAGGUCUUGGCAGGUAGACGCGUUCACCAGAGCAGUUUCCACCUGAAGCAAAGGCCGAUCUUCAAGCCCCUUUAUCAAACCCCACGACUCUGAAAGAACAAACAAGGUUAAAGAACCCAAUAAGUAACAAGUCGAGAAAGAGUAUAGGCAAAAAAUAAACGACCUGGGGUGACAAAAUGUGUUGGAAGGUAAAUAUCACCACCCAACGAAUGAGCUGCUGGACACUAAGCUCCUCCAGCAAAGAAGAAUUUGUUCUUCCAAUUUUUGCACGAGGAGGGGAAGCCGGUGAUUGGUUUCCUCUUCGCAGAGCUUGACAUGAAGUAAUACCAGCUUGCUUCCUUCGGGCUACUCCUCAGCUGGUAUAGAUGCUUCACUUCAACGAGGGAGGGCUCCUCUGAUCCACACCUCUUCCACAACACAUAUAUAGCCGAGAGAACCCUCCACCCAUUGGGAUAUAGCUGACCUAGGGCCAGAUGCAUACCACCCAAUAUCUUAGCGAAAUAACGUUAAAGGGGCAGCCGAGCUCCUAAUUUGAAGCUCUCCAGGUGCAUCGUCACAUACCCCCGCGGAGGCCGACUAGGGACGUCACCUUUUCCUGGAACUACCAGGAGAAUCUCCGCAGGAAUGUCGUAAAGGUUCCUCAGCUUGAACAGAUCAGUUUGGGUGGUGACACAAGCUGUGUAGUCAAUAGGGUAAAAAUCCGCCUCUACCCUAUGACCAAGGUGCCUUCUCUGAGGAGGUCCGCUCGGUCCAGAGCUGCUCCCCUCACCAUCACCAACUCCUUCAAGGAUCCCAACCCCAUCAAAGCUGUGCUUCUCACCAGAGCCCGACGCAGGUCCACCUCUAUUCCCUACAAGCUCUAGUUCGGGGGAGGGAGAGACAACCAAAGGGCGUGGGUACUCAAGGGUAUCCCUGCCAUGGGAAGGACCUACACUACUGGAGGGACCUAAGAAAUCGGUGGGUAUUGGCACGUUGAGGCCCGAAUCCCCUGAUUCUUCCUCGCCCUCAUCAACAAUUAACUUUCUUUUCCGGUUUGACAUAUCGGAAUCCCAAAAGAAAGCAAAGAAAACUCGAAUGUACGGAUACAAAAGGGGGCAACACGGAACCCAAUCAACAACAACAAGAGAAGAGAUUAAAAGCAGUACCUGAGAUUAACUGGCCCUGAUAGCGCUGCCGUGACAGAGAAAAAACCAGCAAGUAGAAACUCCGGACGCAGGAAGUGUGAGUAAAGUUCAGAGAGGGGGCUGGUUAACGGUGGAGAAACGGAUAAACAAAGCAAUGAGGAUUUCAACCUAGGGAUUUGAAGUGAAAAGGGGAAAGAUAGAAGCAUUUAAGUGAUGAGGAUGCCAGCUCACUCACCACAUAUCGAGGGUGGAUAGCCCGUCGUUUCAAAUUUCAAAUACGAAGAGUCUGGUGAUGCCACGUCACUAACCGUUACAAGAGGCCAGGAUAGAUGUAAGCCCAGAUAUGCAAUGGACAUGUUCACUUAGGCCCAUGCUCAGGUCGGAGUCUCCCCAGAAGAAAAAUGGUACAUCAGGUCAGGCCCAUCCCAAUAAACAGAGGACCAGAUGAGAAGCUCCCCGGGUUGGUGAGAUUUGACCAUCAGUUUCUACUCUUAACUCAUUUCACUCGCCAGACCAGAAACUGGGGGACUGGUGUUGAGUACAUAAAAGCCCCAGGUCGGCCAUGCUACUAUUUCCACCCCGGCAUGGAUCACCUCAGCCAAAUGGUAUAAGCAGAACGCGGGAUAAACACGAGCCAACCAGAGACGAGUACCGGCCAGGGUAAUGUACCGACCAGAAUCAUAUACCGAGCCGACACCAAUUCCCCAAAAAAGCGGGAACAUGAUCCCACAGAAUCACUGUAGUUGCGCUUUUCCCAGAACCGUUGUGGGAGAUGCGAGAUCCCACGUUUGCCCACAAUGUAGCAGUUAAAAUCCCAUGAGAGGCUACCACUACCCGAGAAAGGGGGGGAUGAAGGGUGAGUGAAAACGUGGGACAGCGGCUAUAAAAGAAGAAGAAACCGAUUAAGAAGGGGAGAGAAAAAUUGAGAGAGGGAAAACGCUGCCAAAUUGCAAUCAGGCCAUUUUCUGACAAGACUCCGAAUAAUUUAGAAACCAUUUUUAGAUCUAAAUUGCACUGUUUUCCCGUAAACACCUUGAGCUAACUUAGGCAUCGGAGGGUUUUCGCCGGAAAAACCACCGUCGACUCUGAUCCGUUUUUGGUGAACGCAGGUUUAGUAAGAGAAAGGAGGGUGAUUCCAACCUCAGAGGUUCGAGCAACAGUCGAUAACGUAAACGUUGGUGAAAGAAUCUGGUCGGUCAAAAGGCGAGCAGAUUUAAGCAUCAACAUAAUAAUUUUGAUAAAAUUAGAAAAGAUAUAAUAAUUUUUUUAUUAUAUAAGUGUAAAAUCAAAUCAUCUUAACUUCUAAACUACAACAACUAUAACAUUUGAACUAUUCAAUCUCAAUUCCUAAUAGACUCUUAAUUUAUAAUUAGAUUGUCACUAAAAGAUUUUAAGUAUGUAUUUUAGAAUUUAACGAAUACACUUUUAAACUACCUUUGCCGGAUGAAAUGUUGGGAAAUUUUUAUUAAGAUCCAAAAGUAUUUGAAAUAAAUUUAUGUUUUUAUGAUGCCAAAAAAAAUAAAAAAUUAUGAACAUUUUUGUGAAGCUUAGGCGAAAAUUUUUGUUAGGCUCUAUUGGGCUAGAUGAGCAGCUCGGGCAGUUAAUUGUCGCCCAAGAAGCCCAACCCAGAUUACAACAAGCUGGGAUUUAGUUAGCUCGUUGACGGCCAUUUGGGUAUGCAUGAAUUGGGUGGAUGAUUAAUAAAUACGUUUUAUUAAUUAUUUCGCCGAUUGGGAUAUUCUCCUAAUUUAAUCUUUUCUAAUAUUAUAAUAAAGAGAUUUUGACAUGUGUAAUACAUGUGUUAUUUUAAUAAUCCAAUAGAUAAUAUCUACUUUAUUUUUAUCUUUCGUUAUUAAAUACAAAAACACUAAUAAAAAAAAAAUGACUUAACUCUUUUUAUAUUUUUAAUUUUUAUUUAUUUCCUUUUAUUGCUUUCCUAGCAAUGUUCAUCUUUUUACUAUACAACAUCCAUAACCUUAACUUUGGAAAUAAAAGAGAAUAUGUGAAAGUAUAAGUAGGAGAAAGACUUCAUUGAAAUCAAACAAAUUGGGCAACGUUAGAUUUUUCUUUAAAAUUCUCAUGAGAUAUUAAUUAGUAGUAUUAUCACUGCUGCCUGCCUAUUUCUAACCUCAACCAAUAUAUGAUCAAUGCUUGAUUUGGUCAAUCUAAAUAAUUAUGAUCGAUGAUUGGAUAUUGUUGAAGGGCGGCCCUAAGGAUGAGAGAGGGGAAUGCGUGUGCAAGCCACAUGUGUGAAGAAAAAGAAAAAGGCAAGAGUGAAGAUGACGACGAUUAAAAUCUUGUUUGAUUUCUUUUUCUGAUAAUUUUGUUAAUCUGCUGUUGUUAGUUCCAAAAUUUUAGUUAGCAACAAAAUGACAUGUUUUUGUGUUUAAUAAGGAAAAAGUAAAUAAUAUAUUUUCUAUAGGAUUCUUAGAAUGGAUUAGAUUAGACUACGGAGAGAAAUAUAUUUGAGAAUAUUAGUGUUGAGUUAUUCUAAUGUCUUUAAUAGUAAAUUCAAUUAAGACUAUUUUAGUAAUAUAUUUUUUUUAUUGAAAUUAGAGUGUUCAAAGUUAUAAAUAAAAAAUUCAAUAAUUUUUUAUUGAAUUUAUAUAACUCUGGAUUCUUUUUUUUUUUUUCCAACACUGAUAUGGUUCUGUUCUGUGUAUUUAUAUACAAUUUAAUGUUUACAUACAAAUUAAAUAAGAUCAAUUUAAUGUUUAUAUACAAUCCUUCAAGUCGUAACUCAAUUUUAUGGAGGUUUAUACAUCUGCACGCAUUCCUUGAAUUUCUCCUAGAUUGGAACUUCUUAAUUGAUCCAAUGCAUUUUUCCAACAGUCAAGAUCCUUAGUUGUCAGAGCAUUUGCAAUCGUACUCAGUGCACCAGGCAAACCUCCGCAUCUUUCAACGAUCGAGGAGUAUUUUUGUUGAAUCACCGACUAUAUUCUCAAAUAACUGCAAUGCUUCUUUUUUUGAUAACGCAUCGAUCGAGGAAUUUUUCUGAGAUUUCAUAUCAUUGCACAAUAAUAAAUCUCGACUUCUAGACGUCAAUAUUAUUUUGCAUUGUCUCUGAUCGUCAACAUCCCCGGAAGUUAAUGAACGGAAUUCUUUUAUCCUUUCUAUCUUUCUCAUCAACAUCCCCGGAAGUAACCACAUCGAACAACUUAUCUUCCCUCACUUGCUUUGCAACAUCUUGGAAUACUUUCAUUCUGGAAUCAAAGGCUACGUAAUCUUUCACUUGCACGUACUCUGUACUCUCUGGAGCAGGACGGUAGGAAACAUGAUUACAGAUGUUAAAUUCGCCUUUUUUCACAAGUUUAUCAGCUUCGUUUGCGGCCUCUGCUGCUUGUUUACCAAGCUUGUAACGAGAAAUCAAAUUUGGGCACAACCCUUUGAAGCAGAACAUCUUAGCUCUAUCUUUAUCAUCAAUCAUGGAUUUUGCAACCCCUUCACUGAAUUCAGCAACUCUAUUUAGCCAGUCUCAGACACCCUUAUAAAUCUCAUCUCCUUGUAGAGUAGCCUCUCUAACCAGCGUUUUCACCCUUUCUCUUAUAUAUUCCAGCUCCUUCACUCAAUCUUUUAGCCCAUCUAUGUAGCUUUGGUAUUCGAACACAUAAGAUAUGUGCCGCAUAAUCGGUUCGAAUAAUGCUUUUGAACCUUGUGAUACAAUGCUGGAAAAAGCAGGGAGACACCCUUCAACAGCCAUUGCCUGUUGCUUAACAAUAUAUAUAUAUAAAUACAAGUGUCAAAGAAAGGAAUGCAAAUAAAUUAAAAUGAACUAGAGGGAAAGAUAGAGAAUGAAAAGAUCACAAACAAUAUGGCUAUAUUGAUCUUGAACCAACUAAUAACUAAAUAGAGAAUUUCUUUUUCUUUCUUAAGGAUAAGAGGUUUUACUAUUAACAAAAAGUUAUUUUGAGGGUCUGAAUAAAAAACCAACCAUAAAUUAUCAAAAGCUAGUAAAAACACAGACAUAAAUAAUGAACAAUUACUUAAGCAAAACAAACUAUGAAACAAAGAAAAUCUAAUAAAAUGACAAAGAAAGAAAGAAAGAAAAUACAACAAAAAGUAUUGAAGUAUUGAUCAUGAGCCAACUGAUAUUUAAACAGAUUUUUUUUUUAAUUUUUAGUCUUUUGCUAAAGGAUUAGAGUUUUUGCUAUUAACAGAAAUGUUUCAAAAAUCUAACACUACUAGAAAAGUAUUAAAUAAUGACAGAAAUUUGAUGACAUAUAUCGUUGUGUCACGAAUGUGUCAUAAAAAUAUGAUAGAUUCAUAAUAUAUAUUCAUAUGUCCAGAAUAUAUGACAUAUUCAUGACUUAUAAUUUAACCGUCCUAGAUAAAUGAUACAUAUAAGUCAUGCUUAGGUUUUGUGAACUUAUAAGAUUGUAAAACAGUGUUGUUUAAAUUAACGACACCGUUCUGUAUAACUUAAAACACAUCAACACUUACAGCCAAAUUUUGGCUAAGCGUUGAAUGAAUCCCUCUCUCUCCACUGGCCACUGCAACCUAAAAUGAAUGUUUAAAUUAACGACACCGUUGAAUUAAAGCCUAGCUCAAAUUCCUUUUUUCAAUCGAAAUAAAACGUAGCCACAAAACCCUAAUUCACCACACCAAAUUAUCUCUGCUCGGUAUUCAUUUAAACCCUACCUCGCGGUUCAAUGUCAUUCAAUACGAUUGCAGAUGCCGUUUCAACUUGUCAUUUAGUUAGCGCCAUCCAGUUCCCUAUGGUAAGCCUUAACCCUAACGCUAGUAAGAUUUGCUAAAAAUUUCAUAUUUUGUAUUGUUCCAGUUGAAUUUCAUGUUAAUUUAAUUCUUCUUUGCCUUCUUUUUUCUUCUUCUUUAUAGUCACGCUCUGGCUUUGGUGCUAUGCUUAGUGCAGUUUGUGGUUUCAAGAUUAAGUCAUGUUUAUUUGAUGGCAUCGAUUCCAUCGUUGAGGAUUGGAUUGUUGAUCAAAUGCACCUAGUAAGCUCUUCUUAUUUUAUCUCAGUUUCAAUUUUCUUUUAUUAUCUGCCUCUACCUAAAAAUGGACGUGUUUUACUAGUAAGCAUAGACUUUGUUUAUUUAAUUGAUAUUUUAAUUUUAUGUAUAAGAAUGGAGGUUUAUUUUGAAAAAAAAAAAAGGAAAUUAAAAAAUAGAUUCUGUUGAAGCUAAUUAGUACUGAAUUUUUUUGGUGGUGCGACCAGAGGUGGAAACAGGGUAUGAAAAUGUGUUACUGGUGAGGUUGCUGCUUAAGAUGAGAAUGCAUUCUUUUCAAAAAUCCUUGGUAGGUGUUAUCUAAUUAUCUUUGAUGGAAUAUCAAAUGGCUAAAAAUCUGUCAUACGUUCAAACUUUGUUUGUGUUUAGAAGAAUGGUGUUGACUGUAUAUUCGUUUGGAAGAAUGGUGUUGAUUGUAUAUUCAUUUGCUUAGCCUUUUGACAGAUGGAUUGUAUAAUUGUGUUUGCCUCACUGUUUUUUUUUUAUGAGAUCUAUAAUUGAUCUGGGGAUAUUACUUUCUAGUUCUCAUGCAAGCAAGUUACUACCUUCCCACUGCAUCUCGUCCUUUAUCUGCUAUUCAAGAGAUGCGUGCCAUAAUCUGGUGUUACCUCUGCAAGAUUGUGAAUGAAUAUAAUGCCUCUAAAUUUAUUUUAUACAUAAUGCUGAUGCUGAAUAAUAUAUUGUAGCUCCUGUCAUAUUCUACUUUGACUUUUUAUAUUCUGUUUCAUAUAAAAAUCUUAUUCAACUUUAGUUGUUCAUGAGCAAAUGUCGCAUGUAUAAGCCCAAAUGAUGUUUAAAGGUAGCGCGGCUACCUUUAGUUUGAGCUUACAAUGGAUGAAAAAGAAAUUGAAACUGUUUUUCUGAUUUUUCAAAGUAUUUUAGAUCCUGACUUUUGUUUGGACUUGAUGGUUAUAGAUUGUGUCUAGAUUUGUUAAGUUGUUUCCAACACCUCGUGCCAAAUGAAAGCACAAUCUUUCUGAUUCAGAUGUUUGGUUAAUUAUGCUUCAUUUUUUUGUUAAAGAUUGGAUGGUUGCAUGGAUUGAUGGAGUUGGAGUUCAACCAAUAAUUCUAAUUUUUUGGACUUAAAAUGCCUUUUUCUUCUGUAUAAAAACUUUAGUAAGUGCUAUUGAGUUGACAGAAGUUGAAUACUUACAGGUUGUUUCACACUUUUUAAUAGUUUUACAUAUAUGAAUUUCUGUUUUUUGAAUUGCAGAAAGGAGGUGGAACUAUUGAUUUGGAGCCUUAUCUUACUCACUCAUCGACAACGGAGCCUACCCUCGCUCCCAUGGCAGUGGAACGGACAACGACUACUAGGGCUGCAACAUCAGUUGGUUUGGGUCUGUUUUGAGUUUAUUUUCAUUUAUUUGGCUAUGUUUUGAUAGCGAAUUUUGAUAUGUCAAUAUAAUGUGUAAUUGUUUUGGGUUGAGCUGGUAUUUAUGCUGGAUUAGAUUGGUUUGGUUUUGGUGCUUCUCUGAUGGAACACUGCUUCUUUUAGAAAUUUUGAAUGUAAUAUGAGACUACAUUUAGUUUAAUUGAACACUGCAUCUAGUCUAAUUACUAGAAGUGUGGCAUUUGGUUUGGUUUAUCCGAUAUUCUCCAGAAUUUCACUUGCAUCUGGUUUUGUUGCAUAUGUUUGCUUGCAUUUGAUGGCAGUAGCAGACUGUUUGGUUUUGUGACAUUUGACGGCAGUUUGGUCUGUUCUUGGUGUUGAUUUAAGAUUGUUCCUGUUGUGCUGAUGUUAAUUGCAGGUGCUGGAAUCAGCUAGGGUUGCUGGUUUAUUCAGAUAGUUGACUCAGGCGUUGUUACUGGUUAAUUCAGGUGGCUGACUCAAGUUGUUCAUUUAAUGUUAGGAAGCAAAUUAAGAAUUAAUGAAGUAUUCAUUUAACUAUAAUUAUUGUAGUUAUUUUAUUUCAUAACUGAAUUAUAAUCUAUGGUACUUGUGAACAAAUUAGAGAAUUUUUAUAUAUGAAUUAUAUAUAUGUGUGUGUAUGUACAUUUUGCUAUUUAUGUAAUAAUUUAAAGAAUAUAUUUCAAUUCCCACAAAAAAAAUGGCUCCAAUUUCAAUAAUUCCCGCCAAAUAAUUAAUUUUUUUUUAAUUUACCACUAAAAUAUAUCUUAAAGAAAUUUUAGUUAUUCUUGCUAGAUUUAACAAAAAUAAUUUGUAGGAUUAACAUUUAAUUAAAAUAAUUAAAAAAUUUUAUUAUUCCAAUUAAAAAUGUCAUGUUUAUACGAUAGACAAUAUUCAUGAAUGGGAAGUAUUAGUUACAUAUUUUUCCUUGGGAUUUCAGGCAAAUGAAAAAAAGAUUGAGAAUGAUUUCAAGAGGACAGGUGGAUGAUAAGUAUUCAUUUUUGUAUAUUUGGCUAGUGGAUUUUUAUGGUAUUGAUCUUUUUUUAAAAAAAAAAAAAAAUUUCAAUUAGUUGCAGCCCUAGAGGAAGAGCAGGCUGAUCAAAUUGAUUUGUCUUGUUUUUCGGGCAAUCUACGACACGAUGACUGUGAUAAUGCUCGUGACUGCUGGAAACUUUCUGAUGGAAAUAACUUUAGAGUUCGUAGCAAGCAUUUUUGUUAUGACAAAACAAAGGUUCCCCCAUAUUUUGUUUGUUUGUUAUGGUAUUUAUAUAUCCUGCAUAGGCUAGGUAGACAGGUUAUGAUGUAGUUUGGUUGGCUCUUCUUGUGCUUGUGCAAUUUGUAACUGCAGAUACCUGCGGGAAAACAUUUAAUGGAUCUUGUUGCUGUUGAUUGGUUCAAAGACACAAAGAGAAUGGACCAUGUAGCUAGGCGUCAAGGCUGUGCUGCACAAGUAACUAUUCUUUUCUUUUUAUUUUUCCUUUUCCAUUGAUGCAUUAGGAGAAAAUACUGCCUGUGAGAUACUACAAUGUAAAUAACUUCUCAUGGUUCAUUGAAUCUAUAACACACUGACCCUCUUCUAAAAAAUGUAGGUUGCUUCUGAAAAAGGGCUUUUCUCACUGAUCUUUAAUCUUCAAGUAAGUUUGUUUCAUUUCAGAAGGUAUUAAGUUUCAAACUUAUUGUAUUGGGAGGUUGUAUAGUUGUAACCUAAGCAUCUGCAGGUUCCUGGAUCAACACAUUAUAGUAUGGUAUUUUAAUUAGUCGCAAGGCAAUUGGUUGUGGGAUCACUUUUGCAACGGUUUGUUGAUGGCGAUGAUGAGUUUCGCAAUAGUAGGUUGAAAUUUAUUCCAUCUGUUCCUAAGGUAUCCAUCUUGGCCUUCAUGUAUUAGGACUAUAUUAACGUAUACUAACCCUUUACUGCAUGGUACACUUCAAUUUGUCCAAAGAAGGCAUGCAUUUAGGUGUAAAUGUAUUGAUGGGUUGUACCUUCAAACUUCGUGUCCAUUUUUACCCUCUUGAAUUUGUUUUGCACUUGUUCUUGAUUUUAAGCACUGAAUCAUGCAGGGGUCAUGGAUGGUGCGCCAAGAGUGUUGGAAGCACCCCUUGUUCAUUAGUGAAAGUGGUUGAUUGUAACUACAGAUGAAUUGUUCCCCUUUCAAAUAGCGUCCGAUACCAUUAACAUGGUUUAACAUUGUUCAUCUUUCUGUAGAUUAAUGUUGACAUCGGUUCUUCUACUGUUGCUAAUGGAGUUUUGGGCCUUGUAAUUGGUGUAAUUGCGACAUUGGUGGUUGACAUGGCUUUCCUUGUACAGGUAUGUAUGAUUGUUUUUUUCCCCCACUUCUAAAUGGACACAAGGGAAAAGACAUGAUUUUGAGAUAUUGCACUGCAAUUUGCAUUUUUGCAUACUUGAAUGUUCUCAGAAUGGUAUAAUGCUUCGUGUGUGUCUUCUUUAUCUUGCUCUUCUGUAUGCAGGCAAAUACUACAGAUGAAUUACCGGAGCGGCUGAUUGGUGCUGUACGUGUUUCUCAUAUAGAACUCAAGUCUGCUGUUGUCCCAAAGUUGGAACCAGAGAUAUCAUGACUCUGGUUUCAUUUCACCUCAACUGUGUUUUUUUUUUAAUUAAAAAAAUCAUUUGUUUUAGGUAUACAUACAUGUAUUUUGAUUCUAUUUUCAUUGUAAUUUCUCAUUUACUUUGAAUGAAAGUCAUUGGUGUUUUCGAAUGGGAAUUUUGCAUUAAAAAAUGAAGAAUAGUGAUUUUUGGAGUGUAAUUAGUAGUAAAGUUGGUUUCUACUCGCAAACAAGUGAACUGCUCGAUUCCCGAGUGGUAUCAACCAGUUUCCAACUUUUUAAUAUACACUAAUUGUUAUUGUUUAAUAGCUACUACUAUUAAAACUCGACAGCUAACAAAAAUACUUAAAAAAAACGAUUUUUCUUAUGAUGCUGUGAAAAAAAUUACGGGUUUACUUCUUUCCACGAGAUCUAUAACAUGGUCUUGACUUCACGAAAUUCUUUUAAUUUAAAGCGUGCUGGUGUGAGAAGGUCAGUUUGACUGAUUAAUUCUUUUUAACAGUGGUCGAGAUAAUUUUACUAUACUCAAAAAUAUUCUUAUUCUGAUAAUGCCACAAAUGUUAUGUUGUUUUCUUAGGCUAAGGAUCUUCUAUCAGGAGAGGUUAGAAAUUAAAUGCUUAAAAGAGAAUAAUACAGAAAUUUAGACAGAAUCUAAUCGAAUAUUGCAUGAAACAUGAAACAUCAAUUCAAGUCCUUUCUUUAAACAGAGAAUGCAUCAAACAAAAUCCAAAGUGUCUUGCACGUCUGUAGCAUGAGCAAAAAAUUGUAAAUAUGUAGAACCAAAUUAUUCAAGUAUAGAAGAACGAGCAAGCUAAAUCAUGUAUAAGAGAUUGGCCUGGUUCGAGAUAGCUUCUUCACUGUACCUGAAGGGUUGGCUCAAUAUCUUCUUUAGAAUUCUGCACAUUUUGUAAUUACUCGUGUAAGCAAGCAUACAUUGCCACCAUAAGAAUAAUAAAGCUAGAGUAAUGAUAGGACCACCACCUCUUGUGCACAAACAAUAUUGUAUAAACUAAUGCGAGAUAAUAUGAUUGGUUAAAUAAAAACAUUAUAUGGUCCUCAUAAUUUAUUUAUUUAUUUAUUAUUAUUAUUAUUAUUAUUAUUAUUAUUAUUAUUAUUAUUAUUAUUAUUAUUAUUAUAUAUUUUCAGUCAACCAAUCAUAUUAUAUCACAUUAGUUUCUAUAAAAUAAUUUACUAAAUAGCACCAAAACUUAAUUGAUACUCACCAUUUCAUUGAACAAUUUUUUUAUGGUGUCAUUGAGGUUGCCUUCCCAACAUGCUUCAUCAUCAUCAUCUUCUUCAUCCUGAUCAUCCUUUUCUUCUUCGGUGACGUUCACUUUGUUUAGCAUUGGUGUGUCUAAGACUCCUUGAGAGAAGAUCUUCAUUUUUGGACACUGUCUCACAACUACUUGUUUCAAGGACGGGAAUUCAAGAGCGUAAUUACCCAAACUAAAGCUUGUUAGGCUUGGCAAACAAUCAAGUGUCAAGUACUCCAAUUCCCUGAAAACAAUGCAGUCUUUCGCUUCUUCUCCAACCUGCGAUUGUAUGAUUUCUUCUAUCAUUUUGCAAUCAGCUAUCUUCAUUCUUUGAAGAUUCACUAGACUUUCAGAUGUCGAGAAUGUCAACACAUUUAUCAACCCGUGACAUUUUGAUACUUUCAAAGCCUCAAGAUUUUCCAAAUGCCACGAAGGUGGUACUAAUUUUUGCAACUUACUACAUUCCGAUAUUUUUAGACUUUCCAAAUUUGCAAAUACUUUGUUGGAUUCGGCAUUUUCCUUCCAGAGAUGCUGCACUUUGUGUAAUCUAGACAGCCUUAACUUCCUCAAUUU